rnacentral:lncRNA from 1 species
AAAGAACAAGAGCCCUAGGGUGAAAAUUCAAGAGAAAAUUAUUGGAUUUCAAGUAAUCAAGCAAUCAAGCAAUCAAAGGUAAAAUUUCUUGAUUUUGACUUGUGAUCUACCUUUCUCAUACAUUCUUUUGUAUUUUUCAUGGUUGAAUUACAAGAUAUCAUGAAAGAUAGUGCGCUGAUCAAACCUUAGGAGAGAGAAUUUGAUGAUGAUUUAAAUAGAUUUUUAAGAUAUAUGGAUGUUUUUAGUUGUUUAUGGUGUUAAGUGUAAAAAUUAAGCUUGAAAUUCACAUAUUUCUCAUGAGUUCAUCAUUGGUCGAAUCUUCCUUGUAGAGUGUUGAUGGUGGAUUUGAUUUUAUUUCAAGUGAAUUGGUUAGGAAAUGAUGAAUUAUGGUGAAAAAAUCAAGUAGGAAAAAUCAUAGUGUUGAUGCACUCACCAUAGCCGAAAUUCUCAAGAAGAAAUGUGAGGAUGGUUUUGCUAAAUUUUAUGUUAUUUGACUUAUGUUUGGUGAUUUGAAGUAUUGGAGAGAAAUGGAAUUAUUUGGAGUUGAAUUGGACGUAUUGGCCAAUUAAUCGGGUGAUAGAUCGAGUUAGGCCAACACCGCAUGGAGACGAUAAUACGAACAAUUCGCGUUCCAUAUCAUGCAUUCAUAUAGAGUUUAGAUUAGUUUUAUAACAAUUUAGCACAAAUGUGCUAAAUUGCUUGAUUUUGCAUUAUGUCUAGGUGGUGAAUCCUCUGAAAAAUGGCAAAGAAAUUACACCCGAGGAUCAAUAGUCGGAGUACUUCAAAAUUCAAACUCCUGAUACAAUGAGUAACCUUAUCAUCAUCUUGAUUAUCUGAAGUGAAUUUUAAUUCGUUUUAGUGAUUUUAUGAAAAAUGAGUUUAAAUGGUAAAUCUUUAUGUUUUAUAAGCUAAAUGUGAUUAAAUGAAAUGAUUUUAUAAAAUUGUCUUGAAAUUGAAAGAUGGUUUUGAAAAUGGAGUAAUUGGAGACUAAUUGUUGUGUUAUAAAUCAUGGUUUGAAUUGAAUGGCUUAUGAUAAUGUGGGCAUGAGUGGCUAGAUUUGGUAAAUGUGCUGAAAAAGUAUGAACUGUUGAUUUGCCUUGAGAGGCUGUAAAAUAAAAUAAUUGUCAUGUCAUGUUAUUGAAUGUUAUUGAUUUGGUGGGUUAUAUAUUGGUCGCUGCAGUGGACGAAUUUCGUGGAUCAAUCUGUUAGAGGGGCACGGUAACCUUAUUAUAUUCAUACCUCAGUAUGAGAGGCGUGGUUAGAUAACUCCUAAGGUUAAAACUUUAAAGUUCACUUCACGCCAAACCACCACGUGAGGGUGAACUCAGCUAACGUCAAAGAACGGCUAUGUUUUCAAAAUCAAAACAUGAUUUAUGCGUAUAUAACUUUUUAACAGCCUUGGCGGUCUCGGUAGGGAUAGCCCUUGGCCAAGGUAUCCCUGAUAACUAAGUAUGCGAAUGAUUUUGGCACGGGCGAAAGUUUUAAGAAAUUCAUAAGCCAUGUUGAUUACUCAAUUUAUAUGAAUUGAUUUUAUUUGGUUGAAAUGAGUUGAAAGGUGAUGAAUUACAGUAUGUUAAACUAUUUUAUCUGUCUCCAUUUACUCAACUUUAGAUAUUUUAGAUGGUAUUUGUUUACUCACUGAGAUAAUAUAAUCUCACCACCCUCCUUUUCACCCCUUUCAGACUCAGGAUAGUCUGUAGAUAGCUCAUUUCGUUGAGGGUUACAGUUGGACUUGCAUCAUCAAAAACUGUAGGUUUACCGCUUUUAAUAUUUUUGGUCGUUCGUGGGCUCACGUAUCACUGUAAAUUAAAUCUUAUGAUUUGGUUAUCUGUAUUACAGUAUGUAUGGAUUUAUUUAGCUUUUACGCUACAAAAAUUAUUUACCGGUAACUCUAUAAAUAUUGUUUUAUAAGAAAAUAGAAUAUUUUAUUGAAUAUAUUUAUUAUAUUCAAAUAGUUAUAAUUUCACUUUAAAUUAAUGUUUUAGAUAUCUAAACUUAUUUUUGAUUAUGAAAUAUGUGUUUUCCACUUGCAUACUAUAUUUUUAGCUGGUUUUAAGAUUUUUGAGGAAAAAUGACCAAAAUGCCCCUGUGAGACAGAAAUCAUUUUUUUAUUGAUUUAAGUUGGAAAUAACUUAAAAUCUUUUAGAACAUGAUAUUUGGCAACGGUUACUCACAUGGGAAAUGAGAAACUGAUAUUAAAGCCUUACGGGUUCCGAUUGACAUUCAAGAUAAUGAGUGUCGAUCGGGACACCGCUGCGGUUGUCACGGGCUCGAGGAGAAUACCGGGUUGUAACAGACGGAGACCCCUCACCAUCAUAAUGUGAAAUUAAGAAAAGCUAAAGGUUUCUUUUAUCUUUUUCUUUCUAUUUAUAUUAUUUAACUAUUUAUAUAUUUAACCAUUAUAUAAAAUCUUGUAUAUCGUAUUUAACUAUUUAUAUUUUAUACAUUAUAGUUUUAUAUUUAAUAUUUUAAACUUAAAUAAAAAUAUUGGAUGUUGACUACACAUAAACAAUCAAACCUCAAUAGUUCAAAUAAUGAAAAAGAGUAACAUGAAUCAAGACGUCCUAGACUCAAUCUUAAAGAAAUAGAUGUUUUUCAAGUAAAAUCUGAUACUUAUAAAACUAUUAUAAAUCUUUUUUUUAUUAUUUCUUUUGAUUUUACAUGUUAUAUAAAAAUAUUGUAUAUUAUGAAUCUUUUGAUUAUUUAUUAAGUUCAACAUAUUAGUUUUAAAAAUUUUUAAUCCUUACACCUUUUUCAUCUUUAACCCCCCAAAUAAAAAUUGACUAGCUCCACCCCUGGUUGGACCUUGAUUCCUUCUCUCUCUUAUAUAUACUACCGUUAGCAUUAUCUCUUGCUUUAGAUGUCACAGUUUUAAAGAUGAAGAGACAAUCAUCGUCUUCUAGCCGGAGGCAAAACUCCAUUGGUUGCAUGUGUGCCAUUUCCAACCUUCUUUUCAAGCACUAUAAUCGCUCAAAAUUUCUUAUUUCUGGUAUGUUCCUUCAGCUGAUCGCUUUGGGAACUAGUUUUUUGCAGAGAAUUCCAAUUGUAUAUUUAGUUCUAGUAUAAUUUUUCCCCAACUAAUUGCUCCAUGCAUUGAAGAACACGACUGAGUACAUUAUUCCGUACUACUACUGAUUUUCAGGGAAAAAGCAGGCAAAGGAGGCACCAGAAUCUGCAACGAAAGCCCCUGAACAAACGCUAAAAGCUGCAAAUCUUCCAAGGAGUCCAACGCUGGCGGCAGAGUUACGGCGGUCAAACUCCGUUGAGACUCCUCCUAAUACGCUAGUGGCCAGGUUGAUGGGAGUAGAUAAGUUUCCUAGGACCCCAGAAUCCACCGCCAACAAGAGAAGGAAGUUGCUUUGUGCUCUGGAGAAGUGUGAUGAGGACUUGAAGGCCCUUCAAAGGAUCAUUGAACUUGUCAACACAAGCGUCAGCGUUGAACACAACAGUGAGAGUAAGUCUGCUCCAUUAGCUUUUCUUCUUCUUCAAUAGAUAACAUCCACUUCAUAGUUUUUCCUUUUUCAUUACAUUGAAUUUAUUGUUUUCUGUCUCUUCAUUGUAGAUAGUAUGGUAUCACAUAUGCAUGCAUGAGGGGUUCAUUCUUACACAUACAUACACAAAUUAAGGCCCAAAUACGUUGGAAUUUUGUAAUGUACUCGAUAAACCCUGAUAUCUUCUGAUGUCUUUGAGUAAAUACGAUGGAUCUUAAUUCAGCAUUUAGCCUAGGAAAGUUGUAUCUAAUCAACUUUAAACAUUUGGUCAAGCUGGUGCCUAGCUUGUCUAACCCUACCUAAAUGGAAUCAAUUAUGUACAUAUGAAAAUUAUUGUUGUCUCUUUUAAUUGCAAGGCAGCUAUAAAGCUGUGGGUGGUUAGGAAAUUAGUCUUGUCAAUCUGUUUAGGGAGACAUUACCAACUCCGUUACUACCUGGAUCAGAGACUAAAGGUACUGAUUGUACAUUGCAAAUUGAAGAGGAAACACCUUUUCCUCACCUUCCCUAUUGCUUUCCUUGUAAGGUGAGCCACUUGCCCUUAUGUUUCGGAUACCGAAUUUACAAUCAUGACUUGCUAGUGGGAGACAAAAUUAUCCUCUUUAUUGCUACAAGCAAUCAUACAUACUAGCACAUGACCAAAUGACCCACAGCUGUUUUUCUUUCUUUUUCAUUUUCUCCUUUGAAAAGCGAAAAACGUUAACAACGCACGAGCUAAAACAGAUGAAAGAAUCUCUUCUUUGUCAUAUCUGCCCCAAGAAAUUAUACUUACAAAUACAAUGCAAUAUAACGAAAUCUUCACACUGUUCUUCAAACAAUCUUCUUCCUUGUUCUAUCGUUUUCAUACACAUGCAUCCCACAGAUUUUUGCUGGGUGAUCUGUUCAUGUCCUUGGGCUAGCCUGCUUAGGUGCUCAUUUCUUUAAAUGCUCUGGAGCUUCAACUUGGCAGCUUGAAUGUUUUUUUUUUAAUCUUUUGUGGUCGAUGAGAGCACUUGACUUGACAUUUUUCCCCCCACAAUAACAUUUCCAGAUAAUACUACUAAUAUAAUAUAUAGAUGAUAAUUAAGUAAGUAAAGAAACCCUCCCCCAGCUGUUGUUGUUUUAAGAGUGAACCAGGGAUUCAACCCCUGGUAGGAGUGAAUAAACAAAAAGAUAUAACAAGAAAAGAGAAAAGAGAGCCUGCAGAAAUAAAAGAAGAAACAGACCCCAUUGUCUUUGUGGCUUUACUUAGCAUCCAAUAUCCCCACUUUUGCAGGGUAUGGGAGUUGGGCCCCAAAAUAGAAAAUGCAAUAAGAUUAGAGAAGGGUGUGGGUUGAGGUAGGGUCGUUUUUGGGGUUCGGAUUGGUGAAUCAUUUUGAACCAUUUUUAUUUUUUUAUUUUGGAAUUAAAAUAUUCAACUGUGAAAUUAAUAAAUCAUUAUUUUAUAAUCAAUUAUCAUAAAUAAUAAAAAUAGCACAAUUUUUAAUAUUCAUAUUUAGUGUAUUUUAAAUAAGUUUUGUAAUCCAUUUAAAAUAUUCAAUAUCGAAAAGAUUGAAAAAUACAUUAUUUUAUAUAAUAAUUAUAAGUAAUAUCACUUCUUUCAAUAUUAAAAUUUUCAUUUAAAAAACACAAUUUAUCAUUUAUCCAUCAUUGUAGCACAGUUGAAGUCUUUUUGGAUUAUAAAUUCGAGAUUUUAUGGUAUUAAAUUGAAUUAAUCUUGAUUUCAAGUUGUUAUAAGGUUGGUUUGUUUUUUUUUAUAAGUUUAGGUUAUUUUGAGUUUGGAUUUUCAAUUUUUUUCAAUCGAUUUGAGCCACAUUGGUUCAAAUUCGAUGUUAGUUGAGACAAAAUUUUGGAUUCGACUAGAUUUUGCGACCCCUAAUAGGAUUGAAAAAAACCAAUCUCAGUUGAAACCUUUACAUCAUGGGGUGCAUAUAUUCCUGUCCUAGCACAUGCAAACAGAUGUGUGGGCUUGGCUUUCCUUGUCUUGUUACUAAGGCUAUGCACUGCAUGUUUUAUAAAUUUGUACUCCAGGACGAACGCUACAACAUCAUCAGAAGCAGCAACUUAAGAAGAAACCGGGACAAGAGGACACCGCAGGCGCCUGCUGCUUCUUAGAUAGAUUCACAAAGGAAUCAAUUGACGAUGCAAGAAGCCAUCAGGAUGAUGCAGGGUCGCCAUUGUGGAGAAGCAAGGCCAUGAUACAGAGCGUGGAUGAAGUGUGCAAGGAUAUUGCAUGGGGUGAAAGGCGGGAGAUUGGCAGAAUAGGCUUUGCGUUGCAAGAUCAAAUUUCCAAAGAUUUGAUAGACGAGAUUGUUAGAGAAAUGGGGCACCGCUUCACCUAUUCGCUUCCCUUUGAAGCAUGUAAAAGAGGAUUGGCUUUCUAAUUGGACCAUAUGUAUUGUGCCUCUGUUGAGACAAAUUAUGAGUACAAGCUUGCCAAAUCUAAUUUUGAUCUAACAAUUUACACCGCAAAAUUCAAAGGUGUUAUAGCAUAAGAGAAUACUGGAUCUCUUUGGGGACGACUGAAGUACCCUUUCCGUAUUAUUCUGGACGAUCUAACAAUGUCCAAUGAUGAUCCUGGUAGUGGCCUUUGAUACAUGGAAUGCAUUCCCCAGGAAUAUCAAGUGUUAGUUAUGCUUGUUGUGAGUCUUGGCAGCAUGAACGUAGUUGAAGGAUUGUUGCUGUAGGAAUCUCGGCAGUGCAAUAUAUAAUCCUUUAAAAGUGCCUUUGAGAUCUUGGCAACGGAUGAGCAUAACACGAGAAUGUUUCUGACGUCUAGAAGAAUAGAGAAGGUGUUGUCAGGAUUGGAAUAUUGUUGCAGGCAAUGGGGAGUCAUUGAAUAAGUGUAGAGAGGUGACAAACCUUCUCAUAUAGCUAAGAUGGGUCAUGGGUGAGGCCUAAUCGAGGUGACAAAGACCGUGCAAAAGCCUAUCAUCUAAAGGAUUGCUUUCUUAACAAUCUUAAUGUCGAAAGAAUAGGAGACGAGCGAUAUAAUGGUUUGCCACCUAAGGGCUACCCCAACGAUGAUCGAUAUGUCAGUAGUAAGUGUAGUUUGCAUGAACUAAGAAGUAGGUACCAUGUCCAAGAGUUACCUUGCUGCUUGGCCAGGGAAGAAUUGCUCGGGUGUAAAUUACCUCGCUUUUGAGCCAAGAAAGAGUUGUUGACCACAAGAUUGGAACGACCACUUCCUUCCAUGGUGUUUUGUGAUGGUGUUAGUAGAUGAUUGCCAUGGAGCCGUAAUUUGUCAAGCCAAGUCUUAGGCUGUAGUAGUAGUGCCAAAUAUUAUGGCUUGCAAGAAUGUUGUUGAUGUAGAUCAAGAUAGCCUUAGUGAUGGCUAAGAAAUUGGCUUCUUUAUUGUUGAGAUAUAAGCUUUGUCACAGAACCUUUACGUGUGAGGGAGUCCAUUAUUGUCAGAAGGGUCUGCAACUAUUGGCUUGCUCGAAUAAGGGUCUGAAAUGAGGUUGAGACAAAUUUGAUGGUUGUUGUACUCGGUUGUAACGAUAAAAUAGUAAGCCUUGAUUGUUGAAUUUAGGUUUUUCCUCAAAUUGGCUACUAACAAAAGUUUAAGGUGUAAAUUGUAUAAUUCGAAGAAGCACAUGUAACAUUAACUCUUUUCAGAACUGCAAUACCAUACCAGCUCUUAUAAUCGUUUUUGGUCCAAAUUCUGAAAAAAAGACAAUUUUUGGCUGGAAUUGCAACAAAAAUAAAUGAAUUUCGAAAGGAAUGUGUUUGAGGUUUGAGGAGCAAGUGGGUUUCUUCUCAGUAACAUAUAACUUCAGUUUCAAGGACGCGUAGAUUGCCAUCUACAGUGACUAGCACCCAUUCUUCGGUUUUAUUUCGAUUUACCACCACCGAGUGACUACCCUACCCACUCUUUGGUUUCAAUUUAUUUCAGCUAGACUGAACAAGGAUUACUGAUAAUGUAGCCAGAGACAAAGAACAAUGAAAGUUUUAAGAGCAAUGAUGCAAUUAGGCAUAAGGCAAAUCCUGAAAUUUGUAGCGCCACAACAAUAAUGAUCAUGAUGCGGGAAACGUGAGCAGGCAAAUUUGAUCCAUCACCUUUCCUAAUUGAAGCAUCCAUUACACCAAAAAACAACCAAUUUCCCAAGCCGUUAACAUAACUUUAGCUGCAUACUCCAAAAACGGCAUUUGAUUACUUUAUCCUAUCUUUUUUAUAAUCUCUUCAGACUUUUCUUUCUCGCAUCCAUUUUCUUCUUGUCUGCCUGAACUUUCGUCAGGCCUUCCUUCUUAAGAGCAGGGCCUGCUGUUCCUACCAGGGCAGUUCCACUCACUCCUGUUUCAGUUGUUGGAAAUAUAGACUGCUGAUCCUGGUUAUUCCCUCCUUUCGUGGCCGUGAUAGACUGGGCCAGUGGGGAUGGCAAUGAUAAUGCAGCAGCACCACUUGCUGCAUUUUUCUGGUCAACAUUGAGAACCGAAGUAUUAGACUGGUCAACAUUCAACGCCGUAGUUGAUUCACAAAUAGCUCCUGACUUGAACUUGGGUUUUGGCUUUGCAUGAAUUCCUGUAUAAAGCCUGUGUUAAGAACAGGUAAUGCACUUGUCAGACCGGCAUCGUUGUGCGCAAUUCCAAUUUCAUUUCUUUAAAGUGUAGUAGUCACGCUAUCUUUGAACCUCCUAUUUCAAUUACAAAAACAAUGUGCUCUUAUAUACUAUCAAAUCUUCACUGAUCUUAGAAAAGUCAAAAGACCAAAGUGACAUAACUAAAGGCAAAACUUUAAUGAAAUUAUGUGCAACUAAGAAACCAAUGGUGCCUGGAUUUGUCCCCUUCAGGUCAAAAGAACCUGACAAACCAUGUAACAGUAAAAAUGCACUGGAGACCCCAUAAAAAAAGCAUAAUUUCUAAUCAAGAACAAAACAGAACAGUAUUUGUCUUGUUAAAGACUCUCUCACAUAGAAGGCUCUAGGUUUCCACAUUGCAAAAUAUUAAGCAAAUAAUGUGUUUGGUACGCCUCACCUGGCAUGCCUAGCAUACUCAUCAUAAUUUUCAAGCAGCAUCUUGCCAGCCUGCUCAUUUAGAGCAGAUUCUGGAAAAGGCUCAAUCAGUAAACACCUAACUACCUGCAGUAACAAAAUCUGGUGUCAAGGAAGAUAAAAAGCAUGAAACCAAAGUUCUAAUGCUUAAUUAGUUUUAAAAAAAAAAGGAAAGAAAGAAAAAGAAAAAAAAGGCAGUCCUGAGGCAGUUCUUAUCAAACAAACUGAUAAAAAUUGGGUACAGAAUGAAGUCUGGGUAUAAUGGAACUUACAAUGAGUACAUGUCGUAAUCCGAGACUUGGAUUCCAAUCCUUUUUUAGUGUGUUCACACAAAUUUCACCAUUGGUUGCAAUAUUUGGAUGAAAAAUCUUUGUAAGAAAGUAGCCUGCAAUAUAGAUGUUCAGAAUAUUCACUAAUGCACAAAAUAAACUGUUUCUUUGCCAUACGGUAUCACCAGAAAUUUAGAGAUUGAAAUACAGGAUGAAUGACUUAAAAACAAAACACAAAAUUGCAAGCCAUGAAAUUGCAGAAAUUUUUCUCCAGAAGCCCGACAUGACCUAGAUUUUAAAUUUUUGUAUAUCACAGACAUGUUGAAAUCUGAUUAUGUCUGGAUAACUAUAAUCGAUGCAACAUACCUUUUGGAGGGGAGUGAGGAAAAUCAUGAGACAGUAACAACUUCAUACGGAAAACACCAUUUUCAUAUGGAGUCCCAGCUGUAAAGUCAACAAAUCCUCAGAAUCGAAAAGUAACAAGUGUACUACAAAGGAAGUAAAUUUGUUUCAACAGAAUUACGUGCCUGGCCCUUCAAUGUCAGCAUAAAUGAUUGAAAAAUCAUCAUCAUUUACUCCAACUUUAAUGCCUUCUGGUGGGGAUUCAUCAAGACUCUUCAAUUCCUUUGCCAGUUGCUUUAUUACAUUUGGUGGAAGAUUUUCAUUAGUUGCCUAACACAGCACAAAAGAAAAAAAUAAGAAAUGCAAUUCCUAAAUGGUCAAAAUAAAAAUUUCACAUGACAAGUUAAAGGAAAUGCCAUACAAUACAUAUUUAAAGGAAUUCUAUUUUCUUUUCUUUCAUAGCAUAAACAGCUUAAAGCACUAUUAUUCUGAACCUAUAUACCUGAAACUUUCUUCUCUAACUAAGCCAAAAGAGAACAAGGGACUAAAAAAUUAACGAAAAUUUUGUUGAUUUCCACAACAAUCAAAAGAUAUAAAUGGUAUUAUAUAAAUGGCAGCAAAAUUACCAUGCUAGGGGAAGAAAAGGAAUCCUUGACAAAAGACUCAGAACCUCAGCAACACACGUCCGAAAGCUCACCAACUUUGGCACUUAUUUACAGUAAGAAAAGUGAGGAUUCAGCACUGCCAAAAGAAAAACGAAAGAAAUAACCAGAAACUGAACAAUAUUAACAUCUGGUUUUCAAAAUGAAACACCAAAAUAAAAGUUCUUUCCUUUUCAGACAAGUAGGCACAACUAGCAGAUUGGAUAAACAGUCAACCCAACUAUUUUCACCAGAUAAUCAAAAGUAUAAAUCUCAAAUACACAUGCACACACAUGAAUGCAGAUAAAUAUGAUUGAGAUGCAAGACCCAGAAACUCUCGGAACAAAUAGAAAGCGGCACAGACUAAAACUUCCUAUAAGAUUCACAUAUUAAUCUUUUAUGUCUUAUCUAUGUAAUCUAAUUUCAUAAACUAAUUUUUAUGUCUAUCUGUUUAUUUUACCAGAAAUUGAAAAAAUAUGUAAAGGCCAUGAUAGUUUGAGCAAGAUAAUAUUUCUUUUCCCAGAUUACACCACUACAAACUUGUUUUAGACCUCCUUUCCGUUAACUGGUUUUUGGCAAGUGAAACUGCCUUCCAAUUAAGUUGGUUAAAUUCUAAUCUUACAAUACAGUUUGUACAUGGUAAAGGGUAAAGGAACAUGUGGGAGUUGAGAUUAAAGGCUUAAAUUAUGAGUCUAAUUUUCUGAUACCAAUGUAUCGUAGAAAAGUCUUAUGAAUGUUUUGGUACCCAAAACCCCCGUAGAAGAAUAACACCAAAUGCACAUCCAUUUUGAAUUUUGAAGCAUGCUGGGGUAGGCGCAUAAUCAGCAGGAAGCCUCACAAACUCAAGACUAUGACUUUGUUCAAACAAACGCUCAUCCAUACAAUCAAAAUGAAACAACAGCCGAAAGAGACAAAGUUAAAAGAAGGAUUUUUCAAUCCAAUCAGAGCACUUACCCAGUGCAUUUGACAGAACAAACCUAAUAGAGUCUUACACGUUUCCGACCAAGUAUCAAAAGUCAACAAGCAAAGCAAAUUACUGCUCCACAUACAGGUAUACAUAAUCCUAGUGGCUAACUUGAAACCAAGAAAAAGGAAAAACCCAUACAAAAUCAACCAAGAAAGGCAUCUCACAUUUCCCAUUUCACCAAGAAAGCACAAUCGUCGAAGAAGAAAAGGAAUCGAAAAUUUUAUUUAAUUUUCUUUCAAGAGAAGAAAAAAACACACAAAAGAAUGUUAAUCCAAGGAAAGAAAAAAAACAUCUGAGAUCACAUAUAAGAUUACGACAGUCGACCCAUAUUGUUCUGAUGGCAAGAAACGCAAAACCCAGAUGAGGGAUUACCUUAAUGCUUUCCUUUCUCUCGAUGUUGCACAGAGACUGAGAAAGCGAUCUCUCUCUUGGAAGGAAUGAUUGAUUGAUUGGCUGAUUUUGAGGAGAGUCUCCCUUUUCUUUUAUUUAUUUAUUAUUAUUUUAUUAGUAUAUACCAGUGGUAAAUAAAUCCAUUUAUUCAAAAAAAAUUAAAUAAAAAACAAUUGGGUAAAUUCGAACCGACGUGUCGCUCACGAGAUGCACAGGAUCUAUAGACGUCCGGUUGAGAUGGGGUUCGUUUCACGCGCCUGGCUCGGGAAUCAGGAGACAUGAAGCCCUGACCCGCACACCUUCGAAUGCGCGUGGAUUAGGAUCCUACUGUCGGACAGUAACAUAAUCGAAGGUCGUAUGUGAAUUAAAGAUCAGAAAAUGAAAAAAUAAAAAGGAAAGAGAAGGGGGCAAUCUUUGUAAAUUAUGUAACCAAGGAAGGGUAUUUUAGUCAACCAAUUUUUCUGGAGCGGAGCGGUAUAUGUUAUUUUCAACUUUUUUAUUAAUUUUAGAAAAAGGAGGGGUUAGGUGAACGUUCGUGUAGUAGUCUUGUCGGAACGUGGGACAGGAGUCUUCCUCUUUUUGCUCAAAUUUCGCAUUUUACUAUUAAAAUAAAAUUAUUAAUUAAUUUUUGAAGUGGCCCACCCCUAUCUUGGUGACCGUUGGGAGGUCUCCUCCCUAACUAGCCGUUAGCGGCGUUUGCCUGCUAAAUUUCCAUUUUAUUAUUGCCUUUGUUUUUUUCUUGCUCAAUCAUUGGGUUGAAUGGAGAAUUAAUCUGCUUCAAUAAAUUAAGGGGUUGCUUUGAGUUUAUUUGUUUAAGCACCAGAUUUUUCACUUUAAAUUUAAAAAAAAAAGAAAAAAAAUCUUAUUUUUCUUCAGUAAAGAAGAAUUAACUGUUUGGGAAAGGUUGCACAAAUCAUUCUACAUGUGCAGUGAAAAUUUAGUACUUUUUUCUCAAAUAGAUGAGCCAUUCAUGUUUACUAUAAAUAAAUCCUAACCAGUUGGUAGAAAGAUUUUAUAAUUUAUAAUAUUUGAUGUCGAAAUCAAUAGACUUGUUCGUCAAGAAUAUCAUUAUCUGGAGUCCAUAAGAGUUUAGGUUGUUCCAAAUUUUAAACUAUACAAGUGUCCAAACUCUAAUGGCGAUGAUCUUCGAGUAGAAUAACACUAAUUGUAGUUUUGCUUUUGCUACUAAACCUAGUGCUAGUUAGGUGAAGACAUUCAAGGUUUCGCACUUCUCAAGAAAAUAUAAAAAAAAUAGAAACAACACAUUUGAUCCAUGAAAUAGAAUAGAAGAAAAUAGAAUACCAAUUAGAAGGAAACAAAAUAAAAUAAGAAUAUAAUAGAAUAAUUAUUAUGUAGUUUAGUUAAAAGAAUGAAAUUGAGUGAAAAUUGCGAUAAUAACUCAUUCUAAUUUUUUAUUGAUAAGAAUAGCUUGGGAAUAAAAGUAAAUGACAAAAUGACAAAAUUACCUUUUAUUAUAAUAGAAUUUAUUUUCAUAAAACAAAUGCCCUUUAUUAUAAUUUACUAAAUUUUAUACCGAAAAUAAAAGUACCUUUUAUUAUAAUUUAAUAAUUUUUUCUUUUUUAAUAUUUUAAUUUCUAUUUUCAUUAAAAAUUUAAAAUAUUAAUAAGUUUUAAUUUAUUAUUAAAAUAUUAAUAUGAUUUUUUGUUUUAAUUUCUUUUUAUUUUUUCUCUAUUUGCAUUUUUCAUUUUUUUUAUUUGCUUAAUUUCUAUUUUCAUUAAAAAUUUAAAAUAUUAAUAAGUUUUAAUUUAUUAUUAAAAUAUUAAUAUGAUUUUUUGUUUUAAUUUCUUUUUAUUUUUUCUCUAUUUGCAUUUUUCAUUUUUUUUAUUUGCUUAAUUUCUAUUUUCAUUAACAAUUUAAAAUAUUAAUAAUUUACUAAUUUAUUAUUAAAAGAAAAUACCAAUUAAUAUCCAUUCAUUAUUAAUAUUUAAUAAUUUUAAAUUAUUAAUAAUUUAUUAAUAUUAAUAAUUUAAUAAUAUUAAUUAUUAUCCAAAUCUCUUAAAAGGAUUAAAAUUAAUAUUUUGGAUUCAUAAUAUUAUUUUGAAAAUUAUUUCAAGACUUAUGAACACCAAAAAGAUGAAAUCUUAAAAGAAUAUUACAAUUUUAUGAAUAAAUAUAAAUUUUAAUUGAAUUCUUUGAGUGGUUUGAAAACUAUUAUGAGAUUCAAAUAAUAAAUACAAUAAAAACCAGUAAUAAAUGACAAACUAACAAAAAGGAAAUCGAAUCACAACACCCUCCUCCUACAGAAGUCCAAUAUACACACAAAAACACAGGAAUUAGAGCUACCCUAUUAAGAAUGAGAGCACCUGAAUUAGGAGAAAAUGUUUCCUCGAAAUAUAUAAAGAUGAUAGUUGAACAAAACAAUUAUACAAAUUUAAAUCUGCACACUAUAUCACAACAACUAGAUAAAGUAGAAAUCUUAGUGGAAAACCAACCUCAACGUACUCAAAAUUUAUCAACAGGAGAAAAUAGAAUUGAAACCCCAAAAUCUUCACAACCAGUAUUUACACCAUUUGAAGUACCAAAAAAAUAUCACCAGGAACAACAGAAUCAAUUUUUAAAAGAAAUACAAGACAUAAUUGAUGCUUUAGAAAGUCAAAAUUCAGGAAUAGUCAUUAUAGAAACUCCAACGCAACAAUCCCGCACAAUCCAUACCAUAGAAACUCAAAGCUAUGCAGAAGAAUUAGAUUACCAACAAAUCAAUAAAAUGGUUUGGAAAGAACCACAAAAAUAAUAUUAUCCCAAAAUGACAGCCCCAGAUCUAAAUAUUGAAGAAAAACCAAUAUUUCAAAACAAAUAUAAUGCUAAUACAAUUUACAAAUGGAACAUAGAUGGAAUCUUUGAAUAUAACAUUCUCAGUACACUUCAGCAAAUGACAAUGGUUUCAAAUGUUUACAAAACCCAAAACCAAAUUGGUCAAAUUACAGAUCAUGCUAUAGCACACCUCCUAGUUGCUGGAUUUACAGGACAACUAAAAGGAUGGUGGGAUAAUUAUCUUACAACAAAUCAACAAAAAGAAAUAUUAAAAGCUACCAAAAAAGAUAAUGAUGGCAACUCUAUUUUAGAUAAUCAAGGAAGAGAGAUACAAGAUGCUGUUGCAACUCUCAUCUUCUCAAUAUCCAAACAUUUUAUCGGAAAUCCCUCUCACUUAAGAGAUAAGAAUUCAGAAUUAUUGUCAAAUUUAAAAUGCAAAAAAUUAACUGACUUUAAAUGAUACAAAGAUAUGUUUAUGACUAGGGUCAUGCAAAGAUCAAACAACAAUCAACCUUUCUGGAAAGAAAAAUUCUUAGCUAGACUUCCUACAUUAUUAGGAGAAAAAGUUAAGAAUCAAAUAAGUGAAACUUAUAAAGGAAUAAUACCCUAUGAAAAUUUCACAUAUGGAGAACUUAUAAGUUUUACUCAAAAAGAAGGACUAAAAAUUUGCCAAGAUUUAAGACUCUAAAGACAAUUAAAGAAAGAAAGAAAAUUAUGCACAAAAGAAUUGAGAUCAUUCUGCCAACAAUUUGAUAUAAAAAAUGAAUAUUCUUUUUCAAAAUCCUGUUGCACUUCAAGACCAACAAAACAAAAAAGACAUAAGAAAAAUCUCCAAGAAUAUUAUCAAAAACCAAAAUAUAAGAAACAUUAAUUUAUUAAAAUCUCUAUCAAUUGAUACAAAUCAAAUUAAUUCUUUAAUCAAUAAUAAGCAAGAUCCAAUCACCUACUUAAAAGAAGAAGUUUCUUUUGAAAAGAUUAAUCAACAACUAACCACUAAAGAAGUUAAGCAACAGAUUGAGCAAAUCAGAAAAGAAAUAGAAGAGACAAUCUGUUACGAUAUUCCAAAUGCAUUUUGGGACAAAAAGAAACAUAAAGUAGAAUUGCCUUAUACAAAAGAUUUUAAUGAAAAACAAAUCCCCACAAAAGCUAGAGCAAUACAAAUGAACAAAGAAAUGGAAGAAUUUUGCAAAAAAGAAAUUAAAGAUUUACUAGACAAAAAAUUAAUCAGGAAAAGUAAUUCACCAUGGAGUUGUUCUGCUUUCUAUGUAAUAAAAAAUGCAGAAAUAGAAAGAGGAACACCAAGCCUUGUCAUUAAUUAUAAACCAUUAAACAAAGUACUAGAAUGGAUAAGAUAUCCAAUCCCAACAAAGAAAGAUAAUUUUCAAAAAUUAUGUAACGCAAAAAUAUUUUCAAAAUUUGAUAUGAAAUUAGGAUUUUGGCAAAUCCAGAUAAAAAAAACUGAAAGAUACAAAACAGCAUUUACAGUUCCAUUUGGGCAAUAUGAAUGGAAUGUAAUGCCUUUUGGAUUAAAAAUUGCAUCAUCAGAAUUUCAAAGAAUUCUAUUAAAAUUUUAUAUUUAUUCAUAAAAUUGUAAUUCUCACGACCCGAUACUCCCCUCGAGCCCAUGACAACCGCCGCAUUGUCCCGAUCGACACUCGUUACCCAGAAUGUCAACCGAAAUCCCACAAUACUUUAAUAUCAGCUUCUCAUUUUCCCUGUGAGUAAUUGUUGCCAAAUAUCGUGUUCUAAAAUAUUUUAAGCUGUUUCCAACUUAAAACAAAUAAAAUAAUAAUUUUCGUCUCACAGGGGUAUUUUGGUCAUUAUUCUUAAAAAUUUUGAAACCAGCUAAAAUGCAAUAUACAAGUGCAAAACACAUAAUUCAUAAUCAAAAUGAGUUUAAAAGUCUAAAAUCUUCAUUUAAAAUGAAAUUAUGAUUAUUUGGAUAUAAUAAGAUAAUAAAAGAAAUAUUAAGCAAAAUAUUUUAUUUUCUUAUAAAACAAUAUUUUUAGAGUUAUACAUAAAUAAAUUUUGUAGUGUAAAAGUUAAAUAAAUUCAUACAUACUGUAAUACAGAAAACCAAAGUAUAAAAUUUAAUUUACAGUGACACGUGAGCCCACGAAUAACUAAAAGUAUUAAAAGAAAUGAACCUACAGUUUUUGGAUGUGGCAAGUCCAACUGAAGUCCUCAACGAUAUCAGUUGUCUACAAUCUAUUUUGAGCUUGAAAUGGGUGAAAAUGAGGGUGGUGAGAUUAUAAAAUCCCAGCGAGUAAACAAAUACCAUCUAAACCAUCUAAAGUCAAGUAAAUGGAUAUAGGUAAAACAAUUUAACAUACUAAAAUUCAUCACCUUUCAACUUGUUUCAACCAAAUAAAAUUUAUUCAUAUAAAUCGAGUAAUUAACAUGGCUUAUGAAUUUCUUAAAGCUUAGCUCAUGCCAAAAAUUAUUCUCAUACUUAGUUAUCAGGGAUUCCUUGAUCGAGGGCUAUCCCAAACCGAGUCCGCCAAGGCUAUUAAAAAGUUAUAUACUCAUAAAUCAUGUUUUUAUUUAGAAAAUAUAGCCGUUCCUUGGCGUUGGCUGAGUUCGGCCUCAAGUGGUGGUUUGGCGUGCAGUGAACUCUAAAAGUUAUACCUCGGGAGUUACCCUACUCGUCUCUCCAACCAAGAUAAAAUAUGUCAGGAUUCCGUGCCCCUUUAAUAGGCUAGUCCACAGAACCCAGCCCACUGCAGCAAGUAAUAUCCACCAUACAAUAAAAUUUUGACAGCAUGACGUGACUAAUAUUAUACUACCUAGCCUGUAAAUGUAAAACAGAACAAUUCAUACAGUUCACUAAAACCACAACCCAGCCAGUCAUGCCAACACAUUAACAUAAGCCAUCAAUUCAGAUCAUAAAUUUACAACACAUCAGGGGUCUCCAAUUACUCUAUUUUCAAAAUCAUCAUUCAAUUUCAAGACAAUUUAUAAAAUCUUUUCAUUUAAACACAUUUUGUUUAUAAACAUAAAGGUUUACCAUUUAAACCCAUUUUUCAUAAAAUCAUAAAAUCGGAUAAAAAUCACUUUAGAUAAUUAAGACGAUAGUAAGGUUACUCACCGUACUAGGAGUUCGAUAUACUCCUAUUUUGGGGUCUUUGGGCACAAUCUCUUUACCCUUGUUGGAAGGCUCACCACCUAUACAUCAUACAUGACACGAAUUUCAAUAAAUUAUGUUAAUUUAUCAUAAACUAUUUCAGGCUCUAUAAAACUAUAUGAAUGCACGAAAUGUGAUGCAAAAUGUCCGAAUAGCCGUUUAAAUACGGUAUUCAACCUAAUUCGCACUAUUCUCGGUGUAAUUGGCUAAAACCUCUAAUUUAACUCCAAAUCAAUUUCUUUUACUUUUUACACUCCAAUUAUACUUAAAAUACCUCAAUGACUGUGAAUAUGUUUCAAUUUAUCAGUCCGAACUAUAAAUCGAACAUGUAUAUACUUUAGGUAAAAAUUCAGAUUUUCAUGCCAAAAUUUUCCAUUAAAUUUCUAGCCUCAUCAAUCAUUAAAUACCACCAAAAUAUAAUGAAAUAUCAUCAAUUUCAGCCUCAAUAUCCUCCCUUGGAAAUUCGGCCUCUUGUGGGUAAUAGAGAAAAUGAAUUUUUCUUGUUGGCUUUUCUUGCCACACAUCACUAACUAACUAAAAACACUAGAAUAUCUUAAAAUCUAACCAAAACAUCAUCAAAUUCUCUCUCCUAGGUGUUCGGCUAGCAAGGGCUUCAUCAUGAAAACUUGAUUUCUAAGCAUGGAAAAUGGAAAAGAAAGCAUGGGUAGUGUAAAUCACAAGUCAAAAUCAAGAAAUUUUACUUUUAUUAGCUUAAUCCCUUGAAAUCCCACACUUUUUCUUCAAUUUUCCCACCUUGGGUUCUUGUUCUUCUUUUCUUCCUUUUGUUUUCCUUUGGCUGGCCAUAUGAAGAGAAAUGGGCUGAUUUUAUAUUGAUUUAUAAUGAAAAUAAUGAAUGGAUGAGAUUUUGACACAUCACCAUUCCAUUGGUCCAUGUGUCAUACUUAGCCAUUAAGCAAUCUCUCUCCACCACUUAAAUUUUCUCAAUUAUCCAUGAUAAUAUUGGGUAAAAUUCAUGUGCUGGACAAGUGUUGGGUGGUGUAAAAUUACAAUUUUGCCCUUGAAGUGACAAAAUUACCAUUUUACCCUUAUACUCUGAAAAAUAUCGAAAUUAAAAUUUUUCACUUCUCAAUCUCAAAUCAUAGUCCAAUAAGUCAAAUAUGAUCAAAAUCUUUCAAAAAAAUUUUCAUGUUGUCCUCGAGUGGUAAAAUUACCAUUUUGCCUCUAGAUAGUGAAAUUUCCAAUUUGACUCCAAAUUGGUCUUCGAACCCCAAAUCACCAUUUUAAAUCAUUCCUGGACUGUAAAAUUUUCAAUUUCACCCUAAAAUCUUUAUUCGAUCUAGUUCGAGGCUUAAAUCAACUUUGUUGUACCUCUAGGUACAAUACUGACUUUUGUAAAUUUUUCGGCACUCUCCUAGCAUGUAAACAUGCUAUCCAUAACAUGUAUGUCAUGGCAAGUAUUUUAUAAGGUCGGGCUUUACAGUAAUAUUCUUUUAAGAUUUCAUCUUUCUAAUGUUCAUAAGUUUUGAAAUAAUUUUCCUUUUUUGCUUAUUUUUUUUUGAAUAAAGUUGUUUUAUACACCAAUCCUUAUCAAUUUUAAAUUCUUUUUCUAGUACAAAUAGUUCUGAAUUUUGUUCAAUAUUUAAUUUUGGAUUAUUGGUCAUUGAAGAAUAUGUGGGUGACAUGUUGAGAGAAUUUGUUGAACUAUUUUCUUGCGUAAUGUAAAUAGGUUGAGGAAUAUUCGAGGAGUUAUCUACUCCUUAUAAGUUUGUUCUGACUGUUGAAGGUAUUGAGGAUACAGAAGCUCUGGCUAUCCUAAAAUCUGUUGCUAUUUCAGAUGGAUUUUCUCUUAAUAUGUUUAUGCUCCUUAUGGAGGCUGUUAUUUGUUCAGUAUCAAAAGAUUGUCUAGAGGGUACCCUUAGUGGCCUAUUGAAGACAAGUUCUACUAAACCAUCUCUGUAUUCUGCUUCAUGGUUUAUUUCUGUAUUCUGGAUAACGACAGGAUUUGUUGCUCAUUCUAUUUUCCAUCUAUUUGGAAGUUGCACUUCAUGCCAUUGCAUUGUCCUAGGUAUUACUGUAUGGGAUCUAGUCAAUUUGUUUGUAUUAAAAGAGUUUCUCCUUUUAGGCUGUGAAUUAAAGCUUUUGUAUUAAUUACAGAUUACAUUGCUUUGUAAUAUAAUCUAUACACUACAGUUAGUGGUUUAGAUCCUUGCAUCAUUUUAUAAUUAUGAGUUUGAAUUUGAAGUAUUAGUGAGCUUAAGAUAUUUCUAUCUUUCAAUGAAACCAUAAAAUUUAGAAAGCAAUUAAAAUGUAUUGGUCCUCUGCAAAGACUUGUUUCUAUAGUUCCUAACAAAGAAUCAUUCAAAUGAAGAUGUCUUUUAUCUCUUAAUACUAUAAGGAUUGAGGUAUCCAAUCCUUCUUUGGUAAGAGAUUUUGCUCCUACUUGAACUAAUUCAAAAUGAAUAUAAUUAUAUUUUUGAUUUUUGAGUUUUUGAAUGGUAUCUUAAUCCAGUAAGUGGAUAUUUUCAUAUUGAUUUUGAAUUGGUAUUCCUUUUUCUUUUGUUUUUAUUAAAUAUCCACAAAAGGAAUUUAAAUGUAAAGCAUGAAAUGUUGAAGAUUUGUAGAUUUGAUUUUGUGGAACUCUUGAAAUUUUCCAAUUAUCUAUUUCUUGAAUAAUAUUUUCAUAAUGAAUAUUUUCUUCAUUGAUGCUCUAGGUUUUGGUUAGAGUUUGAAUUGAAACAGAAGGUAGUUCUUAAAAAAGGUAACAUGUUUUCAAUGUAUUUUCCUACAUAGAGGGUUUCUACUGUUAUGGUGAUUUAUAUUAAUUUUACCUACAGGGAGAAAUUAUAUCUAACACGCCUAUCCCUCGACUUAACAGACUGGUUUCCUAAGGACUCAACAGUAAUUAAUAUAGUAUCAACCAAACAAUUAAAACCAGAACUAGAAAAAUAAAAUGAAAAGAAAAUGCUUCAAAUUUAAGAAAAUACCUUUUGCUCCGAUGUGGCUCUGAUACCAACACUCUACAGAAACGAUCAUCGAGAGAAUAAUAUUAUUAUGAAAUAUGAUUUAAGAAAUAGAUAGGGAAUACAAGAGAAUUUUUUGAGGAAGUUUGGUUCUUGGAACCUUGUUCUAAGAACUUUUAAGGAGUUCUUCUUCUAAUGAGGCUUUAUAUAGACAGCCUUUUACAUUUGAAUUUGGAUUUCAAUUGCAUUUCAAUUUCAUUUACAAAAGUACUAUCUUUCUCAUGAUUUUUCUUUGGCAAACAACUUUUACUAUGGAUGCCUUUGUCAGAUAAUCUUUUGUAUUUCCCGUGAUUUUUGGUAAAUAGCUUUUUACUAUAGUUAGCUUGUUUACUGUAGAUGCCUUUGGCAGAGAAUCUUUUGUAUUUUUCGUGAUUUUUGGUAGACAGCUUUUUACCGUGGAUGCUUUUGGCAAGGAAUCUACUUUGGUGCUGCUUCUUACUAUAAUUACCUUUGGCAGGGAAUUUGCUUUGAUGCUGCUAUUAUUUUCUUCUUGAGGGAAUAUAAUCCUCAUCUUAAGAAAGAUCUGCUGUGGCUUUGGAGGAAGCAGUCUUUUCUUGUUCUUCUUUUUCAUCUGAGUAUAAGGAACUUAACAUUUCUACCAUUAUCUUCUUAUACUCAGUUUUUGUUUUGGCCUGUGCUAGUAAGGCACUGGCUUGGGAUUUUGCUUGUAGAAAUCUUGCAUUUUGUUGCGAAGCUUGGGGAUCCUUGCAUAAUUGUGGAUUCUUUUCGAACCAUGUUAAUAGAUACUGGUGGUCAUAUUUGUUGUCAUCAAAUUUAUCCCACCAUUUUGUUUUGAAGGUCCUGAUUACCAUCCAGGCUCCAAAAUGGGGAUCAAUGUCAUAAGAAUAAUCCCACGACGUAAUCCAUGAGAUGAUUAAUUUGGAAAACAAAUGGAUGGAAACAUGUAAAUUUGCUUGGUCUUUUUCAAGUUGAAAAUUUUGGAGAAACUUAUCAUAUAAUUACUCUAUUUUUGGUGGAAGGAUUUCCCUUAAUGGUUCAAACCAAUUCCACCAAUGGGAAAACCAUAUUGGAAAUUUGUAUUGUGUUCCAUAUUUAAAAAACAUUAACCAGGAAUGCCGGUUAUAUUUGUUGUUGAAUAAAAAGGUGUUGAACCAUGCCUAUUGGUAGUCCUAAUAAUUAAAAACUGGGCAGUGGUCAACCGUUUUUGGAAAUCUUUGAUAUUGGUUCAAAUCUUUUCCCUAGUCUAUGGGCCUUAAAACCUUUAAGAUUUGGGCCGUAUAAUGGGUUAUAUGUCAAACCCUGCUUUGUAAAAUAAUUAUAAUGUCAUUCACAUGCUCGAUAGAAUGUUUGUAUAUUUAGGAAGUUCGAGAAAUCGUUAAAAGAUGAUAUUGCCCCUAAUGGUACCAUUGAGUCGAUUAAGCCUCGAACUAGUUCAAAUAGGAAUUUUAAGGUGAAAUUAAGAGUUUCACAGUUCAUGGAUGACUCAAAAUGGUAAUUCAGAGUUUGAGGAUCAAUUUGGAGUCAAACCGAAAUUUUUACUAUUUAGGGGUAAAAUGGUCAUUUGCCACUUGGGGACAAAAUGAAAAUUUUUAGAAAAGAUUUUUUUGGGUCCAUUUGACUUAUUGGAGUAUGAUUUAAGUAUUGAAGUAUGAUUUGAAGUUUAGAAGUGAAAAAUUUUAAUUUCGGUAUAAUUUGGAGUAUAAGGGUGAAAUGGUAAUUUUGCCACCCCGGGGGCAAAUCGGUAAAUUUUCACCCCCGACACUUGUCAAGACCAAUGGAUUUUAUUCAUCAUGGAAAUGGAUAAACAUGAGAAAUGUGUGGUGGAGAAUUAAAGAAUUAAAAGUCAAAUAUUUAAAAUUUGAGCCAAUAAAGAAAUGUUAUGUGUCAUGUUUUUAUUAUUUUAUUAUUUCUUUAUAUAAAGACAAAAAAAUUAGCCCAUUUCUCCCAUAGUGAUCAGCCAAACCAGAAGAGAAGAGAAACCAAGGACGAACAAACCCUAGGUGGGAAAAAUCAAAGAGAAAGUGUUGGAAUUCAAGGAUUUGAUCAAGCAAAGGUAAAAUUUCUUUGAUUUUGCUAGUGAUUUACCUUACCCAUGCAUUUUUCCUUAAUUUCCAUGGUUAAAUUACAUGUUUUCAUGAUGAAAUUAUGGCUGGUCAAAAUGGGUAUGGAGAGAGAAAGAUGUUGGAAUUGUUUGAUUUUGAGUUAUGUUGGUGUUUAGAGUUAGUUAAACAUGUUUAGAAACAAAACAACAAGAAAAGAAUCCAUUUUCCCCAUGAACCUUCAAUGGCCGAAAGUUCCAAGAAGAAAAGUGAAGAUAAAUUUGCCUAAUUGUGUGUUAAUUAGUUGUGCUUGGUGAAUUGAGGGAUUGGAAAAGAAAUGGAGAAAGUUGGAGUGAAAUUGGACGCAUUGGCCAAUUUAUUGGAUGAAAAAUCGACUUAGGUCAAUACCGGGUCUAGAUGGCUACCUGUGCAUUUUUCAUUUCAUAUCAUGCAUAUAUAUCGAGCCUGAAAUAGCUUAUGACUGUUAGACACAAUUUAAUUGAAAUAUGUGCCAUGGAUUAAGGCUAGGUGGUGAGCCAUUAGAUACGAGUAAAGGACUGUACCCGCGGACUGAAAAUAGGAGUAUAUCGACUCCUAGAACAAUGAGUAAACUUACUAUCAUCUUAAUUAUCUAGAGUAGAUUUAUUUAAUUAAGUGGUUUUAUGGAAAAUGGUUUAAUUGGAAAAUUAUUGUGUUCUAUGGGAAAAUGAGAUUUUAUAAAAUAAUUUUAUAAAAUUUUUGAAAAUUUAAUAAUGAUUUCAAAAAUAGAGUAAUUGGAGACCUAUACUAUGAUUGUGUUGUUUAUCUAUGAUUUUAAAUUAAAUGGCUUAUGAUAAAUGUGGGUAUGACUGGUUAUUUUUAUGAUUUUAAGAAUAUGUGAAUUGCUUUGAUUUGCCUUGAAUGUGUUAAGUGAGUCAUGUCAUACUAUUGUGAUUUUGUUGGUUGGUAGAUUAUAAAGUAGGCACUGCAGUGACAGGGGUUCCGUGGACCAGCCUAAUUAGAGGGGCACGGUUCCCAAUUAUUGAGCUUACCUCGAUUGGAGAGACGCUUAGAAUAACUCCUGAGGUAGGAUUUGUGGGCACUGCAGUGACGGGGGUUCCAUAGGCCAGCCUAAUUAGAGGGGCACGAUUCCCAAUUAUUGAGCUUACCUCUAUUGGAGAGGCGCGUAAGAUAACUCCCGAGGUAGGAUUUGAGUACACUUCACGCUGGCCACCACGUGAAAUUGGGACUCAGCCAACGCCGAGGAACGGCUGUGUUGUUAGAGGUGAAAUGUGUUUGUGUGUGUGACAAUAAACAGCCUUGACGGUCUCGGUAAGAUGCCUUCGCGGGGUAUCCCCGAGAAUGGAUUUUUGGCAAGGGCCAAGUUUUGAAAAGUGCAUAAGCCAUGUUGAGUAAUUGGAUGAAAUCCAAUUAUUUAUAUGGGUUGGGAUGAAUUAUUUUAAUUGUCUCAUAUUACUCGGCUUUAGAUUAUUUUGAUGAUCUCUGUCUACUCACUGGGAUUUUAUAAUCUCAUCCCUUAUUCCUAUACAUUUUUCAGGCUCAGGACAAUUUGUUGAUAGUUGAUUAAGACGAGAAUUAAUCUCGGAGUUGCAUCUUAGAAAGUAAGGGUUCGUAACCCUACAUUUUAUUAGUCAGUUAGGGGUCCACGUGUCACUGUAAAAGUAAUUUUAUUCUUCAGUUAUUUGAUUUAAAAUAUGUAUGAAUAUAUUUAGCUUUUACACCAUGUUUUUGGCGAGUUUCGGUAUUUUCGAAGAAAAAUGACGAAAAUGCCCUUAUGAGCCAGAAAGUAAUAUUUUAUUGUUUUGAUUUGGAAAUGACUUAUGAUUUUUUUGAAAUGUGAGAUUUAAUAACUGUCGCUCACUGGGGAGAUGCAGAAGCUGAUGCUAAGCCUUGCGGGGUUUCGAUCGGCAUUCGGGGUAAUGAGUGCCUAUCGGGACGUCGCGGCGGUUGUCACUGGCUCGAUGGGAGUUUCGGGUCGUGACAUUAUAAGAGUAGGGUCUUUUUUGUCUGUAUAAUGUUUGAAAAACACAAAAAAUGCUAUAGUUUCUAAUUGGAAUUCUUCAUUAACCAAAAAUGUUAUUUUGAUUAAAUAUCUUUGGAUGGAUACUUUAGUGAGAACCAUCAUAUAUUCUUGGAUAUCUUGGUUUUCUGUGUCAGAAUCUGUAAGAUUUUGAACAUUUUGGUUUUUUGUUGUUUUGAAAAGUUGGAUCUGGUUUUUGAUUUGUUGUUGUUCUUUUUCGAGUUUAGAAAUUUUUGUUUUUAUGGAUUUUAUUUCUAAGUUUAAUUCUUCUUUAGUUGUUUUUUUUUUGGUUUUUCGUAUUUGUCAAAAAUAAUGUUUUUAAUAUUAUAUAUAGGUUCUUCUUGCAAGAUUGCCUUGUCUAGUUUUUUUUUUUAUUGAAUCUUUUAAUUUUUGAAGAUAUUCUCUCUUUAAUGUUGAAUCUUGUAUUUUAUCUACGAUUUCAAUCAUAAAUUCUUGGUCUUUUGUCAAUACAUUAAUUAAAUUUUCACUUUCUGUUGAAGAUUGAGAUGUAGUAUGGAUUUCAUCUAUUUGUAAAUUUUUUGAAGAUUUUUCACUAAUUGUUAUAUCAAUAUCAGAUGAUGAUAUUUCUAAAAGCAUUUCAUUGAUUUUUUGUUCAAUUUCUUCCCCUAGUUGGAGUUGAUUAAUUUUCUUUUUUAUUUUACAAUAUUUUGAAAUAUGUCAUGUUUUUCCACAUCUAAAAUAUUUUAUUGUUAAAUUAUUAAAUUAUAUUAAUAAUUUAAAAAAUCCAUUCAUUAUUAUUAAAUUAUUAAUAUAAUUUUUAUUUUUAUUUCUUUUUCUUUUUCUUUAUUUUCAAUUUUUUCCUCAUCAUUUUCUUUUCUUUUCGUUUCUCAUAUCUAUCACCGAUCAUCAGAAAAACCACUAACGACGUUGGAGUGCUAAUUUGACAUUGGUCACGGCCAGAUCAAGUUGUUGAACCUAUCUGGCCAAUGCACUACUUAUCACUUCCCAUAACCACGUCAACACUCCAAUAGCUAGAUCUAAUUGUGACCAACACUAGAUCGACGUUCCAACUUCGCCAAUGGUUUCUUCAAUGGUUGACAAUAGAAAACUUGGUGGUGCCAACAGCAAAGGACGGUAUUGACUGUGGAAGAGAAUGGCAGCAAACUUGCUUAAAAAUAGAAAAGAUGAAAGGUAGAUCAAGAAGAGAAAGAAAAAAAAGAAGGAAAAUGAAUAAAAAAACCUUUUAUAAUGUAAGGUUAGUAAUUUUUAAAAAUGAUUAAAGUUAUUUUUGUAAAAAAAUUUUAGACUUUAUUUCAUUGGGUGUGGAAUACUUAAUACCAAGGGAGGGUAUAUUUUGAGGACCCUUUAAAAACAAACCAAAUAGAGGAAGAAAGAUUCUUUAGGACCAAAUGUGUCGAAAGAGAAAGAAGAGGACUACGAGGAGGCAUUAAUACAAGGCUAGGAAUUCUCUAAACCAAUACCCAAGGUUAGCCACCGAGAGUCGCUAGUUCUUAAGGUUAUCGACUUGUGGUCGUUGAAAUCUCUCAUCGCAAUUUUGAAGUGUAUGAACAUUUUUGGUGCUAAAGAUGUCAUCUAAAAAAUGCAGCAUAAGCAUCAUAUUUAUAGGUAAAUAUGUUAAUCUUAAUCCCACUAGGAAUUUCCUUAACAAAAGUGAACUUAUUCAAUUAAGUCCCUGAAGUUUAUACUUCUUUUCAAUUAAGUUCAACCUACUUUCCAAAUUUUACAUUCUUAGAUAAUAAGUGUGACCCAUUAGGUACUAAUGUGUUAGGAAUGAAUAUGCAUUAUAAUCCAAGUUGGAUAAGGAUUAGAUGAAUCAUACAACUUGCAUUCAUCAUUAAUUCUCUAAUUGAUUAGCCCAUAUUUAUGAGUUAAAUUUGACAUCUAGUAAUAUGUCAUGACUACUUAAAUAUUAAGAAGAGUUAAAAAGUUUUGACUUAACCUUUUAGUGCUCAAUUUAUCAUUGUAAUCCAAUCUCUCAUUAUCCAAUAUUCCGAUAAGACAUAAAGGAUGAUGCAAUGUCUACUUUAUGCUUGUCUUUACCAUUUUAGAUCUUGAAAUCUUCUUAACUUGUUAAUGAAAUUAUAAAACUCAUUUUGUAAUCUUCACUCAACUUUGACCAAAGAUUUGAUUGAGCUAAAUCAUGCCACAUAUCAAUGGGCUAUCUCUCUUAAAUCACUUAGGGUGAUGUAUCAUUUAUCUUCAUGUGGUUCAUGAUAUUCCUAAUGCACAUCCCAUUGUACAUCCUUAGCUACGAUUACCUAAGCUAAUAUUAAAGUAUAGCAAUUCUCACAUAAGAUAACAUAAUGAUUUCAAGCCUAAGGAUCGCAUAUACAACUGACACAUGAGAAUAUUUUCAUAGACACUUGAGUGAGAUACCUAAUGAAAUUCUCAUGAUGGGUCAUGUUCAAUGAACUUCUUUUCGUAAUAAACAUCCGUAUGUUAGUGUCAAGUAUCCUAAUACUUCAUUUUAUGAAAUCGAUUGCUUACUUCACAAAUAAAAAACAUAACAUAUGCUAAUCUCUCAACUUAUAUCAAUGUCUUGUCUUGAUAAAUUUAUUCCGUAGACAUUUGAAUGAAAUGCUUAAUGAAAUACUCUCGAUGGAUAAUAUUUAGUGAACUUGUUCAUGUAACAAACACCCACAUGUUAGUUCAAGUAUCACCAUACUUUAAUCUAUAAGAUUAAUUGGUCACUUCAUGAGUGAGAAACAUAACCUCAUGACAGUCUCUCAAAGUUGUUAAUGUCCAAUCCUAAUAAAGCAUCAACUAGGAACAUUUUAGAAAUAACACUUUGAUGUAAUAGAGAUCUCAUAAUUAUAACAUUUUGUAAUUCCUUUUACAAAGCAUAUUUUAUUCCCUAGACUUUUAUGUUAUUAGUUUGUUUUUUUUUUUUUAAUUAUGUAAUUUUUAUUGUUAAAUGCCAAGACCCAAUUUGGCCUUUGUAAAGCCCGACCUUAUAAAAUACUAUUCAUGACAUACAUGUGAUGAUAGUAUGAUUGCAUGCUAGGAGAGGCUCGAAAAUUUUACAAAAGUCGGUAUUGUACCUAGAGGUACAACAAAGUUUAUUUAAUCCUCGAACUAGAUCAAAUAGGAAUUUUAAGGUGAGAUUAAGAGUUUCACAGUUCAUGGAUGACUUAAAAUGGUAAUUUGGAGUUUGAGAAUCAAUUUGGAGUCAAAUCGGAAUUUUCACUAACUAGGGGCAAAAUGGUCAUUUGCCACCUAGGGACAAAAUGGGAAUUUUAGAAAAGAUUUUUUUUGACCCCAUUUGACUUAUUGGAGUAUGAUUUGAGGUUUAGAAGUGAAAAAAAUUNNNNNNNNNNNNNNNNNNNNNNNNNNNNNNNNNNNNNNNNNNNNNNNNNNNNNNNNNNNNNNNNNNNNNNNNNNNNNNNNNNNNNNNNNNNNNNNNNNNNNNNNNNNNNNNNNNNNNNNNNNNNNNNNNNNNNNNNNNNNNNNNNNNNNNNNNNNNNNNNNNNNNNNNNNNNNNNNNNNNNNNNNNNNNNNNNNNNNNNNNNNNNNNNNNNNNNNNNNNNNNNNNNNNNNNNNNNNNNNNNNNNNNNNNNNNNNNNNNNNNNNNNNNNNNNNNNNNNNNNNNNNNNNNNNNNNNNNNNNNNNNNNNNNNNNNNNNNNNNNNNNNNNNNNNNNNNNNNNNNNNNNNNNNNNNNNNNNNNNNNNNNNNNNNNNNNNNNNNNNNNNNNNNNNNNNNNNNNNNNNNNNNNNNNNNNNNNNNNNNNNNNNNNNNNNNNNNNNNNNNNNNNNNNNNNNNNNNNNNNNNNNNNNNNNNNNNNNNNNNNNNNNNNNNNNNNNNNNNNNNNNNNNNNNNNNNNNNNNNNNNNNNNNNNNNNNNNNNNNNNNNNNNNNNNNNNNNNNNNNNNNNNNNNNNNNNNNNNNNNNNNNNNNNNNNNNNNNNNNNNNNNNNNNNNNNNNNNNNNNNNNNNNNNNNNNNNNNNNNNNNNNNNNNNNNNNNNNNNNNNNNNNNNNNNNNNNNNNNNNNNNNNNNNNNNNNNNNNNNNNNNNNNNNNNNNNNNNNNNNNNNNNNNNNNNNNNNNNNNNNNNNNNNNNNNNNNNNNNNNNNNNNNNNNNNNNNNNNNNNNNNNNNNNNNNNNNNNNNNNNNNNNNNNNNNNNNNNNNNNNNNNNNNNNNNNNNNNNNNNNNNNNNNNNNNNNNNNNNNNNNNNNNNNNNNNNNNNNNNNNNNNNNNNNNNNNNNNNNNNNNNNNNNNNNNNNNNNNNNNNNNNNNNNNNNNNNNNNNNNNNNNNNNNNNNNNNNNNNNNNNNNNNNNNNNNNNNNNNNNNNNNNNNNNNNNNNNNNNNNNNNNNNNNNNNNNNNNNNNNNNNNNNNNNNNNNNNNNNNNNNNNNNNNNNNNNNNNNNNNNNNNNNNNNNNNNNNNNNNNNNNNNNNNNNNNNNNNNNNNNNNNNNNNNNNNNNNNNNNNNNNNNNNNNNNNNNNNNNNNNNNNNNNNNNNNNNNNNNNNNNNNNNNNNNNNNNNNNNNNNNNNNNNNNNNNNNNNNNNNNNNNNNNNNNNNNNNNNNNNNNNNNNNNNNNNNNNNNNNNNNNNNNNNNNNNNNNNNNNNNNNNNNNNNNNNNNNNNNNNNNNNNNNNNNNNNNNNNNNNNNNNNNNNNNNNNNNNNNNNNNNNNNNNNNNNNNNNNNNNNNNNNNNNNNNNNNNNNNNNNNNNNNNNNNNNNNNNNNNNNNNNNNNNNNNNNNNNNNNNNNNNNNNNNNNNNNNNNNNNNNNNNNNNNNNNNNNNNNNNNNNNNNNNNNNNNNNNNNNNNNNNNNNNNNNNNNNNNNNNNNNNNNNNNNNNNNNNNNNNNNNNNNNNNNNNNNNNNNNNNNNNNNNNNNNNNNNNNNNNNNNNNNNNNNNNNNNNNNNNNNNNNNNNNNNNNNNNNNNNNNNNNNNNNNNNNNNNNNNNNNNNNNNNNNNNNNNNNNNNNNNNNNNNNNNNNNNNNNNNNNNNNNNNNNNNNNNNNNNNNNNNNNNNNNNNNNNNNNNNNNNNNNNNNNNNNNNNNNNNNNNNNNNNNNNNNNNNNNNNNNNNNNNNNNNNNNNNNNNNNNNNNNNNNNNNNNNNNNNNNNNNNNNNNNNNNNNNNNNNNNNNNNNNNNNNNNNNNNNNNNNNNNNNNNNNNNNNNNNNNNNNNNNNNNNNNNNNNNNNNNNNNNNNNNNNNNNNNGAUGAUGUCUGUUUACUCAUUGGGAUUUUUAUAAUCUCACCACCCUCAUUUCCACCCAUUUCAGAUUCAGUAUAGAGUGUAGAUAGCUGAUCUCAUUGAGGACUACAGUGGGAUCUGCAUUUUCCAAAUCGUAGGUUCACAGUCCUCUUUACUUUUGUUUAUUCAGGGGCACUCUUGUUAUUGUAAAUUAAAUUAAAUAUUUUAGCUUACUGUAUUUAAGUAUGUAUAAAUUUAUUUAACUUUUACGCUAUAAAAAUUAUUCACGUAUAACUCUAUAAAUAUUGUUUUAUAAGAAAAUAGAAUAUUUUACUUAAUAUUUCCUUCAUUUUCUUAUUAUAUUCAAAUAACCAUAAUUUCAUUUUAAAUGAAGAUUUUAGACUUUCAAACUCAUUUUGAAUAUGAAUUAUGUGUUUUGUACUUGUAUAUUACGUUUUAGCCAGUUUCAAAAUUUUUGAAAAAAAUGACCAAAAUACCCUUGUGAGACGAAAAAUUAAUAUUUUAUUUGUUUAAAGUUGGAAACAGCUUAAAAUCUUUUAGAACACGAUAUUUGACAAUGGUUGCUCACAAGGGAACAAAAAAACUGAUAGUAAAGCCUUGCGGGGUUUCGGGUUGACAUUCCAAGCAAUAAGUGUUUACCGGGACACUGUGGCGGUUGUCACGGGCUCGAGGGGAGUACCGGGUCGUGACAGCCUUGGACUUUAUGAUUACAUAAGAAAUAAAUAACAAAAUAAAAUAACCCUUAAGGCUCGAGCUUAGAGAGACCUGAGCCUGAAAAUGGACCCAAUCCAAACCAAUAUUCCGACCUUAACUAUUGUCUAAUCCGUAGGAGACUCUUAGACAAAAAUAGCACAUAAUCAAUUUGUCAGCUUCAGUAAUCACUCCCAACAAGCUUAUCUGAGUGUUUGAAAGAAAUUAAACUCAAGGUUUGGACUGACUUUAUGUUAAUAGUAAUAAUAAUUGCAAACAUAAAGAUAAAGAAAGCCUUAUACUAAAAUCAAAUGUUUAAAAUUACAUAAUGUAUCUCUCAUUGCCAGAAAUCUUGGCAACUAUGACAGAAAAAUUUUCUAUCACUAUUUUCUAUCAUAAAUAAUGAGUUAUAGUGAUAGAAUUAUGACUAUUUUGUGACAGAAAAAUUCAUGUGCACUCUUCAAUAAUCAUGUGUGUGUGUGUGUUUGUGUAAACCCCAAAGAUAAGGAAAGUGGUUAUAGUAAAGAGAAUUAUGAAAGAAACAAAGAGGGAUUAAUAGCUCAAAUGAACAUCCCUACAUGCCAUGAAAAGGUAGGACCUCACGUGCAGGGACCCAAUGGCUUGGAUUUGAAAGCCAAAGGCAAAUGGUGUUUUUCAACUUACAAAAAUAUUCCUUUUUCUAUUUAACUUUUCCUAAAAUUAAAUAAGGCGAUUAAAGAUGAAAGGUGUAGUAGAGAUAUAAUAGGCUGGGAUAGCAGGCUGUUAAAGGGGAAGGGAAAUUGUGGAAGAACAAAAUAGAGAGUGGGUCAACGAGUGAGCCAUAUGAGGGGAUCUUUUUGACCUUUUUUACAUUUGUGAGUGACUUUCAAUGAAAUUUCUCUCUAGCAAAAAGAAAAAGAAAAACUCACUUUUCUCCUCUGUGAAAAAAAUGGGUUUUAUUUACUACUAUUGAGCAGUUAAGCCAUUUUGCAGGUUUGAAGAUCUCUUCAUUUUUGUUUCUAUUUUUUUUUCUAAAUUUGAAGGUUUGUUUUUCCCUGUUUUCUUUUUCAUUUUUCAAUUUAAAAUUUCACUAGUUUCUCUUUUCAUUUUGUUUUCUUUUUUUUUUCUUCAGAUUAGUGAUGAUUUCCCUCUAUUUACUUUAUAUUUUUGGAUUUUUUUUAGGAUUUAAAGUUCUACAAUUUCUCUUGAACUCUUCUACAACUCCAAUGACCUUUCUCUUCGAUGACUUUGACGGCUUUGACGACUUUUCUUCCUCUAAUAGCUUCUUGCUAGUAAUUUCUUUCUAGCUUUACAUUUCGUUGAAGUUUGCUUGGAUUCCUUUCAAUUUCGAUUUCCUUUUUCCUUUUUCUCUUCAAAAUUCUAAAGUAUAAUUUUUGCUUCGAUUUAGGGUUUUUCUCUUCAAUUCAUACAUUGACCAUAGAUUUUAAUUUCUCUCUUCAACACAUUUUAUCCAAUUUUAAUUGUCCAAAAAGCUAAGAACUUUUAAUUUAUUUUCUCUUGUGUUUUAUUUCCUUUUUUCAAAAGAUGGACGGAGGGACUUAUAUGUCAUUUUCCCCUUAAUGGUGUUAACUGAAAAAUUAAAGAAAAAAAUCACAAGGUAAUAAAGUGUGAAUAACUAGACAAAAUUGAAACAUUUAAGAGAUCUCUCAAAUAUUCCUUGCACAUUGAAAUCAGAACUUGGUUAACAAUUAUAUUUCAACGUGGUAGUAAUUAAGAUAUGCACAAGUCAAGAACACGUGAAUGUUAAGCAAAGCAGGUUUUAUGGCAGUUAGUUGACUCUUGAUAUAAUUUUUUUAUGAUAUUUUUCUAUUGAAUCAAUAAUCCAACUUGACACUAAAAUAUUAGAAUAAUUCAACUAGCCAACAACUUUUCAAAAAAAAAAAAACAAAUCCAAUUGGCCAAUUUUUUUUUUUUGAAAAGAAAGAAUAAAAUAGAAUAAGUGAAAAUCUUAUCUAAACUUUUCAUUUUGGUCAACUGCAUGUCACAAAACACAUGUGAAAAGGUAGAUAAACACUAGUGACAACACACAAACCCACGAAUGUUAAACACAUUGUAAACCCAUGGCCAAACAAAGGAAUUUUAAUCACUUCCGGUUCAAUGAAAGAUAGAAACAACUCACCAUCAGUAGCAUUGCGUUAGGGGUGAAUGUAUAUAUUCUUUUUCUUCCAUAUGACAUAACCACAAGUAGACUUUUUACGUAUUAUUUUUAAGAUGUUACAAAAUGCUUUCUAAUAUUGAUGUUAAAACCCAAUACUCUAAUGCAAUUGAAACUAUUUAUAUAUUUUGUUAAGUCAUGAUUAUUGACAUUCAUUAAUUUAUUUAUAUAUAGAAUAUGGCAAGUGACCAUUCUUGGAUGUAUUUUUGACUUGAUAAUAAUGGAUUUCUUCAUAAUGCAUUUAAAUGGAGGGUUCAACACUUUAUUGACUUUGCAUUUUCACAGCCAGCUUUUGUUAGUAAAAACAAGAUCAAAUGUCCUUGUACCAAAUGUGAUAAUCAUAAGUUUUAGACCAGAGAUGAUGUGAUUUUUCAUUUAUAUUCAAAACACUUUACUAGUAGUUAUGUAGUGUGGAUUGCACAUGAAAAGAGUUAUAGUAGUAAUUUUGUCCAUGGUGGAUCAUCAAGAAGUACAGAUGAAGUUGUGAAUUUGUAUAGGAGGAUGGUUGUAAACGCUUGCUAUCCAAAAUUUGAUUGCAGAGCGGGUGAGUCAAGGGUAGAGGAUGAAUCACCAAAAACAAGUGCGACUAAAUUCUUUCCAUUAUUGAAUGAUGUCGAUGAGCCUUUAUGGCCAAGUUGUGUUAACCACACAAAACUCGCAAUUGUGUCUCAACUUUUAAAUGUCAAGUUUGAGUUUAAUAUAAGUGAAGCUUGUUAUGAUCGCUUGAUAUCUAUAGUUAAAGGUAUGUUGCCAAAAGAUGUAAAAUUGCCUGAAAAUUUUUAUAAGGCAAAGCAAAUGGUCACAAGGCUCGGACUUAGUUAUGUUAAAGUACAUGUUAUUUUAUGCUAAAAUUCAGUCAAUGACCGAAUGUUUGGUGCACGAGCAUCUUAGAUAUAACCCUAGUGCCCAAAGUGGUAGUAAGGCUUGAAAAAGUAAAAUACCUUGUAAGGUGUUACGUUUUUUGUCACUUAUACUUAGACUCCAAAGACUUUUUAUAUUGACAAAAAUUGCUAAACAUAUGACAUGGCAUGUGGACAAUCAUAAUAGUGAUGGAGAAGUUAGCUAUUUUGUUGAUAGUGAGGCAUGGCAAAACUUAGAUCACACUCAUCACUCUUUUACACUUAAAACCCGAAAUGUGUGACUUGGGUCAUGUACUAAUGGGUUUAAUCCAUUUGGAUCAUCUGCUAAAUCAUAUUCUUGUUGGCCGAUAAUCUUUUGUUUGUAUAAUUUACUCCCAUGGAUGUGCAUGAAGCAAUCAUAUUUGUUGUUAAAUAUGGUCAUUCCUAAUCUAAAGAGUUUGAUAAAACAUAUUGAUGUUUUCUUGAGGCCUUUAAUAGAUAAGUUGAAAUUAUUGUGGAAUGUUAGGGUUGAGACUUUUGAUGCUUUUAGUAAGCUAAAUUAUCAGUUGAAGUUAGCACUUUUAUGAACAAUUAGUGAUUUUCUCGCUUAUGCGAUGAUGACUAGGUGGAGUACUCAUGUGCGGUUAGCUUGUCCUUAUUGUAUAAGAGGAGUAAGGCUUUUCGAUUGAAUCAUGGUGGAAGAACAUUUUUUUUAUUGCCAUCAACAAUUUUUGCCUCUAAAUCACCCUUAUAAAAGGCCAAAAGAUAAUUUUAAAAGGCGUGUGGAGAAUGACUCACCCAUUCCUCGAUUGUCAGAGGCAGAAACGUUGCGUUGAGUCAGUGUGCUUCUAAAUGUCACAUUUGGUACUCAAGUUGGUAAGCACAAAAUCGAUGGUUUUGGGAAAGAUUACAAUUAAGUGAAAAGGAGUAUCUAUAAAGCUUGACCUUAUAAAGUGCUUUUCAUGACAUGCAUGUGAUGGAUAGCAUGUUUGCAUGCUAGGAAAACUUCGAAAAUCGUUAAAAGCCGGUAGUGUACUUAAUAGUAUAACUAAGUUGAACUAAGCUUCGAACUAUAUCAAAUAGAGAAUUUAAGGUGAAAUUGAGAAUUUUAAAGUCCUAGAAUGACUUAAAAUGGUGAUUCGGAGUUCGAGGAUCGAGUUGGAGUCAAAUUGGAAAUUUCGCUAUCUAGGGGUAAAAUGGUAAUUUUGCCACUUUAGGACAAAAUGGAAAUUUUUUUGAAAGCUUUUGAUCAUAUUUGACUUAUUGGAGUAUAAUUUGAGGUUGAGAAGUGAAAAAUUGUAAUCUCGGCAUUUUUCGGAGCAUAGGGGUAAAAUGGUAAUUUUGCCACCCUAGGGGCAAAAUCGUAAUUUUUCACCAUCAGGACACUUGUCCAGCACAUGGUCUUCCCUUAUCCUCAUUUUGACCUUUGACUAAUCAUGUGGUGGAGAAUGGAAGUAUAAUUAUUAAAGUAUAACAAAAAAAAAAGAAAAAUGGACUAAUACGCAUGUGACCUGUGUCAAGUAAAGAUAUUUUAUCAUUUUCCAUAAAAAAUCAGCUCAUAUUUAUCCUAUUUUCUCUUCAUGUGGCUGGCCAUAGUAAGAACAAAGAGAGGAAAGGAAAAACACAAAACCUAGGUGGGAAAAUUGAAGAAGAAGUGUGGGAUUUCAAGGAAUCAAGCAAUCAAAGGUAAAAUUUCUUGAUUUUGACUUGUGAUCUACCUUUCCCAUGCAUUUCUCCUUAUUUUCCAUGAUUAAAUUUCAAGUUUUCAUGGUGAAUUCAUGGCUGACCAAAUGGGUAUGGAGAGAGAAUGAAGUUNNNNNNNNNNNNNNNNNNNNNNNNNNNNNNNNNNNNNNNNNNNNNNNNNNNNNNNNNNNNNNNNNNNNNNNNNNNNNNNNNNNNNNNNNNNNNNNNNNNNNNNNNNNNNNNNNNNNNNNNNNNNNNNNNNNNNNNNNNNNNNNNNNNNNNNNNNNNNNNNNNNNNNNNNNNNNNNNNNNNNNNNNNNNNNNNNNNNNNNNNNNNNNNNNNNNNNNNNNNNNNNNNNNNNNNNNNNNNNNNNNNNNNNNNNNNNNNNNNNNNNNNNNNNNNNNNNNNNNNNNNNNNNNNNNNNNNNNNNNNNNNNNNNNNNNNNNNNNNNNNNNNNNNNNNNNNNNNNNNNNNNNNNNNNNNNNNNNNNNNNNNNNNNNNNNNNNNNNNNNNNNNNNNNNNNNNNNNNNNNNNNNNNNNNNNNNNNNNNNNNNNNNNNNNNNNNNNNNNNNNNNNNNNNNNNNNNNNNNNNNNNNNNNNNNNNNNNNNNNNNNNNNNNNNNNNNNNNNNNNNNNNNNNNNNNNNNNNNNNNNNNNNNNNNNNNNNNNNNNNNNNNNNNNNNNNNNNNNNNNNNNNNNNNNNNNNNNNNNNNNNNNNNNNNNNNNNNNNNNNNNNNNNNNNNNNNNNNNNNNNNNNNNNNNNNNNNNNNNNNNNNNNNNNNNNNNNNNNNNNNNNNNNNNNNNNNNNNNNNNNNNNNNNNNNNNNNNNNNNNNNNNNNNNNNNNNNNNNNNNNNNNNNNNNNNNNNNNNNNNNNNNNNNNNNNNNNNNNNNNNNNNNNNNNNNNNNNNNNNNNNNNNNNNNNNNNNNNNNNNNNNNNNNNNNNNNNNNNNNNNNNNNNNNNNNNNNNNNNNNNNNNNNNNNNNNNNNNNNNNNNNNNNNNNNNNNNNNNNNNNNNNNNNNNNNNNNNNNNNNNNNNNNNNNNNNNNNNNNNNNNNNNNNNNNNNNNNNNNNNNNNNNNNNNNNNNNNNNNNNNNNNNNNNNNNNNNNNNNNNNNNNNNNNNNNNNNNNNNNNNNNNNNNNNNNNNNNNNNNNNNNNNNNNNNNNNNNNNNNNNNNNNNNNNNNNNNNNNNNNNNNNNNNNNNNNNNNNNNNNNNNNNNNNNNNNNNNNNNNNNNNNNNNNNNNNNNNNNNNNNNNNNNNNNNNNNNNNNNNNNNNNNNNNNNNNNNNNNNNNNNNNNNNNNNGGCCAAGGUAUCCUCGAGAAUGAUUUUGGCAGGAGCCAAGUUUUUUUUUUUAAAUACUCAUAAGCCAUGUUGACUAUUUAAAUGAAAUGAAUACUUAUGUUAUGAAAAACUUAUUUGGAUGAAAUAUUUUAAUAGUCUCCUUUUACUCGGACUUUAAAUCUUUUGAAUGAUGUUUGUUUACUCAUGGGAUUUUAUAAUCUCACCACCCUCAUUUCCCUCAAUUUCAGGCUUAAAUUAAACUGUAGAUAGCUGAUCUCAUCGAGGACUAUUGUUGGAUUUGCAUUCUUCAAACUGUAGAUUUAUAGUCCUCUUUACUUUUGUUUAUUCAAGGGCCCACUUAUUAUUGUAAAUUAAAUUAAAUAUUUUGGCUUACUGUAUUACAAUAUGUAUGAAUUUAUUUAACUUUUACGCUACAAAAAUUAUUUACGUAUAACUCCAAAAAUAUUGUUUUAUAAGAAAAUAGAAUAUUUUACUUAACAUUUCUUUUAUUUUCUUAUUAUAUCCAAAUAAUCGAAAUUUCGUUUUAAAUGAAGAUUUUAGAAUUUAAAACUCACUUUUGAUUAUGAAUUAUAUGUUUUGUACUCGUAUAUUACAUUUUAGCCGGUUUCAAAAUUUUUGGGGAAAAAUGAAUAAAAUACCCCUGUGAGACGAAAAUUAUUAUUUUAUUUGUUUUGAGUUAGAAACAGCUUAAAAUCUUCUAGAACAUGAUUUUCGGGAACGAUUACUCACGAGGAAAAUGAGAUACUGAUAUUAAGCCUUGCGGGGUCCCAAUUGGCAUUCCGAGAAAUGAGUGUCUUUUGGGGUACCGCGACGGUUGUCACUGGCUCGAGGGGAGUAUCGGGUCUUGACAAUUCGAUUGGUAUUAGAGCUUUUGGUUUUAAAAAUAAGAGUUUUUUUUGUUUUAAAGUAGUUUUAAAAAAAAUUUACAAUAUCAGAGUGGCCUUAGAUUAAGUUAGGUUAGGUUGAAUAUAAUGCAUGCAUCUGCAUAUAGAGCCUAAAGUUCCCUAAACUUGCUCGUUUUCUCUUAUAGAUUAUUAUGCCUCCUCGAUGCGGACGCCUACCUCUCACUAGAUCGGUUGGGAGGGGAAGGGGUCGUUCUCAACGUCGUCAGCUAGAUGCAGUAGGGGAAGAAUCAGUUGAGUCUACCAUUCGGGCAUCACUUGCUGCUGAGCAAGCUGAGACUCCUCCACAUCCUCCGCCACCUACUAGUAUUUCCGUCAUGCCUACUGAGGCAGCACAGGCAUUGGCAGCUUUCUUUACCUCAAUGGAUAGCCAAGCUCAAACUGGUCAGGCUCCACCUAUAGUGCCUCUAGCUACUUUUUCAGUUCUACCAGUACAGGAUGUAUCCAUUUCCAAGAAGCUGAAAAAGGCUAGACAAUUGGGUUGUGUUUCUUUCACGGGUGAAUUGGAUGCCACCGUGGCAAAAUACUAGAUUAAUCAGGUUUCGGAGACAUUCUCUGAUAUGAGGUUGGAUGAUGAUAUGAAGCUAAUGGUGGCUACGAGAUUGCUAAAAAAUAGGGCUCGUACCUGGUGGAAUUCGGUGAAGUCCCUUUCCACUACUCCUCAAACAUGGUCUGACUUUCUCAAGGAAUUCGACGAUCAGUAUUUCACUUAUUUCCAUCAGAAAGAAAAGAAGAGAGAAUUUUUGAGCUUGAAACAAGGAAAUCUAAUAGUAAAAGAGUACGAGACUCGUUUUAACGAGCUGAUGUUAUAUGUGCCGGAUCUAGUGAAAUCUGAGCAGGAUCAGUCCAGUUAUUUCGAGGAAGGGCUCCGUAAUGAGAUUAGAGAGCGGAUGACAAUAACGGAUAAGGAGCCACAUAAAGAUGUGGUACAAAUAGCUUUACGGGCUGAAAAGCUAGCGAUUGAGAAUAGGAGGAUUCAGACCGAGUUUGCAAAAAAGAGAAAUCCUGGUAUAUCUUCUAGUUAGCCAGUAAAAAGAGGCAAAGACUCAUCUACUUCAGGGAGUACUACCUCUGUUUCGGUGACAUCUCCUUGACCUCCAUUUUCACAAACACAGCAUAGGCCUCCAAGAUUUAAUAGAUCUGAUAUGACUGCGUUUAGGAAGAGUUUUGGAGGUUCUAAUAGAUGUAGGAGGUGUGGGAAGAAUCAUGUUGGGCAGUGUAGGGCACCAGUACGAUGUUAUCAUUGUGGUCAGUCAGGUCACUUUAGGAGUGAUUGCCCGCAGUUGAGACGAGCUACUGCAACUGCUCCAUCUCCACCAGCUCGUAUGGAUAUACAGAGGAGAGAUCCUUCUAGGUUACCAUCGAGGUAGGGAGUGGCUAUAUAGUCUGGUGUAGAGAGUAACACCCCGACAUAUCCACCUUCGAGACCACAGACUCGUACCUCGACACGAGUUUUCGCUGUGACGGAAGAUGAGGCACGAGUCUGACUUGAAGCAGUGAUAGGUACUAUGUCUUUAUUUGAUAAAGAUGCUUAUAUUUUAAUAGAUUCUGGCUCAGAUAAGUCGUAUGUGAGCACGACAUUUGCAUCAAUUUCUGAUAGAAACCUAUCACCAUUAGAGGAAAAAAUUGUAGUUCACACCCAUUUAGGAGAAAAGCUAGUUAGAAACAAUUGUUAUAGAGACUGUGGGGUAAAGGUAGGUGAGGAAGAAUUUAGAGGAGACUUGAUUCCUCUAGAGAUCCAAGAUUUCGAUUUGAUAUUAGGUAUGGACUGGUUAAUUACACAUCGGGCGAAUGUGGAUUAUUUUAGGAAAGAAGUUGUUCUUUAAAAUUUGGAGGGAGCAGAGAUUGUAUUUUAAUGGGAAUGUCAAGUAUUACCGUCUUGUGUAAUCUCGGCCAUCAAAACUUUAAAACUAGUGCAGAAAGGGUAUCCAGCUUAUUUGGCUCACGUGAUCGAUACUUCAAAGGGGGAACCUAAGUUAGAGGAUGUCCCAAUAGUAAGUGAGCUUCCUGAUGUAUUUCCUGAUGAUUUACCGGGACUACCUUCUGAUCGAGAGCUUGAGUUCCCUAUUGAUUUACUUUCGGGUACCACACCUAUUUCUAUCCCUCCAUAUCGAAUGGCUCCAGCAGAGUUAAAGGAACUGAAAGUCCAAUUGCAAGAUUUGGUGGAUAAGAAUUUUAUUCACCCUAGCACUUCUCCUUGGGGAGCACCAGUCCUAUUUGUAAAGAAGAAGGAUGGCACUCUUCGAUUAUGUAUCGAUUACCGUCAGCUGAACCGAGUGACCAUCAAGAAUAAAUACCCUUUACCCUAGAUUGAUGAUCUUUUGGAUCAAUUACGAGGUGCUAUGGUGUUCUCUAAGAUUGAUUUGAGGUCUGGGUAUUAUCAGUUGAAGAUUAGGGAGUAGAAUGUACCCAAGACUGCUUUUAGGACGUGUUAUAGGCAUUAUGAGUUUCUAGUGAUGCCGUUUGGUUUGACUAAUGCCCCGACAGCUUUUAUGGAUCUUAUGAAUAGGGUGUUCCAUCCAUACUUGGAUACGUUUGUGAUAGUAUUCAUAGAUGACAUCUUGGUUUAUUCGAAGAAUAAUGAUGAACAUGCUGCCCAUUUGCGCAUUGUGUUGCAAACUUUGCGCAAGAGACAACUCUAUGCUAAGUUCUCUAAAUGUGAGUUCUGGUUAAAGGAAGUGGUUUUCUUGGGACAUGUUGUGUCUAGAGCUGAAAUUUAUGUUGAUCCCAAGAAGAUUGAAGCCAUCUUGCAAUUGGAGUAACCAAGAACGAUAACUGAGAUUCGUAGUUUCCUUGGCUUAGCCGAUUAUUAUCGGAGAUUUGUUCAGGGAUUUUCUUUGAUAGCAACUCCUCUGACUCGUUUAACUCGUAAAGGAGUUAAGUUUGAGUGGGAUGAUGUUUGUGAGAAUCGAUUUCAGGAGCUAAAGAACCGGUUAACCUUCACUCCCGUUUUAAUACUUCUUGUUAAUGGAAAAGAAUUUAUGGUGUAUAGUAAUGCAUCUAAGUUGGGAUUAGGGUGUGUUUAUGCAGGAUGAGAAAGUAAUAGCUUAUGCUUCCCGACAGUUGAAGAAGCACGAGACGAAUUACCCUACUCAUGACUUGGAGUUAACAGCAGUAGUCUUCGUAUUGAAGAUUUGGAGACAUUAUUUAUAUGGUGAGCGUUGUCAGAUUUUUACUGAUUAUAAGAGUUUGAAAUAUUUGCUCACCUAGAAAGAGCUUAACUUGAGACAGAGACGAUAGUUGGAGUUGAUUAAGGAUUACGACUUGGUAAUUGAUUAUCAUCUUGAAAAGGCAAAUGUUGUAGCGGAUGCUUUAAGUCGUAAAUCCUCAUCUUUAUUAGCAGUACUUCAGAGUUCUUAUUUUUCGAUGUUACUUGAGAUGAAAUCUCUAAGGAUCUAGUUAAAUAAUGGUGAGGAUGGAACCCUACUUGCUAGUUUCGUUGUGAGACCUUUAUUAUUGAAUCAGAUUAGAGAAUUGCAGAAAUCUGAUGAUUGGUUGAAGUAGGAAGUUCAAAAGCUGCAAGAUGGAGAAACUAGUGAGUUUAGACUCAGUGAUGAUGGUACUUUGAUGCUUAGAGACCAAAUUUGUGUCCCUAAGGAUGAUCAGUUGAGACGAGCUAUUUUGGAGGAAGCUCAUUCUUCUGCCUAUGCUUUAUAUCCCGGAAGCACCAAGAUGUAUCAGACUAUUAAAGAAAGUUAUUGGUGGUCGAGUAUGAAACGAGACAUAGCAGAGUUUGUAGCGAAAUGUCUCACAUGCCAACAGAUCAAGAUGGAGCAUCAAAAAUCGUCAGGUACUCUUCAGCCUUUACCGAUUCCUAAAUGGAAGUGGGAACACGUGACUACAGACUUUGUAUUGGGUUUGCCACGAACACAGAGUGGGAAAGAUGUUAUUUGGGUGAUUGUUGAUAGAUUGACUAAGUCCGCCCAUUUCUUGGCUAUCCAUAACACGUAUUCUAUUGAGAAACUGGCGAAACUUUAUAUAGAUGAGAUUGUGAGGUUACACGGAGUUCUAGUUUCUAUUGUGUCAGAUCGAGACCCUCGAUUUACUUCUCGAUUUUGGUUGAAAUUUCAGGCAACUCUCGGAACUAAAUUGAGAUUUAGUAUUGCCUUUCAUCCGUAAAUAGAUGGUCAAUCUGAGAGAACUAUUCAGACUCUAGAAGAUAUGCUACGAGCUUGUGUCAUUGACUUUAUUGGGAGUUGGGACAGACAUUUGUCAUUGGUAGAGUUCGCGUAUAAUAACGAUUUUCAGUCUAGUAUUGGGAUGGUACCAUACGAGGCUUUGUAUGGAAGGAAGUGCCGAACUCCAUUCUGUUAGGAUGAAAUGGGAGAGAGGAAAUUGUUUAUUGUGGAAUUGAUUGAUUUGACAAAUGACAAGGUCAAGAUUAUUCGAGAGCGAUUAAAGACAACUCAAGAUAGGCAAAAGAGUUAUUCAGAUAAACGAAAGAAAGAUUUGGAGUUUGAAGUCGACGAUAAAGUUUUUCUUAAGGUUUCUCCUUAGAAAGGUAAUAAUUUGAAAUUUUCAAGUAUUAAAUCUUAUUAGAUUACACUAUUGUGAUAAUUUGUGGUAUUUAUUGGAUAAUGAAAGGUGUGAUUCGAUUCGCGAAGCGGGGAAAGCUUAAUCCGAGAUAUAUUGGACCCUUCCGUAUCAUUGAAAUGAUUGGGCCAGUGGCUUACAGACUUGAAUUACCCCAGAGUUAGAUCGGAUUCAUAAUGUCUUCCACGUCUCGAUGUUGAAAAAGUAUGUUCCCGAUCCUUCCCAUAUUCUAGAGACACCUUCAAUUGAGUUGCAUGAAGAUUUGAAGUUCGAGGUGCAGCCGAUACAUAUUCUAGAUCGAAAGGAUAGAGUGUUGAGGAACAAGAGCAUUCCAAUGGUGAAAGUAUUGUGGAAGAAUGCUCGAAUGGAGGAGAUGACAUGGGAAGUCGAGCACCAAAUAAGAAGCCAAUACCCACAUCUUUUUGUCGAGUCCGAUAAGUGAAAUUUUGAGGUCAAAAUUUUAUUUUAAGGGGGGUAGUGCUAUAAAGCCUGAUCUUAUAAAAUACUUGUCAUGACAUGCAUGCGAUGGAUAGCAUGUUUGCAUGCUAGGAAAGCCCCGAAAAUCGCUAAAAGCCGGUAGCGUACUUAAUAGUAUAACUAAGUUGAACUAAGCUUCGAACUAGAUCAAAUAGAGAAUUUAAGGUGAAAUUGAGAAUUUUAAAGUCCCAGAAUAACUUAAAAUGGUGAUUCGGAGUUUGAGGAUCGAAUUGGAGUCAAAUUGGAAAUUUCGCUAUCUACGGGCAAAAUGGUAAUUUUACCACUUGAGGACAAAAUGGGAAUUUUUUUGAAAGAUUUUGAUCAUAUUUGACUUAUUGGAGUAUAAUUUGAGGUUGAGAAGUGAAAAUUUGUAAUCUCGGUAUUUUUCGGAGCAUAAGGGUAAAAUGGUAAUUUUAUCACCCUAGGGGCAAAAUCAUAAUUUUCCACCACCAGGACACUUGUCCAAUACAUGGUCUACCCUUAUCCUCAUUUUGACCUUUGACUAAUCAUGUGGUGGAGAAUGGAAGUAUAAUUAUUAAAGUAUAACAAAAAAAAAGAAAAAUGGACUAAUAAGCAUGUGACAUGUGUCAAGUAAUAAUAUUUUAUUAUUUUUCAUAAAAAAUCAGCCCAUAUUUAUCCCAUUUUCUCUUCAUGUGGCCGACCAUAGUAAGAACAAAGAGAGGAAAGGAAAAACACAAAACCUAGGUGGGAAAAUUGAAGAAAAAGUGUGGGAUUUCAAGGAAUCAAGCAAUCAAAGGUAAAAUUUCUUGAUUUUGACUUGUGAUCUACCUUUCCAAUGCAUUUCUCCUUAUUUUUCAUGAUUAAAUUUAAUGUUUUCAUGGUGAAUUCAUGGCUGACCAAAUGGGUAUGGAGAGAGAAUGAAGUUGGAUUGAUUUGAUUCUAAGUUAUGUUAGUGUUUUUAGUUAGUUUAGCAUAUUUAGAAACAAACAACAAGAAAAAAAUUCAUUUUCUCCCAUUACCCAUAAGAGGCCGAAUUUUCUAGGGAGAAUAUUGAGGCUGAAAUUGAUGAUAUUUCAUGAUAUUUUGGUGAUAUUUGAUGUUUGGUGAGGCUAGAAAUUAAAUGGGAAAUUUUGGUGUGAAAAUCUAAAUUUUUGCUUAAUGUAUAGACGUGUGUGAUUAUUGACCCGAGACUGAUAAAUUGAAUCUCAUUCAUAGUCACUAAGGUAAUUUAGGUAUAAUUGGAGUGUAGAAAGUGAAAAGAAUUGAUUUGGAGUUAAAUUGGAGAUUUUAGCUGAUUAGACUGAGUAUAAUGUGACUUAGGUCGAAUAUUACAUUUAAGCAAUUAAUCGGACAUUUUGCAUUCCAUAUCAUGUAUUAGUAGUCUAAAUUAGUUUAAUUUCAAUUUAAUACCAAUGUGGUGAAUUUUUCGAUUUUGUACUGUGUUAAGGUGGUGAGUACUCCGAUAAAGGCAAGGAAAUUGUACCCGAGGACCAGUAGUUUGAUGAUUUCAAAAAUCCCCACUCUAGACAUUGUGAAUAACCUUACCAUCAUUUUAAUUAUCUAAAGUAUGUUUUUAUUCGAUUUUGGUGAAUUUUAUGAAAACGAGUUCAAAUGGUAAAUUUUUAUGUUUUGUAAACAAAAUGUGUUUAAAUGAAAAGACUUUAUAAAUUGUCUUGAAACGAAAUAACGAUUUUGAAAAUAGAGUAAUUGGAGACCACUUGUAUGUUGUAAAUUUAUGAUUGGAAAUUGAUGGCUUAUGUUAUAUUGUUAUUGUGUUGGCAUGACUGGUUGGGCUGUGUUUUAUGAAUUGUAUGAAUUGUUUUAUUUUACCCUUGCAGGCUGGGUAGUAUUAUAUUAGCCUUGUCAUGCUGUUAAAAUUUUAUUAUAUGGUAGGUUUAGCUUGCUGCAGUGGGUGAAUUUUGUGGAUCAGCCUAUUAGAGGGGCACGAAAUCUGGAUAUAAAUAUGUACCUCGGUCGAAGAGGCGUGUAAGGGUAUCUCCUGAGGUAUGGUUAGAGUCCACGUCACGCCGAACCACCUCGUGACGAUGAAUUCCACUAACGCCAAGGAACGACUGUGUUUUUCAAAUUAAAAAUAUGUUUUUGUGUAUAAGAAAUUUUUACAGCCUUGACGGACUCGGUAAGAUGCCUCGGCCAAGGUAUCCUCGAGAAUGAUUUUGGCAAGAGCCAAGUUUUUUUUUUUAAAUACUCAUAAGCCAUGUUGACUAUUUAAAUGAAAUGAAUACUUAUGUUAUGAAAAACUUAUUUGGAUGAAAUAUUUUAAUAGUCUCGUUUUACUCGGACUUUAGAUCUUUUGAAUGAUGUUUGUUUACUCAUUGAGAUUUUAUAAUCUCACCACCCUCCUUUCCCUCUAUUUCAGGCUCAGAUUAGACUGUAGAUAGCUGAUCUCAUCGAGGACUAUCGUUAGGUUUGCAUUCUUCAAACUGUAGGUUUAUAGUCCUCUUUACUUUUGUUUAUUCGAGGGCCCACUUAUUAUUGUAAAUUAAAUUAAAUACUUUGGCUUACUGUAUUACAGUAUGUAUGAACUUAUUUAACUUUUACGCUACAAAAAUUUUUUACGUAUAACUCUAAAAAUAUUGUUUUAUAAAAAAAUAGAAUAUUUUACUUAACAUUUCUUUUAUUUUCUUAUUAUAUCCAAAUAAUCAAAAUUUCGUUUUAAAUGAAGAUUUUAGACUUUAAAACUCACUUUUGAUUAUGAAUUAUAUGUUUUGUACUCGUAUAUUACAUUUUAGCCGAUUUCAAAAUUUUUAGAGAAAAAUGACUAAAAUACCCCUAUGAGACAAAAAUUAUUAUUUUAUUUGUUUUGAGUUGAAAACAGCUUAAAAUCUUCUAAAACAUGAUUUUCGGUAACGGUUACUCAUGGGGGAAAUGUGAUACUAAUAUUAAGCCUUGCGGGGUCCCGAUUGGCAUUCCGGGAAAUGAGUGUCUAUCGGGGUACCGCGGUAGUUGUCAAGAGCUCGAGGGGAGUAUCGGGUCGUGACAGUAUCUUUUGGGAGUUACCUUAUUGGCAUUCAAACUUGAUUCGCCAUAAUUUGGAUGUGAUGCAUAUUGAGUGAACUGUGUUUGAGAACUUAUUUAACACAUUAUUAAAUAUUAAAGGUAAGUCCAAAGAUAACCUCAAGGCUAUAUUGAAUUUGAAAACAUAUUGCAAGCAGCUUGAUUUGGAUUUGGUUGAACAUAAUGGGAAGUUUUUCCAGCCUAAAUCUGCAUUCACAUUAACUGAGGAGCAAAUAAAUGAUGUGUGUCAAUGGGUCAAGGAAUUGAAGUUUAUGAUGGUUUUAUUUCCAACAUAGCUAAAAAGGUACAGAUUGAUGACAACAAGUUUUAUGGCAUGAAAAGUCAUGAUUGUCAUGUGUUCAUACAAUGAUUGCUUCCAAUUACCUUACUAGAGUUGUUGUCAAAUCUAAUUUAGGAAUCAAUAACCGCGUUCAGUCAUUUUUUUUAGGGAUAUUUUCUCUACUGAAUUAAAAGUGGUGGAUAUGGAAAUAUUGGAAAAAAAAUAUUGUGGAGACACUAUGCAAAUCGGAGAAAAUAUUUCCACCAAGAUUUUUUGACUGCAUGGAACAUUUGCCAAUUCACUUAGCUUAUGAGGUUAAAGUUGGUUGACCUAGGAACUUUCGGUGGAUGUAUUCUUUUGAGAGGUAAUACUAAUACUUGUUUUUAUUAAAAAAAAUAAGUAAUUAAUUUAUAUUAAACCAUAAUAAUAUUAAUACUUGUUUUGGAUGUGCUUAAGUGUAUGCAUCAUUUUAAAAAAAAAAGUAACAAAUAGAGCAAAUGUUGAAGCUUCCAUUUGUGAAGCUUACAUUAUUAAGGAGAUAUCAACAUUUUACUCUUUUUAUUUCAAAUCCGAUAUACGCAUAAGAUUGAAUUGAGUGUCACGUAAUGAUGAUGGAGGAGAAGUGGAGUCUAGUUUUAAUUCAUUUGAGUCAAACAUUUGGUACAAAGGUUAUCAUCGAUAUCUCCUUGAUUAUUAGUAUAAAGCGAUUGAAAUUAAUAUCUUAUUAAAUUGUGAGGAGCUAGAGCCUUAUAUUGAGUAAGUAACUUGUGAAAAAUUGGUCUAAAUUAACAUAUCUAUCUAGUUAAGUAACGUUGAUUACUAAUACCAUAAUUGAAUUGUAGGAAAUAUGAUGAGGAAACAAGGAAAGUAAUACCAAAUAUAAGCAAUGGUGAACUUGAGAAAUCACGUGAAACAAAUUUUGCAUCAUGGUUGAGAAAUUUCGUAAAUAUACCAAGAAUUGUAUUUUGCAAUUAGUUGAAUGUUUUUCUAUUAAUCUUAAACUUUUGAAAUGAUUGUUUUUUCUUUAUAGGUUGAAAACAACAAAGAUCAAGUUGAUAGCCAUGUAGAAAACAUAUCUUAUUGUCCCUCACGUUUGGUUAGGUUGUAUAAUAGAUAUUUUGUAAAUGGGUUUAAGUUUCACACCCAUCAAUAUGGGCAAACUUGACAAACAAUGAAUUAUGGGGUAUGUGUGAAAAGGAGUUGGUAUGCCGAUUAUAAUCAUGUCUUUUAUGGAAUACUAGUGGAAAUAGUUGAGUUAUAAUAUGUUGGUCGAAAUAAGGCAAUGCUAUUCAAUUAUCAUUGGUUUGACACUAAAAAAGGUAUUAAAGUGCAUCCUUGUUUUGGUUUUGUUGAAGUUGAGCACAAGUCUAUCCUUUUAACGAACGAGCCAUUUAUGUUGGCCUAACAAGCUCAACAAAUAUAUUGUUAGUUAUCCAUCUAGGAGAAGAGAGUGACGUGGUUGGUGGGCAGUUUGUAAAAUUAAAGCUAGGAGUAGAUUUGAUGUACCAUUAGAUGUAGAGGAGAAUCAAUGUGAAAAAGUUGAAAGGUUUUACCAAGAAGAGGAGUUUGCCUCAAGUAAUGUUUUUCCAAGUUUUGAACUUGAUGAUCCAAAUACUCUUGUUAGUGAAAGUGGGUUAGAAGAAGUUGAGCCAAUUCUAGAACUAGAGGAAGAAAAUCAAAGAGGUUAUGAUGAUGAGUUUGAGAAAGAAGAAAGAAAAAAAGAAGAAGACAAGUAUUUAUUUGAAGAGUCAAAAGAACAAAAUGUCGUAGUAGAGGGCCUAGAGUUCAACUAUUCUAGUAGUGAUGAUAGCACUAAUGAUGAGUCUGAAGACAAUCAAGUUGAUUGAUUUUAUAUAUAUAUAUAUAUAUAUAUAUAUAUAUAUAUAUAUGUUAUUGUCAAAUCUUUACUAGAAACUAUAAGUAUAUCUAACUUUAAUUAUUUUGUUAUUGAAAUUAUUAUGAGUAUUUCUUUAGCUUUUCAUUUCAUGGUACAUGGAAAAUUAAUUGCCUUCUAACACAUUACAAAUUUUAUUCUACAGGUACUGUGGUGACAAGAAGAAGUCAAGCUAUCAAAAACAAAAUAGCAGUAAAAGAUGGAUGAAGAUAUACUAGGUCUAGCAUUUCUAGAUAUUUAGUUUCUAGUAAUGGUGAUGGAGUUCAGGGUGAUAUUCCUCCAUUAAUACCUCCCUUUGCUUUGCCUACUGCUAUUGAGCCUCCUUCCACUCAACCUACUACUGCUAUGCCUCCCUCUAUCCAACCCAUUAUUGUUGAGCCUCAUUCCACUCAGCCUAUUACUAUUAUGCCUCAUUCCAUUCAACUUCUUAUUGUUGAGCCUCCUUCCACCCAGCCUAUUAUUAUUAUGCCUCAUUCUAUUCAACUUCUUACUAUUAAGCCUUUUUUGACUUAGCCUACUGUUGUCAAUUUUCCACACGCAAGUAUAUGUAUCGAACAAGUAAUAUAGAUAGCAAAUCCAGAUUAUUGUUCUCAUAGGGAUUUGUUCCUAAAAUUUUUACUAAGUAAUAAAAUUUAUGACAAAUCAAUCUUAUUUAAGAAACUAAAUUUUUCAAAAAAUUAAUUAAAAAAUUAAAAUAAAGACUAAAUUAACUAACAGAAAUUAAAAUUACUUGAGAGAGGCAAUAUAUUAAAACCUAUGAUUAUGAGUUCAUUCGACACUUCAUCUGAUACCAACUUCUUUUAUUAUUUACAUUCAUGGGUGAUUUUACUAACCUAAACUCCAAAACUAUGUAUAAGUCUCUAUCGAGAUGCUUGCACAAAUACCAACUUAAUUGGGUCACUAUAUGUCUAUAGCAAUCAAUUAAAUAAGGUUCAUUAAGCUAGUAUUCUAAUUUGGCUAUAUAUGGAAAUUACUGUAUGUCUACUCAGAUCACAAAUCAUAUCAAUUAAGUGACGUGAACAUACACUGUUCAAACCUUAGAUAGCGUUUGGUACUUUACAAUACAAUAUGAUUACAGGUAAUGUGAUUGCAAGUAAUGUGAUUGCAGGAAAAAUAACAUUAUGGUGUUUGGUAUACAAACAAAAUAAUGAUUGAAAUGCAAGAAAGACAACAUUGCAACGUUUGGUUUACAAGUACUUUAUUGGGAAUGUAAUGUUAGUUUUCAAAAUUACCCAUAUUUAUUAAAAUACAAGUUUAAUAUACUUGUAUUUUUUAUUGUUAAUUUUUAUAUAAUAUCACCACUUAAAUAUAUUUUUAAUGUCAUAUAUUUUAUUUUUAUUUUUAUUAUAAUAUUAUAUAUUUUAUUUUCAUUUCUUUAAUAUAAUUUUUUAUAUUAUGUAUUUUAUUUUAAUUUCUUUUACCUAUAUUAUAUAAAUUUUAAUUUCUAAUUCUUAUAUUAUAUAUUUUAUUUUAAUAUUUUUUAUAUUAAUUAUAACAUUACAAAAUAUUUUUAAUAAAGUAAUAAAGUUGAAGGGUAAAAAUGUCUUUAAUAACAUUCAGAGUGCAAUGUAAUGUGAUUGCAUUGGUUUUGGACUACAAUCACAUUACAUCCCUUGGCUGUAAUGUGAUUGCAUUGCAAUCUUACAUUGUAGUGGUCUGUUGCAAAACAAACACUGCAAUGUAAUUUAAUUGGACACAUUGCAAGGAAUGUGCUCUCACUUCUCUAAUACCAAACGCUACCUUAGUUCAAUCUAAAAUCUCUCUAUCGAGUCUCAAUUAGAUUCAAAAAUCAAAUAAUUGUUGGCCAAGCAAUCAAAAGCAUUAACAAUAUAUUUGAAUAAGCAAAAUUAUACCCAUUCAUAGUAAAUAAAAGAGAAAUAAAUAUUCAAAUUACAUGUUAAAAUUCACCACAAUCCUAGAAAGAUAAUUUAACUCAUAAUAACUAAUAAAAAUAACAUCCAAAGAAAUUAACCAUGAAUUCAAAUCAAAGAAAAUAAAAGAAACACAAAAGUAGAGAAAUAAACUAAUUAUUGAAGUUCUAUGAUCUCAAUUCUCUCUCAAAUUUUCUUGUUUUCUUACUUUGUUCUUAGUUUCUUUUCUCCAAAAUAGUUGCUUGCUGCCUCCCACUUAAAACCUCUGAAAAAGGUCCCUCAAAUAGGCUCCAAAUAACCUAAUUUUCAAAAUUUCGUUAUUUUUUUUUUUGAAAAAUUGCUCAGCGCCACGGUUAUGAUUUUUUUGGCUCUGUUGUGCUGAAUUUUUGCUACAAUAGUGCCACGACGAUGAUUUCUUAGCGUCGCGGCACUUUAAACUCUGAAAAAUGUAUGGUGUGCUUCAUUUCAUCAACACUGCAUACUUGUUCUCCUCAACACUGCAACCUUGGCUUCCUUAACAUUGCAGCCUUGAGUAACUCAAGGCCGCAGUGCUCCUCCACUUGUUGUCUUGUGCAGAACUACAACAGUCAAGCAUCUUCCAACAUGAUUUUCGCCUCAAUAUUAUCUAAAUUGGAUGAAGUGGUAAAUAUGAAAGUUUUAGUCCUACUCUUAACUUUCCAAUGGCUUAAGAAUCACAUCAAUUGGACUUAUGGAGUGAAACAUAUGCUCCAAAUACCGCAUCAUGUUUAGUCCAUGCAUACUAUUGUAGUGCUUCAAAUUAGACAAAUAUUUUAACCAUGAUCCAAUCAGAACUGAGCAAAGUGCUAAACAUAAAAGUUGUAUCCCUUCAUCUUAGAAUUCUAGUGGUCUAAGAAUCACCUCAUUUGAAGUUCUGUAUAGAAAGAUAUGGUCAAAAUAUCGAAACAUAUACUAAUGAAGCCAUCACUAUACUUGCAUGGAUUUUCAUCAAACGAGCCUUUUUCAUCAAAUUUCCUACAAAAGUAAUAAGAGAAAUCAAUAGUAACUACUCUUAAAGUAAUUUAAAAUAAAAUAACAUAAAAUUAAACUAAAAUAACUUAAAUUAACUACUUAACAUGUAAUCAAACUUAAACUAGAAAAACACCUAAAAUGCUAAAAUCCAAACCUAAAAUCUCAAAAAUCUAGCUACUUAAGCCACCAAAAUGUGUGAAAAUAACUCUCUAUAAUAUAGUUAUCACCUACUACUGUUAUGACUCCUUCCACUGAAUCUGCUAAUGAGGGUUAUUGGAUCUUAAGAGGCAAAGGAUAGCAACCAAUCAAACCAUGUCAUCAAUCUUAAUAGAAAUAGAAUAAGGGGAAAGGGACCAAAUUAAGGAUUUCAAACUCCUAACUCAGUUGACUGGAAAAUCAUUUAUAUUCUUGGAUCUAGGUAUGAUUUAAACUUAAUGUUUCUUGUAUUAUUGUUAGAUAUGAUCUUGUGAACGAGUUUUGAAUAUUACAUUAUUGAAAUAUUGAAUAUGUUUUUUAUUUACAUGAUAGUUUUUUUCAAUUUGAGGAUGUGAAAGAAAGAGUUCCUUUUACGAUAACUACCAUUUUAAAGGCCUUUUAUAAUGGACCUUGGGCAACAUGGAGGAAGGUACCUGUUGCUAAUAAAACUUAUAUUAGAAUACCUUUUAGGUAUUAUUUGUACAAUUGUUUAAGUUAUUUUAUUACGAUGACUUGUUUAAUUAUUUUCAUGUUUCUUACUUUUAAUGAUAGGCAAAAUACAAAUGGCUUGAAGAACAAAAUUCCGCCAUAUAUGAUGUGUGGUUUAAAUGUUGUAGCAAACAAUUUAGUAGUAUGAUGAACAAGGCGAGAAAAACUAUAAAGGAUAAAGCCCAGGACACUAGUGUGGUUGAAAUAGAAAACUUUUUGCCAGAAUUGAGCAUGGUUGAUUGACAAUGUCUAGAUUCAAGAAAAAUGGGAAAAAAAUCCAUGUCAAAUAGUAAUAAACACCUAACAAAGAAGGAUGGUAGCAUUUCUAAACAUGCUAAUCUAUCAAUACCGAUUGUUCACCAUGGGAAAAGAAUGGUGUGUUUGUUAUGAUUAUGUUUUUUGAACUUUGUCAUUAUCAUACUUCAAUUUAUGAAUGUUUUCAUUACUUAAUGCAAGAAAAGGAGCUUGGCCAUCCAGUUACUCAAGCAAAGGUGUUUGAUCACACUCAUAAAGAAACAAAUAGUGAAUUUGUUAACAAAAGUCAAAAAUUGUUAGUGUGAGUGAACAUUACCUAUUUUAUAUAUAUAUAUAUAUAUAUAUAUAUAAUUAUCUCAUCUUUUCUAUUUUUACAUAAAUNUUAGUUAGUGUGAGUGAACUAAUUACUAUUUAUUAUAUAUAUAUAUAUAUAUAUAUAUAAUUAUCUCAUCUUUUCUAUUUUUACAUAAAUUGCUUUACUUCAAUUAGAACAUAAGUGAUGUUAUUGUUUUGUUAAGUAUGGUUAAUUCAAUGUUAUGAAUUAAUUAUAAUUGUUUUAUUUAAAUUGUUACAAGAAAGAUAUGCUUCCACCUUACUCCAAAAGUUUGGUGCGAGUAGCACACAACUCUAAUUUGAUGUCAAGACAUGGCAUGAAAUAGUCAAAGGUGUUGGCCAUGGAUUGUAUGGGUUUGGAAAGGAGGAUCCAAGACACAUACUUGGGACUUCUCAUCCUUGGUAAUCAUCCCAAUUUGCACCAUUUUCUGGAAAUGCUCCAUCUCUCCAACUUGGAACUCAAGAUAUGCAAGAAGUUCUGAAACAAGUUUUAGAAUAAUUAGAUGGAGUUCUAGAUACGCGUCUUCAAUAUCUUUUGAGACAUAAGGGCAUUCAAGUGACAUGUCCAUCCUCUUCAACAUUAAUUCAACUAGUGAUGGCAAUGAUGGGGAAAAUCCAAGGGAUGAUGAUGAUGACAACGAGGGGGUAAUUCCUAUGGAUGAUAGUGUUGAUGUUGAGGAUGCAAUAGAUGAAGCUAGUGGAGAAGAUGAUAUUUGAUAUGGAGUAGGUUAAUUCGAACUCAACUUGAUUUCUUAUAGAUUUCUACAUAUAUUUUGUUAUCUAGUUGAACUAAACUAGACUCAUUUAGGUAGAUAUUUUGUUAACUAGUUGAACUCAACUAGACUCAUUUAGAUAUAUAUUUUGUUAUCUAGUAGAUCUCAACUAGGCUCAUUUUGGUACAUAUUUUGGUAUAGUUGAUCUCAACUAGACUCAUUUAGGUAUAUAUUUUGUUAUUUAUAAUUGAUCAUAACUCAUUUAGGUUCUAAAUAUAUUUUGUGCAUCUAGUUGAACUCAACUACACUUACGGUAUUAUAUUGUUGAAUACAUUAUGGUUGAUUUCAUCAAAAUUAUCUUUGGCGAUGGAUUUAUUAUUGUUAUUAUUGUCAUGUUAUGUGGCGAUGACAUUAUGAUGUUGUGGUAGUUCUAUUGUCACCAAAAUUGAAAAUUGAAUUGUAACAAGUAUUGCAUAUUAUUUGUUGUGAUGGAUGUAAUUAUUUUUGACAAAUAUAAUUUAUUGUGACAUAUUAUUCUAUUAAUGACAAUAUAUAUAUAUAUAUAUAUAUAAUUAGUGACAGAUUUUUUAAUUACAAAUAGAAAUCUUUAAAAAUCAAUGACAAAUUUUUUUAUUAAUGACUGAAUCAAGUCAUUCAUAAACAUAAGUUGUAAUAAAUUUACUGGCAAUGGUGUCUAAAUAGUGACAUAAUUAAUGACAAUUGUCUUGUGUGACAAAAAUUUAUGGUAGAAAAUAGUGGCAAUAUUUUCACAUUAUGACAAAUACUAGUGAUGGAAUUAGUAACAACAUUAUUACAUUGUGACAAAUAUUAAUGAUGAAAUUAAUGACAAAAUAGAUUUCGUGACAACUGUGAUAGAUUAUUGUGAUGGAUUUAGUGACCAUUUUCUUAAAUCUGUGAUGGAAUGAAGGAGGGGUAGUUGCCCGAAUUGAUAAAAAUUUGUGACAAAAAUCACACUAAUUUGUGACAGUAAAUCCAUUACUAUUUAGUGACGGAUUUGAAAAAAUUUAUGAUAGAAGUAUCAGUAAGGCAACUUACAGUGUGAGAAAAUAUCCGUCAUAAUUUUCAUCACUAAUUUCUAUUUGUGACGAAUUUUUGACUUUUUGUGGCAAUUUCUUCUGUCACAAAAAUUAGUAUUUUUGGUAGUGUUUAUAACCAAUCGAUUAGUUUACAAGGCAUAUAUUUACACUUUUAUUUAUUUCAAGUAAUCAAAAUUCAUGUCUUUUUAGAAAUAAAGAAUGUCUUUUUAGAAAUAGUAAAUGCUUAACUACGAGAUGCAUUUCUACACAAUCAAUUGAUUGACUUGCAAGGCAUACAAGUACUCCAUCAAUCUCCCACUUGCACUAAAGCCAACAACCUUUGUAUCUAAUACUAAAACCUUCGAUAUGGUGAUGAUGUUUCUAAAGAUAAGUUCAAUAGCUUCAAACCUUAGAUGUCAUAAAUCACAAGGUUCAAUUGCCUUGAUUGCCUAGAGAACAUAGGUUGUCAUAAACCACAAGCUAUCAAAGUGUCUAUCCUCCAAUUAUGGUGAUCCACAAAAGUGGUAAAUGAGAAAUUCUCCAUGGAGGGAGGGGACAGUCUAGGCUAAAUAGACUAUUGCUAGCUAAGGCUUCUUAGUUUUCUUCUCAAGCAUGCUUAGAGUAUUUUGUGCUCUAGUUGUUUUUACAGUGCUGCUUAAAAAAACUUUUAUUUAUAGGUAAUUACAUUAAUCUUAACCUUAAUAAGAUUUGCAUAACUUUUACACUAUUUAUAAAUUUUCCCAAUUUAUGUACACCCUUUUAAUUAAAUCUUUGAAGUUCCUAGCUUUUAGACAAUUAAGUCCAAUCUUAAUGUGUGUAACCCAUUAGAUUAUUAACAUUUAGACAAUAAAUUUGAAUUAUAAUUUAAAGUUGGAUAGGAUUUAAUAAAUCAAACUCAUUUGCAUUCAGCAUUGAAUAAUUUGCAUUUAUCGAUAAAAAUUAACAUCAAGUAAUGUGUCAUGACCACUCCAAUAUUAAGAGAAAUUAAUGUGGCUAGUUAGACCUAACCUUUAAGCGUACAAUCUGACCAUGCAAUUAGUCCUUUUAUCAAUUAUAUAUAUGGAUUAAUUAUUUAGCUUGAAAAAAAAUUAAUUGAUAAGAUUUUAUUUUUCAAUUUUUUACAAAAUCUAUUUAAUCACAAUCAUAAAAACUUUCAAAUUAGUUAAGUCAAAUAUGCCAAUGAAUUUGGACAAAUUGCCAAACUUCAUUGCGGCAAAUAUUAAAAUUGGAAUGAACAGGAAGAUUCCAUUAAUCUUUGGAUGCAAAACACGAGUUAUGAUUUCUUAUUGUUAGUUAAGAGAGGCAACAUACAACAUUUUUCCUUUGGGCGAUCCAUAAUUGGGCAACUUUUAAAAUCAAGCCAUUGUUCUUCAAUUCCUAGCAGUAAAGCUACCAACGUACCAUGGUUAAUUGGUAUAGUUGAAAAUAUACCAAGUAAUAUCCUUCGACAGAGGCGCAAUGCAUUCUGAAAUCUAAUCCUAUGUAGAUUUUUUUUAAAAAAAAAAUCUAAGCCUAUGUUCUUUUCCAAGUAAUAUCCUUUUAAUUGUUUAAUUAGAUAUAAAAGAAACCCUCAUAAAAAUAUUGAUUUUGAAAAUUCUUAAACUAUUUAAGAAAAUUUAAAUAAAUUUUUAUUCUUUUAUUGUUUUUAACUAAGUUUAAGUAUUUUUAUUUUGAGUCAAUUACAACUAAAAGUUUAUUAAUGGUCAUUAGUUAAAAUACUAUUUAUCUUGUUUAUGUUACGUAGUCUCGACGUGGCAUUAAUAUAGAAGAUGAAAAAUGUUACACCACCAUGUCAUCAUACCACAUCAGCAUAUCAUGUUAUCAUCUAUUAUAACAUAUCAGUAUAUUAUGUAAAUACCACGUGGCAUAAAAUAACAAGUGACAUUUUGAUUAAAAACAAUUAAUCAACUGUUAGUCAUAAGGAACUAUUUUAUCUAAAAUAAAAAUAUAACGUAAUAAAAUAAUAAAGAUUUAAUUAAAUUGUUUUAAAUAGAUUAGGGGCUUUUUAGGUAUUAUGCCAAAGAUUUUUAACUUUUUAUUUUUUUAAUAUAUUUGGGGAAAGGAAGAUUCGAACCUUACUCAUUUUAAAAGGAAGAUCAUAUACCAACCAAUGAACCAAAUGCUCGGGUGCUUUAAUUUUUUAUCUUUACUCAUUAAUAAAGUGAUAUUCAUGAUUAAUUGGUAUUGUACAAAUCCUAGACACAGUCAAUAUAUUAAAAAUUAUAAGGAAGUGCAUUAAAGAUAAUAAGUUUUUUUUUAAAAAAAUAAGGGAAUAAGAAUUCAAACCUUAUUCUCUAUAUUUCAAACCCUGUUCUAUAAAAUAAUUACGACAUCAUUUACAUGCUCAAUAGAAUGUUUGCAUAUUUAAGAAGUUCGAGAAAUCGUUAAAAGACGAUAUUGCCCCUAAUGGUACCAUUAAGUCGAUUAAGGCUCGAACUAGUUCAAAUAGGAAUUUUAAGGUGAAAUUAAGAGUUUCACAAUCCAAGGAUGACUCAAAAUGGUAAUUCAGAGUUCGAUGAUCAAUUUGGAGUCAAACUGAAAUUUUCACUAUCCAAGGGCAAAAUGAUCAUUUGCCACCUUGGGACAAAAUGAGAAUUUUUAGAAAAGAUUUUUUUGGCCCCAUUUGACUUAUUGGAGUAUGAUUGAGGUUUAGAAGUGAAAAAUUUUAAUUUCGGUAUAAAUUGAAGUACAGGGAUGAAACGGUAAUUUUACCACUCUGAGGGCAAAACGGUAAUUUUGCACCCCCAAAGCAUUUUUCCAGCACAAGGUCUUCNNNNNNNNNNNNNNNNNNNNNNNNNNNNNNNNNNNNNNNNNNNNNNNNNNNNNNNNNNNNNNNNNNNNNNNNNNNNNNNNNNNNNNNNNNNNNNNNNNNNNNNNNNNNNNNNNNNNNNNNNNNNNNNNNNNNNNNNNNNNNNNNNNNNNNNNNNNNNNNNNNNNNNNNNNNNNNNNNNNNNNNNNNNNNNNNNNNNNNNNNNNNNNNNNNNNNNNNNNNNNNNNNNNNNNNNNNNNNNNNNNNNNNNNNNNNNNNNNNNNNNNNNNNNNNNNNNNNNNNNNNNNNNNNNNNNNNNNNNNNNNNNNNNNNNNNNNNNNNNNNNNNNNNNNNNNNNNNNNNNNNNNNNNNNNNNNNNNNNNNNNNNNNNNNNNNNNNNNNNNNNNNNNNNNNNNNNNNNNNNNNNNNNNNNNNNNNNNNNNNNNNNNNNNNNNNNNNNNNNNNNNNNNNNNNNNNNNNNNNNNNNNNNNNNNNNNNNNNNNNNNNNNNNNNNNNNNNNNNNNNNNNNNNNNNNNNNNNNNNNNNNNNNNNNNNNNNNNNNNNNNNNNNNNNNNNNNNNNNNNNNNNNNNNNNNNNNNNNNNNNNNNNNNNNNNNNNNNNNNNNNNNNNNNNNNNNNNNNNNNNNNNNNNNNNNNNNNNNNNNNNNNNNNNNNNNNNNNNNNNNNNNNNNNNNNNNNNNNNNNNNNNNNNNNNNNNNNNNNNNNNNNNNNNNNNNNNNNNNNNNNNNNNNNNNNNNNNNNNNNNNNNNNNNNNNNNNNNNNNNNNNNNNNNNNNNNNNNNNNNNNNNNNNNNNNNNNNNNNNNNNNNNNNNNNNNNNNNNNNNNNNNNNNNNNNNNNNNNNNNNNNNNNNNNNNNNNNNNNNNNNNNNNNNNNNNNNNNNNNNNNNNNNNNNNNNNNNNNNNNNNNNNNNNNNNNNNNNNNNNNNNNNNNNNNNNNNNNNNNNNNNNNNNNNNNNNNNNNNNNNNNNNNNNNNNNNNNNNNNNNNNNNNNNNNNNNNNNNNNNNNNNNNNNNNNNNNNNNNNNNNNNNNNNNNNNNNNNNNNNNNNNNNNNNNNNNNNNNNNNNNNNNNNNNNNNNNNNNNNNNNNNNNNNNNNNNNNNNNNNNNNNNNNNNNNNNNNNNNNNNNNNNNNNNNNNNNNNNNNNNNNNNNNNNNNNNNNNNNNNNNNNNNNNNNNNNNNNNNNNNNNNNNNNNNNNNNNNNNNNNNNNNNNNNNNNNNNNNNNNNNNNNNNNNNNNNNNNNNNNNNNNNNNNNNNNNNNNNNNNNNNNNNNNNNNNNNNNNNNNNNNNNNNNNNNNNNNNNNNNNNNNNNNNNNNNNNNNNNNNNNNNNNNNNNNNNNNNNNNNNNNNNNNNNNNNNNNNNNNNNNNNNNNNNNNNNNNNNNNNNNNNNNNNNNNNNNNNNNNNNNNNNNNNNNNNNNNNNNNNNNNNNNNNNNNNNNNNNNNNNNNNNNNNNNNNNNNNNNNNNNNNNNNNNNNNNNNNNNNNNNNNNNNNNNNNNNNNNNNNNNNNNNNNNNNNNNNNNNNNNNNNNNNNNNNNNNNNNNNNNNNNNNNNNNNNNNNNNNNNNNNNNNNNNNNNNNNNNNNNNNNNNNNNNNNNNNNNNNNNNNNNNNNNNNNNNNNNNNNNNNNNNNNNNNNNNNNNNNNNNNNNNNNNNNNNNNNNNNNNNNNNNNNNNNNNNNNNNNNNNNNNNNNNNNNNNNNNNNNNNNNNNNNNNNNNNNNNNNNNNNNNNNNNNNNNNNNNNNNNNNNNNNNNNNNNNNNNNNNNNNNNNNNNNNNNNNNNNNNNNNNNNNNNNNNNNNNNNNNNNNNNNNNNNNNNNNNNNNNNNNNNNNNNNNNNNNNNNNNNNNNNNNNNNNNNNNNNNNNNNNNNNNNNNNNNNNNNNNNNNNNNNNNNNNNNNNNNNNNNNNNNNNNNNNNNNNNNNNNNNNNNNNNNNNNNNNNNNNNNNNNNNNNNNNNNNNNNNNNNNNNNNNNNNNNNNNNNNNNNNNNNNNNNNNNNNNNNNNNNNNNNNNNNNNNNNNNNNNNNNNNNNNNNNNNNNNNNNNNNNNNNNNNNNNNNNNNNNNNNNNNNNNNNNNNNNNNNNNNNNNNNNNNNNNNNNNNNNNNNNNNNNNNNNNNNNNNNNNNNNNNNNNNNNNNNNNNNNNNNNNNNNNNNNNNNNNNNNNNNNNNNNNNNNNNNNNNNNNNNNNNNNNNNNNNNNNNNNNNNNNNNNNNNNNNNNNNNNNNNNNNNNNNNNNNNNNNNNNNNNNNNNNNNNNNNNNNNNNNNNNNNNNNNNNNNNNNNNNNNNNNNNNNNNNNNNNNNNNNNNNNNNNNNNNNNNNNNNNNNNNNNNNNNNNNNNNNNNNNNNNNNNNNNNNNNNNNNNNNNNNNNNNNNNNNNNNNNNNNNNNNNNNNNNNNNNNNNNNNNNNNNNNNNNNNNNNNNNNNNNNNNNNNNNNNNNNNNNNNNNNNNNNNNNNNNNNNNNNNNNNNNNNNNNNNNNNNNNNNNNNNNNNNNNNNNNNNNNNNNNNNNNNNNNNNNNNNNNNNNNNNNNNNNNNNNNNNNNNNNNNNNNNNNNNNNNNNNNNNNNNNNNNNNNNNNNNNNNNNNNNNNNNNNNNNNNNNNNNNNNNNNNNNNNNNNNNNNNNNNNNNNNNNNNNNNNNNNNNNNNNNNNNNNNNNNNNNNNNNNNNNNNNNNNNNNNNNNNNNNNNNNNNNNNNNNNNNNNNNNNNNNNNNNNNNNNNNNNNNNNNNNNNNNNNNNNNNNNNNNNNNNNNNNNNNNNNNNNNNNNNNNNNNNNNNNNNNNNNNNNNNNNNNNNNNNNNNNNNNNNNNNNNNNNNNNNNNNNNNNNNNNNNNNNNNNNNNNNNNNNNNNNNNNNNNNNNNNNNNNNNNNNNNNNNNNNNNNNNNNNNNNNNNNNNNNNNNNNNNNNNNNNNNNNNNNNNNNNNNNNNNNNNNNNNNNNNNNNNNNNNNNNNNNNNNNNNNNNNNNNNNNNNNNNNNNNNNNNNNNNNNNNNNNNNNNNNNNNNNNNNNNNNNNNNNNNNNNNNNNNNNNNNNNNNNNNNNNNNNNNNNNNNNNNNNNNNNNNNNNNNNNNNNNNNNNNNNNNNNNNNNNNNNNNNNNNNNNNNNNNNNNNNNNNNNNNNNNNNNNNNNNNNNNNNNNNNNNNNNNNNNNNNNNNNNNNNNNNNNNNNNNNNNNNNNNNNNNNNNNNNNNNNNNNNNNNNNNNNNNNNNNNNNNNNNNNNNNNNNNNNNNNNNNNNNNNNNNNNNNNNNNNNNNNNNNNNNNNNNNNNNNNNNNNNNNNNNNNNNNNNNNNNNNNNNNNNNNNNNNNNNNNNNNNNNNNNNNNNNNNNNNNNNNNNNNNNNNNNNNNNNNNNNNNNNNNNNNNNNNNNNNNNNNNNNNNNNNNNNNNNNNNNNNNNNNNNNNNNNNNNNNNNNNNNNNNNNNNNNNNNNNNNNNNNNNNNNNNNNNNNNNNNNNNNNNNNNNNNNNNNNNNNNNNNNNNNNNNNNNNNNNNNNNNNNNNNNNNNNNNNNNNNNNNNNNNNNNNNNNNNNNNNNNNNNNNNNNNNNNNNNNNNNNNNNNNNNNNNNNNNNNNNNNNNNNNNNNNNNNNNNNNNNNNNNNNNNNNNNNNNNNNNNNNNNNNNNNNNNNNNNNNNNNNNNNNNAUAGAAAUCUACCUACUUUUGAGAUGCAUAAAUAAUUAAACAAUUACUAUUUGAUUGCAUAUAGGUUUUGAGGUGCACCGGUGACAUACACACCAUGUCUAGAAGAGGUGGUAGUCUCGAUACCUCUCAUAGUGAUAGCGAGGGAUCUCUAGAUUCUACGGCUAGAAGCAAAUGGCACCUUGAUACAGGUGAUUCGGAAGGUGGUCCAUCCCGAAUUCUUGAUAUAGGUGGAAAGAAAUUCAAGAGAAAAGUGUGGAUUUUCAAGAAAAUCAAGUAGAAAAAUGUGAAAUUUCUUGAUUUUAGUUUAUGAACUAUUUUUCCUAUGCGUUUUUUCUUAAUUUUCAUGGUUGAAAAGCAUGCUUUCAUGGUGAAUUCAUGGCUGGUCAAAAUGGGUAUGGAGAGAGAAUGAUCUUGGAUUGGUUUGAUUUUUAGGUAUGUUAGUGUUUUUAGGUGAUUAAUGAUGUGUAGCAUGAAAACAAGUGAAGAAAACCACCAAAGGUUUGGUGUCCAUCAAUAGCCAAAUUCUCUAAGUGAAUAAUGAGGAAGAAUGGGAUGUUAUUCUAGGUGAUUUGAUUAAAAAAUAAUAGUUUUUGGUAUAGGAAUUAAUGAAUUAUGGAGAGAAAAUUAAGUAGAAAAAAUCACAGAGUUAGUGUACCAUUGUUGGCCGAAAGUUCCAAGAAGAAAAGUGAAGAUAAAUUUUACCUAAUUGUGUGUUAAUUAGUUUGUGUUUGGUGAAUUGAGGGAUUGGAAAAGAAAUGGAGCAAGUUGGAAUGAAAUUGGACGCAUUGGCCAAUUUAUCGGAUGAAAAAUUGACUUAGGCCAAUACCGGAUCUAGAUGGCUAUUCGUGCAUUUUUUUCAUUUCAUAUCAUGCAUAUAUAUAUCGAUCCUGAAAUAGCUUAUGACUGUUAGACACAAUUUAAUUGGAAUAUGUGUCAUGGAUUAUGGCUAGGUGGUGAGCCAUUGGAUACGGGUAAAGGACUGUACCCGCGGACUGAAAAUAAGAGUAUUUCUACUCCUAAUACUGUGAGUGGACAAUUUAUAGUCUUAAAUAUCUAGAGUAAUUAUACUUUUUUUAUGCUUUUAUUGGAUGGUGAGUUUAAAUUAUAAAAUAUUAUAUUUUCUAAUUAAAAUAUUUUUUUUAAAUGAGAUUUAUACUAGUUUUGAAAUCAAAUAUUGUUUUGGGAAAAUUGAGUAUAUGGAGACUGCGUUGAAUUUAUGAUUUUAUAUGUUAUUGAAAUUGUGGCUUAUGACACUAUGGUAGCGUGAUGGCUAAAUUUUUGGGAUUGGCAUGAAAUAUAUGAACAGUUUUUGAUUGGUCUCGGUAGACUGGAUUACAUUUUAUUCGCCAUAUUAUGCUACUGAAAAUUUUAUGGGUCUGGUGAAAUAUUAAACGGUCACUGCAGUGGUGGGGGUUUUCGUGGACUGCCUAUGAGAGGGGCACGGUAACCCAAUUAUAUACGUACCUUCGGGGGGAGAUGUUGGAUGAAGUAUCUCUUGAGGUAAGAUUUGAGUGCACCUCACGUUCAGGCCACCACGUGAGAGUGAGACUCAGCCAACGCCAAGGAACGACUGUGUGUCAGAUACGAAAAUAUGUUUAUGGGUAUGAGACAUUUAAUAGCCUUGGUGGUCUCAGUGGGAUACCUUGACUAAGGUACCCACGAGAAUGAUUCUGGUAAGGGUCAAGUUUGAAAAACUCAUAAGUCGAGAAAUUUUGACGAAAAGAAAUUGUUUGGUAUAGAUUGAAACGAAUUUUGCUUUAUAAAUAUUAUUGAGAUAUAACAUUUUUAUAUUGUCUCCGUCUACUCGGCUUUAGAUGCUUUUGAUGGUAAUUGUUUACUCACUGAGAUUAUGUAAUCUCACCCCUCUUCUUAUCUAUUUUUCAAGCUCAGGACAGUUUGUUGAUAGUUGAUAGUUGAUUAAGACAAGAAUUAAUCUCGGAGUUGCAUCAUAGAAAGUAAGGGUUCGUAACGCUACACCUUCUUGGUCAGUUGGGAGCCCACGUGUCAUUGUAAACGAAAUUUCAUACUUUAAUUAUUUUUAUUACUAUAUGAAUAAAUUUAUUUUAUUCUUACGCUACAAAAGUUAUUUUAGGAAGACUUUGAAAAUAUUGUGUUUUAAGAAAAUAUAAUAUUUUAUUUAAUAUUUUUAUUAUAUUCAAAUAGUUAUAAUUUUACUUUAAACGAAUGUUUUAGACUUAAAAAUUUAAUUUAAAUCAUGAAAUAUGUGUUUCCACUUACAUAUUACAUUUUUACGAAUUUCAAAAUUUUCGAAAAAGAAAAAAAAAUGAAUGAUUAAAAUCUCCCUGUGAGACAAAAAUAAAUUUUCAUUAUUUUUGGAUGAGAGAAUGGUCCAUAUUGUUUCAAAACACGAUUUUAGUUAUUGUCGAUCACAAGGGAGGUAAGAAAACUGAUACAAAAGCCUUGCGAGGUUUCGAUCAGCAUUCAGGGUAAAGAAUGUCUGACGAGACUUCGCGGUGGUUGUCACGGAUUCGAUGGAAGUUUCAGGUCGUGACACUAUACAUGAGAUCAUGUACCAAUCAAUAAGUCAAAUACUUUAAUGUCAUUAAAAAUAAUAGGUUGGUUUAAUUAAAUUUAUUAGACACACACACACACACACACACACACAUAUAUAUAUAUAUAUAUAUAUAUAUAUAUAUAUAUAUAUAUAUAUAUAUAUUACCAAAGAUUCCUUUCCCAAGGUCAUGAUUCUACCUCAUCCAUUUUAAUGUUGUGCUUGGAUUGCCUCUCCAACCUUUAAUUCCUUGUGGUUUCCAGCAAUUUCCGAGGCAUCCCUUUGGUUGUUGAUGGUGUUAGUGUUUAACUCUUUUGGCCUUUCCUCUUCAUCGUCCUUGUUGGUUUCUCCAUUUUUCAGCUCAUGUUCAUUAUUGGAGAUGCUAGCAUUGCUCUGGAGGAGGAUCUUUGCAGUCCAAUUGCUCAAUUGCUCAGUGGAUGCCUCAUCUGAAGACAAGUGAAUCAAUUAAUGUAAGAUUACAUGAAAUUUCAACUAGUUGCAUUGCUUACUUAUCUUUUGUACAAGUUCUACCGCUACAUUCUAUCUUAAUUAGUAUGUUUAUUUAUUGGGGUAUUAAUGUACAUCUUUGGCUAUUGAUCAUUUUCAAUAUAUUACUUUUAUCCAUUCAACUUUUAUUUUGUUAAUUUAAGCCACCCAAUUCUCAAUUUGGUGAGAAAAGCCAUGGUCCCUAAAGAAUAUUCCACAAUAUUUAAUCAAUUAUAUGUCACAACAAUUUAAAUACAGCCACACCCACAUGUAUUGUUUGUUUAAGACAAUAAGUCCAAAACGACCAAGUUUUUGUCUCAUACUUCUUAGAAUGACAGGAACAACAAGGUGAGAAAUCACGAGAAUAAAAAUCCCAAUCUAUAAUCUAUAUCUAUAAUUUGUAAUAACUAUGCUUAAAAGAAACCUCAAUGGGCUCAUUGAUCGACACUUGGCGAGUCUCUUGCCUUGACACUUGGCUCUCUCACAGCUAUAGGCUUUUGGGCUUAAUUGAGGGUUUUUUAUUCGACCAAAGUAUUGCUCUGUGACUCUCUUUUUCCUAUCUUCGUCUUCGAUGGACUCUAAAUUUUUCUCUUUUAAUAUGGGGCAUCAAGGCUCUUGACUUGACACUUGGUUAGAUUUUGAGGCGUGGGCUUUAGGUUUAUGGGAUGUGGAUCUGAAGUCUGAUGGGUUUAAGUGUAAGUGGUUUUCAGCUUAACACAUGAUUGGGCUUAUCGGUGUGAACUUGAGGUUUGAUAAGAUUAGGGUUUCAGUUGGGUUUUUGCGGUGUGGGUUCGAGGUUUGAUGAGGUUGGAUUUAUAUUAGAUUUUUUUAGAUUUUUCAUUUUAGGGGAACGUGGUUUGUUGAAUUUGUCAAAAGUCACAUGCUUUUAGAUUCUUCUUCAUUUUCCGUCUCUCUCUUUUCUCUUCUACUGUAUUAUUUUAUCAUCUAGCUGUUUAUAGGUGUAUUUUUAUAUAAAAACACUAUCACAAACACCACCAUGAUAAUUAUGGUAACAGUAUAUUUUAUACAUGUCAAUGUACACCAAUAAUUAAAUAUAAUAAUAUAAUUAUUAUUAUAUAUAUAUUUCACAAAAUAUUCUCAAACUCAAUUAUAAAAAAAAAGGCAACAAGUAGCAUUAUUGGCUUACCUAGUCUUGGGACAGUAUGGCCUUGAGGGUGCCUAAUGAUGAGAGGAUUGUCAAAGGCGGUGGCCAGCUCCUCCGAAGGCAACUUUAACCAGUCCUUAGCUCCUACGAAGUGCACAGAUUUGACCUUGAUUGUGUCUUUGUAGGCGACCUCGCAUAUGCUUGGCUCUCUGAAUUUUGAUCCGGAUAUUGAAACAAAAAAUUGGAAGGGUGGAUGCUCCUUCAACACCUUCCCCUGCAUGCGUUGCCAUACCUUUAGAAUAUCACCCAAAAUGCAGAGAGAAGAAGACCUGCCUCCUAACUCAGAUGCAUCAAUACUUGCAACUUAUAUUACCUGUGCCUGGUAGCCUAACAGAAGAGCACAAAGAGUUGCACCCUACAGCAAGAACAAGGGGCAAUAAGAAGAGAAAACAAUCUGGAAGAAACUUGUUGUGGGAACAAGUGGUGAUGCAUUAAAAUAAAACGUACUUGUGAGAAGCCAAGCAAUCCAUGAAAAGGUCCUUUGGUGGUGAUGUAUUCACACAAGUGAGAGACGCAUUCCUCCAGGUUUGUGUACUCCGUGAAAUCCUUGUUGAACUGGAACCACUCAAAGUACGGAGGAGGGAAUAUGCCUUCGAUGUCAGAUUUGCCUCCAGCUGGAAAUAGUCCAUCAGGAAAAUCCUGUAUAUACAUGUAUUGCAGUUUUGUUUAUUAUUAUGAUUUUCCAGUCUGCUAGAUUUUGAACACUCUUCAUUUUAUUGCACUAUGUUGAAUAUUACUACUUGAGUACCCUAUUUAAUUAGGAAAAUUAUAUUAUUUUAUACACUGAUCAGGGUCAAAUAGUUGGUGUAUUAAUUAGUAUGAAAUAUUAAGCAAACAUACCAUGUCAAAGUGACAGAAAACAGAAGGAUCCCACUUGCUGAUUUGCUUGUGCAGGAAACUCCCACUGGUUCUAAACCCAUGAAGGCAUAAUAUCUUCAUCUUUUGUUUUUGGGCUUCCUCCAUUUCCGCUCCCCUUUGUCUACGUUGAUGACAAUGAAGGUGUAGGGGGUCCUUUUAUGACGGAAAAAGAAAGGUUGUUUCCUCAUACCUAACCCAGUUCCCCGGUUAGGUGUGCUUGGUUGGUGCUGCACGGGCUUACCAAAUAAUAUUCAGGGCUCAGCUGCCUGCCUACACCUAUACUUCAAUUUAUAAAAUCGAUUGUCCAGUUUUAACAUGAGAAACAUAACCAUGUGCCAAAAAAAAAAAAGAUUUUCAUUAUUGCUUGGUAAGAGAAAAGCAAAAGGUAGCCUUUUUUCUAUUCUUAUUCACAUAACCAAAUCAUUUCAAAAUUGAUAAGAUUAGAAAAGAGAAUGAAAUGUGUGAAUUAAGUCUUACAAAUUUAUAAAAUUUUCCAUCCUCUCUUAGAUUUUAUCUUUUUAUUUCCACUUACAAAAGGGGUCAUGGAAAAAUAAUGUAAUUUUCAUUUUCUUUCCUUGUAUUUUUUUUCUACUAUACCAUGAAAAAGAUAACAAAAAUACAUAUUUUUUCUACCCACUUUUCCACCUAUUCUACCAAGCACAUCAACGGAAAGAAAAAAGCAUGUUUUCUCUCUUCCCACAUUUCCCCUCUCCCAAUCUUUACCCUACAAGAAUAUAGAGGGAAAGCAUGUGAUGGAAGUGAUCAUUCAUCACUAAAACUUAGGUCACCAGUGCUGUCAAGUUACAACAAUAACUUCUAAACUCAGGCACUGCAAAACAGUAAAAGGAACAUUUUGAAGCAAAACAAUGGAAGCUAUAAAUUCCCUCAAUUUCAUUUGUGUUUCCGCAGAUCUAACCCUCCUGUCUGUACCCUUUGCAAAAUAAGCCAUACACAGGUUGCCUCAGAAAGCCUGUAAGAGAUAGGACAGUGUAAAUAGAAAACUAUAUCAAAAAUAUGUCUUUGGAACAAGUGACAGAAAAUGACAGCUUUUAAUACUUGAAGUUUCAUUCUUUAAUCUCCGUUAGUGCCCCUACAAUCUCCAUAUCUAAACAGGAUACACUUAUUUGGGGCCAACAAUCACAAAUUGGUUGGACAUGUAAUUAAAUAAUUUUUAACAUCUUUUCUGUUAACACAAGAACUUCCAAUAAGUAGCUUCAAAAGUUUCUCCACAGCUAACAAUGUGGGAAAAUAAAGCUUAACAAUUACAAAUGGUAUCCAAAUGUUGCUUAGUUUUAGCAUGGAAAAAGAAGACUAAGGGAGGGCAGCUUAUAUUUGUUGUGUUGGGCAUGCACUUAAAUUUAAUGUGCAGCCAAGGAACCUAGGAGAAUAGAAGAUACCUUCUCCAGGGAAAACCUUAGGAACGAAAUAUGAGAGGGUAGGUACAGCAGAAUCCACUGCUCCAGCACUGCAUAAGAAAAAAAACACAUCUGAAUAGAUGGUUGGAAACAUGAAUUGCUGCUAGUUGCCUGUUGCCACAGAGAUUUAAAAUCUAUACCAUUUUUUACCAGAAUUUAAAAAACAUAAUAAGAUACUAGUUAGGUCCAGAAACUCAUGUACACAGAUUCAAAGCAUGACAUAUAUAAAGAGUGCUAAAAAAACCAUCAAGCGCUCAUUCAUUGACCUAACAGUCCAAAUCAACAUGUAAGAGGAAUGAUGAGGGUUUACCACAGAAAGCAAUGGUCCCUGUUUAAACUUGUCAUGAAAGGAAAACGCAAUUGGCUUUGGAUUGCUGCCAGGCCCUCUGAUAAAACCACUGAAUUCAUAUUACAGAAACAAAUAUAUAAAUUAGCUGUUACAUAUAUUCAGAACACCCCCACCCACCCACCCCCCCCCCCCCAAAAAAAAAAAAAAAAAAUGGAGGAGAUAAUGAUCUCAUUUAGAUCAUUUGACUUGGCAUUCAAUGACUAUGGAGUGCUCCAUGAAAGCUGUAUGCAGUAACAUUUUUUGUAACCAAAAUGUCAAGCAUCUGGUAAGAUAAGCAGAAGCUCACAUUAGUGAUGCAGAAAUCAAGGGAUUCCUCCUUGUGUCAUAUAAUGCAAUGAGACCUUUGUAAAUGUCAUCCCCUCCUUUAUACGAUACUGCUAAUCGCUCUCCAGAAGCAUCCCAGGCUAUCUUCUCAAUUCCCUGACUGCAUGACAAAAUAUUUGAGAUCAAUUUAACUAGGCAGAAGAAUAUUCUAUGCAUGAAAUCAUAUGAAAUAAUAAACUUAAGCUUGAGAAAAGCUAUAGACCCUGAUGAAGAGAAGUCCGUAAACAUCUGCACAGAUAUUUAGAAGACUUGUCGAGGCUAGUAAUAAUUCGAAAGGCUCAAUUUGGACAAUCACGAGAAUAGAAGUUGGGAGCUUUGAUAGCCAAUUAGCAAUUGGUACUGACUCUUAAUAUACGUAUCUUUAAGUAAAAUGGAUUGCAGAAUUUAUUUUUAUCUAUCAAUGAUUUAAUGAGGUAGGGGUAUUUUAAUUAAUUUAUAGUAUAUCGUUUGGCAAAGGUGAGAUGAUGGUGUUUAAGUCUUGUUUUCAUUUUUCUUUUUAUUAUUAUGACACCCUUGUUUGAUGUCCAACAGUUGGUUUCUGUUUGGAGUCCAUCUUUAUUGAACCUAGAACAGAUGCUUCAUGUGAUUUGAUGAAAAAAUUACAUCUUACCUCAAAGUGGUUAGAACAUAAUUUUAUUUUCAUGUGGUUUCCGAAGUGGCAAACAUAAGACCAUGUGGUUUAAAUAGAUAAUCAAAAGAAUUCUGCUAUUUAAUCUUUAACAAAGUGGCUGAACUGCCCCCAUCUACAUAUUUUAACAUUUUAAAUUCUUUAACAUUUUUUUUCUUAUAAAAGGUGAAAUAGUUGUAUGAAAAUCUGAAAUCCAACUUGAUGGUUAUCUACAUAAUUUUUCCACAUUUUUCGAAGGCUGACUAUAAGGAUAGUUUAGUCAUUCUUAUUUCUAGGAAAAUGAGAUCUGAAAGAAAAACCCUCUGUAAGUAAAGAAAGAAACCUCACAAGGUUAGUUCCACUAUUUUUAAACCACAAGGAACUAAAAUGGGUAAAACAUACCUAGUAAUUUUCCCUUAAUUCUGAGAGUUGAGAGAACUAUUUUUAUAGACAUUUCUUAGCUACUAUGCUAUUAGAUGUGAAGCUAUAUUUCUAAGUUAACCUAGACAACUGCCCACUUUACUUGUACAACUUGCAUAACAAACUUUCCAAACUUGAUGCUCUUCAUCCAACCUUAAUCCCCAUCCUACACAUUUUUUCCCUCAAAUGAUCCCAGAUUAGCCUCCAAACCUUUUUCAAUUGUUCUAGCUUGGGUUAAUUACACAUUUGGUAUAAUUACUUUUUUUCCCUCUUUCACCUUCCACCACAUCAAAAAAAAAAUCACUUACUAAUCUGAAAAAAUUAAUUUACUUCCUCCGCUACAAAAAUGCCUUUCUCUGAGACUAAAUUCCCUUCAGUGAAAACCCAUUUUCUCAUGUACAUAUAUAGAAGAUAAGAUAGGCACAUGUACAAGCAAACUUAAAAUCUCAUUCUUGAGAGCAGUCAAAAACCCCAAAUCUCUAAUAUAAUGAGCAGCAACCCUAAGGCUUGAUAAAAAAAAAAGAGGGAAACAAACCCAUAAGGUAAACCUAAAAUCUCAACAAACAGCUCCAAAACUUUCAAUUUUGCUAGCAAUCUUUUAUCCCUUUGGAUGCUCUCACAUACUAUAAGCAACCUAACCCCAUCAGGAGUUUAGGACUUGUUCAGAACCUUCUCAAGUCUUAAACCUAAGGGUCAUAUUUAGAUAUAAUUAUCUCACACUCCCCGCAACUCAUGAAACUUGAAUUGGAGGCACAUUGAAGCAGCAAUUGCAAAUUCCCAAGAGGUGGUGAGAGUUAGUAAAUGUUGAUUGUUGGGUUAAAACAAAUGCAAAGAGAAUAGAAGAUCACUGAAAUUAUAUGUUAUUUGCAUUUUAAGGAUCUUUAAUUUUAAAUUUUUAUUUCUUAACAAGAUGAUGACAUGUGGUUCACUGAUAGUAUAGGAUAUAUACACAAACAGUGCAUCAAAUAUAAAUUUAUUUAACAAUUACCUUACACUCUUCCGUCUUUCCUCUCUCACCAAACAAGAUAACUAGGAAAAUUAUCCUUAUCCUGUCAUUAAGCUAACAAACUAAGACAUAAAAUCAUCUCCACUCAACUCUCUUUAUCUUCCUAGAUCACCUUCUCCCUCCAUCUAAGCUCUCAAAGGCAUGCAAAGGCAUUAAAAUAUCCAUCUGCUAUGCUAUUAUCCCAAUGCAAUACCACCCAAGUUGACUCUGAAAGUCAACAACCAGAAGAUACCCGACAUGUAUCCAAAAUUAUCCGAGCACAAAACAACUCAGACCUGAAAAAUACAAAAAACCCAAAACGACUAGAAACCUGUAACUACCUAAUGCCAUAACCGGAAAUGACCCCAAUUGUAACUUAAUGACCUUUUACAAAAUGCAAAAUGAUCAAAUUAUGAAGUUAUUUUUCCCCCUUAAUUAAAAUUAAUAUAAACUUGUUUGAGUAGGAAGAGACCACAAACUAGAAGAAAGAAAGGGAGGCUUUUUGUCAUUUCAAGAAGGGAAAAAAAAAGAAAAAGAAAGAAAGAAAGCACAUAAGCUGGCUGAGUUGGCAGCCAUUCUUUUUCAUUUUGGUUCUCAUUCAACCUGCCUCUUUCCAUUUGGUUUUGAGUUGUUUUUCUAAUUAAAGGGUUUUACACUUUUAUGUUUUGAAUAUGGAUAAACAUAUCUACUACUAAUCAUGAGCUGAGAUAUAAAUUAAAAGUAGAUUAAUAUUAUUGAAUCAAUUAGCUUAUAACUUUUAAAUAUAUGAUUUCUUAUUGUUUAUAGUAAAUAUUAAGAUUAGGCCCAUUAAAUUAUAACCAAUUAUACUUAUUAACUUUAAUAAAAAAAAUAUAAAUUCCUUAUAUAUGAAACUAAUAGUCAAGUGUUAAAAUAGAGUCAAAACAACUUAAUAAAUGCCCCAAUGGCAAAUGUUAAGAUUAUACCAACAUUGCAUCAAUAAUCAAUUAGUUUUAAAUAUCAUCACUUUGUAUAAUUUGUAAGUAUUAACAUUAAGUCAAUUAAUUGACUAAUUUAACUCAUAUCACUUGUUUUCAAUAAUGUGGUACUCUUUUUAACAAUGUCUAUUGUUCAACAUUCCAGCUGAAUUAUACAUUAAAAAAAUUCUAACAGGAAACUUUCAAUCAAACUAAUACAUCUAAAAAAACAAAUAAAACCAAGACAAGUCAUUUUUAGGACUCCACUACAAUCUCGAUACCAAGUUAGAUCAGCCUUGAAUCAAACAUUUUAACUAUCAUUAUUUGCUCUAAUUCUUAAGCAUAAAGAUUAGACCAAUUAAUUAGUUAGUCUUGUUGAGUUAUUUUUAAUAAAUAGUUUUGUUUUUAAUAAUAUUCAUUAUUUAAUGUUCCAAUGGAAUUUUUACAAUUGGAUUACACAUCUAAAAUUUUUAAAACCAAAACAAUUAACAUUAUGGAUUAAUUAUGCACUUGGUAGCUGAACUAUAAUCAAAUGUUCAAUUUAAUAUUUAAAGUUUAAAGAUGUACAUUUAGGUAAUAUGAAUUUGUUUUCAUUAACCAUAUUACACAUCCCACUAACUCCUUUAAGCCUAUGUAUGAUGUGUCUCAUAAAGCCAAUAAACGUGCCAAGUGUCCAUAUAAUGCCAUGUUCUUAGUGAAAAUUUCCCUCUCUUUAACCCAUGGCAUGGUAAUGGACCCCACUGAUAAUGUGGCAAAAUGGCAUGGCAUUGUAUGAACACUGGCGUGAUUUAUUGGCUAUUUGGGACACACCAAACUUUGGCUUAAUAGAGACAGUGGAGAUGUCUAAUAUGGUUAACAGAAGCAAGAUUCAAGUACCUAAUUGUGCAUUUUUAAACUUUACGUACCAAAGUGAAUAUUUAACUAUAGUUCAAGUACCAAAUGCAUAAUUAUUAACUAGCAAAAUAUUUAUUAUUCUAUAUAAUUAUAGAAAAAAGCAGACUUCUUAUUAUCAUUAUUUACUUUCAGCUAACUCCAGACUUUUUAUUUCUUCUUUUUGGUUUUUUUCAUUUUGGUGGUUAAGUUGGAGGAUUCAUACUCAAGACCUCUAUUUGCAAGUUGGAUGUGGCUACAAUCAAGCUGUUACCUUGACCUAAGCAGGAGUUAUUUUAAUAAUAAUAUUUCCACAAAGUAUUUUACAAAUUAAAAAUAACAGGAACUAGAAAGUAACUUCCAAUACCUGCCUGUCAAAGAUAUUAUCUCUGGCAAAUCAACCGGUAAUAAGUGGGCAUCUGAAGAGAGUCAUCAAGGAGAAGAAAUUAAACUCUGCCACUUGCACUAUAAAGCUUCAAUCUACAACUAAAACAAUAACAUCCACAGAAACUGGUUUCAAAUAUUAAAUAUCAAAGCAUGAACUUUAUAAAAAACCAAGUUGGUAAGCAUGCUCAAAUACUUUGCUUUAAAAGCACGUCCAGCCAAUCUCCCUUGUAUUAUUUGUCUCUGACAUCUAGGUCAACAUGGUAUAAUGAGCUCUCAACAAUUGUGGAAAGUGUUUUUCACUAAAAUUUCUAAAACCAUAAGAAUGGCAAUUGUAGGCGUCAUUGGCAUUUUAAAGUUUUUAUGGUUUACCCACUCGUCUCAAUUAAAAGGAUGGCUUAAAUAAGAGAGAGAGAGAGAGAGAGAGAGAGAGAUCUGAUCGGUGGAGAGAAGAUAUAUUACUGAAAUGUUAGAUAUUUAUUGAUAAUUUUUGAAGAAACACACAUAAAGAUGGAACUUAUUGGUGAUCUUAAGGUGCUUAGCAACAUGUCCGGUCUUAAAUUUUAGACAAAAUGAUCAACUUCCUAAAAUGAAAUUAUGUCCAGUAAAAAGCAAACAACAUUAAAAGUAAAGUAGAGUUUUACCUUGAAAGAAAAGCAAAGUUAAAAGAAAGAAAUAAAGAAUUUGAAAAUAGAAAGAUCCAAUCUUGCCUGAAGCAAAUGAUAGAAUACCACAGAAGUAAGAAAAAAUUAAACAGAAAUGCAAUGUCAAAGUAUGCUGCUGAGAAGGCCAACUAAACGAGCGUGUGCAGUUCCUCUACCCACCACAGGGAAGGCACAACACCAAGUGCAAACAAAGAGGGUGGGAGAAAAGGGAAACUUUUUUCUUAUUUCUACUUUCCAAAAAGAAAUUAUCUGUCGAAUGUAAACUACAAUCCUCAAUAUCACCAAUACAAGACCAAAAUUUGAAAGCUCAUUAACACCAUGUUUGGGAACCAUGAGGAGAAGGGAAGGAGAGGAAAGGGAGGGGCAAGGAGAGGGUACAGUUCCACUUGUUUGGAUACCAUAAAAAAAGAAGGGAAAGGGGAGGGAGGGGUAAAUUACCAACCUUGUUUGGUUCAUGAGAGAAAGAGAAGGGAAUGACAACUUAUUAUGUCAUAUUACUAUUUUAUUCUUAUAACUUCAAAAAAAAAAAUAAUAAUAAUAAUAAGGUAAUUUUGUCUUUGCAGUAAAAAAUUUUAAUGAAAAAGGAGAAAAUAAAAAACGAAUGUAACAAAUUCUUUUCUUUUUUACUUUUUUUGUGGAUAGCAAAUUCUCUUAAAAACGAGAAAAUAAAAGAAGAGAAAAGAAAAUGAAGGAAAAGAAAGAAAGAAUAGAACAUGAACCAAAAAUGAUAUAAAUAAAAUGGUAGCAACUUUGUAAUCACAGUAUUAACAACAAUAAAAAAUGGUAAAAGAAAAAAAACUCAGAAACAGGGGGAAACCCCAAAAAUAGAAAAACUCAAAAACUAAAGCCCAAAAGAAAUAACAAUCCUCGUCAAUAUUUAUACUUCGAUUUUCUCUUUGUUCCACAUAAUUACAUGCAAGUUUCCUAUUCCACCGCAAAGCUUAUAUUGAUGGAUGGCAGCAAUUCUUUACAUAUAGCUUACAUACCCAAUGAAGGAGGCUUUGAUGCAAAGUGUAUAGAACCCAACGUUGAGGACCUAGAGAAAGCAAGCAGGACCAUACGACCAUCAGGAUCCCAGGUUGCACCCUGACAACAACACACAAUUGAUCACUUAACAAGCAAAUUCUAAUGUCAUAUCAGUCAUAUCCAACAGAAUCCUGUUUAUGAUAAAAUUAUAAGAACCACAAGCUGACAAACUAUAAUGCAUCAAUAACUAUAACAAUAUAGGACUUUAUCCCCUUCGAGGUAAUAAAAAGAGAGGUCAAAUAUUAGUAAAAAAGUAUAUUAGUUUUUCCAAAACAAUGCCAUGAAAAUAUAACCCUUUCAUACUCCAAUAUACUAGCAACCAAGCAUGCAAUGCAAAUGGUAAAAUGGCAUACUGUUAUAUUUACCGAUCACUCCGCUCCAUCUAAAAUUUUGUCAACUAUCUUCAAGAGUGAAUUAGAUAAGUUAAAGGGCAAAUUGAAUUGCUUUGACUAGUUAGAAGGAUUAAAACAUGAAAAUGACAACAAGGGGAGCUAGAUGAGUAACAUGUAUUGCCAAUGAGCAAUGAUAGUAUCCCAUCUGAAUUAAUUAUUACAACUACUAGAGGGAACUUUUACAUAAGAUUCACAUGGAACAUAUAACAUUUUCAUAGAAAGAGGUUUUUGAAUUAUAUAAAGGUAGCAAUUCUUUUAAUGAAACAUAAUAUGAUCCGAAAUAAAUUGAAUGGAUUAUAUGACCAGCUUCACUUCUACACCACUAAUGUUAAAAGCAAGCUAAGUCAAUUAUGCACCAUUCAAUGCCAUUUGCAAGCAUAGUUUAGACAUUUUUAUACUCAAAGUUAUCACGAAGAAGUAUACCCAUAAGGAAAAUUCUGAAGGAAAGAUGAACUCAUAACAUACUUACCAACCUGAACAUACGGUUUUUAAUUCCAAACUACAUAGCUUAAGUUUGAAGAACAAAAGGUGGAAACUGAAUACCUUUUUGGAAAAUUACCAUAAAACUCAGAAUCCAAGAGAAAAUUGAAACAGAUAAUAAAAUGAAAAAAGUGUAAUAAUGAUUCAAGCAGCUAUUAGACAACAUCUCUAUGUCUAGCGAACUGUAACCUUUAAUAAACAAUGUUCAAUGAUUUAAAAAUGAUAUCACUUACCGUGACAAAACCGCUGGAUGAAGACCACGGUUCAGAUGUCCAUGUGUUUGUCUCCCAGAGGUAAAAGGUUCCAUCACUGCAACAGGACAGAGACUUUAGCCUAGAUGUUUGGUUAAAAUUAGACAUAAAACAUCGCAAAGUUUAUGUCCAUACAAUUUUCCAGCAAAAAAGUAAUCUCCAGUCGGAGACCAUUUAAGCACUGAUGUUCCCCCUAAUCCCCGUCGGAUGGGUGUCCCAAUACCUGGAAAUUACAAGAAAUAUCAUUACUCCAAAAUAAAGACUAAAAUCUCCAAAGAAAUAAUGCCUACAUGAACAUAAAUAUUUAAGAUGACAAUAGAAACUAUAUCCAGGCAAACUGCUUAUACUAUGAUGAUCAUUUAGGUUUGUCAAGGAAGAAAUUGCAAAAGGUAUCCAUUAACAGCACUUCACAUCAUCUUCAAAUCUAACAGCACGUAAAUAGUCCAAGGUCCUCUAGAUGCCCUGCAUCAGUAUAUAUUUCAUGUUGUAAUUUCCAACCAUCUUGCACAUUCUGUUGCUCAUAAGACUGAAUUGACGAGAAUGAACAAUGAUGAGUCUUGGAGGAAUUAGUAAUUAUACUCUUGUUAAAAAACUAACUACGUAAAGGUUCCAGAAGCAAAAGAGUACAAAGUGGAUAUAUCUUGAUUAUAAAAAAGUAUGUUCAAACAACAAGUUGAGUGCACAAUGAUUUAGGACAGCUGGGUGCUUAGGGUUUUAUGGAAGCUUCUUGAAUUAUUAAGAAAAGAGAGGAAAUUGAAUGAAGAAGUCCUAAAGUUCUGUAGGAGUCAGACCAAAGGUUUUUUGUUUUUGUUCUUUUGUCCAAUGCUUGGGCUACACAAGAAGGUGUAACUCCCCAUUCUAUAAAUUGCCAAUAAGUUUAUCAUACCUAAGGUUGAGUGCAUCAUCACAAUCAAAUGCACCAGAAAUUCUUUGAUAGUAAUUUUAUCCUCAAAAGAAAGAUUGCAUACAUAUAUGUAGACUCCUAGCAUGCAUAAUCUAAUAAGAACUAGCACUCCUAAUACAACAUCAACUUCAACGAAUAUUUAGACUCUCCAAUUAGGAAGCUAUCCAAUUUAGAAACCAACCUAUACGGAAACUUCAGUAAGAACAACUAUAAAUAUAAAAACAAGAAUAAGACUAUAGACUUAAAACCUGAAAUCUCCAACAAACUAAAAAAAAUACCCAACACUUAAAGUUCUAAAAAAAAAAAACCUGCAACCUUGAACUUAAAGAAUCAGAAACAAACUACAAGGUGUUGACUUAAAAUUAAUAAUAUUAAAAAUAUAAAAAAAAAAAAACCCUGCAACCUUUAACUUAAACAAUCAUAAUUUAAAAAAAAAAAAAAACCAACCUUAAGAAUUAUAAAGAAUCAUAAUUUAUUUAAAAGUAACUAAUCAGCCUAUCCAAACUCCCAACUAAGUUCAUCAUCAACCGAUAUGUAUCAAAUUACAGGGUGCUUCAUCGAAAGGGUUACGAUUGCUUGUUAACAUUUGAAUUAAAAAAUAGUUCAAGAGAAACUAACUGUCAUAAAUAUACCUUGGGCAACAUCCCAAAUUGUGAAUGAUGAGCUUUCAUAUGAGGCAGAGGCCAAAUACGUAGACAAACGUUAUGGAAAACAUUUGAAUAGUUAAAUAAACAACAUUUCUACUCCUACCUUCAACUCCCAAGCAUAAUCUUGUUAAUGAAUUAUAGCAAUAAAAGAUAAAUCAAUAUCACAAGAGUAUUCAUUUCUGGAUAUCUUCCAUCAGGACUCCAAGAAAGUGCACUUAUUUGUUCAUCAUGAGGACUUCGAAAAAAAUCCACCAGAGUCCACCGAGUCCCAGAGCCUCUAGAGAGUGCCCCUAAGAAUGAAGCAGAACCAGAUCUAACUGAUGCUGCAUUCCCUGGAUAAGAUGCCGCCCAAAUGCAAAUUCCACCCCUGAAGAUCAAAAAAGCAUUGAGAAGUUAAGCAUAAAAUAUCAACCGUAUUUGAGUUAAACGAAUAUAUUAUAAUUUUAAUAACAACUUGGAAAAACAGGAUACUUGCUUGCAUGCCACAGAAAGCAACUUUCCACCAUUUGGCCUCCACUCUAGAACUUUAACAUCUCUUUGGGAGUCACUUGUUAAAAUGCAUGGCUCCUUCCCUGCUGUUCAAAAUAUUCAAUAUAAAAGUAACAUUUGUAUGCAUCUAAAAGUGGCCAAGUGAAGUGAUUUUGUUUCACAAAAAAGAAGGAACGAAAACUAGGAGAGAACCAAACAAAGGAUAAAAAUAAGUUAAUGACAUUUUGCACAGAAUAAUAUAAUAAGUUGCCCACCGGAAUCUUCAUAAUCACGAACAGUAACUUGAUUCGAGGCAGAGAUAAAUGCAAGGAUAUGUUUGUGUUGAUGCCAGCUCACACCUUGGAGAGCAACUUCUGGUAACAAAUCAAUCUAUACAGCUUAUCAAAUGAGACUGCAGACUUGAAAAAUUAAAACCACCUUCUCUUUCAACACUAUUUGUGCAUGCGCUUUCGAGAGUAACUAAAACAAUUAAACUAUCUCUAAGAUAAAUAAGUCAGAUAAAUAGGUAAUCAACUAUGGUUAUCAAAUCUCUUCAUGGUAUACAAAUAUCUUCCUAGGCCAAUCCAAGAAAGAUUAACUGUGUCUGACAAGCACUUGGUAUAGCCUGUAAGCAUUAGCACAUAAAAAACCAGCAUUGCUAUUUAAAGAUAAGAAUUUCACAAUAAAAAAGGUUUUAUUUAAAUAAUGAUUCGAGGACAAAAAUGCUGGUUCUCAAAUAAGUGUUAUUCAGAUUAAUGGCAUUGCCAUUUACGGGUGGCCCUUCAAGGUAAAGCUCAUGGUAGUUCAACAAUUGCAGGAGGGAAAAAAGGUGAUCAACCAGGUAACAAAUUUAUUAUAAUAUUGGCCAAAAAAUUAUCAUGCUGGCAUAUUUCUGAUUGUAUGGAAGAAAGCUUUCAAAUUAGAAGUAUAAAAUAGAUUAAUUUUGGGCAACUCUAACCAUCAAUUUAUAUCCAACAACUACUAAAACAAACAUUAUAGGUAUAUGAGAAAACGCUUAAAAAUAUAAAUCGUGAAAGAAAUAAAAACUCACAUCAUUAGGUUGAAAAAUGUGUUUGAGGGAGCUAGCAAUCAUUCCCUGCAACGAGAUUUUAUAAGUGAAAACUUACUAGAAAAGAGAGGAAAAAGAUAUUCCAGUAGAAAGGAAGGAAGCCCACCAAUCCUUUGGGUUGAGAGUUGGCGGCAUUUGUCGUGGGUUGAGGUUGCGUGGGAUCCUCCACCGACUGAAAUGGAACCGGACUGAACACCAUUCCCUGUACAUAGCCAAAGAUUGAAAUUCCAGAUAUGACGAAUAUUCAAGCAGCAAAACUAAUAUAUUAACAACGUACAAGAAGCUUUCCGUAAGUGUCCUUGGCUCCAUCAUCCGACAGGGCCUCCGCAGCAACUGCAUAGUAAUACUGUAGCUGUUAACCAUUUAAAAAGGUACAAAAAAUUGGGAGCGAGGUUUCUGGUAUUUCUGUGUACUAUGUGGAUGAGAGAAGGAGAAAGAGGUACCUAAAUCUCGGUUGAUUUCACAGAUGGUAACCGACCCAGGCUGUGGAAACGAAGGCAUUGUCGCCGACUCUUUCCUCCUUUGUUGUUUCAAAGCGGAACGAAAGAAAGAGGAGUAAGAAGUUUUAAGUGUCAACCGGGCAAGUCUUGUACUAUAAUUUUUUCACCAAUUUAGUCUAUUUAUUUCAAAAUUGGUCAAUUUAGUCCUGUUCUCUACGAUUUUGUGCGAUCAAUUUCUCUACCUCUGUCCAAACUAUUAAAGGUGUUAAUAAAAUGAUGACAUGUCAAAUGAUGCUAACAUAGCACUGAUGUGUCAGACCAAAAAAGAUUUGAAAAAAGAAAUUUUACUAUAUCAAUUUCUUUGUGCCAUGUAAUAAAGACCACAUUAAACAAAAUUGUAGAGUAUAUGAACAAAAUUUGAGAUAUUCAUGUAUGAUUUUUGGUUUUUUAUAAUAACAUAAAGAUAAUUCUUUAUCCAUAAGUUUAUAGUUUAAUCACUAGUUAUGUUUAUGUAGAUAAAGCCCAAUGAAUUAUAUGCCUUGCAAAAAAUUGAAUAUAGAUGCAAUUAUGAGAUCCUUAUACAUCAAAGCAUUGUUCAUAAAGAGUUCCUGAUCAUUGUAUUAUCGAAACAAUGUAUCGAUAAUACUCAAAGAUUAGCACAUGCUAUGUUUCCUACUUAUAAAGUAAGCAUCCGAUCUUAUAAGUUAAAGUAUAAGAAAACUUGAAACUAGCAUUUGGGUGCUUGCCUUGAAGAGCAAGUUUACUUAGCAUCACCUGACAUGAGAAGUGCAUUUGGUAUCUCACUCAAAUGUCUAUGCAAUACUUUUUAUAUGUCAAUCUUAUAAGUACUCAUUGGCCUUAAGACACCAAGUUAUCUUAUAUGUGAAGUGCUAUACUUUGAUUUCAUCCCUACAAUCUUACUAAGAAUGCCCAAAUAGGAUGUUGUUGGGUAUAGCAUGAAGCGUGUGAAGAAAAAUGAGUAAUCAAGAUAACAAUCAUUACCCAAAGUGAUUUAAGGGACAUAUCUUGAUUGUUUUUUAUUAAUAUCAGCUUAUUGAAGUUCUUAGCUAAGACGAUUUAAAGAUUAUGAAAGAAGUUUCAUGAGUCUCUAUAAAGCUAAUGAUCUUACUACAAGAACGAACAUGGAGAUAGCUAAGAGUAGACAUUAUACUAUGCUCUUAUCAUCUCUAAAAUAUAUGAUAAGAGAAUGAAUUACACUAAUAGAUUGUAGAAUAAAAAGUUAGUUAAACCAUGUUGACUUUCUUAACAUUUAGGUGGUCAUAAUAGAUGCCAAUCUUGGUCUAUAGGAUUGAAUUAAUCAUUUGAGAAUUGAUAAUGAAUAUAAUUCACUGAAUCCUUACUUAUUAGGAUUAUAAUUCAAAUCCAUUGCCAACUUGUUAAGAUCUUAAUGGGUCAUACUCAUAAGAUCACUAUGAUAAUAUUGAAAUGGGGUUUUACAAUUAAGAAAGACUUAAUUGAAUAAAGGUUAUGAACUUUUAUUGGGCUUAAUUAAAAUGUUUAAUUAAGCUAUGGUGUCAAAUACUUAAAUACUUAAAGUUAUGUGGUGAUAACUAAAAGUUACUUAAGUAUUAACCCUAAUUAUAAAUAUAUUGUUUUAGACCAAAAUUAGUGUGCUUUUCCUCCUAGUCUUACACUAGCUGUUAGGUACGACAUUAUCAUAUUAAAAACGCAACGGAAUAGAAAAAAUAAAACGCCACACCUACCUCGGAUCACCUUGUUGUUUUUAAUGUGAAUAGAACAUUAUGAGAUAUGCAACCAGAAUUAAUUAUCCUGCCAAAUGAUAUCAUAAUCAAACGGGUAUCCUCUUAAUGCUUAAAACCCAUGUACACUCCAAUGUGUGUAAGACCCUAAGCCACUUAAUCGCUUGGCCUCUAAUGGUGCAUGCAUAGCCGCAAUGGAAUCUUUAGCGAGAUGGGAACUUCCAACCACACUUUUAUGCCAGCAAAGUAGACAACAAAUUGUCUUUCUCUUCCUCUCUUAGUCUCUAACCAAAUCACACAAGAAACUCUUUCAAAAGGCCCUCACAAGGAAUGGCUACACUAAAGAGAAUUGUACUAGUUUUUUGUAAGACUAAAACUAAUAAUCAGAAGUGGUUGAAAAGAUGACUUUAUACCUAGGUUAAUUAACUUAUUAAGUUUGUUAAUAAGUCCUGAAUAUUAUAACCUCUUAUAAUAUUGACCUUAGCACUUAAUAAAACCAUUUUAAUUAAGUCUUUAUUAGUUAAUUAAACUAGUUUAUGAUUUAAGUCCCAACUUAAGUCAUCACAUUCCCAAUUAAAUCUAUAAUGCAACUUUAUGUGUUUGACCCAUUAGGUUUACUAACAUGUUGGCAAUGAAAUUAAAUUAUUAUUCUUUAUUGAUUAAUUUAAAUGAAUCCAAUUCAUAUUAAAUUAAUCAAUUCAAUUCCAUAAAACCAAGAUUGUCAUCUAGCAAUGCAUUGGGCACCCAAUUGUUAGGAAAGUCAAAAGGUUUUUUGAUAACCUUUAAGUGUACAGUUUAUUAGUGUAAUGCAUUCCUUCAUCAUAUAUCUCGGAGAUAAUAAAAGCUUGGGCAGUGUCUUCUCUUAUUGAUCUCCAUAUUUGCUCAUAUAGUUAGAUCAUUGGCUUUAUAGAGACUUAUGUAACUCAUUUCAUAAUCUCCUAAUCACCUUGGCUAAGGAUUUGAUUAAGCUAAUAUCAACCAAGAACUAAUGAGAUAUUUCCCCUUGAAUCACUUAGGGUGAUGAUUGCUAUCUUGACCAUUCAUUUGCCUUCAUAUGCUUUAUACUAUACUCAAAAGCAUCUUGAUUUGGCAUCCUUGGUAAGACCCAUAGAGGUGAAAUCAAAGUAUAGUACUUCACAUGUAAGACAACCUAGUAUCUCAAGUCUAAGGAAUAGUUACACAACUCACACAUGAGAAGUAUUGCAUAGACACUAUAAUGAGAUACCAAAUGCACUUCUCAAGUCAAGUCAUGUUCAAUGAGCUUGCUCUCCUAUGGCAAGCACCCACAUGUUAGUUCUAAGUAUCUAUUACUUCAACCUAUGAGAGCGAUUACUUACUUCACAAGUAAAGAACAUAGCACAUGUUGAUCUUGGAGCAUUAUUGAUGCCCCGUCUCAAUUAUACAAUGAUCAAUAACUUUUAGAAACAAUGCUUUGAUGCAUGAAGAUAUUAUAAUUGUAUCAAAUACAAUUCCUUUGCAAGGCAUAUAUAGUUCCUUGGGCUUUAUCUACAUAAAUAUAAAUAGUAAUUAAAUUACAAACUUAUGGAUAAAGAACUACCUCAAUGUUGUUAUAAAUAACAAAAUGUUAUACAUGAAUAUCUCAAAUUGUGAUUCCCAUAAAAUCGCAAAUUACAUUAUAAGGCUCAUACCAACACUAGCUGCACAUUGUAAGAGCAAAGAGAAAAGUUCUCUUCUCCUAAGUUCAGCCAAAAGAAGGAAAUGGAAAAAACUUGAGUUUUUGAAAACACCUUUGCUAGCACAAGGUCUAGUCACAAAUAGCCCCAACCUCUUGAAAAGGUUCUAAUUCAUAGUAAUCAUGUGGAUUAUGUUGGACGUUGAACGUUUAGACGACAUUAGUUUGUGACUAUUGGAACUUAGUGUGCGUUCGGUUGGAAAAGAGUUUUUACUGCCCUCUAUGAAUUCAUACAUCUUAAGGGCUAAGGUAAAAGUAUUUCCUUUUAUGUUUUUGUCUAUUGGCUGGCCAUGGUGCUCCAUGGUGAUGCUUGGUUUGGGUUCUUAGGUUUUAUUUUUCGUUGCGUUUGUUUUUCAUUUUUCUUGAAAUUGCAUGAUCUUGAGGCAUCCCAACACUAGAUAACUCCAAUCUUGAGAUAAUUCAAAAUAUGGUGAAUCUAAUUUCCAUCCUUUCAGUUCAAGACUCCAAUCGGGCCUUGGUGUGCAUUUGGAUGGAAAAGAAUCUUUUCUGCGCUCUAUGGAUUCGUACAUCCUAAGGGUGAAGAUAAAACUAUAUCUCUUUUUAUGCUUUUGUUUGCUGGUCGCCCAUGGUGCAGUGAUGUUUGGUUUGGGUUCUCGAGUUUUAUUUUUGCUGAGUUUGUUUUUCAUUUUUCUGAAAUUGCACAAUCCCGAGGCAUCCCAACACUUGAUAACUCCAAUUUAACGAUAAUUCAAGAUAUGUUGAAUCUAAUUUCCACCCUUUUAGAGACUUUUUUCAAAAUUGGAUGCCCCGCAUCUAUAAGGCUCGAAUUCUUUUCAAAUUUAAAAUAGUUUACCACCAUCAAGGACCUUACUUAAUAAAAAGCUUAGUCCAAUUCCAUCUCAAUUGCUAGCUUGUACACAUUUGGCCACCUAUAAUUCCACCUCAGCUUUGUUGCUAUUAAUAAUAAUGUAAAACUAAAAUAAGUAAUUCAAUAUAAACUUUAAUUUUUUUCCUCAUCAAAUAAAUCAAUUUAAUGAAAAUCUUUCAAUAGAAUUAGAAUUUUUUUUAUCAAUUGUAUAAAUUUUAUUAAUAUUUAUUAUAAAAAUAUUUAAAAUAGCAAUUUAAAAGUAUAGUAAAUAAAAUGUUCAUUUUUGUCAAAUCAAAAGUUUUAUUAAUAUGUAUAGAUAGUUUGUACAUUUUUAAUACAAAUGGAAAGAUAAUGAUUUCUAACUACUAAAGAAGAACCUUUAAUGUGUAAAAAUACAUUUUUGGUAUAAAUGUAAUGCUAAACAAAAAAUUGUAGAAAUAUCAAAUUUAGUCCCUAUACAAUAGAGCUUUAUUCAAUUUAGUUCUUGUAUUAUAGAAUUUUGUUCAAUUUAGUUCUUAUAUUAUAGAAUUUUGUUCAAUUUAAUUUCUGUACUCUAUAAUUUUAUUUAAUUUUGUCCUUAUGACGUGACACAAAGAAAUUGAUGUGAAAACAAAACGGUUAAAGUACCCAAAAAGUCCAUGUACUAAUGCAUUUUCGUCAAUUUAGUCCAUGUAUUCAAAAUUUUGUCAAUUUAGUAUCUUGAUUUUGGGAAUUAUAACAAUUUAUUCCCUCACUUUAACACCGUUCAAUUUUACCAGCAAAGGUAAUGAUGUUAGUGCUGAUGUGAUAGAUUUUGCUGACGUUUCCAUGAGGUGAGAUAAAGAUUCUAAUUGGGCACUACCACAUCACUCUAACACGUUGAUGUGGCAAUGCCACGUCACUUUGGCAUUUGACGUGGUAGUGUCACGUGACAUUGACAUGUUGCCAUGGCAAAUCAAGAAAAAAUUUUCCAAAAAAAAAAAAUCUAGGUCACGUCAUAGGGACUAAUUAAACAAAAAUUUAUAGUACAUGGAUUAAAUUGAAUAAAAUUGAGGUGUUUAGGGACAAAUUUGAAAAACACAAUUCUUUGAGUAAAUGAUACAUAUACUUAUUAAUAAGCCAAAUGUCUAAGUGUAAAAGAUUUAUGGUGUUAAGAAAUAAAUAUGAAUGUUUUCUUUGUUUAUUAUUUGAUUCCAUAACAGGCACAUUAAUUUAUCUUCUUUACAAAAUUUAGUUUGAAUUCAUUUUCUAUAAAUAAAUUCAAUAUUUUAUAGAGUUAUUUUUAUAAAUAUCAUGAUAAAAUCAUUAUCACUUAAAUUUUCCCUUUUUUAUUAAUCUUGAUAUUAUUUUUAAUGAAAUUAAUUCAUAAUCCAUUUAUAAAAAGAAACAAAAAGAUUUAAUUGUCUUUUUUAAUAUAUGUGUGAAAACCAAAGUAAGCCCAUUAAAUGCUUAAUGACAAAAUAAUUUGCCAAGAAAUCAUCUCAUUUAUGAUGCUUACAUUUGCAUUUGUUGCAAACACUUAUAUGUUAAUGUUUUUAGAACUGUGAUUAGAUGGUCCAAUAUUCCAAUUUGCAAUCCAUUUUAAUUUUGUUAAAUUUAGUCCAUGUAUUAUACAUUUUUGUUCAAUUUAAUCUUUAUGAUGGGAUCCAAAUUCUUUGUUUUAAAUUUUUUUUUCUUGAUCUAUCGCGUCAGCAUUGCCAUGUGGCAUUGUAAACAUGUUAGAGUGACAUGGUACUGCCAUGUUAGCAUGUCAGAAUGACAUGGUAGUCCCACGUCAAAAUCUUUAUUUCAUUUCAUGUGUUGGUCCCAAUAAUAUGUGCUAGAAUGGGGGUGAAUAGCAUAAUUUGGCUCUUUCAAAAAUUGUCUCUAAGUAUAGACAAAUGUAAGAUAAAUGAAAGAAAGAAAAUAAAACAAAAAUAGAGUAAACAAGACAGCAGAAUUUAGAGUGGUUCGAUCCAAGACCUACAUCCACUACCUUGAUUAUCCAACCAAGGAUUUUUCAAAUAAUUCACUAAGAACUGGUGAAAUUCACAAGCUUUCACCAAGCUUUACAAUGGCUUUUAUCAGGCUCAGCCAAAACCUUUUACACUAGUUUUUCCCGGGCAUAACUAUAACCCAACUCCUAACUUUUAAGGCUAAGUUAGAACCUUAACACUUUCAAGCAAACCUAGCUUGAAACAAUCACUUAGAGUGACUCUCUCACUCUAAGAAUACAAAAAAAGAAGUAAAAGAAAGUACCUAUGAUCACAAGUUGAUCUAAAUGGUACAAGGUUGAGUGCAGAAUAUAAAGAAAAAAGAUGGGCGUUUAAGUGUAGUGAGGUGAAGAGAAAAUUUUCUGAUUUAUCAGCUCUUAAUGACUCAAAUCUCUUCCAAAACUUCCAAGAACUCGUGUCUAAUUGUUGGAAGACUUUUUUAUACUUGGAGAAACAUCUCUGAUGGUAGUUUGAUAGUUUUCUAGCCGUUGGAGACAGUUAGGAGUCGGUUCUAGCCGUUACUCUAUCUUUUAGUGCAAAUUUCAAACUUGCAAGCAAAAUGCUUUUAGUCGACUAACCGAUAUCUUAGUCGACUAAGUCGUCUCUGUUUUCUGCUUCCUGUCUUUGGCAAUUCUAGUAGUGGGCACUUAGUUGACUAACCCAUUUCUUGGUCAACUAAGUUGGUUCUAUCUUGAAGCCUAGAUGUUGGCAGUAGUUUCUUAGUCGACUAACUCACAUCUUGGUCAACUAAGUUGAUUCUGUUUCUCAAUAUUUUUCAGCCCGUCAUUUCUCCAAUUUAAAUUUUGGUCAACCAACAUUCUUCUUUAUUUAACCAAAGACCUUUUUUUUGUUGAUCAAUCUUUUUUCUUCAUUUUCAUGAUUUUUGAUAUACGCAUUUGAAAGGUUGAUUUAUUAUUUCCAUAUAACUUUUUGUGCUGCACACUUAGGUAGAAAUGUUAGAUACAAAUGAAAUGGGAAUGUUUUAUUAUCAUAAAAUACUAAUGGAGCCAACAAUCUCUCCAUUUUUUAUGAUGACAAAACAUUCCUUGGUUAAUAGCACAGUGUCCUUUAUUCUUUAAUUUCAGCAGAAAGUGAGGAUUGCUCCCCCUAAGUGUGUGCUCUCCCUUAAUGUGUGCAUAUUUAGCUUAUUCAUUUCAGUAGAUUUUAUUCAAGUCAUAUAGAAAAUGAUACCGUUCAUUCAGAGUAUAUAUAUAUACAGAUCUUUAAGAUAGUUUGCAGCAGAUGAAUGUUGAUAGUUUCUCAUCAAAAUUUCAACAGUGUCUGUCAUUAACAUAUUAUUACCAGAUUUUGUCAUACCAUUCAACAAUCAACAGAUACACUAUACUUAGCAUCCAUAUCCAUUCACAAACUUAAUUGAUAGUAAAGAUCAGUCAUCAGUAUGCAAAUCUCAACAUCAGUGUAGUGACAGACUUUCAUUAACAAUAGUUAAAAUGUCAUAAAUAGCAGAAUAUUAGCAAGGAUUCAAUUAUCAGCGGCAAUAUACUAUAAACAUAUCAGCCAAGUACCAUAAACAUAUAAAAAUAUAAACAACAAGAUUAGAGUUAAGUGUUCAAGUUACCAUCAUGGCACAAACAACAGAAAAAUAACAAAAAAGUUUAUAUUCCCAAAUUGCCCUGGUUCAUUUAUGCUUCCUUCAUUUCUUAAGUUCCUGGUUCCUCCACCCUAACAUUUUUUUUAAUUAAUUUCUUGGUUCCUUCUCACCCUAAGGUUUUGCCAUACUCCCUUUUUUUGUCAGCAUUAAAUCGAGGGGUUUCUAGUCAUCUGAGGUAUAAAAAGGUGUGGAUUCAAUUCUAUAAAAAGGAUUCAGAGGAAAAAGAGAAGGUUCUCGUAGAGGUGAUGAUUUUUUAAGGGAAGGUUCUGGUAAGGAUUUGUUAGAGACAUUGACUGGAUUUUGAGAAGAAGAUACCAGAGCUGGCUUGGAUUUUGCUGUAGUGGCUUCCUUCUCUUGUGAUGCUACUGUGACUUUUUGCUUCUCUUUCCCAAAUUUUACUUUUACUUUAGAAGCUGGUAUAGGUGCAUCCUGUUGAGCUUCUGUCUUUGUAGCUACUUUUUUAACCUGUUUCUCAGCUUGCUCUUCCCGGACCAUUUGUUGGAAGACAUCCAUAAUGGAUACUUCUUAUGAAUUUGGAGUAGAGGGCUACUGUUUCUCAGAUCCUGAACCAAUUACUUCUAUUCCCUGGUCUGACUUGUCCUUGCUUUAGUGUUCAGAUGAUGGAGCCUUAGUUGGUUUAUCAACAUCAUGAUGUGGGUCCUCUAUCUGAAGGACAGGACUGGCAGUUCUAUAAGUUGAGCCUUCAGUUUGAACACCAUGACUUACUUCAUGAGAAACAGAUCCUUCUGCUUGCACAUCUGAAUCCUUAACAGCUUGCUGUGUUGGUGCAACACUUGGUGUUUUAGAGGAAUCUACAACAACAGGUUCUGAUGACAUUUUCUCUUUUCUUUUCAAUUCUUUUUCUAGUUCAGCAAUUUUCUCUUCAAUUUCCUACAGUCUAGCUCCUUGAUCAGUGAGCUUUCCAUCUAUCCUCAUCAAGAGAUUGAAGACCAUUUCAUUGGAGAAUUAUGAGGAUGUUGCCUCUGACUGAGUUGGGAGUGAAGGUUCUCCUCUAGGAGUUACUUUGGGAGUUUCAACAUAAUUUUCUCCUUCAAGUUUGUAUCCCAUCUUAGAUAAACUCUCCAGGUAGAUAGAUUGAUCUUUGCUCUUUAUGUGAUUCAUUGCAUAUCUUGAACUCCAAAUCCCUUUUUUUUGGACCAGUGCAGUAAUGAUAUUCCCAUAUGGUAGAUUAAUCUUUUCCAAUCUACAGGCUUCUUUCAUUCUCUCAAUCAUAAAUCUUCCUAGGUUCAGUGGACUCCCAUUGAAGACAUGUUCCAUUAGCCAAAGGUCCUGCAGACUAAUAUAACUAAAGCUUCCCCCUGUUCCAUGAACAUUAGCAGCAAUGAAAUAAUAUUCAAAUUUGUGGACUAGUGAUCAAACCAACAUUUCUUUUACAAGAAUAUUUCUCUUUCUUUCCACUAAUCACUUCCCACAAGGAUAAAGGAUCUUAGUUUUCUUGGAACUCAAACUCAUUCUCUUCACACUCAAUGUUAAGUAAACUGCCCAAAUUAGUAGUAGUCUUAGUGAAUUCUUUCCCAUUUAAAAAUACAUUCAGACCAUCCUCAAGAUAAUCAUCCGGCUCCUCUAAUUCAUCCUUCUUAACUACUAUACUAGAAUAAAAUUCUUUAACCAAACUUGCACUAUAAGCUCGAUUCUUAAAAGUACUGAAAUAUUUUAGUUUCAUCUCCUUAAAAUAGUAUGAUAAAACUGCUUUAAAUUCAGGCACUUCAUUAAAAUUGUUCCAGUCAAUAAAUUUCCCAUAAGUAAUGGGUGCAUUUUUAAUUUUCUGGAACCUAUCCUCAUGAAUUUUGUUUCUAAAUUUGGAGGAUAGAGAUUUACCUUGCUUUGAUGUUUUUCCUUUUUUUUUUCUUCUUCUCUGUUUUUUAUUCUUUUUCCUUUUGCGACUUUCCAGAUUUUCCAUUCUUUGAUGUAAACUCGAUUUUCUGUUUCUUCUUCAGCAUUUCUGCUUCUGACCCUUUUACCAGUGAUCUUUUUCCUUUCUUCUUUUUAGUAAUUUCUCUACUCUAAGAAGUUUUUUCCAUUUUGAUUCGGAAAAUUUUUGACUGGGAUUCGAGGGUUUUGGUUUUAGCUAAGACAGUUUCAGAGGUGAGAAUGUAGAAAGACUGAGUUUCAGUUUUAGGGGAGAGAAAAUGUAAAGAAAGAAAAAAAAGUUGUCAGCAGUUUUAAUUUCACUUGGAAAACUGUUCGCCUCCCCCUUAAAGAUUGCCUCACUUUAUUUGCUUAAAAAUUUUAAAAUUCUCUCUAAAUUUGGUUAUUCUCCUAGGCGGUUUUUCUUCUUUCUUUAUUGCCCGGUACACAUUAUUUUAUUGUUUCUUCAUUUAUUUGGCUUAGUCUUAUUAUUUAAGACUAAUAGAGCACUUUUAGUUGACUAAGAUUCACCUUAGUCGACUAAAUGCAUUCUGUUUUAUGUGCAUAAGCCAAAAAUUUUCUCACAACUCUUACAGACUAAUCAUUCCUAAAUUCCUUUUAAUUUCAUAGAAGCUAUCUUCAUUUUGAGGUUUGGUAAAAAUAUCUGCUAAUUGAUGCAAACUAUUCACAAAUUCAAUCUUGAUAUCACUUUUCACUAUAUGGUCUCUAACAAAAUGGUGCCUAAUCUCAAUGUGCUUGGUCCUAGAAUGCUGCACAGGAUUUUUGGAUAUGUUGAUUGCACUUGUGUUUUCACAAAAGAUUGGUACAUUAUGAACUUUAAUUCCAAAAUCUCUCAGUUGUUGUUUGAUCCACAAAAUCUGAGCACAACAACUACCUAGAGAAAUAUACUUUGCUUCAACUGUUAAAAGUGCCACAGAGUUUUGUUUCUUACUUGACCAGGAUACUAGCAUACUUCCUAGAAAUUGGCAUGUUCCACUGGUACUUUUUCUAUCAGUUUUGCUUCCUGCAAAGUCUGCAUUCGAAUAGCCUACAAGAUCAAAUGAUGAGUCUCUAGAAUACCAUAAUCCUAAGGUUUGAGUUUCUAAGAGGUAUCUAAAAAUUCUCUUAACAGUUGUUAAGUGUGAUUCUUUAGGCUGUGACUAAAAUCUAGCAUACAAACAUACACUAAACUGAAUAUCUGAUCUGCUUACUGUUAAGUAGAGUAGUGAACCGAUCAUACCUCUAUAGAGCUUUUGAUCUACAUUCUUUCCUUUUCAUCUUGAUCAAGUCUAGUGGAUAGACUCAUUGGUGUGGAGAUUGGUUUCAGUUUCAACAUAUUGAACUUUUUGAGCAUAUCUUGAGUGUAUCUUUCUUGGUUGAUAAAGAUUCCUUUCUCACAUUGUUUGAUUUAUAGGCCAAGAAAGUACUUCAACUCUCCCAUCAUGCUCAUCUCAAAUUCACCCUGCAUUUCUUUAGCAAAGUUCUUGCAUAAAGCCUCAUUAGUUGCACCAAAUACAAUGUCAUCCACAUAUAUUUGAACAACAAUUAAAUCAUUCAUGUAUCUUUUAAUAAACAAAGUAGUAUCAAUGCUACCUCUAACAUAAACUUUUUUAACCAUAAAUUUUGAAAGCCUCUCAUACCAAGCUCUAGGAGCUUGUUUCAAUCCAUACAAGGCUUUAUAGAGUUUGUAAACAUGGUUUGGUUUUUCAAAAUCUUCAAAACCUGGUGGCUGUUCAACAUACACUUACUCUUGAAUGAAUCCAUUUAGAAAUGCACUCUUUACAUUCAUUUGGUACAACUUAAAAUUCAUGAAACAUGCAAAAGCUAGCAACAACCUUAUGGUUUCAAUCCUAGCAAUGGAUGCAAAGGUUUCAUCAUAGUCAAUUCCUUCUUCUUGGUUGUAACCUUGUGCUACUAACCUAACUUUAUUUCUAACUACAUUUCCUUGCUCAUCUACCUUAUUUCUAAACACCCAUUUAGUGCCAACAAUAAGGUGAUUUGAAGGUCUAGGUACUAGUGACCAUACACGAUUUCUUUUGAAUUAGUCAAGUUCCUUUUGCAUGGCCAUUAUCCAACUUUCCUCUUUUUCAGCUUCUUCAAAGUUUUUAGGCUCAAUUUGAGAUAUGAAAGCUGAAAAUUCACAACUCUCUCUAGUUGCUAUUCUAGUCUUGACACCUUGAGAGAUGUCACUUAUGAUUUGUUCUUGUGGAUGGUCUCUUGCAAAUCUUCAACUUCUUGGAAGAUCACUAUGCUGAUUUUUUGUUCUUUGCAAAUCUUCUAGAGGUUAAGUUUCAUCUUCUCUUCUAUAUGAUCUUUUUUCAUUAUUCUUAUUGUUCUCUAAGCUCAUUUCUUCCAUUUAUUUUUCUAGGAUUUCUACAUCAUCAUCAUCAACAUGAAUUUCCUUUUGUAAAGCAUUUGACUCAUCAAAAACUAUAUGGAUUGAUUUUUCAACGGUUAAAGUCCUUUUGUUAAAAAUCCUAUAAGCCUUUGAGUUUAAUGCAUAUCCUAAAAAUAUUACCUCAUCACUUUUUGCAUCAAAUUUUCCUAAGGGCUGUUUUCCAUUGUUCAAUACAAAACAUUUACAACCAAAACCCCUAAAGUGAGAAAUAUUUGGUUUCCUACCCUUGUAAAGUUCAUAUGGUGUCUUAGAUAUCAUGGCUCUUAUUGAGACUCUAUUAAGUAUAUCAACUGCUGUGUUCACUACCUCAGCCCAAAAAUAUUUUGGUAGGUUAUUCUCACAUAGCAUAGUCCUAGCCAUUUCCUUUAAGGUUCGGUUUUUCCUCUCUACAACUCCAUUUUAUUGGGGUGUUCUAGGUGCAGAGAAAUUGUGAUCCAACCCCUUUCAUUGCAAAAUUUCUCAAAUUCAUCACUUUCAAAUUCUCCUCCAUGAUCACUCCUUAUACUAACUAUAGCUAGUUCUUUUUCAUUCUUUACCCUCAUACAAUGACUUAUAAAUGCUGAUAGAGCAUCAUUCUUAUGAGCAAAAAAAAAACCCAAAUGUACCUAGAAUAGUCAUCAAUUAUUACAAAGCCAUAAGAUUUUCCUCCUAAACUAGUUAUGCUUAUUGGACCAAAUAGAUCAAUGUGUAACAAUUCAAGAGGUUUAGAUGUUGAUACAACUUUCUUAGCUUUAAAGGAUGUUCUAACUUGUUUUCCUAGUUGGCAAGCAUCACAUAUUUUCUCAUUUUCAAAUUUUAAAUCCGGUAGCCCAACAACUAAGUUCUUUCUAAUCAAUUUUGACAUAGUAUGCAAGCUUACAUGUCCUAAUCUUCUAUACCAUAACGAGCUGUUAUUUUCAGCAUUUACAAUAAGACAUAUUUCACUAUUUAUUUCAAGAUCCUCAAGAAAUACAACAUGCAUAUUCUUCAAUCUCUUUCCUAUAAAUGAGACUUUAUUUGUACCUAUGUCUAUUACUUCACACUUGUUUGAAUCAAAACAUACUUUAAAUCCUUUGUCACAUAAUUGACUAAUGCUCAAUAAAUUAUGCUUCAAACCCUUAACUAACAACACAUGACUAAUUUGAGUUUGGGAGUUCUUACCAACCGUACCUAUCCCAUGAAUUCUACCUUUGAAUCAUCACCAAAGGAUACGGUACCUCCCUUUCUUUUGUCUAGCUGAGCAAAUAACAUUUCAUCUCUUGUCGUGUUGUGAGCAGCCACUGUUCACGUACCAAGGCUGCUUCUUCUUGAGUUGAGCUCUUGAACAUGUCUCCUUUAAGUGCAGCUCAACCUACAAAACAAAAUUUCAGUUUUUCUUUAUAGGUACCCAUACUUUGAUGAGUCCUUGAGUGUUAGUUGCAAUAUAGGAUCCUUUAGGGACCCAAAUUUUUCUAACUUUUUGUAGGUUACUUCUUUUAAAGUAGUCAUAUGAUAUAUGUCCGUGUUUUCCACAACUAUAACAUUUAGGUGCAGCAUUAUGGGGAUUUUUCUUAAAAUAUGUGUUCCUACUUAAUGUUUUUCCUUUUGAACAUUUAAGAGUUGAGUUUUCAUCAAGUGUUUUUUGCAAAGCUUUUGAUUUAUUUUCCAGCUCUAGUUUUGAAACAUCAAAAUCUGUUUUUGAGUGUUCUAAUUCAAUUUGUAGAAAAUUUCUUUGCUCAAAAAUAGAGUUGAACUAUUGUCUCAUUUUAUCCAAAUCAUUUUCAAGAGAUGUAGCCUUUUUCUUUAAUGUUUUGUAUGUUGGAAAAAGUUUUUCAAAUUCAUCAUAAAGACUAUCAUACUCAUCUUGUAAAUCAUCAAUGAAAAUAUCACAGGGGGAUGAGGAUACCUCAGUUUCAUCAUCUUGUGCCAUCAAACGAAGGUUUGCUUUUUCCUCAGAUUUUUUAUUUUCAGUUUCAGAGCUUAAUGUGUCACUGUCCGACCAUGCAGUAGCCACCAUUGCUUUCUUGGACUUCUUAUUUUUCUUUGGAGUCUCAUCUUUCAGCAAUGGUCAUUCAGACUUGAAAUGACCAGGUUUCUUGCACUCGUAGCAGAUUAGCUCCUCCUUUUUGUUGGAGUCAUUUUUGUUUCUGAUUUUCCAUGAAGCACCUUGAUCUUUUCUAAACCCUCUUCUAGCUAGUCUCUGGUUUCUUCUACCCAUAAGCUUUUUGAAUUUUCUUGCAACCAGAGCUAACUCUUCAUCAUCAUCACAUGACAAUUCUUCCAGCUCUUCUUCAAGGAUGCUGGCUUUAAGUGCAAUGCUCUUUUUCUUUUCCUUUGCUUCUCUCCUAUCUUCUUCUUCUUCCUCUUUAAGCUCCAGCUCAUGAGUAAGGGAAGAGCCAUAAAUCUCAUAUAAGGUAAUAACAUUUAGGUCCUUGACCUCCCUGAUUGUAGUCACUUUAGGUUUUCAAUUUUUUGGUAAGCUUCUAAGAAGCCUUUUAACUAUUUCAUGCUCGGGUAUUAGUUUGCCUAGUUGACUCAAUUUAUUUGUAAUGUUUAUAAAUGUAUCUAACAUGCUGGUGAUGUCUUCACCAGGCUCCAUUUUGAACAUUUCAUAGUUGUGUGUCAAGAGAGUUAUUUUGGACUCAUUGACUUGAGAAGUCCCUUCAUGGAUUAUUCUAAGUUUAUCCCACACUUGCUUAGUUAUUGUACAGCUUGAGACUUUGUUAAAUUCAGUGGGAGUCAAGGCACAAUGCAAUGUAUUGAUGGCCUUAAAAUUUGUUUGAACUUUCUUUGUUUCAACCUCGGUCCAUUCAGACCUUGGCUUAGGCAUCAUCUCAUUGGUAACUACAUUUAAGGUUGAGGGAAUAAAGGGUCCAUCAGUUAUGACAUCCCACAUUUCAUAAUCUAUAGCUUUAAUGUAAAUUGACAUCCUAGCACUCCAAUAAGGAUAGUUAGAGCCAUCAAACAGAGGUGGUCUGUUUGUUAAUUGUUCCUCAGCAACUAUGGAUUUUUGGAAAGCCAUUUGGAUCCUCCCAAAGGGUGUUAGACCUUAAGAACAAGGAACUAACUCUGAUACUACUUGUUGGUCCCAAUAAUAUGUGCUAGAAGGGGGGUGAAUAGCACAAUUUGACUCUUUCAAAAAUUGUCUCUAAGUAUAAACAAAUGUAAGAUAAAUGAAAGAAAGAAAAUAAAACAAAAACAGAGUAAACAAGACAACAAAAUUUAGAGUGGUUCAGUCCAAGACCUACAUCCACUACCUUGAUUAUCCAAUCAAAGAUUUUUCAAACAAUCCACUAAGAACCGGUGAAAUUCACAAGCUUUCACUAAGCUUUACAAUGGCUUUUACCAAGCUUAGCCAAAACCUUUUACACUAGUUUUUCCCAGGCUCAACUAUAACCCAACUCCUAACUUUUAAGGCUAAGUUAGAACUUUAACACUUUCAAGAAAACCUAGCUUUAAACAAUCACUUAGAGUGACUCCUUCACUGUAAGAAUACAAGAAGAGAAGUAAAAGAAAGUACCUAUGAUCACAAGUUGAUCUAAAUGGUACAAGGUUGAGUGCAGAAUACAAAGACAAAGGAUGGGCGUUUAAAUGCAGUGAGGUGAAGAGAAAAUUUUCUAGUUUAUCAGCUGUAAAUGACUCAAAUCUCUUUCAAAACUUCCAAGAACUCGUUUUUAACUGUUGGAAGACCCUUUUAUACUUGGAGAAACAUCUUUGAUGGCAGUUUGACAGUUUUCUAGCCGUUAGAGACAGUUGGGAGUCGGUUCUAGUCGUUACUCUAUCUUUUAGUGCAAAUUUCAAACUUGCAAGCAGAAUGCUCUUAGUCGACUAACCGAUAUCUUAGUCGACUACGUCGUCUCUGUUUUCUGCUUCUUAUCUCUGGCAGUUCUGGCAGUGUGCACUUAGUCGACUAACCCAUUUCUUGGUCGACUAAGUUGGUUCUGUCUUGAAGCCCAGAUUUUGGCAAUAGCUUCUUAGUCGACUAACUCAUAUCUUGGUCGACUAAGUUGGUUUUGUUUCUCAAUAUUCUUCAGCCCGUCAUUUCUCCAAUUUAAAUUUUAGUCAACCAACAUUCUUCAUUAUUUAACCAAAGACCUUUCUUUUUGUUGAUCAAUCGUUUUUCUUCAUUUUCAUGAUUUUUGAUAUACGCAUUUGAAAGGUUGAUUUAUUAUUUCCAUAUAACUUUUUGUCCUGCACACUUAGGUAGAAAUGUUAGAUACAAAUGAAAUGGGAAUGUUUUAUUAUCAUAAAAAACUAAUGGAGCCAACAUCAUGGACACGUAAACAAACAUCUGCCACAUAAACCUUAACGUCAUCACCUGUAAUGGCAAAAUUGGAUGGUAUUAGAGGGAGAGAUUAAAUUGUUUCAAUUCAUAAAAUUGAUGGAUUAAAUUGACCAAAUUUCGAGAACAGAGACUAAAUUGGCAAAAGCAUAUGGAUAAAAAGACUAUUUAGAUACUUCGAUUGAAAAAUUAAGGAAAAUUUUUAUAUUUUAAAAAAAAUUGGUCUAACAUGUCAACGAAACAUCAACAUCAUCAACUAUUAAUUUGGACAAAAUUAGGUAAAUGGACAUGAUUGUACAAAAUAUCAGAGUAUAAGGACUAAAAUGACAAAAGCGCUAUAGUUUAAGGACUUAUAGGAUACUUUGACCAUUGAUUACAAUCUAUUAAAUUAAUAAAUCAUUUUUUUAAAAAAAAUUUGCAACUGAUUGGAUUUGAACCCUUAACCUCUUCCAUUAUCAUUAACAUCUAAACCAUUAGUACAUUUUUUGCUAAACUUGGCAAUUUGUUUUUUCAUAGCUUAACCAUGUCAUGUAAACAUAAGGUAUUAACAGUUAUAUGAGUAAACAUAAACACAAUACGAUUAACUAAUAGUGUUAGGAUUAUUAGCUUUAAAAUUAAGGUAAAAUACCUUUACACCCUUAAGUUUUAAUCGAAAUUUCAAGCGAGUCCAUUAGUUUUCGAAAGAGAAACUUCACUCUAAAAAUGUAAACAUUGUUAACAGAGAUGAUGAAAAGACUAAAAUACCUUUUUUCUUUAUUAAUUUUAAAAAAUAUUAUUAUAUUUUUCAAUUUAAUAAAAAAAAGAGAGCACCGAUUGGUGCUCCAGUACUCUUCUUUUUUAAUUAAUAAAAAAUAAUAAUAAAUUAAUAAAAAUUAUAUAAUAGUAAUAUUCAAAAUUAAUAAAUGGUAAAAUUGUCAUUUUAAUAUUGUCACGUUAUCAAACUAACGGAAACACUAACAGUUGACAAACGGCUGGAUUUAUGCGUUUAACGAAAGAUAUUUUUUUAAGGUAGAGUAUCUAUUUUGAAAACUAAUGGACUUGCUUGGAAUUUCAAUUAAAACUUAAGGGGCUAGUGGUAUUUUACCCUUAAAAUUUUUAUAGUUUUGAUUAUAUAAAAUGAUAAAAUUUGUUUGAACAUUAUUUGAGUGAUCCUUGACAAGUUUUUGAAAUCAUUUAACUCUCAUACAUUUGUUUUUACAUAAUUACAAACUUGAUUUUUAAAGUUAUUGAACUAUAUCUGUAAGCUUGUAUGACUUAGUUGUAUAAGUGCUUAUGAUUCCCAUUUAUUAAAGUCUAACUUAAAAAUUAAAAGAAAUCUAGAUGCACUCAUUAAAGGAGAGUUUUGAAUAUCUUUUUUAAUGAUGACAAAAAGAGGACAAAAUAGAUGAGAAGUAGCAUAAGGUAAAUAAAGAGUAGCAUAAGAUUUGAUAUGAUUAUCUUGUUUAUCUUUUAUUCUGCAUUCUUUAUGUUGUUAUAUGGUUGUUUUUGAACAAUUGCUGGAUUAGUUAUGAUAUAUCUAUGAUUGAUGACUACUCUUAUGUUUAUGUUUAUUGUUGAAUGAUUAUUCAUAAAUCUUUGCAUGUAUGUGGUUAAUGGGAUAACAAAUAUUUAUAUUUUGAUUAAGAAAUAUUGAAAUUUUUGUAAGCACAUAUUAAGGGGUAGUAAUCCCUUACUUGCACAUAGAUAUAAAAUAUAAACAUAGACAUUACACUUUUAAUUUAGAAAUGUUUUGUCAUCAUAAAAAAUAAGAGAGAGAAUGUUAACUGCAUGUGUUUUUUAUGAUAACAAAAUAUUCUCAUUCAUUUAUGUGUAAUUAUAUUAUUUAAGUGUGUAGGAGAAAUUUAAAUUCUUUAACUCAUUUGUCGUUUGAAAGCAAGUUAAGAUGCCUGUUCAAUUGCAAAAUGAAUUAAUUGAUUAAACAAGCAAAGAAGAAAGAACUUUAAUGAAGACAGAUUAGUCUUAACUAAUUAACAUAGAUCCUUAAUCAGUUAAAGCAAUUCUAAGCAUUGCACUAAGGACAGCAGAAAGGACUUAACUAGUAAACACAAAGUUUAAUCAGUUAAGAGGGUAUUUGACACAAAACAGAAAGUUAUUAAUCAAUUAACCAAAAGGGUUAAUCGGUUAAGGGUUAAACUUAAAGUACCUAAAAAGCACUAAAAUUCAAAUUCAAAAUGAAGUUGAUCAUUGAAGGGCGCCAAAUGAAGGAAUUCAAAUUUGAAGAUAUUUUAAUCAGUUAACGUUUAUUUCAACUGGUUAAAGUUGAAAGAAGAGAAGCCUCAAUCAGUUAAAGGGGGGACUAACCAAUUAAAGGAAGAUCACUAGUUGAAGAAGUUUAAAAAUAGAAUGCUUUUGAUCGGUUAAGGCCACUUUUAAUCAGUUAACACAGUAAAGCAGACUGUUAGACAGAAAAGUUUCAACUAGUUAACGCUCAUCUUUAAUCGAUUAAAGAGUCACUAUUAACAAUUUGAAAAUAGCCGUUAGAAGAUAAAAUAACAACUAUUUCUGCUCCAAAAUUGUUUCUAAUGGCUUGAAAUUGUCCUCCAAGUAUAAAUAAAGGUUCAAAUGGUCAAAAAUGGUAAAGAGAAGAUAUCGAAACUGAUUUUGAGCUUAAAAGACCAAAAAUCUUCUUUUAAUACUUGUAUUUCACUUCAAUCCUUUGAAAAAGUGUUUAAACUUAACUUUGUACGUCUUUGAUAAACUAGGUGAUCAAUUGUACUUCAUCUUUCUCUAUUUCUUGUUUACUUAGAGUAUGAGAGACACUUUAAGGGGUAGACUAAGCUUAAGAAAGCUUGGGAAAGCUUGUAAGGGCUUUGAGCUUCGGUUAGAAGCUCAUCUUGUAAAAGUUUGGUAGAAGCUGUCAAUUCCACUAGUUUAAUCAAGUUGGGUUGAAAAUCUUUGAUUGGUGAAGAUUAAGAUAGUGGAUAUAGGUCAAAAGGACUGAACACUAUAAAUAUUUGUAUUUUGUUCACUUCUCUUUACCUUAUCUUUACUUGGUGAUUUUCUACCUUUAUAAAUUUUAAACUCUCUUUUUCAAAAUCCUUUAAAAGUUUUUCAACCUUAAGAACUUUCUUUAAAUGUUUUAGAAAUGUUAUUCACCCCCCUCUAACACUCUAUUGGGACCAACAAGGAUCUGAAACACAUAAAUGAAUAUGUUUAAUAAUUGUGCAAUAUGACACGACAUGACUAAUAUGUUUAUUGAACGUGUCGGGUUAAAUUUAAUAUUACAUGAUAUAAACACCCCAUUUUGUCCGAGGUGUCUCACCAAAACAAAAAAAUAAUAAAUUAAAAAAAAAGAUAAUGAAAAAGAUAAAGGCACAAAAAAAUUAAAAUUAAUUUUUCUUUGAGAACAAAAAAAAUUGAAAAUAAUAAGAUUAAAAUCUUAAUCUAGCAAGUUUUGAAACUCGAUAUUUAAAGAAAAAGAAAGUCCUAAUCUAAAAUCAACACAAAAAUGGAUGGCUACAAAUACCCCCAUUUAUCAACCUAGAGAGGGACUUGGGGAAAAAAUGAAAAAAGAGAGCGAAAACGACGUAAAGGAGGAGGGGAUGAAAAAAGAGAUCUUGUGAUUUUUUUAUAGUGAAAUUUUAGUUUUAGGUUUUGGGAAAUCUGAAGGUUUCCAUUCUAAGGAAAGAAAAGAAAGAAAAAAAAGAUUGGGAAAGAGGAAUAAGCGGUUGUUGAUAAAGAAUAUAGUCGAAUAGUAAGCUUUUCGAUCAAUUUUAGGGAAAGAAAGAGAGAAAAAGAGUGAAGGUAGUGAACAAAAGAAAAAAAGAAAGAGAAGAAGCGAAAGAGUGAAAAUGACAUACAAGAAAGAGGGGAAGAGAAGAAAUGAAAUAGGGUUUGACCUAAUUCAAAUGCAACACAAAGCCCGUUGCAAGCUUGAUUAGAGGCUUAGUUAGUGUUUUGGGUCUUAAAAAUAGACUUAGUCUAUAUAAAAGGUAUGGGUUUCUCAUUUACUUUUUUAUUUUUGUUCAUUAUUUUUAGAAUUUAUAAGAUACAAAAAAAUAUAAAUAAAUAGUUAGGGGUUUCUCAUUUACCUUUUUUUUUGUUUUGUUCAUUAUUUUUUACUUUUAGUAUUAAUAAAAUAAAUAAAGUUUUUUAGGUUAUAAUUAUCCUAGAUUGAUUUUUAGUCAUAAUAGUUUGGAAGAGAAAAAAAUAUAUAAACCACUUAAAAUUCUACAAUAUAUACAUAAAGUUGUAUAAUUAUUUAAAAAUGAAUCUUUUAAAUGAAAAUUUUAAAGAAAGUUAUGAAUAGUAAUUUUCUUAAGUUUUGCAAAGCAAGAAUAAUUAUAGGACCUCGCCAUAAGUAUUGGCUGGUAAUCUCAUAAUUAAUUUUUGCAAAAGAGAUUUAUUUAUAAAUAAUUGUUAUAGACUUAAAAGAUAAUAAUAAAUAAAUAUUCAAAAUUUUAGUAAAAUUAAAUUAUAAUAUUAAAUAAAUAUAUGUGAGUUCGUUGAUGAUAAAAUCUUAAGAAAAUUGUAAUUAAGUAACAAUUUCGAGAGAAUUUCUAGGUGAGAAAAUCUUCUACGAUUUUGCCAAAGGUAUCGAAAAAUUUUAGAAAGUUUUCAAUACAAAGAGUUGCAUGAUAAUAACAAUAACAAAAUAAUAAUAAAAGUGAAAUAAAAGAACUUAUAAAUAAAAAAAUCAUAAAUAAGCAAACUUUCUCUUAUGAUGAAAUUUUGAUAAGGUUAAAAGUAAUAACUUCAAGAAAAUUUCUAGGUGAGAGAUUUUUCUUGAUUUCUGCCAUAAGUAAUGAAGUAUUCAAGAAACAUUUCAAUAUCAAAGGAUUUUUAUGAUUAGAUAAAAUAAUGGUUAAGGAAAAUUAAUUUGAAUAUCAAAAUAAAGGUCACUUAUUAAGGCUAAAAAAGAUAACACAUAGUUAAUUAGGUAUAAUUGUUAAUAGGCGUUGUGAGGGUUCUAAUACCUUCUUGACAUGUAACUGUACUUUCGAACCUAAUUUAUUUCAUAAACUAGAACCUAUUCUCUUUAAUAUACCUAAGUCAAGCCUAGGACCUCAUUAGAAAAAUAGAUUCAUCUCGGUGGUAAAUCACAACUAAAAAAAAAUAUUGAUGACAACUCCUACUACGUCAAACAGUUGAGUUUCAGGACUCACACGUUAUAACAUAUUGGUGACUCCACUGGGGAAUUUGUGAGUCAAGCUUAUAAUUAAUUAUGUGAUAUCCUAAAGCCUUAAUUAGUUUAAUAUUCUGUUUGAUGUUCCUUAAUUUUGAUUUUAGUAACUUUGUUUAUUUUUAUAUUUAUUAUUUAAAGAUUUGUACGUCUUUUUGCAUACAUACAUGAGCCUUAUACCCAAGCUUGGUCCUAUUUAGGAGGAGGUAGAGUACUCUGCUCUUGUGAGGUGAUAACUUCCAUGUGAGCACGCGAAAUACUUCCACUCAAAUUUAACCCUUUCCAUUGGUAACCUGUAAUGGGAAAGGAUUAGGGAGCUUUACUAGUUCAGAGUGAGCGCUAGUAAGGAGCAAUAUGGGAACCUUUAGGUUCGUAUAAAACCUUGCCAACCCAUCACAUAUAAGAGCACCAAAAGUUUGGUACAAGUGAUAAAUGCCUUGAAAUGCAUUCAUUCAUGCAUCAUGCAUGCAUAUUCAUUAUGUGUUUACAAACAGUUCGAUAAUUGUAAAUAAUGCAAUCAUUAUUUCAUUGGCAUAAAUACAUUUUGAUCCAUGUUUAUGGUAAUAAAAAGGUUAAAAGAAUAGCUUGACCACUGAAAAUCCUGAAGCAGCUCGUUCGUCAUUUAUACAAUACUUGAUCUCAAGAUAGAGUCAAAAUUAUGAAAGGUGAGCAAUCAAGUUAAUAGAUAAAAUCAAGAAAACUCAAGAAGAGAUGAUGGAAAAGUUGACAAGAAUAAUGGAAAUGAUGGCUUUUAUUAAAGGAAAAGGGGUUGUUAAAAGAUCUUCUACUCAAAAUGGUUUUCAAUCUCAAGAUGAAGAUAGAAGAGAGCCUUUAUAUUCACUAGGAUUCACUCCACUCGAAGGGCAUGUUGCUCAAUAGGAAUACAAGAUGCCAAGGCCACCAAUUGGGGCAUAUCAAUUCCAACCACUUGUAGGUUAAACAUCAACUCAUGGACAUAUUAUGCCAACUCCAAGUGUUAACUCUUAUGACCCAAUCCUUGUGUCUAAUUUGGAUGAUCCUAAAAAGCAAGAAAAGUUGAAAGCAGUUUUGAAGGCAUAACAAAAGUAUGACGAUUUGGGGGAACACCUUAGAGCCAUUGAAGGUUUGGAUUUCUAUAUUACCAUUGAUGCUACAGAGUUAUGUCUAGUGCUUGGUGUGGUGAUCCUACCCAAAUUAAAGAUUCCAGAUUUUGAAAAGUAUGAUGAGACGAAAUGUCACGACACAAAUUCUGGGCCAUGAUCGGAGCAUGGGCCCAAUGGACGUAGUCCACUAAGCCCACGCAAGCCUAUUAAUCUGACAUGUUCAUCAUUCCAUCAUAAACUACUGAGUCACAUUUCUUAACUUAGGAUCAAAGUAAUAUUAAACAUUGCCACUUCAUACUGACAUACUAAACAAGUGUAUAUACGCUGUCUACAACAUGUAUCUUAAUAAUUUGCAUUAGGUUUGUCUAUACACAACAAAAGAAUACUCGACUCCCAGCGGAGGGAGUCGGACAAAUGUACAGCUAUUGAAUGCCAAGACACUUACCAAAAGAUGGAUACAAGUAUACGAGAACACCUCGUCCUAGUUACCGUGUCAAACCCUGCUUUGUAAAAUAAUUAUAAUAUCAUUCACAUGCUCGAUAGAAUGUUUGUAUAUUUAGGAAGUUCGAGAAAUCGUUAAAAGACGAUAUUGCCCCUAAUGGUAUCAUUAAGUCGAUUAAGCCUCGAACUAGUUCCAAUAGGAAUUUUAAGAUGAAAUUAAGAGUUUAACAGUUCAGGGAUGACUCAAAAUGGUAAUUCGGAGUUCGAGGAUCAAUUCGGAGUCAAAUUGAAAUUUUCACUAUAUAGGGGUAAAAUUGUAAUUUUUCCAUCUGCGGACAAAAUUUGAGAUUUUGAGAGAAUUUAGAUCACAUUUGACAAAUUGGGGAAUGAUAUGAGUAUAAGGGAUAAAAAAUAUGUCUAUGGGCAAUUUUUCAGUUUUUGGGGCAAAAAUGUAAUUUUUGAUUUUUACGGGGGCAAAAGUGUAAAUAUCAAAAAUUACUUCACCAAGACUUUGGAUAAGUUUGAGAAUUUUAUCUAAGUUAUGGAUAUUUUAAGGAAUAAUGUGUGGUGGAGAUUUAAAGCUUAAAAGAUAAGAAUUUAAAAAAUGGACCAAUAAUGUAGUGACAUGUGGCAAGUUUAGAUUAUUAUAUUAUUUAACUAUAAAAAUCAGCCCACACCACCAUUUUCUCUUCAUUAUGGCCGGCCAUAGCAAGAAAACAAAGGGGAAAAGAAAAACAAAAACCUAGGGGGAGAAAUUCAAGGAAAAAUUGGUGAAAAUUCAAGGAAACAAGUGACCAAAGGUAAAAUUUCUUGAUUUUGACUUGUGCUUUACCUUUCCCAUGCAUUUCCCAUCAUUUUCCAUGGUUGAAUCAUGUGAUUUGAGGAUGAAUUCAAUUCUGGAAAAAUGGGUUAGGAGAGAGAAACUUGUUAGAUUAAUUUGAUUUUAAGUUAUGUUAGUGUUUUAAGUUAGUUUAGCAUAUUUAGGAACAAAACAACAAGAAAAGAAUUUAUUUUCCUCCAUUACCAUUAUUGGCUGAAUUUUCUAGGGGAAUAUUGGCUGAUGAUCUUGAUGUUUAUUUGAGGAAUUAUGAUGAAUAAUGAUGAAUUAUGAGUCUAGAAAAAUAAUGGGAAUUUUCGGAGCAAAAAUACGAAUUUUUACCCAUUAGGGGUAUUUUCGUAAUUUGCUAUCGGGACUGAUAAUUUGCACCACACUGAGGGACAUUAAGUCAAUUUGGGUGCAAUUGAGGUAUAGAAACUGAAAAAAAUUAAUUUGAGAUUAAAUUGGACGCGUUAGUAAUUUAAUCGGGUAAUAGGCCGAAUUAGGUCAGCACCGCAUUUAAGCGGUAGUCGGAUAAGUUGCAUGUCAUAUCAUGCAUAUAUACCGAGCCUGAAUUGAUUUUAUAAUGGUCAAGCAUUGAUGUGGUGAAUUAUGUAUUGUACAUUGUGGAUAGGUGGUGAGCAAAUUACACUGGUAAAAGUACCAAAAUUGUGCUUGAAGACUGGGAUUAGGAGUACAUCGACUCCUAGAACUGUGAGUGGACAAUUUAUCGUCUUAAAUAUCUAGAGUAAUUAUACUUGUUUGAUGCUUUUAUUGAAUGGUGAAUUUAAAUUAUAAAAUAUUAUGUUUUCCAAUUAAAAUGUUUUUUAAUAAAAAUGAGAUUUAUACUGGUUUUGAAAUCAAAUAUUGUUUUGGGAAAAUUGAGUAUAUGGAGACUGUGUUGAAAUUUAUGAUUUUAUAUGUUAUUGAAAUUGUGGCUUAUGACACUAUGGUAGCAUGAUGGCUAAAUUUUUGAGGUUGGCAUGAAAUAUAUGAACAGUUUUGGAUUGGUCUCGGUAGACUGGAUUACAUUUUAUUCGCCAUAUUAUGCUACUGGAAUUUUUAUGGGUCUGGUGGUAUAUUAAACGGUCACUGCAGUGGUGGGGGUUUCCGUGGACUGCCUAUGAGAGGGGCACGGUAACUCAAUUAUAUACUUACCUCUGGGGGGAGAUGUUGGGUGAAGUAUCUCCUGAGGUAUGAUUUGAGUGCACCUCACGUUCGGGCCACCACGUGAGAGUGAGACUCAGCCAACGCCAAGGAACGGCUGUGUGUCAGAUGUGAAAACAUGUUUAUGGGUAUGGGUCAUUGAACAGCCUUGGCGGUCUCAGUGGGAUACCUUGACGAAGGUACCCGCGAGAAUGAUAUUGGCAGGGGCCAAGUUUAAAAAAAUUCAUAAGUCGGGGAAAUUUUGAUGAAAAGAAAUUAUUUGGUAUAGAUUGAAACGAAUUUUGUGUUAUGAACAUUAUUGAGAUAUAACGUUUUUAUAUUGUCUCCAUCUACUCGGCUUUAGAUGCUUUUGAUGGUAAUUGUUUACUCACUGGGAUUAUUUAAUCUCACCCCUCUUCCUAUCCAUUUUCAGGCUCAGGACAGUUUGUUGAUAGUUGAUUAAGACGAGAAUUAAUCUCGGAGUUGCAUCAUAGGAAGUAAGGGUUCGUAGCCCUACAUCUUCUUAGUCAGUUGGGGGCCCACGUGUCACUGAAAAAGUAAUUUUAUUCUUCAGUUAUUUGAUUUAAAAGUACGUAGGAAUAUAUUUAGCUUUUACACCAUGUUUUUGGCAAGUUUCGAUAUUUUCAAAGAAAAAUGAUGAAAAUGCCCCUGUGAGCCAGAAAAUAAUAUUUUUAUUGUUUUGAGUUGGAAACAACUUAUGAUUUCUUGAAAUGCGAGAUUUAAUAACUGUCGCUCACCGGGGAGAUGCGAAAGUUGAUGCUAAGCCUUGCGGGGUUUCGAUCAGCAUUCGGGGUAAUGAGUGCUUAUCGGGACGUCGCGGCGGUUGUCACUGGCUCGUUGGGAGUUUCGGGUCGUGACAUACCGACUGCCUCAUGAUCUGAAAACAUGAAGUUUGAAACAGUGAGUAUAAACCCAGUGAGUGAACAACGAAGGGAACAAGCAACCAUAAGGGAGAAUUUAAAAUCAUGAUGCACUUGUUUUAAAACAAUGCAAUUUAAUUUCAUUCAUAUUGAAAACCCCUCAUUAAACCCUUAAAUAUUAAUCACUUGGUAAUGAUGAACCCAUACAUAACAAAUAAUUUGAAAAAUGAAGGCUUCAGUGAUACACAAGCAAGUCAAAUACGACAACGGAUCUUCGCUGCAGCAAGAAUGAAUUUUUGCUACAACGACGUUGGGAUUAAGUUAUUAGCCGAACGAGGGUUCCUCAACUAAUCGAGGGUUUCUCACCAACCCUACUCAUUUUAAACUUAAUUCACUUAUUCCUUAAUAUUAGAAGUCCAAUCUCAACUAUGGUACCAAAGAAAUGGAAAAUGGAGCAGCAACUGAACCAAAAAGGAAACAAAACAAAAAGUUUUUCACUGCAAUGAGAAUGAAUCUCGCUGCAGCGAAAUUUUGGUCCUAAAACAGAAUGUUUCUCAUUGCAGCGAGAAGCUACAGUACCUUUCCCGCUGCAGCGAGAAUGCAUUUUCGCUAUAGCGAGAACCAAACUGGUGAGGCUCUCAAAAACUCGAGAGUUUCUCACUACAACGAGAACGAAUCUCGCUACAGCGAGAAUCAGAACAUCAAGAAAAAAAUGUCCUUUUCCCUUAAAACAAAGCCAUUCUACUAAAUAACAAAAGCAACAUGUAACACAUGCAAACUCCCAAAUUUCAACAAAUCAAAUGCUCACACUUUUGCAUUCCAACCAUAUACCAUAUAUAUAUAUAUAUAUAUAUAUAUAUAUAUAUAUGUAUAUAUAUCAAUCAUCAUGUACACCAUCCUGUCAUCAUCAUGCACACCAUCUUGUCAUCAUCAUGCACAUCAUCCCAUCAUCCCCAACUCAUGCACACUCCCUACUCACACAUAACAGGGUCAUCAUCGACUUAUGCGCACUCCCUACUCGCACAUAGCCGAGUUAAGGUCAUUACACAACAAUGUAUUCAUAUAUAUGUAUCAACAUAAUGUGGUAGUGCAUGAAUCAAUAAUAGUCACAUGUCACAACAUGGAGACAAUUUAUCAAAAGCUUGUUCCCAAGGCACUUGUUGUUAUGAAAAGCUAGAUAAUCCAUUCAAAUGUUUGGCAAAUACAUUAUAUCCCUAAAACAAGUUUUGAAUGCAGUUCACUCACCAAUUUAUUGUUGAGCCCUUAGCUGACUCUAAUUCCCUUAAUGAUCCAAUUGGGGUGAUAGGGCUUCGUUAGAACCUAAAAUCACAUUAGCAUCAGCAAUAGGUCAAUUCACAUACUAUAAACCCUAAAAGCUAUCUCUUAGCUAGCUUUCAAUUUCCACAUUAAAUGGCUAUCUAUGUUCACUAUCUUAAUCACUAUAAAAUGAAUGAACAUCCUCAACAAUAAAACAGCUUAUAAUCUCAAUUACUAGCCAUUAUCCACAGCUAAAAACCAAGCUUAGUUCAUCACUCACCCUAGGGUUUCUUUGUAGUUGAAUUCUCUUUCAAUAGCUUCCAAACAAAUGGGGUAAUUCUCUUUUUCUCUCUCUAGAAUGCCCAACUAGUGAGAGAAAGUAUGAAAAUAAGAUUUUUCAAGGGUUUUAAGGAGAGAGAAUGGAAGAAUACAAGAUUUCUAGUCAAAAGGGCAUAAAGGUAUGAAAACUAAAGCUAGAGAGAGAAAAUUAUGCAAGCUACGUAUCAAGCUUCCAUGGAGGUUGGAAGCAACGUGAGAUGGAAGAAGAAGAAGAAGACAAGCUGCUGGAAAUUCAAGAAGCUGCUGGAAGGAGAAGAUAUUUAUAGCCCAAGCUUAUCCUUUCCCUUGAAAUUACCAAAUUGCCCUUCCACAAAUUAGCUUAUUCUUCUCUAAUCUUUUAUGCAAUCUUUUUGGUCUUUUGACACUGGGACAAGGUCCAUAAUGGUCUAGACAUGCUCGGGUUCAUGAAAACUUAAAAUUCUAACCCGAGGUAAAAAAUGACCAUUUUGCCCCUAUCGUGAAAAUCAUCAAAAUUUUGGUUUCCUUUCCAUUUUACCCAAAUUUCACCAUCCAUUUAUGCCUUAAGACUACUUAGGCCAUAAUAUUGUUUAAAAAUCUUACUUUUAUGGGCUUACUAAAGAAAUGACGAAAUUACCCCUGAUCAGGGAUAUCGCGUAUACUUCCCUUUACAAGUCUAUAAAGGUCAAGGUCUCACACAAAAUGUCCAACGGUCCACAUGACUAUGUAUUGUCAACGAAUAGCCACUUAUACGAAAAAUGAUAAACUCUUGGUUCAUUGUCUCCAAGAUAGUUUUACAAGGUCUGCAAUUAGAUGGUAUGUUAAAUUGGACAGAAAUCGAAUCUAAUCUUGGAAAGACCUUGUUAGAGCUUUUAUAACUCAAUAUAGGCAUGUCAUAAACAUGGCCUCAAAUAGACUUUCUUUGUAAAGCAUAGAGAAGAAAACCACAGAGAGUUUUAAAGAGUAUGCUCAGAAAUGGAGAAAUAUGGCUGCGCCAGUUUAAUCACCUCUUAUUAAUAAGGAGAUAACAAAGUUGUUUAUCAUAUUUUGCAUACUCCAUAUUAUGAAAGGCUAAUUGGCAAUGCCACCAAAAUUUCGCUGAUAUGGUAAUUUCAUGAGAAAUUAUUGAAAAAGGUAUCAAGCAAGGUCGCUUUGAACUUUUUAUGCACAUACUGGGUAAAGAACAACCGAAAUAUGGUGACGAGAUGCCAUGGGUAUAUCUAGGACCAUUUGGCUUGAAAUGGAAUAAUCAGAAGGUCAUUGAGUUACUUGUCACUCGUAAGUCCCUUGCAAAGAAAUUAAGUUAAAUUCUUAACGCUUAUGCUUAAGAGCUUAAGGAAAGGUUUUCUGAAUAAUGGGCUUUUAUUCUAUACCAUUUAAAUAAAAAUGACAUACAUGAUGCAUUCUCACUGUCAUUUCUUUCUUUGUUUCCAUAUCUCUUCAAAUUGUCAUAUCCUUGUGUACUUUAAAUUUUACCCAUCUUUAGGUUUCCCAACAAUGAAUAUGAGAACAAUAAUGACAAAAACUCUAGAUUCGAUUUUGAAAAAAAUACAUGUGUUGAUGAGCUUGAUAACAAAAAUAACAGUGAUAAUUGUCUUUUGUUUCAUGACUUGCUAAGGCUAAUUAAACAAAAAGAAAAUUGAUAAAACCUUAUAAUAAUUUGGAAGAUGUAGAGAAUAGAAAAAAGAAAGAAAGAGAAGAACGAAAAAAAAUAAAGCAUCCUUUGUUUCAUAGUUAUCUAGAAUUUGCUUUUUAGUGUAAGUAAUCAUAUUUGAUAUGAGAAAUGGCCAUCUUUUAUUUUUCUUUCAAAAAUGAGAAAUUAUCAAUUUGCUACCUCUUUGAGCUUAUUGAAUUUUUUAAAAUAUACUUUACUCAAGGAUCACCCUCUAUAUUAAGGGGUAAUUAUAAAGGAAGACCUUGAAGAGGCAUGAAUCCAAUCUUACAUUAAGGACAAAGAAAGAAUACCCUAUAUUAAAAAGGCAAAAACAAAGUAAUUUGAGUUAUACAAAAAAAAAAAACUUGAACUCAACCUAUCAAAAUGGGAAGAUGUGACAAAUAAAGAAUAGGGAUUGAUGUCUUAGAGAGAAUCUUUCUCACGACAAUAAAAGAUUUUUGGUUUGAAUACCUUCAAAAACACAUUUUGGGCCUAUUUAUCCACUUUUUCAAAACUCCUAACCCUAGCUUACAUUACAUACUUACAAAGUCUGUUUUGAUCAAGUAUGGUUACUCAUGUUGAAACGCCUUUUCUUAGAAAAUUUUCAAGUAGCUAUCAUGGCUUUGGCCUUUUUUUCCUUGCUAAAGUUAUCAUUUAGAUGGGAAAAGUUUCAAAUUCUUCUAGUGGAUGAUGGAACAAUCGAUGAAAUUCUAAUAAAAAGAAGAAAAAAGAAGAAGAAAAUUUAAGGAGAAAAUUCGAAAGUAUAGUUUGAACCCAAAAAGGAUUUCUAAAUUGAAAAUCUGAAAAGGCAACUUAGGUACAAAGAUUGAUAGCAUGGGGGCAGCGUGAUGUGCAAAUGCCACAAGAUAAGAGCAAAGGUCAAUUGGAAAUGUUCAAAAGGAAUUAAGUACAUCAAUAGAUAUUUACUUUAAAGGACCUCUAGAAUUAGCUUGUUCAUGAUUGUUCCUUUAUUCAUUACUUGGAUAUUAUAUGUCUCGAUAAAAUCUUGAACCUUUUUAUUUCAUUUUUAUUUUUUUCAUUAUUUAAAAUAAAAUUAUGCUUUUCCUAAUAAUCCUAUAAGUUCUUUGUCUCAUGAACCAAGACAAUUUGUGAUUCAUCAUAUUUGUCACAAAAGUUUGAAUUAUAAUGAAUUAAAUAGACAUAACAAACAUAAAAGACUUUCAUGAGAUUUAAGGGUGACAAAAAGUUCAAAAAUUGAAUCCAAAAGGAAUUAUGAAAUUUCCAUUUUGAAAAAAUGGAAUAGAUGUAUUGAAGAAAAGAUCAGAUUAUUGAAUAAUGUGCUGAAAGUGAGUUGACAAGAGGUUGAAGAUCAUGAAAUUCUAAAACCUGCAAAAAACCAUGAACAUGGAUGCCUGACAUCAUCCUAGCAGUUAAACAUUUGCAUAUCAUGAUGGGUUGUAUCACAUGCAUUCAAUUGAUGAUAUUUGCUUAAGUAACUAAUCAUUUUAAAGUUGUGUAGCUUCAUUUAGAAAUAAGGAGCUCUUUCAAGCAUUUUAAAAUUAUGUAGCCUCAUUUAUAAAUGAAGAGCUUUUCUGAUCAUUUUAAAGUGGUAGUAGUCUCUUUUAGAGAUGGUGAGCUUUUUUCAAUCAUUUUAAAGUUAUAUAACCUCGUUUACAGAUGAGGACCUUUUUUGAUUAUUUUAAAGUUAUGGUUAACUCUUUUAGAGAUGAGAUGGAAAAAAAGAGGAGCUUUUUUCAAUCAUUUUAAAGUUAUGUAGCCUCGUUUUGAAAUGAAAAGCUUUUUCAAUUAUUUUAAAGUUGUACAGCCUUGUUUAAAGAUGAUGAGCCUUUCUAAUUAUUUUAAAGUUGUAGUAGAUCUUUUAGAGAUGAUGAGUGUUUUCCAAUCAUUUUAAAGUUGUGUAGCCUUGUUUAGAGAUAAAAAACUUUUCCAAUUAUUUUAAACUUGUGUAGCCUCGUUUAGAGAUAAAGAGUUUUUUCAAUCAUUUUAAAGUUAAGUAACCUCGUUUAGAAAUAAAGGGUUUUUUUCAAUCAUUUUAAAAUUAUGUAGCCUCGUUUAGAGAUGAUGAGCUUUUUUAAUCAUUUUAAAGCUGUGUAGUCUCAUUUAGAGAUGAAGAGCUUUUUCCAAUCAUUUUAAAGUUACAUAACCUCAUUUUAAAAUUAUUUAACGCUACCUUGUUUAGAGAUGAGAAGCUUUUUCAAUUAUUUUAAAAGUUGUGUAGCCUCAUUUAAAGAUGAGGAGCAUUUUCCUGGUCCAACCAAAGUGGUGUCUAUGUCUUUGCACAAUUCUUGAUUCUCAAGAAAUGUGCAAAGAGAAGUAGUUGUAGACACCCCAUUUUGUCUGGAAUGUCUCAGCAAAAUAAGAAAAUAAUAAUAAUAAUAAAAAGAUGAUGAUGAAGAUAAAGGCACAAAAAAAUUGAAAUUAAUUUUUUUUUUGAAACAGAAUAAAUUGAAAAUAGUAAGAUUAAGAUCCUAAUUCUGCAAGUUUGGAAAUUAGAAUUUUAAAGAGGAAGAAAGUCCUGAUCUAAGAUCAACACAAAAAUGGAUGGCUAUAAAUACCCCUAUUCAUCAGCCUAGAGGGGGACACUGUGAAGAAACAAAAAAAAAAAGAAAGAGGGAAAGUGGCAUAAAGGAGGAGGGGAUGAGAAGAAUGAUCUUGUGAUUUUUUUUAUGGUGAAAUUUUAGCUUUAGGUUUUGGAAAAUUUAAAGGUUUCCAUUCUAAGGGAAAAAGAGAAAGAACAAAAAGAUUGAGAAAAAUGAAUAGGCUAUUUUUGAUAAAGAAUAUAGACGAAUAGGAAGCUUUUAGAUCGAUUUUAGGGAGAGAAGAAAACAAAAAGGGUGAAGGUAGUGAACAAAAGGAAAAAAGAAAGAGAAAAAGUGAAAGAGUGAAAACGAAAUCCAAGAAAGAAGGGAAAAGAAGAAGUGAAAUAGGGUUUGCCUUAAUCCAAAUCCAACACAAAGCCCGUUUCAAGCUUGACUAAAAGCCCGAUCAAUGUUUUGGGUCUCGAAAAUAGAAUCUUAGUCUAUGUAAAAGGUAUGGGCGUCUCAUUUACUUUUUUUUUUUAUUUCUGUUCAUUAUUUUUAAAAUUAAUAAAAUACAAAAAAUAUAAAUAAAUAAAUAGUUAGGGGUUUUUCAUUUACUUUUUUUUUGUUUUGUUCAUUACUUUUUAUUUUUACUGUUAAUAAAAACAAAAUAUAAUAAAAUAAAUAAAUUUUUUUAGGUUAUGAUUAUCCUAGAUUGAUUUUUAGUCAUAAUAGUUUGGAAAAGAAAAGAAAAAAACAAAAUAAACAAUUUAAAAUUAUAUAAUAUAUACAUAAAGUUGUAUAAUUAUUUAAAAAUGAAUCUUUUAAAGGAAAAUUUUAAAAAAAGUUAUGAGUAGUAAUUUUCUUAAGUAUUUCAAAGUAAGAAUAAUUAUGAGACCUCGCCAUAAGUAUUGGUUGGUAAUCUCAUAAUUAAUUUUUGCAAAUAUGAUUUAUUUAUAAAUAAUUAUUAUAGACUUAAAAGAUAAUAAUAAAUAAAUAUUAAAAAUUUUUGCAAAUUAAAUUAUAAGAUUAAAUAAAUAUAUGUGUGUUCACUAUAAUAAAAUUUGAAGAAAAUUGUAAGUAACAAUUUUGAGAGAAUUUCUGUCACGACCCGGAACUCCCAUCAAGCCCGUGACAACCGUCGCGAAGCCUCGACAGACAUUCUUCCCCCGAAUGCCUUUCGAGACUUUGCAAGGCUUUUGUACUAGUUUUUCCAUUUCUCUCUCUUUUUUUUUUUAAUAAUAAAAUAAAAUUAAAAUAUUAAUUAAAAUAAUCUAUUUUAAUGUAAAACAAUAAAUAUAUGUAUAUUUUUGAAACAUCAAAAAUUAAUUUUUUGCACAUAAAAACAAAAUAAAUUUAUACAUACUGUAAUAUAGAAAACUGGAGUAUGCAAUUUAAAUUACAAUGACACGUGGGCCCCUAAAUAACUGAGAAGGUUUAAGUCUAUAACCUUGCUUUCUAGGAUGCAACUCCGAAAUUUACUUCUCGAUGCAAUUGACAGUCUACUGCCUAUUCUGAGCCUGAAAAAUGUAUAGAAAGAAAGGGUGAGAUUAUAAAAUCCCAGUGAGUAGACAGAUAUCAUCAAAAUAAUCUAAAGCCGAGUAAUAGGAGACAAUUAAAAUAAUUCAUCCCAACCCAUAUAAAUAAUUGGAUUUCAUCNNNNNNNNNNNNNNNNNNNNNNNNNNNNNNNNNNNNNNNNNNNNNNNNNNNNNNNNNNNNNNNNNNNNNNNNNNNNNNNNNNNNNNNNNNNNNNNNNNNNNNNNNNNNNNNNNNNNNNNNNNNNNNNNNNNNNNNNNNNNNNNNNNNNNNNNNNNNNNNNNNNNNNNNNNNNNNNNNNNNNNNNNNNNNNNNNNNNNNNNNNNNNNNNNNNNNNNNNNNNNNNNNNNNNNNNNNNNNNNNNNNNNNNNNNNNNNNNNNNNNNNNNNNNNNNNNNNNNNNNNNNNNNNNNNNNNNNNNNNNNNNNNNNNNNNNNNNNNNNNNNNNNNNNNNNNNNNNNNNNNNNNNNNNNNNNNNNNNNNNNNNNNNNNNNNNNNNNNNNNNNNNNNNNNNNNNNNNNNNNNNNNNNNNNNNNNNNNNNNNNNNNNNNNNNNNNNNNNNNNNNNNNNNNNNNNNNNNNNNNNNNNNNNNNNNNNNNNNNNNNNNNNNNNNNNNNNNNNNNNNNNNNNNNNNNNNNNNNNNNNNNNNNNNNNNNNNNNNNNNNNNNNNNNNNNNNNNNNNNNNNNNNNNNNNNNNNNNNNNNNNNNNNNNNNNNNNNNNNNNNNNNNNNNNNNNNNNNNNNNNNNNNNNNNNNNNNNNNNNNNNNNNNNNNNNNNNNNNNNNNNNNNNNNNNNNNNNNNNNNNNNNNNNNNNNNNNNNNNNNNNNNNNNNNNNNNNNNNNNNNNNNNNNNNNNNNNNNNNNNNNNNNNNNNNNNNNNNNNNNNNNNNNNNNNNNNNNNNNNNNNNNNNNNNNNNNNNNNNNNNNNNNNNNNNNNNNNNNNNNNNNNNNNNNNNNNNNNNNNNNNNNNNNNNNNNNNNNNNNNNNNNNNNNNNNNNNNNNNNNNNNNNNNNNNNNNNNNNNNNNNNNNNNNNNNNNNNNNNNNNNNNNNNNNNNNNNNNNNNNNNNNNNNNNNNNNNNNNNNNNNNNNNNNNNNNNNNNNNNNNNNNNNNNNNNNNNNNNNNNNNNNNNNNNNNNNNNNNNNNNNNNNNNNNNNNNNNNNNNNNNNNNNNNNNNNNNNNNNNNNNNNNNNNNNNNNNNNNNNNNNNNNNNNNNNNNNNNNNNNNNNNNNNNNNNNNNNNNNNNNNNNNNNNNNNNNNNNNNNNNNNNNNNNNNNNNNNNNNNNNNNNNNNNNNNNNNNNNNNNNNNNNNNNNNNNNNNNNNNNNNNNNNNNNNNNNNNNNNNNNNNNNNNNNNNNNNNNNNNNNNNNNNNNNNNNNNNNNNNNNNNNNNNNNNNNNNNNNNNNNNNNNNNNNNNNNNNNNNNNNNNNNNNNNNNNNNNNNNNNNNNNNNNNNNNNNNNNNNNNNNNNNNNNNNNNNNNNNNNNNNNNNNNNNNNNNNNNNNNNNNNNNNNNNNNNNNNNNNNNNNNNNNNNNNNNNNNNNNNNNNNNNNNNNNNNNNNNNNNNNNNNNNCAUGAAAUUUCUAGACUUUUUCAAAGUUUUGGUGGAGUAAAUUUUUAAAAAUUACACUUUUACCCCCCGUAAAGUGAAAAAUUACAUUUUUACCCCAAAAAUUGAAAAAUUGCCCAUAGACAUAUUUUUCAUCCCUUAUACUCGUACCAUUCUCCAAUUUGUCAAAUGUGAUCUAAAUUCUCUCAAAAUCUAAAAUUUUGUUCGCGAGUGGAAAAAUUACGAUUUUGCCCUUAGAUAGUGAAAAUUCCGGUUUGACUCCGAAUUGAUCCUUGAACUCCGAAUUACCAUUUUGAGUCAUCCAUGAACUGUGAAACUCUUAAUUUUACCUUAAAAUUCCUAUUUGAACUAGUUCGAGGCUUAAUCGACUCAAUGGUAUCAUUAGGGGCAAUAUCGUUUUUUAACGAUUUCUCGAACUUCCUAAAUAUACAAACAUUCUAUCGAGCAUGUGAAUGACAUUAUAAUUAUUUUACAAAGCAGGGUUUGAUAAUUUCUACGUAUGAAAAUUUUCUAAGAUUUUGCCAAACGUAUUUGCAUGAUAAUAAUAAUAAUAAUAAUAAUAAAAGUUGAAUAAAAGAACUUAUAAAUAAAGAAAUCAUAAAUAAGUAAAAGUUCUCUUAUGAUGAAAUUUUGAGAAGGUUAUAAGUAAUAAUUUCGAGAAAAUUUUUAGGUGAGAGAUUUUUCUUGAUUUAUGCCAUAAGUAUUGGUGUAUUCAAAGAACAUUUUGAUAUCAAAGGAUUUUUAUGAUUAAAUAAAAUAAUGGUUAAGGAAAAUUAAUUUGAAUAUCCAAAUAAAGGUCACUUACUAAGGCUAAAAUAGAUAUCGCAUAGUUAAUUCAGUACCAUUUUAAGUGAUCAUUGUAAGGGAGCUAAUACCUUCCGAACUUUGUCUAUUCUGUAAACUAGAAUCUAUUCUUUUUAAUGAAUUUAAGUCAAGUAUAAGACUUCCCUAGAAAAAUAUAUUCAUCUAGGUGAUCAAUCACACCUAAAUAAAAAAGAUUGAUGACGACUCCUAUUAUGUCAAAUAGUUGAGUUUCAAGACUCAAACGUUAUGACACAUGAUACAAUUAAAACAUGAUUAAACGAUUAACACAAUUUAAUUGUUAAUACGAUUAAUACAUGAUUAAAUUAAAAUAUAUACACUUAAAAUAUAAUUUUAUUAAUCAAAUUUAAAAUCAAUAAUUAUAAAAACAAUGAUAACAAGAUAACAAUAUUAUCAAAUAUAAUAAAAUUCAACAUAAAUAGUAUCCAUAAAAUCUAUUACCAUAAUACAAUAAUCUUUUACUACUAAACUUAAAAAGGUUGAUAACAGUGUCCACUUAUACAGGUUAAACACAAUUAACAUAAUUAAUUAAACAAGUUUAAAUAUGUCUUAGACAUGUUUCGACAAGAUUAAGAUACAAAACACAUAAGAUUAAACCCAAUCCUGUUUAACUCCAUAUCUUUUCAUGUCAUGUCUAAAAUUAAUAUGUCUAUUUUUUUAAAGUAUUUAUCACAUUUAAUACUUAUUAAUUAAUAACUAAAACAUAUAUUUAAAUGGUAAAUAAUAACAUAAUUAAAUCAACCUAUUGAAUUGGGAAUUGUCUCUUUCAUCAAUAACCAAUCUAGUCUAGUCUAGUCUAGUCUGCUUAUUAAAACAGUGGGCAAAUCCCUCACAAGGUAGGAUCCUCCUCACAUUUAUAAUUACCUUGGGUUAAGCAUGAUAACCCAAAACACCAUACCUUUAGUUUUGAUCAAGUUGCAAAGAACUUAGUUUGAGAUUGUGUUCGAACAAAUAGGGAUGGUUAGCAUCUCCUGUAACAGGGAUGAGAUCAACCUUUAGGCUUACGUGUUAAACUUGGUAAUUUAUGUCUUUUGUAUUUUAAUCAUAUCAUGUAAACAUAGAGUAUUAACAGUUAUAAUGGAUAAACACGAAUACAACACGAUUAAUUAUUCAUGUCAGGAUCUAAAAAACAUACACAGAUACAUUUAAUAAACAUACAACACAACAUGGUUAACACAUUUAUCAAUUGUGUUUAGUUAAAUUUUAUACGACAAAACUAUUAGUGUAAGCCUUGCAAGCCAAUCGAUUUUGUGCUUGUAAAACACUAUAUUAAUUAGUCAUAGUUCAUAUUAAAUACAUUAUUGAUAUUUUAUAUAAUGUAUGAGGUAUUUCUUUAUCCAUGAGUUUAUUUAUAAAGAGUUAUGAGAGACUUAUGUAGAUAAAGUCCUUGGAACAUAAUGGCCUUGCAAAGAAAUUAUAAAAGUUAUAAUUAUGAGAUUCUUAUGCAUCAAAGCCUUGUUCCUAAAUAUGUUCCUAGUCACUGUAUUGUCAAGAAUAAAGGCAUUGACAAUGCUCAAAGGUUGGUACAUGCUAAGCCUCCUUACUUUAGAAGUAAGCAAUUGAUCUCAUAAGUUGAAGUAUGUGAGAUACUUGGGGAUAGUAUGUAGGUGCUUGUUAAGGAACAAGUUUACUAAACAUGACCUGCUAUGAUAGUUCCAUUUGGUAUUUCACUCAAGUGUCUAUGGAAAUACUCUCAUGUGUCAGUAAUGUAAGUAAUCCUUAAACUUGUGAUACCAUGUCAUCUUGUAUGUGAAUUGUCAUGCUUUGAUUUCACCUCUACGGGUCUGGAGAUGACCAAAUGUUUAAAUAAGGUGCUUUUGGGUAUGGCAUGAAGCAUGCGAAGAUGAAUGGGUAGUCCAAAAAAGAUUCAUCACCCCAAGUGAUUUGAAGGGGACAUAUCUCAUUUGCUCCUGGCUUAUAUUGAUUAAAAGUCCUUGGCCAAGGCAAUCUUGAUAGGUCAAUAUAGAAACUGUAGGACUAAUAUGGAUAAGUUAGAAAGUAGACACCGAGCUAGACUUUCUAUCUAUUUGGGAUAUAUGAUGAAAGGAUCGAAUUACACUGAGAUAUUGUACAUUGAAAGGUUAGUCAAAUCAUAUUGACUUUCCUGACAUUUAGGUGGUCAUGAUAUAUUGUUAGAUGCCGCUCAUGAUCUAUAAAUAUAAAUAUAAAUUCUUAAUUGAAUUAAUUUAUAUUUAUUGCCAACAUGUUGGGAACCUAACGGGUCACACACAUAAGGUGAAUUGUCGAAAUUAAUUUGAGUUCAAUUGGAUGUGAUCUAAUUGAUUUUAUAGAGGUUUAAUCUAAUUAAGUAUUGGGUUAAAUCAAAUACGAUUUGAUGGAGUAUUAAAUAAAGGCCCAAUUAGCCCAAGACAUAUUAUAAUUCUUAUUGGUUAUAAAUUAGGUCAAUUAACUCUAUAAAAGAAUCCCUUAGCCGCUUCUUGAAGAAAAAGAAGAGUUCUAUUUUAUUUUCUCAUGCGUUGAGAUAGGAUCACAACCAAAAAGAAAGAAACACAAGGGAGCUCAAAGUUGAGAGUUUGCUAGCACAAAUUUCGACUUAGGGAUUUACACGCUCUUAGUGAAGAAAUUUCGGCAAAUCACUAUGUGGAUCACCAUUAGAGGCAAGACAACUAUGCUCUGUGGUUUGAUAAGUUUUAGUUGAUGUACAAAAGUUAAAACGAAAAGCCAAGGAGGACUCCACCAAAGAAAGUAGACUUUCAGGUAUGUCAAAAUUUCUUUUGUGGUUUUUCUAGAUUAGUUUCAAUUAAUGUGAUCCAUGGCUUUGGGGAAUAAAUUUUAAUAAUAUUCCGUUGCGUAUGAGUUGUCUUAGCAUGAUUUAAAUCCCCAACAGUGGUAUCAGAGCCUCCUUUAAUUGAUUUAAUCUAGUUUUAUGUUUAGUUGUUGAAGAUUACAAAAAUUGUUUUGUUUAUAUGUCGGUUUGAUGCAAAGUUUGAAAAAUUAUUUAUAAUAAUUCUGAAUGAAUUUUUUCAAAACUAAUUUAUGUUUUAAAAAGGCCUAUAAAGUCUUGAUUUAUGGAUUUAAAAUCUAGAUUUAAUAAGUCCUUAAAGAUUUUAUAGAUUUGUUUUAAAAGAAUCCAAAUUUGAAAAAUCUGGCAUCAUAACAUGAUCUGUUUUGGAAAUUUUUUUGAGGGACUUAGAGAAGGAGUUUGAACGUGAUUUUUGGAGGGUAGAACGUCAAGAGGAUGAUCUUAACCUCUGAAAAUUUACAGUAUUUAAUUACCUCGUUUGGGUGGUGAUCUGAUGAUGUUUCUGCACAAACAGUUUGCUGGAAUUGUAUUCUUGUGUGACAAGGACUUGCAAAAUCAUGGCUAUUUGUAUUCCGAAUUUACUGAGGUUUUGAGAGCUUUUUGGCAUGAUGUUUGGGGCAUGGGAUGUCUCUGAAUUGGUGCCAAAAUCGCAGCAAACAAUGGAGUAUGGAGCUUCAAAGGAUUUGGGACAGCAUAGGUGAUGCAGACCCAAUAAAAUUACACUAGCUUGUGCUAUUUCUUCUCUAUAUAAUUAAGAGUUGUACUAAUUUGGUUGUGACCUGAAUUUAGACUCCUAAUUGUAAUGGAAUAUAUCCUAAAGAGUUUAGGAUUGCUCCAAAUAAGAUUCUAAAAUCAAAUUGGCAAAGAAAUAGGACUCUUGGCCAUAAAGAUCUAAUUCUAGUUGGACUAGAAUUAUUAAAUUUUCUAAUAACAUUAGAAAGCCUAAUUGGAUUAGGAUUCCUUUGAAUAUUAAAUUUCUAAUAUGAUUAGAACUCCUAUUGAGAAUAAGGGUCAAAUUUAAAUUUCAUAGUCCUAAAAGGUUUAGAAUUACAAAGUCUAUGCUUAAUUGAAUUCCUAGUAGGACUAGGAUUUCUAAAUUGGCACAAGACAUUUAAUGGGACCUAGACAUCAAAUUAUUUGGAUUAAUAUCUUCAAAGGUUGAGUAAUAUUAUUGCCAAAAGACAUAUGAGAUCUUCAAUUUGAAUUAAACAUAAGUUUUAUAUGUUCAUUAUAUGAUUAUGAAUAUAUGAUGAUGAUUAUGGACUUAGACCACUAUAAUGUGUUAUGGAUGGUUAUGGUUGAAUGUAUUUGGUAUUUAUUUUAUAAAUAGGGAGUGUGUGCCCUGCCUUUCCUCUAUUUUAUUCAGGAGUUGUAAAAUUCUCUUCUCAGCUUACUCCCCUCAAAUGUAACUUGAGGUUUCUUUACAUAUAUGUAAUUAGAAUUUAUAGGAUUAGAUUAGGAAGAAAAUUUUAUAAUUCCAAGAUUGAAGGACGAAGGUGCCAAGGAGACAUGAAGAUCACAAGAUUACAAUAUAUGAUGAUAUUUGUAUGUAAUCCCUUAGGAUUUGACCAACUAAUUUCCUUCGAUGGCUCAAGGAAAUUAGAUUAGAUAAAUUCCAUAAUCAUCCUAGUAGUAUGCAUGUGAUAGAUUUAUUUUAUGCAAUAUUAUAAAUGCUAUGCAUGCCAAAUUCGAUGAGACCUAAAUAACAAGAUAAAAGCAACAACAAAAAUCCCUCAUUAAAAUAUUGAGUCACAUGUUUCGCAUGAUUAAGUUGCCUUCCACCAUAUAACAAGAUAACCAAGCUACCUUUUUAAUUGGAGACUUGUUGAGUCACUCAAGGUCAAACUUUUACAUGGGCACGUUUGAGUUAUUGGUGGGUCUUACUCAACUAAAACUGUGUGGUUCGGAUGUGUCACACUUGACCACAUGGUCUUAAAGGCAGGGUUAAGCGAAAUGCAUAUGAUGCAUUUACACAAUGAGUUGUCACCUAACUGAUUUGGGAGUUACAUGUGGAUGCAAUUGAUAAGCUACGUUAUCUACCCAAUUAGGCUUAUUGUGAUUUGUUGAGUCACUUAAGGUUGUCAUAAUUCGAAAGGGGUCCCAGCCCACUAGAAAUACCUAGUAGAGAUUUUCGUAUAAUAGUAAAGGCUAUUAUUACGAAAAAUUAGUGGGAGAAUCAAUGUAAGAUUUAAUACCUCGUCUUAAAUUGAUUUAUAACAUGAAAGGCUAAUACAAAUACUUUUUCUAUAUUUAUAGAUUGUUAGAAUGGGUAUAAUAAUUGCUACUUUGCUUGGCAUACUUGAUGUCAUCAACCUAAAAUGUUUGGACUGGUAUAUCACUUUGAGAAAAGUUCUCAAUAAAUGGAAGGGUGAAAUCUUGACAAGUAAAGAGAUAACUUUAAAUAUGAUUAAGCUUAAUCUUUCUACUGCCAAUCCUAAAUCUUGGAUAAUAGAUUCAAGAUGUGUAUCGCAUUUAUGUACUGACAUAAAGGCUUUAAAGUAUAGUAGAAAGCUUGGUUAAAAUGAGGUAGUCCUAACGUAGGCAAUGGUGCAAAAAUUACAGCAGUUGCCGUUGGGACUUGUGAUCUUAUUUUACCAUCGAGCUUAGUGCUGGAGCUAAAAGAGUGCUAUUGUGUACCAGCAUUAACCAAAAACAUCAUUUCGGUUUCAUACCUAGCUAAGAAUGAUGAUUUUGAAUUUAGUAUGAAGGGCAAUUGUUGCACUGUCAUUCUAAAUGAUGUAUUUUAUGGAUCUGCAACAUGUCAUGGAGGACUUUAUGUUAUGGAUCUUGAUAGCCCAAUGCUCAAUAUAGAUGUCAAGAAAGCUAGAAAAGAUAAUCCAAAUCAAACCUACAUCUGGCAUUGUAGACUUGGUCAUAUCAAUGAGACAAGGAUAGCUAAGUUAUAUAAACAAGGUUAUCUAGAUCCAUUUGAUUAUGAAUCAUAUAGAGCUUGUGAAUGUUGUCUCCUUGGUAAGAUGACUAAGACUCCUUUUACUGGAAAGGCUGAAAGAGCAGGUGUGCUCCUAGGGCUAAUACAUUCGGAUGUAUGUGGACCCUUAAACACACCACCCAGAGGAGGUUAUUCAUAUUUCAUUACGUUUACAAAUGACCAUUCUAGAUUUGGUUAUGUGUACCUAAUGAAGUACAAGUCUGAAGCUUUUGAAAAGUUCAAAGAGUUUAAGGCUGAGGUUGAGAAACAAAUUGGGAAGAGUAUUCUCACUCGUAAAUCGAAUCAAGGAGGAGAAUAUCUUAGUCAUGAGUUUCUAGAUUAUCUAACGGAACAUGGGAUUAUAUCACAAUGGACUCUAUUUGGAACUCCACAACACAAUGGAGUGUUUGAGAGGAGAAAUCGAACCUUGUUGGACAUGGUUCGUUCCAUGAUGAGUAGGGCAGACCUUCUGAUAUCCUUUUGGGGAUAUGCCCUAGAGACUGCUGCUUACCUUCUUAACAAGGUUCUAACCAAAUCGGUUGAUAAGACACCAUAUGAGAUGUGGUAUGGCAAAAGGCCAAACUUGUCUUAUACAAGGAUUUGGGGAUGUACGGCUUAUGUAAAGCGUGCAUCAUCUGAUAAGCUUGGAGCUAGAUCAGACAAAUGCAAGUUUGUAGGGUAUCCUAAAUAAACUAUAGGAUACUAUUUUUACAAUCCCGCCGAGCAAAAGGUAUUUGUCUCGAAACAUGCCACUUUCUUGGAAAAGAGUUUUUACUUGAAGGGAUUAGUGGGAGUAAAAUAAUUCUUGAAGAGGUUCAAGAACCACAAACUAACAUCCCUUUGGAACCUGAGUCGACGGUUGAAGUAUUGGAUGCUCAAACCAACACUCAAGAAACACAAGUGCUCCGUAAAUCUACGAGACAGAGACAAAUUCCAAAGAGAUAUAGAUUUAUGAUGGAAAGAGAUGCUUUGCCAAUUGACAAAGAGCCUACUACUUAUGAGGAAGCAAUAUCUAAUAUUGAUUCUGAUAAGUGGCUAGAGGCCAUGAAAUUCGAGAUGGAUGCCAUGCAUGUCAACCAAGUAUGGACUUUGGUUGAUGCACCUGAAAGGGUAAAACCCAUAGGAUGCAAAUGGGUCUUUCAGAGAAAGACUAACAUGGAUGGUGAUGUACAAACGUACAAGGCUAGGUUGGUUGCUAAAGGUUACAACCAAGUUGAAGGAAUCAAUUAUGAGGAAACCUUCUCACCUGUGGCCAUGAUUAAAUCUAUUAAGAUUUUGCUUACUAUUACUGCAUAUUAUGAUUAUGAGAUAUGGCAGAUGGAUGUAAAGACAACAUUCCUUAACGAGAAUUUGCAAGAGGAAGUGUAUAUGACACAACCUGAAGGUUUUAUAUCCAAGGAGAAUCAGCAUAAAGUAUGCAAACUCCAAAAGUCCAUUUAUGGGCUAAAGCAAACAUCUAGGAGUUGGAACAUUAAAUUUGAUAAAACUAUUAAAGAAUAUGAUUUCGUCAAGAAUCUUGAUGAUCCAUGUGUUUACAAAAGGGUAAAUGGACAAGCAGUUGUAUUUUUAGUACUUUAUGUUGAUGAUAUACUAUUAAUAGGAAAUGAUAUAUCGAUGCUACAGACUGUCAAAAUCUGGCUAUCCAAAAAAUUCUCCAUGAAGGAUUUGGGAAAAGUGGCCUAUGUUCUAGGAAUAAGGAUCUAUAGAGAUAGAUCAAAGAGGCUGUUAGGAUUGUCCUAAUCCACUUAUAUAGACAAGGUGCUAAAGAGGUUUAGCAUGAACGAGUCCAAAAAGGGACAUUUGCCUAUGUCACAUGGCAUUCAUCUCUUAAAGGAUAUGUGUCCAAAGACACAAGAUGAGAGGAUGAAGAUGGAUAGGAUACCGUAUGCAUCGGUUAUAAGAUCCAUCAUGUAUGCCAUGUUAUGUACUAGACCAAAUGUGGCGUUUGCUUUGAGUGUCAUGAGUAAAUACCAAUCAAAUCCAAGUGAAAAUCAUUGGAUUGUUGUGAAAAAUAUCCUUAAGUACUUACGGAGAACUAAAGAUGUUUUCUUGGUCUAUGGAGGGGCUGAACUCCAAGUUAAAGGAUAUGAAGAUGCUGCAUUCCAAUCUGAUAAGCAUGACAAUAAAUUGCAAAGUGGAUUUAUAUUUACCUUAAAUAGCGGUGCUAUUAGUUGGAAAAGUUCCAAGCAAGCAACAACUGUAGAUUCUACAACCGAGGUUGAAUACAUCUUCGCGUCUGAGGCAGCAAAAAGGGGAGUUUAGAUCAAAAAGUUCGUAACUGAACUUGGUGUGGUUCCUAGCAUUGUUGAUCUUGUAACUUUGUACUGUGACAACAAUGGAGCCAUUGCGCAAGCAAAGGAACCAAGGUCUUAUCAAUGAUCCAAACAUGUAUUAUGGCAUUAUCACUUGAUCAGAGAGAUCAUUGGAAGAUGUGAUAUUAAUAUAAAAAGAGUACCCUCUCACCAAAGUUCUGUCCCAACAAAAAUAUGAUCGCCACUUGGAAGGCUUUGGUAUUAGAUACAUGGGAGAUUGGCUUUAGUGCUAGUGGGAGAUUAUUAGUGUAAGCCUUGUAAGCCAAUCGAUUUUGUGCUUGUAAAACACUAUAUUAAUUAGUCAUAUUUCAUGUUAAAUACAUUAUGGAUAUUUUAUAUAAUGUAUGAGGUAUUUUUUUAUCCAUGAGUUUAUUUAUAAAGAGUUAUGAGAGACUUAUGUAGAUAAAGUCCUUGGAACAUAAUGGCCUUGCAAAGAAAUUAUAAAGGUUAUAACUAUGAGAUUCUUAUGCAUCAAAGCCUUGUUCCUAAAUAUGUUCCUAGUCAUAGUAUUGUCAAGAAUAAAGGCAUUGACAAUGCUCAAAGGCUGGUACAUGCUAAGCCUCCUUACUUUAGAAGUAAGCAAUUGAUCUCAUAAGUUGAAGUAUGUGAGAUACUUGAGGAUAGUAUGUAGGUGCUUGUUAAGGAACAAGUUUACUGAACAUGACCUGCUAUGAUAGUUCCAUUUGGUAUUUCACUCAAGUGUCUAUGGAAAUACUCUCAUGUGUCAGUAGUAUAAGUAAUCCUUAAACUUGUGAUACCAGGUCAUCUUGUAUGUGAAUUGUCAUGCUUUGAUUUCACCUCUACGGGUCUGGAGAUGACCAGAUACUUAAAUAGGGUGCUUUUGGGUAUGGCAUGAAGCAUGUGAAGAUGAAUGGGUAGUCUAGAAAGGAUUCAUCACCUCAAGUGAUUUGAAGGGGACAUAUCUCAUUUGCUCCUAGCUUAUAUUGAUUAAAAGUCCUUGGCCAAGGCAAUCUUGAAAGGUCAAUAUAGAAGCUGCAGGACUAAUAUGGAUAAGUUAGAAAGUAGACACCGAGCCAGACUUUCUAUCUAUUUGGAAUAUAUGAUAAAAGGAUCGAAUUACACUAAGAUACUGUACACUGAAAGGUUAGUCAAAUCAUAUUGACUAUUCUGACAUUUGGGUGGUCAUGAUGUAUUGCUAGAUGCCGCUCAUGAUCUAUAAAUAUAAAUAUAAAUUCUUAAUUGAAUUAAUUUAUAUUUAUUGCCAACAUGUUGGGAACCUAAUGGGUCACACACAUAAGGUGUAUUGUCAAAAUUAAUUUGAGUUCAAUUGGAUGUGAUCUAAUUAGUUUUAUAGAGGCUUAAUCCAAUUAAGUAUUGGGCUAAAUCAAAUACGAUUUGAUGGAGUAUUAAAUAAAGGCCCAAUUAGCCCAAGACAUAUUAUAAUCCUUAUUGGUUAUAAAUUAGGUUAAUUAACUCUAUAAAAGAAUCCCUUAGCUGCUUCUUGAAGAAAAAGAAGAGUUCUAUUUUAUUUUCUCAUGCAUUGCGAUAAGAUCACUGCCAAAAAGAGAGAAACACAAAAGAGCUCAAAGUUGAGAGUUGGCUAGCAUAAACUUCGGCUUAAGGAUUCACACACUCUUAGUGAAGAGAUUUCGGCAAAUCAUUGUGUGGAUCACCAUUAGAGGUAGGACAACUGUGCUGCUGUGGUUUGAUAAGUCCUAAUUGGUGCACAAAAGUUAAAACGAAAAGCCAAGGAGGACUCCACCAAUGAAAGUAGACUUUCAGGUAUGUCAAAAUAUCUUUUGUGGUUUUUCUAGAUUAGUUUCAAUUAAAGUGAUCCAUAGCUUUGGGGAUUAAAAUUUUAAUAAUAUUUCGCUGCGUAUGAGUUGUCUUAGCAUGAUUUAAAUCCCCAACAAAAACAUGAUUAACAUGAUUAAAAUUUAUAUGAUUUAUAAUUUGUUUACAUGAUUAACAUGAUUGAUACGAUUAACACACAAUUGAUACAAUUAACAUGAUUAAAAUGCUUAAAUUAAAAUAUGUACAAGUAAAAUAUAAUUUUAUUAUUCAAAUUUACAAUCAAAAAUUAUAAAUAUCAUAAUAUUUAUAAAAUAUAAUAAAAUUUGAAAUCAAUAAAUCUUAAUUAUCAUAAAAAUAUUAGUACUUAUAUGAAUCAAUAAAUAAGUCUUAACUGUACACUAAAUGUGUAUAUAUGACACGAUUAAAUAAAUAAACAAUAGAUGAAUUAUAAGCUAUACGAGAUACACGAUAACAUGAUUAACUAUUUGUAUCUUAGACGUAUCUUAGAUGGAUUUAAUGGGUUUAACAUAAUUAAUACAUGAAAUACUAUUAACCUAAAUUCAAACAUGCAAAAUUAUGUAUCAUGUUACCAUAUUACAUACAAAAGUACUAAAUCUACGUGUUAUCGUGACUGGCUAUUUACCCACUUUGAGUUGGAUCUCUAAUCCAUAGCUAAUAUUCCAUGUUGAGAAUAAGGAAUAAAGAGAAUAUGACAAGAACUACUAUUUUAUCAAUUUUUUAACUUUCUAAUUCUUUAAUACACAUCUUUAACAUAAUAGUUAUAAAAUUUAUAUAUGCAUAAAUAAUAAGAGUAAAACGACACGCAUUAUACCCACCACCUCUCUCUACCCAUGAGUUAAACUAUCAUUAAAUCAAUAUCAAGACGGUUGAACAUAAAAAUAUGUAUGCCAUUGCCAACUAGAGGUAAUACGUGUACACUACUUGAAAGAUGGAAACCUAAGAGAGUGAAGAGAGAAUUCAGCAAAGAGUUGCCUAACAAAAGUAAUGGAUUUAUUACUAUAUUAAUUACAUAAAACUCUAAAUUAACAGUAAAACAAGUAAACAAUUUUAGAAAAUGAGUGGUGUCAUAUGACACCACUCCCUCUAAGGUAGGUCCACCCUUGAUUGUAUAUAAUUUGUAUUACAAAAUAUUUGUUAGGCAAUAAGCUCUGGACAAUGGGGUGUUUGUCAUCAUCCAAAAAGGAGAUGGUGGAUCCAUAUUACUUUUUAUGACAAUAAACAAGUGGAGGGAAUCAAUUGACUAACUCCCCUCAAAGAUAUCCUAAAGAUACAAAAGUAGAUAAGUUAGUUGAUUAAUGUAGUCAAAAUCAAACUCAACUGAUUAAUUAGAUUGAUUAAAUCCAAAAUAUUCUAUUCAAAAAAUGACUAAGUGUAUAUCAAAUCACUUAAGAAUCUGGCAACAUUUCCAUUAAACCAGACUUAAUUAAAUAAAACUAGAUUGCAAUUGAUUUCAAUCUAUUAAAUUAAUAAAUAAUUUUUUCAAAAAAAAUAUGCAAUUGAUUGGAUUUAAACCCCUAACCUCUUCCAGUAUUAUUAAAAUAUAAACCAUUAGAUAAUACCUUUUUAUCAAGCAUUUAUCGCAUUUAAUACUUAUUUAAUAAUCAAAACAUAUAUUUAAAUUAUAAAUACUGAGAUAAUUAAAUAAACCCAUCCAAUUGAGAAUUUGUCUCCUUCAUCAAUAACCAAUUUAGUAUUUGUUUGAUUUGAUUUGAUUUGAUUUCUUUCAACUUAUCUACCUCUUAAAGUAGAAGUCAAGUUAAACAAAAUUUUGAGAAACUUAAAAAAAUAGAUUUUUUUAAAACAAAAUUUAAGAAAAAAAUUUUAAAAAAAGCUUUAGAUAAAAGCUUUCUCUUAUAUUUUUUUGAAAUUACGUCAUCUUUUACAGAAAUACCUUUUUCUCUCAAUAACAUAAAUAUUUUUUAUGAUAAUUUUAAUCAAAUUAAAAUUUAUAUAAUUUAUUUUAUCAAAUAAUUUAUCGAACAAAUUUAUCUUAAUUUAAAAGUUAUUAUAUUUUAUAAAAACUUUAUGAUAACUUUUAAAUUAAAAAAAUUAAAUCAAACAAGUUCCUAAUCUAGUGCUAGCGUAAGGCUAAGGACUACCUAACUCACUUUGGAGUUGAAUCUCUAAUCCGCAGUUGAUAUUCGAAACCCGAAUAAGGAAUACAAGUAUAUGACAAGAGCUAGUAUUUAUCAAUUCCUUUUAUAAACUUAUAAUUAUUUAAUAAAAAUAUAUAACAGAUUGGUUAUUAUAAAAUUUAUAUAUGGAUAAAAGAUAAGAGUAAAAUGACGGGCAUACCCACUACAUCUCCCGACCUGGGCGGUUAACCUAUGAUUACAUCAAUAUCAAGGUGGUUCAACGUAAAUAUAGGCAUCCACAGAGCUUCUAGUGGGCGCCACAUUCUUUAAUGGGGCACGCGUAGCUACAGGGCACAAGCAUUCUCACCCACCCCCACGUGAUAACCUUAAUCAUUUGUUUUUCCAAAAAAUUAUUUUAUAUAUUGAAGUUGUAAAGUUUCAAGUAAAUCACAAAUUUAUUUAAAGAAUUAAUAAAUUAUUAUAGUUUAUAUUUAUAAAAUAAAUUAAUUAAAUAUAUUUUAAUUAAUUCUUAAAUAAAUUAAACGAGUUUAAUAUAUUUAAAAUACGAAAUUUUCAUCCCAUAACUCUGUUGAUAUAAUUAAGACAAAAAACAUGAUUACUUUACACCCAAAUUCGUUUAACUCUAUAUCAUAAUUAUCUUGUCGUAUGCAAAAUAAUCAUAUCUAAAUGCAUUGUUUAAAAAGAAAAACAAUACAAUCUUAUGUUGCUCAUUUCCACGAUAAAAAUUAUUUAAUUUGAGUCACAUGAAGAUAUGUUGAGAGUGAAUUAUUAAAUAAAUAUAUGUCCAGUUAUAUAAAUUAUAUUGUUUAUAAUAAUAAUAAUAAUAAUGCAAAAUGUUAUUUUAGAUGAAUGCUUGAAACCCAAUGAUUUGUUGCUUGAUAUUAUGUAGCGUUUGAUACUUUACAAUGUAAUGUGAUUGCAGGUAAUGUGAUUGCAAGCAAUAUGAUUGCAGAAAAGAUAACAUUGUAGUGUUUAGUAUAUAAGUAAUAUAAUGAUUAAAAUGCAGAGAAUAUAACAUUGCAGUGUUUGUUUACAAAUACUUUAUAGGGUGUGUAAUGUUAAUUUUCAAAACUACCAUUAUAUAUUAAAAUACAAAUUUAACAUGUAUUUUUUUAUUGUUAAUUUUUAUAUAAUGUCAUUUUUUAAAAAUAUUUUUAAUUAAAUAUAUUGUAUUUUUCAUUUCUUAUUGCAAGUAUACAUUUUUUUAUUUUUAAUAUAAUUUCUUAUAUUGUAUAUUUUAUUUUUAACUUUUUCUUUAAAAGAUAAUUUUUUUUUAUUUCUUAAUACGUUUUAUAUAUAUACAUUAAUGUGAUAGCUUCAUUUCUUAUAACCAAUAACAAAUUGGCAACAAAAUACUCAACAGAUUGUGAGUAAUUUUUUUUAAAAAAUGAUUGGUAAAAAUAUUUUUAAAGAUAUUAUAAAAUGCAAUGUAAUGUGAUUACAUUAGUUUUAGACUGUAAUCACAUUACAUCUAUUUGCUGCAAUGUGAUUGCAUUACAAUCUUAUAUUGCAAUGGUAUGUUACAAAACAAACACUGCAAUGUAAUUUAAUUGAGCACAUUACAAAAAAUCUGACUUUACAUUCCUCGUACCAAACGCAUCCUUAAAUACAUGAGAAUCAGAAUCUAGUGAAAAUAAAUUCUAUGGUGUAAUAUAAUAACAUAAAAUCUGAAUGUAAACCGAUGCAUAAAACCUUUGAGAUUAAAUUUAAUUAAUGAAAAUCAGAAUGUACUGGAAGGGCGAAUCCUUCCCCUUCCAUAGCCCUAUCUAGCUAACUGUCCUAUGCAUUCUUUUUGUCUCAUUUAUAUCUAAAACAUAGCCAUACAUGGAAAUGAGGUACGACCUCGCCUGUGGACGAAAAGGACGUAGGUGAGGGAAGACAGAGAGGAUAGCAAAAUAAUUAAAAAAAACGUGGUAAUUGAUUUGUAUUUUUGGAAGGAGAAAGAAUGGAACAACUAGAAAAGGACAUGUAAAGAUAAGAAAAGAGACAGACGGUAUCGAAUGAUAAGAGGAUGAGUAGCUGGAGAUGCUUUACCGGUCACGUGCAACGGAUUACGUUCUGUCUUUUCUUUUUCCUGAUUAUAGUUAUGUAUGAUAUGAUAUUUGGUCCAAGGUGGUCCUUCUCCUUCCUACUUAGAAAGCAUUAAUAAUAAAUAAAUACAAGACAGAAAGUGAAAGGAAUUGGGCAAAAUGGGAAACGUAUCUCCCUCGUGAUUCCGUGGGCAGCCAAUAACACAUAUUGGUUGCCUCCCUCCCUCAAGAGGUUGGUUUGGGUCUUAUAAAUUGCAACUCGCAAGCCACAAAUAACAAGGAUAUAAUUACUUCAAUUUGUUUCUAUUGUCUGCUUCUGCAGAGACAAAUGGGGAAAAUGGCAAGUGAAGCGUUUUUUGUUGUUGUUGUUGCUGCGGCUGCGGCGGUAGUGUUGGCCAAUGCGUUGCCGGUGAGGAGCGAACGUGGGGGCGUGGAGAAGGAUGAGGUGAACAUAUGGCCAAUGCCGGCGUGGGUGAGUCACGGCCGCGGCCAUCUUUACAUGAGCAAUGAUUUCGUGCUCUCCACAGAGGGGAGCGGCUAUGGGGAUGCGUCUGGGAUACUCAAAGACGCAUUCCACAGAAUGCUUGCUGUCAUCACACUGGAUCAUGUUGUUGAUGCCAAUUUUUCUGCAUUGCAUGAUCAACCUCUGCUCCAGGGUUUGCGUAUAGUUAUUAGCUCUCCAAAGGACCAGGUUCCUCCUUCACUCUCUUUUAUUAUUAUCUAUUUCUAUUGUCUUCACCCCCUUUUUCCCAGAAAAAUGAUCACUUCACCCCUUACCCAUUACCCAUUUUUAGGAUUUCUUUUUUGUGCUUUCUGUUAACAAAAGAAAAUUAAAACUAAAAAGAAAAAGGUUUGAGAUGACAUAUAUUCGAAUACAAAUUAAAGUUCUUUCCUUGUCUGAGAAUGUCGUGUUGUACACAAGACACAGGUCAAAGAUUUAUGCUGCAAACGCUGAUAACGAAGUUAUAAGUUACUAUUACGAUUGGUGGAGCCUUUGAUUUAAGACGGUGAUUAAUGUUUAUUUGAUUUGGAGUAAUUCCUUUGUGGUUUUGGUUGCAGCUACAAUACGGCAUUGAUGAGUCGUACAAAUUGAUGGUCCCGUCACCAGAAAAGCCAGCUUACGCCCAUCUUGUGGUAGGCCUAACCAAUCCUAUUUGUGCCAUCUUUUCUUUCAUUUAUUUAUUUUAUUGUUUAUAUUUUUGGGAACUCUUGGAUGAAGGGAUGCACUUAUAUCACAUAUGGUUGAGCUAAGUGCUCAAAGUGCAUUUGUGUCAUCCACUUAAGUCAUAAGUCAUUGCAACAAACACCUACUUAAUAAUUUCAGAAUCACCCCCUCCUUCUGUUUCCUUCAAAUCGUUCAUUAUUUAUGUUAAGUCAGUAUCGUUGGGUGACCGAUUUGACAAAUCUUUAAGCUGUCAGGAAAUGGCUCCAGUUUUAUAUUUACGUCCGAGCAAUGUAAUUGUUGACUUUUAACUUGAUAUUCUGAGGACUUUCAUUGACCUUUCUUAAAUUAGUAUUUUAUGGAUUGCUACUCCAUCACAUCAUAUAAAAUCACUUACCAUAGCCUUAUACACCAACUUUAUGGGUGUGUUUUCCGGAAGGAUUAUGCCUUUCCAGUACCUUUUCUUUUCUCUUUCACAAGAGGCAAAUUACAAGUAUCUACCCAAAGGUUAGGCUUGAUAUGAGGUUGUGUGCUAGACAAAAUUCCAAAAUAUUGGUUGUUUAAAUUCACUAGUUUAUUUGAAUUAACCGCUAAUUAUAGAAUCAACUCAAUCCUGUUACAAAACAAUGCAGGCGCCGACGGUUUAUGGUGCUUUACAUGGCCUUCAGGUUAGUGCUAGUAUAAUUCUUGUUGCUACGUUGUCAUUGUUCUUGACUUUAUUGUAAAUUCAAAAUUCUUAGAAAUAUGUGGCUUGUCAUACAACGUUGCAGACAUUCAGCCAAUUAUGCCAUUUUAACUUUACAAGCAGGGUCAUUGAAGUUCACAUGUCCCCAUGGACUAUCAUUGAUCAGCCAAGAUUUUCUUACCGAGGCCUCUUAAUUGGUGCGAUGCUUCACUUCUAUAGCAUGUUUGAGUGGUUCAUGGUCUUGAUUUCCUUUGAAACUAUGAUAUCUAUUUUUGACUUACAUUGAAAUAAUUAGGGGCUUAUUUAUGUUAUUUUGCUUUAGCUGUUAGCUAUAAUUAAAAUAUAUUGUUUUACUGCCCAUUUUGGCAAUUCUAUAUCUUCAGCAACCAGCAAGAUGAAAGAUGGAAUAGCAGUUAAGCUGCCGAUCUUCAUGGGUUUGAGAAAAUUAUACCAAGAAAAAAGUCUUUUUUUUUUUUAUCCUGUUUUCUGUUUCAAUACAAUGUUUUGACUUUUUUGAUGUGCAGAUACAUCUCGUCACUAUCUGCCAUUGCCAGUUAUUAGGAAAGUUAUUGAUUCCAUGACCUAUGCAAAGCUGGUAUGUAAUGCAUUAAUAACAAAUUUCAACUGGAAUAUUUUUCUCCUCCUGAUUGUUUUCACCAAGUGGAGAUUUGUUUAAUACAACAGAAUGAUAUUAAGCCUAAAUGCAGUAACUGUUUCUUGCUUUCACACAGAAUGUAUUGCACUGGCACAUUGUAGAUACACAGUCUUUUCCUUUGGAGAUACCUUCAUAUCCCAAAUUGUGGAAUGGUGCUUAUUCAACUUCAGAACAAUAUUCAGUGGCUGAUGCUGCUGAAAUUGUGAGGCAUGUGAUUUACCUCUUUCUCACAGGAUUCAAAUAAUAAUUACUACUCUGAUAACUUUGAUUCUUUUUGAUAUGUUUAUUUUUAAUCUUUGCAGUUUUGCUCAAAAAAGAGGAAUAAAUGUAUUGGCUGAAAUUGAUGUUCCAGGACAUGCUCUCUCAUGGUAGCACAGGCUUUCUCCAUUUUUAAAGCAUAUUCUUCUUAUUGCUAGUAAAUAUGCUUUAUUUGACAAAUAAGCAUUACUUUAUAGUAUAUGAAGAUGCUAAUUUUUGUGCCUAUCAUAAAGGUUUGGAAAUUUUAAUUAGUGCUCUUUAAAAUGAUGGAGAUAUCAGGCUCUAAUAUCUUAUUUAGUGAAUGAAAGUUACAAAAAGUAAAAACUUAAGCUUUCUGAUAAUUGAGCAAGGACUUUAGGCUGGUAAUUUAACUAUGAUUACCUUAACAUAGGUACUCUUGAGGUGGAGAAUGCUGAAGAAUUUAUUGAGGAUGCAUGGUACAAAAUUGUGCGCAAUGGAUAAAUUUACAGUUUUAGGUUUGCAGAAUGCAGAGGAGAGUUUUCUAUAGUGCGAGGAUUAUUGAUACUGGCUCAGAUACAAGGAGGGGUGGGAUUUGAAAGAAUAUGUGUUGUAAAGAACAUGGAAAUUAUUACAUAAGCAGGAGAAGAAUUGGGCUAAGAGAAUUAAGGUCUAGGUAAGUUUGUAAGUUUCAGCUAUUUAGAAUUCAAGAUAGAUAGAUAGAUAUACAGCCCUUUGAUAAAUCUUAAUAAUAAUUACAUGGGAAUUUUAGGCCGUAUAAUGGUUGGAUAUUUGAAAAAGCCAAAUGAGAAGAAUAUUCUUGAUAACUUACUGCUAUAGUUUUUAAUUGUAGUCCUAUGGUUCUUGAACUACUAGUAGCAAUAUUCCGGUAACUUGACACUUUUUGAUGUCACAACUUCCCAUCUAUGCUUUCUUUCCCCAAGAAGGUGAAAAGAACUAGUGAAAAGCACACUUCUAGAAAGUGCAUGAUCUUGAAAUUUCUUUAAAAUUAGCAAUGAUUAUGGGUUACAUCUUUCCUUUUUUAUUGAAGAAUGAAUGCUGGCUGACAGUACUUGCAGCAACAACCAAAUGUACUUGCAGUAAGCUCAGCUAAAUUAAGGUCAUUUUUUUUUUUGUAGUUUACUCCUUUGUCAGAAGUGAUAAUGAUGGGAUAUGAUCAAAGUUAUGGAAAAUUGAUUUUGUUUCUGAUGGUUAAUCAAAACAUCAAGGCUGGGGAUUUAACUAUACAUUAGGGAAGGUUUUUAGGUGGGAAAAUUGAAGAUCAUAUUUAGGUGUAAAUUGGGAGUUUCAGCAGCUGAUAUUUUGCAACUUUAGAUCCCCAGAACAUCCAAUGUGCUAGUGGCGGUAUUGGUUGUUCCUUCUCUAUUUUAGCUAGUAUAUGGAAGUUAGAGGCUACUUCUUCUUUGAGCUUCUCCAGCUUUGCAUUUGCUGUCAGUUGUUCUCAUGAUAGCUAGACUCAACAACUCCCUAAUCUUGGGUAGAGAGAAUUGUUGAUGAAUCCUGCUUGUUUUACCACCUUUUUCCUUCACUAGAUAACUAAAAAGUGCAUCAUUUCAUCUCUUCUAGAAGAAAUAAGAAUAGUUUCAAUUAUCUUAUUAAAAAGUCAUGGUACAACUUAAACAUAGAAGGAAAUUCUAAGACCAGGACAAGCAAUUUGAGAGAAAGUUGCAUGCAAUAAUAUGUGGUUUUCUUGCCAAUUACUACAAGAGAAUUGAAACUAAACAGCAAUUGCUCACAGCACCACCAUCAGUUUUGUCAAAUGUUCCAUUUAAUUAUGAAGAUUGAUGACCCAAAUUAUACUAAAAUAUAUUUUCAACAAACCCAACUAUCUAUGUGGUUUGGAUGACCCAAGUUAUAAUAAAAUGGUAGCUCUUGCAUAUUAAAUAUAUUCAAAAUCUUGUAAUAUAGAAGCAAGCAACAAACACAAAUAUACAGAUAUUGCAAGAUGGAAGUCAUGGAGUGUGUCCAAAAAUUAUUUGCUGUAUAUUGGCCUUCUCCUAUAUUGUUUGGAUUAACUUUGGUUUUAAUUCUUUAGGGGGACUGGUUAUCCUUCUUUAUGGCCAUCUAAGGACUGUCAGCAGCCGCUUGAUGUCAGCAAUGAAUUUACAUUUAAAGUAAUAGAUGGAAUUCUUUCAGGUGAUCUCCCUACUUUCCCUUCAAUUCAUUACUUUUAUUAUGAAAUGACUCAGCAUAUUUUCUUUCUUAUAUAGAACAACAUGAAAGGAAAUUCAACUAAUGACAUUGGAAUUUUUGUUUCAGAUUUCAGCAAGAUCUUUAAAUUUAAAUUUGUUCACUUGGGAGGGGAUGAAGUUGAUACAAGUAAGUUAAAUCAUACUAUCUUAUAAUUCCUACUGAUAUUAUUAUCGAUAUUGUCUAUCAUGCUAAUUAUUAUUUUUGGUUUGAGGCUUUUUUUGGGAUAAAAUUAUUUUCUUCAUAAAAAUCUUUGAGGUAGAUGAUGGUAACCUUUUCAUAGGAGUACUUAGAUAUUCUUGAUUUAUUUUGUUGCAUACUUCAAACUGUGUUCUUAGCAUUUCUUGAAGUUGUUGCUUUCUAUUAGCAUAAUUCACAUCAACUCAUUUCAAUUGCUUUAAAUGUUCAACCAGAAUGGAAAAGGUAUUUUGGUCAAGCUUAUGUUAAAAGUCUAAACGAACAUUCUGUGACCUAAAGCUGCUGCAUGAUCCUUAUACCCUAAAUUCUCUGAUAAUAUAUGACAUCGAAAAUAUAAUAUUUUCUCAAGUUCUUGUGUUUGGCCCAAAGCUGUUGACCCUUUGUUCCAAGCUGUGGUAAUGGCCCCAAAAAGAAAAAAAGUGAAGAAAAUGAGAAAUUAACAAAGAUGGUAAAAUGGAAAGGGUUUUUUUCUAGAUAUUUUGGGUUUUUAUAUUCUCAUGAAUAGUUUCCCUAAGUGACAACUUUGUAAGGAACCUAGCCUCUAUAUUAUGUAUGUUGAUAGAUUUUGACUUCCUAGUGUUGGGAUAAGCUGUGCAAAUCAGUAUCAAGUGUAGCGGAUAUUUAAAAUUUUUCCCUCAAGCAAGAUCAACAAUAGUUGUUUAAUAUAAAUAAAUCCUAACUAGUUGGUAGAAAUUUUUACUUUAAAGCCUUCAAUGUUGAAAUCAAUAGGCAAUUCAAAAAAGAUGUUGAAAACUUCUCCCCACAGAGUUAAGUUGUUGCAAACCUUAAGUUGUCCAAGCGUCUAGCUUCUAAUGGUGAUCUACACAUACUUCAAAUAGAAUAAUACCAAUGGUGGUUAGGGGUUUGCUUUUGCUGCUAAAUUUAGUGCUAGUUAGGAUGAGGCUAACCAGGUUUCUCACUUCCCAAGGGAAACCAAAAACCAAAAAUGGAAGAGGAAGAAAAGAAGAAGUCGUCUAUAUUGAAGGAUACAACACCAAAAUUGAUGCCUAGGGUAUCACACUAGAAGCCACCAAUAUCCAGGGAUAAGGGGUUGCUUGGCUGCUGAAAUCUCACCUCUCAAUUCUCAAUUGCUUCUUAGGGUUUUGUAUGCCAAUUGUAAUGCCUUAAAAUUCCGCAUAAACAUCUUAUUCAUAGGCAAAUAUGCUAAUCCUAUUCCCAUUUUUCCUUGACAAAAUUGAACUUAUUCAAUUAAAUCCUUGAAGUCUAUAUUAUACCUCUUUUCAAUUAAGUUCAACUUAAUUCCCAAUUUUAUAUUUUUACAUUAAAAUCCUUAAUCUGUGACCCAUUAGGUUUUGCAUAUGGUGGCAAUAAAUAUGCAUUAUAAUUAGUUUGAUAAGGGAUAGGUGAAUCAAUCAUAUUGCAUUUUUCAUCCAUUCGGUAAUUGAUUAAUUCAUAUUUAUAAGUCAAGAUUAACAUCUAGAAUAUGCCAUGACUAUGUAAAUAUUUAGAAGAGUCAAAAGAGGUUUGACUAAAUCCUUCAGUACUCAGUUUAUCAAUGUAUUUUAAUCACUUUUCAUCUAAUACCUUGAUAAGAUAUAGAGCACAAUUUAGUGUCUACUCUAUGUCUGUCUUUAUCAUUCUAGAUCUUGCAAUCUUUUUAACUCAUUAAUGAUAUUAAAAACUCAUUUUCGAAUCUUAAUUCAAUUUUGGCCAAAGAUUUGAUUGAGCUAAGUCAUGUUAAGAGUCAAUGGGAUAUCUCUCUUAAAUCACGUUGGCUGAUAUAUCUUGUAUCUAUCAUUUAUAUAUUUUCAUAUGGUUCAUGUUAUACUUAAUGUAUACUCUAUUGUAUAUCCUUGGUUAGGACUACCUAGGUUAAUAUCACAAAAUAUUAAUCCCCACAUAAGAUAACUUGAAAAUUUUAAGUCUAAGGAUUACUUUCAAAACUAACACAUGAUAAUGUUUUCAUAAACACUUGAGUGAUAUAUCAAAUAGAAUUCUCAUAGUGGGUCAUGUUCAAUGAACUUAUUAUUGUAACAAGCAUCUUUAUAUUAGUUUCAAAUAUCCCAAUACUUCAACCUAUGAAAUUAAUUGUUUACUUCAUAAGUAAGAGACAUAAUAUAUGCUAAUUUCUUAGGUUAUAUUAUUGCUAUGUCUUGAUAAAGUAUUGACUAAGAAUCGUUUAGGAGCAAUGCUUUGAUACAGUGAGUAUUUCAUAAUUAGAACAUAUUAUAGCGGAUAAACUACAUUGACCUCCUUACGUUUUUGACCAUAAUUACACGCAGGUUCAUUAGUAUUAAAAAUGGACAGUCCUCCCCAAAAGAAUGUUUUUGCUAGACACAUAAGUCUUGCUGUUAGUCAACUGUUGAUGUUUCUGUUAAUUUAAUGAUGGGGAAAUAUUUUGAGGACAAUUUUUCUCUUCAUUAAUUUUAAAAAUUACCAAAGUAUAUAAACUAAUUUUUCAUUUUUUUUUCAAAAAAAAAAAAUCUCUCUACCCUACCUUUCCUUUCUCUUAGGCAAGUCAGCGGCUUUCCCUUAUGCUGGCCGGUCACCCAAUGGUCGGAUUUGGCCGUGGAAUGCCAGACCCAACUGAAUAUCUGCAGAUCACGCUCCUUUGGUGGAGCGCAAUCUCAAUGCUCCCCCUCCCCUAGGGGAGCAUCUCUCAGGCUGUAGCCACACUUCCCCUCCCUUAUGGGAGUGCCGAUCGGGGGAGAGGGGAGCACAGCCAGAUCCAAGAUCGCACUCCCCUAAGGGAGUGUGAACUGGGGAGAUAUAGCUGGAUCUGGCAUUCCACAGCUUGAUCCUGCGGCAAGGUGGCUGACUGGUAUAAGUGAGCACUGUUGGCUGGCUUAAGAAUAAAAAAUAUAGUGAAAAAGGGAAAAAAGAAGAAGAAGGGUAUUUUAGACAUUUCACUUUUACCCAUUAACGCUGUUUACACGUUUGGGGUGGACUGUCCAUUUUGAAUAUUAAUGGACUUGCAUGUAAUUACGGUCAAAACUUGGGUAGGUCAGCGUAUUUUACCCUAUUAUAAUUCUUAUGCAAAAUAUAUUAACUUCAACGGCUUUAUCACCUAGACCUCUAUUGAGUAACAUGACAAUUAACUGAAAUUCUAAACUCUCUCUAGACUAAGCUCUAAGGUAACCUCUUAAGAGGUAAAAAAUUGUUGCUAGCACUCUCGUCUUCAUAGAAUGGUCUCUGGUUCAUCAUAUCAAUAUCAAACAAGUUGUCUCCAGAACAUAGCUUAUGAAAGAGGGCAAGAGGCACAUAUCUUAUGGACUUAUUCAUCAUUUUCUAAACAUUAUUCUUCACAAUAUGUUUUAUAUAAUUUUAAGUUUGUCAUUUUACAUUUAUAUCUUAACAAUUUCAGGUUAAUAGUUUAUUGAUCGGACCACUUGUAUUUCUAAUUUCAGGUUGUUGGACCACAACUCCUCAUAUAAGCAAAUGGUAAGAAGUUUAAUAUUGCGCCAUUGAAUGAAAAUGACUAUUUAUUCUGAUUAUUUGUUUAUUCUGCAUUACAAACUUUAUGGAAACUAGUUUUAAACUGGUGCGAUGCAUGAAAAUUCAAAUAUAUAUAUCAAUAAUUUCAUUUAGAAUAUAAGUUAUCAAAUUUAUAAAGAAACCAUAAUUUAUAUAUCUCAAUUUUUUUUUUCAAUUUGGUAUAUCUCAAUUAAGUAAGUGAAAAAAUUGACACUGAAGAUAAAUAUGUAACUUUUAUCUUAUUUAUUAUUUAUAAAAUCAAGUAAAUGUCAUGAAUCUCAAACUUUUUUCAACAAUCGAUUCUUUUAAAUUAACAUAAACUUGGUUCCAUUAGGUCUCAUACUCUUCUGGGUUUUCAUUGAGAAGAACAUUCCACGUGAUUUUCGUUGGGUUUUGAUAAGUUUUCAUGCAUCUUUUGCAUUUCUUCAAUUGAAAAUUUUGAAACCAUUUCUUUCGCAAAAAAUUGGGGUUUAGGGUUUUGGAAAAACUAGUUCAAUGUUGAUUAAGUCUUUUAAAAGUAUAUUUUGGUUCAAGUUGAUAAUGACACUUGAAAGUAUGCUUUGUUCAAGUUUGUUCAAUUUUUUUUUUUUUAAAGUAUAUGUGCCAUCAUGUGAAAAUAAAACCAAAAAUUAAUUUAGAUGUGAAGAUGAAAGAUAAAAAUGUAAAUUAAUUUCUUUUCAAAACGAAAUGGAGAAAAACUUGAUCAACUAACAUAAAAGACUAAAAACUUGAAAAGUAGAAACAUUUUUGUAAAUACUUUUUUAAAUAUUUUUUUCAUAACAAACCAUAAUUAAUUUUCAUGUAGUAUUUUAGUUUAAUAGCUAACGUAGUCCAUAUUAGAGGUGUCCAUCAAUCAAGCCUCACUUUUCAAGUAUCAAGCCCAAGGUUGGUCUGACUCGUCCAUUUAUAUACUACUUUAUUAUUAAUGAAUAAAACAUUAUGUUAUAUUAUUAUUUUAAUAUUCUAAAAUAUUUUUAUAAUUAAAAUUAUAUAAAAAUAUAAUACUUAUUAAUAUAAUUAUAUACUCGUGUUGGGUCGGGUUGGGCCUGCUCAUGGGCUUGAUGAGCAGUUCAGCUCAUAAACACCUUUAUUCAUAGUUUAUAAUUUAUAGUUUGAAAAUGUCCAUGUGUCAUGUUGGGUCUCCCUUUUCAAACAAAAAUUUAAUGUUUAUUAAUAAAAUAAAACAGUCAAGUUGGGCCGGCUUGGCCUGCAGGCCUAGGUGAGUAGCUUGGCCCAUGGACACCUUUAGUUCAUAGUUUAUAGUUCAUAAUUGAAAAAGAAACUUUAUUGUCAAGAUUAAUAUAAUACAUAAUAAUUUGACAAAUAUGUUGAUGAAACUAAUAGAAAAGAUAAAAACUUGAAAAGUAAACAUUAAACAAUUGAAUUAAACACAAAUAUUAGAAAAAAAUUAAUUAAUCAACCUUAAACACAAAUUUUUUAUUGAAAAGUAACCUUAAACACAAUUAAAAAGUAAUUGACCAACGAAGAAACAAAGAAAUUGAUCAAAUAAAAAAAAUAUUUGAAUAAGAGCAUAAAAAAAAAUGUAUUGAGGUCACACUCUUUUGGACCUAAGCAUAACUAAUAUCCAGCACAGCUAAAUGGAAAAAAAGCAUAAACCAAAUGAAAAAACAAAACUCACAGCAAAUCUAAAUGUAACAGUAGUACAAAUAAAGCCAAAUGGAAUGCUUUAUGAAACAAAUAAAUGGAGCAAAUAUUUAUUCACAGAAACAAAAAAAAAAAGAGAAAUAAAAUGCAGAAAAAAUAGUGAAGCAUACCUUCAAACCCAUAUUCUAACCCACAUAGUGGAGUCCAAUAUAUAGUAGUCAAAAUAAGUGUACACGGUAAGAAUAUUGAAGAUUUAAAACGGAAUAAAUAUAACUAAUUUAGUUGGAAUAUUUUAUUUUUAUUUAAUAUGAUCAAGUUAAAUCAAAUUCGCUAAUGAGAGGACAUAUAGCACAUAUUCAAGCUAUUUUCAUGUCAGAAAGGUAGGGCAUGCACAUAACACUUUUUGUUUUUGCCAAAAAGUUGUCUUAUAUAUAUAUUUAUAUUAGAUGUUACUACUGUUCUUUUUCAAAGAUUUAUCUUGCUUAUUGUUGUUCUCAGAUUGUCCACCUAGGAAAAUUUGUGAUGCCAUUGAAUGGUUGAAAGAGAAGGUUUUCUGUCCAUAUCUUUUAGUAGUUUUUGAUGUAACAUUAUUUUAGCCUACCUCAACUCGUGGGAAGAGUCUUAGUUUGUUGUCGUUAUAACAUUAUCUAUUUCAUCAAUUUCCUUUGCGUUCCUUUGAUGCAUUCAGUACCACCUAAAGCUGCCAUUGCUUAAAUUACUUCAUACUUGUUCUGUUGUUGUUGUUGUAAUUAGUACAUGAACGUCAUACUUCUUAACUUCUUUUAUUUAAUUCCAUAUGAUUCAUCGUGGCAUGAUAUUUAUUGUGUUCCCAAAAUCUAUAUCAUCUAGAAGGCCUCUUACUCUCUUUGCUGGUUGGUUUGCAGGUUAAAAAAGAAUGGUAUGAAUGAAUCUCAAGCAUAUCAGUACUUUGUCUUGCGAGCACAAAAUUUAGCUUUGUCCCAUGGAUAUGAAAUUGUUAACUGGUAUUCAUCCUCAAGACUAUUUAGUCAGACAACAAUUUUUUACAUCCUAUUCACGUAUAGAAUAUAACAGGGAGGAGACCUUCAACAACUUUGGCAAUAAAUUGAGCAGGAAGACUGUGGUUCACAAUUGGUAUGUCAUACUCUUUAUAACUCAAACCUGGAGAAUUUUUUAUGCAUUAUGUCAUUCUAUAGACCUGGUGCGGCUUCUUUUUGCAAAGAGAGCUUUUUUCAAAAAAAAAAAAGAUUCAAAGCAUGUUGUCUGUUUUUCUUCCCCUUCGUUGCAGAGAAGUACUCUAUAGUUCUAUACUGUAUAUAAAAGUAGUUUUAAGUUGAGAAGUUUUUGAAGACAGAAUACCAUAUUGCAACUUAAAUCUACCAAAUGGAAUUUAUCAUUUUAUAAGGGUAAAAUUAUGCAAUUAGUCCUUUUACUCUAUCAAAGUGGUGGAUUUAAUCCCUGUACAAUAAUUUGUAAAAAUUGAGCCCCUGUAUAAUAAUUUGUAAAAAUUGAGUCUUUGUACUUUCCAAUUGACAAUUGUUAACGGUGUUAAAAAUUUUCUAUUAUCUAAUAAUACCAUGUAGGAAAAAUAGCAUUGACAGUUUAAUUGAUAAAAUCUUGUGCACCACUAACAACAAAUGUGUAUGAAUUACAAUAAGUAUGUCUUACUACACUUUUAUGUGGGGUUGUAAUUGAGUUGAGCGAAGUCGUUACAAUGCCAAGCUUGAGCUCGGCUCAAUCUUGAUCAAGUUAUAAUUUUUUCCCUUGAGUUCGACUCAAUUACUGAUUGAGCUACUUAGACUCAACUCCAUUAGUCUUGACUAUCAUUAACAUAAAGUAAGAAACUUAAAACUUGACUAGGGCUCAAGUUUAAAUUCAAAACACAAAAAAAGUUAAAAUUUAAUAAAUAAUAUCAUAUUUUAUCUAUACAUAUAUAAUACUCUUCCUAUUUCAAAUUGAAUAUCCACUUUUCAAAUGGCGCAAAAUUUUAGGAAUAAAACAUGUUCUUUUAUUUGCUGCUUUUGUCCUUAAAAGUUGUAAACGUUAGAGGGGAUCACCUGGAAUUAGUAUUCAAAGAAGGGAAGCAUUGGAAAAGUGUUUUUCAUUUUGGAAAAUGGAUAUUAUUUUGACAUAUCCUAAAAUAGUAAAGUAGACAUUUAAUUUAAAAUGGAGUGCAUAUUAAAAAACAUGAAAACUUGAUGAGUUUUGCAAGUCACAUGAGUUGUAUAUUGUGCUCGAAUUUGGCUUGAGCUAUUACUUCAGUGGUACCAGCUUGAGCUUGGCUUGAUAGUGAACAAAUCAAACUCAAGUAUUCAUCAAAUUGAGCUUGAAUAGCUCAUGAGUAGCUCAAUUUGCUGACACUCCUACUUUUAUGGUUUUAAAAUUUCAUUUAAAAUUAAUAAAGUUGAAAUAUUGUUUUCCAAAUACAAAAAGUUAUUAGAAGUUAGUAAUGUUGCUUGUGUAAUAUGAUUCAUGUGCAAUUGCAUGUAGGGUAUCUUGUAGACUGAGCAAAGCAUGGGCAUGUUUUUUGAGCCAUGACUUGUUUCUUGGGGCAGGAUGGUACUGGAAGCCUCAAUUCUUAUUUGUGCCCUCUAGUGAUUGUUAAAAAGGGUCUGGUAGAUGGUAGUUGAAGCUUCUGUGCAUGUGCAUUUUCUUCUUAACAAAAAAAAAAAGAAAAAUAAUAAUAACAAUAAAAUUAAAAAGACUUUCUGCGUGCAUUUUAUUUUCAUUAUUUCCAGCAACUGUUUAAAACUAUGGAUUGUAUCAACUGGUUCAUCAGGAAUCAGUUACUUAUCCAGUUCAAAGCACACCUGCCGACUAGAUUAGGUCAAGGGCCUGUUGGAAUUGGCAUGGUCAAAUUAACGGACUGGUUUUAAUUUAUAAAAAUCAAAUUUGAUUACAAUUUUACUUCUGAAAUUUUUUUGGAAGUUGGGUCAUUUGAACUAUGAUCCUCUUAAUUGUUAUAAAACAAUUAAAACUUGAGCUAAACAAUCAUUUUUAUUGUUAGCUUUUAACAUGUUAAUACCUAUGUCAUCUUGUUCCUAGGACAGGGUACUACUAGAUAACUUAAUUUUUAGUUGUACCCCCAUCCAUUGACAUUAAAAAGGGUCUAGUAAAAGGUGGAGCCUUUGUGCAUGCAUUAUAUUUUGCAUUCUUAUACAGCAGUUGUUUAAAAAAAGGAUUGGACGAGCUGGUUCUAUCAGUUGAAUUGGGAUCAAUUGCUUGUCCUGUUUGGAACACAACCAUCACCUUAUAUAUGGUCCAAAAUCUGUAAAAGGUUGAACCGGACUGGAUUGGUUUGAUUUACAAAAAUCAAAUUUAAACUGCUUUUUAGAAAUUUUAUAAGUUGUAAGGUGUGAACUCUUACCUCAUUCAAUUUUUAAAGAACAGUUAAAACAUUCGAGCUAAAAAAGCAUUACUCUCAAUGUUCUUGUCAAACCUAUUGGAUCUAGAAAUGGUCUCCCAAAUGGUUAUUUGUCCAGUCUAACUUUAGAAACAUUUAAAAUUUUAGAUUCCUUGUUUAUACUGCGUAUAAUUUACUUGGAGUGAUGGCAUGUCAAUGCUGUAAUAUAUAUUGCUUGAUCGAAGAUUUCAGGUGGGUUAAACUUUUGCUUAAGGUUUCUUUGGCAGGCUUGGUGGUGGUGUUGCUCAACAAGUGGUUGCAUCUGGGUUAAGGUGCAUUGUAAGCAACCAGGACAAAUGGUACUUGGACCACUUGGACACUACAUGGCAAGAAUUCUAUGCAAAUGAGCCUCUCACAAAUAUUACAAACUUGAAGCAACAGAAAUUAGUUAUUGGAGGGGAGGUAUGCAUGUGGGGUGAACGCAUUGAUGGUUCCGAUAUUGAACAAACCAUAUGGCCACGUGCUGCAGCAGCUGCAGGUAUUUAAUAUAAUAUCUUAACAUUAGAUUUCUUGCAUACUAUGUUGUUCUUGCUAUACAAGAAAUACAAAUACCCUAGAUUCCACCAUUCUAAGGUGGAAUUAUUAGGUCAGCACCUGGAGCUCCCCUAUGCAAUAUUGAGUAUCUUCAGUUCUCAGAGGGAAAAAAUGUUUUUGAAAAACAUUUUACAUACUUUCUUUCUUAUUCCAUGAACAGGAUGAAUUUUAUUAGAUUGGGGAAAUACUUGUUGUUUAGACUACAGGAAAAUGAAAAACUACCAGUACAUUAAGGUUUACGCAGGAAAGUAACUGCCAAGUAUGAUAGGUCUUUCCAUCCUUCUGUUCUCUUCUUUUUACCCCUAUAUAGCUAGUGCAAUUUUUAACAUGCACUCUUUGUUUUUUAAAUUAUGACUAAAAAUGCUGCCUUGAGUUGUUUGAAAUUCUGAAAAAAUAGAAAAUAUUUAAAAUGGUUUGGGGAUGUGAUUUAUGUCAUAAGCUUCCAGGCAACCAACUUCAACGACUUCUGGACAGUUAAAUAGGCUGUAGGAGUCAUGGGUGGGAAUAUAUGGUGGGGCUGAAUCCAUUUUAGUAGAGUCAUCGUCAUAUGUUGCUUGUUAUGUCUGCAUAUGAAGUUAAUUUCACUGGCUUUUGUCUCUGUUGUGCUUAAAGGUAAUUGUAAUUAGUCCUUUAUUAUCAGAAAUUAUUUCUGGUUAGAAGCACCUUUAAAUUUUAUUGUUUAACACGGGAUGAAAUUAUGCUUUAUUUUUUGAAAGAAUGCCCUUAGUAACAUGGCAUAGAGACUCCUUAUUAACUUUAGUUUUAAAUUCUAUUGAAAAUUCAGAAACCUAAACCGAAGCUGAAGUAUUGUCUUGAUUUUCAUCCCCCUAACCACAUUCUUCCUUUCCCUAUCGAAAUUGAAGAGCGGCUGUGGACACCCUAUGACGAGCUGGCAAAGGAUCCAAGGCAAGUAACAGGAAGGUUGGCACACUUCAGGUGUUUACUGAAUCAAAGAGGAGUUGCAGCUGCUCCAUUAGCCGGACAAGGCCGUGCUGCCCCUGAAGGUCCAGGUUCUUGCUAUGUGCAAUAAUUUGCUGAAUCACUUGUAUCAACUGAUUCCUGGUUGUUAAUUAGGCAUUGGACUGGAAUAACUCCCAUUUCUGUCUCCCUUACAAUAAUAGCCAAUAGGGGAUGCUUCUGGUAAAAGGUCAGAUAAUUCUAUCAAUGCAAGUCUCAUUUUCCAAUAUGCAAGGAGGGAAAGAAUGCACCGGGUGAUGAUCUCUAAUAAAGCAGAGUUUGAAUCUCUAGUGCUCAUGAUAAAGGCAAAAAAGAUCAAACCGUCGAAUGCCACGACCUUGUAAAAAUAUAUAUAUAAUUUAAGAAUUGAUUAAUUAUUAAUUAUUUAAAUGUCAUUUGUUAUUUUAUAUGUACUCAUGUGACGUAAAUACGGUGUUAAUGAAGAUGGUUAAGAAUACAAGAUUUUUCCUAAGUAUCAUGUUACAAUUGUGGCACACUUAUUACGUGAGUGGGAAAGAGAUUAGGUGAUCAAAACAUGGGUGGUUUACCUCCUAAAUGCAUGUGGGACCCAAAUUCUAUCUCCCUAGUAAUAUGAAAGAACAUACAUAUUUUUAGUUCUUUAUCAUGUUUUGAGUUGUUUUCACUUGAUUUAUGAUGCUAAUCUCGAGUAAUCCUUAAAUCAUUAUUGGAUGAAAUUUUUAUUUUUACUUUACUGUUCCCAUCAAGUAAGUAGAAAUAGAAUGCAAAAACUUAUUCCAAAAUAUAAUCUCAGUGUUUAACACUUCGCCUAGCAAUGGUUCCUUAGCAAGUGUUGGCUCUCAAUGUAAAGACUCGUAAAUGAUUUAGACCCUAAUCAACAAAACAUAAGAGAAUUUAGAGAAAGCGAUAUUUACAUUUUAGCUUUCAUAUUUAUUGCAUUUUUACAUUCACUUCUAAGACAUUCAACGUUGCUACUAAAAGGUCCAACAUUUUCCUACAUUAAAUUUUAUUUACAUUGCCAGCUUUGUGAUCAAAACAAGAAUAUGCCCCAAACUUCACUUUCAAAGCAAAGAAAAAUAGCUGAUUCACAAAACUGUCUCACGAUCUACCACGUUCCCAUCAUAAUGUAAGACAUGCUUGUACAGAUGAUCCCAAAAGCUGACAAUAAUACCCAAUGUUACUCAAGUUGACAUCGUUUGCAAUCUUAUAUGCUUAUACUUUUGUUCCGCGUUGAAGCGUCUUGCACUUUCUGUAAACUCUUUUGAUAACAGAAGCUUCAGUGCAUCGACUCCCUCUUGCAAAGCAGUAUCAAUCUUGUCCGAAAACAAAGGCAAAGUACACAAUGAAAAUGACACUCCAAAUUAUUAUUAAGCUUAAUCCAUUUAAGUUUUAAACAAUGUCUUUAUCCUAAAAGCAAUGCCUUUGGAAAACUAGGAAUCAAAUUAAAGACCAAGGGAUCAACGAAUAACAGGCGGAAUGAUUCAAACCCAAAAUAUGUUACAAAGCAAGGAUGCAUAUGCAAAAGGAGAUACACACCAAGGAUCAUGUAAACCUAUAUAUGAGAAUCUAUGUGUGCAUACGUCUAAAUGGUUUCUUCCCCUAAUCUACAUGUCAAUAAAGAAGGCAUACUUCACAUCAACAGGGUGACACAUCACAAUGCUAGAACCCUUUUCCUUCAUCAGUAUCAAAAUUAUAUUCUCACAAUGCUAGAACCCUUUUCCUUCAUCAGUAUCAAAAUUAUAUUCUCACACUUUGAAUGGAAAAAAAAGCUCUGGAAUAUCAGUUCGCAUUGCAGAUACAUAUUUAACUCAAAAUACUUGUUUCAAUUAUAAGGAAAUACUUUUCCUGCAAAUUUAUGCCAAGAAUUUUCAAUGUAUAGGACUAUUGUCCUUGAGUUCAUAAUUUUUGGAAUAAACCUUUGUUUUCACCAGAUUAGAUCCAGAUUCGACCUGCUGGGGCCAAAAUGGCCCCAACAGACCGGAUUAAGCUGGCUGGCGCUGCAUUCAAUCCAGAGCAGACCAGCCAAAUGGCCUCAAUUUGAACAUAUUUGGCCAAGCUGCCGCCAAAUAAAGCAUUGGCAAGGGAGAGCUGGCCAGUUAGCAAAGUCUGGCAGUGGUGAGCUCACUGGCGACAAGGAAGAAGAAAAGCAAGGAAGUACAAAAAGAAAAAUAGAAGAACUGAAAAAAAGAUGUUUUUUAAAUGAAUUACCUCUUGCGCAUAUUAACUUUAUUCAGCAUAUUUAACUAAUUAUUUUGCCAAGUAAAACAAAUUUUUAAGGGAAUAUUCCAAAUCCUGUAACCCCCAUGGCUUGACUGCACUAAAUUUAGAGCACAUAGCCUUUACUAAAAAAGCAAUAAAAGUAGGUGGGAUUAAUUAUAUUUUUUUUAUAAAGUUUAAGUGCAAAAUCAGGUAUUAUAAUAAAACUUUUUCAGAACAAGAUGUGAACACCUUAAAAAUAAGUUAAUUAUAGUCAAGCAUGAUCAAGCAGUGUAUUAAAUCUUACUCGUUCUCGAGCUGAUGCAUUAAACUUUUGCAGCAAAAAUGCCUUAGGAUCCAUUUGACCAGGCGGCCUACCAAUACCUAACAAACAAAUCAUGACAAUUAAACUAUUCAAUGAAGAAAUAGAGCAGAGAUGAACUAGAUCAAGUAAUAUUGGAUUUCAAACUGACCAAUUCGUAGCUGUGCAAACUCUCUGUUCCCACGAAAAUGAUAGAUUACACUCUUCAACCUAGUAAAAUAAUCAAUACUGAGCUAGUUUCCACAAGCAAAAGAAAAGCAUUUCUAAAAUAAAGAAAAACAAAACACACCACAAAUACAUAAAUAAAUAUACAAGAAUAGCCCACAUCUUGCAAACUAAGAGAACAUGGACAUAUACCAAUAUAGUGGCUCAUACAUUCAGAAAUUUACUCCUCUUUCUCCUCCUUUAUUUUUCUUUAAUUGAACAUGACAUAACUUUUCAAAAAAUCGUUCAUAUUCAUUACAUAUCAAUCCAGUAUCCAAGAAUAUUUUGUUGAUAUAAGGGUGUUAAGUCACAUUGAUUUGCUUGACAUUUGAAACCUUACCGUUACAACUAAUACCAAACAAGCACACCUUUUGAUGCUAAAAUGAAUGAUACCUUGCAGUUAAUAAACUAGUUGCAAAACUAGAACGGUUAGAUUCAACAACAAACUUUGAAUCAAGAUCAUUACAGUGAAUAUUAGACACAGAUCUUAAAGACUCGUAUUACAAAGAUUUUAAUAAACAACAAAAUCAAAGAAGCAUGCACAUGCACCAGCAGUGGCUAUAGACAUCUAUCUGCACAAACACAUGUUUGAACCAUGUUGAGGAAAUGACAAGCAUCAUUUCAUUCAAAAAGCAACAUACUGAUUUUGCACCACUACUUUAGGUCCAGCGGCACAAAAACAUCAGCAGUAACCAAUUCAGCAAUUAAAGAAAUGGCUUAAACAGUAUUGACAUACUAGGUAUUGGAGACUGAGAACAGGGCAGAACUUCACUAUCUUGCAGCCUGUUACCGUCUAGCUACGCUAUGGUUGUGGAGAAGAAUGUUGAAAACCUCAAGACCAAUGCUAACUAGGGCAAAGAACAGACUGAUGGCUGAGGCCUAGGCUCAGAACUAAUUACCUCAAAGAGAGAACCACUUUUAACUAACAAGUUUUUUUUUUUUUUACUCGAUAUGAUUCACCUAAUGAUAUAUACCAUAGACAUCAAUGUCUUUGCCCCCUCUUGUUCCUUUCCUCUUAACCACUUGAGGUGGGGAGCAAAUGUUUAGCAAAAGAAAUAGUAGAGGUUGAAACAUUGCUUGUGCUGCAACAAAGCAUUUUGUAAAGAGAUAAGGAGAGGACUCAAGAAAUUCAAUGCAACUCUAUAUAUAAUGUUUUCUUAGGGUUAAGUACAUAAUAUUCUCUAUUCUUACCCAUUAUGGCUUCCAUGACCACCUUUGUUUUGAAGACGAAGCACUCCACAUGGUAAGUCCAUGUCAUCAUGAAACUACAACAGGAAAACAUUACACGAGCAACUACGAAAUGUUAUCAAUUAUCUUUUGUGAUAAACAAAACCAUAAUGAAGUAUCAAAACCUUGGAGAGACAUAAAUGCCAGGGAAUGGAAAACUUACCACAAUCACUCGAUUAAGGGGUAGCUUGUAGUAAGCUGCAAGUGGUCCAGUCUACAAUUAAUUUGCAAAAGAGAGCACAAGUUAUUGCUAGUAUGAUGUCUAUUAAUGAAAUUUCACACACGUAUCAUCGAACUACAGUCAAUAACUUUUUAACCACAAAAUUAUUAGACAUUUAUCCUCCAAACAAAUGAUACAAAACAAUCUACUGAGAUCCUGACCAAACUAAUUUACAAGUUUCCGCAAAAAAGAUAGAGAUUUACAAGGAAUGGAGGAGUUUUUUCAAUUCCCACUACAUUAACCACUCCACCUCCCCCACAAACUCUUUUUCUUUUAAAUAAAUAAGCCUCUUUAAAUUACAAUCUUUAAUCAGGAUGUUUAACCCAUAUAAGUUGACAUCACUUUAUUAAAGUGAUGAAUUGUUAUUGUUUGCCCUUUCCAGCUUAACUUUUAAGGAAGAUUAUUUGUUAACUGGUAACAUCAUAGAAUUCUAUUGCUCACUUAUUCUACAACACAAUGGAAUAAAUUUCACACUUCUAAAUAAGGUCUUACUUGUUGAAUUAUUUGUAAUUUCCCCAAAACUCAAUGAUAAAACAAAGAAGCACAUAAAAGGUGCAAUGAUGCAGCGAUGCACCAAAUAAGCCAUGAACGUUGCAGCUCAAAAUACGAGAGCUCCUCCUUAGAAAACAAAAAUUGAAAAACUUGAUUGCAAAGGGAUUGGCUACUGAUCCAUCAAAAACCGGAUAUAGGUGGAAAGGCUGCAAAAGCCAAAUACUUUUCCAAUUUGUUGUGCAGAGUUAAAAGCUAAACAUGUCAAAUGACCAAACAAGAAGCCUUGUGUCUCUAUAAAAAUCAAGAUUGUGACACUGAAAUGUUAGGCAUUAAAGAAACCAAUAGGCAAACAAAAGUAAGCCAUUGAAAAUCUUCAAUUAAAAACAAUGGAAAAUAAGAAUGUUCAAUGAUUAUCCUCGAUUCCAGCCCUGUCUUAUAAAUUAUGAAAUAUUGCUAGUGCAGAAGGCAUUUUUUGAUUGUUUCUUCAUAUAUCAAACAUGAAAAAAGCAAGUUAACAGUAGCAAACAAAUUUAAUCAUUGUUAUAUGGUUCUGUAUUGUGAUUUUAAGAAACCAAUAAUCGCAGGAAUGAAAAUGCUUUGAACAUGCUAAACUAAGAAAUAAUAUGUUCAAAGCGCUCACGGAUUCACCACUCAAGUUCAUGUAAGUUUGAGGCUUAGCAAGGAGAACAGCUGAAUCACCCACAAAACCUGAUAGUCAUCAAAGAGCAAUGAUAUUUCACAUACACAAAAAAACAGAAAUUCUUUUAAAAAAAAAAAAAAAGAAAAGAAAUUGAAGAAGAUGAAAGACCUUGUCCAAAGAUAGCCUUGCAGUGAAGGGUAUUCAUUUCAACCCCUUGAGUUUCAGCAAAUUUGUCAAUCAUCUCGAAACCCACCUGCUUCAAGUAAAAUGGGAAGUUAAAUACUGUUAAAAAUGCUAAAAAAAGAAAAGAAAGAACUAUGAGAAACUUGGCAAUGUGCCGUACAUUGUGUCUAGUUCCUUUAUAUUUAUCGCCAGGGUUACCUAAACCCAAAAACAGCCAUGGCCGUGGAGCACCGCUACAAAAGCAUCGCCUAGUAAUCAUCUCUGUUUGAUCAUGGAAAUAGUCUAUGAGGAAAAAGAAAAAGAAAUUAUGAGAAAAAACAAUGGGAGAGGGACUUGGAAUGAGGCAGAGACCAAACGAAGGAAAACAACGAAACGUGCGAGGGAGAAAGAAACCUGGGAGAGGCCUGAUUUCCCCUUUGCCACGCGGCUCGACGGCUAGACAUUACUGGCUGGGAAAUGUAGGGAAAAAGAAAGGUUCGGUAUGCGAAGUUCAAAAUUUUUUUCACAAAAGUUUUUAUUUUUUUUCAAAAAAAAAUUAUAUUGUUGACCAUAAAAUGUUUUUUCACCUGUCUCCUCUGAAUCUCUAAAAUCCAUCACACUUCAAAAAAUAGUAUCCUCUUUUCGUGGGAAUGGAUGGCAACGGGUAUCUAUUAUAGGAUACUUGUGGAUAUCUGAUCUAGUUAUAUAGAAUUAAGAUAUUUUAUAAUUAAAUUUAAGCUAGAUUCAAGUGGUAAUUUUAUUAUCCGCAUCGAGUUGGAUACCAUCUCUUAAAUACUCGAUAUUCAAAUUCGAUUAUGUUGAUUUUUGAGUUUCUUAGAUACCCGAACCUAUACUUAUUUAUAAAUUUGUUAUUAUUAUUUAUAUAACAUAUAAUAGAUAAUUAAAUUAAUAUUUAAAACUUUACAAACAAUUCAUUUUGUUAGAAAUUCACGGAUAGAUAAGAAAUAUAGUCUGUCAAAUUAUUAAUGUGAUGUCAUUAAUAUAUUUAAAUUAAAAAAUUAUUAAAUUAUUAAUUAUGUUUAAAUAAUAUAAAUAUUAUAUUACAUUACAAAAUAAUAUAAUUAUUAUAUAUAUAUAUGUAUACUUUUAAUAAAAACAUAUUUAUUUUUUAUUUUAUGUUAAUGUUAAAAAAUUAUAAUUUAUAAAAUUAAUAAUUAUAAUAUAUAUAUCGUUAUUUAUAUAAACUUAUAAUAUAUAUAUUAAAGAGAAGUUGUCAAUUGUGAGAACUUAACUAUUUUUUUAAUUUCAUGUAAUUAAGGAUAAACUCAUAUAAUUAAUUAAAUUAAUUUAUAAAAUUAUAAUUAUUAAUUAACUUGUAAUGUCUUUUAAUAUAUAUACUCUAUAUAUUGUAUUAAUUUAUAAAAAAAAUAUAAUUACUAUUAUUAUAUAUAUACUUUUAGUAUAUACAAUUUAAAUAUAAACAUAUUUCUAUUUUGUGUUAACUUUAACAAAAUUAUAACUUAUAAAAUUAUUAAUUAAUAAUAUAUAUGUCUUUGUUUAGAUAAGCUUAUAAUAUAUAUACCUAAAGAGAAGUUGUGAGAUUAGAAUACAAUAAAACCUCUAUAAAUUAAUACUCGAUAAGUUAAUAAUCUCAAUUAUAUAAUAUUUUUAGUCGAUUCUGACUUGGGACCAAUGUAGUAAAUUAAUAAUUGACUAAAUUUAUAAGAUAAUGCAUUUGAAAAAAACACAUAGGUCUCACUUGAUAUAUAAUUUAAUAAUCUCCUUAUAUAUCAAAAUUAUACAUAUACAUGACUCAAUUAAGAGACUUUUAUAAAAUAUAAUUUCAAUGUUACUUGUUUCUUCUUAAAAUUGAUGUCUUCUUAGACUUUAUCUCUAAUUUUUCUUAGUGUAUUAAGAAGCUCUGACGUAAUGUUCUCGUAUUGUAAGAAAAAUUAUGCAAUGUGAUUAUUGCUUUGAUUUCAUCUUUGUGUAAGAUAGGUUCCAGUAUAGAAUUAUCGUCUUUAAUUUCAUCUUUUCUGUUAUUUCUCAUGGCGUUCUUAUUAAUUUGCUCGUUACAAAUAAUAAUAAUUCGUAAUUUAGUAAUUAAAUAAUAUUCGUAUAAUCACAAUUCACAAUACACAAUAUAUGUAUUAAGUUCAAUAUUUUGGAAAAAAUAAAAAAAACCUUGAUAAACUAAUUAUUUAUUAAUUUAUGUAUAAAUUAAUAAAUUAUUAAUUUAUUGAUUAAAUAAUGUCUUGAUUAAUUAAUAAAUUUUCAUAGUCCAAAAAGUAUUAAUUUAUAGAGGUUUUACUAUAGUUUUGGAAUAUAGUUUUUUUUUUAAUUUCAUGUAAUUAAGGGCAAACUUAUAUAUGUAAUUAAAUUAAUUCAUAAAACUAUUAUUAUUAAUUAACUUGCAAUGUCUUUUAAGAUAUAUGCUUUAUAUAUUGUGUUAAUUUAUAAAGAAUAUAAUAAUAAUAAUUAUUAUAUAUAUACUUUUAGUAUAUAUACUUUAAAUAUAAACAUAUUUACUUUUUAUUUUGUGUUAAUAUUAAAAAAAAUUAUAACUUAUAAAAUUAUUAAUUAUAAUAUAUAUACUUUUGUUUAUAUAAACUCAUGAUAUAUAUACCUAAAAAGAAGUUGUACGAUUAAAAUAGUUUUGGAAACUAAUUAUUUUUUUUAACUUCAUGUAAUUAAGGACAAUUAAACUUGUAAUGUUGUUGCCUUGUUAUUGUAAAUUUGUAAUGUUGUUUAAGUUGUUAUUUCAGUAUUUAUUUUUAAUUAUUUAAGUUGAUGUUUGAGAUAUUUGUUUUUUAUUAUUUAAAUUUAAAUUUAAAUUAUUGUUUAAAUUUUAUUAUCCAAUUACUUUGUCCUAAGCAUACGAGAAAGUAUAUAGUUGACAAUUAGAUUCGACCACAUGGUUAAAAAGAUUACUAAAUUAUAUUGACAGAAAGCUAUGAUUGUCGAAAGUGACAAAAUGAACUUCCAAUGGCCAAAUUCAAUUAAGAAAGACUGGUAAAAGGAGCCAAACAACUAGAUCUACUACCGUUAGCCAUAGAAUUAGAGGCAGAGAGGAAAGGGCUAGUAAUGCCCCCACCCUCCAAAAAUUUUAAAAUUUUAAAACAUAUCUUUAUUUUUUGAAAUUUUAUAUUUUGCCUCUACAAAAAUUUUAAAAUUUUUAUAUUGUACCUUUAAUUUUUGGAAUUUUAUAAUUUUACCUCUAUAAUAAUUUUUUGUUUGGUGAGAUAUCCUACAACAAUUAGUCAACAACUAAUUUUAAUAGACUUAGAACUUAAAAAAAACCUAUUGCACUAGAAUUAUUUCCAAACCCCACUUCCCCAAAACCUCACAACCACCCUUUUUUGUUUUCUUUUCUUUUUAUCAAAUAGAAACAAAACUCAAUUUUCAUAUCAUUAUAAUUGGUAAGUUUGGUUUAUUCACUCUUAGCACAUCUUUGGACCCUUAGAAUGAUUUCGAAUCAUUUGAUAUUGAAAGUAUUUGCAACCUUGAAAAUAAAUAUUACUUGAUGAUUGUACUAAUCAUGAUAAAAUGUAUUUAAGCUAUCAAUUGAAUUUAUUCAAGCUUGACAUUUUUCAUAAGCAGGCUUUAAAAAAUAUAUUUGCACUUUUUGAGCUAUGUCAAGUGUUGAUGAAGACAGCAAUAUCAAAAGUUUACUUCAUUGUUAACAGAUUAAUCCGGUUUGUCUUAAUUCUUCUAGUUUCCACUGUAAGAUUAAAGUGUGCAUUUUUUGCUAUAAAACUCAUUAAGAACAAAACUCGUAAUAAAAUAUCAAAUGAUUUUCUUAAAAAUUUGUUGAUUAUUCUCAUUGCAAAGAAAAUCAUUCGAAGCUUUGACAUUGAUUCGGUGAUAGAUGCCUUCAACUCUAUUUCUAUGAAAAACAGUUGAGCUCAAUUAAUGAUGCACAAUCUCAACAUACAAUAAUUAUUAAAAAAUAUCUUUAUUUUGUACUUAAUACAUAAUUGAAAUUAUUUGUGUAAUUUUCAUAUAAUUUUUUUUAUUUAAGUUACUUGCAUUAAACUAUUUUAUAGACAUUGUUUUCGCCUCUCUAAACGUGAAAUCUUGACUCCGUCAUUGCAUAGAAUGACGCGUCAUUGGCUCAAGUCUAAGCAACUCAAUCUCUUUGUUGCAAGGAUGUUAUGGAGCGCCACUAGCCAAAUCUAGUCAUUAGUAGCGUUGCUUGGUCGGAGACUAGAUUGCGUCAUUCACCCAUCAUCAAUUAGUUGUAGGGCUGGUCCUUGGGUAAGGCCACUCAAGCAAAAGGCUUUAGGCUUCAAAUUUGAAAAAGCCUAAUAUUUUUAUAAUAUAAUAUAAUAUAAUUAAUUAUAUAAAAAAUAUAUAAAAAUUAAGAUAAUUAAUAAAAUAUUUACUUAUUCUCUAAUGCCUAAUAUAUUUUUAUUUUUUGUCACUUUCACACCCCUAUUAAUUCUCAACUAAUUAUUUUAUUUUUUAUUAAAAAUAUGUAAAAGUCAAAGAUAAUUAAUAAAAUGACAUUCUCUCAUUUCUCAAAUUAUAUGCCUAAUAAAUCUCCACUUUGUUUAUCACUUUCCAAUUCUUACAAUGCUAUUAAUUCUCAACUAUUUUUUCUAUUUCUAAUCAACUAAUGGUAAUAUUUAUUUAAUGAUCUUCAACCUGUUAUUUUUUUCUCACCUAUUUUUGUUAUUCCAAUCAACUAACGUAAUAUGUAUUUAAUAUUUUCAACAAUUAUUUUUCCUUAUAUAUAAAACUAAUUUUUUUUUUCAAUUUAUAAUAUCCAUUUUUGAAUUCUUCUUGCUCAUUUGCACUUUCAUCCUUUAAUUUCAAUUUUCCUCCAAAAAAUACGUAGAAAGUUUGUUAUGCUAUAAUUUUCAUAAAGCAAUGAGCCUCAUUUGCGGCUUGCAAUAAACAUUCAACAAUUAAGUAUUAUUAUUCUAAUCUUUGCAUAGUUUUUUACUUUAAGUUAGAGUUUGUAUUAUAUUGUUAUAUUGUCAUAUUGUCUUUAUUUUAUGUGAUAGUUGAUUUAUUUAAAUUAAAAAUUUUGAUUGUUGAUUUUAUAUUAGACAUGUAAAAAAUAUAAGAUAAUUACAAUAACUAAAUAUUUUAUAUACUUCAUAAUAAAUAUUUGAAUAUAUCAAAUCGAAAAUAUGAAUCUGGUUAUUCAAAGCUUAAAAAAGAAAAAUUGAAAGUUUAAUACAAUCUCAAAAAGAGCACUUAGAUAAAUUUUUUACAAGUAAUAAAAAUAAUUAAUUAGAAAUUAUUAAAGAAAUAUUAGAAGAAUUCGAUUAUAAAAGUUUAAUUAGAAAUUUUGCAUCUCAAAAAACUAGAAGAAUAAAAUUUUAAUAAUUUUUUUUCUUAACUUCAAUAAAAAAGACCUCAUUUGAAUAUUUUGCUUUACGCUUUUAAGAUUAUUGAGCUGUCCCUGAUUAGUUGGUGAGGAAGAACGAAAAAGAAAGAAAAAAGAAAAAAUUAUAAUGAAAACAUUAUUAAAACUUCAAUUAAUUAAAAUAAAAUAAAAAUAAAAAAUUUAAUUAUAAUGAAUAUAAUUUUUUUAUAAUAAAUUAUGAUUAUUUUUAUAAAAGGGUAAAUCAAUCUUUUACAUUUAUUCCUUUUAUGCUAUUUGGCGGAAUUGCGUUUAUGCUUGACAUUUCAAUUUAGAGGUUUCAAGGCUGGUCUUGAAAACAAUAGUAUUUGGUUUGAACUCUAUUUUUGAUAAUACCUUUGAUAGGAAGUACUUUUUUUUUUUUAUAAGUGCUUAAUCCUUGAUGUAUAAUCUCUUUUUGAAGUAGCUCAAUUGCAUUCAUUUUAUAUAAUAAUAAAUGACACAGAGCAUGUUUUAACUUAAAUUUUGUACAGAGUUUUGACGUGUUAAACCAAUAAACCAACUCAAUUGUUAGAACACAAGAUUUCUUAUACUUGGAAUGAAGUUUUUUUUUUCUUUGGGGUAUGAAAUAAAAUUCAUUCCACGUGAUAAUAAGAGAAUAAAGAAACCUUAAAUGAUUUAAAUGGAGGAAUAAUGUCAUUUGCGGCAAAUAGUAGUAAAUUGACAACUUCAAGUAACACAUAGGGUGUGUUUGGUUCACAAAAAAAAUAAAGUGAGAAUGGAAUAAUUAUUCUGUAAGAAUAGAAUAAGAAAUGAAUAGUUAUUAUGUAGUUUGAUUUAUAAGAAUGAAAUAGGAUAUAAAUUAUUAUUAUUAUUAUAAAUUAUUCUAUUGUUUGGUUGGCAGGAAUAAUUUUAAAAAUAACUAAGGAAUAAGUGAUAAAUGAAAAAAAUAUAAUUUAUUAUAAUAUUUAAUUUUUAAAUUAAAAAUAUUUAUUAUUUUAAUAUUUUAUUAAAAAUACUAAAAACAUUGUUAUUUAAAUGUUUAUAUGAUUAUUUAUUUUAAUUUACAAAAUAUUAAUAAUCUAUAUUUCAUUUAAAAUGUUAAUAAUUUAUAAUAAAAACAUUAAUUUUAUUAUUUUAUUUUAUUCUUUAUUUGUAAGAUAUUUUAUUAUUAAAAUUUUAAUUUAAUUUUUAAGUUUAAAAUAUUAGCUUUUUAUAAUUUAUAAUUAAAACUUAAUCUUUUUAAUUUCAAAUUCAUUUUAAUUUAAUGAGAGAAGGAGAAAGGUAGUUGGAUAGAGAGAAAGAAAUUAAAAAAAAUGAAUAAAUUGUAUUUUAUUAAAAUUAAUUAAGGCCAUUUUUGUUCACUAAAUUUUUUACUUUAUUCCUUACAUCUUGAAAUAGCCAAUACCAAGAAAACCUUGGUAGUAGCUAUUCCCCCAUCUCCCUCAAUGACUAUUUGAAGGAAUGGUCAUUCCUUCCAACCAAAUAACAUAUUAAAGAAAGAUUAAGAAUAGGUGGAAUGACUAUUUCAUUCCCCAACCAAACAUGCUAAUGGUCCCAAGAUAUUAAGACUUGAUCUCUUAAAGAAAUAAAACUUUACUAAAAUGAUUUUAGUAACUUACCUAAUUUGAAGAGAGAACUUUUAGCACUAAAGGUUUUGAAUCACUAUUUUCAAAUUAUUUGCCUAAUAAUAGUUUAAACAAACAUAUAAGAUCAAUAACUUGAAUUGAACAUAUGUUUUAUUUCAUUGUUUGAUUAUGGAUGUAUGGAUGGUCAUAUGUGAUGAUUAUGAACUUAGGCCUAUUGGAUGUAAAUGAAUGUAUAGUUAUAUUUUUUAUGGUAUUUUUGAAAUAGUUAUAUUUUACAAGUUUCUAAAAUUCUCUUCUCAUCUUACUCCUCUCAAAUGUAACUCAAAAUUUUUUUUCUAAAUUAUGUAAAAGUUAUAUAGUUUAUAAAAGAUUAGAUUAGGAUAUAAUUUUAUGUAAAUCCCAAAGAUAGAAGACGAAGGCAAAAUGGAGAAACCAAGGGAGUUAUGACCAAGGUUUAUGAAAACCUAUGAAUGCAAUUACCUAAGAUAUGACCAACUAGUUUUCUUUUGAUGGCUCGAGAAAACUAAUUUAGAUAAAAGUUCACAAUCAUUCAGUAGUAUAUGCAUUUAAUAGACUUAUUUUAUGCAAUUUUUAAAAGUUAUGCAUGCAUGAUGAUGAAACCAAUAAUAUGAAUAUGUUAAAACCUAAUUGUUAGUGUAGAAGUCUCAAUAACAAUAUACUAAGAGGGGGUGAAUUAGUAUUUAUAAAAUUUUUUUUAAAAAAUCUAUUUAUCAAAAUCAAACCUUUUUCAUUCAAAAAUGUUUUUUAACACCAAAAACAAAUUUCCAACAAUAAAUCACUAAGUAUGAAAAUAAUGAAUCAAAGUAAAAUAUUUUUCUUGAAAUAAAUGCUAGCUAUGAAAGGUAAAGGAAAAAUAUUUUCCUAAAAGAAAAACAAUAAAUCAAUAUAAAUUUAUUUUCCUAAGUCAAGAAUAAACAAUAAAUAAUAAUGCGAAAACUAAAAAGAGACACAAACAAUUUAUAGUGGUUUGGCUUUUUCGAUGCCUACAUCUACUCCUUUGGUAAUCAAGGAAUUUCAAUCCACUAUCAAGGAUACUUGCUUUUUAUUGGGAAGUAAUAACCUUUACACAAUCCAUAAAGAGAUUCUUACUUUUUCACAAGAUUAAGCGAUAACCUUUACAAUGGCUUUUUAUGGGAUCAAGUGAUAACCCACACAAUCCACAAAAGAUUCUUACUUUUUAAAUGGGAAGCAAUACCCUUACAAAAUAGCUUUUCAAGGUUAAGCUAGGACCUUUACAAGAUGUGUGUACAAAGGAAUAAUAGCAAGGAUUUGCCUCACAAAGGUUGGAUGCUAAAGAUUUUAGCUUGAGUGUAGUGAGAGAAGAAAUUGCAGCAUGAGUAGAGCAAAGAUUCGACUUUGAAAGCUUGAUGGAAUAAAAAAAUGCUAGAGAGUGAAGAUAAGCUUAUGGGUAGUCUUUCUAGGGUUUGAAACUUUGGUUUAGGUCUUCUCUACUUCAAAAGGGCUCAAAUGAAUCUAUUUAUAGCUGAGGUAAGAUUUUAAGCCGUUAGACACAAGUUUAAAUCAAAUCUGGUAGUUGCUGAAGCUUGAUGGUUAACUACAAUGCUCCUAGAGUUGAUUAUGUUCUUCAAAUUUCUCAAUAAAGGCUUCCAUAGUCGAGUAUAAGCUUUCUCUAGUUGAUCCAUUUCUUGAGAAUGUGUGUUUUGCAAUUCUAGCCUUCUAUAGUCGACUACCACUCACUCAGGAUUGACUAUGGCUGUGUGAUCUUGACUUUUUUUUACCUUUGACUUGCUAGGGUCAACUAUACUUUCUUUAUAGUCAAUUAUAGCUGUGUAAAGUUGACUUUUUUUUUUUUUUUACUUUUGACUCAUAAGGGUCAACUAUUCUUGGUCUAGGGUCGACCAUGUCUAUUCAAAACUUGAUUUUCUUGAUCUUUCUAAAGUAGGGUCAACUAUAAACACUUUAGGGUUGACUAUAACUUCAUAAUCUUCAAGUUUCGCAUUCUUUCAGCCUUUAGAUUGACUUGAGCUUCAUUAGAAUGGAUUCUUGACUUGUAUCUUGAGGUUUCCUUAGCCUUUUGGUGCUUCUCUCCAGCUACUUUCUCAUUGCCUUGUACUUAUAUUCAAAUAAACAUUUCAAGGCAUGUUUGCUCUUGAUUUCUUAACUGAAAAUGCAUUGUUUGAAAGCUUGUAAGAUGUUUUAUAAGGAUGCAUGGCUUUUCAAACAAUUUUUUAACCUUAGGGGACUAAAAAUGUAAUUGAGACAAUUUUAAUGCUUGACAUUAAGUUCAAGAAGACAUGUGAUUUUUGUCAAAUCAAAACACGAUGUAGUUCAAGUCUAACACCAAUAAAUCAAUAUACAUACUUAAAUCCCUCAUAAAUUAUAUUAAGUACACGUUGCAAACAUGGAUUAGCUACCUUCCAUGUUCAUUGCAAAAAUCAAAGUUCUUUUAUCGUUAGUUUGUUAAGUCACUCAAGGUCGACUUUAACAAGAAUAUGUUUAUGCUAUGAUAGUUGGUCUUACUUAACUAACUUAUAUGAAUAGAAUGAGUCACUCAUAAUCAUAUAAUGUUAGAGGCAAGCGUUAGAUGAAACAUAUAGGAUAUGUUUUGACAAGGGGUUGUCACCUAACAAAUCUAGGCAUCAAAUUGUAUAUCAUAUUUGUUAAGUCACUCAAGGUUGUGGUAUAUUAAAUGGGAUCUUAUCCCACUAAGAAUUAGGAAUUUCUUGAUUUAAUAGUAUGGGAUAUUAUUUUGAGUAAAAUAGUGGGAGUAACUAAUAAGAUUAUUGCCUUGUCUUACUAUUGUGCAAAUGCUUAAUAUUUAUAUACAUUCAAUCUUUGAAAUUUAGCUUGUAAAAAAUGAGUAACAACUUAUUACUUCAUAGCAUAAUAGAUGCUAAUAUGCUCAUUAAAUUGAACUUUUUGGAUUGGUAUUGCAAUGUGAGAAUAGUUCUCGAGCACGAAAAGAAAUCGUAUGUCUUUGAAAAUGUUAUUCUUUAGUCCUUUCUAAGGACACUCGCGAUGAAGCUUGGGACGCCUAUCAAACUCAGAAAGAUGAUGAUGAUCAAGAAACAUAUGUCAUGCUUGCUAGCAUGACCCUUGAAUAACAGAAACAUCAUGAAAACAUGGAUGCUCAAACUAUGAUUUUGCUCUUAAAAGAAUUGUUUGAUAAGCAAAGUCAUAUUGAAAGGUAUGAGACAUCAAAAGAUUUAUUUUGCAGUAAAAUGGUAAAAGGUAGUUCUAUUAGUGCUCAUGGCUUGAAGAUGCUAGGCUAUAUUGAAAAGCUAAGGUGUCUAGAUUUUGUCAUUUUUUUUGAACUUUGUGUUGACUUAGUUUUAUAGUCUUUACCAAACAACAUUUCACAAUUUGUGAUGAACUUUCAUAUGAAUAGAUUGUAAGCUAUGUUGCCCAAAUUGUUGAAUGUGCAAUACACAACUAACAAAUCCAUCAAGAAAGAAAAUAGUGUGUCAUUGGUCCAUUCAUCUUUCAAAUCAAAGAAUAAGCCAAUAAGGAAAAAAAAGGGAAGAAAGCAAAAGAUAUAUUGCCAAGGCCAAAAAACCUAUUGGCGAUAUUGAGAAGGAUAAAAGGAAAAAUAUUUGCCAUUAUUACAGUUAAAAGGGUCAUUGGAAAAGAAACCAUAAAGUUAAUUUACCUACCUUGAAGGAAAAGAAGAUUACUAAAUCCUCAACUUAAAGUAAAAUUAAUGAUUAAGCAUAUGACAUCUAUUGUAGGUAUGAGAUACCUAACAUAGCUCCCAUUUAUAUGAUAAAUUACAAAGGCUAAGGAAUAGUAGAUAGCAAAAAUGAUAUCCUCAUUCAAAUCGCAUAACGUGUAAAGGUUGGUGCAUGAGCUUGCAGGGACCAUCUUCUUUAAGAAUUGGGCUAUUUUGUUUUGGGAACCAUGAGGUUGUUUUCAUACUAGUUAUUUUGAAACUUUAUUUACAUGUUGAUGUUUUAUGAAGUUUUCAAUUUAGAAUUUAGAACAAUGAUUGUUAUUCUCUAAAUUAUAUUUGAAAAUUGUACAUAUCUCAUAAGUUGGAAUUGAAUAUGCUUAAUAUUAAAGUUAUUUAUUGAUAGACAAUCUAUCAAUGACGAACAAAUAUUGAUUUCUUAAAAAUUGUUAUAAUACUCCUAAAUAUGGUUCCAAGCAAAUUAAGUUGACAAAAUGUCAUAUAGGAUAUGAUAGAUACAAAAAAUGAUUUUGUCACACUUUAAUGGUUUGGGAUUGCAUAGUUUAUAUGCAUAAAAUUUGUGGCAUAUCCUCAAAUGUCUAUUAGAUAUCACCCUGCACAAAAGUAAAGAUUCUUUGUCUUAAAACAUGCUAUUUUUUAGAAGAAAGAGUUCUUGCUAGGAAAAAAUGGUAGGAGUAAUGCAAUGCUUGACAGGUUUAAGAGUCAUAAAAUCAAAAUCCUAUGGAACUUAAGCAUAUGAGUAGUGCAUCAAAUGCUCAGUCAAAAACUUAUAGUAAAACUCCAAAUAUCAAGUAAGAUACAUAAAGAUUUAGAGGAAUGAGAUUUUUUGUGAACUAAGAAUUUACUACUCAGAGAAGAUGAGCUUAUUGAAUAUGAGGAAACAAUGUCUUGUCUUGAUAAAGCAUCAAAUAGGAACUAUUUAGGAGUAAUGCUUUAAUGCAGUGAGGAUUUCAUAAUUAUAACACAUUUUAUUAUGCAAAGCAUAUUUACUCCAAAGACUUUAUCUUAUAAGGAAUAUGAUAGGGUAUUAUUCCUAAACCAUGAGACUAACAUAUGUUAUGUUUCUUACUUGUGAAGUAAACAAUCGAUUACAUAGAUUAAAGUAUUGGGAUAUUUGGAAUUAACAAAUGGAUGCUUGUUACAAGAAAAAGUUCAUUGAACAUGACCCAUCAUGAGAAUUUCAUUUAGUAUAUCAUUCAAGUAUUUAUGAAAAUAUUCUCAUAUGUUAGUCAUGUUAGUGAUCCUUAGACUUGAGAUCACUAGGUUAUUUUAUGUGGAGAUUUUUACACUUUGAAACUAGUGUGUUACCUGUGCAUUGCUUCAAAAAAAUGUUAUUUUAUGAGUACUAAUUGUGAGAACUAUUUGAAGUGAUGUAAAGAACUUUUUAUAUUAAUAGUUAUAGAAGUUAAAUAAAAAGUUGGAAUAUGAGUACAAAAUGGUUUAAACUACCAAAGUAGUAAGUAAUGUUCACAAAAAAUAGAAUAACAUAUUUCAAGCUUAUAGACAAAUGAAGUGUUUGAAUAUAUGCACAUUAAUGUUACAAAAAAUUGCCAUAAAUUGUUUGUUGGGUAUUACUUGUUUGUUUUGCAGUGCUGCUCUUGUUAAGAAAAAUUAAAGGCAGUGUGAUUGGAUAAGUCACAUUAAGUGUAUCUAGCUAAAAGCUACAAAAAAGUGUACGUAACGUGCGGGUCCAGAACCUGACCGCUAGAAAUGAAAAAUUUAAGGAGUUGCCAUCAAUCUUUUUUAUCUAGGUGUGAUUGACCAUCUAUUAAAUUUGUUCUAUUUGACAGAGUGUUAAAUUGAUUUUAGGUGUAUUUAAAGAAAAUAAACUGAUCUGUGAAUUUUUAGAGUUAGGUUCAAGAGUACGGUUACACAUAGGGAAGGAUUAGCACCCUCGUGAUGCCUGUUCCAUGAACGGUACCAUUUAAUUAUAUGUUAUCCUAUUAUAGCCUAAACCAUUGAUUUUAUUCUUAUGUUUUCUUAAUUAUUAUUUAUUUACUUUAUUCUUUAUUUUAUUAGCAAAUUAAACAGUUUAUUUGAUUUUACGAGUGUGAAGUGUACGUGAUACAAUUAUGAAAUGCAUGGCAUAAAAUCCGGAUAAUGCCAAACAAAAAACUUUUAUUGAGGAUAUUUCUUGAAUCUGCCUGUCAUAUGGGUGGGAUCCGAAAAUAUUCUCUCACCUAGAGAAUUACUCAAAAAACUCACAUUCGCAAGUUUAACGAAUAAAUCUCAUCAUCAAGGUAGUCGUUUACAAGUAAAGACAAUAUUUUCGUAAAUGCAAAUCCUAAUCUUUGGACCUAAAAAGUAUAUUUUUUUGUACUUCAUCAUAUUUUCAGAAAAUAUACAUAUUUUUAUAUCUUUUUUUAAUGAAGGUACAUAAUAGGCCUAACCAAAUACAACAAGUCACACAAAAUCCAACCAUCAAAGUCUAAAACAAUAACUUAAAUACAUGAAAUGAAAUGGCCCAAAGGAUUACCUUCUCUAGGCUUGACAAGAAACCCAAAAACAAUAGGCUCAAAAACAAGUGGGCUAAGUUUGAGAAUAAGGCCCAUCAAUUGCAAACCACCAAGCCUUCAAAACACAGCGGUUGGUGCUUUUGUAAUAGCUUUAGAAUACCCCAAAAAAUAGUAUUGUUUUGGCACUAACACACUUAAUCCUUAAGUAUAAAAGCCCUCUUUCCCAUUUUUUUUUCUUAUUUUUUCUCUCUCUAGGUACGAUUCCUCCACCUUCGCUCUAAAACCAAACCCUAAAACCUCUCAUUUCCCUUUCUCCCCUAAGCCAUAUCUCUACCGUCGCCUAGAAAAAACCUCCUUUUUCUCCCCCAAAACUUCUUCUUUCCCUUCCGAUCAAAAAUAAAAAAUAAAGAAUGCCAAACCCUAAAACCUUCCCUCAGUUGUCCUCCUUGUUUUCUUUUUUUUUUUUUCGAUGUUUUUGCUCUUUUCUUUUGGUUUUUGUUUUUGUGUUUAGUUUUUUAUUGUGGCUAGAAAUUUCUGCUGAUAGAGAGUAGGAUCUGUUUUUUUUUUUUGGUUCUAAGUUUUCAGAAAAUAAGAAUCGUUUUUAGGGUUUUUGUUUUGGGUUCUUGGUUGCUAAGAAUUUUUUUUUUUUUAGGUUGGUUGCUAGAUUUGUUUCUUUAGAAAAUGAGGAUUUUUUUGUUGAAAUCUAGCCUCUCUAGUUUUUCUUUCAAUCUGGCCUUCUUUGAAAUCUAAAAUUUUGAGGGUUCUUAAAUAACUCGAUUGUCUAAAUUUUUGGACAAUCAGAAGGUGAAAUUAUGCUUCUUCUGAGCAUGAUAUCACAGAUAAAGGCCUUCAAGUCAAAGAAAAUCUAUGGAGGUGACCCAAAUUCUACUCCUUAAGGGGCAUUGAAUGCUCUGUGCAAGCAUGUUUCUUGAAGUGUUGACUAUGGAAGCAAUGCUUCUCAAUUUUUUUUUCAUUGUGAUUUAUUCAUUUUAUUUAUUAUUUAUUAUUAUUUUUUAUUUGAGAAAGAAAAAUAGGUGUUUACAAUUGCCUUUCUUUGCAUAUUCUUGAGAAUUAGGAAUAAUGCAAAGACGUAGACAUCGUAUUCGACCUAUCUUAAAGUAAGUUCGAUUUAAGCAAUUGAAGUUCCUAAACUUAAUUUAGGUUUGACCUAUCUCAAAAAAGGUUCAAUUUAAAAAAUUUUAGAAUUCCUAGACUAAAUCUACGUUCGUCCUAUCUCAAAAUAAGUCCAACUUAAAAAUUGAUAUUUCUAGACUUGAUCCAAGUUCGACCCAUAUCAAAACAUGUUUGAUUUAAAAAUUGAAAUUCUUAAACUUAAUCUAAGUUCGACCUAUAUCAAAUAGGCUCAACGUAAAAAUUGAAAUUUCUAGACUUAAUCUAGGUUUGACCUAUAUCAAAACUGGUUCGAUUUAAAAAUUAAAAUUUCUAAACUUGACCUAAGCUUGACCUAUAUCAGAACAGGAUCAAUUUAAAAAAUCUUAGAAUUCCUAGAUUGAAUCUAGGUUCGACCUAUCUCAAAGUAGGUUCAAUUUAAAAUUGAAAUUUUUAGACUUGAUCUAGAUUCGACUUAUAUCAAAACAGGUUCAAUUUAAAAUUGAAAUUCCUAGACUUGACUUAGGCUCUACCUAAAUCAAAACAAGUUUGAUUUAAAAAUUGAAAUUCCUAAACUUGACCUAGGCUAGACUUUAUCAAAACAAGUUCGAUUUAAAAAUUGAAAUUCCUAAACUUGACUUAGGCUCAACCUAUAUCAAAAUAGGUUCAAUUUAAAAAUUGAAAUUCCUAGACUUGACCUAGGCUUGACUAUGUUAAAACAGGUUCGAUUUAAAACUUGAAAUUCCAAAAUUUAAUCUAGGUUCGACCUAUCUCAAAACAAGUUCGAUUUAAAAAUCUCUAAUGCCAACUUAAUUGGAUUAACAUCAUUUUUAAACUCAUAUUGGUGUCAACUAAAUUUGGCUUGGAAUCUCAUGUGCCAACUUAAUUAGGCUUAAAUCCUUUCUUCAUUGGUUGUUUUAUGAAAAUGAAAGACUCAAAUCCUUCCAUCAAAGUUUUACAACCUUAACACUUUAGGUUGGGUCAAUUUUCACUUUUGAAGCUUGGAACAUGCAUUAAUUUUGAUUCUUGUUUUGAAAAUGAUCAUGUGCAUGGCUAUGCAUGUAUGCAUAAUUGAAAUGAUAGAAUGCUUUCAUGUUUAUGAUUCAUUAAGGUUCCUUGAACCUUCUCUCGCUUCAUCCAACCUUUCCACUACAACUUUCAAUCAUCUUUUUUUGUGCUUUUUUUCAUUGGUUGAAAUUCUUAAUUUCUCUUAGGCGCACUUUCUUUUGACAAUUGACCUUUUUUCAUGUUGAGGUUCUUUUUUCUUUUUACCUCAUCAUUAAGUCUUUUAUUGAACAACAAAUGUAGUUUCUUGCUUAAUUAGUUCAUUUCCUUACCAAUCAUCAUUCAUUUCCAUGACAAUCAUCAUGUGGAAUUAUGUAAUGGUGGAAAGCAAGGCUUGAAAUAAAGAAGGAAAGGAUAGUUUCAUAUAUAUAAAAGUGUAAAUAACUUAAAAGAAGGAGAAUUUACAAAGCAAUCAUUAGAUCUUUCAAAUAAUGAACAAGAAGACCAUUUAGAGUAAACAGUAUGAUCCUUUAACUUCAAAAAUUAUCCUUGAUUGAUGUCUUGAGCAAAUCCGAAGAUUAUGGAUUCCAUGACUUCUCUUUGUUUUGCAAGGUUGACGGACUCCAUCAUCAAUGUGUUUUUCAUACUCAAUUUGUACUUCAUCUGAGCAAGCAUCUUUAGAUCUACAUUCUACAUUUCUCCUUUUGGUUUCAAGCCGCCCUUUGCAGGUUUUCAAUAUGAGCCACCUCUUUUGGAUUCGAGUCGCCCUUUUCGAAUUUUCAACACAAAUCCCUCCCUUUUUUUUUACCUUUUUUUAGGCAUAAUAUUUCUUUACCACAUCCGCAUUUAUUGGAUUAACCAAGUCUCCUUCAUCCAUGUCAAUUAAAAUUAAUGCUUCUCUUGAAAAAGCCUUUUUCACCAUAUACAAUCCUUCCUAGUUCGACAUUCAUUUUCCACAAGAAUCAUUUUGGUUAUGGAGUAUCCUUUUGACGACUAACUCCCCUUCUCGAAAAUGCUUAGGAUGAACCUUUUUCUCGUAUGCUCGCAUCAUCCUUCGUUGGAAUAUGUGGCCAUGACAAAGUGCCGCGAGUCUUUUUCUCUCAAUCAAAUUCAAUUGUUCAUAACGAGAUUGGAUCCAUUUAGCAUCUUCCAAUUCUGUCUCCAAAUACAACAAGUCACAUAAAAUCUAACUAUUAAAGUCCAAAACAAUAACCCAAAUACAUGAAAUAAAAUGGCCCAAGAGAUUUACCUUAUCUAGGCUUGACAAGAACCCCAUAAACAAUAGGCUCAAAAACACAUGGGCUUGGUCUAAGAAUGAGGCCCAUUGGUUGCAAAUCAUCGAGCCUUCAAAACACAUCGUUUGGUGCUUGUUGUAAUAGCUUCAGAAUACCCCCCAAAAUGACAUCAUUUUUACACUAAAACACCUAAACCAUUAGCAUAAAAGCCCUAUUUUCUUCCUCUUUUCCAUUUUCUCUCUUAUUUUUUCUCUCUCUAGUUGCGACUCCUCCACCUUCUCCCUAAAACCAAACCCUAAAACUUUUUCUUUCCCUCUCUCCCCCUAAGCCGGAUCUCUACUAACAACAUAGAAAAAACCUCCCUUUUCUCCCCCAAAACUUCCUCUCUCCCUUACGAUAAAAAAUAAAAAAUAAAGAAUGCCGAACCUUAAAACCUUCCCCCUCCCCCCCCCCCAAUGUCCUAUUUGUUUUUUUUUCUUUUUUUUGUUAUUUUUUUAUUGUUUUUUCUUUUCUUUGGUUUUUUUUUUUUGUGUUUAGUUUUUUAUUAUGGCUAGGAAUUUUGGUUGGUAAAGACUAGGAUUUUUUUUUGUUAUAGGUUUUCAAAAAAUAAGAAACAUUUUUAGGGUUUUUGGUUUGGAUUUUUGGCUACUAGGGAUUUUUUUUAGGUUGGUUGCUAGAUUUUUUUUUUAGAAAAUGGAGAUUUUUUUUGUUGAAAUCUGGUCUCUCUAGUUUUUCUUUAAAUCUGACAUUUUUCAAAAUUUGAAAUUUUGAGGGUUUUUAAAGAACUCGAUUGUCUAAAUUUUUGGACAAUCAAAGGUGAAGUCAUGCUCAUUUUCUGAGCAUGUUUUCAUAGAUGAGGGCCUUCAAGUCAAAGAAAAUUUACGGAGGUAACCUAAAUCCGGCUCCCCGAAAGGCAUUGAAUGCUUUGUGCAAGCUUGUUACCUGAAGUGUUGAUUAUGGAGACCAUGCGUCUCAAUUUUUUUUAAUUGUGAUUUAUAUAUUUUAUUUAUUAUUUGAGAAAACAAUAGAUGUCUACAAAAAGAACUGUGCAUAGUAUUGAAUUGAUAAUCAUUCUUAAACAAAAAAUUUUUUGGCAAGCCUGAGUGGAUCUCAAUAGAUUUUCUUGGACACCAUCCUACCUCAAAAUAAAAUAGUAAAUAUAUAAGAAGCUAACUCUAAUUUGUAUUUGAUCAAUAGUAAGUAGAAAUAAUGUAAAAAAAAAAAACAGUUGGAGUUGAGGUUUGAAAACCAAACUAGUAAAUUAGCUAUAGUAUUUUUAUUAUAUAAUAUUGAAUCCAAUAAUAUGUAUAACAUUAUGAAAAUGUCCCUACAUUACAUGAAAUAUCAAAUAAGAAAAAAAUUAUCUAUAUAGGUAAACAACACGUUUAUGGUAAAUAUUGUAUGGUACUACAUUUUUCAUGAUGGUGUAAGUCAUGACAAAAUGACAUGCCAUACUUUCAUCAUAGUAUAAUAAUUUUGUUGUAUUAUAGUGAUGAGUUUAUAUAAUAUAUUAAUAUGAUGAUUCUAAUAGUGAUAAGCAUGUAUGUGACAUACAAUCUCUCUGGCUAGGGUUGUGCAAACGAGCAGUUCGGUUAAUUCGGUUACUGAAUAUCUAAUAACCGAACUAACUGAACUCUUAUAUAAAACUAACCGAAACCGAAUCGAAGUAAAUUACUAACCGAACUAAUCGAAAUCGAGCUAACUUGGUUAGUUCGGUUCGAUUACCAAAAAUCGAACUUAAUAAUUUUUUUUUAAUUUCUGUUUGCCUUAUGAAUUUUCAGGCCCAUUUUACUUUUGAAUGGACAGGCUACCACAAAGCUAUACAAUUUAUAAGUCUAAGGUUUUAAGACAAUGGCUUUUAAGCUUGAUGUGCUAAAACAGAGUUAUGCAUUGAUUCACAAUUGGGUUAAGAAAAAACAAACAAAUAAUAAAAUAGGAUUGUGAUAGGAUGAUUUACAACACCGUAAUUGCUUCCAAAAUAAUAAGAUAUUAAUGAUCUAGAAUGUAUACAAGUACAAAAUUGUAAACCUAUACGCAACAACACAAAGGCAUUUACUUAUAAUGAUAGGAUAAUCAAUUCAGUAACCUUUUCUCAAAGGAGAGCGCCAUGAAUGGGAGGGUGCGAUGAAUUUCAGCUCAUCCAGGUUGACAGACAUCACAACCACACAGCUGAACAUCAAACAACAGACAAAAUGAAACAAGAGGGGGUUCUUUCGUUCAGUCUAAGCCAUGUUUCGGUAGACAAAGAAAUUCCCUAUGAAGGAAACACGUUUGCCUGUUCAAAGAGGUAGAGAUGCUAGCGAUUCUUGUAAGUAACUUGUUCAAGCUGUGGUCCCCAUCUGUUCAAAACCAAAUUAAACUAUCAUCAAGAAAUAUGAAAAAGAAGAAAUAAAAAAAGAACUCAGAAAAUGAGCUAAAUUGGCAACAAUUUAAACAAACUUGAAGCAACAAAAACUCUCAUUUCGUUCCUCGACAACUACAAACAAUUAAUGUCAACCAUCUCACAUUUGAAACACAAGAAUACAUAAAUAAUCAUUGGAUACAUAAACAAAUUUUAUUGAUGGUGGCAGCAGAAUAAAUAAAACUUACUAGUCACUUGAUGAGGGAAAGGCAGUCGGUAGCAACAAGAAACCGAACCAAAAAUUAGAGACAAACUUGGACUUGCUCAAGAUGAAGGCAAAAACCAGAAACCAGAAAGGGCAAUCGGCAGAAACUAGAUUGGGCGAAAGUGAAGAUCGGACGUUGACGGAUGACAGCUGGCAGAAACCAGAAAAGGCUAGAGACGAUAGUGGAGAGUGGAGAACUGGAGAUGGGAGAUUGGGAGUCACGAGAGACAAGACGUCAGAAAUUAGAAAGAGGAAGUGGGGAUUUAGUUUAAGAAUUUUUUAGGUAAAAUUUCAAAAAUAUCUUUCAGUUAGUUUGGUUAGACAUUUUUCUAAUCAAAACUGAACCGAAGUAAUUACAUUAACCGGAUUACUUUAACCGAAUAAACCGAACAGAGAAAAUCAAACUCAUUUCGAUUCGGUUCAGUUAUUCGAUUCGGGUCCUAUUUGCUCACCCCUAUCUCCAACACAUACAUAUUUUAGUGUUUUAAUUUAUUUCAUAUUUUUUAAUUUUGAGUAAAGGGGGGAAAAUGAAAGAAAAAUGUGAUUGACGUGUACAUCUCUCUAUCAAUCAAUCAUUCUUGAGCCCUAUGUUUGUUUCCACACUGAAACCCUUUUUUCCUAAAACCACUCUUAAACCAUUUGUCCAAAAUCACACCCAAACUCUACUUGCCACCAUAUAUAAAUCUUAGAAAAAAAAAUUGGUGGAUUAAUUUUUUUUUCUUUUUUUUUAUCAAAAGACCAAAAAAUCACCAAAAAAAAAUCAUUCACUGUUACCUCCACCACCCACAACUACUAAGCCACUGUUAAAAUCCAAAUAGAAACAAACCCAGUUAUGUCGAAACUCCACUAACUAAAACCAAUCUCACAAUUCUUAGAUAAAGAAAACAAAUAGCAAAAAAGAACAAAAAAUUGAAGCUUUUCUAAAUAAAUCAAAUCUCACCUUUUGUGAGUUGGGUAGAAUUCACAUCUUCAAACUGCAAAAACUAGAAGCAGAACAAAGAAGGCUAAAAACACAAAAAGCAAAAUCUAAUGGCAAGAGAUAUAAGUAAAAAAAAAACCCAAUCGAUGAUAUGCAUUACAUUUACAAAAAGAAAGAGGAAAACAAACAUAGAAUAGACACUACACCAUGCUUUAUGUCUUAUUAGGUAUAUUGGAUGAUGAAGUAUUAAAUUACAUUGAUAGAUUAAGCACUAAAAGGUUAAGUUGAAUCUCUUUAACUUUUCUUAAUAUUUAGGUAGUUAUGACACAUUGCUAGAUGUCAAUAUUAUUUAUAAAUAUGGAUUAAUCAAUUAUGGAAUUCAUGAUGAAUGAAAAUUGUUUAAUUCAUUUAAUUCUUAUUGGACUAGGAUUAUAGUGCAUAUUUAUUAUCAACAUAUUAAGUGCCUAUUUGGCUUGACUUAUUUUUAGCUUGUUUACUGCUUAAAGCAAAAGCUGAGCCAAAUAGGAUUUCGUAAAAAGCUCUUAAAAAAAGUAACUUUUUUUUAAAGAAUAAAAUCUAAAAAAAGCUUAAAAAUAAGCUCUAAUUAGGUGCUUUCUCUUCUCUUUUUUUUUUUUUAAAAAAACACACCAGCUUAUUAAGAGAGUUAUUUUUUCCCAAAAAGAUCCUUCCUCUCAACAAAUACUCCCUCCCUCUCUCCCUUUCUGUAAAUCAUCAUUCUAAGAUUUUUUUUGUUCUUACAAAAAUUAAAAAAAAAUCCAAAAUUCAAAACUACAUUAAGGUAUUAUUUCUUUUUUCCUUUCUAUUUUGUUUUUCAUUUUAUUUUCUAUCAUUUUUUUUGUACUUUGAAAACUCUCUUUAUUAGUUGAUAUUUCUCAAUUUAUUGUUUGAUAUGACAAUUAUGUGAUGUUUAUUCAUUCUUAACUUCUUUAUGGUGUAUAUAAUAUUUGAUGAUUAUGAUUGAAAUAAUUAAUUAAAUAGGUCAAUGGUAUUGAGAUAAAUUAGAUGAAAAUUGAGAUAAUAUUUUGUGACACCUAGUACCCUUGAAUUGUGAAAUCUCGACCUUCAUAGACUUGUAACUAGAAGUAGACGCGAUAACAUGAACCAAGGGUAAUUUCAUUAUUUCUCAUGGUGAGCUCUUGGAAGUAGUUUUUUAAUGUUAUUACGGUCUAAGUAAGCCUAAGGAAUAAAUGAAUGAUGAAAAAAUAAAUGAAGAAGAUAGAAACAUUGAUAAUUUCCACAAUAAGGGUAAAAUGGUCAUUUUACAUCUCGGGUCUAAAUUUUUAGGUUUUCAUGAACCCGAGUAUUUCUAGACUAUUAUGGACUUUAUUUCAAUGUCAAAAGAGUAAAAAGGUUACACAAAGGAUGGGAGGAAGACAAAGUGACCUUGUUAAGGGCAUUUUGGUAAUUUACAUGAGGAAUUGGAUAAACUUUAGAUAUAAAUAUCUAAGUUCCAGCAGCUUCUUCUUCCAUCCAUCUCUUCUUUCCAUUUCAUGUUUUCUUUACCCUCCAUGGGAAGAAAACCUUGAAUCCUCCAUAAAUCUCUCAUAGAAAGUCCAAGUUUCAUGUUUUUGCCCACUCCUUCAUAGGGCUUAUCAUGCUGUUCCACUUUUACACCUCAACAGCCUUCAAAGGUCUUUCUUUAGUACAUUCACUCACCAGCUAGACGUGUAGAGAGAGUGUGUGUGAUUUCCCUUAUUAGCUUGAAGAAUUUUGAAAGAGAAUUCAACUACAAAGACCAUCAAGAUGAGUAUGAGUUAGGGUUAAUCUCUUUAGUUGUUGAUAAUGUCUAGUAAUUAGAUUUGUGAGUGUUUUAUUGUUGAGGCUGUUUAUUUAUUUUUAGUGUGACUAGAGUAGUGCAAAUAAUAGCCAUUUAGUAGUAGUUGGAAAUUAGUUAGGGAUGACUAGUAGAACUUGAUUUAGGAAAUAGCUUUUGGAAUGGUAUUAAUGCCUAGUUGGGUUGAUAGCAAUGUUGUUGUGUGUGAUAGGUUCCAACGAAACCCCACACCUCCAUUCGAAACAUUAAUCAAAGUUAAAGCCCACCAAAACAUCAACAAAGACUGGUGAGUGAACUUGCAUUUCAAAAUGUUUUGAGAAAUGCCUACAUGUUUAAAUAAAUAAUUUGAAAGUUUCAUUUGUUUUUGCUUUAAAAAUAUACUUGGGGAACAAGCCCUUGAUGAAAUGUUUCUAUCUUGUGAAAUGUGUAAUAUGAAUAGUUCAUGCGUUCUCACAUUAUAUUGAUAGGUAUAUUAUGCUUUGGAUGCUCCUUUUGUGUGAUAAUGAGAACCCAGCUAUGUGCGGUGUGGGAGUGCACAUGAGCUAAUGAUGACCCAAUUAUGUGCGGUGUGGGAGUGCACAUGAGCUGAUGAUGAUGAUAUUGCAUUGUGCGUGUAGAGAGUGCACAUGAGCUGAGUGUGGCGGGAUGGUAUGUGUAAAACCCGACCCUAUAAAUACAUGUCAUGACAUACAUGCACUGAGUGGCAUGUUAUUAUACUAGGAAAGCACUUAAGAAAAGACGAAACCCCGAUAUCGUACCUAACAGUACACUUGAGUUGAUUUAACCUCGAACUAGUUCAAAUAGGAAUUGUAGGAUGAAAUUUAAUAUUUUAUAGUCCAGGAAUGACUAAAAAUGAUUGUUCGGAGUUCGAGGGUUCAUUUGGGGUAAAAUUGAAAAUUUUGAUGUUCAAGGGCAAAAUCGUCAUUUUACCACCCAAGAUAAUAAUUUGAUCACGGAGUGAAAUUUUUGAUCAAGAUUAACUAUUUGGAGUAUAAUUUAAUGAUAGGAAGUGAAAAAGUUUAAUUCUGGUGAUUUUUGGAGUGUAGGGGCAAAAUCGUAAUUUUACCACCUACGGAAAAAAUUUGAGAUUUUGAGAGAAUUUAGAUCAAAUUUGACAAAUUGGAGAAUGGUAUGAGUAUAAGGGAUGAAAAAUAUGACUAUGGGCAAUUUUUUAGUUUUUUUAGCAAAAAUGUAAUUUUUCACUUUUACGGGGGCAAAAGUGUAAAUUUCAAAAAUUACUCCACCCAGACUUUGGAUAAGUCUGAGAAUUUUAUCUAAGCUAUGGAUAUGUGGGACAAGUGUAUGGUGAAAAUUUGGAAACAAAUGGAUGAAAUUUUAAAAAUGGGCUAAUGGGAAAGUGACACAUGGUAUUUUUUUUAAUGAAAUAAUAUUAUUUUAAUAAAACGUCAGCCCAUUUAAACCCCAUUUUAAGUGCUGGCCGGCCAUAAGGAAGAACAAGAGAGGAAUAGAGAGGAAAGGAAGNNNNNNNNNNNNNNNNNNNNNNNNNNNNNNNNNNNNNNNNNNNNNNNNNNNNNNNNNNNNNNNNNNNNNNNNNNNNNNNNNNNNNNNNNNNNNNNNNNNNNNNNNNNNNNNNNNNNNNNNNNNNNNNNNNNNNNNNNNNNNNNNNNNNNNNNNNNNNNNNNNNNNNNNNNNNNNNNNNNNNNNNNNNNNNNNNNNNNNNNNNNNNNNNNNNNNNNNNNNNNNNNNNNNNNNNNNNNNNNNNNNNNNNNNNNNNNNNNNNNNNNNNNNNNNNNNNNNNNNNNNNNNNNNNNNNNNNNNNNNNNNNNNNNNNNNNNNNNNNNNNNNNNNNNNNNNNNNNNNNNNNNNNNNNNNNNNNNNNNNNNNNNNNNNNNNNNNNNNNNNNNNNNNNNNNNNNNNNNNNNNNNNNNNNNNNNNNNNNNNNNNNNNNNNNNNNNNNNNNNNNNNNNNNNNNNNNNNNNNNNNNNNNNNNNNNNNNNNNNNNNNNNNNNNNNNNNNNNNNNNNNNNNNNNNNNNNNNNNNNNNNNNNNNNNNNNNNNNNNNNNNNNNNNNNNNNNNNNNNNNNNNNNNNNNNNNNNNNNNNNNNNNNNNNNNNNNNNNNNNNNNNNNNNNNNNNNNNNNNNNNNNNNNNNNNNNNNNNNNNNNNNNNNNNNNNNNNNNNNNNNNNNNNNNNNNNNNNAAAGUGCCAAAAAUAGGUUAAAUACCGCGUUUAAGCCGUUUAGGCUAUUGCAUUUCAUACCAUGCAUUAGUAUAGGAUUUAAGUUAAUUAUAUAGUGAUUUAGCAUCAAUGUGAUGAAUUGUGUAAAUUUUUGUUAUGUGUCUAAGAGGAGAGCCUUCCGAAAAAGGCAAAGAAGUCGUACUCGACGAGUAGUGAUCGGGGCGCUUAGAAAGCUUUUAGUUUGUACAAACGGUGAGUAAACUUAUUAUUAUUGUAAAUUAUAUAGAGUUUAUUUUUAAAUGCCUUUAUGUAUUUUAUGAAAUGAAAACGAGAUUAAAAUGAGAUUUUUUGAUGUUUUAGGAAUAAAUGUGACAAAUAAAAAUAUGUUGUAUUGAUUAUGAAAUUGAGUAAUUGGAGGCUGCAAAUUGACUUGAAAAAUAUAUAUUUUCCUAGGAAUGGCUUAUGAGAAAUGAGUAUAUGUGGCUAUAUUUUGUGAGUGCAUUGGGAAAUUUAUGUAAGUUGUUUUUACUAUGCAGGCUGGAUAAAUAAAUAAAAGCUACGUUAUACUGUCGAAAAUUUAUUAAAAUUGGUGGGUUAGUCACUAUAGUGACGGGUUUUCGUGGACUGCCUAUUAGAGGGGGCACGGUAAACCUAGUUAUAUAGUUACUCCGGUUGUAGAGGUGAGGAGGGUAACUCCCCGGGUAGUAUUAGAGCUCACUUCACGUCGAACCCCCACGUGAAUGUGUAACUUAGCCAACGCCAAGGAACGGCUGGUUUUAAAAAAAAAAAAUGUGUUUCACGUGUGAAUAUUUUAACACCCUUGACAGACUGGGUUAGAUGCCUCGGCCAAGGUAUCCCCGAGGAUUAGUUUUGGCUUGAGCCUUGUUUUAAUAAAAGACAUAAGCCUUAACAACUGUUUUGGUAAAUUACAAAUAUUUUAUGGUUUAAGAAAUAAAUUGAAAACAUUAUGAAAUGGGUUGAAAUUUGUUGUUUAAACUUGCCUCCAUUUUACUCGCCUUUAGAUAUUUAUGAUAAUGUCUGUUUAUUCAUUGGGAUUUUAUAAUCUCACCACCCUCCUUUCCACCCAUUUCAGGUUCAGUAUAAACUGUAGAUAGCUGAUCUCAUCGAGGACUACCAUUGGAUCUGCAUUUUCCAAACCGUAGGUUCACAGUCCUCUUUACUUUUGUUUAUUCGGGGGCCCUCUUGUUAUUGUAAAUUAAAUUAAAUAUUUUGGCUUACUGUAUUUCAGUAUGUAUAAAUUUAUUUAGCUUUUACGCUAUAAAAAUUAUUCACGUAUAACUCUAUAAAUAUUGUUUUAUAAGAAAAUAGAAUAUUUUCCUUAAUAUUUCUUUUAUUUUCUUAUUAUAUUCAAAUAACCGUAAUUUCGUUUUAAAUGAAGAUUUUAGACUUUUAAACUCAUUUUGAAUAUGAAUUAUGUGUUUUGUACUUGUAUAUUACGUUUUAGCCAGUUUCGAAAUUUUUGAGAAAAAAAUGACCAAAAUACCCCUGUGUGGCGAAAAUUUUAUUUUGAUUGUUUUUGAUCUAAAAUAGUAUAUAUUCUCUAAAAACUCGAUAUUUAACAAUGAUUGCUCACAGGAAAGGAAAGAAACUGAUAUGUAAGCCUUGCGGGGUUCCGGUUGGCAUUCCGGAUAAUGAGUGUCAAUCGGGACGUCGCGGCGAUUGUCAUGGGCCUGAGGGAGGUUCCGGGUCGUGACAAUUCGAUUGGUAUCAGAGCUUUUGGUUUUAAAGAUAAGAGCUUUUGGUUUUAAAGAUAAGAGUUUUUGGUUUUAAAGUGGUUUUAAAAAAUUACAAUAUCAGUGUGGCCCCGGAUUAAGUUAAGUUAGGUUGAAUAGAAUGCAUGCAUUUUCAUAUAGAGCCUAAGGUUCCCUAAGCUUGCUCGUUUUCUCUUAUAGAUUAUUAUGCCUCCUCGACGCGGACGCCCACCUCUCACUAGAUCGGUUGGGAGGGGAAAAUGUUGUUCCCAACGUCGUCAGCUAGAUGCAGUAGGGGAAGAAUCGAUUGCGUCUACCAUUCGGGGAGCACCUGUUGCUGAGUAGGCCGAUAGUCCUCCACAUCCUCCACCUCCUCCGCCACCUACGGGUAUUCCCACCAUGCCUACUGAGGCAGCACAAGCAUUGGCAGCUUUCUUUACUGCAAUGACUGGUGGAGCUCCGACUGGUCAAGUUCCACCUAUAGUACCACCAGUUACUCCUUUAGUUCCACCACCGGUACAAGAUGUAUCCAUUUCCAAGAAGCUAAAGGAGGCUAGACAGCUCAGUUGUGUGUCUUUCACGGGUGAGUUGGAUGCCACUGUGGCAAAGGACUGGAUUAAUCAGGUUUCAGAGACUCUCUCUGAUAUGAGAUUAGACGACGACAUGAAGCUGAUGGUGGCUACGAGAUUAUUAGAGAAGAAGGCUCGUACUUGGUGGAAUUCAGUGAAGUCCCAUUCCACUAUUCCUCAGACGUGGUCCGAUUUUCUCAGGGAAUUCGAUGGUCAGUAUUUCACUUAUUUUCAUCAGAAAGAAAAGAAGAAAGAAUUUCUGAGUUUGAAACAGGGGGAAUCUAACUGUAGAGGAGUAUGAGACUCGUUUUAACGAGUUGAUGUUAUAUGUGCCGGAUCUGGUGAAAUUUGAGCAGAAUCAGGCUAGUUAUUUCGAGGAAGGGCUCCGUAAUGAGAUUAGAGAGCGGAUGACAGUGACUGGUAGGGAGCCACAUAAGGAGGUGGUAUAGAUGGCUUUACGGGCUGAGAAGCUCGCGACUGAAAAUAGGAGGAUUCGGACUGAGUUUGCAAAAAGGAAGAAUCCUGGUAUGUCUUCUAGUCAGUCAGUAAAAAGAGGCAAGGACUCAACGAUUUCAGAGAGUACUACUUCUAUUUCCAUGACAUUUCCUCGACCUCCAUUUCCACCAUCACAACAGAGACCUUCGAGGUUUAACAGAUCUGCUAUGACUGGUUCUGGAAAGAGUUUCGGAGGUUCUGACUGAUGCAAAAAUUAUGGGAAUUAUCAUAGUGGGCUAUGUAGAGGGCCAACAAGAUGUUUCCAAUGUGGACAGACGGGUCAUAUUAGGAGUAAUUGCCCACGGUUAGGACGAGCCACGGUAGUUGCAUCAUCUUCACCAGCUCGCACUGAUAUGCAGAAGAGAGAUUAUUCUAAGUUGCCACCAAGACAGGGAGUGACCAUACGGUCCGAUGUGGAGAGUAAUACCCCGGCACAUCCACCUUCGAGACCACAGACUCGUACCUCGACAAGAGUUUUCGCUGUUACGAAAGAUGAGGCACGGGUCCAACCUGGAGCAGUGACAAGUACUAUGUCUUUAUUUGAUAAAGAUUCUUAUGUUUUGAUAGAUUCUGGCUCAGAUAGGUCUUAUGUGAGCACCACAUUUGCAUCAAUUGCUGAUAGAAACCUGUCACCAUUAGAGGAAGAAAUUGUAAUUCACACCCCUUUGGGAGAAAAGCUAGUUAGAAACAGUUGUUAUAGAGACUGUGGGGUAAGGGUAGGCGAGGAAGAAUUUAGGGGUGACUUAAUUCCUCUAGAGAUCCUGGAUUUUGAUCUAAUAUUGGGUAUGGACUGGUUAACUGCACAUCAGGCGAACGUGAAUUGUUUUCGAAAGGAAGUUGUUCUUCGAAAUUCGGAGGGAGCAGAGAUUGUGUUUGUAGGGAAACGUCGAGUAUUACCGUCCUGUGUAAUCUCGGCCAUCAAAGCUUUGAAAUUAGUGCAGAAAGGGUAUCCGACUUAUUUGGCAUACGUGAUUGAUACUUCAAAGGGGGAACCUAAGUUAGAGGAUGUCUCGAUAGUAAGUGAGUUUCCUGAUGUAUUUUCUGAUGAUUUACCGAGACUACCUUUUGAUCGAGAGCUUGAGUUCCCUAUUGAUUUACUUCUGGGUACCGCACCUAUUUCUAUCCCUCCAUAUAGAAUGGCUCCGGCAGAGUUGAAGGAACUGAAAGUCCAGUUGCAAGAUUUAGUGGAUAAAGGUUUCAUUCGCCCUAGCAUUUCUCCUUGGGGAGCACCAGUUCUAUUUGUCAAGAAAAAGGAUGGCACUCUUCGAUUGUGUAUUGAUUACCGUCAGCUGAACCGAGUGACCAUCAAGAAUAAAUAUCCUUUACCCCGGAUAGAUGAUCUAUUUGAUCAAUUACGAGGUGCUAUGGUAUUCUCUAAGAUUGAUUUGAGAUCUGGGUACUAUCAGUUGAGGAUUAAGGAGCAAGAUGUACCCAAGACUGCGUUCAGGACUCGGUACAGUCAUUAUGAGUUCUUGGUCAUGCCUUUCGGGUUAACUAACGCACCGACAGCUUUUAUGGAUCUCAUGAAUAGGGUGUUCCACCUUUACUUGGACAAGUUUGUUAUUGUGUUCAUUGAUGACAUAUUGGUUUACUUGAGAGAUAAUGAUGAGCACGCUGCCCACUUGCGUAUAGUAUGACAAACUUUGAGGGAAAGACAGUUGUAUGCAAAGUUUUCGAAGUAUGAGUUUUGGUUACAGGAAGUGGUAUUCUUGGGACACAUAGUAUCGAGAACUGGAAUAUAUGUUGAUCCUAAGAAAGUAGAGGCAAUUUUACAAUGGGAGCAACCUAAGACAGUGACGGAGAUUCGUAGUUUCCUCGGAUUAGCUGGUUAUUAUCGGAGGUUUGUUUAGGGGUUUUCCUUAAUAGCAGCUCCUUUAACCCGUCUAACUCGUAAGGGAGUUAAGUUUGUGUGGGAUGAUAUUUGUGAGAAUCGAUUUCAGGAGCUAAAGAACCGGUUAACCUUCGCUCCCGUUUUAACACUUCCUGUUAAUGGUAAGGGAUUUGUAGUAUAUAGUGAUGCCUCAAAGUUGGGGUUGGGGUGCGUAUUGAUGCAAGAUGAAAAAGUUGUGGCUUAUGCUUCUAGACAGCUAAAGAGGUAUGAAGCAAAUUACCCUACCCAUGAUUUAGAGUUAACAGCAGUGGUGUUUGCUUUAAAAAUCUAGAGGCAUUACUUGUAUGGUGAGCAUUGUCGGAUAUUUACGGAUCACAAGAGUUUAAAAUAUUUGCUCACCCAAAAGGAGUUUAAUUUGAGGCAAAGGCGAUGGUUGGAGUUGAUAAAAGAUUAUGACUUGGUGAUAGACUAUCAUCCGAGAAAGACGAACGUUGUAGCUGAUGCCUUAAGUCGUAAGUCUUCAUCGUCUUUAGCAGCACUUCAGAGUUAUUAUUUUCCAGCAUUAAUAGAGAUGAAAUCUCUUAGGGUCCAGUUGAGAAAUGGUGAGGAUGGAUCCUUAUUGGCAAACUUCAUUGUGCGACCUUCGUUACUUAAUCAGAUCAAGGACAUUCAGAGGUCUGAUGAUGAGUUAAGAAAAGAAAUUCAAAAACUGACCGAUGGGGGAGUUAGUGAGUUCAGAUUUGGAGAGGAUAACGUCUUGAUGUUUAAAGAUCGAGUUUGUGUUCCUGAGGGAAACCAGUUGAGACAAGCGAUCAUGGAAGAAGCCCAUUCAUCUGCCUAUGCAUUACAUCCCGGAAGCACCAAGAUGUAUAGGACUAUCAGGGAGAAUUAUUGGUGGCCGGGUAUGAAGCGAGACGUAGCAGAAUUCGUAGCAAAGUGUCUCGUAUGUCAGCAAGUUAAGGCGGAGCAUCAGAGGCCAGCAGGUACACUUCAGUCUUUACCUGUUCCCGAGUGGAAAUGGGAGCAUGUAACUAUGGAUUUUGUUUUGGGAUUGCCGCGGACACAGAGGGGAAAGGAUGCGAUCUGGGUGAUCGUAGAUCGGUUGACUAAGUCCGCUCACUUUUUAGCUGUCCAUAGUACAUACUCUAUUGAGAAGCUGGCUCAGCUCUAUAUAAAUGAGAUUGUGAGGCUACAUGGAGUUCCCGUUUCUAUAGUGUCAGACCGAGAUCCUCGAUUCACUUCUCGAUUCUGGCCAAAAUUUCAAGAAGCUCUCGGAACCAAAUUGAAAUUUAGCACUGCUUUUCACCCACAGACGGAUGGUCAGUCAGAGAGGACUAUCCAGACCUUGGAGGAUAUGUUACGGGCUUGUGUCAUUGACUUUAUUGGGAGUUGGGACAGACAUUUGCCAUUGGUGGAAUUUGCUUACAACAAUAGCUUUCAGUCUAGCAUUGGUAUGGCACCAUACGAAGCUUUAUAUGGAAGGAAAUGUCGUACUCCACUUUGUUGGGAUGAAGUGGGUGAAAGAAAGUUAGUGAGUGUGGAAUUGAUCGAGCUAACUAAUGACAAGAUCAAGGUUAUACGAGAGAGGCUAAAGGUAGCCCAGGAUAGGCAGAAGAGCUAUGCAGAUAAACGGAGAAAAGACUUGGAGUUUGAGAUCGAUGAUAAAGUUUUUCUUAAGGUUUCUCCUUGGAAAGGUAAUAAUUUGAAUACUUUGAAGUAUUAAAUCUUAUUGAUUAUACUAUCAUGAUAAAUUAUGGUGUUUUAUUGGAUAAUGAAAGGUGUGAUUCGAUUUGCGAAGAGGGGAAAGCUCAACCCGAGAUAUAUUGGACCAUUCCGAAUCAUUGAAAGGAUUGGACCAGUGGCUUAUCGGUUAGAAUUACCUCCGGAGUUAGAUCGGAUCCACAACGUUUUCCAUGUCUCCAUGCUUAAGAAAUAUGUACCAGAUCCCUCUCACGUCCUCGAAGCACCUCCGAUCGAGUUGCAUGACGAUUUGAAGUUCGAGGUACAACCUGUGAGUAUCUUGGAUCGAAAGGAUCGAGUACUGAGAAACAAGAGUAUUUCAAUGGUCAAAGUGUUGUGGAAAAGUGCUCGAAUGGAGGAAAUGACAUGGGAAGUAGAGCAUCAGAUGAGGAACCAAUACCCGCAUCUAUUUGUCGAAUCUGGUAAGUGAAAUUUUGAGGUCAAAAUUUUAUUUUAAGGGGGGUAGAAUUGUAAAACCCGACCCUAUAAAUACAUGUCAUGACAUACAUGCAUUGAGUAGCAUGUUAUUACGCUAGAAAAGCACCUAAGAAUAGACGAAACCCGAUAUUGUACCUAACGGUACACUUAAAUUGAUUUAACCUCGAACUAGUUCAAAUAGGAAUUGUAGGAUGAAAUUUAAUAUUUUAUAGUCCAGGAAUGACUAAAAAUGAUUGUUCGGAGUUCGAGGGUUCAUUUGGGGUAAAAUUAGAAAUUUUGAUAUUCAAGGGCAAAAUCGUCAUUUUGCCACCUAAGAUAAUAAUUUGAUCAUGGAGUGAAAUUUUUGACCAAGAUUAACUAUUUGGAGUAUAAUUUAAUGAUAGGAAGUGAAAAAGUUUAAUUCUGGUGAUUUUUGGAGUGUAGGGGCAAAAUCGUAAUUUUGCCACCCACGGACAAAAUUUGAGAUUUUGAGAGAAUUUAGAUCAAAUUUGACAAAUUGGAGAAUGGUAUGAGUAUAAGGGAUGAAAAAUAUGUCUAUGGGCAAUUUUUCAAUUUUUGGGGCAAAAAUGUAAUUUUUGACUUUUACGGGGGCAAAAGUGUAAAUUUCAAAAAUUACUCCACCGAGACUUUGGAUGAGUCUGAGAAUUUUAUCUAAGCUAUGAAUAUAUGAGACAAGUGUAUGGUGAAAAUUUGGAAACAAAUGGAUGAAAUUUUAAAAAUGGGCCAAUGGGAAAGUGACAUGUGGCAUUUUUUAAUGAAAUAAUAUUAUUUUAAUGAAAAGUCAGCCCAUUUAAACCCAAAUUUUGAGUGCUGGCCGGCCAUAAGGAAGAACAAGAGAGGAAAUAGAGAGGAAAGGAAGAAAAAAAGAAAAACCAAAGAGAAACAAGAAAAUUCAAAGGGAAAUUCGCGGUUUUCGACCGUUUACGCGUCUAACGGUAAGAUUUUUCGAUUUUAGCUUGAUUUCUACCUUUCCUAUGCCUUUAUUUCCAUUUAGCAUGCUUGAGGAGAGAGAUCAAAAAGUGAUAUCAAGGGCUGGACGAAAUUCUAGGGGAGAGAAAUUGAAAUUUUUAGGUUUUGAUUUUUAGUUAAAUUGAUAGUUUUAGUUAGUUAAAUGUGUUUAGAAAUUAAAUUGGGCAAGAAAUCAUUAAAUUUUCACAAUACCCACUCUUGGCUGGAUGCUCAAUGCUGUACAAUGAUGAUGAAUUGAUUUUAUUCUAAGGAAAAUGAAGAGAAAAUGAUGAAAAACGAUUAAACGUGAUAGAAAAACAAAGUAGAAAAUUAACCGAGUUAAUGUCCCAUUUUUGGCCGAAUUUUCCAAGGAAGGGAGUGAGCUGAUUUUGUUGUUUUUAGAAGGUUAUUGGCUGAUAUUUAAUGGUUAGAAAUGUUGGAGAGAGAAUGGGAUGAUUUAGAGCUAAAAUGGAGCGCGUUAGCAAUUUAUCGGGCAAAGUGCCAAAAAUAGGUUAAUACCGCGUUUAAGCCGUUUUAGGCUAUUGCAUUUCAUACCAUGCAUUAGUAUAGGAUUUAAGUUAAUUAUAUAGUGAUUUAGCAUCAAUGUGAUGAAUUGUGUAAAUUUUUGUAAUGUGUCUAGGAGGAGAGCCUUCCGGAAAAGGCAAAGAAGUCGUACCCGACGAGUAGUGAUCGGGGCGCUUAGAAAGCUUUUAGUUUGUACAAACGGUGAGUAAACUUAUUAUUAUUGUAAAUUAUCUAGAGUUUAUUUUUAAAUGCCCUUUAUGUAUUUUAUGAAAUGAAAACGAGAUUAAAACGGGAUUUUUGAUGUUUUAGGAAUAAAUGUGACAAAUAAAAAUAUAUUGUAUUGAUUAUGAAAUUGAGUAAUUGGAGGCUACAAAUUGACUUGAAAAAUAUAUAUUUUCCUAGGAAUGGCUUAUGAGAAAUGAGUAUAUGUGGCUAUAUUUUGUGAAUGCAUUGGGAAAUUUAUGUAAGUUGUUUUACUAUGCAGGCUGGAUAAAUAAAUAAAAGCCACGUUAUACUGUCGAAAUUUUAUUAAAAUUGGUGGGUUAGUCACUGCAGUGACGGGUUUCCGUGGACUGCCUAUUAGAGGGGCACGGUAAACCCAGUUAUAUAGUUACUCCGGUUGUAGAGGCGAGGAGGGUAACUCCUGGGGUAGUAUUAGAGCUCACUUCACGUCGAACCCCCACGUGAAUGUGUAACUCGGCCAACGCCAAGGAACGGCUGGUUUUAAAAAUAAAAAUGUGUUUCACGUGUGAAUAUUUUAACACCCUUGGCGGACUCGGUUAGAUGCCUCGGCCAAGGUAUCCCCGAGGAUUAGUUUUGGCUUGAGCCUUGUUUUAAUAAAAGACAUAAGCCUUAACAACUGUUUUGGUAAAUUACAAAUAUUUUAUGGUUUAAGAAAUAAAUUGAAAACAUUAUGAAAUGGGUUGAAAUUUGUUGUUUAAACUUGCCUCCAUUUUACUCGCCUUUAGAUAUUUAUGAUAAUGUCUGUUUACUCAUUGGGAUUGCAAAAUCUCACCCAACUCCUUUCCACCCAUUUCAGGUUCAGUAUAGACUGUAGAUAGCUGAUCUCAUCGAGGACUACCAUUGGAUCUGCAUUUUCCAAACCGUAGGUUCACAGUCCUCUUUACUUUUGUUUAUUCGGGGGCCCUCUUGUUAUUGUAAAUUAAAUUAAAUAUUUUGGCUUACUGUAUUUCAGUAUGUAUAAAUUUAUUUAGCUUUUACGCUAUAAAAAUUAUUCACGUAUAACUCUAUAAAUAUUGUUUUAUAAGAAAAUAGAAUAUUUUCCUUAAUAUUUCUUUUAUUUUCUUAUUAUAUUCAAAUAACCGUAAUUUCGUUUUAAAUGAAGAUUUUAGACUUUUAAACUCAUUUUGAAUAUGAAUUAUGUGUUUUGUACUUGUAUAUUACGUUUUAGCCAGUUUCGAAAUUUUUGAGAAAAAAAUGACCAAAAUACCCCUGUGUGGCGAAAAUUUUAUUUUGAUUGUUUUUUAUCUAAAAUAGUGUAUAUUCUCUAAAAACUCGAUAUUUAAUAACGAUUGCUCACAGGAAAGGAAAGAAACUGAUAUGUAAGCCUUGCGGGGUUUCGGUUGGCAUUCCGGAUAAUGACUGUCAAUCGGGACGUCGCGGCGAUUGUCAUGGGCCUGAAGGAGGUUUCGGGUCGUGACAGUAUGCAUGAUGAUGUAUGUAUAUAUAUAUAUAUAUGUUAUAGAAAGUUUAUGAAAAUAAUUAUGAUUAUGUUGUAUGUUGGCAUUGUUAAUUGCUCCCAAAUUGCUUUUCAUUUCAGCAAGAAAAUGACUUUUUAAUGUAACAAUACCCGUUUUAACUAAAUUACUCUAUUUCUCGUUGCAGCAAGAAUGAAUCUCACUGCAAUGAGAAACUCUCGGGUUGGGGGGUUUACACUGGCCUGGUUCUUGCUACAGCGAGAAACUCUCGGGUGGUUCCAAAAUUUUGGUAUAGUGUUUUCACUUUGACAAAGAUUUUGACUAUCUUUCGGUCAGAACUGGGUAAAGUGGUAAACAUCAAAGUUGUAGCCCAGCCUCUUAGCUUUCUAAUGACCUUAAAACCAUAUCAAUUGGACUUCUGUAGUGGGAGAUAUGCUUGAAAUCCCGAAGUAUAUGAAAAUAGAGAAUGCCUUUUCGCUACAGCUAGAAAACCCUCUGUUGCUUGUAUUGCUUGGCCAUUGCUGAAAUUUUCAUUCUAUUCAACUUAAAGGUUUAUCAUGGAUCUUGUAACAUUAAAAGAUUAAACAUUCAAAGUUUGAAAUGAGGGCUUUUAACGAAAAAUUAGACUAAAUUGCAUGGUUUUAUCGUAAAUGCAUCAUGUUUUCUAAAACAUUCCUUAUCAUUGCUUGUUCCCUUCUUAUGUUCACUUACUAAGUUUAUACUCACUCUUUUAAAUUACAUGUUUUCAUAUCCGUAGAUAGUUGGGACCGAGAUUAAGGCGUCCACUUGCAUUCACUCUUGGUAGGUAUCAUGGCAUUCGAUAGCCGUACCCUCACCAAAGUCACUCCGCUGGUCGUCAGAAGUCUUUUAUAUGAGUACAUGUACAUUAAAUGUAAAUUGCUAGGAAUCACUUGCCAACGAUGUGUGUAUAGUUUGAAAUGAUGGUGCCAUUAUGAGAUGGCUAUGAAUAACCUUAUUUUGAGAUCAUACAAAUGUAAAUUUUUGGUAUCGAUGUUGUAUUAUGAAAAUACGUCUAGUUGCAAAUUACAAAUGGUGGUCUAGUAAUGCUGAUGAAAAAUUGAUGGGAUAGUGAACGAGAUUACGUAAAGAGGCUUGCUUGGGCUUAAUGAGCUACGUCUACUGGGCCCAUGCGCCGGUCAUGGCCCAAAAUUUAGGUCGUGACAUAUUUGUUGAUUAUAGUUGUUGAGAAAAUACUGUUCAUGGAGGUGAACUUUGUUAGUAAGGACAUCAAUAGCUAAACAUGAUUUUUCUGAAUUAUUAUUACCACCUUAGACUUCUCUUCUUUUUUUUUGGGUUCUCCUCCAUUAUUAGGGUUAAGAGUUCCACUAGUCGACUCACUGCUUUCUUUCAUCUCUCAUUUUUUUUAUUUGAUUCAAUUUUUUUCUCUUGAUUUUAUUUAUUAUUAUUAUUCAAUAAAAAAUUAUUUAUGAAUUAUCUGUUACUUAUAAAUUAUUUUUGAAACUUUUUUUUAUGAUUUAUUGUUAAUUAUAAACUUUAUGUUAUAUAAAAAUCCUUUUAAUAUUUUCAAAAUUUUAUUUUAAAUUGAUAAAAAAUAAAAUUAAUUUUUUUUAUUUUGAACAAAGAAAUUUGUGAUUAAUAAAAGUUAUUUAUUAAAUACCCUUUAUGGUAAUUUUAACUAAAAUUAGAGUUUAUAUAGGUUGUUUUGCCAAACAACUUAUCUAUAAAAAAGAGCUUAUAAAAAGUAAAUUUAUCAAACAAUUUUAGCUUAAUUUUAAAAGCUAUUAUUUUUUAUAAGAGUUUUAUAAUAGCUUUUAAGUUAAAAAAAAAUCAGGCCAAACAUACUAUAAGAAUUUAAUAAGUCACACACAUUAAUGAUUUCAACAUUAGAAUGAAAAAUUGGGGAUUGAGUUAGACUUACUUGGUGAAGUAUAGACUUUGAGACUUAAUUGAAUGAGUUCAACUUGUCAAGGUAAUUCAUAGAAGGAUUAGAAUUAACUUAUUUCCUUAUAAAUAAAUUGCUUAUACUACACUUUAAAGGCAUAAGAGAAACACCAUUGAGCUAUAAAACCCCGAGAGGCAAUUGAGAAUUGUGAGGAGAGAUUUAAGCAACCACAAGUCUUCCUUAACCUUGAGAGUUGUCGACAUUGAGUGGAUUUCCCUAAGUAUCAAUUUUUGAAACUCCUAUCUUUGGGAAUUAAUAGUUUUUCUUUUUUUUUCCUCAUUUUUUUUUUUCCUUAGGAAAUGAGAAACCUUCAUUGCCUCUUUUUAUCUAGCACAAAGCUUAACAACAAAAGCAAACCCUAAAUCACUCUUGGUGUUAUUCCACUUGUAGUCUUUUUGGAUCACUGUCAGAGACUAAACACUUGGACAGUAUGAGAUUUGCUGACAACUUAAGCUUUAUGGGGGAAAAUAAUGAGAUACCUCUUGAUUUCAACAUCAAAGGCUUUAAUUAAGGUAUUAAAUCUUCUAUCAACUAGUUAGGAUUUAUCUAUAUUAAACAACCAAUGUUGAUUUUACUAGUGACAAAAGUUUUAAAUUUUCACUGUGCAUGUAAACUGAUUUGCAUGGCUUUUCCCAAAAUGGUGCAUAAAAGAUCUCAAAACCUUAGAUAUUUUAGUCUUCUGAUUUUGACAUCCAAGGUUCAGAGAUAUAAAAAUCUUCUCUCUUAGAUAGGUUUUUUAUAUUAAACAACCAAAAAUUAAUCUUACUAAUGAGAAAAGUUUCAAAUUCCAAUUGUAUUUUGUAAUUUGAUUGCAUGGCUUUUCCUAACAUAAUUAUUAUUUAUAUUUUAAAAUAAGUAAAUCAACUCAAAAUGUAUUUGCAUUGAAAUUACUAUUUUAUUGUAUUUAAUUUUGUUCUAUAACGUAAAAAAUUAUAUAAAAGAAGCUCAAUUGGGUAAACAGUGAUUUUAAAAAAUGAAAGGUGGGCCAAGUAAUUAGGUUAGACAUAAAAAUUAUAGAAAUUAGAGAAGGUUUGAAAACAAUUUGGAAAGAGAGGCUAAGGCAGUGAUUUUGUCGGUAAACAUGAUUAUGUUUAUAUUGUACUUUAAUUAUAAAUAAUAUCUACACAUGUAAAACAAAGAAAAAAAUUAAAAAAAUUAUAUUUAUUAAUGGAGUUAAAGAUUAUAAGUCAUAAAUUGAAAAAAUAAUUAUUUUUAUUUAAAUUCUAAACAUAUUCUUUAAUAAUAUAGUUUUAGAUAAAAAUAUGUAAUUUUCGUAUUAAUUUAUUAAUUAAAAAUUAAAAAACACUCAACAUGCUAAAAUUAAAAUGAGAAUUCUAUUUUUUAGUAUUUUUUUUGUUUAAAAUUUAAAUCUUAAAGAUUGAAAUUCAUAAAAAAAUAAUUUUUCAUAUUUCAAUUAAAGAAAAGAAUAAAAGAAUUUAAUAAUUAAUUAGAAUUAAAUUUAUCAAAAACAUAUUAAUUAUAUCGUAUAAUUCAUUUGUAUCGUAAGAUAUAUGUCGCAUAGCGUAUUAUAUACUUUCAAUAUUUAAUCAAAUACAAUAUAACUAUCUAUACAUAUUGUAUAAAAUUAAUAACUAUUAUUAUUAUUAUAGGUCGAUAUACUGUCACUAACCAAGAUAAAGAAUUAGUGACAUAGUGACAUAAGUUCAACAAUAUAGUGAGCUUGAAGUUUGAAGAACAGGUAGAGCCCUAGAAGCCCACGUGCACCCAAACCCCCACUGUGCACUUUCUUCAGCUACUUCACUCACCAUUCAAGGCUCAACAUCCACUGUCCGAUCAUAAUCCUCAUCGAAGCGUAGAUGCUCUAGAAGGUACUCGAUCUUCGCUCACAGAUCGAACACGCCAUUUUUAGUAGUAGUAAUGGGUAAAUAUCGACUGCAAUUGUGGUGCACAGCUUAUUAUACAACUGCAUGGACCGAUAAUAGUUAGUGGCUGAGUGCGCAGUGGGUCCCUUUUUUAACCUCCUUUGCUGUCUGUCAUGUUGUGUUUCCUUAUCAUUGAUCAGAGCAGCUCCACUCGCACUCUGGAGAGAGUCCACUCACGGUCUUAUCAAAUUCAGAAAAUUGUGAUUUUUUUUAUCUUUUUCUUUUUUUACAUAAUAUUUAAAAAUUUUAAAUAGAUUAUUAUUUUUAUUACAAUUAAUUAAUUUUUAUAUUUUUAUUUUAAAUUAAAUAAAAUUUUAUAAUUAAUAAUUAAUUAAAUAUUAUUAAUCAAAAUAUCACUUAUUAUAUAAUAAAAAUAUUUUUAUUUAUUUUAUUCUCACACUUGCCUGCAUAGUGUAAACUGAAAAUUAACACUGACUAUUGAUGAUAUUUAAAUGUCAUAGGGGUACCCUCAAAUUCUUCACUGUUGUCACUUAUGUGUGCGUGCGUGAAGAUUCAAAUUCCUCGGUUGCAUCUUAACCUGCACCCUCGUCACAGCAGAUAACAAGCAAUACACUUUGGGGGGGAGAGAGAGAGAGAGGGGAAAAAGCCAUCGCUGAUCAAUCAUAAAAUAAUGUCCCAAAACUCAGCCAAUCCCAUCACCACACCCAAACAAAAGCAGAAGCCAAAGCCUGAGAGAGAAAGAUUUAUAAUAGAUGAGGAAACUUAACUAGUACUUCAAACCCAAAACAUGAGAAACCCAGCCACAGCAACAACGCCGGCGACAAAAAUAACGACGACAACGACAAGAAACAACAGCGGAGCCAAGACUCCCUGCUGCAUCAAGGUAGGGCUGAAGAGGGGGCCAUGGACCCCAGAAGAGGAUGAGUUAUUGGCCAGUUACAUCAAGAGGGAAGGUGAAGGACGGUGGCGGACUCUGCCGAAGCGGGCGGGGCUCCUGCGUUGCGGCAAAAGCUGUCGCCUCCGUUGGAUGAACUAUCUCCGACCCUCCGUGAAACGAGGGCAGAUCGCCCCUGAUGAGGAGGAUCUCAUUCUGCGCCUUCAUCGCCUUCUGGGCAAUCGGUAGUUCAACAUUUCCCUGCACAUUUGAAUAUGAAUUUAUGUUGUAUUUUGGGCUUCGUCUCGAAUUCUGGUAUAUCAGCUCAGUUGGGUGACCUUUUCUUCUCUGUUCCUUUCUAUAUUAGCUAGGGUUUCCAAGCGAAUAUGAUCAAGUGUUGUAGAUUUAGGGUUUCAAUGUUUUUUCCAAGCUUUCAAGUAGGUUUUUUUUUUUUCUUUUGGGAAAUCCAGAUCAGACGUACUCAUCAAAACUGAUGAGCAACUUUCUCUUUCGAAAGGGUUUUCCAUUUCUUUCUGCAUUCACUACUUAAAUGAAUAUCGUUAAGAAGCAGCUCUAAAUUCUCUCUCCAUCUUUAUCUUUAUCUUUCAUAGUCUAUCAAUGAAUUAUCUUCUCUCGCUACUGCAGUGCAACAGAAACACUUAUUACUUUGUUUUCGAUGGUCUUUCUAACUGGGCUUUUCGGGCAGAUGGUCACUCAUAGCUGGAAGAAUCCCAGGGCGUACAGACAAUGAGAUAAAGAACUACUGGAACACUCACCUGAGUAAGAAGUUGAUCAACCAAGGAAUAGAUCCAAGAACCCACAAGCCUUUAAACCCUCAACAGUCACCAAGCGAUCUCAAAGCUUCUUCUUCCUCCAAGGCAAACCGUGGGGGUGCUACAAUCCCUAAGCCAAAUAAUCCUGCUUCUUCCAGCUUGGAAGAGACUAGUAGCGGUCAAAUCACCGCUCACAAAGAAAAUGAGUAUUUCCAGAGCAAUAAUACUCUUCAUCACUAUCAAACUGAGACAGCAAUGGCCCAUGGAUUCACCAGUCUGCUUAAUUGCGAGGAUUCUGGAAUAGAAAUGAGAAGCAACCAAAACCAAGGGAUAAGCAAUGAGGAAGAUGAGGAUAUCAAUUACUGCACUGAUGAUGUCUUCUCCUCCUUUCUGAAUUCAUUGAUAAACGAAGAAGCUUUCGCCAACCAGAAUCAAAUGCAACAGCAGACCAAUGUGACUGCACAAGCCGAUGCAUUGGUUUCAGUUACUGCAACAACUUUUGGCCUUGUCCAAGGCUGGGAAUCUCCCAUCAUGUCUUCAAAUUUCAACCAAAAUGACCCCAAUAGGGUUAAAGAUCAUCUCAACUAGCGUCUUCUGAAGCGUCAGCUUUCAUUAUGAAAUUGCAGCUGAUUAGCUUGAUAUAGUAUUGUAGGGUUUGGUUUUUUUAUUUUAUUUUUUUAUUUCUGUGUAUGUUAUAUUCUCUAUUCUUGUUCCACUUAGUCAUCCUAUUAUUUCCAUUUUGUUGUGUUUGCAGAUAUAUAUGUAUCACUGUAAGCUAAGAUAUAAGUGGAGCAAUGUAUUGAUACAAACUUGUGUCAUUGUGUGUGAUAUGUAUUUUUCGUUUACGUAAUUAAAAUAUCUAAGCUUAUUUCAUAAAAUUCCUUUCAUUUGUUAACUUCAGCUUAAUUAUUUCUUGACUUCUCCUUCCAUCAAUUAUCUACAGCCUUGAUUAUUCCACUAAUGGCAAAGUUUCAAGAGGUGAAAUACAUCAGACAUUUUGUUAAUUUAAUUAGCAAUUAUAAUGGAUUAGGAGAUAACGAAAGACAAAUGCACCCAACGAUGCAGUAGAGUAUUUUUAAGUAGCUCAUAUAUAAUCAUGUAGAACAUUACCGAGGAGGAAAUAAACACAUAUAAGUUGCAUUAAUUGCAACAUAUGCUGUGUGUUACGGUGGAGACUUAUGGUUGUGGUGAUGACUUUGUUUCACAUAUGCUUUAUGCUUAUGGCGUGAGUUGUUUGCAAACUUAAUUAUAGGAUGCAAAUUUAGCUUUUAUGCGUAUUUAUGUCGAUAGAAUAUUACUGGGUUUUCAUCUAUAUGGUCUGUUUUGAUCAUACUUUUGGUUCUAGUUGAAGUUUUGUAUAAGUUUCUAUGAUACUUAAUAAAAUAACUAGAUUGGAUUAAGAAAAAAGUUGCAACAUAUGUUGUAGGUGUAAAUUUACGAAUGAGAUGAAUUAUGUCUCGGAGAAGAAUUUUAACACAUAUGUUUUGGUGUUCUAGCUAGCUAGAUGCAAGUGUCAUGUCAAGUGUUUUUAAAAAAAUAAGUAAGAUGCUCCAAUUUCACAUUGGAGAUGUAGAAGGAUUUUGAAAAGUUUAUGGACGUGAGCAUUGUACACCUUCUAAAGUUAGCCUUUUGGAAAGGGAGUAAUAGUCUUGUAAUAAAGUGAUGUUAGAAUAGACCUAAAAAAGUAGUUGAAUUGAGUGGAAGAGAAUGUCAUGCCAAGUAUUUCAACAAAAGUAGACAAGGGGUUUCAAUCCUACAUUGAGCAAGUAGGAAAAUUUUAAAAAACACAUAAUUUUUGGGAGAGAGAAUAAUAGUCUCAUGACACAAAGACAGCGUACAUGCUAUUUUCUUAGCUUCUCAUUAUCCUUGAAUCAUAUUGGCUUGGAUUUGUUUUUCUUUUUAUGAUGCACUUAAGGGCUUUCACCUUUUAUCCUUUGAGUGCCGUAGCUUUAAUAAGAAAAAAUUAUGCAUAGAAGAAUAUGGCUAAUGGGGUUGUAGUGACUUUGGCGAGUUUUGAGCAAGAUUCUGAUGAAUAUCACAAACUUGGAAAGAACAACAUACAAUCAUACUGCUAAGCUACUGAGAUGUUCAAUAGUCAAAGUUAAACAGGAAAUACGGUUGCAUCAAUAACCUACAUCAUAAUGUUGUGUUCUUUGCCCGUAUGUGUAUGAUUUAUCUACAAAAUGUCCUCAACUCAUUACUAUAUAUAUUCAAUAUUUGAUUACUCAGGAAUUUUUUUUGGUAUAUAUACAUAACUGUCUGGUAUUGUGCUACUGUAGAGUACGUUACUUCUACACGUCGAGAGAAUUGACUGAAGACAAGGUAAAUUGUUUGUAGUAGAAUAUUGGCGACUAGAGCUAUAACAUAUUUGACUGUAGGACAAGCUAAGUUUUGAUUUCUCAAGAGCUUGCAAUCCAUUAUCUUACAAGUUUCUGCUUAAUUUUUUGUGGAUGCUUACGUUACGUGUGAAUUGUUAAGGAGCAGUUUGAAAAUGUCAUCUUAUAUAUCUUGGUAUAAUUGGUUCGAGUCCACCAGUAUCAUAUGUUAUCUGCCAUUGUUUUCUCUAAUGCAAGACUUUGUUUAAUGGAUGGCAUAAUGAUGAGUAGACAUCUAUCUAGCUAGAUGUCAAACUAAGGGGUAAGGCUCAUGAUGAUAGCCAAAUAAUUUGCAAGUACACAACAGUGAACACUCUUGAACAUUUUUAGUGAUUAGUAGUAUCUGAAAGAGUGAAGCAUUACCAAAAGGCUAAAAGACACUUGGUUUGGUCACUUAACUGCAUAGUACGUAAGUACAUAGAAUUUGAAUGCAGUAAAACAAGAGCCUGGUUUGUGUAAAUAUAGCCCAAGUAUUCUUCGAACACUAAUUUCUUCCGUCAAAAAGGUGUGUAUAUACAUAGCACCAAGUCGUUGUUAAGAUUUUCCUAGUCUAGACAUUUACGAUCCUUCUUAACACUUGUUGCCUCAUUAAAAUUCAUUUCGUUUUGACCCAAAGUUUCAAUGAUCUUGUAAAGAUGUUGCCAAUAUAUUUUUCUUUUAGUGUGAUGAAGGAAAAAUGGCUCCUUGUUGUUAGUGCUACUCUUUGGUCAAUUUGGUUAGCAAGAAAUGAUUUGCUAUUUACUGCAAAGGAAUGGAUAAGAAAGAAGUGGUGUGAGAGCUAAAUAUUGGAUUAAUGUCUUAGAGAAGGAUAUUGUCGUGGAUGAGGUAGGUUGGUGGACAAUGCCGUGGCUUUCCAGUAGACCACUUAUCGGUAAGGACUCGAAAAGGGCUGUUUGCAUCCCUCCAAGAGAUGAUGAGCUGAAGCUCAACGUGGAUGGCUUGAUUAGAGGAAAGGUAGGUCUGGCCAGGUGUGGUGGUGUUCUUAGAGAUAAAGAUGGGAAUGUGGUGGGGAUUCUCUUUGGAAUAAUCCAACAAUGCACAAGUCUUGGCUAUAUCAGGACAGCUCUUGACUUGUUCAUCAUAUCCUCCUAGGGAGGCUUAAAGUCUCUGGUUAUCUAAUAUAUACAACUCUAGUGUGGCUCUCUCAUGGGUAAACAACACAACAACUAGACCUUUCGCGUCGUACCUUUUAAGGAAGCAAACACUUGUGCAGAAUCUUGUGUUUGUGUUUGUUCAUCACAUUAAGGUCUUGUAUUUGUCUGUUGUAUAUUUUGUUCUGUAAGGGGUGACAAGGAGCUUGUUGGUAUUUCCAAUAUGUUGUAGCCUAAGGGGUUCAUGUCUAUAUAUGAGGUGAUUUGUUUCUUUUUUUUUUUCUUAAGCUUCUAUGAGGUGUUUUGUAUCAUUCAUUUGAGAAUUGUAAGUCUCCUAAACAGCCUAUAUAAGUCUUAUAAAUUUGAGAAUUACCUAAGUCGUAUAUAUAUUUUAUGGUAAAUCCUAGUUCCACAGUCUUAUGUCAAGGUAGUAAAGUGUUCUAAAUCAGUAAUAGAUACUAUUUUUGUUCUAUUUUCUUUGUUUUUAUCUGAUUUUCAUAACAUUUAAAAGAAAAAGUGGGCUUUAAUUAGUAUAUUUUGUAUUAAGAAUUUUACAUAUUUUUAUGAGAUUGAUGUUUAACAAUUUUCAACAUCAAAAAAAUGAAAAAUAAAUUCACAAUAUAUAUAUAUAUAUAAGAGUAUAUGAAAUGUUUGAUAGCGCAAUGAAGCAGUAUGUAAGUAAACAAUCAUAACUAGUUGUCAAGGGAACCAACUUACUUGUACUAUAAGGCCUCAUGAGUUGGAUAUCUACAGUAUACUUGUUGUUGUAUUAUAGCUGCUUCCUCCUCAUUCCUGAAUUUGAUCACAAAUAUUUUCAUACAUUAAGUUCUAUAUAUCUAUAUAAAUAAAUAAACUAAAUGUAAAUAUUUUUUCUCUAUUAAUUAUCUCAAAAAGUUGAAUAAGUUACGUAAAUAACUAUAUGAAAUCCGAUAACUCUAACAAAUUGCAUCCAAUCAAGUAAAAAAAAAAUAACGUAACUAUCGCAUAAAUUAUCAUAAAAAUUAUCACAUUAAUCAAAAUAAAAAACUUCAAGCUUUUAGGUGUCUUUUUCAUUUAAAAAUUUUUCAAAAAAUAUACCUACAGCGUAUAACCAUUUAUAUGACAACUAUUAUUUUUUCCUAUCAUUAGGUUGGAUGGAAUCUGUUAAAAUAACCAGAUCAUUUUAUAAUAUAACUAGCAAAUUUUAAUGACCUAUUUGGGACAACUUAAAACGCUAUGGUCAAAAUAAGAAUUUUGUGAAACUUCAAUGACCAUUGGUGUAAUUUACUCCAAAAGAAAGCAUCUUUAUAUUGAGAACUUGAUUUGGGGCAGGCAAGGCCUUCUGCGGCUCAGCCUGGUUUCAAGUUAAUUAGGGCUUAAGCCCUCAGCCUAGACUCACAGAUGGGCUUUUGUUAGGCAUGUGGCCCAUUUUGAGUAUUCCUACCUUCUUCACAACAAGCGCCCGACCCAAGUGUUGUGCUUGCAUUUUUACUUUGUUCUGCACCAAGCUAAAGUUUUUUUUUAUUAUUAUUAUUAAAGAAAGAGAGAUUUAAACUUUGUUCUUUAGGUAGGGAUUAUAUAUUAAUCAAUAAACUAAAUGCUUGAGUGCUACACUAAGUUAAAGUUAAUAGUUAAACUAGCUAGAUAAACACGUGAUUGUUUAAUUGAAUUUGAACCAAUAAAAAUAAGUAUAUAAAUUUUUUCAUAUAAAUGAAAUGAAUGUCAGAGAAUAUAGGUGUAUACGUUACCGAUGACACUGAUUUAUCCACAAAGAAAAGUUUUACAUUUGGAUUGACAAGAAUUUAAUUUGUAUUAUUUAUAUAUAUAUAUAGAAGGAAAGGUUAGACUACAGUUGCGAUCAUAAAGAAUAUAAACAUGAAGUUAGGUUGACUCAACACCCAAAAUAUAUAUAAAUAUAUCUGACCCUCAACUAGUCUUAAACUACCAGUCUUUGAGAUUGGUAGCUGGUUGAAUCGUGGAAUCCAAAGUUUGUAUGGUUUGACCUCUUAUUUCUCUCAAUUUUUUCUAUCUAUUCUUCCACUCUAAACGAACCGUUCCACAUUUUCACUUUAAUUCAAAAAACAACCAUAAGUCCUAACAGUCAACCCUUGUCCCUAUACUAUUCAAAGUAUAUAUAAAUAAUGUGGUUGCAUGAAAUAUAUAUGUAUAUAUAUAUAUAUAUAUAUAUAUAUAUAUAUAUAUAAAGGAUCUCCUAAUAAAUAAUAAAUAGACUUGCGAAUUUAUCAUGUCUGACAUAUAGAUUUAGGAAUGAAAGGAAAUUAUUCUCCUCCGCGCCCACCCCCCCCCAAAAAAAAAAAAAAACAUGCUGAGAAAAGUUUUAAUCAGUCCAAUAAUUAUAUCUCAUGUUCAACUUCUAGCUUUUUCUUCCAUGUAAAAUCAAUUUAACCAGACAAAUAUCACAUCCGUCUCAUAAUCAUGGUUUAUAUUUUUUUGGUAAUUAUAACCUAAACCUUUUUGCUUCGACUACAUCAAAUCAUAUCAUAUAUAUCAUUGUGCAUCUCAAAAUAUAAUAAUUAAAAAUGUUGGCAGUUUAAUCUACUUCCUAAUUACCCAUCCCCAUGCAUGCAUUUACCAUAUUUAUAAGUUUUCACAACCUACUCUUCUUAUUUCCUUUCCUAUAUUUAUUGAAAUUAAAUUUUCUCACACUAAUUUAAGAGCAUAUUACACACUGACAUAUGAUUUCCUAUCUGGUAUAUGGAUAAUUCUUUCUUACUACAUUUUUAUUUGAAGAUUAUUAUCAUAUACACCACAUCGAUAAUAAAAUUUUAAAUUUCACAAAAAAAAAAAUUUAACACAUAUACAAUAACUAAAUGUAUAAAAAUAUUAAAAUUUUAAAACCCCACAGCAAUUUAUAUUUUAACUUGAGAUUUAAAGUGAGGCUGCAAAUAGAGUUUCUAACCUUGAGUCUUGGUGAUAUUCAUAUACUCUUGUCUUGUACCAAGAUAUAAUGUUAUAACAUAACUAUAUAAUGUUGGAGAGUAGAAUAGUUAUAUUCAGUAUUCAUUAUCUUCCCCCACCCUUUCUAUACGCAAUAAAUAUAUAAGGAAAUAGGAUUAUUACUAGUUCUAUUAUUCAAACCUACCCUUCUCGAUCAUCUCUCUCCAUUUUCUUGAAAAUCACAAAUGCAAAUAGGGAAUUCCUAAACUGGAAUUGUUAAAAGCUCUGCAUAUGCAGCUGCACUACGUAUUGGUUUGGCAACAUUAGGUACAGUCUCUGUCAACGAUUCAACCUUAAACGUAUAGCACAACUGAGAAACACUAGGAAAGAUAUGAUCAUGCUGUAAUCGAGAUGGAGACAUUAACGUAUGGUGCUAUACUUUUUAUAUGGAAACAAAAGGCCCUAUAAGUUUCAUUGUUGUUCCGAUCUUAAACAAUAUUUUGCAGUUUUUGCAUCAACAUAACUCUAAGAACAACACUAAUGCAGAUAACAAGAGGCCUGGAAAGCCUCUCGAGUGGGAAGUCUAUCAGGCCUGACCGGUUAAAGGAACGUUAGGUGUUGGUUUUUUACGAAGAAAAACAGAGCGACAAGCACCCAACUAGUACAAGUUUUGUCAAAAAUAUUUGACAUUAUAUAUGUAAUCUCCAACAAAUUAAUUCAGCAACCACAAUGUUAUUCACAUAUUGUAACCAUACCAAACAGAUGGAGUCUUUAAAAGGAAAACGAAUGACUUAAGUCUAACCUGAAAACUUUGUGCUGGAAGAGUCGUCCAAGGCGGUUCCUGCUUUCCUGAGCAGAAUGCAUUGGCAUGAUAUUGGCGAAACGAUGAUAAAAAAAAAUGGGGUCAAGAAGAUCUUUGCAAUGUAGACUUAGAAUAAAGCAGAAAAGAAAAGAGUAUGAGAGCAGAAGAAGAGAUUCUGAAGUUCUUUUGUAUCAGAAAAAAAGAAGCAGACUUAAUAGUUAUUUAUGUGACCACUCAUGCUUUGUAUAGACUUAUGAAAAAAAUAUGAAUGAAUAAGGUGUACGUAAGGAUAGAAAGGACAGGUGUAGGUUUCAUGUUGGACGAUUGGAGAUAUUUGUGCCCAAUUGAGAGAGGUAAAAUGGGCAUGAGCCUUCAAGUUGAAGGGUACGUGUGGGAUUGAAUGGUAGAUUUUGAUUUUGAGAAAACCGGUUGAGCAGGUUGUUUGGGGCCGUCGGUGUGGACCAACCAAACGUUCUAACCAGCAAAACAAAAAGGGUCUGAAAAUGUUAGACAGGAGCAUCACCAACCUUUCUUUUGUGCUUUCCAAGACUAAUAAGUACCACUUGAUCUUACUAUGUUUUAUUAUUGUUAUUACUCUCAAACUCCACAACGGUCCCGUCAGACGGAGAGCGUAUCUAGCAAUUGGGCCCAAACCACUUUUGCUUCGUGGGGGGAUGGGUGACGUUGUUAUUAUUGGGUUGGAACUCUCGAAGCAACAAGUGCAUGGUCAAAGAGAAGUGAAAAAUGCAUAUUGCUAGGGGAUGAUGAUCAUAUGCAUGAUAUAUUGCCUAAAAAAGUCUUUUUCUUUUAAGAAAAGACGUCACUUUACCGUAUUAAAAACAUAUAUCUUCUUUGCGAAUAAGUUACAAAAUAGUGAUGGAAUCCAGAUUAUUCGUUAUGAGAAAGAUGAAUAAGAGAUAAGACGAUAAUGAGAUUUUAAAAUAAUAAAAUUUGAAAAAAUAAUUCUAUUGUAAUAGGUUUUACCUUAAUUUUUAAAUAUAUUAAAAUUAAUUAUUAAUUAAUUGUUAUGAGAUAUUUUGAAUAAAAUUACAAAAUUUUAAAACUUUUGAAAGAUAAGAUCUGCAUUAACCUCCAUUCAUUCCGCCAUUGUCUUAAAGAAUCCCUAUAUCUCUAAUGCUCGAGAUUUUGACUCAAAUUCAAGUAGGUUAUUGAAAGAUUUAAUUAUGAUUAUAGAUAAUUAAGUUUAUAUAAAAAGUUACACUUUUUGAUACCCUAAUUAAAAAUAAUAUACAUAAUAUAUGUUACUUGAACUUUCAAAAAAAGUACGAAGUUUGCUCAUAAACACCAUUAGGUCAUUAACACAAAGCCUAUAAGAACGUGUCACGUGUGAUUCUAUACAUUAAAUUAAGUUUAUUAAAAUUAUUUUGUCACCGUGGAGGACAUGUAUCACAUACUAAUUAUUGGCUUUAUUGACUUUUUUUUAAAAAUUUAAUAUAAUCAAUUUUGUUUUUUGUUCUAAGAAGAUGAUUUUUUUUUUACUUUAAAAAUUACUUUUUUCUUUUUCUUUGAAAAUUGAAAAAUAAAAGAAAGUGAAAUUACAAUUAUGAUUGUUUCUUUUUUUUUUAUUUUAAUAAAUUAAAUCUCUAUGUUUUAGUAAAUUAAUGUCGUGACAAAUUACAUGACAUUAAAAUUUAUUGUCGAACUGAAUAAACAUCAUUAAAUUUUAUUGUGUAACUGACAAUAUGACACAUCAACGCAAAAUAUUUUUUCUUUUUUCGGUCAACAACACUAGAAUCUAAUUGGUCACACUAAAAUCAAGUUCAGCCACCCACCCAGUCAGGUAGGGCUGUUAGGGCAUUAGCCCAUUGUUACAGUGAAUGGGUGAGCUCUGAAAUGUGGCGUUGUAGAGCAAUAACGGAGGUGGUGGAAGGAAGUGGGUAGGCGAAUUCAAACAAACGUGAUACGGGGUCCGUUAAAGGAGUUAGGUGCCUCGGGCUGUGUGCAAAAAUGGACAAAAUAUUGUUAUUUGAUAGUUGAAACUUGAAACGCGUAACCACGGAAAUGAAAUGAGCGAGUGAAUAGCAGCAGAGUAUUGAUUGGAUUUUCCAGGGAAGCGAAGGUGUCGAAAGCCAAAAGUGAAAAUGGCGACAGUGAAGAACGGGCAGGUGGUGUUGAAAGGGUACAUAGAGGGAGCACCAAAAAAGGACGACAUGGAGAUGAAGAUUGGGACAGUGGAGCUCAAGGCACCCAAAGGCUCAGGUGCUCUUCUAGUCAAGAAUCUCUAUCUCUCUUGUGACCCUUACAUGAGAGCUCGCAUGCGUAAUUUCCAUGGUUCUUACAUCCAACCUUUUGUCCCUGGUCAGGUAUUCUCUUCUACUGAGAUAAAGGACUCAAUGUUCCACAUUUUCAACUUAGCGACAUUUUUAUUUUCAUUUUUUGAUGAUUGAAGCCCAUCGAAGGAUUUGGAGUGGCAAAAGUCUUGGAUUCUGAUAAUCCAAAUUUCAAGCCAGGAGAUUUCAUUUCGGGAUUCACUUGUUGGGAAGAGUAUAGCUUGAUUCACAAUACUUCACAAUUGAGAAAGAUUCAACCAGAUGAUUCUAUCCCUCUCUCCUACCACUUGGGUCUUCUUGGUAUUGCUCCUUUCUUACGCAAUCUAUUAUGUUCUGACAGGAUUGAUUAUAUAUGAACGUAUUGCCGUGUCUGGAAUUCUUCCUUUCAUACAUAGUUUAGCAUUUUUAGAUCAGCCAAUACCUUGUCUGAUGGUGACAACUAGAGCUUGUUUGUCUAACGGAAAGUGGAAACUAUUUGGUUUGAAGUUUUGCUUUCUUGACUUGAUAACACAAAUGCCCAUGAUCGAUUUUUGCUUUACAAAUCUCUUUGCUGUAAACCUUCAAGAGUUGUGCUUCUUGACUAUUAUUUUAUCUGCUUCAAGGUUUUUUUCUCCAUGAAUAGGCCACUGCAGCCACUCACUAGAUUUCUGCGCUUUAAGACCUAUAGUUCUUGUGGCUGACCAAAGAAAAUUAUGAUAGAAAGAAUCAGAGAGAGAACAUUUUCUCUAUUAAUAGUUGGAUUUAUAACUCUAUUCAAACUAGAAUUAAUAACCUACAACAUGAAGUAAAGUAGAAGUUCUGAUGUUUAGUCUAGGUUUGUAUCCUAGAUGGGUAGAUUAAAUUAUUUGGAAGCCUUCCUAUGGAGUUAGAAUGUUCAAGAGUCAUACCUACAUGGAUUUGAGGCCUGGUAUCUGACAUCAAUAUGUCAGGGUAAGGUGAAAAAUCCAUGUGACAUAGGCUUGCCUGUCUUUUGUAUCUAGCUUUUAACUCUUUUUUUAACUUCUGAUAAGGAUUAUUUAUUUCUCUUCUGUUUUUUUCCAGAAGCUUAAAUUUCGAGAUUUGAAAUUUCUCUAAUGACAUGAACUAACGUUGGCAAUCAUGCCUCAGUAACUACACUUAUUUUACAGCUAAUCAGUGUUCAUGAAUUAAGCUGUUCUUUGAAAAGUAUGACCAUUUGGGUUGUAAAGAAAGAUGAGGUUUUCUAACUGCCAGCAUGUCAUGUGCAAAAAUUUGUCUCCAAUUUUCUGGUUCGCUUCCUCAACCCUAUGUUUCAUUACCACAAUGAAGAAACAGACAAUGUCAUUUGCAAAUCAAGUUAUGCUGAUAACCUGUUUAGUGUUUAAUUUACUCAGAUAGAGCUAACUUGUUUAUUUGACCAAGGGCCUCUGUACCAACGGGAUAUUAAUUUCUCCUGUUGUUGGAAAGGGUAGUAUAUUAGACCCAGUUAUCUGCAUUUGCAGAUGCAUGCUGGUGCACUGUUGCCUCUAGCCUGUUCAAGGAUCACCUAAACAUCAAAAGCAAUGGCUUGCUAAUUAAUUUACCCUGCAUGGAGUAAAGUUGAACUUCUUUCACUUGCUAAAAGGGAAAGUGCAAAAUUGGAUUGCAAAGCCCUAGACUUUAGUUCAAAUUGAAACUGCAUUAGCUCUUACUUCUUUGGCAUGAUAAACAAUCCAGCAUAAAGCAGACUCCCACAUUCUCUAUGCUUACAGGUUUCUAUUUUUUUUUUUUUUUUGCAACUUUGAGCUGGUCUAGCCACUAACUGAAUGAAAAUUUACUUAUAUUGGAGCGCAACUUGCAUAAGAAAAAAUGAGCAUAGUUAUGAAUUUACUGGCAUGAUUAGCAUAAAUCUCAAGUAGAGGUAGUCUAUAUUGCUUUUAGCAGGCAAUGCUAAUAGGAAUUUUGUGCUUCUCAUUUGCCUAUUUGUUCCUGCAAAUGUUUCUCUCAGAGCUCCUUGCAAUGGAAAAAGAAAAAAAAAUGUCAUUUAUGUAGAAAUAUUAAGUGGCUAGAAUAUUAGAGUGUCUUUCUUUUUCUGGAUAAAAAAAAAUUGAUUAAAUUCCCGAAUGUUAAAUGACCAGAAAAAAAGAAGAAACCCACAAAUCUGCUAAUUAUGAUCAAGAGAUUAAGAGAAACAAAACUGACAAAACAAAAAGAACAUCUUAAGUACACUACUGCAUUGUAGUUUGUGUCUGAUAGUUGUCCAAUCAAGAGUUUUAUAUUUAUGUAGGCUACAUCUGAUGCUUUUUUAGAAUCUUGAGAUCCUUUUUCUUCCAAAUAUGCUUGCUGUGCACAGAUCAUACACCUUUCUAUUGUUGAUUGUUAUUCUGUUAAUUUGGGUUUUGUUGAUCUGGUGACAUAUUUAGGUGCUUUGUCUAGUUUUUGUAUGUAAGAGGAAGCAUUAGGUCAAGUUUUUCCUAACUAGUCUUGAAUGGAACAACAGGGGACUAUUUUUUUGACCAGUAACCCUGUUCAAGAAGAUGCUAUUUGCUUGUUUGUCUGGUAGUCCAAACCAACAAGUAAGAUAAAAUAUGUUUGCAGUGUUGCCUGAAACUUAUGUCUUUGCAAAUCAAAUAGCUGAGUUUAUGACAAAGGGCAUAUAAUUGAUUUUUCUUAAUAAUGUUUUAAGCCAUUGCUGAUUUAGAAAUUUUAUGCAGGUAUGCCAGGUUUUACUGCUUAUGCUGGAUUUUAUGAGAUCUGCAGCCCAAAGAAAGGGGAAUGUGUUUUUGUCUCUGCAGCUUCAGGAGCUGUUGGCCAGCUUGUUGGCCAACUUGCCAAGUUACAUGGCUGCUAUGUAGUUGGAAGUGCUGGGAGUAGCCAAAAGGUAAGUUUCUUUUUUACAAAAUUGUGCCUAUGUUGAAUUCAAAUAAUUCUCAUUCAUUAACAAUUAAACAAUGAUAAUACAAGAAGAACUGAUGCAAGAAAAGCAAUGAUUUUGGCGUAUAGGUUGAUCUUCUCAAGAACAAGCUUGGAUUUGAUGAAGCUUUUAACUACAAAGAGGAGACAGAUCUAGAUGCUGCUUUGAAGAGGUCAGUAAUAAGACUUUCCGAAUAAAAUUUCCCAAAAUACUAAUUUUGCUACCAGAUGUCAACAAAGGAUAUAUUUGAAUUAGCCUUUUUUUAAUUAUUCCUGUUUUUAAUUGAUACAUCUUUAGCAGAAAUAGUAUGAUGCCCUAACCUAUAAGUUUUUGAAUUCAAUGGAGUUGCCAAUAUUUUGGGGAAUCUCAUGUACAUAUUCUAGGUAUUAGAGGUGGCAAGUGAGUCUUUGGGUCCAAGUAAUUUCAGGUUUAGAUUCGCUUCAGGUUGGGUCGUUUUGUUUAUAGGUCAUAUAUUAAGAAAUAGGCUCCGAGGCCACAUUAACAUUCCACAUAGACUAAUGUAUUUAAUAAUUUUCUUUUUAAUUAUAUUCAUAUAUUUAUUAAUUAGAAAGGAAACAAAAUCCAUUGGUUAGAAAUAGAAUAGAAUUACAAUGCAAGCUUUUCUUUCAGUACGUAGAGAGCACUACUAACAGUAGAUAAUAUUAAUAAAAGAGUAUUAUUUAUUAAAAUAACUUAACACCAUUAGUUAGUAAAAUUGGUCUAUCUUUAUAUUUAGGAAUUAGAAAUGUAUCAAUUUGAUUAAAAAGAUUCAAUUGGAAUUCUAAAUUCUAGUAAAAAUUGUUAAAUGAAAGUACUAAUACCAUGCUUUAAAAAGACAAAAAAAAAAAAAAAAAAAAAAGAAGGAAAGCUUAAUUAGUCUAAUUGGUUAAGUAAACUACUUAGUUACUCUACAAAUCAUGAUAAUUAAAAUUAAUUGAGAUAAUGUUGAUCUAAUUUUGAUAUUUGGCUAUUUGGACAUUAAUGGAGAAUGAAACUACAUUGGCUAGGUUUCAACUUUUACCACUUGAGUACUAAUAUUAUGGAGUAAAAUGCAAAAAUCAUCUGUGGCAUUUGUGUGAUAUUUCAGUUUUAUUUGUGAAUUAUAAUAUUCAAUUUUUGGAGCUGUGACUUUUGAAAAAGUUUCAAAUCCAUCCAUUCUACUAACCACCAUUAAAAAUUGAUGCUAUAUGCUACCUUAGUGCCACAUGGGCAUUGACAUGGCAUAUAUCCCUACCAAAAAAGUUAAACAAAUUCACCUUUUUUUUGCCAUGUGAACAUCCAAUUGUGUUAGGUCACCUAUGUUUUGUCACGUGGCGUUGAGGUGAUAGAUUCUAUCAUUUUAAUGGAAGGUUGAUGGAAUGGACAAAUAUGAAAUGUUUUUAAAAAGUCCCAAAUCCAAAAUUUGAGUUAUAAAAUGGUAGAUAGAAAUGAAAUAUUGUCCAAAGGUCAUACAUGUUUGAUGCAAUCACUCAACUUUAUGUAUAAUCAUAAAGUAUUUAAAUUAUAGUUAGAAAAGACAACUAGGUUUUAUUGGUUAAUACAACUAAUUAUUCUAAUACUUGUAACUUGUAAGAAAUCAAAAUAUAUUUAGAUUAAAUUGAACUAAUAUUACUAAUCUACUUUUAAGUGUAUUUGAGUUUAUAAUAAGUAGUUAUUUUAUUUGUAUCUUGAUUUUAUUUUUAUAAAUAAUAAUAAAUUAUUCAAAUUUAAAGUUAAAUUCGUUAAAUGAGUUUUUAAUAUUUUUCGUCCGUAAAAAUAAAAAAAGUGGCAGGGCUAAGAAAGAGUGAGAGCCAGAAAUGCUGAAAACGAAAAACCUACAACCUAGAAAGAAACCCUCUCUCCCUCCCAAUAAGCCAAAAUAAAAAUGUAAAAGUUGAAAGAAAUAGUUAGAGCUGAUAUGUCUAAAGCCCAGAUAAGCAAAAAGAAUCACCCUUUUGCCACAUUGAAAUCCUUUGUUAUACGAGACUUAGUAGGUUCUUUACGUGUUGAUAAUAAUAUAAAUUAUAAUUCAUUACUGAUUAGAUUUUAGUUUAAAUCAAGUAAUUGACAUUCAUCAUCAAUUUAUAAAAUUGAUUAAGUCAUAUUUAUAAGUCAAGAUUUAUACCUAACAAUGUAUCAUGACUAUCUAAAUAUUAAGAGAGGCAAAGAGGUUUGACUGAACCUUUUGGUGUUCAAUCCUUCACCAUCUAAUAUCUAGAUAAGACAUAGAGCAUGGUGCAGUGUUUACUUUAUAAUUGUUUUUGUCAUUUUAGUUUUUGAAGCUUUUCUUAACUUCUUAAUGAAAUUCGAAUUACCCUUUUUUUUUUGGAAUCUUCGUUUCACCUUGGCCAAGGAUUUCCUUGAGUUAAAAGACAUGUCAAAAAACAAUGGAAUAUCUCCCUUAAAUCAUUUAGGGUGAUGUAUUUUUUAUUUAUCAUUCAUUUAUUUUCAUGUGGUUCAUGUUUUACUCAACAUGUACUUUAUUGCAUAUCCGUGGUUCAGACUACCUAAGAUAAUAUCCAAGUAUAACAAUUCUCAAAUACGAUAACUGACGAUCUUCAAGUUUAAGGAUCAAUUACACGACUAACACAUGAGAAUGUUUCAAUAUACACUUGAAUAAUAAUAUCAAAUGAAAUUCUCACAAAUAGUCAUGUUCAAUGAACUUUUUCUUGUAACAAGUAACCAUUUGUUAGUUUCAAGUAUCCAACAUUUCCAUUUAUGAAACCGAUGCUUACUUCAUAAGUAAUAGAUAUCCAUUCUCUAAAAGUUUAGUGGACACUUGAAAACAUCACAUCACUACACACCCUUAAAUGCACUUUUAUCCGAAGUGUUUCUUCACUAGGAAUAGCUUUGUAGUAAAUGAUUUUUCGUCUGCAUUUGUCCCUGUAAUUUAACAGAUGAAGUUACUUUGAAAUGCCUCAUAAUUAAUACCUAAAUCUCUAGACAGGUACUUCCCACAAGGCAUUGAUAUCUACUUUGACAAUGUUGGCGGGGCCAUGUUGGAUGCAGCAUUACUAAAUAUGCAGGUUCAUGGCCGUAUAGCAGUUUGUGGAAUGGUGUCACUACAUAGCUACUCUGAUCCAAAGGGAAUCCACAAUUUGUUUUGUCUUGUAACCAAGCGCAUCAAGAUGCAAGGAUUCUUGCAAAGCGAUUACAUGCAUAAGUUCCCACAAUUUUUGGAACAUGUCACUGACAGCUACAAACAAGGGAAGAUUGUGUACAUUGAAGAUAUGACUGAAGGAUUAGAAACUGCUCCUGCUGCUUUUGUUGGACUAUUCUCCGGUAAAAAUAUUGGGAAGCAGGUCGUAUGUGUAGCCCGAGAAUGACUCUUCUGAACAGGUUGCAUUGGUUUAGGGAUGGACAAACUCAAGUUGUAGCAGCUGUGAUGCUUUUGUGCCUUUUAUUGAACUUUUUGUAUUUCACUUGUCUGGUGCUUGUCUGGGCAAGUUUUUUUUUUUCAAAAAAUAAAAUAAUGCUCAAACUUACCCCUUUAUUAAGGAUUUGUUUGUUUUGACGUACAAUAUUUUUUAAAAAACGUUUCAAGACUUAUAUUGGUUGAAAGAUGAAAAAUUAAUAUCAAAUGGUCAACGGGAAAAACACUCGUUGAUCAUGUAAAAUGUCUUACGUUUUUCAAAACCAUAAGACAUUUUUCGAAGAACAAAAAAAAACAUUUUAUACUAAGUUUAGGAAUAUAAGUUUGAUAAAUAUUAAUAUUUAACUUAAAAUAUUAAAAUAUCAAAAAAAUAUUUAAUUUAAAUAAGUUUAAAAUAUUAAUAUUUAAAUUAUUCAACACUAUUAAAAUUAAAAAAAUAUAUUUUUUAAUGAAAUCUUUCAAAACAAUUAAAAUUUUUAUUUAUAAAUUGUAUAAAUCUUACUAAUAAUUAUAAUAAAAAAUAUUUCAAUACUUGUUAUUUGAUGAAUACACUUAUAAAUAUAGACUUUUGAUGUCUUAUACAAUUGACGAAUAUUUAUAUUUUUAGAGUGUUAUGUAAAAAGGUGGUGUGAUGAUUUUUUUUUUUUAAAUUGGAGCUUAGUUUCAUUGUAGAUAUGUGGUUAAAUGUUUUAGAAAAUAUCGUUAUUGAUUGUCUAUUUUCAUAUACAUUCCUAAUUUUGAUAUCAAAUUAGUGAAAGUCAAAUGUGACCAUUGUUUUAUAAUCAACUUCUAUUUAUCAUUUUAACAUCCGAAUAACUCUACUAUGAUGGUGGAAAAUAUUUUCCAUAGGAUGAUCCAAAGAACAGAAAAUGUUUUUGAUAAUUUAUCCAAACAACAAAAAAUAUUAAAUUUUACUAUAAAAUGUUUUACACAAAAUUUUAUUCCAACAAGUCACUUUCUGAUUAUAAAAUGAACCCUGAAUUGGGGUUUCAAAUUCACCCCUUUACUUGGUGCAAUGUUAUCACUUCAAUUCAGACUGGAGUGCUGCUCGUGUGAUGCGCUUGAGCAACAUGUAUAAUUUCUUGAACAAAAUGAGAAUAACAUAGCAUGAUUUUUUAUUUAAUGGACAUGGAAAUAGCAUAAUUUAGUAAUAAAUAUAGACAUAAAUAAAAUAUUUUAUCUACUAACAAAUGUAAUCCACCAAUGUAUUAUUUAAAAUAUACUAUAAAGUUCUCUUGGUUUAAUUGAAAAUUUUCAAAACUUCAAUUAAUCACAACUUUUUCAAUAAGUAUAAUCUUAAAGAGAAAGUAAGGUAUAAUAGAAUUUAAAAUUUAUUCAAUUGAUCUCAAUUUGUGUUUAAUAAGGCAUAAUAUAUAAUAAUCUAAAUAAGUUCAAAUUAUCAUGCUCUUCACAUAAGAAAGAAUGCUAUGUAAAAAAAAAAUUACCUCGUAUCUAGUCACAAAUAUCCAACAUUUGAAUAACUAUAUAUGUAAGUUGGUACUAAAUAAAAGGUAUCUUAAAAAUAUAAUAAUUGAAAAAAGCAAUUUAAAAAGGUCAAAAAGGAAAAUAAAAAAAAUUAACCAUGUUAGGAUAUUAGUUCAAAAGAUAAACCUCAAGAGGGUAGUGAAUUGAGUAUUUUAAAAAAAUUCUUUGUAGAGCCUUUGAGGAAAAAUUAAUCUUAAGUAAGAUAAGGAUGAAAACCUCUUUGAAACUUAAGAAUGAAGAGUUAUUGAAACCUUUUUGCAAGUGGUUGUAAAAUGAUUUUAGGAAAUCAAAGAACAAGAAAAAGAAAUUUCAACAAGCAAGUAGAAGACACAAGAUUUAUAGAGGUUCGGCUUCGAGGCCUAUGUCCUUUCCCUUGGCUCACCAAAGAGUUUGAAAUCCACUAUAAAAAUUACUUUUUCAAAGGCUCAAGCAUAACCUUUACAAUGUAUUGCCUUAUAUGGAUCAAGGACAAUCUUUCAAUAUAAUGCCUUUUAUAGAUCAAGUACAACCUUCCAAUACACUGCUUUUUAGGAAUCAAGCACCUAUCUACCUUUUACUUAUGUUAAUGUAUAACCUCUUACAAUAACUCUACGUUUCUAGGGUAAGUUAUAAUAUUCACAAAGGAUUAUAAGAUAAUGAAGAUGAAAGCUUAAAUGCCUUUAGAUUGGCUGAAUGAAGCUGUAAUACAAAGAGAAAAUGAAGGCUUAACAAGAAAGUAAUGAACACUUGAUUUGAACAGUGAUUUUCAAGGAAUUUGAUGUUGAAGCUUUCACUCUUGCUUAGGAAUUCUUCUCUUGGCGUUCUCUCUCUUCCAAAGUGUUUUUCAUACCUCUAUUUAUAGGUAUGUGCUUUAUCAUAGUCGUUCAAAGAUAUGAGUUCAAAAAUAUGUCCAUUAUUCAUUUCUUGUUCUGGCUUGUCUGAUAUGAGGUAUUGAUUCCUAUGACACGAGUCUCAAUACUUUAAUUGCCAGUUUCAACUGAGGUCUCGAUACCUCUGUUAUAUGUCUCGAUACUUGUUCAUCCUUGGCAAUUUUCAAACUGAACCAUGUCUUGAUACUUUUGUCCCUUAGUCUCCAUACAUAGUAGCUUGCUCUUUGAAAAACCAUGUUUGGAUAUGAUGUCUUGAUACUUGGUAAAAAGGUCUCGAUACUUUGACACUUACUCUUCAGAAUUUGAAGUUCAAAGAAUGAGGUCUCGAUACUUUAUCAAAAAGUCUCCAUCACAUCUCAUUUCUUGGAGGGAUCAUGAUUGACGCAUAGACCCAGACGAGAAUAACUCGUUAGGCCCAAGCAAGCCUCUUACCAUAACAUCAUUAAACAUUCAUCAUUUCACGCGGAAGCAUUUUAUAACAUCAAUUUACCUAUAAAAUCAUCAUGCAUGCAUUCAUAAUACCCAUUAUACAAUUAAGAAAUUUCUCAGACUUAAUAGUAUAAGCUCAAGCAUUUGAUACACACACACAUACACACACACAUCAACGAGUGCCACUAUCACAGUACAUAAUAUCACUAUCAUCAACAACACCCUCAAGGGUUCAUAUAGGCUUUCGAGCCAUCAUCAUAAUAUCAUACAUAAAGUUAUCUAUGUAAAAUGCCAAACAUAGGCCACAUUAACAUAACAUGUUCGAAAUCCAUAAAUACAAGCAAAUCCAAAAAUAUAAACAUAUGAUCGACUCAUCAAUGGAGCGUGAUCGACCCUUUAGGCAUCAAAUGGCUACUAGACACCUAUUAGAAAAUGAAGAUCAGAUACUAGUAUCCAUAACACUGGCUGCUAUCAAAAUGUUAUCACUGAUUUGCAACAAAAUAAAUGGAAAAAAUAACGUGUGAGUCACAAAGACUUCGUGAGUGGAUAUGAGAAGGGGACAAAUUAGAGGAUAAGAGUGUCUCAUAAACAUGCACUUAUAAUCUCAUGCCAAUUAUCAUCAAUUUAAACUUUAAUCUUAUGAACCAUGGUGUUUAAACACGUUGUAAUAGCAUAUAUGACGUAAACAAGUGUGAAUAACCACUGGAAAACCUUUUUACCCUUAAAAAGCUUUCAAAUAAGUUAAUACAUUAAAUUACAGAACUCAUCUAUCGAUAGAUGAUGAACAUCUAUUGAUAGAUUGGAAGCAAAAUGCUUCCUGUGGCAUUCUACAUGCUAUUUAUCAAUAGAUGUUCUACAUGUAUCGAUAGAUAGCCUCAAAACCUCUGUUUUCUGAGAAAAAUAGAGCAAUUUUACCAUUCCUUAAGUCCUCUUACCUCUUGGGACUAUCUCUACGACUCAUUUCAUUUCUCUAAUCACAUACCCAUGCCAACAUUACGUAUGGAUCAUAAACAUUAUUCAAAAUGAACUUAACAUGCAACAUGUCUCAAAGAUAACAAGUAUUAUCAUUCCAUUAACAUUAAACUCACACAUUGUGAUGGAAUAACCACCAUCAACCUUGGAUUGACAAUGUACAACCCCAUUGCACCUUGGGCGUUUAUGAUGCAUCAUAAGAGUAAAGUCGUCACUACACCCCAUGUGAGUGGAAUCAAUCACACUCGUUAAGCUUUUGUGCUCAUAGCAUUUAAUAUGUAGAAUGUCCAUCACAUGCAUGCUUAUUCAUCUCAUAAGGUAUAUGAAAUUUCACAUCAUAUAUACAUCUCAUGGUAUUUCUUCAUGCCUACUCUUUCAUCAUAUUGUAUGUAAAACAUGCAUUACAUACAUAAUCUCAUAGCAUUUAUAAUGCUUCCUCAAACAUCUCAUGUAAUAUAUAAAAAACACAUCAUAUACAUAAACAUAAUAUCUUAGAUAAAAAUCAUCAUGCAAGCCAUCACACAUUUCAUGCCUCAACAUGUCUAGUAUACACCUCAUACAUUCAUGCAUUAAUCAUAAAUCAUAUCUCGUAUCCAUAUUAGUUCGAAGAUUGGAGUAAUCAAAUGGACUCAAACAUAAGGUGCUUGUCCCCUGUUGUUGAAAGCUAAUACAUAAUAUCAUAUUUACAUAUAUAGUAGGUUGAAAACAAAUUUUAAAAUAUUUUCCUCAUCGACAAAUAAAUUUUUAGUUCAUAAAUAUUUGCAUAAAAUCAUAUUCAUCAAUAAACCUUAAAUCAUUCUUCAACUUCACAUAUCAAAAUAGUUUUGAAAGUGGUGUAUCCAUUUACCUUAUAAUAAGCUCGAUUACAACUCUGAUUUCGUGUAAUCCGGUGCAUUUUCAAGCAUUCCCAUCUCACAAUAUUCGUAACAAUCAAUUUCUAAACUAAUAAUCUUAGAAUAAUUAAUCUAGAAACUUUCGAAAUUUAUUCGCUUUUGACUAUAACUACUUUCGAAAUUUAUUCGCUUUUGACUAUAGCUACUUUCUCUCUUUAGACUAAGUUAGAAAUGCAUAAAUCCUCUAAACUUACCUUAGAUGAGCUUAGAUGUUGAAGGAAAUCACAAAAACCUUAGCUUUAAUCCUCAACAAAAAUUUUUGGGCAAAAAUAAUAAAUUUCUAGCAUUAAAAGUGCGAGCUUUAAAGGUUUUAUAACAUAAAAAUGUCAUUUUUAGCUUUAAACUUCAAAACUAAGAUCAAAAUAAUCAAAAGCAAUGAUUUUUCAUCAAAAAUGGGUUGAAAGGGUUUUAGAGAGGUUUUACUUCAAAAAACAGUUAAGGGUUAAAAAACCCUCAUGUAUUGGGUCAUAUUUAUAGUUUGGGAAGUGAAAAUAUGCUUUUACCCUUUUUAUUUUUGUGAAAAUGGCAUCAUCUAUCGAUAGAUGAGCUUUAAAACCCUUUUUGGAAGCUUUCUGCUUGCCAUCUAUCGAUAGAUAUUUGGCCAUCUAUGGAUAGAUCUGCUCAUCUAUGCAUAGAUGUUUUUUAAGGCAGCUUUGAUAAACUUUUCCUGAAUUGUGUCUAUUGAUAGAUGAAGAACAUCUGUUGAUAGAUUAGGCCCAGAAAGCAAAAAUAAACCUUAGAAACAUCUCCAAUUGAACUCCCUUUAACACCAAACUUUGUAAAUCAUCUUAAUGCAUCAAAACAUGAAUUUUUUUUAAGAUCAAAACUUACUUUUGAACAUUCCAAACACAAAAAUCAUCUCAAAAUAUUACACCAUGAAAUUUUCCAUUCAUAAAAACUAAAUUUCAAGUUUUCAAAACACAAUUUAACUUGCUCAUCUAAAGAUUUCUAACUUAGUAAAUUUCACAUUAGGGUGGGGUUUAAUAGUCCCAAUACUUUGACACUUGAUCUUUAGAAGUUGAGGUCUAGACUUUAGAGAUGAAGUCUCAAUACAUUGAAGCUUGGGUCUCUGUACUUUGGGACUUGCUCCCUGGAAUCUAGCAUCUUUGAAAUGAUGUCUCAAUACUUGAACUCUAGGUAUUGAUGCUUCAACACUUGUCUUCUGAACUUUGAUUUUUCAUGGGUGAAGUCUCGAUACCUACCAGAGAUGUCUCGAUAAUUCUUUUUCCUUAGUUAGGCUAUUUUUGAGGCAUAUUGAUCUUGACGUCUCGAUAAACACUUAAUAUGUUUUGAUACCUUACCCAUUUUAAGCUUAUUUCAAGGCAUUUUGAGCUUCAGACACUUAGUCAUUUUUCAUUUAAAUGCUUAUGGGUUUUGUGAAGUUUUAAUACACUUAAUCGUUCACAUUUUGAUCAUUUGAUUUUGUCAUUUUAGAACAAAGAUCAAUUGUAAAGCUAACAAUCUCUUUUUUUUUUGAUAUGACAACACUUAAUUAGCAAAAUUGGUUUUAAGAAGCUCCCCUUAAGUUUUUAAACUUAAGCAUAUUUGAAAAAAAUAAAAUUCCCCUUCACUAAAUGCUAAGUUUUAAAAAAUUUAAGUGCAUAUGGGUGCAAUUUGCUCAAAAUAUUUCUCCCUUUUUUGUUAUAUCAAAAAGAAUGUAAAGGACAAAUCAUGAUAAACCAUAUGGAGGAUCAAUUUAGAGCUAUGGCACUAAAUGAAAUUGAAAUAUUCAUAAGAUAAAGUGGUAAGCAUUAGAUAAUAAUAAUCCCGAUAUGAACAACUAUAGAAGCAAUAUUAUAAAACAACCAUCAUUCAUUCACAGUAGAUAAUAUUGAAUCAUUUACAAUCAUUAUAUAUGGCAUUAUAAACAUUGAAAGAACUUAACAUCUAAAAGUAGUUAGCCAAGCAACUAUGAACGCAAAAGUAUGAUGAUGUAUGAAAUGCAUUUAAGAUCAUCUAACUAAAGAGAAACUAAAAUAGUGUUUUAAAAUACAUCAAAACAUUAGAGUUAUUUGCCCUAAAAAUAAAUAUAAAGAGAGAAGUUGAUGGCAGGGUCUAUAGGGUUGAUGGCAGGGUCUAUGGGGUUGAUGGGUGGGUCAGUUGGAUCAACUGGAGUGUUUGGAAUAGUGCUUACAUUAGUUGGUGAAGUUCGUAUUGUCAGAGGAUCAACAAGUAUAGGAGAUUGUGGCAGAGAAACAAUUGUAAGGAAUGAAUCAAUGUCACGAAGUUCAAUGAGUGUGGCGAAAUCUCUCUCAUUAUUAGUAACCCGACCUCUAAGCUCAUUGAUAUUGCUAAGAAUCAUUGCAAUGCAUGUAUAGAGAUGGGCCUUCAUUUGAGACUCCAAUAUAGCUUUUCCGAUAAUAGAUGCACUAGUCGGUGCCUCAUCCUCCUCACAAUCACUACUUGGAAUAGUUGCUACCUUUCCAUGAGCUUAUGGAGGCAAGGCAUUUUUUCGAUACCCUUGUCCACCAAUCAACCGGUACCUAAACUUGUUGAUCGUGUGCUUCUCAAUAGUCAUAUGAACCUUAUGCUUGACUUGAGGAUCAACUCUAGUGUUGACACCACAAGAAUUGAUAAAGUGGCUUAUCACUAUCCAAUGUACCAAAAUAGUACUUUCCCCAACAAUUACUUGCAUUAUAUCCCAAAAAAUGAAAUAAGCCAAAUUUGUUUUAACAUUGUGCUUGAGGUGGUGCAGAAAAUAAUGAUCCUUACUCUUCACAUGUGAGUAUUUUCACCCACUCGGCCUAAGAUUCCAAGAUAUGAUCAGAUGUAGCAUCCUAUCGUGCAAGGUUAAUUGGUUUGCACUAAAUUGUCUCAAUUUAAUCGGUGGAGGGAAAACCAAAGAUUCUAUUUACAGGUCACUUUUAACAAACUUGUCUCUUAAAUUGUAUAGCUUUAUACUAAAAUCGUGAAUAUGCAACACGUGACUAAUCCUAGAGGUGUUGAUUUGCAUGCUCUUCCUCGUAACAUAUGUAACAAACAUGUCCAUAUGUGCAUAUGGUUCUUCAUCAUUAUAAGUAGGGUUGUCGUUGAAUAUGUUUGUGGCAUUGAAAUAAAUUACCUGAACCAAGUUCUCAUAGUAAGUUCUAUUCAUCUUCAUAAAGUUAAUCUAGGAUUUUUGGGUAAGGUUUUCUACAAAGGGGAAUCUUAGACUCUCUAGAUAUUCAAAAUUGAUAGGUUUGCUAGGAUAUACCUUGAGAGAAGAAAAGAAGUCAGUGUACUUCUUCCUUUGUAACUAAUUUUUGAAGUUUUUCUCAAAUUUGCGAGUAGGCUUUAUCAAAGACUUGCCCUUAACCUGUUGAUGCUUUGUAGCUCUCUUGGUUCUUGGUGCCAUGAGUAAGGUUUUUGAGAUUUUUGUUUAGGGUUUGUGGAUUUUUGAGAGAACUUGAGAGAGUUUGAGAAUGGAUUUGAGAGAGAUGAGAGGAAUGGAUUUUAAAAAAAAAAAACUGAAGAGACUUGAAAAUUAAGCUGAAUGGGUGGCUAACCUUUUUUCUUCUUGUUGAUGGGUAUCAAUACCUUCGAAAGAAAUAUCGAUACUUUAAUAAGGGGUUUCUGUUGCUUUUGGUUGCUGCAUGUCCAGUCUCCAUACAUGGUGUAAAAGUAUUGAAACCUAGCCAUUGCUUUACAAAGUCUUGAUACACUGGAUGAAAGUAUUAAGACCCUAAUGCAUAUCGAGACAUUGAAUGUUUGUCUCGAUACCUUGUCUUUACAGCUUAUAAAAGCAUUGUUUUUGUCUUUCAUCAUGUGAGGGUCCUUUGAACAUUUUUAAAUAAAAAAUAUUGAUCACUUUUGAAUUGAAAACUCAUUUAAAGUUCAUUUUGGACUUGUGCAAGUGAGAUUUCAAAGAUUUGUUGAAAGAUUUUAAAGUAGAAUGACUUCUUGCAAUGUAUCUAUGUAUGAUAUGAAAUGUAGUAUGCACAAUGACAAUAUACUUCAUAAAUUUUCAUCAAAAUCAUAUAAAACACAAAAUCAAGAAUGGACAAGAAUUUCAAGUGAACAGUAGUAAGUAUAUUAACAAAAGAAGCAUGUUCAUUAAUUCUACACUAAAGCUAAUAUCCAUUCUACUUGCGAUUAAGUAUAAUGAUGAGUAAGUUAUAAAUGCAUAGAGCUUUGGAUUAAAGAACUCACCUUUCUAAUCUUUGUCAAGUCUCAAUGAUGUGCUUAUUGAAUGUGAUGUGAUCUUGUGCUUAUCCAUGCCAAACCUUUUUGAGCAUUUCUCUUGUAUUCAUGACUUGCAUAGUUUCCUCUUUCUAGGAUGAGUAGUUUUUGUUUCUCCUUUAUCUUGUUGAAUUUGUGGCUCAUGAAAUAUUUUAUCAAUUCAUCAUAAUUCCAACAUCAUUGUCAUUAAUUCAUCAUCAACAAGAUUCAUCAUCAUUGUCAUCCCAAGAUAUUGUCAUGUUUCACAUUUGGUUGGAAGAAUAUACUCCAAAGUUUCAUUAAGAUAGUCAAGGUUUGAAAUAUUAUUAUUAUGUACCAAAAAUACCCUUAGACCAUUUAAGCUUGCAAGUAAACACUCACAUCCAAUAGUAACAAGUUAAUAAGUAUUUUUAUCAUGAAACAAACUUGUUCAAUUUUUAAAUCAUUAUAAACUCAAGGAUGGCAAUCAUUUCUCAUACAAGUAUACUUUUAUCAAAAUCAUUUUUGGCCAACUUUAAUUUUACAAGACAAGAUUAUUCAAGUGAUAUGUAAUCUUGUAAAGUUGACUUAUCAGACUCAAAUUUUCUUGUUUGGCUUACUAGAAGGAUGGGAAUGCAAAACAACCAUAUAAGCUCAUCUUGCCAUCAUAUCAUUAACAUCAAACAUUUUUUACUCAAGAUCAUGCUCUAAAUCAUUCGUUUUCAAGAAAUUGAUGUGAAAUUAAUUUCACAAAACAUGAGUUAAAAUGCUCUUCCAUCAUCAAUAAAAUUUAAUUAAGGAAAUAUUUGACUUUUGGCAUAAGCAUGAGAACAUAUUCAAGAUCCAAUAUAAGCACAUACUCAAUUUUUAGACUCAAAAACUCAUACUACUUUCAAGAUCAUCCAACUUAUAACAUGUAUCAUAUUAAAUUAGCUUUUCAUAAUUAAGAUUUAUAAAUAGAACACAAGAGAGUAGAUAGAGAAUUGUGCUUUUGGCAUUAGAGUAAAAAUAGGCAAUUAAAAUCUCUUUUAAGAAAGGCAAAUAAUUUCAGAAGCCAUACUAAGUUAUUGCAAUGGAGGCAAGAUAAUAACAACCAACCACGAUUUUCAAUUUGACAAAUAAAUGACUUUUUAAAUAAAAGUCACUCAUUUUCCAUUGUGUGUCUAGAAAACAUUCAAUCUCCAAGAGUUUGUUCAUCCUUGCUAUAGCUUACCUAAAAGAAACUUUCUCAUUUGACUUUUGGCAUCCAAAAUUCCUUUGGAUCCUUAUUGUUAGUCUCAACACACAAAGUUCCCUUUUGGAGUCCACACAUGUUUACCUUUAUAAGGUAGAUAAUUCUUAAGUAUAUGGAUAAAAAAAUAAAAUAAUCUAUAAUUAAAUUUUAAAAAAACAAAUAAGAAUUCAUUUAUUUUUCAACUUCAUAUUUGGUGCCCACUCAAUCAUUUUUCUUUUUGCAAGUGUCAAAAAUGUUUUUCAAUUUUUCAUUUUCUUUUCCUAAAAUAUCAAGACUCUUUUGAAAGGAUUCAAAAUCUAUUUUCAACAUUUUAUUUUCAUUUCCUAAAUCAAUUUUUGCACUGAUCAAAAACUCAUUUUCAACACUAAGUUUUGAAAUCUUUUCUUUGUGUCUCAAGUUAAUUUUCUCAAACUCACAAGCAAGUUCUUCAAAAACAUCUUCCAAUUCUUCAAAUGAAUAUGUAAAUAUGUCACAAGGUGAAGAGUUUACCUUCCAUUCUUGGUUUAAAGAUUGGAUUUGGCUUGACUCUUUUACUUUAGUCUCCUUGUCACUUGUUGAACAUUUUCUUUCACAAUCCUCUUUUUCUAUUUCUUUUUCCUUCUUUGCUUCCCCAUCAACUCUUUUAGUUAUUUCUUGGAUGCUAUCACAUAAAGAGAUUUUAUGGUAUUUUCUUUCUCCAAUUGUAGUAAAAAGAGUGUGCAUGGCUUUGGCAUUGAGGUGUAACACAUCUAAGUCUCUUGAAUCCCAUUCACUUAUUUCCUUGGUCAACUUAUAUGGACAUUUUUUAAUUAUCCUCCAAACUUCAUAGUCAUUGGCUUGAACAAAUAGAUUCAUUUCAUCCUUCCGGUAUAUGUAGUUCUUACCAUUGAAUAGAGGAGGGUCCAUAAUUGAUUUCCUUUAGCUGAAAGUUGUUGUAAUGAGAUUUAUGUCCAUAAAAGUAAUAACACCAGUUUCUUCAACUGCUUUUUGAAUUGUCACCAAUGGUCACAUCUACUCUUUUUACUAUCAAGUUUACAAAUUCUUCCUUGGUAUCAGACAUAUGUCUAGAGAAUUCACCAUCAAGAUACCAUGGUUCUUUAUUUUGUGCACUUGACUCCAAACAUUCUUCUUUAUCUUUGGCCUUUUCAAGAGCCAUGAGGCAUAUGUUGUCAACUUCUUCAUCCUCUUCACUUUGGGACUCAUCCUUACCACUCCAAAUGGCUACCAUUGCCUUUUUCUUUGGAUUCUUUAGAUAGCUCUUUUUGACAUUUGGGUAUUCAUUGUCAAACCCUGUUCUAUAAAAUAAUUUCGACGUCAUUUACAUGCUCAAUAGAAUAUUUGCAUAUUUAGGAAGUUCGAGAAAUCGUUAAAAGACAAUAUUGCCCAUAAUGGUACCAUUAAGUCGAUUAAGCCUCAAACUAGUUCAAAUAGAAAUUUUAAGGUGAAAUUAAGAGUUUCACAGUUCAGGGAUGACUCAAAAUGGUAAUUCGGAGUUCGAAGAUUAAUUUGGAGUCAAACCGAAAUUUUCACUAUCUAGGGGCAAAAUGAUCAUUUGCCACUUGGGGACAAAAUGAAAAUUUUUAGAAAAGAUUUUUUUUGGCCCCAUUUGACUUAUUGGAGUAUGAUUUGAAGUUUAGAAGUGGAAAAUUUUAAUUCCGGUAUAAUUUGAAGUAUAUGGGUGAAAUGGUAAUUUUGCCACCUCGGGGGUAAAUCGGUAAAUUUUCACCCCCAACACUUGUCAAGACCAAGGGAUUUUAUUCAUCAUGGAAAUGGAUAAACGUGAGAAAUGUGUGGUGGAGAAUUAAAGAAUUAAAAGUCAAAUAUUUAAAAUUUGAACCAAUAAGGAAUGCCAUGUGUCAUGUUUUUAUUAGUUUAUUAUUUUUUUAUAAAAAGGCAAAAAAUCAUCCCAUUUCUCCCAUAGUGAUCAGCCAAACCAGAAGAGAAGAGAAACCAAGGAAGAACAAACCUUAGGUGUUAAAAAUCAAAGAGGAAGUGUUGGAAUUCAAGGAUUUGAUCAAGCAAAGGUAAAAUUUCUUUGAUUUUGCUAGUGAUUUACCUUACCCAUGCAUUUUCCCUUAAUUUCCAUGGUUAAAUUGCAUGCUUUCAUGAUGAAUUCAUGGCUGGUCAAAAUGGGUAUGGAGAGAGAAUGAUCUUGGAUUGGUUUGAUUUUUAGGUAUGUUAGAGUUUUUAGGUGAUUAAUGAUGUGUAGCAUGAAAACAAGUGAAGAAAACCACCAAAGGUUUGGUGCUCAUCAAUAGCCGAAUUCUCUAAGUGAAUAAUGAGGAAGAAUGAGAUGUUAUUCUAGGUGAUUUGAUUAAGAAAUAAUAGUUUUUGGUGUAGGAAUUAAUGAAUUAUGGAAAGAAAAUUAAGUAGGAAAAAUCACGAAGUUAGUGUACCAUUGUUGGCCGAAAGUUCCAAGAAAAAAAGUGAAGAUAAAUUUUGCCUAAUUGUGUGUUAAUUAGUUGUUCUUGGUGAAUUGAGGGAUUGAAAAAGAAAUGGAGCAAGUUGGAGUGAAAUUGGACGCAUUGGCCAAUUUAUCAGAUGAAAAAUCGACUUAUGCCAAUAUCGGGUCUAGAUGGCUACCCGUGCAUUUUUCAUUUCAUAUCAUGCAUAUAUAUCGAGCCUAAAAUAGCUUAUGACUGUUAGACACAAUUUAAUUGGAAUAUGUGUCAUGGAUUAUGGCUAGGUGGUGAGCCAUUGGAUACGGGUAAAGGACUGUACCCGUGGAUUGAAAAUAGGAGUAUUUCUACUCCUAAUACUGUGAGUAAACUUAUUAUCGUCUUAAUUAUCUAGAGUAGUUUUAUACAAUUAUGUGAUUUUAUAAAAAAUGGCUUUAAAUGGUAAAUUGCUAUGUUUUAGGAGAAAUUGUGAUUUUAUAAAAUGAUUUUAUAAAUUUUUUAAAAAAUUGAAUAUUGGUUUUGAAAAUAGAGUAAUUGAAGACUGCUUGCUUGUGUUAUAAAUUGUGUUUUAAAUUAUAUGGCUUAUAACAAUAUGUGAGCAUGAAUGGCAAAGUCGGUAUUUUUAUCAAAAUUAUAUAUACUAUGUAUUCAGCCUUGAGAGGCUAGAUUGCGAUAAAUUGCCAUGUCAUGCAGAUAAGGAUUUUAUAAAUUAGGUGGUAGAUAAAAUAAAGAUUAGCUACUGCAGUGGCGGGGUUCCGUGGACCAGCCUAUUAGAGGGGCAUGGUAAACUCCUUUAUAUUCUCACCUGGGUCGUAGAGGCUCGUAGGGUAUCUCCUGAGGUGGGCUUUUUGAGUGCACUUCACUUUAACCACCACGUGAAGUGAGACUCAGUCAACUCCAAGGAACGACUGUUUUUUUUUAAAUAAAAGCAAGUUUUAUGAUUAUAUAAAAUUUUUCACAGCCUUGGCAGACUCGGUUGGAUACCCUUGGUCCAGGUGUCCCCGAGUACAGGAUUUGGCAUGAGCCAAGUUUUGAGAAAUUCACGAGUCAUAUUGAUUAUUUGGUUGAAAUGAAUAUUCGUGUUGUGAAAAAUUUGCUAAAAUGAAUUAUUUUUAAUUGUUUCCCUUUGCUCGUCUUUAGAUAGUUUAGAUGUUGUCUGUUUACUCACUGGGAUUAUGUAAUCAUAAUCUCACCCCUCUUCCUAUCCAUUUUCCAGGCUCAGGAUAGUUUGUUGAUAGUUGAUUAAGAUGAGAAUUAACCUCGGAGUUGCAUUCUAGAAAGUAAGGGUUGGAAGCCCUACACCUUCUUAGUCAGUUGGGGGCUCACGUGUCACUGUAAAAGAAAUUUUAUACUUCAGUUAUAUGAUUUAAAGUAUGUAUGAACAUAUUUAUCUUUUACACCAUAUUUUUGGCGGGUUUUGGUAUUUUUGAAGAAAAAUGACAAAAAUGCCCUUGUGAGCUAAAAAAUAAUAUUUUAUUAUUUUGAUUUGGAAACGACUUAUGAUUUCUUGAAAUGCGAGAUUUAAUAACUGUCGCUCACCGGGGAGAUGCGGAAGCUGAUGCUAAGCCUUGCGGGAUUUCGAUCAGUAUUUGGGGUAAUGAGUGCCUAUCGAGACGUCGCGGCGAUUGUCACGGGCUCAAUGGGAGUUCCGGGUCGUGACGUUCAUAUUUAGAUUGUCUCGAUUUUCUACACUCAUAACAAAUAAUGUGCUUUUUACUUGAUUCUCAAUUUAAUGGCUCUUUUCUUAAGUUUCCUUUUAAUGCAUUCCUUCUAAUUGAUCUUCUACCUUUACCCCUUAUUUGUUUCCCAAAAAUCUAUUGAACGUUCUAAUUAGCAAGGCUACUUCCUUAUCAUCUUUUUCAUCAUCAUUCUCUACACUCUUCUUGUCAUUUUCUUGAGUAGCUUUAGGAGCUAUACUAUUUUGUUUUGUCUUUUUCUUUUGUUGCUUUUUCUCUCACUCUUAUGUUUGAGUGACAUCUCAUAGGUAAGAAUGGAGCUUACAAGUUUAUCUAGUCUAAAAGUGUUCAAGCUUUUAGCUUUCUUCUAUAGUUGUUACUUUAGCUCUUCUAUCUUUUAGCAAGCUAUACAACUUCUUCACUAAUUGUGCAUUAGGGAAGUGUUUCCUAAGUGCUUUUAAUCCCACAACAAUAUUUGUGAAUCUAUUGCACAUUAGGGUUAUUGUCUUUCCAUUCUUUGUUCUAAACAAUUUAUUAUCAAGAGUAGGUAAUCUUAUUUUUGACGUUUUGACUUAAAUGGUGCCUUCAUGUAAGGUUUCUGAUGUGUCUCAAACUUCCUUUUCUUUUUCACACAUGGCACUCUAUUGAAUUCUUCAGAUCCUAAGGCACAAUAUAAGGUAUUUAUAGCUUUUGUAUUAAUGUGCAUAAGCUUCUUAUCUCUGUCAUCCCAUUCUCUCAUAGGUUUAAUGACUAACCUUUCAUCUACGGCUUUAGAAAAGACAUGAGAACCUUUCAAAAUAACGUUCCAAACAUUUAUAUCAUUAGCUUGGUUGAACAUUAAAUAAAAAGGGAAUUACCAUAGAUUGGCCCUCACCUAAGGGAGUGGCUGUAGGAUGCAUUGCCAUGGCCUUUGAGCUUCAAAUGGAUCUCCACUCAAGGUGUUUAAAUCUACAAAUUGAGAUUAAAGCUUUGAUACUAAUAGUUAGGAUGUUAGCUCAAAAGAUAAACCUUAAGAGAGAGGGUGAAUUGAGUAUUUUAAAAAAUCUUUGUAGAGCCUUUGAGGAAAAAUUAAUCUUAAGCAAGAUAAGGAUGAAAACCUCUUUGAAGCUUAAGAAUGAAGAGUUUCUUAAACCUUUUUGCAAGUGGUUGAAAAAUGAUUUUAGGAAGUCAAAGAAAAUGAAAAAGAAAUUUCAAGAAACAAGUAGAAGACAUAAGAUUUAUAGAGGUUUGGCCUUGAUGAUUACAUCUUCUCCUUUGGCUCACCAAGGAAUUUGAAAUCCAAUAUAAAAAUUAUUUUUCAAAAGCUCAAGCAUAACCUUUACAAUGUACUACUUUUUUUGGGUCAAGCACAACCUUUCAAUACAAUGCCUUUUAUGGAUCAAGCACAAUCAUUCAAUACAUUGUCUUUUAUGGAUCAAGCACAACAUAUCUACCUUUUACUUAGAUUAAGGUAUAACCUGUGACAACAACUUUACCUUUCUAAGGAAAGGUAUAACCUUCACAAAGGAUUACAAGAUAAUGAAGAUGAAAACUUAAAUGCCUUUAGAUAGGCUAAAUGAAGCUGUAAAAACAAAAAGAGAAGGAAGGCUUAGCAAGAAAAUAUAAGAACUCAAGCCUUAAGAAACCAAAGAUAAUGAACACUUGAUAUGAAGAGUGAUUUCUAAGGAAUUUGGUGUUGAGGCUUUCACUCUUGCUUAAGAAUUCUUCUCUUGGUGUUCUCUUUCUUCCAAAGUGUCUUUUAGACUUCUAUUUAUAUGUAUGUGCCUUAUCAUAGUCGUUUAAAGACAUGAGUUCAAAAAUAUGGCUGUUAUUCAUGUCCUUUUCUGACUUGUCUGAUAUAAGGUAUUGAUACUUAUGACAUUGGUCUCAAUAUUUUAAUUACCAAUUUUAAUUAAGGUCUUGAUACUUCUGCUACAUCUUGGCAAUUUUAAGAAUGAAUCAUGUCUCGAUACUUUAGUCCGCUGGUCUUGAUACAUAAUAGCUUGCUCUUUGGAAAACCAUGUUUGGAGAUGAUGUCUCGAUACUUGGCAAGCAAGUACUUUAGCACUUGCUCUCUAAAAUUUGAAGUUCAAAGAAUGAGGUCUCGAUACUUUAUCAAAAAUUCUCAAUACUUUGGAACUUGCUCUCUGGAAUUUGAAGUCUGGAGAUGAAGUCUCGAUACAUUGAAACUUGUGUCUUGAUACUUUUGGACUUGUUCUCUAGAAUUUGGCAUCUCUUAGCCAAUGUCUUGAUACUUGAAGUCUAGUUCUCGAUACAUUGGCACUUGUCUUCUGAAAUUUGAUCUUUCAUGAGUGAAGUCUCGAUACCUACCAAAGAUGUCUUGAUACUUCUUCUUCCUUAGGUUGUUUUUGAGGCAUAUUGAUCUUGAGGUCUUAAUACACACUUAAUAUGUUCUGAUACCUUACCCAUUUUAAGCUUAUUCAAAGGCAUUUUGAGCUUCAAACACUUAGUCAUUUUUCAUGUUAAUGAUUAAAGGGUUUUGUGAAGUUGUAAUAGACUUAAUCACUCACAUUUUGGUAAUUUGAUUUUGUCAUUUGAAAACAAGGAUCAAUUGUAAAGCUAACAAACCAAAAUAUGCAGUCAUCACAAAAGGAUUUUUUUUUAAAUCUCUUUUUAGUCAAAUAGUGUACCAAAAACUGUAAAAAUAAUAUCAAUAGACAUGAUAGCAACAGAAGAUCAAAUUGAGCCCAAAAAAGGAUAAUCAGAAAAAUGAGAAUUAAAAGGAAAUAACAAUAGCCAUCACCAAAGCUAGACAUCAUAUGAAUGCACAAAGUGAAUCAAAUUGCUCUAAACUAGAUGUUAAGAACAAAGUGAAAAAAAAAAAACUCAUUUGUAUGAAGAAUAAAUGACAAAUAAACAUAAAAAUUGGUUAUUGGAAGGGUUAGGAUUAGAUUUUUACCAGUGGAGAAAGGUCUACCUCAAAAGGCGAAGUAUAUCUGUCUAGUUGUUCACUUUUUAUCAAUUUCUACAUGUUUAGAUGUCGAUCAUAUGAGAGAGAAGUUUAAAUAGGAAAAAAGGGUUUGUCCUGUUGAUUGACUUUUAAGAAGUCUAUUUUCUUAUUGAGUUUUUCUUCAUCCAACCUUUGAUUAAAGAGGAGUGGGAUAAAGAUUAAAGAAAAAGAUGUUAAUCAGCUUAACCUGGAGUUCUUUCUGGUUGCUCUUCCUUCGCAUUAGAUUAUUGUCCUUCCAUGCUUUCCUUGUCUUUGUCUAUCACCAAGAAAUCAUUUAUAACAUCAAUUACAUAACUUAUUUUAUAGAGAAAAGGAUCAAACUGAUUUAUAAAGCAAAGAAUAAGGAAAUAAUUAAAGAUAGUGAAUAAUUGAACCCAUUAAAAGAAUAAACCAUUAAAUAUACAAAAUAAUGGUGAAUUCAAUAAAAAAAUGUUUGACUUGCCUUACAUUGAUAACAAAUAAAGGACAGCAAUCUGUAGCUGAACAAUGAACUGCCAAGAAUGAAAACAAAUGGGAAGUCACAAACCAAACUACAAAGAUAUCCAAAAGCAUAACAAUAAAGAAAACAUACAUAGCAACACUGAUUAAAUAUUGAACUAUGAUUGGACGAAUUGGCAUACAUGUUUACAUAAAUAUAAAAAAAAAAAACCAUCUAAAGAAAACAAAUUGAAUGGAACAAUAAACAAUAAGAAAUCUGACCAAAAAGGACCUUUAUUCUUCCACUAAUUGUUGACCAAGCAAAGUAUGUAAACCAAAUUACUAUAAUAACAAGAAAAACAAUAACAGAAGCUGUCAAUCAAAAAUAUUUUGAGACUUUACAAAAAAAGCCUUUAUCCUUCUAACUAUUCCCUUUAACUAAAAAAGUACUUAACAGUAAAAUUACAAGAAACAAAAUUGAUUAAACAUUAAAACAAAUACAAUAACAAGAAAAGACAAUAACAUAUAUUGUGAUUAAAAGAAAUAUGAAAACAUAAACAUAAUAAACCCAAAGUGCACAAAAUCAAAUGGUAUACUUUUUUGUGACUUCCUCGAGAGAUCAACUUUUCAAUAUGUCAAACCAUGGUUCAACUAAAUUGCAUUAUUCUUUCUGUCAAAAAAGGAAAAAAUAGAAUGAAUUGCAUUGCAUCAGAUAGAUUCAAUGUUAAUGUCAUGUCACAAAUGGAUUUGCAAAAAUUACAAAUAAACGACAGAAUCGAUUUACGUCGUAUAAAUGAAAUGUUGAAAAAUAUUCAAAUUAAAAUAGAAAAUCAAAAAAAAAAAUCACAAAAUAAAAAAAAAACAAAGAAUUACCAAAACAAUUCGUGAACCCAAACCUAAAAAUAAAAGAAAUUAACUUGAAAAAUCAAUGGCAUUAACUGCAAAGGAAAAAACCCAAAAGCUUAAACAAGAAAAAAAUUAUAUUAUCAAUUUUCUUUCAAGAUCUAAUAAAUCAACCAACAAUAGAAUAUAUUUUAUGAGAGAAAAGAGUAGAAAAGUCUUUUCGCAUCUACAUUGAUCAUGGCAAAUUAAAGAUCACUGCCAAGAAAUUGAAAAAUAAAAUAACGUGAAAAAAAUUAGAUAUAUGAAAAUGAAAGUAUAUAUUUAUGUAAAAUAAUGAAAUAAAGUUUUAGACCUUAAAUGGUAUUUGGGCAGCCUAACAAGGCAUGAGAACCACUUUCUUCACCAAAAAUAGAGCUGAAGUUGCAAUCUCCACGUUUCCUUCAAAAAGGGUACACAUUAAGAAGAGAUAAGCCAUGGACUAAUGCACUGGAAGAAAGGAAAUAAGACUAGCAUAGACUAAACACCAAAAAAGACCAAAAAAAUGCAUUGGAAGAAAGGAAUUAGGACCUGCACACACCAAACACCCAAGAAAAUGAAGAAAAAUGCACCACAAGAAAUGAAGAAAGAAAAUAAAUUCAGAAAAGAGAAAACAACCAAAGAAGAAAAGAAAGAAAAGUAUUGAGCCUACACUGAAAGAGUUGAAGAGCUGAAUAAGUGGUCUGCCUGAACAAUAGUAAUCGAGUUCAAGAAAACAGACAAAAGGAGAAGACCCCAAUGCACCGUUUCAAUAAUAAUGGGGUAGGAAGAAACAAGAAAGAGCCUAUACGCAACGUUUCAUUAAAGGAAGAAGUAAUCAGACAAAAGAGAUAAAAGCUACACCAUUUUAUGUACAAUUUUAUUUCAAAAAUUAGUUAAUGUAAUGAUUAGUUACUUGUACUUUAAUAACCAGCUUUACCUUUUCAGCUUAAUGCUGAAUCUUUGUAUAUAAACCUUGUAAAGUUUUUCCCUAUUGAGUAAUGAGAAUAUCCCUAUUCUCUCAUCAUCUUGCGUUGUUUUCCUAUCUUUUCUGACAUGGGAUCAGAGCAGGGAACAAAAUCCCUGUAAAUGGUACCCUUCAACUAGUGAUCGGGAGAGAUUCACAACUGGAAUUUCUCAUCAUCUACUCAUCAACAUUUUAGUAAGUUUUCUGAUAAUUGUUUUCUUAUUUAAAGAUCUCAUUACCUUUCAUCCUAGUCUGUUGAUUCGAAAUACAAUAUGUUUGAAUCUGGAUCAAAUGAGUCAAGGUCUCAAAACACAGUCCAAACUAAAACAUAACCUUUACAGAUCUCACUAACAAGGGACCCUCAGUCACCUUAUUUCCUUCACCACACAAGAUAAUCUAAGUUCAGUAGUGGUUAACCCCAAGCUGACCACUAACAACUAUGUGGCUUGGAGUCGAUCGUUCUUAUUGGCUUUUUUUAUUAGAAACAAAGUAGGCUUCAUUAAUGGAACCAUAGCUAAACCAGAUAUAUUAGACCCUUUGUUCUCUCCCUGGACUCGUUGUAAUAACCUGAUAGUGGCUUGGUUGCUAGAUUCAAUCUCACCACCUAUAGCCUCAACUAUUUUCUAUAUGGACACGGCAUCAAAAAUAUGGGCUACAUUGAAAUAACACUUUGCACAGUCAGAUGAUACUAGGAUAUGUAACCUACUGUACACUCUUGGGAAUAUCACACAAGGGACUCGAUCAGUUGACACAUAUUUCAUUGAAUUGAAGGGAGUUUGGGAAGAGUUAAGAAACUAUAAACCUCUAACGCAUUGUGAGUGUGGGAAUUACAAUUCAAACUACUUCAAGAAAUACUUUGAACAGUAUAAAAAAGACAUGGUUUUUAGAUUUUUGAAUGGCCUAAAUGAAUCUUUCUCUAUUGUGAGAUCCCAGAUUAUUUUUAUGGAUCUUAUUCCAACUCUUGAUAAAAUGUAUAGCCUUGUCCUGAGGGAAAAAACACAGAGAAGUGUGCUCUUUCAGACACAACCAACUUUUGAAAUAACUAUAAUGUUUACUGCAGCAGAAGGAAAGAAGAAAGUGAAGAGGGAUAUAAUUUACAAUCACUAUGGAAAGAAGGGGCAUGUGAAAGAAAAGUGUUAUAGGCUGAUUGGAUUCCCAGAGGAUUUCAAAUUUACCAAAGGGAAGAAUAACUUCAGAAAAAGGAAAGCAACUGUGAACAAUGUUUCUACACUUGUUGACUCAUCAGCUACAGAGAAUCAACCUGACAAUGAAGAAGAGUCUGGAGGGAAUGCAUCUAUGUCUCAGAUGUCAAUCAUUAAGCAGUAAGUCAGUAGACUGAUGGAGCUCUUGAGUGAGAAUGGUUUAACAAAUUCUGAUGGUAAGAACAAUUCAUCAAACACCUCGCAAACAAACCCUUCUUUGAUUAAUUCAGCUUUUGCAGGUAUAAUUUCAGGCCAUUCAUGCUUUAACACUGUCAAUAACAUGCCUUUCAAUUUUAGAAAUGUUAAUGCUCACAUGAUAAAAUCAAAAUUCUAGAUUAUGGACUGAGGAGCAUCAAAUCAUAUUGCUUAUUCCCUAGAUAGUUUCAUUUUAGCUAGACUUGUCAAUGAUAGUUUUGUUUUACUGCCUAAUAACAAAAAAGCUAUUGUCAUACAUGUAGGAGUUGUCAAAUUGACAUCAUUAUUAACUCUACAUAAUGUUCUUUAUGUUCCAAGUUUUAGAUUUAAUUUGCUCUCAGUAAGACAACUCACUAGGAUGAAAAAUACCUGUGUUUUCUUCACUGACAAGUACUGUAUUUUCAGGACACCCCUUCAUGAACAGUGACUGGUGUAGCUAGGGCUUCUUUAGGGUUGUAUGUCAUGGAACCUAAGAAAUAUGAACAAGAGUUGUCAGAUUAUUGCUUUGAUAAACUUGUCAAGUUACCUUUCACUUUGUUAGCCAAUGCCUGUAAUACAGGACAUAAAGUUUUUGAUUUAUGGCAUUUCAGACUUGGUCAUGCUCUUUGUGAAAGAAUAAAAGUUAUACAUGAACAAUGUGCAGAUUUUAAAUGUUCUAAUGAAUUACUUUGUUAAAUCUAUCCUUUGGCUAAGCAGAGAAAGCUACCCUUUCCAAUACAUGUUCAAAACACAAAAAUUCCAUUUGAAUUGAUGCAUGUUGAUAUUUGGGGACCUUAUGAAAGUCCAACCUUGUCUAGUCAAUGUUAUUUUCUAACUAUAAUUGAUGACUAUACAAGAUUUACCUAGAUUUUUUUAAUGAAAACUAAAUCAGAAACUUCUAUGAUCAUUCCUGCUUUCAAUGCCUUUGUUCAAAAACAGUUUAAUCUUGCAAUUAAAUGUCUAAGAACAGAUAAUGCCAAAGAAUUAGGACUGCUAAAUUUCUUUGCAAGUAGUGGUAGAGUUCAUCAAUUGUCCUGUGUUGAAGCUCAUCAACAAAAUGGAAUUGUUGAGAGGAGGCAUCAACACAUUCUGGUCGUUGCAAGAGGCCUAAUGCAUCAGUCAAAUGCACUUGUGCAUUUUUGGGGAGAUGCUGUCCUAACAGCAGUACACAUCAUUAAUAGGGUACCAAGUAAGAUUCUUCAUAAUAUGUCACCAUACGAGCUUUUGCAUAAAAAACAACCUUCAUAUGAUCAUUGAAGAGUAUUUGGAUGUUUAUGUUUUGUGUCCACACUAACACAAAAUAGAAAGAAACUAGAUAAAAGGUCUGUUAAAUGCAUUUCUUAGGGUAUCCAAACAACAUGAAGGGUUAUAAGGUUUAUGAUCUUGAUGCUGACAAAGUUCUAACAUCAAGAGAUGUGAUUUUUCAUGAGUAGGCAUUUCCAUUUCACACUAAACAGCAUGGUCAGCAAUCACCAGCAUUUCAUUAAACACCUGCUCUGCAUGACAUAUAUUCUGAUCAUUCCAAUUAUAACCUUGUUGUUGACCUACCUCAAAACCUUGACCAAGUUGAGUUGCAGCAACCUGAACCUAUGUCACCAGAAUUAAGUCAUACCAAUCUAAAUACUAGUGAUAUCUCACCUAAUUCAUCACCAGUUAACAGUUUGCCUACUGUAGACAGCACCAGCCAACCUGAAGAAAUACCUGAGCCAAUCAAUAAUGAAAACACUUCAGUACCUGCAAGGAAAAGUUCAAGAAUCAGACAUACACCAAAGUACUUAGAAGCCUACUAUACAAACUUACCAUCAUCAAGCAACAAUGUCACUUCACAUCCAAUUGCCAAAUACUUGUCAGCAUAAAAACUUUCUCCUUCACAUAAAUCAUUUACCACCUCACUAUCACAUAUACAAGAACCUGCUUCCUACCAUCAGGCUGUGAAUCAUUCUCACUGGAGAGAGGCCAUGGCUUUUGAAUUGCAAGCUUUAGAGGAUAAUGAUACAUGGACUGUUGUACCUCUACCUUCAAAUAGUCACACAAUUGGUUGCAGGUGGGUAUACAAGGUUAAACUUAAUGCAAAUGGUGAUGUAGAAAGAUUCAAAGCACGCCUUGUUGCUAAAGGAUACAAUCAAGUAGCAGGGUUUGAUUAUCAAGAAACAUUUAGCCCUAUAGCAAAAUAAUCAACUGUGAGAGUAUUCUUUGCAAUUGCAACAACAUGUAACUGGCAUUUAUCUCAGUUAGAUGUAAAUAAUGCUUUUCUAAAUGGAUACUUAGACGAAGAAGUAUACAUGGAUUUACCUGAGGGGUAUUCUGUCAAAAGGGAGUAUACAGCAAAUGAUAGACUAGUAUGCAAGCUGCACAAAUCUUUAUAUGGUCUAAAGCAGGCAUCAAGUCAGUGGAAUGCAAAAUUUUCUACAGCCAUCUUAAACUGUGGUUUUCAACAGUCAACUUCAGAUCAUUCACUAUUUACCGUGAAGACAAGUGAUGGAAAUUUCAUAACAUUACUUGUUUAUGUAGAUGACAUCCUGCUAGGAAGUACAUCAGUUCAGAAGUUAGACAAAGUCAAGGAAUUUCUUAAUUCUCUUUUGAAACUCAAGGAUUUGGGGACAGUUAAGUAUUUCUUGGGUUUGAAAAUUGCUAAAUCUCCUAAAGGUAUAUCUAUAUGUCAAAGGAAGUACACUCUUGAUCUUUUAAAAGAAAAUGGACUUCUUGGAGUUAAACCAGUGAGUACACCGAUUGAUUACAAUCACAAGCUCUCCAGAAUCAGAAAUAAAGAUGUAUUAUCAGACCUUACAAGCUACAGGAACCUAAUUGGAAAGUUGAUAUACUUAACUUUCAGUGGACCAGAUAUCUAUUAUGCUGUGCAGGUCUUAUAUCAGUUCAUGGAUAAACCUGGAAAGGAGCAUCUAAUUGCAGCUCAUAGAAUACUGAAACACUUGAAAAGGUCACCAAGGCAAGGAAUAUUGAUGAAGUCAAAAUCAACUUUGAAAGUAUUAGAUAUAUUGACAGUGAUUGGGCAGGGUGUCUUGACACUAGAAUGUCAGUUUCUGGUUUUUGUAUCUUCAUUGGAGACUCACUAGUAAGCUGGAAAUCAAAGAAGUAGUCAGUAGUUGCAAGGAGUUCAGCUGAGGCAGAGUAUAGAUCAAUGGCCUCAGCAUGUUGUGAGAUGAUUUGGAUUAAAAAUCUUUUGGAGGAUUUUGGAAUCAAAUAGGGAGAAGCAAUGAAUCUUUAUUCAGAUAGUCAAUCGGUUAUACACAUCAGCAAGAAUUCAGUGUUUCACGAGAGGACUAAACAUAUAAAAAUGGAUUGCCACUUCAUCAAAGAAAAGGUCCUUAUUGGUUUAAUAAAACCAGGGCACAUUUUAACCAGUUUACAAAUUGCAGAUAUUCUGACAAAGGCCUUACAGCCAAAUCAGUUUUACAAGCUCUCAAGCAAGAUGAACGUUCACAAUGUUCACCGUUCCUCUUGAGGGGGAGUAUUGAGCCUACACUUAAAGAGUUGAAGAGCUGAAUAAGUGGUCUGUUUGAACAAAAGUAACCGGGUUCAAGGAAACAGACACAAGGAAAAGACCCCAAUGUACUGUUUCAAUAAUAAUGGGGUAGGAAGGAACAAGAAAGAGCCUAUACGCAAUGUUUCAUUAAAGGAAGAAGUAAUCGGAUAAACGAGAUAAAAGCUACACCGUUUUAUGUACAGUUUUUAUUUCAAAAACUAGUUAAUGUAAUGAUUAGUUAGUUAUGCUUUAAUAACCAGCUUUACCUUUUCAGCUUAAUGCUGAAUCUUUGUAUAUAAACUUUGUAAAGUUUUUCCCUAUUGAGUAAUGAGAAUAUCCCUAUUCUCUCAUCAUCCUGCGUCACUUUCCUAUCUUUUCUUACAAAAUGAAGAGAAUAGAGAAAAAAAAAAGAUAAGAGAGGGCAAAAAACCUAAGAAGAAAAGAAAGCAAAAAAGAGAAUAGACAAAGAAAUAAAAACAUAGAGGGCGAAAUGAAAAAAGAAAAGAAGAAAGAAAGAAAGAAAGAGAAGAGAGGGCAGAAAAUCUAAUGGGGACAGAAAGAGCAAAAACCAGAAAGAGAAGGAAGGAUAUGGAAGCAUCGGGAAGAAAAUAUGUAAAGCUAUUAGGCAGAGGACAUGAAAACCAAAAAGGAGAAGGAUAUGAAAGCAAGAGAGAAAAAGACCAUUUUCAUUUUUUGAAAAUGCUAAAUUAACCUCCUACAAAGAAUAAAGUAAAAAAAAUAAAUACCAAACAUGUCUCAGAUCCACAUAGAGCCCUUUAGGGGCUUCCUUGCCUCUUGCCACAUGUUGCAACUAUAGAGCCCUGUUGGGGCUUCUUUUUAUAUAUGAUGACAUGGCUUUUAAUUGAGCAAACUAAUUACUCUUCCAUUGGCCAUUCCACGUGGCAAGUAAUUAGGAUGGUCUCAGGACAAAUUUAGUAUGUAGGUAUAGAUUUUUGAUGUAUUUUUUACCCUUAUUUGAAUGGAAAAGAAAUAAAGAGGAUCUUUUCAAAAGCUAGACGGGGUCAUGGACCUUCUAAACUAUUGAAAACCCUAAUGAAUAUAUUAUUUUAUGAAAAAAUUAUUCAAUUUAUCAUACAUCUUAUGGGGACAUAUUUUUUAAAAAAUAAUUAAUAAAUUAACAUGAUAAUGUAACCACUAUUAGUGAAAUUUAAAAAUUUCAUAUUUGAUGCAUAAAUUAAUAACCUUUAUUUCAUAUUAAAUAAAUUUAAGCUGGUCCCAAAUCAAAAUGUUUUUAUUCAACUCUAAAACUCUGUUUUUGCAUGUCUAACUUUUAAAAUUUUUUUUUUCAAAAGCAUUCAGUGCAACAUCUCUAUAUGUAUGUAUGCUUCUCUUUAUUAUUAGCUGAACUCAUCUUUCCCACUCAAUUCAACUCUUUCCUCUAUAUACAAACAAUAAUAGAAGUGGAUUUUUUGUUACCUUCUUUUCCCGUUCACCCACCACCUAUCAAAAGGUGAUCAUUUGUUGGUUAGAAAAAGAAAUUAAGGGUUAAAAAAUUAAACAAAUAAAGCUGAAAAAAUUGAUUUUUGAUCAAAAUUCAUUCUGACUAUCUUAUUAGCAUUGCUUUGAAAAUAGGAGAAACAGAUUUCAAGAAGAGAAAGAGAAAUUGAAUUCAUAAAGAGAAAGAUAAAUUGGUUCAAAAUUGAAUGUAGGCUUGAUGUGAGGAAAGGAUAAUUCCAAAAGAGGAAGGCAACUUUAUGAUUUGAGUAAGGUGCAUAGGAUUUUGGAUUAUUAUGUAGUUUUUUUUUUGUUUUUUUGAAGACUAAUUUAUUUAAGGUAUACAUUUAUGGCUUAUUAUAAAAAGCAAGUGUCAAAUAAAUGUUAUUCUACUUGUUUUGUGGUUUGAAAAUUAUUAUUUAAGCUCUCUUGUUGGGUUGUUUGUGUUUGCAUGUGGUUCAAGCGGUCCCAUUUAUUGUCUUUUUUUGGUUGUUUUGUCGAUACAGAAUGAUUUUUGUUGGUUAGACCACUAUGUUUGUGUUGAUAAAGUUGAUGUGUGCCUUGCAAGCCAAUUGACACAUUUUGUACGAAACAUUGAUAUUGAUUUUAUCCAUUACAAUUACACAAUGUUUUCUUUUACUUUUGAGUUUACACAUUUUAUAUGUUAAUUACUUAUAAGAUAAAGUCCACAGCAAAUAUGCUUUGCACAAAAAUUUUGAAAUGUAUUAUAAUUAUAAAAUCUUGGGAUAUUGGUAGACUUCCUCCAAAAGCUAUUGUGCGAUUUCGAUGUCUAUUGAAAUCCUGUAACGUUUUACUUAAAAACCCUUUUUUCAUCCGAAUGCAUCUCAAUAAAUCCAACCGUAUGCAACAACUUUGUCUGGACUGUAAGUUUUCUCUUCAAUCAAUAAGAUUGGAAAGCAUAUAAGAUUGAGAAAACAAUUGUUGACUUCAUAUGUUUUUGAUAAUAACAAAAUAUUCUUUAUUCAUUACUGCCUAAUUUCAUUAUUUAAGUGUGCACGAUAUAAUUUAUUCCCUCUAACAAAUUUUUUAAUUAAAGGCAAGUCAAUAAGCUUGCUAAAUUUGAAGAUGGGUAAAUCAAUUAAAGAAAGAAAAAAGAAAGUGAUUAAUGAAGAUAGAAAACUAGUAGCUAAUUAACAUGACGCCUUAACCAAUUAUAGCAUAACUGGUGUGCUAGACAAAAACAAGACAAAAAAGCUUUAAUCAGUUAGGCUUAACUAAUUAAGACGAUGUUGAAAGUUGAAAACAAAGUCAAUGUAAAAACUUAGUGAAAAUUGUUAAUUCCACUGAUUUAGUGAAAUUAAGUUGAAAAUCAUUGAUUAGGAAAUCAAAAUAGUAGAUAUAAGUCAAAAAGACCGAACCAUUAUAAAUACUUGUAUAUUGUCUGCUUCUCUCUACCUUUCCGUACUUGGUGUUUUUAACUCUAAUAAGUUUUAAACAUUCUCUUCUAGUUGAUUAAGAGCUCUACAAGCUCAAAAGGGUUUUUUUUUUUUUUUCACAUGCUCAAAAGGAUUAACCUCAUAAUUUUUAAUGUUAUUCACUUCUCUCUAACAUUCCAACAAAAACUUCUAUCUAACAUUCCAACAAAAACCAAUUAAUGAUAUCAGAACCAAACCCUCAUAAUUAUAACUUUAUAUCCUGUAUAGUGUGAGGAAAAAAUCGAAAGAUUAAUUUCUCUAAAAUAUCAAGGGUAUUUUUGUUCAAUCAUGAUAAAAAUAACUUUAUAUCAAAAGUUAUUUUUAAAAUAAACUUAUGUGAAGGGUUAUUUCUCAUAAUUUUCUUAAAAAUUUAAGAAGCUAGCCUGCAAUAAAAUGCAAAGGAAGAAAAAAAACAUUAAUUAUUCCAAGAUAUUACCCUUAUGAUAGAAUUACAGUUAUCAUUCCUUUUCAUCCUGACACAUUUUGCUAUCCCUACUAGAAUAAAAUAAUACAUUAUUUUGAUGCAAGCAUAUCGGUAAAUGCUAAAAUAACUAAACAAGAAAUGUAAAAUAAGUGUUGAUUCAUGGAGACAAAGGGCUUCUUGCUUCAUUUCUUCUGGGAAACUUUCCAAUUACAUACCAAUUUAGAGAGCAGCAGCAACUGAAAGAAAAUUUUGCACACUACGAGUUUAGAGAACUGAAAUCAAGUGGGGAAGGCAGGUCCAAGGAAACAUCAAUCUAGGCCCAGCUUCCAAUUUGAUCGACAUAUAAGAAACACCUGAUCACUGAAAUUCCUUGCAUACCAUCCAUUCCAGGUGUAACUAUGUGGCAUAAGAAAUUAUGAGCAAGAAAGAUACCUAAAAUUAUGACUAACAAACACCUUCCACAACUGCCAAAUAAUUUCAGUAGGGCUUUGUGGAGAGAAAAGAUGGCGUUCUCCAAGGAUAUACAAACCAGGGAAAUGUGGAAGCUUUAUUUGGUCUCUCAUAAUGCAAAUUGACAUAUACUGCAUUCUCUUGAUUCCCACCAGCUAAAUUCAACUAUACCUAAUAGCAAAUAUUCCUAUCAGCCCAAAUGUCUCCAACUCAAGUCUUUACCAUGCAUCAACCACAGUCCCCAUCAAAUGCACAGUAGCCAAUCCACUGCACUCUUUGUUUCCUGCUCAGCUCAAUUAAAGUAUCUUGCACUGCCAAAAUUUUACAAACAUGUAAACAGCUCAUCUACCCUUGCCAUGUGGUGCUCGAUAGUAGGUCCUGUUCCCCAUUAUUUAUCAUGCAAGUUGAAAAGUUCAGGCACUCCUAUCCAUGUAAAUAAAGCAUGCACCUGAAUCUGGUGGGAGAACAAAAGCUAAGGACCAAAAAGAAAUCAAGAAUCUGAUCUGGCGGUUGUAAACGAUGAAAGAAGUCCUGCAGCUUGUACAGGUAAAAUGUCGCCAAAUGUUGACAUGGCAGCUGCUGAUCUAUCCUUGAAUAUGCCCACUUGCCCAUCCGUUAACAUAGAUCCCAGUUUUAAAGUGCUCUCUCCGAAUCUGCUGCCAACCUGGCCAAUACAAGGAAAAUCACUUUUGAAACCUUAAAUAUGCAUAACAAAUAAACAGCAAACCAUCACAUAUGUUGUUCACACAAUUGCAGUAAAUAUUUACAACUUGCAAAUACGCCACUUUACAGAAUGCUAAUUGCUCACAUAAGGACCAACUCUUUACCCAAUCUCUCAUUUCGUGAUCAAACCUUUUAUUUUGUCCAAUUUAAGAUCAAACAUUUUCGACAUUUUUCAUAUCAGGACAAAUUUGUACAGAAAUUGGAGCAUGUCCUUUAGGCACAUUUAAGUCUCUUAAAGCAACAUGUGUCAAAAAAUAGUGCCUCAUGUCCAUUGAUGCAAAUUGCAUUUUAAAUUAAAAAAAAAAAAGAAAAUCAGUUAGAUUUUCACUUUUCUUGUUUUUAUUUUAUUUUUUCCUUCUCUUUGUGUAAAAAUAUUCUUUGAGCUUUGUCAACAUGAAGCCAAGAACUAGAAGCAGCCUCCACAAGCAUCAGACCAUAACCAAAGUUCAUGAAAAAUUUGACAAGGAAUAAAAGGGGAAGUGGAUGGUUACUGGUUUUGUCCAAGAUCAAGAAACACCAAAAAUAUACUCAAAAAAAAGGCAGGGAUGAAUUGAAAAUUACGAUUGGAAUCGGAGAAAAAAUUAUAUACAAUUCAUGACAAAAUCCAUAAGUACCAAACCCAUAGCCAAAAUUCAUCAGUACCUAAAGAAAAUAUACAAAUAUGUAAAUCACACAAAAACACAAUCUCAAGUAAACCACAAUAAAACCAUAUCCAAAACUCAUCAAAAGGGAAAAAUAAAAGACAAAAACUCAGUGGGGUGGGUGACUCUGUGUUAAGGAUUUUAAAACUCCAAAAGAAAGAGGGAGACUAUGGGUUUCUUAGAGAGAGAAAUUAGAGGCUAAGCGGAAAGAGGAGAGUUUUUUUGAAACAGUAAAGGAAGCAGAUGAGAGAAAAAGAACAACCUAAGAAGAAGAGAGAUAAGAAGAAUCAGGGCAGCAGGCUGGCAAUCCAAGCUGCAACAAUGACAGCAACAACUUGUAACAUGAUUUUUGGUAGGGAAAGGAAGAAAGCUAAUUUUACAUUUUUUAUUUAGGCUUAAUGUUGGUUUUUUGGGCUUAAAAUUCACAUGUUUAUCUUCUGACUUAUUAUUUGGCCACUUCAUGUGAUUAAAUGGUGCGUGAGAGAAACUUUAAUUUUGUUGAAAAUUUUCCUAAUAUCAAAAAUGUAAAAACAUUAUAUCCUAAAUUGGACAAAAUAAAUUGAUCAUGAAAUCAGAGAUUGGGUAAAGGUGUGAUCCUAAUUUGAGCAUUUAGCACUUAAAUAACUAUAUAACUCAAACCUUAUUUAACAAGUUAAAUUUCCUCUAAUAUAGAUUAGAAGGGCUCAUAGAAGGUUUCCUAAAACCAAUUCACAAUCAGCCACCCAGCCAAACUACAUAUUGAAAAAAAUUAUUAGAUGAAGAGCAGAAACAGCUGAAUGAAGAUAUCCAAUAAAGGCCUUGAUCAUACAUCAAAACAAGUGCAGCAUUAUUGAUGAAAACUGCAACAGUUAAAACAUUUAUAGUCAAAUGUUUACCCCAAAAAAAAAUAAAUAUCGAUUCUAUAAUGCGCUCAACCCCGGAAAUUGCAGAUAAGUCUCAGCAAGGGGCUGAGACUUGAGAUGCAUUCCAUUACUUUUCUUUCUUCCUUACUUUGAAAUAUACUCAUCAUCACAAUUCAAGUUUGGGGCCCACCACUGACCAACCAAUCCAGUUGAGAUUCAAUAAGAAUACCUCCUUUAGGGAAACUAUUAGAAAACAAUAUUUAUGGUCAAUCAAUUUAAAGUCCAUUAUCAGAAUUCCCAUCAGGAAAACCUUCAUUUGUCUUCUUUUUCUUCAUUGUUGAGAAAAUAGAUUUAGCAAAAAACAGACAACUUUGUUUAGGGUCGCACGUGAUUACCAUUCCGACAAAGUGAGUUGUUCAAAUUUACUUCUCGUCGGCAUGUACAACAAUCCUUUGUUAAUUGACAAAUCAAAAUUUUAGCUAGUUUCUUCCACUUCGGCAUUUCCUAUUUCCGACAAGGAUGUGAGUGGUUAGUCAGCAUUAAUUGGUACUUGUUGUCCCUUCAACGUAACUUAAUGGGACCACUAAAGCAAUUCGAACACUCAACUUUUACACAUUACUCCUAACUGCACAUUUCAUCACAUUAGGACAAAAUAAACUUGUGUAAGUCUAUCUGUCUGUCUUCAAUCUAUUAGCUACCUAGAUUUCACAUUUUCAAUAAGAUUAUGUGGUUUCGUGAGUUCUCCGGAUUCAAUUUAUAGUUUGUUCAGGGUAAAUUACAAAUAUAUGCCUCAUGGUUUCCAUGUUUUUGUGAAGAAGACCCUAUAAUUUUUUUUCCUUGGCACUUAAACAACCUUGGGUUUUAUUCCAUUACCAUAGGGUAUUCCAACAUUAAUUUAAAAAUGACAAAAAUACCCUAAUUUAAAAGGUAUUUUUGUUGAAACUUAAGGGUAUUUUUGUUAUUUUGUUGCCUGACAUUAAUUUCAUAACAUCCUAAUGAGAGAAUGAAGCCUCAAGGUGCAAAAAAAAAAAAUAACCCUCAUAUUUAAAAGGUAUUUUUGUUGAAACUUAAGGGUUUUUUUGUAUUUUUGUUGUCUGACAUUAAUUUAAUAACACCCUAUGAUGACAAAAGGAAACCUCAAGGUGACAAAAAAAAAAAAAAAAUCACAGGGUGUUGUUUGCAAGGAGAUGAAUCUCUCUAGACUAGAUUCAAAUAAAACCGAACCGAUCUAUUCUAACCAAUAUACUCCAGAGCCAAAGCAUACAGGACAUCGGCAAGCACACUUUUGAAGGAUAAACUGCACUAUUUUAAUAGGAAAACUUUGACUCAUUAGACAGCACACAUUAGAUAGACCUUUAUUUAAAAAAAAAAAAUGAUGUAUAGCUUCACCUGCAUGAAUGACUUUAGGAAUGGCGUUGCAACACCAAAACUCGGGUUAUCAUCCAAAUCAACUUUUCGAGAAAGCUCUCCAUUUGUAUAAGCUUUCCAGGAACUUCUUGAAGUAAUAUCAUUUGAGGCAGCUGUAAUAGGUGUCCCAGAAGUCCCUCUCGAGGACAAUGCUGGAGCACUAGAUGACCAACAAGAAAUUAUAAGAAAACCAUUUACAUGAAUAAACAGUGUAAGCUAGAAAAUAAGAAUGUGUAACAGAAAAAAAAAUGCAGCACUGACCUGAUUGGAAGAUAUUUGAAGCGUGGAACGACAGAACAUCUCAUAAUAUUUGACUCUGAAUUAGUAGGCAGUUUCUGCAUAGUAUCUGUGUACAUCCGAUUAAGUUGAACAAAGAACCCAAAGAGGACAGCAUGCCGGAGAUACGACUGCCUCUCAUUCUCCCAUAAGUAUGGCUCAUACCUUAAAAUUAUUUAGAAAUACAUAUUCAGUUAUGCCUUAAUCCCAACGACAUCACGAGAACAUAUAAGUAUUUUCUAAAUGAACUAAUGGCUCUAAAAACUAACUGGUAAGUAAAAUGCACCUAAAGGAAACUUCGAGAGAGCAGAUGGACAAACUGGCAAUUGAUCUGAUUUUUACACGGUUUGAUUACGAACACCCAAGCUGCAUUUUGAUAAAUAACCAUACACAUUUUAUACAUUCCAAGACUUAUAACAAUUUGGUCUACAUAAACAAAUAAAAUAAUAUGCCAGAUAUAACUUUGCAUUAAGUUCUGCAAUAUACCAAGAAAAACAGUCAGGAAACUUCUAUACAAGUAGAUCCAUAUGUAGUAUAUGGAGUUGCUGAUUUUUGUGUUGUUAGAUGUGAAGCUGGAGGUGAUGGUAGGCAUGGUGCUCAUCAGAUGGUGAGAGAGAGAGAGAGUGAUGAGAUUUUAGAAAGAGAAAGAAAAGAAGAAUAAUAAUUAAGAAAAAAAAAUGCAGAAGCAACAGAAGAAAAGGGUUGACUUUUCUACUGAGAGAGAGAGAGAGAGAAGGAAAAUGAAGGAAGAGGAGAAGAAAGGAAUUUCUAGGAAAUACAAAGGAAAGAAAAAGGAAAUAAAAAGAUGAACCAUGGAAGACGGUGGUCUCUAUCAACUAUGAAGGCCCAGCUAAUAAAAUCAUCAAGCUUUCCAGCUCAAAAAAAUUCCAUUCUUCACUGUCAAAAUUGUUUAAUUUAUCAAAUGCCUCAUCAAAUCCUGCUCAUUGGCUUCAACAAUCAUCAUCUUACUUAACAUUUUCUUGUUUUGAUUUCAUUAAUGAUUCAAACUUUAGGUGAUUAUUAUGUAGUAACAAUCUAUGUUACUCAGACUCGAGGGUGAGGUUGGAUAUGGGUAUGUGUCUGACAAGGAUAAAUUUUUUCUAAGUUUUCCCAUAUAUUUGGAGGGUUGGACCUCCAUUCCAUGUUCGUCGCAUACGUGUCAGACAUGAGCAUUUGAAGGAAAAUGAAGUGUCCGAGCAACAUAAGUACGAAUAAUUGUUCAAUAGGCUGAUUGACAAGUAGUUUUAUUUUUUACAUUAAUUACCAUUUAUGGGAGUCUAUUAAUCAUAUAAGUGUAGAGUUUAUAAUUGGAAUAAAAAUCAUGAAUUUGAAAAAGAAAAAAAAAGAACCCAUGCUAGAGAGAGAAAGAUGCAAAGAAAAUGGUGAACAAGGGAAAGAGGCAGAGACAUUAAAACAAUAUAUAGAGGGUGGCAUACAAUGGAAGAGAGAUAAACAGUGAUGGAUGAAGAGAUUUAAGGCAAAAAGCUCCUCUGGUAAGUGGUAGUGGAGGAAGAGAGACAAAUGGUGAGAUCUGAGAGGAGUGAAGAAGGAAGAAAAAGAAAAAUAGGGUAUUUCAUCUGGUGUUGGCAAAUUCCAUGUUUCACAAAUGCAGGAGAAAGGGGGGCCUUUUACUCCAAAAAAAGUAAACCCUACAAAAGGACAAAUAGUUGACUAACGGUGAGUUCUGGUCAAGGGAGGGAUAUGCGCAUUUUGAACUAGAGUCCUUUGAUGAUCUUAUUAGGGGUUUUUUUGGAAUUCACCCUCUCCAAAUGCAUCCUGGUUUCCCUUCUGGUAUUGAAUGAGUAUUAUGCAGUCUCUAAUAACAGUUCCUAAAAGUUCUGGAAGUGUUAUCAAAACAUAGAUUUCUCUUCAUCAUGUAAAAAGAAUUGAGAAAAAAUGAGCAUAAGGAAACACUUACGUGAGCCAAUCAAUGGGAUCUAACUUCUGCGAAAGAGAAUAAAUCAACCCAUCAAUGCGUUCUCUAAUAAAAGACUUUGUCUGAAUUUGAUCCUGCUUCCUUUUGAAUGAUGAUUUAGACUUUGGUGUGCUAGAAAACUCUUCAUUCACAUUGAAAUCACCCCCAGAAAGAACAUCAGCAGCAAAUCUUAUGUCUAACAAGACCUGCAAAAUUCCUUUCUCUGACACUUGAGCUCCACAUGCCUCUCUAGUAGAGAGAAAGUUUUCGUAAAUAGAAAUUACCUGCAUGAUCAAAGCACAAAAUGAAGAAAAACAUAAGUACCAAACACUCUUAGCAACUGGACCUAGUAUAGCAUAUUUUCCCACUAAGAAUAUAGCAAACAUAAAUUAGAGCUAGUCAAAGUUUUUGAAAAGAAACCAGAUUAAAAGAAUACACCAUAUGAAACUUAUCAAGAUAGAUGCAUAAUUUACUUCUUCAUUUAAAGAAAUCAUUUACUACUUCACACAGAUGUAAUCACCAAUUAAUUUGCUUUGUAAAGGAUCUAGAUAAAACUUGUAUAUUCUUUUCAAGUGAAUUUUUAGGAAAAUCAUAGUUGUCAAUGCUGUAUAUCAAGAGUGUAUCACUUAUGGCAGAAUCAACCUCAAAGAAACCAACUCCACAACCACACUCGCCCUUCCCCACCACCAAAGAGAGAGAGAAAGAGAGAACACAAAAACACAAAAUAAAAAGAAUAGACCUCUCAGCAGUGGCACAAAGCAAGUGGACCAAAGUAAAUACAUAAAAGUAACACCAUAUUUCUCAAGAGAACUACAAGUCAUAAGUCCAUUGUGCCUGUAUACUCGAAAGACACUCAUUUGCAAUCAACUGCUUUAACCCCAAUCAAGAAUUUUUAAAUCCAAGAUUAAUAAUUUUGUUACAUAAACAAGGGCAACAACAGAAGACCUGCAUACAACUCCUAAAUCAUUCUAAGAAGUCCAAACUAAACAAGUAAGUUGGACCAAAGCACUAUUUAAAUUGACACAGAAUUUUUUAAAAGCCUUAAGGGUAUUACCAUCAUUAUAUAAGUAGGCAAACCAUACAACAGCAAUGACUAGUCAACCAAAAGAAAACUUGCAGAUUUUUUUUCUUUCUUCUCAUUUCUUUUCUUUUCUCCAUUGAACAUCACCUCAUAUCAGCACAGCUCAAAGCAAAACAACUUUGCAGACACAGACUCUACUCUACAAAACUCAAAACUAUCUUCUUCUCCUAAUGUGAAUACCAACUUUAUGAUUACAAAAGUCAUGCUGAGCAUUAACAAGGUCAUACUCAUUGAUGCAUAGCUUAUCCGAUAAGAAGCAGAUACUAUUCAACCAGUACCUUAGUAAUUAGUAUCAAUGACCAAGUAUUCAAAGGCCAAAUGCCUGAAAAUCAGAGUAGAACCAAAUAUAUAUAUAUAUAUAUAAAACGUAAAAUAAGUAAAAGCUUCAAGAGGAAAAGGAACUAGAAUGAAGAAAGGUGAAAGGAAUUUAAGGAGGCAACAAACAAAUGAAAAGCCAGAGGAGAUAAGAAAGGCAGAGGCUGAGUUUAAUCAGUUCUGCUUUGCAUGGUUUAAGGAAGAAGCUGAAUAGAUGAAUUUUCAACACAAGAAGUAGGUGCGCAUUAUUCUUCUUCUACUCUGGGAAAAGUACCCUUUAGUUUCCCAUUGUGAUAAAGAAAAACAUAUAUUAGAUCAAAACUAUGAUUCCUGUUAUAGGAGGAAGGGGACACAGUAAUGCUGUUUGGAAUAUAACGUCAGACAAAAAAAAUAUUUAAGAGGCUGCGGAAAAGUAAUGAUGUCAAAUAGGCAUAAAGAGAAUUCAAAAAUAGUCUAACCAUGAUCCACUGUUGCACUAGAAAACAAUUCGAUAUGCUCAAACUUGUUCCCAUGACAUGGCAAUAUACCAUGCAUCAAAGUAAAGUCAAUCAUCUUGAAAGGUGGUGAACGGGUUAUAGAUCAUAUAUUGUUAAUUAUGUGAAGAAAAGAAUGGUAUACAUUCACAUAUUAGUGUAUGAUUUAUUAAGCACAUAAGCAUUAAAAAAAUGUAAAGGUAAAUUAUUACUAAACUUCUAUUUCAUUACAACCUACAUUUUAUAAUUUCUCUUUUUUACCUGCUUUAAGGAUAGUAUGUGGUUAUCUUUAUGUUUAGCAUACUUAAAUUUCUCCAUGCAUACAUUAUAGGCUCACAGUUACACGGUCUCGUUUAUUCAAAGGAAAGAGAUCAUAAGGCAACUUUUGACUGAACAGACUCAAACUUAAUAUUCUUUCAGCUCUAAUAAUCCAUGGAUUGAUUUAAGUUAAAAACCUGAGAAAUAACACCUCAAAGCUUGGUUUCGUUUCAUGUUAACCCAAGUGAAACCAGAAUAGGUCGCAAUCCAAGUAUUGCAUAUUAAAAAUUGCAACAGAAAAUCAGAUGGAAAAUCCCAAUCUUAAUAUGCAUCGAGAUGCCAAAAUUCAAGAAAGUAGAGACAUCAAAAGGCAUUUAUCAAAGGAACUGCGAAAAAAAAAGCUUGCCAAGGGAUGUGAGUUGAGAAACUAUGAUCUAACAAUCUGGACCCAAUAAUCAACAGCUAGAAAAAUUAAACCAUCAAUUAAAGCAUGAAUGUACAUGUUUACAAGAAAAUUAAUUUGGAACUAAGAACAUCAAGAAAGCAAUAAAAGUACACCCAGCAUUGUUAAGUUAAGCAGAAUAUAAACAAGAUUGUUGUAGAGUUCCUGGAAUAACCAGCAAAUACGAAUAAGCAGUUAUACAAAGCAGACUUCGUACCUUUUCUAUAAGGCUUAAUGCAAACUUUUGCACAAUUGAUUUGUCAAGAACAUGGCCUCCAAUACGAUGAAUUUCUUCACAUGCUCGACAUAAGAAGGACAUCACAUAAAGAGAAGGCAUAGAUGGGAGUGAUAUUUUCAUCUCUGAUGACCCCUCAUCAGACUGUUCUUGCUUAACAACUGUCUCUUCCCAGCCCUGUGAAGCAACUUGUAGUUUCGAACUUAGUAUGCAUAUAAGCAACAACUUCCAUUCCACAAACAAACCAUACUCAUUUCAAUAAAGAUUACUUUAUAUAGCAUAAAUACCAGUCAAGCCUCAGUAUGAGUGUUAGAAAGUUUUAAAGCCACCUGACACAAGGCAAAGUGCAAUACUUUUCUCAUGAUUUCGCCUUUACAAGAUACUAAAAUUUCACGUGUUUUCUUGAAAUAUUGCAAUGGACUAAUUUGAUGUGUUCGUAAAUCAUAUUUGGAAUUCUACAUACCUAAGAGAAAAUGUAAAACAUAAAAUUUAUAAUGAGAUGUGUAUUAGCAUGUGUGUGUGAGCACUCAAGAAUAUAAAUCUUGCAUAUAUAAAGGAAAUACGGUCAGGAAAAAUGCCAGAAGAGUCAAGAAGUUGAAGGAACAACUCAAGCAUUGCCAAAGGUACACUCACAUCCACCCCAGAUGAAGCACAACGGAGCCUCCAAAGGUUUUUAGAAAGCAUGCUGCAAAUGAUUCUAGAGAGUUAAUUUGGCACGUCCACUUGUGAAAAGCUUAGUUGGACUUUGCAUACUUUAUUUGUUGCUCUUAAAUCUUAGAUUAGUUUUAAAGUUGUAAAUUCAUAUUUUACUCUAUUUUCUUGAGAUUUAAGCAUCAACCAUAUAAUCAUAACUUUCUUGUUUGCAGGGAAUUUCAGAUUUUUUGUCUAGGAUCUUAGUUUGGGUUUCCUUAUGCUAUUGGGUUUUGUUUCAAGUUAAGUUUGUUAGUUUUUGAUUUGGAGUCUUAAGUGUUUGUUAAAGCCCUCAUUGGACGCUGUAUAAAUAUCAAUAUAUAAUUAUUUAUGUGAUAAGGAAUGCUAGGAGUAUUAGUUCUAAUGGAAUUAGGAACACUAGGAGUCUAUAUUAAUAUCAAUGUACUCUUUUUAUCAGAGAUAGAGAAUAGAAUCAGAAAAGGUCUAACAUUAUCGCUUUUGUGAUUGUGUGAUGCAAUCAAUCGCAGGUGUGACUCCAAAGGAAACCUAUGUGUGAAGCAUAAUGGAUUCCUCCAAUCAACCUUAUGUGUGACCCCUAAGGAAGCUUAGGUGUGAAACAUACGGAUUUCUCUUUAUUCAAUUUUUCAUGUUUUCAAAAGAAUUUCACGUUACAAAAUUGCCAUAAAUUCCGAUCACCUAGGGUAUGUUUAGGAUUGCUUUUGUUUUGUGCUUUAUGUUUCUGUUUUCACAAAAUUAGAAAAUAAAACAGGAAGCAUGUUUGGUGAUCCAUGAUGGAAUGUUUUUGCUUUCAAAAUUAUCCAAAACAGCAACAAAGUUACGGAAAUUGUAGGAAACAAAACAUUUCUUGUUUCCUACAAUUUUAAGAACAUGUUUUAUAAAAAACAGAGUCAGCAAUGGAUUUUUAAGUGUUCCGGCUUUCAAAUAUCAGGCAUGACACCCUCUAUCCACUUCUUAGAGAAUUCACUCUCUCUCUCUCUCUCUUUUUUUUUUUGUUCCUUCACCUGGCAAAAGGCAACAAGGACCUCCAUUAUUCGUUCUUUAUUAUUUCAGAUUUCUUCUCUGUCGUUCCUCCAAUCCCUCAGUUGCUUGUCCAAACUCUAUUCCUUCAGCAAUGAAGCUCUCACCCUACUUAAAGGGCUUUAGUCUUUAAGUAAAUGUUUCUCUAUUCUUUUGCUUCCCAAGCUUUUUUUUUUAUCAACAAAAGGAAAAGGAUAUACGUUUCUGAUAGAUCUUGUCAAAAGUUUUCAUUUGAAUCCUAAGGGCAUUGUUUGGUAACCAGGAAAAUAGCUUCAAGUCAUUUUCCACAUUUUAUGAUGUUUGAUAGACAGAAAAUGAUAUGGUCAAAGGAAUAUCACUUGUGAGUCAGAAGAAAAGAGCCCAAAAAAAGAAGACAAUUCCCAAGCCUUUCUGCUACAACAAAGCUCAGUUCCUUUCCCCUUCAUAGCCCUUACUACCAGCUGCCACCCUCAUGACCAACCACCAACAACCACAAUAGAGCAAAAUUCUGUUCUUCCUCCGAUCUCUCUCUUCCUCUUGUUCUUCAUAUCAUGACCCAAAUGCCCUAUGAAUCUCUCGGUUUUCCUUCAAUCUCCACCCUCAUUCACCACAGACCUUCCCUUGGCACCUCAAAAGCAACCCCUGCGAAUGGGUUUGAACCAAGCUCACCAAACCAGAACCUGAGACAUUGGCCAAAAAAGCAAAAGAGCCACCACUUGAAACAGCAAUGCCCUAUUCCAGUCAAGACAACAUGUUUUCUCUUCUCUUUUUUUCAAAAUUUGCUACUUCUAGAUAAUUUUCAUUUUGAGAAUUUUUUUGGGUUUUGAUAUCUAAAAUGGGUAUGAUGGAAUUUGUACUGGUCCUGCAGGAUUUUAGUAUGAUCAAGAAACAUUUACAACUUUUGGGUUUGUCAUUUGUGGAUGAAGAAAUGGGUGUCAUUAUUUGGUUUUUCCCUUUUAAAAUGCUAAUUUAUUGUUCUCGAUAAUAAUAUUUCAUCGUUGAUGUUGAACUGCUUGCUCUUAUUUGACAUGAAAAAUAUUGACAAAUUUGGGUGUAGAGAAAAAUUUGAAUACUUUUCCUAGCAUACUAUGUUGAUGACAAUACCAAAUGACCACUAGCUGUCCUACAUCAAUCACAUAAGUCAGACAAAACUAUCACGAGUAAAUGUGAUAAUUCCCCUUUUGAAAAUCAUUACUGCUAAAUCAAAAUAAUAAAAAGGAAGUUCCCACAAGAGUACACCCCAUUCCAACUACUUAUGCUGAUUACUGACUAGCACUUGAAGUUUACACAUCCAUCUUCCAAAAAUAUAACAAUUGAAUAGACCAACCAAAACAUGUCAAAGAAGCACCUACAAGAUCUUGAAAACACCUUACCUCAAUUUUCAUUCUACCGUUUGAUCCAUCAUUAAAAGAAACAAAUCUCUGCCAUUAAAAGAGCCCAGAGCUAUUCAAAAUAUAAUUAAAAAUGACCUCUCUAUGUCAGAAAACAUCCAACAAGGAGCUGCCAAAUCAAACAAGGCAAGUUAGGGGAGUGACAAGGGGAAGAAUUAACCAACUUAUGGAGUACAAAAUGGUUCUGGUUUUGGUAACUUCUAAGGCAGGCCACAAGUCACAGAUUCAAUGUUUUGGUUGCAGUAAACAAGGGCAUACCUCAUAUGCUUGUCCAUUUAGAAGGGUCAAUCUUGCAGAAUGUGAAGAAGGCUUAGAAAAAUUAAAAGCCACUUCAUGAUGAUUUUAAUGAAGACCACAAGGAAGUUUUGAUGUUUAUCCAAUUCAAGGAGAGUCACUGGUAGGGGAGGAAGAUAUGCUUAGUUCAGAAAAAUUACAGAAGCUGGCUGGAGUUAUCGGCCAUUGGAAGAAACUCUUGUGGAUUCCGGUUGAGCGCUAUAGAAACAAUGGAAUCUUCUAACAUUUUAUUGACCUAAUAAAACAGAUAUUAGGUAACAUUUUAUUGACCUCAUUGGGAACCUAAUAUGCUAGUUACUGGAAUGCCUUCAUUGCAACGAGCACAAAUGAAAAAAACCAAUUGAGGAGUUGCUUACCAAGGAUUUGGUAUAGGAGAGUAAAAUAGCCCAGAAGACACCAAAGGGGUGCUGUGAGUGGUUAGUGAUACCGUUUGGUCUCUCUAAUGCUCUAAGGGCACGUUUGGUUCGUGGAAUAGACAAGAAUAGAAUAGAAUAGUUAUUCUAUGGGAAUAGAAUAAAGUAGGAAUAGAAUAAAAUAGCUAUUACUUUGUUUGGUAUUGUGAAUAAAAUAAAGCAAGAAUUGCUAUUAUGACUUAUUGCAAUGUUUGGUUGAUAGAAAUAAGAUUGGAAUAAGAAAAGAAUAGGUGAUAAAAAGGCAGAAAUAACCUUGACCAUAUUAACAUUUAUUUUCAUAUAAAAAUCCAAUUAUCCUUAUUAUAAUUUAAAUAUAUAUUUAUCCCAAAAGACAAUUAUCUAUCAUAAUUAUAUUUUAUCCCAAUUGCUAAAAAUAAUUAUAAUUUACUCAUAUUUUUAUCAAUGAAUAAUAAUUUUAAAAUAUAAUUUAAUUAUAUUAUAUUUUAUCCAUCAUAAUCAAUUAAAUUUUGUGUAUAGAUGUUUAUUUUUGUGCCUCAUCAUAAUGACUAAAUUAAACAAAAUUGUAUAUGAAAGGGACUAUAUUGAAUAAAAUUGAGAAGUACAUGGAGUAAGUUGAACAAAAUUCAAGAGUACCUGUUAAUGCUCAAUUUUACAAUAAUUUGUCCAACGUGGAAGUUAAUGUUGAUAACUAUUAAUUUAUCUAUCUAUUUAUAUGUAAAAAAUUAUUAAUAAAAACAUAAUACUUUUAUUUAUUUUAUUUUUAAAUUGUCAUUUUAAAUAAAUAUUAUUGGUUAUAUUUUCAAUAACAACUAUAAAUUAAUAGUGAUAAAAUUUAUCUGAAACAACCCCUGUACACAUCAUAAGUCCAAAAAACCAACACCCCACAGGAAGGCCACUGUACUCCCCCUCCAGGAAAACAAAAAGAAAUCCCAGAAAAUUGCAGUCACCCAUGGAACAAGAUAAACAAAAACAUCCUUGCCUCCCAGAGCCAUACUCUCCCAAUCCAACAGAGCAAAAGAGGGAAGAUAACAACAAAAUAAAAAACAGCGAAAAAACGCAGACAAGAGAAUCAAGACUCAAUAACACCCAUGACCCCCAAUCAGACUGAAAGCCGAGUUAACAAAACUGAACCUGUCCACCACACUCACGAUAAAAGAACAGAAACUAGAACACUCUUAAUAUCUCACUCUGAAGAUGAAUGGUAGAGCGGCGGAGAGAAAGAGGGGAAGAGCGGGGAAGAGAAAGAGGGGAAGAGAGGAAGAGCGGCGGAGAGAAAGAGGGGAAGAGCGGCUGAGAGAAGAGGGAAAGGAGGAUGAGAGAGAAAAAAAUUGUUUUAUAUGGAUCAAGUUGUAAUUUUGUAAAUCUAAUAAGGGUAUUUUAGUCAUUAAACAUUUCAAAGCUAUUCCAUGAUUCACGGAAUAGAUAAAACCAAGGAGAGAGUUGGGAAUACUUAAAGUAGACUUUUCCCCCAUUUUAAGGAAUACCGACUACUGAGGAAUUCCUAUUCCUCAUUCCACUUUUAAACCAAACAAGGUUACAAACUAUAGCUGGGAAUAGAGGGGGAAUAGCAUACCAAACGUGCAGUAAGUACAUUCAUGCAAAUAAUGACUAAGUGUUUUUCUUGUGUUACAAGAUUGUAUUUUGGGAUUUAUUGUCUUGGAAGAUGGACUAAAACCAGAUUCAGGGGAAAGUGUGUGCCUAUUGGAAAGUGGCAACCACCUAAAUCAAUCAAAGAAAUUCAAAGGUUUUCUUUUAUUUUGGGGGAGGGGGGAUUUGAACUGCACAUUGAGUGGGAGUUUACAUGCACCUACCAUUGAGUAAAAUGCCCAGGUGCAAGUUGAAAGGAUUGAUGGGUUAGCUUCAUCGUAUAGAAGGUUCAAGGAGUUUCUGUUUCAUUAUGAGCCAUAUCUCUAAAUGCUUGAAGAGGGACAGCUUUGAGUUGCCAAAUUCUGCACAAAGUGCUUUUAUACAGAUUAAGCUUUUGCUGACAAAGGCACUAGUUUCUGUACUAUCAGAUUUUGUGAAGUUAACUUUUGUAGAGUGUAAUGCGUUGAAAGUUGAAACUAGAGCUGUUUUUAGUUGAGACGGGAGGUCAAUGGAAAUAGUAACGAGCAAGUUACUGGUUUUCAAGAACACAAAAUUCAGUAGUCAAAGUGAUCAUUAUUUCAACCAUAUUAUGAAGGAAUUGUAUAAAUCUGCUGGUAAGAAUACUUGGAUUGCAAAAUAUGAGCUGAAAAUGACUAAUCCAGAUAUCUUACAUUAAAGCUACCAAAGUUCUCACUAAUGAGGAAGGCUUUUGUCAACCCGAGGAGAUUGAUGCAGUAGCAUUCCACAGUUUAUCUCAAUUGGUUAUCUUGAUAUGUGUUCUGUAUGUUUGCUGCUUAAUUAUUUAAUGAUUAGUAAUAUGCUUGUAUUUUAUUAAGAGGUCAUGUGACUAAGAUGUGAUCUCUUAAUAAGUUUGAAAGGCUGGUAUUAGAUGGGAUUUAUGUGUAUCAAAGAGCUAGGAUUAAAAGCUGUUGUAACCCUAAAAUGGACACAACAAGGAGCAAUACUAUUAUGGAAUAUUAUCCGUUAUUGAUUCUAUAACCCUAAACCUAACUAUCUUGUUCAACUUUUAUUUUAUAUCAAUAUGCCUUCAAUUCUGGUUUUGUUCAAUCAUUGUGGUUUUCUUUUUAUUUGUUUCCACUUUCUGCAUAUUUUACAAAGCAUAUCAUUUCAUAGCAAGCAGCCUUGAUAAAAUGGAGAUUUCAUUCUGAAAGUGUUUAUGCAUUUGAUGAAAUGUUGGUCCUAGGAUUAGCUUUAGUUGAUUUCUGUAAUUGUGCCCGUUGCCACACGAUGCUAUCAAGUUAUAUUACUACAGCACAUUAACUGACAAUUUUUUUGAAACAGAAGAACCAACCUGAAUCAGAACAUGUUCUAAUCAAAAGCGAAAUCUCUACAUUCAUUACUAAAAGUUAAACCAGAACAUAUAAACAUAAAAAGUAAAAGAUAAAAAGAAUGCUUCAAAAGGGAUAACUCAGGCGGAGACAUAAACUCAUAUGCAGGGAGCAAUCUCGAAGUAGAAGAAAAGAACCUUUUUUUUCCCCCAAUGAUAAAGUUUCAGCAAAACUCAUUUUAACCAUGACAAAGAAAUCUAUGCGUUUCUUUUACAGGUAUAAGCCUGUUUUCUAGGUUACUGACAUGCAAACAAACAGAAAGGAAAAGAGAGAAUAAAGAAGUGGCCCAGUAAAUGCUUACCCUUAAGGGGGCUGUUGCAGAUAAUCCAUCAUCUUGUUCAAGCUCCAGAGAGAGAAUAAGUGAAAGCCCAUCAGAUAGCCAUGACAUCCACAAGCUGUAAGCUCUGAUGCAGAGCUCUCGUGUAAUCUUACGAAGUUCAUCAAGUUUUGGGCUUGCACUUUCAUUUGCUCCGAGCAAUGCAGCAGUAGCAGCUGAACUUUGCCUCUGAGAGCUAGUGACCAUUUGCAUUCCAAGGCUGUCAGAGACAGGAGAAUUGGUGGCAGCUCUAGACAGCCACAACAAGGAAGGUAGCUUCUCAAAAACUGCAGGCACUGUGUACUUCACCCAGAACCGUGGAGAACCAAGAAUCAAAGGAAUGUGUUUAGAGUAGUUCUCAAAUGCAAACAAGAGUCGGCCAAUAAAAAGAGAUCUCUCAACAAUUAUAGGAGGAGGCACUGAACCACCUUCCUUAUGUUCACUUUCAAUGGAACUGUAUAAAAAAUCAAGCUCAGUUUUGAGUUCUUUCAAUAUCAUUGACACGCUGUCAUAACAUUUCUUCUGCAGAUAUGGAACUAGAUCCUUCAACCUCAGAGAUGCCUUGGCAGACUCUAAGAAACUCAAUAGAUCCUCAAGAAUACUUUGGCAGCAGCUGUCCACUCCAUCUCUAAUUUGACUCACUUCAAGACCAAAGUAGGCAUUGAGACAACUUUGGAAAUUAUCUUCCUCGGGCAAUGCUUUAUUUCCCAAUAGUGGACCAGGCUUCUUAACAUUAUUAGGCUCUGUAAACCAAACCCCACCACUUGUAGAAGGCCUAUUCAAAUAUGCCUGAAAAUCCAUCUUCUCACCAGCAGCCACCCCAAUAGUGUGGAUCACGUCUGACACGUUGACAGCUCUGGUCAGAUCCUCAAAUCCUGAGUCAAUAAUCACUUUCAUCCUCCUAACAAAAGCAUCUUCAAAUAUCUCAUCCCAAAGAUCCAAAUCACCUUCCAAAACAAGUUCUCGGAUCCUAUUCCAAGGCAACUCAAUCUCAGACCCAAAAACACUUUUAAGCCAUUCCAAACUCCCCUCCAGAACCUCCUUACUGUCCAUUGUCUGCCUUAUCAACUUCUCAGCCGUUCCAAGGUCUUGGCCACUAGGUAUGGCAUCGAGCAGAUACCUUCCAUUAAUCUUACUGACGAUCUGUGUUCCACAAUCCCUCAACCACCUCAAACAAGUGUUAGAAAUGAAAGUUUUAUGGAGCAUAACUGUUACAGAUUCUAAUUUAUCCCUGAAAGAUUUCCACAACCUGACCUCAUCAUCAGGAUUUGGGAUCCCACCGAACAACUGAGAAGCAGGGGGAGAACCCAAAAUAACCUUAUAAAAGAGAGGCAUAUCAUUCAAAACAUGCAAAAACAAUUCCCCUACCUGCGCUAUGCUAACCUGAAUUAUGCUCAAAAGGUCACAAAACACGGAAAUGGCAAUGGAAGAGGUAGCAUCAGCAUUACCAGCAGAAGCAGUCAAUGUGUGCAAUAUCCAAGUCUUUCUGGUUUCAAGAAACAACCCCAGCACCUGCUCUGGAUCCAGAUCAUCAAUUACAGCAACGGCAGCCAAGGCAUCUGCAUAAGCAGCGACGGGCAGGCCCCGAUCCAUCAACCUCUCGCGACUUCUCUGCGAAAUCUGAGCCUUGAAGCUCUCAACGAUCUGCCACUGGUGCUGAAGCAGAGGGAAAUUGGACAAGAUGUUGUUGUGAUCCAAAUCACGAUUGGGAAGCAUCAAGUUGGAGUGGACGUGCUUGGCACGGACAUACCUGGCGGCCGCCUCCAAGAACAUGGACUCGUCGAGACAGCCCCAGAUGUUCUCCGGGGUGUCCACCAGGUACUUGACGCGGCAAGCGAUCCCAUAGAUGCGGAGGCGAGUAGUAGGGUUAGGGGUUCGGAGUUUAGGGGAUGGAGCUUCCGAGACGGAGAGGGAGAGGGAGCAGAUGGAAUGGUGGAUGGAGGAGAUGUUGGAGGAAAUCGACUCGGAUGCCGAUUUCAUUAGGAGGAUGGAGUCUGCCGAGUCAAUGAGGUCACGGUAGCGGGUGCCAACCAGCUGCCGGAGCUCCUCCUUCUUGUCUUGGAUCUGUUUGUUGGUGGCGGAUUCCACAUUGCGGAUUUCGGAGAUGGGGUUAGUGCGGAAGAGCGAUUCGGCGUCUCGAUCAUCCCCGGAGCCUGAGGAGAAUCUCAUUCUCAUUUCGGAUAACAAUAAAUCCUCUCAAUUUUGGAUGCCCCUGCCUCCGUUAAUCUGACUCUAACCAAGCAAACAAGUACUGAUACGCAUUUUGUUUUUCGAGUUUUUUUAUUACUUAUUCUGGGAAAAAUGUGAUGUGACUCGCCCUGCGUUUUUGGUAUGCUUCUCCCGGGACCUCAUGGCGAUAGGUGAGUCGUCAGAUCGUGCGUUUGCCUACGGCUCCAAACGUAACAACGUUUGGGUCUUUCCUUUCCAUGAGAUGACAACGUUUACCCAAAAACAAUUACGGUAAGCUAUCUCUAUCUCUCCAAAAAUUACACCCAAAGGUUAUAAUAUGAUUACUUAUAUUGUAAUGGUUUUAUUGUAAAAUAAAUAUUAUAAUUUAAUUUAAUUAAGUAUAUUACAAAAAAUAUACUCUCAAUUCCCUUAUACCAAACACUAGCUAAGUUUUAAUUAUAAUUCACUCUUGGUUUAUUUGAAUUGAAAAUAAACAUCAUAUAUUGAAAAAUAAAAUAUGGCUGAAAGCGCUUUCCUAAACUAGCAUUGCUUGAUGAUCAAUUGCACAAGAAAGUCCAAAUAUGCAAGCCUAUAGUGGGUGAUUCAAUGAACCAUACUCCAUUGGUUGUUCACAACAACCCUCCAGGACAUGCUCCUUAGUUCAAAUGGUGAAGAAGCCUAUUCCCAAAGUGACAACAAAUCUUUUGAGGAUUCAAAAGAUGAUAAAGAGUCUAAGAUGGAUUGUGACUCAUAUGAGUCUGAUAAGAAGGAUUUUGAAUAUGGCUCCAUCAAAGGGUUUCCUACAAUCACGGUUUCUGAUUAGAGGCAGUAUGCAUUAGCAAAGAGAUGGCAUAACUCAAUUAUUGUACGACUGCUAGGUCGCCCAAUUUCAUACCUAAUACUUUGCGAGAAAGUUGCUAAUCUUUGGAAACCAAUAAGAAGAUACACUAUUGUGGAUUUGGAUGACAACCAUUUUAUUGUCCACUUUGUGAAAAGGGAUGAUUACUUGAAAGCCUUGUUAAAUGGACCAUAGUUAAUUAUGGGGUCUUACCUAAUUGUUAAUCCCUAGACGCUUAAUUUUUUAACAGAUAAGCAAAAACUCACUACCGCUGCGGCUCGAGUUCAGUUCCUAACAUUCCGUUUCACUUGUAUCACAAAUCAAGUUUUAGGCGAGUUACCUCUUUGAUUGGAUGUCUGUUGAAAAUCGAUUAUAAUAUAGGCUCUGAAAAGAUAGGUAAGUUUGCCAGUGUGGCUGUAGAGCUUGAUUUGUCAAAGCCCUUUGUGUCAAAAUUCUUCCUAAAUGGUAAAGAACAGUGAAUUGUUUAUGAAAGAUUGCCUAGGAUUUUUUUCACAUGUGGUGUCUAUGGGCACACCAAAAAAGUCUGUACUAAUAAAAAAGAGGCCUCGAAAGUGACGGAAUGAGGUUAUUUAGAAUAGACUAAGGAGAAAUUAGAUGAAUCUCCUUAUGGCCCUUGAAUGCUUGUCUGGCGUAGAAAACCAUGAAGAUUGGACAAAAAGUAGUCAAUUGGAAAUCAAAGCUUAAAGGGACACACUAGCUCUGGUUCACUGUUUUUGUAUCAGAGGAGGAGAAUUUGAAAGCCUUAAGCCUAGUGACAAUGGUGUGGCACUAGUGUCUGAUGAAGAAGCGAUGAAGAAAUCUAGUUGGUUGCUAAGUCAAAAAGAUUUAAUGAGGCCAACCAAAGAAGAAUAAUAAGGUGCUUUCUAGUGGUGCCAAAUUUAAUGAGGAAUUGAGCCAACCUAUGGUAAUUUUGAAUGCUAAUAAUGGGGCGAAUAAUGACACCAAAUCAAUGACAAUGCAAAACCAACUCUUUGAAUGAUGACAUUUUAAUUGGGAAGGAUAGUCACAUGGAGGAACUAGUAGCAUGGACAUAGUGCAAGGAGAUUUAGUGCAAGAUGGUAGUAAUAUUAUGGCUGGGUCUCUAUCUCAAACCAAUUUGACUUAGUUGCAAGUGGAUAAAUGUGUGCCAACUACUACCACAUUGGAUUGAAACAAGCAUUCAAUGGUCAAACCUACUAAUAGUUCAGGUCCAAGUAAUGCUAUGAUUCAACCACCUCAUACUUGAAAUCCAAGAAUUGUUAAAGUAGAAAUGUAUAGAGAAAACAUUUUAUCAAAAGGUAUUGAUAAACCACUAGAUAGAAGUGGCCUCAUUUGUUUGCAACUGUUUUCUUUAAAAAAAAGCUCAAGCAAAAUAUGGUGGAUCUUCAAGCCACACAUCUAUUUUUUCUCUAUAUGAGGAGAAGAAUAAAAUUGUUGGUAAUCACUCAAAGGAUGGGAAGUUUGAACCCUUAUAUAGUUUGGGGACUAGUAUUGCAUGUCUAGCAAAUAUAUUUGGUUGAUGCUAAUAAUGAAGUUGCUUAAACCUUACCUCUUGUUAUUUUAUAUUAUUAUGAAUAUGAAGCUUUUCAUUUGGAAUUGUCAAGGUGCUAGAGAUAAGGGCUUUCCUCAAAUUGUUAAUGAUUUUGUUAGAAUGGAUAACCCUUCAAUUACGAUUUUGCUAGAAUGUAGGAUUUGUGGUGCAAUAGCAGAUAAGGCUAUUAAUUCUCUUAGCUUUGGAAAAACACAUAAAGUUGAAGCUUCUGGUUUCUCUGAGGGCAUCUAGUUGUUGUGGAAGGACCAUUUGUAGGUUUCAGUGAUCCAUAAUCAUCUUCAAUGUAUCCAUUUAGUCAUAAAUUAUGUUUCAGGUUCUUAUUGGUUGUUAACAACUGUAUAUGGACAUCCUAAUAACAAACUUCGUAAAGCCCUAUAGACAAAACUUUCUCAUUUUGCAAAAAGUGAGAUAAAACUUGGUUUUUAUCUAGGGAUUUUAAUUCUUUUCUUUUUUCUUAUGAGAAGAUGGGUGGCUUAACACAUAAUAGCAAGCCUUUUCAGCAUUUUUAGAGAUUUAUUAAUGAUUUUGGUUUAAUUGAUCUUGGUUUUAGUAAGCCAAAAUACACUUGGAUGAGAGGUUUGGUUUCUAAAAGGAUUGAUAAGAAGCUAUGUACUAUCGAUUGGAGAUUAUAGUUCAACAAAGCCAUUGGUCAACAUUUACUCCAAAUUAAAGCUAACCAUAGGCCAUUGUUGAUUUCGUUAGAGGUGGACAGAUAAUUGAAUCUCAAGGUUUCAGCUUUAGGCAGCUUAGAUCUCCCAUUCAGGGUUUGGUGACUUUAUCAAACAAAGUUGGGAUUCUUCUUGUGAUAUUCAAGUUGUUAUGGAUAAAUUCUCUGACAUGGCUUGACAAUUGAAUAAGGAGGUCUUUGGGAGCAUCUUCAAUAAAAAGAAAAAGCUUCUAGCAAGAUUAAGAGGCAUUGAAAAAACUUUGGAGGUUUGGUCUUUUAGAUAUUUAAGGGAAUUGGAACUGAAACUGAUAAAGGAGUAUGAAUUGAUCUUCUAACAGGGAAAAGCAUAUUAGAUGCAAAAAUCCAAAGCAAACUAGCUUAAACUUGGUGAUAAGAAUACCAAAUAUUUUCACCUUCAUGUAAUCUGUAGAAAAAUCAAGGCUAAAAUUUUACAACUCCAUGGUGUGGAUAGAAUGUGGCUUAAGGGUCAUGAUGCAAUUAGAUUACAUGUAGUUAUUUUUUUAGACAAUUUUAUACUAGGGAUGUCAUAGUGCCUUAGUAUAUCCCAUUAUAGGUAAAUUCCCUACUCUUGCACCUAAAGACUAUGAAACCUUGGCUUAGCCGAUUUGUGAAAAGGAAGUACAUGAUGCCUUAUUUGAAAUGAAGCCUUUGAAAGCAUUUGGGAUUGAUGGUAUACAUGCCUUAUUUUUCCAAAAUCAAUGGAGUGUGGUGGGUUAUAGCAUCAUUAGGUAUGUACAGAAUGUGCUUGAAGGUGGUACGAUUGGAAAUGAUUUAUGUAGGUAUCUAUUUGUCUUAAUACCAAAAAUGGUGUCUCUUGAAUAUAUCUCAUAAUAAAGGCUAUUAGUUUAUUAUCUAUCAUUUUCAAAGUUUUGAUGAAGGUAAUUACUAAUAAGUUGUGACCAUAUAAGAAUGCAUUGACUAAAGAGACACAAGCUAGCUUCAUUUCGAAACGGUUGAUCAUUGAUAAUGCCAUAGUGGCCCAAGAAUUGAUGCACUCCUUUAGGAAGGAAAAAGGUAUAGUGGGUUGGAUGAUGUUAAAGAUUGACUUGGAAAAGGCUUACGACAAACUCUGUUGGGAUUUUAUUAAUGACACAUUGAUUAAAGCAAGAGGACUAGUAAGAUUAUUGAUGUUUUAAUUAACAGUUGGAGAUAUUCCAAUUCUCAGAUCCUAUGGAAUAGGGUUCCUUCUAAGUUUUUUGUUCCUUCUAGAAGGGUGCGAUAAGGAGACCCGCUUUCUCCAUAUUUGUUUCUUUCAUGCAUUGAAAGAUUAUUGCAUGGUAUUAAUGAAGUAGUGUCACAAGGAGUAUGGAAACCAAUUAAAUUAGGUCGACGAUGUCCUCCCUUGUCUUGUUUAUUCUUUGUUGGUGAUCUAAUUCUUUUACAAAGGCUUCAGUGUCCUAGAUGAAGGUGAUCAGAGGAGUGUUGGAUGAUUUUUGUGUCUAUUCAAGAAAAAAGGUUAAUGUUCAAAAAUGUUCAUUUUGUUGUUCUACAAAUGUGUCAAGUGAGUGCAUUGAUAAUUUAAAAGCUUGUUCAGGAUUUAAUUAUUCUGAAAUUCUGGGUACCUAUCUUGGGGUUCCUUUAUUCCAAGGAAGAAAAGGGAUUACAUCCUUUAAUUAUUUGGAGGAUAAGGUGCGAAGUAAGUUAAGUGCUUGGAAGGCUUUUUCACUUUGUUUUGCAGGAUGACUCACAUUGGUGACAUUAGUUUUAACCAUUAUCCUGUACUAUGUGAUGCAAACAGCAUCAAUUCUGCUAGAGUGUUGUAAGCGAAUUGAGAAAUAUUGUCGUAAUUUUCUUUGAGGUGGUGAUUUUCAUAAUAAGAGAGUCCACUUGACUUAAUGGAAUGAGAUAUGCAGACCAAAGGAAGAAAGAGGUAUGGGGGGUGGUGAAAAACAACACUUAAUAAAUAAAGCUUUUUUUUAUGAAAUUGGUAUGGCACCUAAUGACCCAUACUAAAUCUUUAUGGAUUCAUAUUCUCAGUGGCAAAUAUGAUUUUUAUGUUGAUUGGCAGCCUAUUUCAAUUUAUUGUCAUGGCGUAUCUCACCUUUACAACUCUUGGAGCAAAUUAUUGGGAUCUUUCAAGGAAAAUGUAUGGUGAGUUUAGGUGAUGGCUUAUUAAUAUAGUUUUAGAAGGACAUUUGAGUGGAGAACUCUCCUUUCAGUGAUAAUGGGUCACUUCCUAACAUAGUUAUAAAUGAGAGUUUCCGUGUUCAAGAAUUUAUGCUAGCUAAGGGAGAGUGGGACCGUGAGAAGCUAGCUAUUUGUUUACCAAAGCAUUUGGUGAGCAAGGUUACUGCAUUCACGCUUCCUACAUUGAUCUAUAAACUAGAUGCUCUUUAUUGGGCCUCAUCAGUAUCAGGGAGAUUUACUAUGGCAUCCAUUUAUGAGGUAUUAAUGAAAGGAUACUCAACUUAUCAUCAUCAGCCUAACAAAAAAUAAAAUAUAGUAUGGAAAUGGAUGGGACCCCAACGGCUCUACACUUUGCUUGUGUAGUGUUUGCAUGGCAAGCUCUUAUCUAAUAUGGAAUGAAGGAAGAUGAAUAUGACCUCAUCUUUUAUAUUUUCUCUUUGUGCUUCUGAUAAGGAGACCAUUCUUCAUUUGUUAUGGGAUUGCCACAAGCCAAAACAAUUUGGAUGAAGUUAUGGAACUAAAUUGAUUAUGGGAGGAUUCUUUAAACUGCCUCUAUUAGAGUGGAUAUUGCCCAACUUAUAGAACUACAAGGUUCGCAUAGAGGAUAUUCCUUAGUCUAUUCUAUUUAGGCUCAUAUGCUGGCAUAUCUGGAAGUGGAGAAAUGUCAAGGGUUUUGAAGACAAAUUGAUACCAGUAAAAAGCAAAAUAAUGGUGCUGAAGAGUUGGGCUGCUGCAUCAUAUAAUGCCAUAGUGAUACCAUGCACACAUAAUGAACCAAUUGGUUAUAAAAAUUAAACGCUCAUAGGUUGGCAGAACUCGUUGCAAAGAUGGGUGUCACGUCCCAUUUUGUGGUGGGAUAUAUAAUCGACACAUGGACUCAAAUAGGUAUAGCCUGCUAGGCCUAAGUAAGCUUCAUUCCAUUCAUUCAUUAAACAUUCAUAAUCAUGUGCAGAAGCAUACAUUCAAUCAUCCAUACACAUACAUUGAAAUCAUAAGCAUGCAACCACAAGCAACAUUACAUAGCUAUGGAACUUCUUAACAUGAACAAUGUAAGGGCAAACAUAUCAUAUAUCAUUAAAGUGCCAUAAUCUCAUGCAUAGUAUCAUAUAAACAUUUUAUCAACACCCUCAGGUGCCCAUGUAAGCUCUCGAGCCAUCCUUUGCAUGUAUAACAUAACAUUCAUAAGUAAAAUGCCAAACAUUGGCUACAUCAUCAUAAACAUGUUCAUUAUCCAUAAACAUAAACAAGAUCGACUCGCUAGUGGAACAUGUCUUGACCUCUAAGUUGCAAGUGGCUUUUAAAGUACCUACCAAAAGAGGAAUGGAUCAUGUCUCCGUGACACUGGCUAUUAUCAAAAGUGCUAUCACUAAUCUCCAACAAAAAUAGUGAGGAAAAAUAACGUGUGAGUCACAAAGACUCCGUGAGUGGAUACAGGGAAGGGGACAAGCCAAUGGGGAUAGUGUGUCAUAUACAUACACUUGUAAUCUCAUGCCAUUCAUAAACUAUUUAAUCAUAAAGUUCAUGAAAUGUGGUAUUUAAAUAUCUUUUAAAUAAUAUUUACAUGGAAAGUAAGUUUACAUAACCUUUAAAAACCUUUUUGUUGUUGAAAAGUCUUUAUCAUGCAUAAUAAUCCAAUUCUGUCUUGCUUUUAUCGAUAGAUGAGGGUAUCUAUUGAUAGAUGGGACAUAGAAUGCUUCUUGAAGCAUUUUAUCUUUUAACUAUCGAUAAAUGUUUUUCAAGAAUUGAUAGAGGGCUUCUAAAACUUGAUUUUCUAGGUAAAAUCCUGCACUUUACCAUUCCAUAUGUCUUUCUAUCUUAAGGGAUCAUUCCCUAGGCUAAGGUUCUAUUUAACCAAGCCAAAAACCACCACAUUCUAGUGUGAAUAACAUCAUCAUCAGACGUUACAUCAUAACAUAAACAUUCAACAUAAAACACAUCAUUUUCAUACUCAUUCAGUCAUAAUUUACACUCAUUAACCUCAUUCAUCUUGACAUCUUUAACUAUGAGUGGGUCCAUCCCAUUCUGGUGAAUAGUGGUACAAACUCGCACUAUCUUGAGUUCUUAGUGGGCUUUCCUGGAUGGCACAUCAGCUUCACCCACAAACUAAUAAGUGGUCCUACCUUACUCAAGCGAGUAGGGGAUAAGGUCCUUAGUGCCGGCUAGUCCACCUCGCAUGAACAUCCAUCAUAAUUGCGUGAGUGACACAUCGACCUCUCUCACAAUCAUCAUAAGAUCUCUUAAGCUUAGGAUUGUCCUCAACUUUAGCUUACAUCAUAAACAUGAGCAUUUUCGUAAAUCAUUCUCAUGCAUGUAAAUGUUUUCAUACUUAGCCCACAGUGUACAUGAAUUGUUCCUUAACACAUACAACUUAUGGCUUACAUAUCAUUUCUUAACUUAAGAGGGAAAUCAUACAUCCUCUAACGUAUAGAUGUCAUAUGUAUAUAUGUCAUAUCUUUCAUUAUCUCAUAAGUGAAAAUUCAUACAUUCAUAAUUAUAGCAUCAUUAUGUUCAUACAUAGGAUCAUGGAUGAAGACUCAUGCAUCCAACAUUAUUUUACAUGUUACAUUAUGUCAAGCAUGUGCAUCAGAACAUUCAUACAUUAACAUGGAUAAUGCCUCGUACCCACAUUAGUCCGAAGGCCAAAGUAAUUAAUUGGAAUACAAACAUAAAAAAGGCUUGUCUCCCCUUAUCAAAAACUAAUACAUAGUAACAUAUAUGUAGUAUAGUCGUAAACAAUUUGAAAAUCAUUAUCCUCUCACAUCACAAAUAAUUUCAAAUCCAUUUCAUACCUAUUGAAAACCAUUAGAACACCUUGAACAUUAAAUUUUUUAUAAACCAUCAAUGUAAACAAUAUUUCAUCGUGCAUAAAUAAUCAUUUCCAUUGAAAUCAUGCUAGCUUUACAUAUUAAAAUACUUGAAAAGGUGUAUCCACUUACUUAAUUAGAGAUUUGACUCCUAACUCCAAUCAUGACUCUAUUUCGACAAAAUCCGUGGUAUUUUCAAGCUUUUUUAUCAUACAACAAUUAUCACAAUCAUUUUCUAGAAUAAAAAUCUUGUAAUAUUCAUUCUAGGCACUUUCAAAACCUAAUCACUUUUGACUAAGACUAUUUUCUAGUUAAAAUCUAUGCUAGAAACCCAUAAAUUGAUUCCUCUUACCUUAAGUGAGCUUAGAUGAUUAGAAAAACCACAAAUCCUUGAGCUUUAUCACUAAACAAAAAUAUCUAGGCAUUAAAACAAAUAUUUCAAUUAUGAAAAUCUAAGCUUUAAUGAUUAUAAAGCAAAAAAAUAUCAUUUUUUUUCUUAAAAACCCAUAAAUAAGCUUAAAAUCGUCAAAAACGAAGAUUUUGGCACAAAAAUGAGUUAAGAUAGUUUUGGGUUAAGUCUUACCUUGCAAAAUGUGGUUGAGGGUUGCCAACUCUAAAAAAAUGUGAUAUAUUUAUAGUAUACGAUGUGAAAAUACGUUUUUAUCCUUUUUUAUUUUUGUGAAAAUGGCAUCUUUUAUUGAUAGAUCAAGGCUAUCUAUCAAUAGAUAGCCUUCAAGGUCCUUUUAAAAGCUUUAUAGUAGCUAUCUAUCAAUAGAUAGGGGUCAUUUGUAAAUAAAUCUGGCUAUUUAUGGAUAGAUCUGGUCAUCUAUCCAUAGAUGUUUUUCAAUGUAGCUUUGAGAAAACAUUUCUAGAUUGUAUCUAUCGAUAGAUAAGGUCCAAUAAGUAAAAAUAAACCUUAGAAACAUGUUCACUUGGACUCCUUUUAACACCAAACUUAUCAAAUCAUCUUAAUGCAUCAAAACAUGAAUUUAUCUAAGAUUAAAACUUAGUUUUGAAUGUUUAAAACAUACAAUCAACAUGCUCACCUAAGGAUUUUCUUAACAUUUACAUUACGGUGGGAUUUCACAAUAGGUAUCAAUUAAUUCUGAUGGGGCUCUUCGAUAUACGCUUAACUUGGAAGCUGCUGGUGGAGUUAUCUGUGAUCAUGUUGGCCAAUGGCUUGGCAGUUUUUCAGCUACUGGGGGUGAAUGUUCUUCAUAUCGAGCUAUGUUAUAGGGUGUACUUUAUAGCUUUCAGCUAGCUUGAGAUAAAGGGUUCUAUAAAAUAUGGUUAUAAGUAGAUAACAAAAUAGUGGUCAAGGCAAUUUUUGCUAGUUCAUCUCAUUCAUGUGAAAAUUUAGAUUUGCUUGAAGCUAUUAGAAGAUUGUUGCAUAAGGAAUAAGAGGUGAAAAUUUCCCACAUCUAUAGAGAAAGGAAUAAGGUUGUUGAUUGUUUAGCUAACAUAAGCUUCAACUUAGGUACUAGUUUGUGCUUCAUUGAUUCUCCACUUAGGAAAAUUAUAGCUAUCUUAUCUAAUAACAUGUUGGAAUUUGUUUUCCAUGGAUGAUUAGAAAUUAAUAAAAUUUCUCCUUCCAACAAAAAAAAAAAAGAAAAUAGACAUCUUAAAAUCUCAAAUGUUAUUAAUGAAUUUUGUUAAAUGACUAAAAUACCCAUCACAUAAAUAAUUAAUUGUCUCAUUUUGAAGCAAAUUCAUGAAUCAUUGAUCGCUAUAAACUCGUUUUGCACCUUUUCAUUCACAACCAAAAAUCAAGCUUUUUCUGAUAGAAUUUUCUAUUGGAAAAGUUAAAAUUCUAUUGAAAAUGCCUUUUUCAAUGGAUUUCCAAUGGAAAAAUUCAUUGAAAAUUCUAUCAGUAAAAGCUUUGUUGGAAAUACCUUUCGUUGUAAAUUAGUCAAAAAUUUCCAAUGAAAAAUUUCGUUUGAAAAUUUCAUCCAAAAAAAUACAUAAUCCAUCGAUUGUAUUGUAGGAAAUUUCGUUGGAAAUUCUUUUCAAACAGAAUUCCGUUGGAAAUUUUUGAUGAAAAUUUUCAUUAGAAAAGAUUUCCUACGAAAUUCAGUUGGAAAUUACCAACAAAAUUUUUUAAUUAGAAAAGCAUUUUUAGCAAAAUUUUGUUAGAAAUUUUCGACUAAAUUUUUCGUUGGUGAUGUAUUUCCAACAGAAAUUCCUUUACUAAUUUUCGACGGAAUGUUCUUUCAGUAAUGCCUUUCUAACGAAAAUUUCCAAUUAAAAUUUCGAUAAUAAAUUAUCAAUUGACAUUCAAAAUUUAUAAGAGAAACACGCAUUAAAAACUAAAAUUCUAAGUCAAGUUCAUACAAUUAAAAAUAAUCAUAAAUGCACAAUAUCUAAAAAUGUCAAACACAUAUGAAUAUAAAAUUAAAUGUGUUAUUAUAUGCCCAUACUUAAAAAAUAUCUAAAUCUAACAACCAAAAAGAGACAUCAUAUCAUGAAAUUUUGCAUUGUUACUUGUCAAUAUUUGAGCUUAAAGUAUUUGCAUUUUCUUAUUUCAAAAGUGCAUUAGUCAUGAUCAUUGUUUUCAUAUGUGUCAUAAAUUCACUCAUGCUUUUCGCCAUUGUAUUAUUAAUUUCUUCACGUAUUUCUCCACGUAUUUCCUCACAUAUUUUUGCAUGUAUCUUGCCCAAGUUUUCUAAUAGAUUUUUCACUUCUUCUUCCAAUGCAAUUGUGGGACUAGUGGCGUUUGAGUUGAUAGGGCCACACCUUGACUCAGAUGUUGCUGCAUGGCUAUGUCUUUUUCCAAAGUUUGAUGCAUAAAGCAUAUCUUCAAACCAUACCCACCUGUAUGGUCUAAAAGUCUAAACCAUUUAAACCAAUUUCCUCUUCUUGAACCUUCCAAGAAAGAGUAAACUAAUGUGCUAUAUAUUUAAUGCUAUGCAAUCAAAAAGGUCAUAAAAGAAAAAAAUAAAAAUAAAGAAUUCCCAUUAACUCUGUUCAAUGUAACAAGCUUCUGGAAUACAACAAGGAUAGGUAGAGGAUUGGUGAACAAAGCCUAGCAUGACAAAUACCUAUUGAAGCAAAUGCCUCUUUUUACUAGAAAAAGCACUUUUCUUCUACCGUUUCCUGAUUCCCACUUUAACUCUCUAUAGACUUGAAGUCUAAAGGUGAAAAGAAUAAAAAGUGCAAUAACAACAAACAUAACAAUGAAAUUAAAAUCAUCAGAAGAUAACAGGCUUUUUAAGUAAGCUCCAUUUAUGUCAUUCUUAGUUUACAUCAAUGAUACUGAAAAUAUAAAAGAAAUUAGUAUAGAAAUAGACCAAGAAGAGCCCAAAAAAAUUCCCCUUCUCAUCAUUCUUCAUUGAUGCAUUAGUAUUUCUUAAGAAAAAGACAAAAAAAUCAAAUCUAAUUAAUCAAAUCCAUUAAGUAAUUUUUAACAUCUAGUGGUUGAACAAAUAUUGGAGAAAUGUCCUUAGAAUUGGGUUAUCAUAUCAUCAAAAUUCAUAGCUAAAAGCUUUGUUUUCCAACCUGAAAUCAAUGACAAUCUUAUUCAGAUUGCUUUCUUCUAGCCCUCAUGUGGCUAAAUCACAAAUUUCCCUUCAAAAAACCAUCAUAAUCAUUUAUAUUCAUCGACUUCUUUUUUUAUUUUAUCUCAAAAUAAUCGAUUAUCUUUUUAUUAUAUAACUCAAAAUCAGAUGUUCACCUUUUUUUAAUUCUAUUUCCUUCCCAACCUAACUACCAAACCUUCUCUAGGAAGAAAUUCUAAAGAACAUAAACAGGCUAAAUUAAAUCUGGGUUAGGUCAUUUUCAUGCUAUGAACUGAAACUAGAAUUAAAAGCUACCAGUAAAUAACCCAUUGUGCUGAAAUAUUAAAAGGUAGGUGUUAUGCUAGUAUCAAACUACAAUGGUUGAAAGGCUCUGUUCUUUUUACUUCCUCUUUGGUUACUUACCUAUUCGUAAUUAAUUAAUCAUAUUCUGCAUUUAAUAUGUAGGUCUACUUUGGGCAUGUUUAAGAGGGAUGGUGUAGAAGUAUCUUUCCUUGAUAGUGAUGUUGGCUUUUAUAUAAGAAUACGGACAAGUGAAGUUGUCAAAGUAAACAUUCUUGGUCAUAGCAUUCUAAUUAUUAAUAAAUGCAAUAGAUGAUACUAACUAUGUAUGAUGACAUGUUUGUAAAGCAUUCUUCAUCAUAAUUUCUUGUUUAGUAGUAGUAGCUUUUGUUGGCUCCAUUAGUUUUUGAUGAUAAUAAAACAUUUUCACUCAUUUAUGUCUAACUAUACUACUUGAGAGUGUAGGACAAAAAUGUAUGUCAUUAAUAAAUUAAGCAAAUAUCAAAACUCAUAAUAAUAAGGAGCUACAAUUGAGACACAAAACAGGAGCCUCUUAGUCAGAUAACUAAGGGAGUUAGUCAACUAAAAUUCAAAAAUCAAGUUGGCCGGUCCAUAAACAGAAAAGACUUAGUCAACCAAGAAGCAUGGUUAGUCAACUAAGUGUUCGCUGCUAGAAACUUUAAUCAGAAAACAAAGAAGACUUAGUUGACCAAUAAGCAUGGUUAGUCGACUAAGUGCUCAUUACCAGAAACUAGGAUUGGAAGACAAAAAAGACUUAGUCGACUAAGAAGUAUAUUAGUCAACUAAGAGCACACUAUUUAAAAAUUUGAAUUUGAAUGCUAGAAGACAGACCAACAGCUAAAACUGUCUCCCAACUGUUUCCAAUGGUCAACAACUAUCAAACAUCAAUUAGAGUUGGUUUUUCAAGUAUAUAAGACACCUCUAAUGGCUAAGAACAAGAUUAGAUGCUUUCAAGAUCAAAAAGAGCUCAAAAAUAGCAAAAACUCUCUCCAUACUUUCUGCACUUCACUCCAAUCCUUGUAAUAGAGUUAAACACUUCAUCUUGUACCAUUCAGAUGAAGUUAGUGAUCAUAGGUACUUCUUUAUUUCUGUUCUCGUUGAUUACUUAGAGUGUGCGAGUCACUCUAAGGGGAUUGAUCAAGCUUGGGUUAGUUUGAUUGGGUUUAGGGUUUUGGGUUUUGGGUUUUGGUUGAUCUCGAGAAAAACCAUUGUUAAAGGUUCUAGUUGAGCUUACGAAAAGCCAUUGUAAAAGCUUGGUGGAAGUUUGGGAAUUUCAUCGUUUAUAGUGAUUUGGUUUAGAAAAUCUUGGUUAGAAGAUCAAGGUAGUGGAUGUAGGUCUUUGACCGAACCGGUAUAAAUCUUUGUGUAUUGUUUACCCUGUUUUACUUUUCAUUUUAUUUUUUUUUAAAUCAUUUCUUCAUCUUGCAUCUAACUUCUCAUCAUUGACCUUUAACUUGCCCUUAAUUAGAAGUCAAGUUUAGUGACAUUCAAAAAGGUGUUAUUCACCCCAUUUUGUAUAUUUAUUUAGGACCAACAAGUGAUAUCAGAGCCUAUCCUUCAUUCUUAAGGCUUAACAUCCCAAGAGAAAUCUAAAUGGCUCUUCGAAAAUCUAUAGUUGUUGAGGGACAGUCCAUAAAUAGACCACCUUUGUUUGAUGGAUCGAGCUACCCCUAUUGAAGCAUUAGAAUGUUAAUCUACAUAAGGGCCAUAGACUAUGAAAUGUGGGAUGCCAUCACUGAUGGACCCUUCAUCCCCUUGACUAUAAAUGUUGUGACCAAUGAAAUAAUUCCUAAGCCAAAGUUUGAAUAGACUGAAGCUGAAACAAAAAAGGUUCAGACAAACUUUAAGGCAAUAAACACUUUACAUUGUGCUUGAACUCCUACUAAGUUUAACAAAGUGUCAAGUUGUACCACUGCCAAACAAGUGUAGGAUAAACUUAGAAUUAUCCAUGAAAGGACUUUACAAGUCAAGAAGUCCAAAAUAGCUCUUCUAACCCACAAUUAUGAAAUGUUCAAAAUGGAAUCUGGUGAAGAUAUCAUCAGCAUGCUUGAUAGGUUCACUAGCAUCACCAAUAAACUUAGUCAAUUAAGUAAGCCAAUCUCUGAACAUGAAAUAGUGAAAAGACUUCUUAGAAGCCUACCUAAAACUUGGAAGCUAAAAGUGAUUGCCAUUAGAGAAGCUAAGGAUUUAAAUGUCAUUAGUCUUAAUGAAAUAUGUGCGUCUUUUCUCACUCAUGAGCUGAAACUUAAAGAAGAAGAAGAAAAAGACAAGAAAGAAGCAAAAGAAAGAAAGAAAAGCAUUGCCUUAAAAGCAAGCACUCUUGAAGAAGAAUUGGAUAAUCUGUCAUGUGAUGAUGAUGAAGAAUUAGCCAUGGUAGCAAGAAGAUUCAGAAAACUUAUGGGACAAAGAGAUAGGAGGCUGGCUAAGAAAGGGUACAGAAGAUAUCAAAGUUCUUCAUGGAAAAUCAAAAAUAAAAAUGAAUUCAAUAAGAAGGAAGAUGUAAUAUGUUAUGAGUGUAAGAAACUUGGACACUUCAAAUAAGAAUGCCCCCUAUUGAAGGAGGAAACUCCCAAUAAAUAGAAAAACAAAGAAGGCUAUGGUGGCUGCAACCUGGCUUGAUAGUGAUGUUUUAAGUUCAGAUGUUGAAGAAGAGAAAGUGGAAGAAAGAGCUAACCUAUAUUUGAUAGCCAAAGAUGAUGAAUUCGAGGUAUCUUCUGCUCCUUGUGAUAUUUCAAUUGAUGAAAUUCAAGAUGAAUAUGAAUGCCUCUAUGGUGAGUUUGAAAAGCUGGCAUCAAAAUAUAAAGCUUUAAAAAGAAAGACUACAUCUCUUGAAAAUGAUUUGAAAAAGAUAAGGCAUGAGUUCAACUCUAUUUUUGAACAAAGAAAUUUUCUUCAAACUAAAUUAGAACAUUCAAAAACAGAUUUUGAAGUUCUGAAAUUGGAAUUGGACAACAAAAUUGAAGCUUUACAAAAAGCAAUUGAUGAAAAUACUGCUCUUAAGAGAUUGAGAAAAGAAACAUAAAGAAAAAACACAUACUUUAAGAAAAAUUUUGAUAAUUUCUCACCUAGAUGUUAUGUUUGUGAUAAACUUGGUCAUUUAUCUUAUAACUAUUAUAGAAGAAGAAGCACGCAGAAAACAAAAAUGAUUUGGGUUCCAAAAAGAUCUUAUGUAGCAGCUAACCUUCAAAAACCCAUUAAGGAAUGGGUACGUGUUAAGAAAAACUGAAAAUCUAUCUUGCAGGUUGAGCCAAACUGAGAAGACAUAUGUUCAAGAGCUCAACUAAAGCAGAAACAUCCAUGGUACAUGGAUAGUGGCUGCUCAAGACAUAUGACUAGAAACGAAAUGUUUUUUGUUCAUCUAAACAAGAAAAAAUGAGGUACUGUAUCUUUUGGAGAUGAUUCAAAAGGUUUAAUUCAUGGUAUGGGAACUAUUGGUAAGAAUUCUCAUGCUCAAAUUAAUCAUGUGCUGUUUGUUAAAGGUUUAAAACACAAUCUAUUAAGUAUCGGUUAAUUAUGUAAUAAAGGCUUUAAGGUAUAUUUUGAUUCAUAUAAAUGUGAAAUGAUAGACAUUAACACCAACAAAAUUUCAUUCAUAGGAAAAAGAAUAAAAAAUAUGUAUGUUAUAUUUGUUGAAGAUCUUGAGCUUGAUUGUGAAACAUGUCUUAUGGUAAAUGAUGGAAAUGAUAACUGGUUUUGGCAUAAGAGACUUGGACAUGUAAGCAUGCAUACCAUUUUGAAAUUAAUGAGAAGAAAUUUGGUUAUUGGACUACCUAAACUUAAAUUUGAGAAUGAUAAGAUUUGUGAUGCUUGCCAAUUAGGAAAACAAGUUAGAACAUCUUUCAAAGCUAAAAGGGUUAUUUCAACAUCUAGACCUCUUGAAUUGUUGCAUGUUGAUCUAUUUGGUCUAAUCAAUGUAUCUAGUCGAGGAGGUAAAUCAUACGAUUUUGUGAUAGUUGAUGACUACUUUAGGUACACUUGGGUCUACUUCCUUGGUCACAAAAAUGAUGCAUUACCUGCAUUUACAAAUCAUUGUAAGAAAGUUCAAAAUGCAAAAAGACUUGUCAUUGCUAGCAUUAGAAGUGAUCACGGAGGUGAGUUUGAAGGGGAUGAUUUUGAAAACUUUUGCAAUGAAAAAGGUUUAGACCAUAACUUUUCUGCACCUAGAACACCUCAACAAAAUGGGGUUGUUGAGAGAAAAAAUCGAACUUUAAAAGAAAUGGCUCGAACCAUGCUUUGUGAAAACAAUCUACCAAAGUAUUUUUAUGCAAAAGUUGUUAAUACAACAGCCUACAUUCUUAAUAUAGUUUAAAUAAGGGCCAUGAUUUCUAAAACCCCAUAUGAAUUAUCAAUAAGGGCCAUGAUUUCAACUCUAGAACAUUUCCCAUUUUAGAAGCUUUGGCUAUAAGUGUUUUGUUUUGAACAAUGGAAAACAUUCCCUAGAAAAAUUUGAUGCUAAGAGUGAUGAGACAAUAUUUUUAGGGUAUGCAUUGAACUCAAAAGCUUAUAGAAUUUUUAACAAAAGAACCUUAACAAUUGAAAAAUCCAUUCAUGUAGUUUUUGAUGAAACUAAUGCCUUGCAAAAUGAAGUUCUUGUUGAUGAAAAUGAUGCAGAAGACCUUGAGAGACUAAUGGAAGAAAUGAGCUUAGAAAAUAAGAAAAUAGUGAAGAAAACUCUCUUGGAAGAGAAGUAGAAGCUCUGUCCUUAGAAAAUCUGUGAAGAGUUGAAAAUCAACAUAAUGACCAUUCAAAAAGCUGGAAAUAUUCCAAAGAUCACCCACAAGAGCAAAUUAUUAGUGAUCUUUCAGAAAGAGUUAAAACUAGAAGAGGAAUUAGAGAAACAUGUGAAUUCUCAACCUUCAUCUCACAAAUUGAGCCUAAAAACUUUGAAGAGGCAAAAAGAGAAGAAAGCUAGAUAUUGGCCAUGCAAGAAGAACUUGAACAAUUUGAAAGAAACCGAGUAUGAGCAUUGGUUUCUAGGCCAUUCAAUCACCUAAUUGUUGGUACAAAGUGGGUGUUCAGAAACAAGGUAGAUGAGCAAGGUAAUGUAAUUAGAAAUAAAGCUAGGCUAGUGGCUCAAGGAUAUAAUCAAGAGGAAGGCAUUGACUAUGAUGAAACAUUUGCUCCUGUUUCUAGGAUAGGAGCCAUAAGAUUAUUGCUUGCAUUUGCAUGUUUCAUGAACUUCAAAUUAUUUCAAAUGGGUGUGAAAAGUGCAUUUUUAAAUGGUCUCAUUCAAGAAAAAGUCUAUGUCAAACAACCCCUCGGAUUUGAUGAUUUUGAAAAGCCUGAUUAUGUUUUCAAACUACAUAAGGCCUUAUAUGGAUUAAAAUAAGCUCCAAGAGCUUGGUAUGAAAAACUCUCAAAGUUUUUAGUUGAAAAAGGGUAUAUUAGAGGAAGUAUUGAUACAACACUAUUCAUUAAGAAGUAGUUGAAUGAUUUAAUUGUGGUUCAAAUAUAUGUGGAUGAUAUUGUAUUUGGUGCUACUAAUGAGGCUUUGUGCAAGAACUUUGCUGAAGAAAUGCAGGGUGAGUUCGAAAUGAGCAUGAUGGGUGAACUGAAAUUCUUUCUUGGCCUUCAAAUCAAACAAUACAAAGAUGGCAUCUUUAUCUAUCAAGAAAGAUACAUUCAAGACAUGUUGAAAAGGUUUGAUAUGCUAAAGCUGAAAUCAAUCAACACACCAAUGAGUUCUCUACCAAGCUUGAUAAAGAUGAAAAAGGAAAAAAUAUUGAUCAAAAGCUUUAUAAAGGUAUGAUUGGAUCUUUGCUUUACUUAACUGCUAGCAGACCUGAUAUUUAAUUUAGUGUAUGCUUGUGUGCACUGUUUCAAUCACAACCUAAAGAGUCACACUUAACUGCUGAAAAAAGAGUCUUUAGGUAUCUCUUGGACACACAAAACUUAGGAUUAUGGUAUCCUAGAAGAACAUCUUUUAAUUUUAUUAGAUAUUUUGAUGUUGAUUUUGCUGGAAGUAAAAAAGAUAAAAAGAGCACUAGUGGCACAUGUCAGUUUCUAGAAAAGAUGCUCGUAUCUUGGUCAAGUAAGAAAUAAAACUCUGUUGCAUUUUCAAUAGCUAAAGCUGAAUACAUUUCCUUAGGAAGUUACUGUGCUCAGAUUAUGUGGAUUAAACAACAAUUAAAAGAUUUUGGAGUAACCAUGCAUAAUGUUCCAAUAUUCUGUGAUAGCACAAGUGCUAUCAAUAUCUCAAAAAAUCCAGUUCAACACUCUAGAACCAAGCACAUUGAGAUUCGAUAUCAUUUUAUCCAAGAUCAUGUGCUUAAAGGAGACAUUAAGAUUGAAUUUGUCAACACCUUGCAUUAGUUAGCAGAUAUAUUUACCAAACCCUUAAAUAAAGAAAGAUUUUAUGAAAUUAGGAGAAAUCUAGGAAUGGUUAAUGUACAAGAGCUUUAGGCAAAUUUUUGAGCUUUUCUCUCGUAAGGCAGUAGAUACUUAGUUGAUUAAGAGAAUCACUUAAUUGAUUAAAAGCAUUCUAUGUUUAUUUUUUUUUAGAAUGAUAGACUUAGUCAAAUAAGAGUAAAACUUAGUCAGUUAAGAAAAUAAAAUAAAAAUAAUAAAAUUUAAGGAAAAAGAAAAGCAUAACUGGUGAAGAAGAAAAGGAAAAAUCGCUUAACUGAAAAAUAAAAUAGGAGGUAAAAUUUUGAAUUUUGAAAAACGGGGUAACUGACCACAUUAAAAAAAGGGGAGAGUAAUAACCUUUCUUAACUCCUUACUCUCUUUUUUUAUUCUAUCCCAUUUGAAAUUGCCCCUCACAAAACCGAAACCUCAUCUCUAAAACCUUCCAAACCCUAAAUUUGAAACUACUUAAAAUCGAUGGCCAAAUCCUCAUAACCAAGCGGUAUUCUGGAAAAGAAGAAUGGAAAGCGACCCAUGGGAGAGACCCCACCAUUCAACGUCCAAAAGAAAAGGAAGAAGAAUGAGCCAAUUUCAACAAUUGAGAAAGUAGGGAAGAAAUAGGAAGAGAAAGUAGCGAAGUCAAAGAAAAAGAAAGAGAAUGAAAAAUUUGGCAAAAAGGGUAAUUUUUCUUCCACAAAAUUUAGGAAUAAAAUUCAUGAAGAAAGAUUUAGGAAAUUAGAGAAUGCAUCCAUCUCUUGUAGAAAAUAUAUUGAUUGGGAUAGGUUUAAUGAAGUUCUCGAAAUCAAAGAGGGCUUGUUAGAAUAUUUUGAAGAAAUGAAAAUGAAGAAAUUAAGUGUUUUUGAAAAUAAGACUUAUAGUGCCAGCCUAGUUAGAGAAUUUUACUAUAGUAUUGCAUUAAAUGAAAAUGAGCUGGAUGAUCCAAAUGAUUUUGUUGAGGAUGGUAUUAAUGCAUUUCUAAAUGGAAAGGAGUUUGUAGUAACUGUUGCUAAUCUGGGAAAACUGUUAGGCAUUGAGUGUAAUGUUGGAAAUUAUGAAAUCCCAUAAGAUUAUGAUCCCUCAUCCUUAUGGGAAGUAAUCAUAACGAAUAAGGAGAGAUAUUCAUCUAAAAGCUAUACAAGUUUUAUCAAGAGUCCAUAAACUAGGAUUCUGCAUUAUUUUAUAGCUUCAACAAUUCAUGGAAGAGGUGACAGCUUCAGCUAUGUGAGUCUUCAGGAUAUGUGGCUGAUGGAGUACGUUUUCAAUGCAACUCCACUGAAUCUAGGAAGAUUCAUGAUUGAAAGAAUGAAAGGGACUUGUCGAGUUGACAAAGUGAAUCUGGCUUAUGGAAAUAUAAUCGCUUCUCUAGUAAAGAAAAAGGGGAUUUGGAACACCAAAUAUGAGAUAGAUGAAGUUAAGAACAUAGAUCAGGCUAUCUAUCUAAAAGUUUGCCAAAAAUUGGGUAUAAGCUGGAAGGAGAAAAUUUGUCAAGAUCCCCAAAGAUACUUCAAAAGAAAAGUAUCCCACAUUUGCUUAGAAAAAGGUAAUCCCAUCUCAGAUUUCAAAUGAGAUGAUUCCGAAUUUAUUUAUGAGAAUUGAUGGGAAACAUACUGAUCAGUUUGUAAGAAUUCAAAAAAUUUAAGAUAAUUUGUAAGAGCUAGGAAAUUUGAUGAAAGAAAAAGGAAAAUCACCUUCUAGUCCUACAACUGAAGAUACCUCAGCAGCACCAAGUUCACCACCACUAGGACAAACUGUUGAGAAUUAUGCUUUUCAAGCUGAAAGUGAUGAACCAGAAUCUGUUCUAGCAAGAAACUACCCACCCUUGAACUUGAAAUUGAAGAAAAAGAUAAUGAUAACACAAAAGUGAUAGGAUAUUUCAAUGACAAUUCUCAACAGCAUGAUGAGACACAGAUUGAUAAACCAUCACCAGCAAACUUUGAGGAAAUUCUAAUUAUGGAUGUCUUUCACCAGAUGGUAAGGGAAGAGGAAACUAAAAAAGAAGCGGCAAAAAGCAAAGCAUAGAAACCAGCAUCUGUAAGAGCUUCCCUUGAAUCAAUUCGUACCACAGAAAAGAGUGAACAAACUGGGCAAAAAAAAGAGGAAAGAAGCUGCAUUUGCACAAGAUAAACCCAAGCCUAUUGGAAAAGGCAAAACUACUAUGGCAACAAAGACCAAGUUCCUCAAGAGGAGAAUGUCUUCAAGAUUGGGCGGCAAAGCUAAACCUUCAGUUAAAUCUUCUGUUCAGAAUUCUCUAGAUGUUUUAGACACACCUUUACCUGAUUCCUCACCACAAUGAUCACCACUUGUGUCAUCCCCAAGAACCAUCGACGUUCAUUUUGGGACUGAUGAGUCCAUCCCCUCUAACUCUUCCUAGACCAAUAGACCAUCCCUAUUUUGCUGAUGAUAAAAAAGGGGAAAGGGAAAGUAGAAAAAAUUUAGGGGAGAAAGUAAAAGUAAUUUAGGGGUAAUUUAGAAAUCUGACUCUGAUGAUGCUCGGUUGUUUAUGAUACUGUGUUAUUUUAAUUGCUGAUGGUUGAGAUUUGGAUGUUGAUAACUUACUUCUGUUUAUGCUUUUAUGUUAUUUUUGUUGGAUUGUUAAUGGCACUUGUUUUUAAAAUGGAUAUGGUCUGUUGAUGAUAAUAUGUUGAUGACAACUAGUUACAAUAUUGAUAAUAUUCUGUCAUCUGUUACUGAUUAUUCUGUAUGCUUGUAUGAAGAUAUUCUAUUAAAUGUCUGAAUCCAUGUUUGUUAUUCUCUUUAAGAAAUAGAUAAAAACUUGUUGAUUUGCUAAAUUGGAUAAUAAAAUGACUUGAAAAGAUCAUGCACAUAUUAAGGGGGAACCCACACUCAGGGGGAGAAAUCCUAAUCUGGUGUAAAACAAAAAGAACUAAUAGACACUGUACUUUUAAUCAAAAAAUGUUUUGUUAUCCUUAAAAAGGGGGAGAUUGUUGACUCCAUUAGUUUUUGAUGAUAGUACAACAUUCCCACUCAUUUAUGUCUAACUAUACUACUUGAGUGUACAAGAUAAAAAUGUAUGUCAUUAGUAAAUUAAUCACUCAAAAGCAAAUAUCAAAACUCAUAAAAAUAAGGAGCUACAAUUGAGCCACAAAACAGAAGCCUGUUAGCUGGAUAACUAAAGGAGUUAGUCAACUAAAAUUCAAAAAUGAAGUUGACUGGUCCAGAAAUAGAAAAGACUGUGUAGACCAAGAAGCAUGGUUAGUCAACUAAGUGCUCACUGCCAGAAACUUCAAUUAGAAACAGAGAAGACUUAGUCAACCAAGAAGCAUGGUUAGUCGACUAAGUGCUCACUGUCAAAAACUGGGAUUAAAAGACAAAAAAGACUUAGUCGACAAAGAAGUAUGUUAGUCAACUAAGAGCACAUUGUUUGAAAAUUUGAAUUUGAAUGCUAGAAGACAGACCAACGACUAAAAUUGUCUCCCAAUUGUUUCCAACGGUCAACAACUGCCAAACAUCCAUCAGAGUUGGUUUUUCAAGUAUAGAAGGCACUCUCAAUGGCUAAAAACAAGAUUAGAUGCUUUUAAGAUUAAAAAGAGCUCAAAAAUAGCAAAAACUCUCUCCAUACUUUCUACACUUCACUUCAAUCCUUGUAAUAGAGUUAAGCGUUUCAUUUUGUACCAUUCGGAUCAGGUUAGUGAUCAUACGUAUUUCUUUAUUUUUGUUCUCCUUGAUUACUUAGAGUGUGUGAGUCACUCUAAGAGGAUUGAUCAAGCUUGGGUUAGCUUAAUUGGGUGUAUAGGUUCUAACUUAACCUAGGAAAAGUUAGUUUUGGGUUUUAGUUGAUCUUCAGAAAAACCAUUGUUAAAGGUUGUGGUUAAGCCUUUGAAAAGCCAUUGCAAAAGCAUGGUGGAAGCUUGGGAAUUUCACUAUUUAUAGUGAUUUAGUUUGCAAAAUCCUUGGUUGGAAGAUCAAGGUAGUGGAUGUAGGUCUUUGACCGAACCACUAUAAAUCUUUGUGUAUUGUUUGCCCUGUUUUACUUUUCAUUUUAUUCUUCCUUAAAUCAUUCCUUCAUCUUGCAUCUAACUUAUCAAGAUUGACCUUUAACUUGCCCUCAAUUGGAAGUCAAGUUUAGUGACAUUCAAAAAGAUGCUAUUUACCCAUCCUCUAGCACAUUUAUUUGGGACCAAUAGCUUUUCCAAAUUUUAUACAUCAUAUUAUCAAAUGUGCCAGUCUCCUUAAGUGGGAUCAUAUGGUGGAGUUAAAAUAUUGUAAUUUCCUUCAAGUAAUGGUGAAUAGUACUAAACUUAAAAAAUGCUGGAAAAAAUGAAACAUCCUCUAUUAGUUGCCCUUCGCAUUGAAAAUAAGCUAUCCCAUUACUUAACAGUAGAAUUCAUUUGCCUUCACACUUUCUCCCUUUAAUUUCUUAAUAUAGAAAAAUGAUAUUAAGAUGAUAUACCUAACCUUAACUCUAUUUCUACAAUUGUUUUUAUGAAUAAGAUGAUAUACCAAACGAAACUUAAAAACAGAAAAAUGAAAAAAAAAUAGAAGAAGAAAAGAAAUAGAAACUCAAGGAGAUUUUCGUACGAAUCGUUUCUCUCUUACAUAACUACCUUGCAAAUUGAAGGGAAAGAAAUGCUUGUGAAAAGAAAAAGGAAAACACAAGAUCAAAAACCCUAGAAAACGAUGCAAUCCAAACCACAGUUGGCCAAACUCAAAAAGAAAAAAUUGAAGCAAAAAAAUCAUACAAAAACAAAAGGAAAAAGGUUUCGACCUAAAGUUUGUGCGGUUCACAACUAAGGAGGCUUAGCUUCAGUUUUUCUUUAAGAGUUGUUGGCUUCGAGUUCUGGUAUCUUUUAUAGCUUCUUCAAAGCUUUUUGUUCAGUUCAAAAGGAAAGAAGAGGUGAAGGGAGGUUGUAGAAAGCCCAUCGACAGAUAGGGACAACGAAGGAGGAGUGAUUUCUUUCUAGAUUUUGGAGAGAGGGAAGAGGGAUUGAUAAAUAAAAAAACAAAAGGAAAGGAAAAAAAGAAAGCGACAGCAACCGACACUGUUUAGUAGAAAGAAUGCCUUGUAAAAAGGAGUAAGGCUCAAACCUGUGAAGUCCCAUUAAGGAAAGUCCAAGGGUGUUGAGCUUCUACCCAGCCCAUUGAAGAAGUUUUUGGACCCCUUCUAUAUUUUUGAGCCCAUUUCAUUUACAUCCACACAUAAGUUCGAGUCUUUAUAGUCUAUGUAUCAACAAAAGUUUAAAUAAUUUAUAUUUUAUUCAUAAAUAAAUAAUUAUUAUUAGUAAAUAAAUUUUAAUAUAUUUAUAUUAAACUUGUUAUGUAAUGAAUAAUUAAUAAUAAUAAUAUCAUUAGAUAUUCAUAAUAUAUUAGACAUUAAUGAAUAAUGUAACAUAUUUAUUAUUAUUAAAUUAUAAAAAAAAUUAAUAUUAUUUUAUUAUUUAUUUAUAAUAUACUAUUAUUAAUUAUUAAAUAACUUUAUCAUUUUGUAAAAUAUUAAUUACUUAUUUAUAAUAAGUAUAAGUAAUUUUUUUUGAAAAGUACACAAUUUUAUUGCUUGAUACCAAAGUCAAAAUAACUUUAGAUUUUAUAAAUUAUGUAUAAAAUUAAAAACAUGAAAUAACCCUAAAGCACUUUAAAAAAAAUCCAAUUUAAGGAUACUGGGUAUCUAAUAUAAUAACUCCCCAUCCUAGAAUACAAUUAAAUGAUUGUAAAACCAUCUUUGAUUUACAAUCACUAAUUAUCACUAAUGCAGCUAAACCAUAACAGCUUUCAAUCCACGGUUUUCUAUCUAUUACCAAAAGCUAACCAUUCACAUCCCAUAGCCAUUUAAAGUAUUUCCCUACUGCCUGUGUCCAAUUCAAUCAUAAACACUAGUGAUCCACUCGACCUAAGACUCUUUUCUAAUUAAACUAGAGAGUCCUAGUUAAAACUUAACUCAAGAUAAUUAAAUUCAAUCUAAAAUUUGAUAUGUACAGUCCUUAUUCGUCACUAAUAACUAAUAUGUUAAUUUUAUAUAAUAUAUAUUUAUUUUUAUUGUAUAUAUGUAAUCAUAUAAAUGUAAUCAUAUAAAUAAAGUUAAUAAAGUUACUAAUAAAUGUUAUAAUUGCUAAUAAACUAUUAUUAGUUUUGUUAAUAUAUUAUUGAAUUUUAUCAUCUAUUUCUAUAAAAUUAAAAUUUUUAUUAUGUUAUUUUUAUAAACUUUUUAAUUUUGUAACAUUCAUGACCUGGAACCAAUUAAUUUAAAAUUUAGCGAAAAAUCCAGCGGGCUUUAAAUAUUUUUGGUGCUUUAAAUUUUCCAACAAAUUAUUUUUCGUUGAAAAUUUCUAAUGGAAAUCCGUUCAAAAUUCUAUUAGAAAGUCUGGUGACAAUAAAUUUUUUUUGUGCAAAAAAAAUUUUCGACGGAUUUUCAAUGAAAUUUAUCCGUUGGAAUUAUUCUGUUGGAAAUCCAUUGCAAAAAGUCAAAAGAAAUUUUCAUCUGAAUUCCGUUGGAAAUUUGUUGAGAAAUUCCAAAGGAAUUUUUUUCGUCGGAAAAAACCACUUUUCUUGCAGUGAUUCUUUCUCACCACCAAUUGGUUAAGAUUAUGUUUUUUAAGCUUUUCUAAUUAGUUAACUAAUUAAUAAUCAGUCUGACAGCCAAGAAGCUCAAAAGAAAGGUUGGUUCAUCGAGUGCUUUUAAUUUGUUUUGUAUUAUUGAAACCUUUAAAUCUUCUUUUCAAAUCAGAAGUGAUUAGGAGUGAAAACUUGAGGAAGCAUUAUUGUUGUGCAUCGAUUCACCGUUUUUGUGCAUAUGUGGUAAGCAUUUGUGUGUGUUUUGAGUUGGAGUUAAGUUGUAUGAUUAGGGUUUCUUUAAAAUUUGGAGAUUUCAUGUAACAUCCCAUCCCCCAAGAAGUUAAUUUAAUGGACAGAAAAAUGAAUUAGGGGUGUUAAUAAUAUGAGAAGACAUGUGGUAUUAAAGGAGGUAAUGUGGAAAAUAAAUAAUAUUUAAUAACAAAAUAAAAUAAUAUUAUUUAUUAUUGGUGGGUGACAAAGAUGAUGAAAUAUCGAAAAUCGAUUUUAAGGCAUUAGUUUAGGCUGAAGUGGGGGAGAGUACAAAAGAAUUCUAAGGAGAUUAAGUAUUGCUGGGACCCAUAUGCCAUUAUUAAUAUAUUUUUAAAUAUUAUGGUGAUACUUUGGUGGAGUGUGAAUUUGAUAUUUUAUUAGUAUGUGUAAAGGAGGAAAAGUUUUGAAGGUUAAACAGUAAACAAGAAAAAGUAAGAUGACUUGUAUGCAAAUAAACCAUUUUUAGUUUAAGUGGACAUAUUAAUAUAAUUUAGAAAAUGUGUGAAAUUACAAGGCAUGGAGUAAUUGUUUGUACAUGGAACUACAAUAAGUGAUCAACCAUGUAUGGGAGUUGUAUGAAAAAAUAAAACCAUGGUCAAAUCAUCGAUGGUAAAGGUAAAAAAUGUAAAAUGAUAAUGUGAUGGAAAGUUAGAAGGACCCGCCACUAUAGAGACAAACUUAUGCAAGUCUUUAUGAAGUUUGCCACCUUGUGUAGAAAGGAAAAAGAACACUUAUAAAAUAGGUGGAAAACUUCUUUAUAUAGUGCCAUAAUCAAUUAGAGCCAUUGGGAGCAAUUCAAGGUAGAAACUAGUUGUUGGAGCAUUGAAUGUUGAUUUGUUGUGACUCUAGGAUUGACCUUUCAAGUUGAGGGGGGGGGGGGGUUCGAUUCUUGCUUCAAAAUUUGUCCUCAAAUAUAAUUGGAGGAUUAAGCUUUUAAACACAUGGGGUCAAUCCUUCAAGGUUCCAAUAGCUUCACUUCUUUUCUGCAUCUACCUGGGAUUGACCUCUUUAGCUUAGACGGUUGAUCUUGAGUUCUUCUAGUAGCUAUUUUAGUUUUGUUUCUUCUUGGGAUUGACCUUUUCUACUUAGACCUUACACUUGCAAUUCCUCUAUAAAAAGGAAUCAUGUAUCAACUAAGUAUUAUACUAAUGUUAAUAAUGUUUUUUUUAAAAUGUUGAUUUAGAUUAUAUUCAAAAGUUCAUACAUAGUAGAUAAUCAUACGUAGGAAAGGGCAACUCUUUGCCAACCUAAAAAAGCACCUGUAAUAGAACAAAAAAAGAAGCUGCAAUACCUAAAAACCUUUGAUAUCCCCCAAAACACAAAAGUUAUACAACCCCCAACAUCUAAAAGAUUGUUUCAACCUUUUCCUUCCAAUCAAAGGAAACCUGGGCAAACAAAAUAAAAAAGAAAAGGACUCUAUAUAUGAUAGACCACAUUUGUCACGACCCGAAACUCCCAUCGAGCCCGUGACAAUCGUUGCGACGUCCCAAUAGGCACUCAUUACCCUGAAUGCCUAUCGAAACCCCGCAAGGCUUAGCAUCAGCUUCUGCAUCUCCCUAGUGAGCGACAGUUAUUAAAUCUCACAUUUCAAAAACAAAUCAUAAGUCUUUUCCAAAUCAAAACAAUAAAAUAUUACUUUCUGGUUCACAGGAGCAUUUUCGUCAUUUUUCUUCGAAAAUACCGAAACUCACCAAAAAUAUGGUGUAAAAGCUAAAUAUAUUCAUACAUAUUUUAAAUCAAAUAACUGAAGAAUAAAAUUACUUUUACAGUGACACGUGGGCCCUCAACUGACUAAUAAAAUGUAGGGUUACGAACCCUUACUUUCUAAGAUGCAACUCCGAGAUUAAUUCUCGUCUUAAUCAACUAUCAACAAAUUGUCCUGAGCCUGAAAAAUGGAUAGGAAGAAGGGGUGAGAUUAUAAAAUCCCAGUGAGUAGACAAACAUCAUCAAAAUAAUCUAAAGCCGAGUAAUAGGAGACAAUUAAAAUAAUUCAUCCCAACCCAUAUAAAUAAUUGGAUUUCAUCCAAUUACUCAACAUGGCUUAUGCANNNNNNNNNNNNNNNNNNNNNNNNNNNNNNNNNNNNNNNNNNNNNNNNNNNNNNNNNNNNNNNNNNNNNNNNNNNNNNNNNNNNNNNNNNNNNNNNNNNNNNNNNNNNNNNNNNNNNNNNNNNNNNNNNNNNNNNNNNNNNNNNNNNNNNNNNNNNNNNNNNNNNNNNNNNNNNNNNNNNNNNNNNNNNNNNNNNNNNNNNNNNNNNNNNNNNNNNNNNNNNNNNNNNNNNNNNNNNNNNNNNNNNNNNNNNNNNNNNNNNNNNNNNNNNNNNNNNNNNNNNNNNNNNNNNNNNNNNNNNNNNNNNNNNNNNNNNNNNNNNNNNNNNNNNNNNNNNNNNNNNNNNNNNNNNNNNNNNNNNNNNNNNNNNNNNNNNNNNNNNNNNNNNNNNNNNNNNNNNNNNNNNNNNNNNNNNNNNNNNNNNNNNNNNNNNNNNNNNNNNNNNNNNNNNNNNNNNNNNNNNNNNNNNNNNNNNNNNNNNNNNNNNNNNNNNNNNNNNNNNNNNNNNNNNNNNNNNNNNNNNNNNNNNNNNNNNNNNNNNNNNNNNNNNNNNNNNNNNNNNNNNNNNNNNNNNNNNNNNNNNNNNNNNNNNNNNNNNNNNNNNNNNNNNNNNNNNNNNNNNNNNNNNNNNNNNNNNNNNNNNNNNNNNNNNNNNNNNNNNNNNNNNNNNNNNNNNNNNNNNNNNNNNNNNNNNNNNNNNNNNNNNNNNNNNNNNNNNNNNNNNNNNNNNNNNNNNNNNNNNNNNNNNNNNNNNNNNNNNNNNNNNNNNNNNNNNNNNNNNNNNNNNNNNNNNNNNNNNNNNNNNNNNNNNNNNNNNNNNNNNNNNNNNNNNNNNNNNNNNNNNNNNNNNNNNNNNNNNNNNNNNNNNNNNNNNNNNNNNNNNNNNNNNNNNNNNNNNNNNNNNNNNNNNNNNNNNNNNNNNNNNNNNNNNNNNNNNNNNNNNNNNNNNNNNNNNNNNNNNNNNNNNNNNNNNNNNNNNNNNNNNNNNNNNNNNNNNNNNNNNNNNNNNNNNNNNNNNGGCCAUUGAAGGUUCAUGGGGAAAAUGGAUUCUUUUCUUGUUGUUUUGUUUCUAAACAUGUUUAACUAACUCUAAACACCAACAUAACUCAAAAUCAAACAAUUCCAACAUCUUUCUCUCUCCAUACCCAUUUUGACCAGCCAUAAUUUCAUCAUGAAAACAUGUAAUUUAACCAUGGAAAUUAAGGAAAAGUGCAUGGGUACGGUAAAUCACUAGCAAAAUCAAAGAAAUUUUACCUUUGCUUGAUCAAAUCCUUGAAUUCCAACAUUUCUCUUUGAUUUUUCCCACCUAAGGUUUGUUCUUCCUUGGUUUCUCUUCUCUUCUGAUUUGGUUGAUCACUAUGGGAGAAAUGGGCUGAUUUUUUUCCUUUUUAUAAAGAAAUAAUAAAAUAAUAAAAACAUGACACAUGGCAUUUCCUUAUUGGCUCAAAUUUUAAAUAUUUGACUUUUAAUUCUCUAAUUCUCCAUGUUUAUCCAUUUCCAUGAUGAAUAAAAUCCCUUGGUCUUGACAAGUGUUGGGGGUGAAAAUUUACCGAUUUGCCCUCGGGGUGGCAAAAUUACCAUUUCACCCUUAUACUCCAAAUUAUACCGGAAUUAAAAAUUUUCACUUCUAAACUUCAAAUCAUACUCCAAUACUUAAAUCAUACUCCAAUAAGUCAAAUGGACCAAAAAAAAUCUUUUCUAAAAAUUUUCAUUUUGUCCCCAAGUGGCAAAUGACCAUUUUGCCCCUAGAUAGUGAAAAUUUCGGUUUGACUCUAAAUUGAUCCUCGAACUCCGAAUUACCAUUUUGAGUCAUCCAUGAACUGUGAAACUCUUAAUUUCACCUUAAAAUUCCUAUUUGAACUAGUUCGAGGCUUAAUCGACUCAAUGGUACCAUUAGGGGCAAUAUCGUCUUUUAACAAUUUCUCGAACUUUCUAAAUCUGCAAACAUUCUAUUGUGCAUGUAAAUGACGUCAUAAUUAUUUUAUAGAACAGGGUUUGACAACAUUCACAAGACAAAAAGAUCCAAACAAAGGAAUGAAGCAAAACUCCUUUAUAUAAUGCCCAACCGCAAGGAGUAAGAAAGCAAAAGACAUCCGAUGAUAGCCAACCAUGUCCUUUGAGAUUGAGCUAGACCAACAAGGUUCCCAAGCCUUUAAGGAUUAAAAUAAAAGCUGCCUGCAUGAUGCUCAGCUGAUGCAAGCACAAAAAAAUAACUUGUACAAAACCAAUGGAAACAACCAUAAACACCAAGAAAUAAAAAUAACAGCAAACAUCCAAUACCCUAUUAAAACAAGCAUAAAAAUUAGGCAUAAGUAAUGCCAUCACAUAAAACCCAAAGUAAUUCAUCAGACCUUUGUACCCUGAUUUUGCUAAAGAAUUAGCAAUUUCAUGUGUAGACCUUGGAAUUUUGCUGAAAUUGAUUUCCUUGAUUUGAGAUUUAAAGAAAUCAACUUUCAAUAUGAUGGGCCAUAGUCUUUAAGGAGUAGAACAUGGAUCUCUAAUCCACUUUACAACAUUUUUAGAGUCAUUCUUGAUUAUAACUUUAUGAGAUACAACCCACUUUGAUGUUGCUAAAGUCUGCAAAGCCUUACACAUUGCUUUAAUCUUAGCUUCAUUAGCAUAUGAUACUCCAAUCAACAUCGAGAACAUGAGGAGGAUCUCACUAAAAUCAUUACGAAGGACUCUUCUAAUGCCUAUUUCCCUAGGGUUACCUUUGGAGGCCUUGUCAACAUUAAAUUUAAGAACUCCAUAAGUGGGGCUUGCCAUCUGAUGGAAGGCUUAGAUGCUUUACAUUUUUUAAAGUCAAACCCAUUAUUAGGGAACCUCUCUAAUUUUGCAAUAGAAAAUUCAGGUUAAGCCAUCUGGCCUUUAUCCAUGAAGCAAUGCGUAGCUUGAUCUCAUUAAACACAUGAGCAUUGACCCAUUGUUUACCUUUAAACAACACCUUGUUGUAAGCAAGCCAAAUAGACCAAGUAAUAGUUGGCAAAGACAACCUACAAACAUUUUCAUUACUAACAACCUUUGUAGCCUCCUUCCAUGCCAUAAAGUUAAUAAGAGGAUUUUUGUGAUUAACCCACAUAAAACCCCAUAGUCCAACCUACAUAUACCAUAAUAACCAAGUUUCUUCACAAGAAAAGAAAAGAUGUUCAGUUGAUUCUCUUUCACUCCUACAUAACAAACAGUAAGUAGAGUCCACUCUUAAGAGCCCCUUAUAGAGAAGGAUUUCUCAAAUUGGGAGUUUCCCUUUAAUCAACAUCUAACAAAACACCUCAACUUUGAGCAGUGCUAGUCCUCACUAUAAAGUUUUUCAAUGGUUAGCUUUAAUGUUGGUGAGCUUCAUCACUUUUCGAUAGAAAGAUUUGGUGUUAUAGUUUCCAUUAGGGGUGGCCUUCUAAAUUAAUUUAUCAACAAAGUGUUUUCUCAAAGUUUGGUCAUUGAGGAGUGAUUGAAAUUCCUCUAAUUGCUCUUGCUCUCAGCCAAGAGGAUCUCUCCUUAAGGUAACCCACUAAUGUCACACAUCAUUAAUUCAUUUACCAGAUAGUUUAAUAGGCCUAUUUUUAGCAUUAAAAAGCAUAUGAAUUCCUAAGAAACUAAAUUUUAACGUAAUUCCCUUAAUCCAUUGCUCACUCAAAAAAUCAAUCAUUUUACCAUUAUCGACCAACAAAUUUAGCUCCUUCUUGUUGAUGGAAGAUGAGCAAUCAAAAGAAAAAAGAGGUUUACUAAUAUUAUGCCAAACACCUGACACCAUCCUUUAAGAUCUAACGAUGGGAAGUAAACAUUCCAUUCCUCCACCAACUUUGUUAACUAUAACUGUCACGACUCGAUACUCCCAUCGAGCCCUUGACAACUGCCACGGUGUCUCCAUAGACACUAAUUACUCGGAAUGCCAACCAGAACCUCGCAAGGCUUUAAUAUCAGUUUCUCAUUUUCCUUGUGAGUAACCAUUUCCAAAUAUCACAUUCUAAAAGAUUUUAAACUAUUUCCAAACCAAAACAAUAAAAAAAAUAAUUUUCGUCUCAUAGGGGUAUUUUAGUCAUUUUGCCAUAAAAUUUUGAAACUAGCUAAUAAUGUAGUAUACAGGUGCAAAACACAUAUUUCAUAAUAAAAAAUAAAUUUGGAUGUCUAAAACAUUUGUUUAAAAUGAAAUUAUGACUAUUAGAAUAAAAUAAAAAUAUUAAAUAAAAUAUUCAAUUUUCUCAUAAAACAAUAUUUUUAAAACACUGCGUAAAUAAUUUUUACAGCGUAAAAGCAAAAUAAAUUCAUAUAUAUUGUAAUAUAGUAAACCAGAGUAUUUAAUUUAAUUUACAGUAACAAGUGGGCCCUCGAAUAACCAAAAGUAAGAAAGACUGUGAACCUACAGUUUGGAAGAUGCAAAUCCAAUGCUAGUCCUCGACAAAAUGUGCUAUCUAUAGACUAUCCUGAACUUGAAAUGGGUGGAAGUGAGGGUGGUGAGAUUAUAUAAUCUUAGUGAGUAAACAAAUAUCAUCUAAAAUAUCUAAAGCUGAGUAAAUGGAGACAUAUAUAAUAGAUUAGCAUAAAAUAAUUCAUAGCCUUUCAAACUCAUUUUUAUGAGAUAAAAUAAAUUUAUUUCAUCCAAAUAAUCAUUGAGGCUUAUGAUUUCCUGAAAAGCUUGGCUUGUGCCAAAAAUCAUUAUCAUACUCAGUUAUCAGAGAUACCUUGGCCGAGGGCUAUCCCAACUGAGUCCGCCAAGGUUGUUAAAAAAUUAUAUACACAUAAAUCAUGUUUUUAUUUUGAAAACAUAGUCGUUCUUGGCGUUGGCCGAGCUCACCCUCACGUGGUGGUUUUGCAUGAAGUGAACUCUAAAGUGUUAACCUCAGGAGUUAUCCAUCCGCGCCUCUCAUACUAAGGUAAGAUAUAACGGGUUUUACCGUGCCCCCUUAAUAGGCUGGUCCAUGAAAACCCGCCCACUGCAGUAAGCUAAUUGAUAUCCACCAGAUCAAUAAAAUUCCAACAGCAUAACGUGGCAAUUAUUUUACAACACAGCAUGUCAAGGCAAAACAACAGUUUAUACAUUUUCAACACAUUUACCAAAUCCAGCCACUCAUGCCCACAUUAUCAUAAGCCAUUCAAUUCAAACCAUAAUUUACAACACAACAAUUAGUCUGCAAUUACUCCAUUUUCCAAAACCAUCAUUCAAUUUUAAGACAAUUUUAUAAAAUCAUUUCAUAUAAUCACAUUUUGCUUUUAAAACAUAAAGAUUUACCAUUUAAACUCAUUUUUCAUAAAAUCACAAAAACUAAUUAAAAUUCACUUUAGAUAAUCAAGAUGAUGAUAAGGUUACUCACAAUGUCUAGAGUGCGAAUUUUUGAAGUACUCUGACUACUCGUCCUCGGAUGCAAUUUUCUUGCCUUUAUCGGAGGACUCACCACCUUGACAUAGUACAUAAUCGAGAAACUUACUACAUUGGUACUAAAUCAAAAUUAAACUAAUUUAGACUAUUAAUGCAUGAUAUGGAAUGCAAAAUGCACGGGUAACCAUCUAAAUUCGGUAUUGGCCUAAUUCAUCUUAUCACCCGAUUAAUUGGUCAACGCAUCCAAUUUAGCUCCAAAUUGCUCCAUUUCUUUUCCAAUACCUUAAUUCCCCAAACACAAGUCAAAUAACUUAAAAUUUGGCAAAACCAUCUUCACUUUUCUUCUUAGAAUUUUUGAUCAGUAAUGGUGCAUUAACACCGUGAUUUUUCCUACUACUUUUCCACACAAUAAUUCAUCAUUUUCUAACCAAUUCUCUUAAAAUAAAAAAAUCAAUUUCAUCCUCACUCGAUACAAGGUAGGUUCGGCCAUUGAUGGGUGAUGGGGAAAAUGAAUUCUUUUCUUGUUAUUUUACUUCUAGACAUAGUAAACUAACUAAAAACACUAACAUAACUUGAAAUCAAAUUAAUCCAACAUCAUUCUCUCUCCAUACCCAUUCGGCUAGCCAUAAAUUCACCAUAGAAACAUGAAAUUUAACCAUGGAAAAUAAGGAGAAAUGCUUAAGGAAAAUAGAUUUCAAGUUUAAAUUGAGAAAUCCUACCUUUUUCACUUGUUUUCCUUGAUUUUCCUCACUUUUUCUCUUGAAAUUCUCCACCUAAGGUUUGUUCUUUCUUUGUUUCCCUCUUUUCCUUACUUGGCCGAAUAUUUGGAGAGAAGUGAGAGGUUUAUAGGCUGAUUUUUAAAGGAAAUAAUAAAAUAUUCUAAGCUUGACAAGUGUCAUUUUAUUAUUGGUCCAUUUUUAAAACUUUAAAAAUUUAAACUUUUUAUCUCCACCACAUAUAUUUCUCACUUAUCCAUAACAUAAAAAGUCAAUGGAUGAAUUCUAUGAGCAUGACAAGUGUUGGUGGUGUAAAAUUACAAUUUUGCCACUAGGGUGGCAAAAUUACCAUUUUACCCCUAUGCUCCUAAAAAUACCAGGAUUACAAUUUUUCACUUCUCAACCUCAAAUCAUACUUCAAUAAGUCAAAUGUGAUCAAAAUCUUUCAAAAAUUUUCCAUUUUUUCCUCGAGUGGCAAAAUUACCAUUUUACCCUAGAUAGUGAAAUUUUCGGUUUGACUCCAAAUUGAUCCUCGAACCCCAAAUGACCAUUUUAAAUCAUUCUUGAACUGUAAAAUUUUUAAUUUCACCCUAAAAUCUCUAUUUGAUCAAGUUCGAGGCUUAAAUCAACUUUAUUGUACCUCUAGGUACAAUACCAACUUUUGUAAAUUUUUUGGGACUCUCCUAGCAUGCAAAUAUGCUAUCCAUCACAUGUAUGUCAUGACAAGUAUUUUAUAAGGUCAGGAUUUACAGCAUUACCCCCCUUUACAAUAAAAUUUUGAUCUCAAAAUUUCACUUACCGGAUUUGAAGAAAAGAUGUGGAUAUUGGUCUCUCAUCUGGUGCUUGACUUCCCACGUCAUGUAUUCCAUUCGAGCAUUCUGUGGCAUCCCUCUCGGGGGCCCACUCCAAGGUAUUGUUAUAUUCGGGUCCCCAUCACUUGACUUACUCGUAUUCGCCACGCCUAAGGGUGGCACGACAGGCCCUGUAGGACCUUCUCGCCAAGCUUCAAACUCGAGACCUUUUGCUCCCUCCGAAGGGAACGCCUUUAACUUUUUGGAUGUUUUUAUUCCUCAACACUCGAUCCUUUCGAUCUAGAAUACGUAUGGGUUGCAUCUAAGUCAAAUUAUCCUUAAAUCAUCAAUCAUGCAUGUUUGCUUAACUAUCCACAAUUCCUCUACAUUGACCUUUUAUCAAACCUUCCAACAUUCAAGCAUUUAUUUCACCAUUAAUUAUGGGUCUAAAUGGUCAACCAACUUCUAUUCCGUUUUACAUACCUCCCUACAAAUUCUAUUCAAGCAUUUCAUAAUACAUAAGGAUCAAACACCUUUUAUUUAUCCAUAUAUAUAUAUAUAUAUAUUUAACAUCACAGAUAAUUUAAAUUUGGUAACCAUUAGUAACCAUAUUCUCAAAAAGAAACUCUCGUAUUUUUAUGAUCAAGUACUUAUUAAGUAGAUCUUGACUAUUACUACAAUACAUUUAAAUAAAUAAACAUACUUUUGGAUGUAUCUUUAUAGACUUAAUCAAUCCUUAAAAUUGUUAGGUCAUAACCAACUGGUUAGUUAUACGUCACAUACAAACAUAUUCAACUUGUGAUUCCUCAAAUUUACAUCCAGACACUAGAUCUCAUGGCCUCAUUAGUUUAUCAAUCUGGAAAUGAAAAUAAACAUUUAUCUCCCCUCACGUACACUUUAAAAUCAAAGUAUCAUUUAUUAAGAUUUUUCUGAUAUCAACUUCCUUCAGUCCCUUUUUCCUUAGAAGAUUAAAUCCAUAAUCAAUCAUUUUGAGUCAUUGGCUUAUGCCAAUUAAGGCAGAUUUUCACACCUUUGAUUACAUGAAUUCGAUUGCACAUAUUCACCUAUAAGCUAUAAACCUUUCCCCAAAUCUUUAUAUACCAAAACUGAUAUAUUAUUUAUAUCAUUUCCAAUCAUAUGCUUGAGUUUCAUCAUGCUAUAUCCUCACAUCACAAUGUCAUUAAUCACAUCUCACUUGCUAAAUGUCACUUAAAAACUUAAACUGAUUCGAAUCAUGCAUGCCUUAAGCAUUUUCAAAUUCCAAUUUCCAUACUACCUUAGGAAAUUUUCAUUAUCAAGCUUCAUUAUCCAAAUUAUCUUCAUUCAUCCUUUGUUCUGUUCUUCCAUACUAAUGUGAUAUCAUUCUCCCUAGACCAAUCUGCAGUUUGUACUUAAAACUGUAAGACUUGAAAUAAGGUUCUUCUAAGUACUUUUCAAUGUCAAUACGAAUUUCACUUCCAACUUACGGCUUCCUCUUUACAGCCACAUAACUUAAUGCUAGCUUCCACAAAAUCCAUAGCAAAACUCUUCUUGAGUAUUUCCUUGGGAAUAUCUAUCUUAGACUUAUGUCUCACAGCAUAUGAUCACUUAACUUGUGACUUAGCCGUUAGGCUCCUCAAUAAGUUUUAAAAAUCUCGAAUUCUGUACUUGCCGUGUAUGACUAGAAAUUUUUUUCUCAAAGAUGUUUAUGCAUUUCUAAAACACUUAAUCUUAAAGGUAUAUAAAUGCGUACUUAUCCAUUCAAUCCCCAACUCAUCUUCAUAGGUUUCUAGGGUGCCACACAAUUGGCCUCAUGUUGUUACUAACCCUUGUUAUUUAACCGAAUCAGGACAGAAAUUGCAAAUUCUCGUAAUGAUACUCUAUAUAAACUGGUUUUCUAUACCAGUCUCGUAAUUCUUCAUUCACACUUUCAUCACUUGGUAUCUUAUCUCAAGGUAGCCAUCUCAAGAAUUUUUUCAAUUUUUUCUUUUAAUUAUAUGCUCAUACACGAGGCGAUAAAGAAGCUUUUCAAUUUAUUUAUGUAAACAUUCUCCAGAAUUUUUAAAACUCCCAAAUAAUAAAGCUCAAUGAACAAUAGCCAAAAUUCAAUUUGUAAGCUCAUUAUUGUGCCAUUCCCAUCAUACUCGUGCAUCAUAGGCAUCAGGUAUUCAGAGCAUUGCUGCGUUGGACAGUCAGUGCUGCUGUGCUGUAACUAUUAGAAAUUUCCUCAUCAAAGCUAUUUGUCUGCAUUCAAAGUCACCACAUCGAUCAUUCUCAACCAGUGGGUUUCCCUUCUAGACAUAUAUCAUGAGUUCCAUAAGCAUAGGUACCUUCUAUUUUCUUGUCAUACACACUAAGCCAAGUCAAUACUUUCAACUCAUGUCAUCUUUUGACUUUCAUCAUCAUUCAUAAAAUCCCACCUUAAAACAUCAUUUCCAUACGGUGUAAUGAAUUCAUGAUACAUAUACCACCCCACACAUAAUUUGUUCACUGUCCACAGCAUUCCUCAAAUUUAUUGUCAUCCAUAUCUAAUUAUCUUCCUUGUCUUGUACUCCAAUAAUUUAUUGACUUUCAGUAUAAUAACUACGAAAAUAGUUUGUCUUUCUCCACACUUUACACUCACAAUCCUUAUUAAUCAAGAAUUUAUCUUUUUCAACUUCCAUCAUUUGCCUCCAAUGGACCAUAUUUAUGGCAGAUUAUCAUUUCAUAAUAUUAUGGUAUCAUUUUAUAAUUCCCUCCAUACUUAAAGUUAUAAUCCUUAACUUAAUCACAUUAAUCACUCAAAGUGUCAUAUAGAGCCUCAUUGAUCCCUUCCAUAUCUUUUCAAAUUGUAACUACAAAUAAAGAUUCCCAAUUUCACAUCUCCAAGAUUGAUUGUUAGUCUUACCACACUGUUUCCCAAUAUCCUGUGCAAUUACAACACACUGAACCCGCUUAUUAUAAUGUGUUUGCUCGGGAAUCAUCUUCUUUGUCUUACAACUCAUAUAGUUCAAUCACUUCAACUUAAAAUCGUUAUGAAAUUAAUCCACCCGAAUUAACAUCUUAUGCUUAUCUUAUUAUUAGUUCAAGUGUUUCAUGAUCAUGAAUACUACAAUUUACAAAACUAGCUUUUUAUCAUACGUACUUUAUUAGAACACUAAUUUCAACAUAUUUAAUCUACCCUUGGUGGUAUGUCAAAAUCAUCCCUGUCUCGGUUCUAAUCCAGAGGAAUCUCUCCUCUGCAUAUCCAUACGAGCUGGUGGAGAUGGAGCAGCUACCGUAGCCUAUCUUAACUGUGAGCAAUCUCUCCUAAUGUGACCCGGCUGACCAUAAUAAAAACAUUGUACAGGCUCUCUACACGGCCCGAAAUGAUAUCUCCCACAAUUUUUGCAUCUAUGAGAACCUCUGAAACUCUUUCCAGAAAUAGUCAUCGCAGAUCUGUUAAAUCUCGGAGGCCUCUACGGUGUCUAUGAAAAUAGAGGUCGGGAAGAUGUUACUGAAACAAUAGUAGUACUUCCUGAAACAGAUGAGUCUUUGCCCCUUUUUGGUGGCUGGCUAGAAGAUACAUUCAAAUUUCUCCUUUUUGCUAACUCAACUCGCAGUCUCCUAUUUUCAUUCGCAAGCUUUUCAGCUCUUAAAGCCAUUUGCACCACCUCUUUAGCUACGGUUGCGUCCGACUCACCCAUAAAAGAAACACAAUCAGGUUGCCUAGCCUCUUUAAGCUUAUUAGAAAUAGAAACAUCCAGCACUGGUGGUGGGACAGGAGGUAGGGGUGGUGGUACUGAAGGAGCAGUUGGAGGAAUUGUAAGAAAAGCUUGACCAGUUUGAGCCUGGACAACAAUAGCAGUAAAGAAGGCUGUCAAUGCCUAAACUAUCUCAAGAGGCAUGGCAGGAAUACUAGUAGGUGGCGAAAGAGGUGGAGGAUGUGGAGGAGUCUCAGUUCGCUCAGCAGCAGGUGCUGCCCGAAUAGUAGACGCAGUCGUUUCCACCUCUAUAGGAUCUAGUUGAAGAUGUUGAGAACGACCUCUUCCCCUCCCAACCGAUCUAGUGAGAGGUGGGUGUUCACGUCGAUGAGGCAUGAUAAUCUAUAAGAAGGAAUAAGGCAAGUUUAAACAACCUCAAGCUCUACAUGCAAAUACAUGCAUUCUAUUCAACCUAACCUAACUUAACUUGGGACCACACCAACACUGUAAAUUUUUAAAACAACUUUAAAAUAAAAGCUCUGAUCUUUAAAACCAAAGGCUCUGAUACCAAUGUAAUUGUCACUACUCGGUACUCCCCUUGAGCCUGUGACAACCGCCACGGUGUCCCAAUAGACACUCAUUACCUGGAAUGCCAAUCGGAACCCUGCAAGGCUUUAAUAUCAGUUUCUUAUUUCCCUUGUGAGUAACCGUUGCCAAAUAUCACGUUCUAAAAGAUUUUAAACUAUUUCCAAAUGAAAAUAAUAAAAAUAAUAAUUUUCAUCUCACAGGGGUAUUUUAGUCAUUUUUUCCAUAAAAUUUUGAAACCAGCUAAUAAUGUAGUAUACGGGUGCAAAACACAUAUUUCAUAAUCAAAAAUAAAUUUGGAUGUCUAAAACAUUUGUUUAAAAUGAAAUUAUGACUAUUAGAAUAAAAUAAAAAUAUUGAAUAAAAUAUUCAAUUUUCUCAUAAAACAAUAUUUUUAGAACAUUGCGUAAAUAAUUUUUACAGCGUAAAAGCAAAAUAAAUUCAUAUAUACUAUAAUACAGUAAACCAGAGUAUUUAAUUUAAUUUACAGUAACAAGUGGGCCCACGAAUAACCAAAAGUAAGAAAGACUGUGAACCUACAGUUUGGAAUAUGCAAAUCCAAUGCUAUUCCUCGACGAAAUGUGCUAUCUAUAUACUAUCCCGAACCUGAAAUGGGUGGAAGUGAGAGUGGUGAGAUUAUAUAAUCCCAGUGAGUAAACAAAUAUAAUCUAAAAUAUCUAAAGCUGAGUAAAUAAAGACAGAUAAAAUAGAUUAGCAUAAAAUAAUUCAUAGCCUUUCAAACUCAUUUUUAUGAGAUAAAAUAAAUUUAUUUCAUCCAAAUAAUCAUUGAGGCUUAUGAUUUUUUUGAAAAGCUUGGCUCGUGCCAAAAAUCAUUAUCAUACUAAGUUAUCAAGGAUACCUUGGUCGAGGGCUAUCCCAACUGAGUCCGCCAAGGCUGUUAAAAAAUUAUAUACACAUAAAUCAUCUUUUUAUUUUGAAAACAUAGUCGUUCCUUGGUGUUGGCCGAGUUCACCUCACGUGGUGAUUUUGCAUCAAGUGAACUCUAAAGUGUUAACCUUAAGAGUUAUCCAUCCGCGCCUCUCAUACUGAGGUAAGAUAUAACGGGGUUUACCAUACCCCUCUAAUAGGCUGGUCCACGGAAACCAGCCCAUUGCAGUAAGCUAAUUGAUAUCCACCAAAUCAAUGAAAUUCCAACAACAUGACGUGGCAAUUAUUUUACAACACAUCAUGUCAAGGCAAAACAAUAGUUCAUACAUUUUCAGCACAUUUACCAAAACUAGCCACUCAUGCCCACAUUAUCAUAAGCCAUUCAAUUCAAACCAUAAUUUACAACACAACAAUUAGUCUCCAAUUACUCCAUUUUCCAAAACCAUCAUUCAAUUUCAAGACAAUUUUAUAAAAUCAUUUCAUUUAAUCACAUUUUGCUUUUAAAACAUAAAGAUUUACCAUUUAAACUCAUUUUCCAUAAAAUCACAAAAACGAAUUAAAAUUCACUUCAGAUAAUCAAGAUGAUGAUAAGGUUACUCACAAUAUCUAGAGUGCGGAUUUCUGAAAUACUCUGACUACUGGUCCUCGGAUGUAAUUUCCUUGCCUUUAUCGGAGGACUCACCACCUUGACAUAGUACAUAAUCGAGAAACUUACUACAUUGGUACUAAAUCAAAAUUAAACUAAUUUAGACUACUAAUGCAUGAUAUGGAAUGCAAAAUGCACGGGUAACCAUCUAAACCCGGUAUUAGCCUAAUUCGUCUUAUCACCCGGUUAAUUAGCCAACGUGUCCAAUUUAGCUCCAAAUUGCUCCAUUUCUUUUCCAAUACCUUAAUUCCCCAAACACAAGUCAAAUAACCUAAAAUUUGGCAAAACCAUCUUCACUUUUCUUCUUAGAAUUUUCGGUCAAUAAUGGUGCAUUAACACCGUGAUUUUUUCUACUACUUUUCCACACCAUAAUUCAUCAUUUUCUAACCAAUUCUCUUAAAAUAAAAAAAUCAAUUUCAUCCUCACUCGAUACAAGGUAGGUUCGGCCAUUGAUGGGUGAUGGCGAAAAUGAAUUCUUUUCUUGUUGUUUUACUUCUAGACAUAGUAAACUAACUAAAAACACUAACAUAACUUGAAAUCAAAUCAAUCCAACAUCAUUCUCUCUCCAUACCCAUUCAGCUAGCCAUAAAAACAUGAAAUUUAACCAUAGAAAAUAAGGAGAAAUGCUUAAGAAAAAUAGAUUUUAAGUUUAAAUUUAGAAAUCCUAUAUUUUUCACUUGUUUUCCUUGAUUUUCCUCACUUUUUCUCUUGAAAUUCUCCACCUAGGGUUUGUUCUUUCUUUGUUUCCCUCUUUUCCUUACUUGGCCGAAUAUUUGGAGAGAAGUGAGAGGUUUAUAGGCUGAUUUUUAAAGGAAAUAAUAAAAUAUUCUAAGCUUGACAAGUGUCAUUUUAUUAUUGGUCUAUUUUUAAAACUUUAAAAAUUUAAACUUUUAAUCUCCACCACAUAUAUUUUCUCACUUAUCCAUAACAUAAUAAGUCAAUGGAUGAAUUCUAUGAGCAUGACAAGUGUUGGUGGUGUAAAAUUACAAUUUUGCCACUAGGGUGGUAAAAUUACCAUUUUACCCUUAUGCUCCGAAAAUUACCAGGAUUACAAUUUUUCACUUCUCAACCUUAAAUCAUACUCCAACAAGUCAAAUGUGAUCAAAAUCUUUCAAAAAUUUCCCAUUUUGUCCUCGAGUGGCAAAAUUACCAUUUUACCCUUAGAUAGUGAAAUUUUCGGUUUGACUCCAAAUUGAUACUCGAACCCCAAAUGACCAUUUUAAAUCAUUCUUGGAUUGUAAAAUUUUCAAUUUCACCCUAAAAUCUCUAUUUGAUCUAGUUCGAGGCUUAAAUCAAUUUUGUUAUACCUCUAGGUACAAUACCGACUUUUGUAAAUUUUUCUAGACUCUCCUAGCAUCAAAACAUGCUAUCCAUCACAUGUAUGUCAUGACAAGUAUUUUAUAAGGUCGGGCUUUACAAUAACUUUAUGCCAUAAGCUACCUAUUUCGUUAUCGAAUUGCCAAAUCUAUUCAGUAAAUAGAGCUUGGUUUGUAGGGACAAGUCCAUAAUACCCAAUCUUCUAAAAUCCUUAUGAAGACAUAUGGAAGGCCAAUUAACAUGAUGUAUUUUUCGACUAUCCAUUGAUCCUCCUUAAAAAAAAAAAACUCCUUUGAAUUCUAGCAAGCUUCUCCUUAAUGCUAACUAGAAUUUGGAGGAUUGACAUUAAAAAGAUGGGGAGACUUCCAAGGAUAGAUUUAAGGAAAGUUAGCUUACCCUUCAUUGAUAAAUACCUCAAUUUCCACAUAAAUAGCUUGGAUUCAAACUUUUCCAUAACAAGUUGCCACACUUUGAGCGAGUUGACUCUCCCUUCCAAUGGAAGUCCCAAAUAAGUGGUAAGAAGAGUGUCGAGUUUACAUCUAAUCCUCUCGGCAUAACCACUGAUCUGAUGCUGAUUAACACCCACUUCAAAAAAGUAAUUUUUAUGGAAAUUGAUUUUGAGCCUUAAAAUUGCUUGAAAACACUUAAGAACUCUUUUAAUAUUUAAUAAACAAUCCAACGAUAGUUUAUAGAUAAGUACCGUAUCAUUUGCAAACUAUAAGUGAGAUAAGAUCAAAUUCUCACUACUAAUGCUAAUUUCUUCGGUGAUCUACUUAUUCACCGUUUUAUGCAUAAGCACACUAAGAGCCUCUACGACAAAGGGGAGAAUGGACAGCCUUGUUUAAGAACUUUAAACAUCUUGAAUUGUCUCGUAGGUGACCCAUUAACCAAGAUUGAGAUAUUGGCCAUAGAGAUAUAAGAGCUUAUCCAUGUGCGCCAUUUUGUUCCAAACCACAUAUAGCUCAUCACCAAGUUAAGAAAGCUCUAGUUAACACUAUCAAAUGCCUUUUCAAAAUCAAUUUUGAAAAGAAUCCUUCUUUACCUUCCUUUUUCAAGAAAUUAAUGAUCUCAUUAGCUAUAAGACUACAAUUGAGGAGUUGUCACCCUUUAAUGAAUGCAAACUGAUUUUCACCCAUAAUUUCAUCCAUGACUCCUCUAAGAAGAUUGGCAAGAGCUUUUGUAAUAAAUUUGUAUAGCAUCCAAUAAGGUUGAUGGGCCAAUACUUACUAAGUGAAGAUGAGGAGGCACAUUUAAAGACCAAAGUAAUGAAGAAAAUAUUAACACAACCAUCUAUGGAGUUCAUAUGGUAUAAAUCAUCGACAUACCUCAUAAUGUCAUCCUUAAUAACUCCCCACUACUUUUUGAGAAAAUUAAAGUUAAAUCCAUUUGGACCAGUGGCCUUGUUACCGUCACAACUAGUGAUAGUUUCCUAAACUUCUUUCUAAGUGAAAAGUUGUUCAAGGAGUUUGGCUGAGCUUUCAAAAAAUGCUUUAAAUUGACAAUUUAUCUCUCUUAAUCUUACUUUGGAGCUCUUAUUAUAUAAGUUAGCAAAAUGGUUAACCAUAUAAUUUCUUAACUUCCAACUCAUCAACAAGAUUUCUAUUGACCUCGAAUCUACUGAUGGAGUUGACCUUUCUCCUCAUAAAGGUAACAACAUGGAAGUACUUGGUGCUCUUAUCUCCUUCCAAGACCCAACGCACCCUUAACUUUUGCUACCAACUCCUUUUUUCACUCCAUAAGAGCUGCCGAAGAUCACUUUUCAACUUUAAGAUCUGAUUUCUAAUUUCGUUGUUUGUAAUAUCAUCCUAGAGAUCAAGUUCAAGGUCAUGAAUAAUCAUCUCAAGUUGCCUGAUCUUUCUUUCAUCCAACCUAUAGUUAAAUUUUUGCCGAACUUUGAUGUUAGCUUUGACACCCAUAAGUUUAUGCCACACCCUAGCUUGCUUAUUGCUUAGACCUUCUAUUUCUUUCCACGCUUUAAUAAACAUAUCUUGGAAGCUUACCUUGUCUUACCACUUAUUGAAAAAGUGAAAGAGUUUGGGGCCCUCAAUCCCUCUCCACCGUGGAGAGCAUAAUUGGAUUAUGGUCAAAAAUGGAUUUUGGUAAACAUUCCUAUUGGAAUUGUGAUAGAUUUUUGAGAUUUUCGUUGUCACAAAAUCUAUCCAACCAACUAAAGAAGGCAAUUUCUUUAUUGUUACUUUAGGUGAACUUAUUGCCAUUCAUGUCCUCUAGGAAGUAGCCUUAUGUCCUUAAUAAAAUCCACAAAUUGGCUAAUAGUGUGGUACCCCGUACCCCCGUAUAGUAGUCAACAUAACUGUAUCGAUAAUACGAAGGGCUAAUUGACGUGGAUUUAAGUAUCAAAGAGCAGUGGCGGGUGAAAGGAAUUUUCUAAAGUAAAAUAUUUCGCACGUGAGGAAAUAACAAUUAAAUAAUAACAUUUUUAUUAAAGAUGAAUUAGCGAGAUAAAAAGUGAUUCGGAAGUGAAUCAGGGCAUAAUAAGACAUUUUGUACUCCAAGGAGAUAAGUGGAAAAUCUUGAAAUAAAAUAAUAUUAAAAUAUUAAUAUUUUAUUUGAUGUCGAAAUUAGUCAUGAAGGAGGAGUAUAUGGUCAAUCUAAGUGGCAGAGAAGAAGAAUGUGAGAAUUUUGAAGAAAAACGACAUUAGUGGGACUCGCGUGUCUUUAUUAAAUAAAGCUAGUACGGGUAAGUAUAUAUUUAAAUAUUAUGGUGAUACCGCGUUGAAGUGCAAACUUUAUAUUUUGUUUGAACACAUGUAAAGGAAGAAAAAUAGAAGAAAAUUGGAAUUAAAAGAUUGUUUGGAGGACUAAAUUAAAAAAAAGAGAAAUUUUGAGGGUAAAGUGGUAAUUUUUCCAUGAGCUUGUUCAAAGCUUCCAAGGAAGCUUUGACUCUUUUCUUCCUUAUCCAUGGCUGAUCCUUAUCUUCUCCAUAAGGCAUUUUCUUCUCCAUCUUCUUUCUCCCAACAUGGCUUUCUUUCUUCACCAUAAAAAUCAAGUUUUUUCUUUUCCUUUCUCUUCUUUUCUUACUUUCCCUUUCUCCUACCCCUUUAUUCACCCAACCCACAACUCUCAACCUCAUUUUUCAUCCCAACUAAACCCUAGGAGAGAGAAAGGAAGAAAGAAGAAAAGAAAGAAAGAAAGGAAAAAGGAAGAGAAAAGCUCGAAGGAGGCUUGACCUUGAAGGAGAAAAAUGAAAAUUGAGAGGUUUUCCUCCCCACCCACACGCCAUCAUUGAGGUUGAAAAGAAUUUGGUGGUUUGCCUUAUGGAUUUCAAGGUAAGGAAGGUAGAAAUUAAUGUUUUAUUUGAAAGCCUGUAGUUUGAACCAAUUAUGAUGUGAGGUUUUGUUAGUGGUAGCAAGGAUCAAUAAAGAUCCAAGGAACUAGAGGCAUGCAUGUGGAAGAAUCUUGAAAUGCAUGGUGAUUUUGAACUAGAUUAAGUGGUGGGUAAGCGUUCUAACCUCUAAAUCACAAGUAGAAAGGAAAAAAGAGAUAUGUAUUGAAUGUUUGUGCUUGUGGCAACAUGUAAAAGUAAAUUGUGGUGCAUGUGAACUUAGAAAAUGCUUGAUGGAAGUAAAUUUAUAGUUGCUGCCAUAUGCUAGGUUAUUGGUGUAGAAAUGAUGGUUGAACUUGAUAAAUAUCCUUAGAAAAGGUUAAUAUAUGUGCUAGAGUCAUAAAUGAGUUACCGGUAUUUAUAAUCUAAAGAAUUAUGCAAGCAAAGGAUAAAUGCCACUUUGGUAAAAAUGUGUCAAGAUAUAAGUUGGUUGAAUAACGAUUCACGAUUGAAUGAAAAAGAGAAGUAGAAAUGAUAUACAUUAAAGAUAUUGAAAUUAGAUUGUUGCUAAGAAGUGCAAAAGUAAAGAUAGUGUACUGUGGUGGCGUGCCGGAGGAAAUAACGAGUGACCGGCAAGUAGAAAUAGCUAGAUACGCCUCCGAACUAAUAGCGAUGUAGUAUUUCGUUAUCGUAAGGUGAGUGAACUUACAUUUAAAAGGUUUUGAACAAAUGCAUAUGUGUUGAAUGAAAUGCUAGAAUAUCCUUGGUUGACUCUUUUCAAAUUUAUGCACGAGAACAAGCUUUUCACAAGUGAUACUUUUACGUUUUUAAAUGCAUAAUGUGAUGAAUAAUGUAUUUGAAAUAUUAUGUUGAAUUGCCAAUUGAAUUGUGGCAUGUGAUGUAUUGUUAUGCAAAUAUUCUUGUUACAUGUUGUUAUGUGUGCCAUGCAUUGAAAUGUAAUGUUGAAUGAUAAUUAUAACCGUACGUGUGCGGUGUGAGAGUGCACAUGACAGUGCCAAUAAUGUGCGUUAUGGGAGAGCACACGUCGAUAAUAUAUGCCAGUGCGGUAUGGAAGAGCACAUGAUGAUGAUAUAUGCCAUGUGUGGUGUGGGAGUGUACAUGAGGAUAUUAGCUAUGUGCGGUGUGGGAGUGUACAUGAGCUGAGUUGAGGUUGGCGGGUGUAUGUGUGGAGCCGUGGUGACUAGUGUGGGGAUGACCUUGGUGUAUGUUUGAAUUAUCUAUAUAUUUAUAUAUACAUAAUGUAUACAUGAAUUUUUACACUCAUGUGCACUUGUCCUGUAGAGUAGAGAUUUUUGAAAAAUGUAAUGUGAUUGAAUUGUAUAUUGAAAGUUGAUAUUUUUAAAUGUUUUCAAGAUGAGUUGAAAAACAGCAUGGUAUCGAGUUUUGUUUAUGAUAAACAAAUUGCAUGGUUUCAAUACAAGUGCAUCGUGUUUUCUAAAAAAAAAAAAUCUUCCGUAUCGUUUGCUUGUUCCCUUCCUAUGUUCAAUCACUGAGUUUAUACUCAUUCUUUUCAACUUCAUGUUUUAGUUUUCGGGAUCGAAAGUAGUUGGAUCUUAGGUCGAGGUGCUCCCUCCUAUUCAUCUUUCGGUAGGUUCACUACGACUCGCAAUGAUAGCACCCACGCCUAGAGUCACUCCAUUGGUUGUCAAGGGUUUGUUGUAUGUUUAUGUGAUGGUUUAAUAUAAAUUGUGAGAUUUAUUGUGAACUUUGUAUGUACUUGAUUUUCAUGAUUUUAAUUUGAAGAGAUUGUUAUUAGAAAUCACAAGUCUUAGAUCCUAAAGAAAAAGAAGUGAUAGAUGGACUACUGAUGGGUUUACAUAGAGAGGCUUGCUUGGGCCUGGUGGGCUAUGCCUAUUGGGCCCAUGAGCCGGUCAUGGCCUGGGUUUUAGGCUGUAACAAAUAGCAACAAAAUUGGCAAUGGCACUUGUAACGCCCCAACCUAUGUAAAGGAAUUCAAGCAUGAAAACAAGGUUUGCCUAGUGAGUUAGGUUUAUUGAAAUACAUAUGGUUUAUAAGUGAUUUCAUCUAUAUAUAUAUAUAUAUAUAUAUAUAUAUGCCAUGAACUGUUAUUGCAAAUUGUGAUUCAAGUAUGCUGAAUCUAUUGAGUAUAUGUUAUGAUGCCAUAUGUGCAUAUUAGUUCGAACAUGAGCAACUAUAUGAUAAGAACUUGUAAGCCACAAGAAUGUUUAAUGCAAAAAGGGCUGAAAUUAAAUGACCAUACGUGAAUAUGUAAAUAUGUAAGCAUAUGCAUGAUAAAAUAAUGUAAAAUAUGUUGUUGGUCAUUAGAACAUGAUAUGUAUUUUGAUGAGUUUAAAGGUAUAUUUGAUGAUUAUAUUAUGUAAGGUAAAAUGGAAAAUGUUCUUGGAAUUUGAAAUCCUUGAGUUUAUAAUGUUAAGUUUCCAAGGAUAAUAGGCAGAAUACUUGAAUUUUUGGUAUCAAGGAUAAUACUCGAUAUCCUUGUGUUGUAGUUUUAAGUUACCAAGGAUAAUACUCAAUAUCCUUGAGCUGCAGCGUCCAAGGUUAAGACUCAAUAUGCUUGGUUUGUGAUUUUAAGUUUCCAAGGAUAACAAGUAAUAUCCUUGAGCUAUGGUGUAUAUCUUGCCAAACUUUGGGAGAAAGACUAAAUUGAAAGGAAAAAAAGAGAAAAAAGUUGAGAGACUAAAUUACAAAUAUGAAAAAGUUUGGAAGACCAAAUAACAAAUAUUAAAAAAUUUAAAGGACCAAAUUGUAAAUAUUGAAAAGUUCAGAGAACUAAUGAGCAAUUAGCCUAAUAUAUAUCCACCCUUCAAUUAAACAAAUAAAAGAAAACAACAGGCUGAAACAACGGGUAAAAAAAAAGGGGUUGACUUUAGAACUUCCACCCAACAACAUUGGUUUUUCCAUCCAAUUCAUUUUUUUAAAGCUAGUUUUGAAGUUUUCUUUCUUCCAACAGCAUGCAUGUUGUUCCCCAUGGAUUUUGAGCUUCCAAAUUGGUGAUUUGAGGCUUUGAAAUUAGUAACCAAGGUGAGAGUAAGCUUCCUUAGUGCUUGACUUUGAGAUUUAACCGGUUUUAAUCUUUGAAUUUUUACUAUUCCAAUAACUAUUCACUCUCCAUGGUUUGAUGAUUUUGGAGAUUUUAAUGGCUUUAAGCUAGCCAUUAAGGUAAUGAUUUGAUGUCUAAAUGUGUAAGAGACAUUAGAUGGUUAUUUAAGGCAUGAGAAAAGAGUUUAUUGUAUACAUUGUGUGCUGGAAAAUUUACAAAUGCAUGUUUGUUAAUGCUAGGAAGUUAGAGGAGUAGUAUGUAAAGCUCUUAUAAGUAUUUAAUUCAAAGAUCAAGAUAAAUUUAGUCAAUAAGGUUUUAAAGAAGCCAUUGAGCUAGAAAUAAGUUGAGUAAAGGCAAGCUACUUCAACCUAGUUCAAUUUCAAAGUAAAUUAAUAUACUAGCACAAUUAUGAGAUUUGUACAUAAUUUCAGAUCUUUACAAGUGCUGGUUUGGUGAAGGGAGAGUCGCCAAGGACAAAGGCAAGCUAAAAAGAUAAGCUUAGCUGGAAAAUAAGUUGUGAAUGAUGUGAAUGAGACAUGGCAAUGAAAGUAUGGUAGAAAUGAUCUACAAAAUGCUAGUUAGAAUGUAGUUAAAAAAAUGAUGAAGAAUUAAGCACGUUAAUGAUUAUUAUACAUUAUUCAAUGCUAGGUUGCAUUGGAGGCACCAAGUCUUGCAAUUAGAAGUUUGAUCAGCUAUGUGGCCUAGUUAUGAUUUGAGCUGCCACCAGGUGAGUGGAUAUUAUAUCCAAAUGGUUUUGGAAAAGCAUGAAAGAAGGUUUUAAAAGUAUGAUGCUACAUAACUGAUUUUAUAGAAAAGUGCAUGAGAAUAAGCUGUUUUGAAUUAAAUUCUAUGAUAUUAUGUGAACCCUAGGUUUGGGUGAAAUGUUUAUACACAUAAGCAUGUAUGUUUAGCCAUGAACAGAUUAUGAUUAGAUGAAACGUUUAUCCACUUAAGUAUUUGUUGAUCUAUGAAUGAUUUAUGACUUGAUGUACUCUAAGAAGCAUGGUAACUAAGCUAUAUGUCAUGUGGAUGUAUAAUGAUUGUUCACUAAGUGUUAAGUUAAAUAGGUAUUAUGUUAUGUUUUGUAUGAUAUGAAUGAUAUGUUAUGUGAUUAUUAUGUUUAAUGAUGCAUUGCAUGGCCUUAGUGGGUUGGAAGCAAAGCACCAAAGAAAGGGGUCAGUGUACCUAAUUAAAGUGAGGGUUGGAGUACCAUAAACGUGCAUUUAGUCUCUAUAUGGUUAAUAACACCACUGAAGCUAUAUGCACGAUGAUGAAAGUUAAGUACGCAUUCUGCUAUGAAAUUGCAAAUUAUGUAUGUAAUGUUUAUGUGUGUUUUAAUAGGUAAGACUCAAUUGUUUUAUGCAUGUUUGAUGGGUAAGACCUAAUUGUUUAAGGUUUAUGUAUUGAAGUAGGGAACCAAGAAAGGCAAAUGACAAUUAAGGGUAUAAGUGCAAAAGAUUGAUAAAAGCCUAUGAUUAACAGCCUUGAAAUGGAUACAUGUGUGUAAGAUCUUGUACAUUAGACUAACAUAUCGAGAUAGGUUAGGUAAAAUUUAAAAAGCCUUUUAGGAAGCUUGCCCAUUUACACUCUUAACACCUCAUAGUUCAUUGUUUGAAUUUGUAUGUAAGUUAUGAGCUCAGUAAGAUACCGAAGCCUAUGAUUAAAAUCGAUAUGUGAGUUCAAGUAUGUAUAUUUUUAUAGGUGGAACCCAAAUGCAUCACGGAUUUGUAUAGGAUAAAUGUGCAUGUUUUUAAGAAAAUGAGCAUGGUUUACAAAGUUUCUAGAGUUGUUACUUAUUCCCCUAUCUAUCCCUCAUUGAGUAAUUGUACUCAUGUCAUGUGUUGUAGAUUCGAAGAUACUCAAGCUAUAGAUACACGAGGGAUUUGUGUGUAUAACAUGGUAGACUUAAUGACCAAGGCAUUCAACAAUACCUUCCGCACUUAAGAGUCACUCUGCUAGUAGUUAAUUAUUAGUCAUGUUUUGUGAUUGGCCAUAUGGCCUUGUAUGUACAAAUAUAUGUAGGUUAUAGAACAUUAAUGAAUUGUCCAAUAUAAGUGGAUGUAGCCACGAGUUGGCACAUAACAUAUAAGUGGUAUAGUCCAUGUAUGAGUACAUGGUGCAUAUUAUGGCACAAAGUUGCGCCUUAUAUAAAUGCCUAGUGUACGGUAAUGUGGCCACAAGGUGGCAAAUGAAAGAAAUGUAUAUGAAAUGCUUAUUUUAAGUAACAUCAGAUGUUUUGCACAAUGUAGUGCUUUGUGUAUAUAAGUAAAGAGGUUAUAAUGUUGAGUAUGGCUUAUGUGAUAGUAAUGCAUGUUCAAAUGAUGGACUAGGUGAUUAUGAAAGAUAAUGAGGCUUACGUGGGCUUGGUGGAUUACCUCCAUCGAGUCUUCAUGUAGGUCACGGCCUAAGAUAGGGGCGUGAUAGCACUUAUCCUUUCCUUAUUGCUUUUAACUAUGUUAAAAUCACCACCAAAAACCCAUAAGAUAUUCUAUGAGCUCAAUUUGACAAUCAGUUCCUUCCACGACCUCAUUCUUUCCUCAUCCCUAUUCAGAACGUAUAUAUUACCCACCCUAUAUUUAAAAUUCUAAUCCUUAAUAUUACCAAUCAUCAAAAUGAACCUACUAUCAAUGAGAAAGCUAUCUAAAUAGAAAAAAUAUCUUCCUCUGCUGCAUCAAUAGAAUUGAAAACCAACCAUUUAACCCUACCAUUUCCACUUCACCUUAUUGAAAAUCUUUCCUUUUUGUUUCUUGAAGCAUUAAAAGCUUCGAUUUGUGCCUAAGUACAAGAUUUCAAACUACCCUUUUCUUCUUUGGUCUUUCUAUCCCCCUGACAUUCCAAGAAAUACAAUUCAUAAAUGAAAUAAAAAAACUUAAGACACAUGGACUAACCUCAAUUAGGGUGAUCCUUUCCCCUUUGAGGUGGCUUUUCUUCCAUGUGUACAUUUGUUGUGAUCAUGAAUUCUUUUUCAUUAUCAUAAACUAGGCUAAGUUGCUUUCAAACAUUGAAAGUAAUAUCGGCUUCUUUCAUCAAACAAGAAUUUCUUUGAGUAAUAUCAUUGUUUGACAAAGAAUUGUUAGAGUAACCUGCACCUUGGUAUUUGUCCCCAUCAAGAAUUUCUCGAACCUUUUUCUUGAUUUUUCUUCUUUUCUGGGCUUUAACUUGAUGAAUAUAUAGUUGAUGCCCUUCAUAAUUAGCAAUACCUUACAAUGAUGAUCUUUCUUGGUGCACAACCAAGUCCUUUGUCUCAUUGAGAGGCACCAAUUUUUCAUCAUUGUGAAAUAGGGUAUUUUUAUACUAAUACACAGGGUUGCAUAGGCUUUGAUGGCCCUUUUCUAGCACUAAUUAUUCCACUUAAGCCCUAGUUACUCCUGGCCCUCCAACAAGUUCAUCAAAGGAUAAUCUGUCUUCGGCCCAUAUUUGAGGUUGAUGGUUGAAUUACUAAAUAAAAUCUUGGGUUGAAUUUGGGGUGAGUACGAUUCAAUUUGGUUAGUUUUCGGUUUGAUUAUGAUGAAAACUAACAAAAAAAGUUACUUUUUAAACCCACUGAACAAAACCAAGUAAGAGAUCGGUUUCAGUCGGUUGAAAUUGACCUCGGUUCAGUCAAUCUUUGGUCAACUUUUGGAGUCUGGGCCUUAAUUAUUUUAAGUGGGCUGACUCGGGCUUUUUUUGUGUAACCCUUUGUAAAUGGCCUUUUUGUGUAUGACUUGGGCUUUUUAAUGUAAGUCUUUAUAAAUAGCUAUUUUGGGUCCAUUUAUUUAUAUGUAACACUUUGAAUCUAGUUAUUUCUUUUAAAUAUCUAAUAAAAGUAAUCUUUAUGCAAUAAAUAAACAUUAAUUUUUAUAUAAUAAAUAAACAUUAGUUUCAAAAGUUCUAUAAGUUUAAGCCAAUUAAUUAAAUAUGAUCACAAAGAAAUUAAUAUUAAUCUUCAUACAAUAAAUAAACAAAGAAGAGAUAUCCUUCAUGAUUUUAAUUUUGGAUUAAAAGUUACACAACUCAAAGUUCCACAACAUAAAUCACUAAAUUUCAAAAAAUGGACCUCCAACUCCAAUUCAACAAUUUUGCAGAACAUACUUCUAAAAAGGUUAAAAGCAAAUAUAUAAUUAGUGUAAAUUAUUGUGGUAAAAUAAUCUAAAUGAAUUAUAAAUGUAAUGUAAAUAUUGCAUAAUACCUAAUGAUAACAUUACUUGAAAAGUGCAAAUAGCAAUUAGAAAUAACACGUUAGUCUAACUCAGGUUCAGACUUAGCUAUUGUCUCCAAUGCAAUCUUAGCCAAAUCUAAAACAACAAAAUAACAAAUAUGGUAAAUUGACCUUUAAACAUAUGCAAUAUUUGACAAAUCUAAUAAAUUAAAUAACAAAUAAAACUAUAAAAUAAUUAUGAAAUCAAGUUUAUCAAGCUCGUCCAAAUCAUCCUCAAUUAAAUCUAGAUCAUCACGUGCCAAUCCACGUACCCAAUCUUAAGCACAAAUAAGUACUUGCACAACCUUAAGAGUUAAAGAACUCCUUUAUGCAUGAAGCACACAUCCACCUAGACUAGAAAUGGAUUUCGAAGCAACCGUUGAUACAAGAACAACCAAAACAUCACGAGUAAUAAUGGCAAGUAUAGGAAACCCUAAAUUGAUUGAGUUUCGACCACAUGAGAACAUCAAACUCAUCAUCAUCGAAACCCUCAUCAUUCAUAAAGAUAAAUAUUUCCCUAAUUCCAUUUUCAGCUCUUUUGGACUUAGUGUUUAACUAGUGCUUCUUGAAUCUAUCCAAUUUUUUUUAGUACGUUCUGUGUCUUUGCCAAUGAAAGUUGAAGCAAUACUAUCACUACAACUACCACUAGUGCCUUAUCCCAUGGAUGUUGGACACUCUUGCCCACUUUCACCAACAUGAAAUGAAGGUUGUAACAUAUUUCUAUAACAAUGAAAAAACUCAUCUAUUGUUUGUGUCACCAAAGAAAAUAUCAUUGAAGCUCGUGCAUGAGGAUACAUUUUUAGCAAAGUGAAUUAACAUAAGAAACCUUUUUCCUCUGAUUGAGUAUAGCAGCAAUGAACAACACCAAAUUCAUUUUAUCCACAUUCCCCCAAUACUUGUCAAAUUUCUCUUUCAUCUUAAUUGCCAUAGACUGUAAAUCAACAUUAUCACCAUUUUCCCAUUCAAUUAAAGUGGUAUACACAUCAGAAAUGGAAUCCGGUAAAGAAUUAGUAGUUAUGUAAGAUGUGCUUGAAACACUCAAAGUCAAAUCAUAAAAUUCUCUCAAGAAACAAGAAAUCCUCCUAACAUUUGCCCAAUCUCUGUCAUCAAGCACCCUACUCCCAACCUUAUUAGCUCAGGUAUGUACCUAUUAUCACAUAACUUAAAUGAUGCAAAAGCCCUUUAAAAUUUCAAAGUCAUAUCCAACAUAAAAAAAAAAAGUAGAAUUCCAUCUAGUGCUCAUAUCCAAACACAAUAAACAAUUGCUCUCAACUCCUGCACUAGCAGCACACUCCUUAAACUUGGUUAAUCUAGUAAAGAUUGUCUAACCUAUCUCACUGCCCCCCUAACACGAGCAAUUGAGGCAUUUAUAUCUUUCAAUCCAUCAAGCACCACAAGAUUAACAGUAUGAGCAAUGCAUCUCACAUGAAAAAAUCUACCUCUUAAAAUACUAGUUCUAGCAACAUUAAAUCUUUUCUUCCAAUGUCCUAUUGCAACAUCAUUUAAACUAGCAUUAUUAACAAUGAUAGAAAAAAUCUUUUGGAUCCUCCAAUCAAGCAAGCAUUUACUAAUUUCCUUCCCAAUGGCCUCACAUUUCUGACUAGUAAUUAGACAAAAGUUCAAAAUCAUUUUUUCCAACUUCUAAUCAUUAUCAAUAAAAUGAGCAGUUAGACACAUUUAAUUAAUUUUUUGUACCGAAGUCCAUGUAUUUGUGGUGAGACACAUUCUAUCAGGACAUAAUCUUAACAAUCUUCUCAUCUGAGUUUUUUCAUUAGUAUAAAUCUUAUAACAAUCCCUAGCAACAAUCCAUUGUGACGAUAUACGAAAUCAAGGACAUGCUUUGUUUAUGUGUUUUCUAUAUCCUAGAUGUUUCACAAACCUAAAAGGCAAUUCAUCUAAAAUGAUUAUCUCGGCUAAACUCCUCUUAAUUGUCUCUUGAUCAAACUUCCAACUACCGAACCUAUCUCCUCCAAAAGUAAAAACUAAUUCCAUUUGCUUGUUCUCCUCACUAUCACAAACCAAUUUCAACUUCAGACAAACUUUAAUAUGAUUAUUCAAUGAAGAUGUUCUAUUUUUUUUUUUGGUAUCAACACACAAUUCUUUACCGCGAUGAGUACAUUUAGCCUUCUUAUUACCUUGCUUAUCAACAUAUUAGGUGAAGUGAUCCCGUACAACCGAUAUAGAUUGAGGUGGUUCCCUUUGCUUCCGCACUUUGUUUACAACUUCACAUGUUUUGUUGGCUUCAGUAGAACUAGCAGUAACAUCAGGUGUAGAUGUUGGCGUUGGUGUCUCAUUAGUUGCCAAAUUUGUUUCCUCAUUAGUUGACAUUUACAAAAAAAAAAAAAUUAAUACCCAAAUAUUAAUUCUAAUCCUUAAUUCUAGCAUAUUGCCAAUCAUUUUAAUUGAAAAUCCAAACAAUAAUUCUAAACAUUAAUUCCCAAACAUAAUUCUUAAUGUUUAAUUCUACCAUAUUGCUAAUCAUUUUAAUUAUAUAUCCAAACAAUAAUUCUAAACAUUAAUUCCCAAACAUAAUUCUUAAUGUUUAAUUCUAGCAUAUUGCACAAAUCAUUUCAAUUGAUUAUCCAAACUAUAAUUCUAAACAUUAAGCUCUUUGAAAUGUUUAAUGUCAACUAAGGUUAAAGUAAUCUAUGGGUAAGAAAAAAAUAAUUCCCAAAAAUUAAAAACCAAACAUAUCAUAUUUUUUUCUAAUCCUUUAGAAUUAUUUUUAUUUGCACUGAUAUUAUUUUUUAAAAGCAAAAAAACAACAAUUGAUACUCAUAUUCUCUGGCAUAUUUCUCCUAUAGAAUGAGUUUUAACCAAAAAAGUGAAAUUCAUAAUCUCUCAACCCUUCUCUCUCUUGCUAUAUUCACAAAGCCAACAGUCAAGAAAAAAAAUUAGGUAUAUUUUUCAUUUUUCAUUCAAUUUACCUUGCUGCCUAAAAAGGUAGGAAUUAGUGGCUGGUAGCAGUCUAGAGCAAUAUCGACAAUGGCAAAUGGAGGGGUUGGUUAUUGAAUGGGUGAAGCGAUGAGUUAAUAAGGAGAGUUAAGGUUUUAGGGAAGGGGAGAUUGCCAGAUUGGGGGAUAAGGGGGCUAGUCGACUAGGUUAUUUGGGGGGGUUAAUGAAGGGUAAGAUAGACAUUUAAACCCCUUCAAAAUAAAAUCUGAUCAGUUGUUCAAUUGAUUCAGGGGGGGAAGUCCCCCUUGAUGAUCAAAUUGAUCGAUCGAAGAGGCUGAUCGUUACAACAGACGAUUGUGACAACAACCUUCAAGCCAAACCGUCAGUUGCUCGAUUGCAACCGACCACUGCUCACCCUUAGGUUGAAUCAUCAAGGAUUCCCUUGACCCAAUCUCUCCCAAUACAAUUAGGCUUUGUCCAACAAGGGGAAUUAUUACUAGUGGAUCCUGUAUCAUUGCUUGGGCUUUUCUCACCCCAAUAGAUUGAGGUAGUGUGGGCUUUUAACAAUAGCCUCAAGUUUCCCUUUUUCCCCUUUUCAAUUGCAUAACUUCAACUUUUUCUUUACCUUUAUCUUUAAUUUUCCCUUCUUUAGUCAGAUGCUUACUUUUUGUCAUAUUCCACGUGUCCUUAUUUAACUUGUUCUCACCCACCAAUGCAACAGAUCUAUCCUUUUUCAAAAAAUUAUUAUGCAAAGACUUUUUUGCCCCUACUACUUCCUCCUCCUUGAUAUGAGUUCCUCUAGCAACCAUUGUAUUGGCUUCGUUGUCAUCCCUCCCUUGUGCCUUAUUCUUACUUGGUACUCGAACUUCUUUCAUGACUUUAAAUAUGAUUGGCUUGCCAUUAAUAGAUACCUGUAAGGAUUUCGAAAUAACUUAGCAAGUUGUCCCCGUGAUCAAAAGUCUAGCAUAAUCGAAUAUAUCCAUUUUAGUAGUAGGACUAUCAAUUCUUAAAAACGAACCCAAUCUAUCUCCAAUCUUUCUAAAGAGGGACUCUUGCCAAUAAUGAAAAGGGACAUUGUGAACCUUGACCCACCAAUAUUGAUAAUCUUCACCAUAGACAUCAAAAUAUGGUUAGACAAAUUCAAACCAACAAGAUAACCACUCAACUUGGUCUUUCAAGUUACUUUCCAUUACCUUCUUAGUAUCAAAAGCUAAGAGAGUUGUUCUAUCACCCAUAGGCUUAACUGAGGCUUGAAUACCCAGGUUAGAUAAGUUCAAUUUGUGGGAUAAUUUUGACCUAGCCAUGUGCGGUGUAGGAGUGCACAUGAGUUGUGCUGACCCAGCCAUGUGCGGUGUAUGAGUGCACAUGAACUGUGCUGACCCGGCUAUGUGCGGUGUGGUAGUGCACAUAAGUUGAGACAGAGUUGGGGGCGAGGCCGAUGGUUAUAUAUAUGUUUAUAUAUGAUAUAUAUAGAGAGAGGUUUUGGAAAUUAUAUUGUGGUUGCAUUGAUUUUUUAAUGUUAAAACUUGGGAAACGAUUUCCACUUGAUUUUCACCGCAGUAAAGACAAAUUUCUGUUGUGACAAGAAAUUGAGUUAAAUUGCAUUGUCUUCAACAUAAAUGCAUCAUGAUUUCUAAAACCUCCCGUAUUGAUGCUUGUUCCCUUCCUAUGUUCACUCACUGAGUUUAUACUCACAUUUUUAAAAUUCAUGUUUUAGGUUUCCUAAGUUAAAGGUGAUUGGAUCCUAGGACGAGGUGCUCCUCCAUGUACAUUGCUCAGUAGGUUUAAUAUGACACUAAGUGUUAUCAAUCGUGCCUAGAGUCACUCCGUUGACGGUCAAGGUCUAAUUAUGUGUAUGUGAAUAUUUAAUGUGAAUAUUAAGAAUCAUUGUUAAUCUAUUAAUGAAUGUAUUGGUGGAUGAUGCCAUUAUUGAUAUAUGAUUGGGUUUUAUGAAUCGUUUUCAAAGAAAUGGUAUUUGAACAUUUCAUGCUUUGGAUUCUAAAAGAAUAGGGAUUAAUGUAUAAGAUCAAUUAAGUAGGCUUGCUUGGGCUUAAUGGGCUGAGCCCAUUGCGCCCUUGUGCUGGUCAUGGCUUGGAAAUUGGGUUGUAACAGAUGUGGUAUCAGAGCUCUAGAUUUAGAUGAGUCCUGGGAAUUCCUGUGUGGUUAGCGGAGUUGUUGGAGUCCGUGUAAAGUCUUGUCCUUGGAUUGUGGGUGCGCAACUCAAGUCAAGGACAAGAGGCUACAUGGGCCCCUACUUCAUUAGAAACUUACCUGUUCUUAUGAUGUCUAGAUGGACGAGUGAAUAAUACUUGGUUGUGUAUAGGUGGAGGUGCACCGGUUACACACGUCAUGUCUAGAAAAGACGGUAGUCCCGAUACCCCUCAUAGUACAAGCAAGAUAUCGCUAAAUUCCACUACUCAAAGCCGAUAUAUGCCCGAGGGUGAACGCGUAACAAGUAACUUGACUCGAUUUUUGAGUGGAUCGGUUUCGUCGAAAGGUAAACCCUUAUUUAAGAGCUUGAAGAGUCUCGCAAGACUGGUGCGUAAUGAAAUCGAUCUAAGGAAAAAGAACACGAACAAGAUGAAAAAAAAAGGAUUAUCUGUAAUUAUCGUCCUAGAAAGGUAUCUGUAUCCGUUGUCCGAUACUUUCCUCCUGGUUGUAGGAGAGGUGCUACACCUGUUAGUAAGGAGGAAUUUGAGAGGUAGCAACAAGCUUAGAUUAAAGAUAAAAUAGAAAAAUCUCAGGAGAUGGAAAAGGACCUAGAAGAGGAUCCGUCGAUGUGCCUGGAUUGUGGCGACGAGGAUCCUAAAGACACAUAAUAUUUUCGUUAAAGUUCGUAUCACUUUAAGUCUAGACAGAUGCGGUGUAAGGGAAAUAUUAGUAGUUAUCUGUACAAAGGAGUUAAGAGUUGGCUUUUAUUUUGUAUGACUUAAAUGGAUUAUGAAGUAGCUGUUUUAAUGACUUGAUGCAUAUUGGAGUCCUUUGAUACGAUAGAGAUAAAUUAGCGAUAUAAUGAUUUAGGGAGGAUAUUCACCUUAGUGGCAUCAUUGGUCGCCUUGGAUAAUUAUUAAGGAUCGACGUAGAAACUCAUUAAUGGUACAAGAAACUAUGAGACCUGACAAAUGAUUACCAAUUAAUCAUGGAAAGGUGAAGUUUGGAAUUCUAGUUGCAGUUACAAUUCGGAAGAAUAUGGGAGAAAUCAAUAAGGCUAUAGGUGACACUUAGAAUGGAUGUUGUGAUUAAGUCAAGGACUGUAAAAUUUAAGUAUGGAGGGAAUUACAAAAUGAUUCCAUGACAUUACGAGGUAAUAAUUGGGCACAAAUAUAGCCAAUGGAAUUAAAUUAUGGAACUUGGGAAAAGGUGAAUCCUUGAUUUAAUAAAGAUUAUGAAUGUAGAGCAUGGAGAACGAUGAACUAUUUUCAUGGUCAUUUGUACUGAAAGUCAACAGAACUAUUUGAGUUACAUGACAAGAAAGACAAUUAAUUAUGAAUGUUAAGGAAUCGUGGAAUGUCAUAAAUGGUGGAUAUUUUUGUGUGUGGUAUUAUAUAUUGAGAAUUUGAUGCACAAUAUGGCAAGAUUGUCCUAAGGUGGAACCUAUUGGUCGAAGAUAAAUGUUAAAGGAUAAAAGGAGAUUGAAAAUAUUGACUCAGCUUAGUGCAUAUGAUAAGCAAAAGAAAAGAUAUGCCUGGUCAUGAAGAUUGUGGGAUAGGCUUGGAGGAAAGCCAAAUGGUUGAGCAUGAUCCCUGUAGUAACUUUAAAGAUGGAAGAACUUAUUCGUGGAAGAAAUUUCCAGCAACCACAGUGCUAUAGCACUAACUCUUUAGCGUUGUAGCGUUGAAACUAUCCCAUGUCUAGCAGCCGCAAUGUUGCAGCACUGACUAUCCAGCACCGCAGCGCUACGAAUACCUCAUGUCUAUGAUGCAUGAGCAAGAUGGGAGUGGCACGAUAAUGAUCUUACAAGUUGAAUUAUGGUCAUUGGUCAUUGAGCUAUGUUAUUUGGGAGUUUUUAAAUGUUUCGGAGAAUGUUUACAUGAACAAAUUGAAAAGUUUCUUUAUCGCUUUGUAUAUGGGCAUAUAAUUAAAAGAGAAAUUAAAAUAUUCUUGAAAUGGCUACAUUGAGAUAAGAUAUCAUGUGAAGUAUUAAGAUGGAUAAUAUGUUGACCAAAGUCAAAUCCUAAGAAAUAAAGGAGACGAGAGAUUAAGCCUUGUUAAAGGCUAAGGAAAAGUGAGCGAAGAGUUAGAUGAAUAUAUGAGAGAUGGGUAAGGGAUGUCAAUACCAAGUAAUGAAUGUGUGAAUGAAGGAUUAAAAGGGUGGUAUAGCAAAUGGGAUAAUUCAAAAUAUCAUUAUGAGAAUUUACAAUUCUUGUCUUGACUCAGCUAAAUGAAAAGGGUUAGUAACAACACAAGGCCAAUUGUGUGGCACACUAGAAACCUAUGAAGACAAUUUGGGGAUUGAAUAAAUGAGUAUGUACUUAUAUAUCUUUAAGAAUAAGUGCAUGUCUAUAGAACGACAUGCUUGGGAUGUUAAUGAGAACAUAAGAGACUAAGUGUUUCGAGAAUGCACAAACCUCUUUGAGAAGGAAUUACUAAUCAUACACAACAAGUAUAAAAUGUGGGAUUUUUGAAACUUACUGAGGAGCCUAAUGGCUAAGUCACGGGUUAAGUAAUCACAUGCGAUGAGACAUGAGUUUAAGAUAGGUAUCCCCAAGGAAAUACUCAAGAGUAGUUCUGCUAUGAAUCUUGUGAAAGCAAGCAUUAAGUUAUGUAGUUGCAAAGAAAAAGCCGUAAGUUGAAAGUGAGAUUCGUAUUGACGUUGAAAAAAAAAUACUUAAGAAAAACCUUGUUUCAAGUCUUGCAAUUUCAAAUACAAACUACGGAUUGGUCCGGGGAGAAUGAUGUCACAUUAGUAUGAAAGAAUAAAACAAAGGAUGAUCGAAGAUAAUUUGGAUAAUGAAGCCAAUAAUGAAAACUUCCUAAGGUAGUAUGGAAAUUGGAAUUCGAAAAUGCUUAAGGCAUGCAUGAUUCGAAUGAGUCUAAAUUUUAAGUGAUUCAUUAAAGUUGAAAUGCAACAAGGAUGUAAUGUAUAUAUUAAAGGUAUGAAGAAUAAUUGAGAAAUAAGAUGACUUUUAGAGAUUGUGGUAUUACAUAAGAUGCAAUGAUCAAGUAAGAGAUAAAUCUUUGAAGGAUCAACGAGGUUAUAAAGCAUAUACGAAUACCAGAUUGCAAUUUAAUGAAAAUGACAUUUGGCGAGUGAGAUGUGAUUAAUGACAUUGUGAUGCAAGGGUAUAUAGUACAAUGAAACUUAAGCGUAUAAUUGGAAAUGAUAAGAAAAGAGUAUGGGCAUGAAAAGGAUGUGAAGCUAUGCAUAGGCAUAAUGAGAAUUCUUAUGGAUUACAUAAGAGAUAACUUAUGGUAAGAUGCGAGUGGAACGGUGAUUUAAAUAUAUAAUAAGGGUAAUCUGAAAUUGAUUAUACCCCAAUGCUCAUAGAUUAAAUAUGAGAACGUUGACAUGAACUAUGAGGAUUCUUAUAUUGAAUCUUGGAUAGGGAUAGGGAUGAAUAAAUGAAGAUGUAGUCCAAGGCACGCGAACACAUGGAUCCCUAUGCGCAACGAGGAAUGCUGAUAUUUGGAAAUGAAUGUACACACGUAUAUGUGAAAUUGAUGACUUGACCAACUGAGGUGAAGAAUUGUUCUCAGUAAUUUGAGAUUUGAACUUUAUGUAUUUGAUGAGUUGUAUAGAUGGUACAACGACAAGAAGUCCCAUUAGAAGUUGAACUAUGAUGAUAUAAGAAAGUUUGGGAAAAAUAGUCAGAGAAAUGAGAUUAAAGAAAUAUAAUCCAUAACGUGGGAAUAAUUGAAGUAUGUGGCGUAAAUGCAAGAUAAACCUGAAGUAUGUGGGAAUAAUUAGAGGCAUUAACCUUUUUCGACGUUGAGACUAUGUAUAGAAAUGAACAUGGCAUGUUUAUAAUGCUAUAGGUUACAUAAUAAUGUAUGGGGAUAAGAUGAAUGAAUGAAUGUCGAGAAGUUUGGCAAGGAGCAAAAUAAUAAGAUGGUGAUUAGGCAUACAUAAGUAAGUAUAAUAUGUGAUUGAAAUUGGUAUGAUUGAGAUAGAGUUAUCGUUCAAAUUUAAUGAUAGUGAUAAAGGCGUACUCAACAUCUUAAAAUAAGAGAUAAUGAUCGUGAAGGCUACGAUCGAUUUGAUUCUAAAGGAUGAUAACACACAUAAGUGAGGCAUUCUAAUCGAACUGGAGGUAAACGAGGUGAAUGAAUGAUUGGAGGUUUGACAAGAAUCGAAAUAAAGAUAUGUUUGAGGUUAGUGACGGAAUUAAAGGCAUACUUCGGAUCUUAUUGAUAAGAAAGAAUAAUUGAGAAGGGUACCAUGGUUUUGACUCAAAGAUGAUAAUAGAUAUAAGAUACGUACCCUAAUCUUGUAAAGUGUUCUAGUCAAAUUGAAGGUAAUGAAGUUCAUAAAUCAAAAUUCCUUAUGAAGAAGGAAAAGGAAUAAGAUCAUAGAGAGAGAUUGAUAACUCGACACCAACGUGAAUUCGAGGACAAAUUCUAUUUAAGUGGGGGAGACUAUAAUAACCCGUACUUUGAUAUGGUGACUAAUAAAGCUUAUUGGAUGCCAAUUGAGGUUAAUUAUAAUGUUUAGAAAUGAUGAAAGAUGAAAGGAAUGGUUUGAGAUAAAAUUUUCGCACACGAGGAAAAAAUAAUAAAAUAAUAAUUUUUUUUUAAGAAGAAUUUGCGAGAUAAAAAGUGAUUCGGAAGUCAAUUGAGGCAUAAUAAGGUAUUUUUGGUACCAAGGGGACAAGAUGAGACAAGAGGAAAUUUUGAAAUAAAAUAAUAUUAAAAUAUUAAUAUUUUAUUCAGUGUCAAAAUUUUUCAUGAAGGAGAAUAUGGGCAACCUAAGUGGGGGAGAAAAAGAAUGAGAAAAAUUUCGGAGAAAAAUGACGUUAAUGGGGCCGCGUGUCUUUAUUAAGUAAAGAUAGCGCAGGUAAAUAAAUAUUUUAAAUAUUAUGGGGACACUACGUUGGAGUACCAACUUCAUACUUUGUUUGUACAUAUGUAGAAGAAGAUAAUUAAAGGAAAUUAGAGUUAAAUGAGUGUUGGGAGGACUAAAUUAAAAUGGAAAGAAACUUAAAGGGUAAAAUGGUAAUUUUGCAUAAAGUUUGGUCAAAGCUUCCAAAGGAAGCGUUGACUCUCAUCCUUAUCAGCCCGAAACUGUCCUUAUCCUCCCAGCAAGAUAUUUUCUUCUUCAUUCUUGAAGCUUCCAACGCCAUUCUCUCAUUCUCCCAUGGAAAACUAAUUUUCUUUCAUUUUCUUUCCUUGUUUUCUUUUCAUUUCUUUUCUCUUCUUGCUUCAUUCUUCUCCCAACUUCUUGUGCACCAAAGUUACAACUUCUAACCCCAAUUUCCAACACAUAUAAACUCUAGGAGAAGAAGAAAGAAAAAGAGAGAAAGGAAGAAAAAGCUUGGUUUUGGUGAUUCAAGCAAGGAACGGUAAGAAUUCUUGUUUUUGGCUUGAGUAGUAUUUGAAAAUGAGUUAGUGACUUAGAGAAAUCUCUUGUGGCAGCAAAGAUUGGCUUGAUUGGAGAAAAAUUGAUAACAUGUAAGCCAAUAAACCCAUGGGUACAUGAAGGACUCAAAGUGGAAAAGGAAAACGGUAAGCUUAACACUAUGUCUUAAAGCCUAUGGUUAGUUGAAUAUUGUGGGAAAUUAUGGUUGUUGAAAGGAUCUACUUGUAUAAGCUAGUUGAAAAUUGUUAAGAUUGUAUGGCAUGUCAUUUGAAAGAAAUGAAAAAGGAAUAUUGUGGAUGGAGGAUUGAGAAACAAAGUAUUGAAAGUUAGAUAGAUAACGAUGCGCGUAAACAAGGAAAUAAUUAAGUGAAAGUGUAAAACCCGACCCUAUAAACACAUGUCAUGACAUACAUGCAUUGAGUAGCAUGUUAUUAUGCUAGGAAAGUUCCUAAGAAUAGACGAAAUUCGGUAUUGUACCUAAUGGUACACUUGAGUUGAUUUAACCUCGAACAAGUUCAAAUAGGAAUCGUAGGAUGAAAUUUAAUAUUUUACAGUCCAGGAAUGACUAAAAAUGAUUGUUCGGAGUUUGAAGGUUCAUUUGGAGAAAAAUUUAAAAUUUCCAUGUUCAGGGGUAAAAUCGUCAUUUUACCACCUAAGAUAAUAAUUUGAUCAUGGAGUGAAAUUUUUGAUCAAGAUUAACUAUUUGGAGUAUAAUUUAAUGAUAGGAAGUGAAAAUUUUCAAUUUCGGUAAUUUUUGAAACAUAGGGGCAAAACGGUAAUUUUGUCGUUUCGGGGUAAAAAUCGUAAUUUUCACCACCCAAAACUUGUCAAAAUCAUAAGAUUUAUUUAUUUUUGGUAUGAAUAACUAUGGUAUGUUAAGUGGUGAAAAAUUAAAGUUUAAAGGAUGAAAUUUUAAAAACGGGCCAAUGGGAAAGUGACACAUGGCACUUUUUAAUCAUUUAAUAUUAUUUUAAUAAAAAGUCAGCCCAUUUAAACCCCAUAUUAAGUGAUGGCCGGCCAUAAGGAAAGAACAAGAGAGAAAAUAGAGAGGAAAGGAAGAAAAGAGAAAAACCAAAGGAAAANNNNNNNNNNNNNNNNNNNNNNNNNNNNNNNNNNNNNNNNNNNNNNNNNNNNNNNNNNNNNNNNNNNNNNNNNNNNNNNNNNNNNNNNNNNNNNNNNNNNNNNNNNNNNNNNNNNNNNNNNNNNNNNNNNNNNNNNNNNNNNNNNNNNNNNNNNNNNNNNNNNNNNNNNNNNNNNNNNNNNNNNNNNNNNNNNNNNNNNNNNNNNNNNNNNNNNNNNNNNNNNNNNNNNNNNNNNNNNNNNNNNNNNNNNNNNNNNNNNNNNNNNNNNNNNNNNNNNNNNNNNNNNNNNNNNNNNNNNNNNNNNNNNNNNNNNNNNNNNNNNNNNNNNNNNNNNNNGUACAAUGAUGAUGAUCUGAUUUUUAUUCUAAGAGAAAUGAAGAGAAAAUGAUGAAAAAUGGUUAAAUGUGAUAGAAAAACAAAGUAGAAAAUUUACUAAGUUAAUGUCCCAUUUUUGGCCAAAUUUUCCAAGGAGGAAAGUGAACUGAUUUUGGUGACUUUAGAAUGCUAUUGGCUGAUAAUUAAUGGUUAGAAAUGUUGGAGAGAGAAUGGGGUGAUUUAGAGCUAAAAUGGAGCGCGUUAGCAAUUUAUCGGGUAAAGUGCCAAAAAUAGAUUAAUACCGUGUUUAAGCCAUUUUAGGCUAUUGCAUUUCAUACCAUGCAUUAGUAUAGGAUUUAAGUCAAUUAUAUAGUGAUUUAGAAUCAAUGUGGUAAAUUGGGUAAAUUUUGCAAUGUGUUUAGGAGGAAAGCCUUUCUGUAAAGGCAAGAAAGUCGUACCCGACCAACAGUGAUCGGGGCACCUAGGAAGCAUUUCAUCUGUACAAAGGGUGAGUAAACCUAUUAUUAUUGUAAAUUAUCUAGAGUUUAUUUUUAAAUGCUCUUUAUGUAUUUUAUGAAAUGAAAAUGAGAUUAAAACCGGAUUUUUGAUGUUUUAGAAAUAAAUGUGACAAAUAAAAAUAUAUUAUGUUGAUUAUGAAAUUGACAAAUUAGAGGCUACCAAUUGUCUUGAAAAUAUAGUUUCUUAUGAAUGGCUUAUGAUAUAUGAGUAUAUGUGGCUAUAUUUUAUAAUUGCAUUGGGAAUAGAAUGUAAGCUGCCUUUUACUAUGCAGGUAGGAUAAAUAAAUAAAAGCCACGUUAUACUAUCAAAAUUUUAUUAAAAUUGGUGGGUUUAGUCACUACAGUGACGGGUUUCCGUGGACUGCCUAUUAGAGGGGCACCGUAAACCCGAUUUCAUAGUUACUCCAAUUGUAGAGGCGAAGAGGGUAACUCCCGAGGUAGUGUUAGGGUUCACUUCACGUUGAACCCCCACGUGAAUGUGUAACUCGGCCAACGCCAAGGAACGGCUUGUUUUAAAAAUAAAAAUGUGUUUCACAUGUAAAUAUCUUAACAACCUUGGUGGACUCGAUUAGAUGCCUCGGCCAAGGUAUCCCCGAGGAUUAGUUUUGGCUUGAGCCUUGUUUUUAAUAAAAGUCAUAAGCCUUAACAACUGUUUUGGUAAAUUACAAAUAUUUUAUGGUUUAAGAAAUAAAUUGAAAACCUUACGAAAUGGUUUGUAAUUUGUUGUUUAAACUUGCCUCCAAGUUACUCGCCUUUAGAUAUUUAUGAUAAUGUCUGUUUACUCAUUGGGAUUACAAAAUCUCACCCACCUCCUUUCGAAAUAUUUCAUGCCUGUGGUAGCUUGUAAAUACCCGAUUUUGUUUGAGGAUUAUAGUUGACCCCUCUAUCUCACAGACAGUAGGUUACUAGCACCAACAUUGGGUGUAUUUUGGGCCACUUGUCAUUGUAAUUAUUAUUGUACAUUAUAACUUUGUAAAUUUUUGUAUGUAUGAAUUUAUUUUACUUUCACGUUACAAAAGAUUAUUUACACGUGUUUCUAUUUUAUAUUGUUUUAUAUAAAAAAUGAUAUAUUUUUGUCUUUUGAUUUACUUGAGCCAGAAACGACUGGUAAAUGUUUAAAACGGAAUAUUUAAAAACGAUUGCUCACAAGAAAGGCAAGAAACUGAUAUGUAAGCCUUGCAGGGUUCUGAUUGGCAUUCCAAGUAAUGAGUGUCAAUCGAGACAUCGCGGCGGUUGUCAUGGGCCUGAGGGAGGUUCCGAGUCAUGACAGAAAGUGAGAAUGAUUGUUGUUGCCAUAUAUGUGGAUUAUGUGUGGAAAUAUAAGAUGGAUUUGGGUGGAAAUUAUUUAGAAAGGCUGAAGUAGACACGUGACAUCAUAAUUAAGUUAUCGGUGAUAUAAUUUAAGGAAUUACAUAAGCAAUGGAUGUAAGUAAUAUUAGUAAAAAUGUAUUAAGAUGUGAGUUAAUUGAAGAUGGUUUCAUGAUAGGAGGAAAAAUAUAAAUUUGAGUAAGAAUUAAUUGAUUGAAAUGCUGCUCGUAUACAUAUGUAAUUAAAUAUAUUGAGUUCAUAUUAUUGCUAGGAAGUGCAAAGAUAAAGUUAGAGUAUUGUGGGGGCGUGCCGGAGUAAAUAACGAGCAACCGGCCAGUGAAAAUAGUUAGAGACACCUCCGAACAAAUAGCAACUUAAUAUCUCGUUGUUUCCAGGUGAGUGAACUUGUAUUAAAAUGUUUUGGAAUAAAUGAUUUUAUACUUGAUUGAGCCACUUGAAAUAUUUUGUUGGUUUUUCUUUAAAAGUUGCAUGGGAACAAGCCCUUGAUGAAAUGUUUUGAUAUUAUAAGAUAUGAACAUGAUGAAUUCAUGAGUUUCUACAUUAUGUUGAUGUGUAUAUUAUACAUUAAAUGAUAUUUUUGUGUGAUAAUUUUGACCCAGCCAUGUGCGGUGUAGAAGUGUACAUGAGCUGUGCUGACCCAACCAUGUGCGGUGUAUGAGUGCACAUGAGUUGUGUUGACCUGGCUAUGUGCGGUGUGGUAGUGCACAUGUCAAGCCCGACUCUACAAUAUGUUUAUUAUGCCAUUCUUACAUAAGAAUGCAUAUUUGCUUACUUGGGUAUCUCAAAAAUCGUUAAAGGACGGUAUUGUACCAAAGGUACAAUUAAGUUGAAUUAAACCUCGAACUAGUCCAAAUAGAGAUUUUAAGAUGAAAUUGAUAAUUUUAAAACCCCAGAAUGACUUAAAAUGGUGAUUCGGAAUUCAAGGACCGAUUUGGAGUCAAAUUGGAAUUUUCAUGACCUAGGGACAAAAUGGUCAUUUUACCACCCAAGGUUAAGAUGUGAGUGUUGGAUGAAAUUUUUUACUAAGAUUGAUCAUUUGGAGUAUAAUUUGAGUUUGAGAAGUGAAAAAUUUUAAUUCUGGCAUUUUUUCAAGCAUAAAGGGUAAAAUAGUCAUUUUGCCAUCCCGAGGGCAAAAUUGUAAUUUUGCACCACCCAACACUUGUCCAGCACAUGGAUUUUACCCAAUAUUAUCAUGGAUAAUUGAGAAAAUUUAAGUGGUGGAGAGAGAUUGCUUAAUGGCUAAGUAUGACACAUGGACCAAUGGAAUGGUGACAUGUGUCAAAAUCUCAUCCAUUUAUUAUUUAGCUUAAAAAUCAACACAUAAACUCUCCCAAUUCAUUUCUCAUGGCCGGCCAUAGCAAGAACAAAGGAAGAAAAGAAGAACAAAAACCCUAGGUGGAAAAAUUCAAGGGAAAAGUGUGAAAAUUCAAGUAAUCAAGCAAUCAAAGGUAAAAUUUCUUGAUUUUGACUUGUGAUCUACCUUUNNNNNNNNNNNNNNNNNNNNNNNNNNNNNNNNNNNNNNNNNNNNNNNNNNNNNNNNNNNNNNNNNNNNNNNNNNNNNNNNNNNNNNNNNNNNNNNNNNNNNNNNNNNNNNNNNNNNNNNNNNNNNNNNNNNNNNNNNNNNNNNNNNNNNNNNNNNNNNNNNNNNNNNNNNNNNNNNNNNNNNNNNNNNNNNNNNNNNNNNNNNNNNNNNNNNNNNNNNNNNNNNNNNNNNNNNNNNNNNNNNNNNNNNNNNNNNNNNNNNNNNNNNNNNNNNNNNNNNNNNNNNNNNNNNNNNNNNNNNNNNNNNNNNNNNNNNNNNNNNNNNNNNNNNNNNNNNNNNNNNNNNNNNNNNNNNNNNNNNNNNNNNNNNNNNNNNNNNNNNNNNNNNNNNNNNNNNNNNNNNNNNNNNNNNNNNNNNNNNNNNNNNNNNNNNNNNNNNNNNNNNNNNNNNNNNNNNNNNNNNNNNNNNNNNNNNNNNNNNNNNNNNNNNNNNNNNNNNNNNNNNNNNNNNNNNNNNNNNNNNNNNNNNNNNNNNNNNNNNNNNNNNNNNNNNNNNNNNNNNNNNNNNNNNNNNNNNNNNNNNNNNNNNNNNNNNNNNNNNNNNNNNNNNNNNNNNNNNNNNNNNNNNNNNNNNNNNNNNNNNNNNNNNNNNNNNNNNNNNNNNNNNNNNNNNNNNNNNNNNNNNNNNNNNNNNNNNNNNNNNNNNNNNNNNNNNNNNNNNNNNNNNNNNNNNNNNNNNNNNNNNNNNNNNNNNNNNNNNNNNNNNNNNNNNNNNNNNNNNNNNNNNNNNNNNNNNNNNNNNNNNNNNNNNNNNNNNNNNNNNNNNNNNNNNNNNNNNNNNNNNNNNNNNNNNNNNNNNNNNNNNNNNNNNNNNNNNNNNNNNNNNNNNNNNNNNNNNNNNNNNNNNNNNNNNNNNNNNNNNNNNNNNNNNNNNNNNNNNNNNNNNNNNNNNNNNNNNNNNNNNNNNNNNNNNNNNNNNNNNNNNNNNNNNNNNNNNNNNNNNNNNNNNNNNNNNNNNNNNNNNNNNNNNNNNNNNNNNNNNNNNNNNNNNNNNNNNNNNNNNNNNNNNNNNNNNNNNNNNNNNNNNNNNNNNNNNNNNNNNNNNNNNNNNNNNNNNNNNNNNNNNNNNNNNNNNNNNNNNNNNNNNNNNNNNNNNNNNNNNNNNNNNNNNNNNNNNNNNNNNNNNNNNNNNNNNNNNNNNNNNNNNNNNNNNNNNNNNNNNNNNNNNNNNNNNNNNNNNNNNNNNNNNNNNNNNNNNNNNNNNNNNNNNNNNNNNNNNNNNNNNNNNNNNNNNNNNNNNNNNNNNNNNNNNNNNNNNNNNNNNNNNNNNNNNNNNNNNNNNNNNNNNNNNNNNNNNNNNNNNNNNNNNNNNNNNNNNNNNNNNNNNNNNNNNNNNNNNNNNNNNNNNNNNNNNNNNNNNNNNNNNNNNNNNNNNNNNNNNNNNNNNNNNNNNNNNNNNNNNNNNNNNNNNNNNNNNNNNNNNNNNNNNNNNNNNNNNNNNNNNNNNNNNNNNNNNNNNNNNNNNNNNNNNNNNNNNNNNNNNNNNNNNNNNNNNNNNNNNNNNNNNNNNNNNNNNNNNNNNNNNNNNNNNNNNNNNNNNNNNNNNNNNNNNNNNNNNNNNNNNNNNNNNNNNNNNNNNNNNNNNNNNNNNNNNNNNNNNNNNNNNNNNNNNNNNNNNNNNNNNNNNNNNNNNNNNNNNNNNNNNNNNNNNNNNNNNNNNNNNNNNNNNNNNNNNNNNNNNNNNNNNNNNNNNNNNNNNNNNNNNNNNNNNNNNNNNNNNNUAUGAAUUUAUUUUGCUUUUACGCUGUAAAAAUUAUUUAUGCAGUGUUCUAAAAAUAUUGUUUUAUGAGAAAAUUGAAUAUUUUAUUCAAUAUUUUUAUUUUAUUCUAAUAGUCAUAAUUUCAUUUUAAACGAAUGUUUUAGACAUCCAAAUUUAUUUUUGAUUAUGAAUUAUGUGUUUUGUACUCGCAUACUAUAUUUUUAGCGGAUUUCGAGAUUUUUGAGAAAAAAUAACCAAAAUGCCCUUGUGAGAAAAAAAUUAUUUUUUUCUAUUGUUUUGAUUUGAAAAUAGUUUAUAGUCUCUCAAAACAUAAUUUUAGUAACUAAUACUCACAAGGGAAGCAAGAAAAACUAAUGUUAAGCCUUGCGAGGUUUCGAUUGACAUUCCGAGUAAUGAAUGUCUAUCGGGACGUCGCGGCGGUUGUCCCAAGCUCAAUGGGAGUUUCGAGUCAUGACAGCACAUAAGCUGAGACAGAGUUGGGGGUGAGGCCGGUGGUUAUACAUAUGUUUUUAUAUGAUAUAUAUAUAUAGAGAGGUUUUGAAAAUUAUAUUGUGGUUGCGUUGAUUUUUGAAUGUUAAAACUUGAGAAACGGUUUCCACUUGAUUUUCACCGCAGCAAAGAUAGAUUUCCAUUGUGACAAGAAAUUGAGUUAAAUUGCAUUGUCUGCAACAUAAAUGCAUCAUGAUUUCUAAAAUCUCUCAUAUUGAUGCUUGUUCCCUUCCUAUGUUCACUCAUUGAGUUUAUAAUCACGUUUUUAAAAUGCAUGUUUUAGGUUUCCUGAGUUAAAGGUGAUUGGAUCCUAAGACGAGGUGCUCCUCCUUGUACAUUGCUCGGUAGGUUUAAUGUGACACUAAGUGUUAUCAAUCAUGCCCAGAGUCACUCCGCUGACGAUCAAGGUCUAAUUAUGUGUAUGUGAAUAUUUAAUGUGAACAUUAAGAAUCAUUGUUAAUCUAUUAAUUAAUAUAUUGGUGGAUGAUGCCAUUAUGAAUGUGUGAUUGGGUUUUAUGAAUUGUUUUCAAAGAAACGGUAUUUGAACAUUUCGAGCUUUGGAUUCUAAAGGAAUAGAGAUUAAUGUAUAAGAUCAAUUAAGUAGGUUUGCUUGGGCUUAGUGGGCUGAGCCCAUUGGGCCCUUGCGUCUGUCAUGGCUUAAAAAUUAGGUUGUGACAGUAAUCAAGCAAGUUAUGAUUCUGAUAUCGAGGGUAAAGUUAUUGAUAAGUCUAGGGUAUGCAUUCCUUAUGCACUCGAUGAGUGUGGAAAAGUGAGGUUGGUCGAGAAUUUGUUGUUUAACGGUAUUAGUCAAUUUAGGGAGGUCGUGACAAACUAUAUGAUUGAAGAAAGAAUUGAAUUAUAUAGGGCUAAGAAUGAAAAGACUAGGUAUGAGGCAUAUUGUAAGGGGAAUGGUUUUUAAUGGAUGAUUCAUGCAUCAGUCUAUUUAGAUAGGAAGACAUUCAAGAUUAAAAAGCUUGUGGAUGAAUAAGUCAGCAAUAACCAUGUUGCUACAACAAGUGUGUGGAUAGCCAAAAAGGUAGUUUAUCAGUUGCAUUAUGAACCAAAUAUGUCUUACAACUUGAUAUAGUAUAAACUAACUCGGAAGUAUGGUAUCAUAAUUAAUCCCAAGAAGCUUUAUAGGGCUAAGAAAAGAGCUUGAGAAUUUGAAAGGAUCAUGCCAGGUCAUACACAUACCUGUAUUUAUAUACUCAAAUGUUAAGUGAUAUUAAGCUUGGUAACAUUAUUAUCAUGCAAUUAGAAAGCCUUGAAAUUAAUAUUAAUGUUGAUGAAUCUUUUUCCCAAUCAAAGAGGAAGUGCCUAAAAUCAAACUCCCAAUUCCCUUUAUCCACCCAUACUUCUUUCACCGUAGCUCUCUUAUUAUUCACAAUUGGAAAGAGUCUAGGGAAAAUUUCCAUAAAAGGGAAAUUAGAAACCCAUUUAUCAAGCUAAAACAAAAUGUGUUUUCCAUCACCCACAACCCACCUACAACUCUGCUUACUGACAGCCAAAACAUAAUUUAAAACGUAACUAAGCUCUUAGUUAAUUUUGGGUAUUAGGAGUCUCAAAAGCCAAGAAGGAAGAAAACGAAGAAAGGAAAAGAGAAAGGAAAAAAAGAAGGAAAAAAAAAAGGAGGAAAAAGGAAAAGGGGCCACUAAUGGUGGUGUCUUUAAGAAGAAGAAAUAAGAAAAAAUUGGCAACAAGAAGAAUGAGGAAGAAGAAAGAAAGGAAAGAAGGAAGAGGGGCCACUAGUGAUGACACCACUAGAGAGAAGAAAAAAGGAAAAGAAAAAGAAGAAGGGGAAUGGAAGAGAAUAAAGAAAGAAAAAGAGAAAAGAAAAAAAAAGGAAAGAGAAUCGGUUGGCUAUGUGGCUAUUUUUUUUUUAUUUGACAUGUAAAUGCCAUGUUAACAUAGUCUGAUAUGCUCAAGGUUAUGUCAACAUCUCUAAUGGUCAGUUUAAACGGAGUUACUCAUAUGAAUCAAAUUGCACACAAUGUUCAAAAAACUACGAUUAAAUUAUCAAAAUUUUGAAUAAAGUAACUCAAUUGAACAAAACACUUUUGUAUAAGGACUUCUUGAGUAUUUUGAUCAUUUUUAUAUUGUUAUUUUGAUUAAUUUCUGUUAAUUAUAAUUUUUAGUAUAAUUAUAAAUUAACGAUCAUAAGACUUAUCCCAUGUAUAGAGAAAAGUUCUAAUUCUAUUGAAUCAUUUUAUUAAAAAGUGAUUUACUUAUCUUAGAAUUCUAUAUUCCCUAUAUUUCUAAACUAUAACCAUAUUAAUUGAAUAAAUAAAAAACUUAAUUUCAAAUAAUGAAAAAGAGAUUUAAGUGCAACUAUAUAUCCAACAUCUAAUAAAUUUUUUAUUAAUCUUAUAAUCAAAAUCUAGAAUAAUAAAAAAAAAAACUAAUAUGUUAAAUCAAAUGUAAUGCAAGUGACAUUAAAACUCAUAAUUGACAAAAAAAAAGUGUUAAAAGAUUUUAGCUAGGCUAUGCUUGACCGCCACUCAACGUAAAAUCUCUAUUCCUUUGAUGAACUCCACUUAAGGCCUUGCAAAGGCACUUCCUAAUUUACUCUGCUUAUAACCCAAAAGAAAAAAACAGAAGAUUAAUUUAGAUUAAAAUUCCAACUGUGCAUCAUUAGAACCAGACGCUUCGUUUGCUUAUUACUAAAAAGAAUAACAACCAGCAAAUUAUCAGUUAAAAUACCUGCAUUUCUUCCAUGAGAAAAUUGCAAUCCCAGAGCUAUAACUCGAAUCCCACUAUAGUCCCAUAAGUGUUGAAAUAUUAUACCUACACUGUUUUGUAAUUAAAUUGUUACAGGUAUAUAAAUUAACAACAAAUGAAUUACAGAACCAAAAUUUUUGAAGUAAGCCAACUCAAUGUCCGUGUUGUCUCAGUCUCGGCAGCAAGUUCGACUGAAGCUCCACUUGAGCAGGCUUAAUCAAUUUCCAAGUUGUUCUGUUCACUUACAAGGUCGCUGGACAUUCGGGAUGGUAUUCUGUGACGUUCUAGAAUUCUGGAAGUAGCAAUUCUGGCUGAUUCAAACUUUAAUGCAACUACCCUGUCAUCAUCCAAAUCAAACCUCAAGCUCUCUGUGCUACAAUUUUCUACAAGCUGGCACAAGUGCUUUAGAUUUUGAAUUUCAAUUCCAUUGACUUUCUUGACCUGUCAUCCACAUAGUUUAAUUUUCUUAGAAGAGAAUUAACCAUGCAUGCAAUAUAUAAGAAUGCAUACAUAAUUACAUGGACACACUCCAGGUUUAGAAUUCAAAUCCAGUAACAGCAUUAGUACAAACCAUUAAAUUGAGUGGGUCAACAAACAGCUAGAAUUGUCUUAUCAUUCCCAACCAACAAACGCUAUGCAAACAGACAUCUGAUCCUUAAUUAGAUUGCCUUGGAAUUUCCAACCAGUAUUUGCCCAUUAUCAGAAUUGAUGCAGAAUGCAAAUGAGCUAAUUCAAAGAUUAACUUACUUAAAGAUUUUAUUUUGUUACUUUGUCGUGUUUUACGGGCUUUAUUUGCAAUUUUAUACAUAGAUUUAGGGUUAUAUUUGCUAUUUUCAGCUAAAUUAGGGCUUACGAUCUUAGAUUGUGUUUUUCUUAUCCUAUUAGGUUGUAUUCUAAGUUAGGUUAGUUUUUUUUUGGAAUCUAAGAACUUUUUAAGCUGUUGCUUCUACUUAAAUUAUUGGAAAGCUUUUAUUUGGAGUCUAAGAAUUUUGAAGCUCCUACUUCUACUUAAUAUAUUGCAAUAAGAGUCUGUUUCUUUUAGAGUUAGGAUUGGUAGCAUCCUAUAUAAAUCAAUGUACACAUUCUAUUGACAUAAACAAUAUUACGAGAGAAUUUAUAGCAUUAGUCCUAUUGUGAUUGUGUCAUGCAGAAAACCUUAAAAGUGUGCUCCGGAAAGAACCUCAAGUGGGAAACCUAGCUUUUUUGCAUUUUUCUUGUUCUUGUGAUACAAUCAAGGAGCCCUAAAAGUAAAGCCUUAGGAUCAUAUUUCUUCUUCUCUUUUUUUUAUUCAAUAUUUCUUCUUUCCUCAAAAAUUGACAAUUGAAUAUUGCUAUAAAACCUAAUAUCCUAGCUCUCCUACAUCAUCAGUUGGGCUUGGCCGAGUCAAACUAUUUUGCUCCGAAUGCAAACAGUUAUAUAGUUAUAAUUGUCUUAACUGACAUCUGAGAUUUAUAAGGUCACCAGUUUUAUGCCUAGUGGUUUCCUAUCAUUUGAAGUGGCCCCUUCAAUAAUUACUUUCUCUUGCUCCUUCCAUCCCCACCCCCAACUACCAAGAAACACACAAGCAAGCAUGCUAGUUGUUGGUUUGUAGGAAGCUCAAAACAUAAAAGAAAGAUGAUCAAAAGAAAAAUAAGAAAGAACCUGUAAUUCAGCAAGACGCUCAUAGCCCGCAUUGAUAUCAUCCAUCAAAACCUGAACCAAAUAACUGCUUGUCAAGAAAGUGAAAGUACAUGGAACAUAGAAAAUCCUACGCUUUAGCAAUUAAACCCUAACGAAUUGAUUAAGUUUCCCCUUUUUUGGGGGCAAGAAAAACUUCAAGAAAGAACUUUUCCAAAUUUUGAGAUUAAGCUUUUUUAUAAUGAGUGAGAAGGUAUGGACAGUAGCAUCCUAGAUUUCAAAGGCAAAAUCAUUUGCCAAAACAAAUGAAGCUUCUUCUUACAUCCAUUCAUCUAUGACACAGAUUUUGCUUGUCGCGGAGCUGAAUUUUACAAACUACAAAGUUUUCUUCUAAAAGAAGCCAUUAUGCACUAAUGCUGUCAAAGAAGUCAUACAGACCUGAGACAGGAUUACGAGUUGUUCCCCAGCCUGUUUAGGCAGCUCUCUUAGAGCACGUUCACAGAGUCGACGGGGUGACGUAUUAUACCAGUCUUCCCCAUACUCAUGUAGGUAUGGCUGGGUUAGUGGAACAAAAACCAGACCAGCAAAAAUGUAAUAACUAGGAAGCUUAUCAAAUUGAUGAACUGGAACCAGUGGCUGCAACUGUAAGAUCAAGUAUAACAAAACUAAUAAAUCCAUAUUGUAAAAAUCAAGGUUAAUUUCAUCAACAGUCAAACAACAAACUAACAUAGAUGCUUUUUUUCCCUUUACUUUAUCAUGAAUUACAGCAAUCACAGAUUUUGCAAGUUGAGGAAAAAAAACACAAAAUUGACAAAAGUAAUCCUUUUUUGGUCCAAGAAUCGAGUCCACGAUAAAUGUUAGAUCCUUAAUUCAUUAGGACUUGCAGUUAUGGUUUUGGUUUUAGGUGUAAGAAAGGAGAAACAAAUUGUAGCAUACAAUUUUAUGCCUUUUUAUUAUUUCUGUUGUGAGGUUUUGGGGGGAGGUGUUACAGCAGGAAAGGCUAUGCCCGUGGCAUCAGCAUGCAUGAGCAUAACAAUUUCAUACAGAGGAACAUGAUGGAUGUCCAAUCUCCAUGGUUGUGAAAGCUACGUUUGUCCAUUCAAUCCACAGUGAUGUUUUUCUACCAUGAGAAAUAUCCUAACUUUCCAAUUGUCUUGGAACUGUAGCCAGUUCCUAGCAAACCUUGAUCAGACGUUAUGAGGAUGAUAUCUAUUGUACCUUGAUCAGUAGCAAAAACUUCCUUCUUCCUCCAUAUGUGAUGGUGUUUACAAUGGUAUUGUUCAUUUCAUUGAAGCAGAUGAUGCACUAGAGUAUUUCACCCUCAGUCAGCUUCUAAUAGCGCUCAAUUAACAGCUAUAAUAAAUGUUUUCUGGGCACAGAUCUGACAAAUAAUGAGCCCGUAAGUUUGAUGAGGAUGGCAGACUAUUGAGUUUUUGAAAUGUAAAAUCUUGUUAAAAACAAGUUUCAAUAUGAUUUUUAUUCUUCAAUAAUAGUUUCUUCUAUUCUACUUCCUGUUCUUUAUCCUUUCUUCUUUACAAUACUCUUAUCAAAAACAAAGCCUCGUUUCCAUAAUCAACUUCUGGCUCUCAGACUGAAUCAUUCCUAACUCUUCCAGUAUCAAAACUAAUGUCAAACUAUCAAGCUAAAAUUUAAAGAUUCUAAGAUUGUCCUGCAUAAUAAUGUCUUUGGAAUGUUCUGAUUGGCACACAAAAACCUCCGCCUGUUAGAGCUUGACCAUGCAGGUCCAGCAUCAUCAUAUUAUUUUUAAAGCAGACUGAACAAUGAAGAUCAACAUGAGAUGCUAGGUUUCAAAUGAGGUCUCUACUUUUGAGCGUAAGACUAACAUAUGCCACUGGUACACACAAGUUUUACAUUUACAAACAUCAAAUGAAACAAAUCAAUGUAUAAUGCAGCUUUGAAUAGUUAUAGUUUCAAACAGCGGGUUGUUGGGGGAUUUGGUCAUUGUACAAACACAGAAAAAGCAAAGAUCCUGUAUCGCCACCAAUUUUAUUGUUCUGUACACUCUACACUGCCUUGUUUUGAUUCUAUUAUUCUAAAAUCAACUCUCAGCCUUAAUUUGAAUCCCCAUCUCUACAAAAUACUUUUGAUACUUGAACUUCAUUCCAGUUAUUUCUUUUAAAAAAAGUUUCCUCCGACAUCUUUACAUGCAAAAUCCCCAGAUAUUCACUAUCUAGUGAACACAAAACAUGCUUAUUCCAACAAUUUUGAAUUGACUGCAUGUAUCAUAAAACAAAGGUACAACAAGUAUACAUUUUAACUCACUUUUCCAAUACUCCAAUUAAUCUAUUUCCUUUCUUAUAACAACAGUUUUAAAGGCAUUUAUGGGGGGAGGAAGGCAUCUGUGAUUAAAAUGAAAAAGAAGAAAUAAUAAUUUAUUCAGCCACAGAUGAUAUUCUAAAUAACAGCAAGGCAAGAUAUGAUCAAAUUUAGAAAUCACUACAGGUUGCGUGAAUGGUGAAGUCUUGCUAUUUACCAUUCCUCAAGACUUUCGUUAAUGCAGUUUCACUGGGUUUUCACAUGGACCAGACAUUAUUGAAUUUAAUUAAUCUUUGGAACAAUUACUCACAGGUCGAAGGGUGAUGGUGAAAGCAUGCUCUUCACCAUUUCUCAAGACUUUAACUAGAGCAGUUUCAUUGGGUUUCUUCAUAGACACCAAAUGAUCAAAUGUUAUCCGCUCCCUGUUUCGAAAAGGAACUGCAAUGUGUGUAAAUUAGACACCAAAUUAAAAAUUAAAAAAAAAUUAUGAAUACUGAAAUGAUUAUCACCCUAGCAAAAUAUUAUCCAAAAGAAAAAGCAAACAAAAUUUCAAUCCUCAAGUGUCUCACUUUCAUGAAAUCAAACAAUUUUUCCUCCUUAUAGUCUCAAAGGUAUGUCUCCUUCUUUAGUCAUGUUACUGGGAAAUAAAACAAGCAUCAGUAGGAAAAAGGACUCAAUGAUAUCCAUACGUGGGUGUCAGAUUAUUUUAUCAUUGGAAUCCUUGAUUGUUGAGUAUCAAUCACACUUGCAAAAUGUUCAUAGGAAAAGUGUUGAAUCUCACUUGAAAUUUAAAAAAAAAAAACAAACAAUAAUGAGUAAAGACUAUAAAGCAAGUACCAGUUCCAUCAUUUGCUAUAGGCACACCAUCAAAUUCAAGGAUUAUAUCAUCCUUGUUUAGAACUCUGUGUGCAUCAGACAAAGGAUUAAUUUUGCUCACAAGUACACCAGUCAUCUGAGGUUGCAUUUUGAAGUGAUUACGAAGCUGGACAUUUUCUGUAGGCUGGCAUGAGAGACCCAUAGAGCAGAAUCCCACAUAUUUUCCACUUUCCUCUACACCAGCUAUAAAAUGCUUUAUUACGGGAACAGGAAUUAUAUAGCUGCAUAUCAUAACAAAUAAAAUAAAAAAUAAAUCAAUAAUUAAACAGACAGAAUUGUCCAUCAAAUGCUUUUGAAGUGGUAAAAAGUUAAUUUAAGUUUCAAUAACGUAUAGUGUAGACAUGUCUUCCUUAGUUUUGAUCUGAUAUUUAUGUAAGUUGUUGCACUUUCAGAUAAUAUAUUCUAAAUAACACCCUUGUUUAUUAACUUUAAAGAGCCAAAUUCUACAGUAUAUCAUAUUUCAUUAUUGAAAUAUCAGAACAUAUAGUCUUUGAAUUCUCAAAGCAUUGUUUUGAGCGCAAAAUACAUUAAAAGCUUCCUUCUAAUCAUUAUGGCCAAAAUGUCUAGCAUUUAGCAAGCCUUAAAUGGUUUUUCUUUAAAAAAAAGAGUUCUUUUUCCAUUCUUUUAUUUAUUUGUUUACUUUCUCUUUCUUUCUUUUUUUUUUUUUUUUGGUGGUCCUUGUUUUCAUCCACAGUUAAGAAGACCUGAAACGUAUGAUGCAUGACUUGGGAACUGAUUGCUAAAUAGUGAGUAGACUGAUAUAGCAAAGGAGUAAAUAAACACGUAGGCAACAAGUUAAAACUACAAGCUUCAUGUUUAAAACAUUGUACAGUGUUUAGCACACACCAGGAUUAAUAAUAGGAUUGGCUAAUAAUUGUUAUAUGCUAUCAAAACUAUUUGAAAAAAAUUGAAGCAACAACAAAGAGGAAUGCAAGCACUUGAACACCCCACCAAAUACAGUGCCAAAUUGUAGAAACCCUUAAUAAAGAAAAGUUUUACCGCCGUAAGUAUCAAAUGGUCAAUAUUAGAAAACCCAAAAGCUAAAUGCUACUUGCCAAAAAGGCAAACUCACAACUCACCCUAUAUUUUCAGCACCUGAAAGGUUUUGGAAAGCUACACCAGCAACUUUGUUGCCCAUGAUUGCAGGGCCCCCACUAUUCCCUGGGUUUAUAGCUGCAUCUAUCUGUAUUGCCAUCAGCUGGGUAGCACCAUGUACAUAUUGUGUAGGCUCAACUCUAGAAACAACCCCUUUAGUAACAGAAAUGUUGUCCCCUCCUGCAUCCAGGGAAGAAGUGCACAGCAUGUGAAAGUAAAACAUUAAGUAAUUCCUAAAUGAAUGUUCAACAUCCUGUUAUUUGCCUACGAGGAAAGCUUCAAAGCCUAAUAACUUAUUGUCAUAUAAAGAAAAAAUAUUCUUCCAUGGCCAUGAAAUUACACAAAUGGGACUUACUCAAGUAAUACUUCAAAUUACAGCAUGCUGAGGUAAAGACUUACAAAUGAGGUUCUAACAAAUGAAAAAGACUAAAAACAGGCAAGAUAGGAUCUCAGCUCUAACAAUUACUAAGCAUUGAAAAGUGAUACCUCAUCAAUAUAGAGACUGAUGUGUGUUUGCUAGUUUUUCCCAGUUGCUUUACUAUGUUAAAUAUAGUCUUAAUCCCCCUAGCUCACAUGGGACAUAUUUAGAAUUGCAAUAACUAUCAGAUGGUCCUAGCCGGCAAAUACAAAUAGUCAUUGUAGCUUCAUUAACUCAAACAAGGCAGGAAAGGGAAAAGCAGAGAAUCAGAAACUUGAUACUAUUAAUUAGGAAAUUAAAAAGGUGGAUUUUUUUUUUCCAUGGUUACCUUGAGGAUACCCAACAACAGCAACAGCUUCUUGCAAAAAUGGAAUGUCUCCGAGCUCCAAGAAAUUCACACCCUCCCAGAACUCUUGGCUUUCCACAACAAGAAUAGCUAAGUCACAUUCAUGACCAACAGCUAGAACCUCCGCUCUAUAUUUAGUGGGAGAGCCGUGUUUUCUAACAAGUACAAAUGUAUGAUCAGCCACCACAUGAGCAUUUGUAAGAAUCUUUUUUCCCGGAAUGACAAAUCCUACAGUUAAGAAAUAAUGAGUAAGCAAAGCUCAGAAGAAAAUGGAGACGGGGUUCUUUUUCUACUUGCCUGAGCCCAUGGUUUCGCGUUGUGACUUAUUCUGCCAAGGAAGGAAAUAGUUGGGGCUGCUGGUAACCGUGAAGAUCUUCACCACAGAGUCCAAUGCCAGCUCUAUUGCCAAAUAUGCAUCUGUUUCUGUAUGGAGAGACCGUUUGCUUCUAACCACGUACCACCGCUGAAUGCUACUCUGUCUCUCACCAAUAUCAAAAAUACUAAUGCUGCUUUCACCCUUGCAACAUAAAGGAAGGACUUUGCGUUUACUGACGGUGAUGCCAUUCCUACAACAAUCUCUCCCCAACAACAACAAAGACGACGAGUUAUUACAACAUCUUAGCCUCCGCAAUGUACGGACUGAAGAACCCAGCAUCCUUUUUGCUUCUUCGCCGAUGGAGGAUGAAAGGAGGCCAAGAGGGGCAAAGGUAUGCUUAUGUAAACUUUUGCCAACCCUGCAACUAUUAUGUGCAAAGUGGGCCGAGGCUAAACCUCGUACUGGCAUCGUCAUUUUGGGUUAGCAUUUGGGUCCAUUUGUGCCAUCUCGAGGCAGAAUCAUUUUAGGUCAUUUCCAGGAUCGUCAAAUUGAAGAAGUUGUAGCAGAUAGAAGAGGCGUGGUCCAAAGUUGAGAAUUCAGAGGCAAUGGGUUGAGAUAGUUAAAAGGAGUUGAAGCUUUUCUUAUCCUUUUGAAAUUAGAAGACAUACGAUUAGAAAACCCUUAAAUUAUUUAAAAAUUUUAAAUAAAUUUUUAUUCUUUUAUAAUAUUUAAUUAAAUUUUUAUAUUUUUAUUAUAAAUCAAAUAAGUCUUUAUAAUUAAUAGUUGAUUAAUUAUCAUUAUUUAAAAUAUCAUUUAUCAUUUUAUAUUCAAUGACAUUGAUGUGAAAGUAAAAAAUAUUACAUGUUCAUGUCAACAUACCACGUCAUCGUCUAUUAUAACAUGUUAACAUACUAUGUCCACAUCACAUGACAUAAAAUAACAAUUGAUAUUUUGACUAAUAAUAAUUAGUCAGCCAUUAGGUAGAAAGGAUUUUUCGAUUCAAAAUAAUAAUAUAAGGACUUGAUUAAUUGAAAUAAAAAAUAAAAAUUUUUAAAAUUUUUUUAAAUAGUUCAAAAACUUUUUUAAGUAUUAUGUCAAAUUAAAACAAAACAUUCAAUAAAAACAAUAAAUGAGAUGUUCAUUACUAUGCAAUAAAUACAAACUCAAAGAACGUUGGAAGUACAACAAUGGAAGGAUUUGAGAGGCAAAAGGGUGGACGGUGUGUUUAGGAAAGAUUAAUUGCCAGGCAAAAAGUGGAAUAAUUGAGCAAAAUAAUAGUAUUGAAAAAGUUGCUUGAUAACUCUAUUAUAUAAAGUUAUUUUGACACAUUUUGAGAGCUUAAGUAGUUAGAUCUGUGAGAUUUUAGGUUCAAAUCGUAGUAUUUUCAAUGUUUUUCUAGUUUAAGUUUGAUUAUAUGUUGAAUAGUUAAUUUAAGUUAUUUUAGUUAAAUUUUAUGUUAUUUUAUUUUAAAUUACUUUAAGAGUAGUUAUUGCUAAUUUUUCUUAUUGCUUUUGUAGGAAAUUUGAUAAAAAAGACUAGGUGAUGAAAAUCAAUGCAAGUAUGGUGAUGGCUUCAUUCGUAUAUGUUUCGGUAUUUUGACCAUAUCUCUCUCUACAAAACUCUAAAUGAGAUCAUUCUUAGGCCACUAGAAUUCUAACAAGAAGGGAUACAACGUUUGUGUUUACCAAUUUGCCCAGUUCUGAUUAGAUUGUGGUCAAAAUAUUUGUCUAAGUCGAAGUAAUGCUGCAGUUUGCAUGGACUAAACAUGAUUUGGUAUUUGGACCAUAUCUUUCAAUCCAAAAGUCUAAUUGAUAUGAUUCUUAAUCCAUUGGAAAGAUAAGAGAUAGGGCUAAAACUUUUAUGUUUAUCACUUUGCCUAGUUUAGAACAUUUCAGGGUGAAACUCACAUUUGAAUUUGAUAGACCGCCACAAUGCUAGGAGAACAAGGCUAUAGCAUUGAUGACAGGAAGCACACAUACAAUUUUCCAAAGAGCUCAGCGCUGCAGCGUUGGAGAAGUAGCGCUGCAGUGCUAGACGAUUUUCCAAAAAUAAAAAGUUAACGAGAUUUUAGAAAUUAGGUUACUUGGAGCCUAUUUAAGGGGCCUUUUUCAAAAGUUUCUAGAGGGCGGCAAAAACAACUAUUAUGAAGAUUUGGAGCCAAGAACAAAGCAAGAAAACUAGAGAAUUGGAAGGAGAAUCAAGAUCAAAAAGCUCCAACUAUUAGUUUUCUCUUUUUACUUUUGUGUUUUUCUUAUUUGCUUUGACUUCGAUUAAUGGCUAAAUUUCUUUGAAUAUUGUUUUUAUUAGAUAUUAUGAGCUAAAUUAUUUUUUUAGGAUUGCAAUUGAACUCACAUGUAAUCUAAACUUUCAAUCUUUUUCUUGCUUAUCUUUAAUGGGAUUUGAAUUGUUUAUUCCAAUUUGUUCUUAAUGCUUUUAAUUGCUUGAUCACCAAUUAAAUUGAUUUAGGAACGCAAACAAACUUGGGAAAAGGAGUUUAAUGUAGACUAAAAUUGAGAUAGCAUAUAAUCAUAUUAAUUGAUUUGCGUAUAGGAUAGGUAUAUACCCAUAGGCCUUAUGUAGCUAGAUUAGAGCCAAAACUUAAUAAGUCUAUUUUAAUCUCAAUUCAUAUAGGAAUAUAGUGUUUUGAUUAAAAUAGAUAUUUUUAUAAGAUGAGUCGGAAGACAUUUAUAAAUAAUUGAGAACUCUAAGUUAGCAAUUUAACCCAUUGAAAUAAGUUAAGGAAGAGAGUUAAGAUUUAGAUAAAGUGUGAAGAAUAUUGUAAUCCUAGGCUUAUUUGAUUUGAUUUUUAUCUAAUUAUUUUGUUGCUUUGAUUUCUCUUUUUAGUAUAAAUUUUGGUUAAUUAGUUUUAGUUAAUUAAUUUAGUUAUUUGAAUUUGAUUAUUUGGAUAAGAUUAAAUUGUUCUAAUUUUAGUACUUAGUAAAAUUUUAUAUCAAUUCUCUAUGGAAUCAAUACUCUACUUACUUAUAUACUAUCUAUUUGAUACGUAUACUUGUGUAGUAGAAUUUUAACUGACAUUGCUUGCUGAUUAUUGAAGUACUUUUGGAGGAGCCUACUUAUAGGCAUUCUUAGUUGAUCAGAUUACCCACACAUUCCUCCCUUGUCCAAGUCAUUAACGUUGAUGAAGCUUAUUGCCCUUGGCCUCAAAAUUACUAUUAUAAUAGGAAUUAGGAUGGUGCCUGUAGCUACUCUAUGAAAAAGUUCACAAAAAAUAUAGAUUAUGUUGUAAUAGACUUCAAUUUGGUACCUUUAAAAGAGUUUGUAGGGAAAGCUAUAUUGUAUUAGUCAACUAUAUGUAUGUAUGGUUUUUGCUGGUAGAAGAAAAAAUAAACUGAUAAUAAUUGAAGAUAGUUAUUUGCUUUGGUUUCAAUCGAUGGAAAGCUUCUCCUGAAUAUAUGUUUUUAAAACAAUACUUAUCCAAAGAAGAUUGUAGUCAUGUUACACAUGCAAUAAUUUUUUUCUAUUAAAAAUAUAUUGUUUAAACAAAAUGAAUAAUAUUAGUGAUUUGGAGGUCUGCUCUUCAUUUUGUCAUAUAAUUUGUCCCUAUUUCUUUGAUUUCUGUUAUGCUAUAUUGUGUUAGUCAACUGCAUGAAUGUAUGGUUCUUGUUGGUAAAGGAAAAGAUAAAGUGAUUUUAAUUGAAGAUAGUUAUUUGCUUUGGUUUCUUUGGUUCUUGAUGAUCAAUUUUUGUCAUUUGUAGGUUUUUAUUGUCUGUAAGUUGCUUGUAAGAUUUGCUUUGACUCACUAAUUUCAAGUAAAACCAUAUUUCUUGCUUAUACUUACAUGGAAAAGAAACAACCGUAUUUAUGUCAGUAGUAUAUAUAAUAGCAAUAGUUCAUUAAGUAAAUGAGACAAUAAAAUAAUUGAAAGAAAACCUCAUACGCAAAUCGAAUAGUUAAGAAAGAGGCUCCCAUAUUGGUUAAACAAAAUGAUUAAACUGUUGCAUAUCUGUUAGAUAUAUUUAACUAUAGUGAUAGUUUCUUGUUUCUUUUGCCAUACACAUUUCCUCUUAUUUCUUUAGUUUUUGUUGUUGUGCUCCUUCUGUUGGACUUGUUGUACAUAUAAGAAGAUAAAAUUUGUUUAGUGCCUAAUUUUUUAAAGGCUUUUAAGUUAAAUCAAUAAAAGAUUUGUAAAGUAAUCUAAUUAACAUACAUGAUUUUCGAUUUUUUCACUAGUGAUUCUUCUAGGAUUAAUUCCUUUGUGAUUUGUGAAUCUAUUGGUGAUGGAGACACUUCAAUUUCAGAGUUUUCAAUUGUGAGUUAUGGAUUUUUAGUUGCUAAGGCAAUAAUAGUAUUUCUUGUUGUACCUUUUUCUAUUUCGCAACGAACAAGCAAGGUUUCUUUGACAGUGUUACAGUAAAAAACCUUGAAUUUCAACAAUCCCUGAUCAAUAGCUUUUGCAGUCAAUCUUAGUUGGAAUGUUCUUUCUGUGUUUAUCAAGGCUUUGACAGGAGUUGGAAUAAUCAUUUUGUCAAUUUCCUUGAUGACAACAAGCUCUGCUAUAGUUGCUCUAGUCAACUUUCUGCUUGCUGAUCGAACACUUGCAGUUGAAUUUCACCAGUUGUAUCUUGUAUUGUUAGCUCCAAAAUCAUCCUGUUAGAAAUAAACAAAAAUAUCAUUAUUGUUAUGUUGUAGAAUAAUAUUUUGUUUGAUUUAAAGAUAAAAUUUUAGUUUUCUUACAUCAGUACUAGUACUUUUUCAUCAUGGGUUCUAUACCAUAAUCUGUUAGAUAAAUAUUUCAAUCCUUCUGCAUAUUCAUUGCAUGCAUUGUAGUACCAUCCAUUUGGUGCUUCUAUAUUGACUAUUGUUCUUGUGAUCUCAAACUUUUUAUUUUGUAGGAAGAUGUAAAUGUUAUUGUUAAUUUUGAUAGUAUGACGAAUUGAUUUAACUUGAUGUCAUAGUUAGGAAUUUAUGUUUUUGUAGUUAAGAGCUGUUUUUUUUCAUAAAUGAUUAUAAGUAAAGAAAUCCUUGUUGCUCAAAAUAUAGUAGUAUAGGUAGUUAGAUUUUUACCAUUGUUUUUCCUGAUUUUAUUGCCAACAAGUCUCCAAUUGUCGCAUUUUGUAUUGGAGUUGGUUGAGUAAUUUGUAGGAGAUUUCCUUUCUUUAUUUUUUGCAAUUGGGCUUCAAUUAUUUCAUGUUGGUACCUGUAAUUUUUUUUGUUAGUGAUAAGUAGGAUGCUUUCAAGGUCGUUUUAAAUUAGAUAAUGUAAUUUUCAAUUUGUACAACAUUACCUGGCCUUUAGUUCUUCUACUUGAAGAAUAAUAGGAUCAAUAUAAACUCCGGUUGCAAAAUAGAAAAAUGUGUAUAAUGAUCCUACAAAAUGUAAUUAGUUGAAUAGCUAUAGUUUUUUUAUGGUAAAUAGUUAUUGUUAUUGUUAAAAACAUUUAUAAUGAUCAACUUACGCAUAUAGGUCUUGAUCAUCAAUCCAACAAUAGCAAGAAUAGUGUUUGGCUUGUUUUGAAGUAUUUCAUCUUCAUUUAUUUCCAAUGCCAACUUUUCAUAUAACACAACUUUGAUUAUUCAUGUAGAAAUAUUGAUGUAAAAAUGAACUAUAUAUUCAUCAUAGUAAUUGCCUAAGAUUUUGUAGAUACAUGUCCCUUUUUAAGAACAAGAGUACUUUUGUGAUUUAGCUGAACUUUGUUUACAGAAAUUAUUGUUUUCACCACUCUAAUGACAUUUACAAUUUUGGUAUUGAAACAACAUAGUAUAAAAGUUAGAAGUUAAAUAAUUGAAUGCAAUUUGAUUAUGUAGGAUAUUUUCUUUUAAUAUCUGUCAAGACAUUCUCUUGGUGUAUCCUGUCAUGAAGUAUGGUAUACUCUAUAAAGUUAAAAUGAUGAGUAAGAUAUGCAAUUCCAUCUUCAUGAACUUGCUUCACUUCUGUUGCUUUUGAAAAUACAAUCAUCAGAUCGCCAGGCAAAGCAUUGUAGUUGUUUUUGCUUUUCAUAACUCGAAAUUUGUCAAUCAAGCAUACAAAGCCUUCUUUCAGUAUAGAUUUAAAUUGUUGUGCAUUUGAACUUCUAAUCAUUACUUGCAUUACAUUUUUCUUUCAAAGAUAAAUACAAUAAAGUUGUAUUUUAGUAUUUUUAAAAGGUAUAUAGUAAGAAAAAUUUAAGUAAAGGUUUUUAUUUUUAAUAAGUUACCUUGAUAUCGGCAACUAUGAAAUCAAAAUUCAGAAGUGUUUAUGGAUUAUCUAGUGUUGUUGACUACCAGAUUCGAAUGACCUUCACUUUCACUAGUUUUGGUGAUUUAUACAAUUCCAAGUCACUUAGAUAUUGUUGGUCCAUUUCUACUUGUUGUAGUAGACUUUAAUAAAUAUAAUACACCAAUGCAUAAUGUAAAUACAGUAAGAACAAAUGAUGUAAUGCAAAGAAGUUAAAUAUUGAAACCAUGAUGUAAAUCAUUUUUACAAUAAGUUGAUUAUACAAAGAUGGUUAAAUGUAGUGUAAAAUAUUGAGAAAUGAGAGAAUAUAUAACCUGUUCUUUUGACAGAUUAAGAUAAACAAUUGUAGAAUGUAGGGUAACAGUAUAGUGUAAAGAUUCUAUCAAUAUAAACUAGUUACUAAUUUCUAGCAGUAUUUGUCUUUUAUAUAUAAAAUAAAUGGCUAAAGGUUAUCAAAUUCAAUGUAUUUGUUUAUUUAAUGAUGACUAUGUGCUACGUAUAUUGAGAAACAAGUAGACCUUUUUGACUUUUUUAUUUUGUUUAAUAAAUUUGAUGGAUAUUUAUUAUAAUUUAAACAUUCAUGUAUAAAAGAGAUGUCUAAAUUGUACAGAUUCAAGUUCAUGUAGAAUAAGAGGAUAUAGACAGUAAAUAAUAUUUAAUUACAAUUAAUAAAUAUUGAAUGAAUCAAUCCUCUAGGUAUUAAAAGUUAGAAAUUAUUGUUUUCAAGUAGUUUUUACUAAAAUAAAUAAAAGUAAACUAAAAAAUCCUGAAAAAUUUAAUGAUGACAUUUAGUAAAUGUUGUCUUUUAAAUUAAAAUUAGCUUUAAACUGUGCCUUUGUAACCUGUUUAAUUACCUAAUCAAAACAAAUUUAAUAUCUGGAACAUAUGGGAUAAAGCUUAAAAUUGAAAAUGACAAUGUGAAAACCUCUAUAUCUAACAUUCUAAAGCAAUUGUGAUUUUUUUUUUAUAAUUGGGGGAAGGGGAAUUCGAACCUUACUCUUUAGGCAGGGGGAACAUGCAUCACUCAAUGAGCCAAAUGCUCAGGUGCUAAAGCAAUUGUGACUUUGAAGUUUGAUCAAAUAAAGAAAAAAUAUCUAGAAGCAACUAUCUACACAGCUUGACAACUUAGUAAGUUAGUAUAAUUUAUGCCUUACGUGAGCAUUUUAGUGAAUCCAAAUUAGCCUCAAAAUUGAUGAGCACCCUUAAUAAAAUCAAUAUGAAUGUCAAGAGUAAUCAUCAUUAUAACAAAAAUAAGUAAAUAAUGAAAAGAAAUAAAACGGAUAAGAUCCAUGUGCCAACAAAAACAUCAUAAUCUAAUAUAAGCAAAAUAUACUCAUAUCAUGAAAAUCAAAGUAAAAUGCAAAUUUUGGAACAAAAAUUUAAUGCAAUUAUUCUUUUUACCAAAAUUUUUUCUUUUAGAUAGAAUAUUUAUCAUCAUGUAAUAUUACCGUUUCUCUAGGCUCAAGCGCAUUGGUAAUACAUCUUUUCAUUAUCCCAAUGUCUUAGAAGGAAACAUCUUAUGUCCCAACUUCAUUAUUAUCUUCAUUGUUUGUUAUUGCAUAUGUUUUUCUUGUAUAUUUUAUUUCAGCUUAAACAUUAUCAAGCCAUGCAUCCUACAAUAAAAUCCAUGUGGUAGUCAAUAGAAGUUUUGAUAUAAUAAUUUAGAAGCUUUAGGUCAAUAAGAUAAUUUACAUUGAUUUCAUUGUCAUUAAAAUAUUCAACAAAGUUUCCAUCUACAUCAAAUAUCAACCAUACCAUCUAUUAUUGACCCUUUGGAAGGUUUAGGAUAACACUCUUUAUCAGAUAUACCAAAUGGAGGAAUUGAUUGUCUAAUGAUGUGGUGUUUUACAACAUUUUUUACCAUGUUAGUUUCCAAAUUUUACAAUAAUUCAAAGAUUUUAGUUUUAAAUUACUUAAACCCAUUACCUGCUAUCUUGGUCCCAAUAUAAAAACAGUCCUACCAUGUCGAUCAUGAAAAUUUGCUUUAUAUACUUUUUUGGUCUCACCUUCUACUACAACUUCAUGUUGACAACAAUACCAUUCAUGUGGUUAGGUAAAAAUUAAUCUCAGCAACUUAUAGAGGAGCUAUUUAAUAUAAUUAUAUCAAUUAACCACCAUCAUUAACCCUCUUUUAUUAACAUUAAAAGGAAGAAAAAUAUGUUACACAACUUAGUAACUCACCCAACAUAUUUCCUCAAGCUUAUAAAUUAAUCUCCAUUUGCGUGUCUCUUCUAGCAUUUUCUUUGAUUUGUCAACAUUUCGGUUUUGUGCUUCCAAGUAUCUCCUCAAGUAGGCAUCAAUGUCAUACUUCAAACUACGCCCAGAUAAUGGUGCCAAUGCAGCUCUAAGCUCAUUGACUUGCUUUUAUUUUUAUGUAAAAGCAAAUAUUAACCAAAAAGUGAUCACAAUUUAAAGACAGAAUUACACAAAUUUUCACAAAUACUAUUGGUAGGUAGAUCACAUAUUUACUAGUGCAACAUUUCUCAAGAUAAAAAGCAGCGAAGGGAGAUCUUAGUAGACAACACAAAGGUUAUGCCAUAGUUAAAUAUAAAUUCACAAACUAUUUAGACUUUAUUACCUUGGAUUCAUGUUGCAAUGAAUCAUUCUCUUGGUCGUGAUGAGAAUUGCUCCAUCUACUAAACAUCACGUCAGUGUACUGCAUUAGCAUUAUAAGUUGCUACUCAUACUAAUUUGAUCUAUUAAUAGAAAUUAAACAACUUGCAUUGCUUUCAUCUCUGUAGAUUGUUAAGUAUUUUUUAGAUGCUAAAAUCUUCCAAAAGGUGAAGUUUGUGUACCCAAGAAUAAAGACAGCGUGGAGCUCAUGAGAUCAUAUUUUGAUGAGGAAAAUUUGCCAACUGGGUUUGGAAGAAAGGUUGUAUUGCAGUACAACCGUGGAAAAUUCUCCAAACAAAUGAUAUAGGAUAACAUCUGUCACGACCCAAAUUUCAAGCCAUGACUGGCGCAUGGGCCCAAUGGAUGUAGUCCACUAAGCCCAAACAAGCCUAUUAAUUUGACAUGUUCAUCAUUCCGUCAUAAACUGCUAAGUCAUAUAUCAUAACUUAGAAUCAAAAUACUAUUAAGCAUUGCCACUUCAUACUGGCAUACCAAACAAGUGUAUAUACACUGUCUACACAUGUAUCUUAAUAAUUCACAUUAGGUUCGUCUAUACACAACAAAAGGAGACUCGAUGUCCAGCGGAAAGACUCAGACGAAUGUACAGCUACUGAAUGCCGAGACACCUACUAAAAGAUGGAUACAAGUCCACGAGGACACCUCAUCCUAGUUACCGACUGUCUCUUAAUCUGAAAACAUGAAGUUGAAAGCGGUAAGCAUAAACUCAGUGAGUGAACAAGAAAGGAACAAGCAUACCAUAAGGAAUGUUUAUUGAAAUCAUGAUGCACUUAUUUUCUCAAAACAAUGCAAUUUGUUCUAGUUCUUAGUAGAACCCCUCAUGUAAACCCCUCCUGAGUAAAUCACUUAAAAGAUCCAUACUCAACUAUGGUACCAAAGAAUCGAAAAAUAUAGCAAAACCCACAAAUUAGCCAAAAAAGACAAAAAGUUUCUCGCUGCAGUGAACUUUAUUCUCGCUGCAGCGAGAACCAGGUCUGAGGAAGGCCCUCAAACCUGAGAGUUUCUCACUGCGGUGAGAGUGAAAACGUCCAGGAAAAAGUCUCAUUUUCCUUUAAAACAAGCCAUCCUGCUAAAAUAACAAUAGCAACAUGUAACACAUGUAAACUGCCAAAUUUCAACAAAUCAAAUGCUCACAUAUAUGCAUUAACAACCAUAUACCAUAUAUGUAUGUAUAUAUAUAUAUAUAUAUAUAUAUCAAUCAUCAUAUACACCCUCCCAUCAUCAUCAUCUCAUAUGCAACGUCUUAUGCGUACUCCCACUCGCAUAUAGUCAGGUCAGCAACGGCUUAUGUGCACUCUCACUCACACAUAGUUGGGUCAACAACGGCUUAUGUGCACUCCCAUUCACACAUAGCCGGGUCAGCAACGACUUAUGUGCACUCCUACUCGCACAUAGUCGGGUCAGCAACGACUUAUGUGCACUUCUACUCGCACAUAGCUGGGUCCACAUCAACAUGCAAAGAAGCAUCCAAUGCAUAUCAUGCAUUUUAUCAUAUUAUGAUAACACAUAAACUAUUGUAUAACACAUUUUCACAAUAUAAAAUCAUUUUACUAAAAGCUUGUUCCCAAGGUACAUUUUCUAAGACAAGUUGGAUAGAAUCUUUCAUAUUUCCCAAAACAAGUUUGAAAUGCAAGUCCACUCACCGGUAUUCGUUAAGCCUUUAGCCGACUCUUAAUCCCCCUAAUGAUCCAAUUGGGGUGAUGGGGCUUCAUUAGCACCUACUAUCAAAUUAACAUUUCCAUAAUGUCAAUUUACAUACUAUAAACGCUAAAAGUUAUCUUUUAGCUAGCUUUCAAUUGCCAUUUAAAUGGCCAUCCAUUUUCACUUUCCUAUCACUUCAAAGUGAAUUAACAAUCUCAACUACAAAAUAUUCACAAAUCAAAUCUCUAGUCAUUCUCAACACUUAAAACCCAAUACUAGUUUACUACUCACCUUGAUAGCUUUGUAACUUUGAACUUCUUUCCAAAAGCUCUCAAGCUAUUAAUAAAGCUUCCUCUUUCUCUCNNNNNNNNNNNNNNNNNNNNNNNNNNNNNNNNNNNNNNNNNNNNNNNNNNNNNNNNNNNNNNNNNNNNNNNNNNNNNNNNNNNNNNNNNNNNNNNNNNNNNNNNNNNNNNNNNNNNNNNNNNNNNNNNNNNNNNNNNNNNNNNNNNNNNNNNNNNNNNNNNNNNNNNNNNNNNNNNNNNNNNNNNNNNNNNNNNNNNNNNNNNNNNNNNNNNNNNNNNNNNNNNNNNNNNNNNNNNNNNNNNNNNNNNNNNNNNNNNNNNNNNNNNNNNNNNNNNNNNNNNNNNNNNNNNNNNNNNNNNNNNNNNNNNNNNNNNNNNNNNNNNNNNNNNNNNNNNNNNNNNNNNNNNNNNNNNNNNNNNNNNNNNNNNNNNNNNNNNNNNNNNNNNNNNNNNNNNNNNNNNNNNNNNNNNNNNNNNNNNNNNNNNNNNNNNNUUUACCUUUAUUAGCUUAAUCCCUUGAAAUCCCACACUUUUUCUUUAAUUUUCCCGCCUAGGGUUUGUGUUCUUUCCUUUCCUCUUCACUUUAUGCUUUGACCGGCCAUAUGGGUGAGACUAAGAGAGUUUUAAAUAGAUUUUACAAGGAAAUUCUAGAAUAAUCCAAGCUUGACACAUGGCAUGUUUCCAUUGGUCCAUGUGUAAUACUUAUCCAUUAAGCAAUCUCUCUCCAUCACAUAAAAUGUUUCAAUUAUCCACAAUGUAAAAUGUUAAUGGCUUAAAUCCAUGGGCAUGACAAGUGUCAGGUGGUGUAAAAUUCUAAAAAUUUCCAUUUUGUCCUUGGGUGACAAAAUUACCAUUUUGCCCCUAGAUCAUAAAAAUCUUCAAAAAUUUUAUUUCCUUGUCAUUUCACCCAUAUUUUCAUCAUUCAUUUAUGCUUUAUGCCUACUUAAGCCAUAAUAUUGUUUAAAACUUACUUUUAUGGGCUUAUUGAGAAAAUGACGAAAUUAUCCCUUAUUAGGGAUAUCGCGUAUAUUUCUAUCUACGAGUCUAUAAAGGUCAAGGUCUCACAACAUCAAUCCAAGCAAAAUGACAACUUGUCCAUCAUAACCACUGAGGUGGCAAAUUGGGAUUGACAAUAGAGAUAAAUACCAAUGUUUGCAUAUUAAUAAAUGAUGGGGAUUUGGGUAUUUGAAACUUAAAUGCUAAGUAAGAAAGUUGAAACAAAAAAGGGAAUUCCAAGGGGAGUUUAAUUGAUUAACAUAAAAACUUAUCAAUUUUUCAAAAUAGUAAUAUUAAUGCAAUCCACUCAAUCUCAAAAAGGCCCAUCACAACUAUAACCGUACAAAAAAUCAAUUACAAAGGAAAGAAAUUUACAUGUUUAAAAACUCAAAAAGGGGUCUUGCUUCUUGAUCUUCCAAACUCAAGAGAGAAAAAAAGGAAUAGUAGGAUAAUAUAGUAUAGUAUAAGUGUCAUUGACAAAGUCAAUAACUUUCUAUAUCUUCCAAACACAUGCCCAUGAGAAUGUGAUCCCAAAGAAACACAAAAGAAAAAAUUUAUGUAAGUCACUAAUAUCAUUGUCAUUCGAUCUUUUUAAUCACUUAGAAGCAAAACUUCGAAGGACCAUUUUCUCUGAAAACCUCUCAUUUAGGUGAAGAGAACCCAAAUUGGUUCUUUCGUAAAAAGGUAUUGCCCAUUAUUCUUUACAAUGCAAAGUGUGUUUCUUAUUUUUUUUUUUAAAUUGAUUUCGUCAACUAUCAUUUUGAAGAAAAAAAAAACUCUAUUUUGUUUCUCUAUUUCUAAUUCCUGUUGAGUUUUAUGGGAUAUGUUACUUAAAUUUUAGAUAAAUGAAAAAAAAAAUAAGUGCUUUCUGUGAGACCUUGACCUUUAUAGACUCAUAGAUAGAAGUACACGCGAAAUCCCUGAUUAGGGGUAAUUUCGUCAUUUCCUUAGUAAACCCCUAAAAGUAAGAUUUUAAACAAUAUUAUGGCCUAAGUAGGCCUAAGGCAUAAAUGAAUGAUGAAAAUAUGGGUAAAAUGGCAAGGAAACAAAAUUUUUGAUGAUUUUCAUGAUAGGGCCAAAAUGGUCAUUUUUCACCUCGAGUUAGAAUUUUUUAAGUUUUCAUGAACCCGAGCAUUUCUAGACUAUUAUGGAUCUUGUCCCAAUGUCAAAAGAGUAAAAGGAUUGCAUAAAGGAUUGGAAGAGAACAAGCUAAUUUGUGGAAAGGCAUUUUCGUAAUUUAAGGGAAGUGGAUAAGCAUGGGCUAUAAAUAUCUUGUUCUUCCAGCAGCUUCUUCAUUCUCUAGCAGCUUUUCUCCUUCUGCUUCCUCUCAUCUCACGUUGCUUUCAUCCCCCAUGAAAGCUUGAUAAGAAAGCUCCACAAUCUUCCUUAAAAUAGCUCCACUUUUCAUGCCUUGGUGUAAUCCUUUCAUAAACCUUUGUGCUCUUCCACUCUCUCACUUUAAAACCCUUGAAAAAAUCUUAUUUCCACACACUCUCUCACUAGUUAGGUGUUUUAGAGAGAGAAAGAGGAAGCUUCAAAAAUAGCUUGAAAGUUUUGGAAAGAAUUUCAAAUACAAGCUACCAAGGUUCCAAAGAAGCCCCAUCACCCCAUUUGGACAAUUAGAGAAGUAGAGUCGACUAAAGGUUCAACAAGAUACCGGUGAGUGAACUUGCAUUUCAAAAUUUGUUUUGGGAAUGUAAACUUAUUUGCACAAUAUACUUGAAUGAUUUUAUCCAACUUUCCUUAAAAACAAGUGCCUUAAGAGCAAGCCUUUGAUAAAUUGAUUUUAUGUUGUGACAUGCGAUUGUUAUGAAUUCGUGCACUACUACAUUAUGUUGGUAUAUAUAUAGAUAUAUAUAUAUAUAUAUAUAUAUAUAUAUAUGUUGUGUNAUUAUGUUGGUAUAUAUAUAGAUAUAUAUAUAUAUAUAUAUAUAUAUAUAUAUGUUGUGCAUGAUGGUUGAUAUUUUGUGAUGAUUAUAACUGUGUGUGUGCACGAUGUGGGGGGAUGCACAUGCCAGUAAUGAUGGUGGUGAGGGAGAUGGACGAUGAUAGUGCCCAUGUGCAUGAUGUGAGGGGAUGUACACGAUGACAUUGAUUGUGCACGAUGUGGGGGAUGCACAUGAGCUGGAUGUGAUGAUAGUGGUAUUGGUAUUUAUCCAUGUAUGUAUAUGUAUAUAUGUUUAGAGAAUGAAAACUCGUGUAUAUGGUUUAUGGUUGAAAUGCAUAUGAAUUUGGCAUGCUGAACUUUGGAAACCUUUAUGUGUUUUAUGUUGAUUUUGUCAUUUCAGAAGGAUGGCUUUUUUUCUUGAAAGGAAGGAAACUUUUUUCUCACUGCUCUGUUUCUCGUUGCAGCAAGAAACUCUCGGGUUGGAAGGGUAAGGUUGGCUGAAAAUCUCACUGUAGCGAGAAUGUUACUGUAGCUUCUCGCUGUAGUGAGAAACUUUCUGUUUUGUGACAAAAAAUUUUGCUACAGCGAGAUUCAAUCUCGCUGCAGCGAAAAACUUUAUGUUUUGCUCCUUAUUUGGUUUGGUUGCUACCCUAUUUUCUAUUUCUUUAAUACCAUAAUUGAGCAUGGACCAACAUUAAGGAAUAAAUGAAUUAAGUUUAAAAUGAGGAGGUUUGGUGAGAAACCCUCGGCUAGUUGAUAAUUUAAGUCAAGUGUUGCUGUAGCAAAAAUUCAUUCUUGCUGCAGCGAGGAUCCGUCGUUUAUUUGACUUGAUUCGCAUGAAUGCUAUUAAAGUUUUCACUUUCCAAAUCCUUUGUUGAGCAUGGACCCUUUUCAUAAAGUGAUUUACUCAUGUGGGGUUUACAUAAGGGGUUUUAAUAAGAACUAAAACAAAUUGCAUUGUUUUGAAAACUAAAUGCAUCAUGAUUUCGUUAAACAUUCCUUAAUGUUUGCUUGUUCCCUUCUUGUUCACUCACUGGGUUUAUACUCACCGUUUUCAACUUCAUGUUUUCAGAUUAGGAGGUAGUUAGUAAUUAGGUCAGGGUGACCUCGAAGAUUCGACUAUUGGUAGGUGUCUCAGCAUUCAGUAGCUGUACAUUUACCCCGAGUCUCUUGUUGGAAAUCGAGUCUUCUUUUUGAGAUGUAUAGACAACCCUGAUGUAAAUUAUUAAGAUACAUGUUAUAGACAAUUUAUAUAUAUAUACUUGAUUGAUAUGCCACUAUGAGUUGGCAAUGUUUAGUAUUAUUUUGAUUCAAAGUUAUGAAAUAUGACUUUAGUAAUUUUGAUGGAGUAAUGAGCAGAUCAUGUAAAUAGGCUUGCUUGGGCUCAGUGGGCUAUGUCCAUUGGGCCAAUGCAUCGGUCAUGGCCCGGAAUUUGGGUCGUGACACUUUCUUUUGCUAAGUUUUUCAUCAGAAUCCCUGGUGGCACACUUUAAAUUUCUAUCCAAGAGUAACUAUUCAAAAAAAGUUCAAAUUAGAAAGGCAAUAGAAAAAACACCUAUCUUCCCUUUUUCAUGCUCUAAGACAACGUUUCUCUACAACAAAGAAAAGAACUGAAACUAUCUUUUUACAUGAAACUCUAAAUUGUUGCAAAAGAUUCACAUUGAAACUGAAAUAAUUGGACAAAGUCAAUCCAAGCAAAAUUACAACUUGCCCAUCAUAAGAAAUGCUUGAUGGGAAAAUCAGUCAAUUAAAAAGCAAAAAAUUGACAAAAAAAAAAAACCAAGAACUAAAACACAAAUAUUAAGAUAAUCUUUUACCUUGACUAUUCAUUCAAACUACAUAAGGGAGACAUAGAUAGAGGAAAGACAAGUGGCAGUGUGGCGUCAAAAUAAAGAGUGGGAAGAGAGAGAAAAGAGGUAUUGGCGGAGGAGAGAGAGUCUAACGACGGUUGGGAGGCUAAUCGUCAAAAGUAAAGAUGCCAAAAAUAAUAAAAUGAGAAUAAGAAAAUGGGAUAGCAAAAACCAAGGCUAAGAGAGGAACCGACUCAGUCUGGGAAAAAAGGAAAUGCCAAAAAAACCAUUCAAAUGCCAAAAACACUGCCAUUUUGGCAUAAGAUGUAAAAAAAAAUUCAAUUGAGAAUGACAAGUGUCAAGCAAUUGACCCAAUCAAUUAUCUUACUUUUAUAUAUAUUAUAGAUAUAUUGGCUAGAGACUUUAUUGGUGUAGAAAUAUAUAUUAUAGAUAUGACAAGUGUCAAGCAAUUGACCCAAUUAAUUAUCUUACUUUUAUAUAUAUUAUAGAUAUGUUGGCUAGAGACUUUAUUGGUGUAGAAAUACAAUUUUGUAACCUUGUCUAAUGGUGUGACCAAUUUAAGUAGGAUUGUUCAAUAAUAAAAUUUCUUUUAUAAAUUAUCCUCCAAAUCAUGAGGGAUUAAGGAUAUUAUAAAUUUUUAUCUCAAGUUUACAAGAAUUUCUUUAAACCCACCUUUUUUCCCUAUAAAGCAAGAAAGGUUUUUUUAUUUAGUUUCCUUCUUUCUUUUCAAGUAAAGGCAAAGCCAUUAUUUCAACCUUAGAGUCGAGUUAGCACUUAAGCAUUUGACUCUUUAGUUGGAGUAUGAUCCACUUGCUUAGAGAGUAAGGUUCGAAUCCCUCUUCCUUCAAUUAAAAAAACCAAAACCUUACAGUCGAGUUAAAAAUUGUUGGGAAACCAAGCAAACAAGAGGUCAUUCAUGCAACAAAAUUUAAAUUUUUUUCUUAAAAACAAGAAUAGUUUUGAAUUGUUUAACAUAUAUUACCUAAAUUACAAGGAAUAAGACAAGUAUACCUUUAAAAUCUUAUAAGUCGGAAUCAACAAGGUUCUAAACCCUUGAAUGUUGGAAUCUCCAAGAACCAUAAUUAGGGUUGUAACAAAUCACAAGUUGUCCAAGUAUUCAACCUGCAAUGGUAAUUUUAUUGAAAAAAGGCAUGCAUUCAUAAUACAUAUGUAGUGAAAAUUAAAAUUUUUUUUCCUUUAAUAAGAUCAUUCUUUGGUUUAUUUAAUAUAAAAGAAGUAACUAGAGGAGAUGGAUUAUUAUACCUUUAAAACUUUGGAGUCAAAAUGAAAAGGUUAUCAAACCUUAAAUCAAUUUCCUCUUGCAGACCAAGCUUGCAUUGUAAUAAAUCACAAGCUGUCCAAACAUUUAGCAUCUAACGAAGACCUACACAAAUGUCAAUUGUGAACAACUCCAUAAAAAGGUUAAAGCUACUUAUGCUUUCUAAGGUCUAGCACUAACUAAAGAAGGCACUCUUGGUUUCUCAUUUCUCUAAGGGAAUCCCAAAAACGGCUAAAAACCAAAGGAGGAAGAAUACAAAAUGAUACCUAGAGUUUUGAAGCUGAAAACUAAUUCAUAAGGUUUCCUAUAUAGGACUAUUGGUACCAAGGUCAAGGUUAUAAAAGGCUAUUGAUUUCUCUCCUUUCUUAUCUUCCUUAUCUCUCAAGGUUUGGAUGUAUUACCUUUAAUUUGUAGCAUAAGCAUUGUAUUUAUAGACAAUUGUAAUCCAAAACGGUUUAACAUAACUUUUAUGUCAAUUACCAAAAUUGCCUAUUGUUUAUUGAACCAUUCAAUUAAACCUUUGAAGCUCCAAACAUUUUUCAAUUAAAUCCAACUUAAUUUCUCCACCUUUACAUUCUCAAUUGUCACUCUAUGAUGUGUGUGACCUAUAAGGUUCUUAACAUGUUGGUAAUAGAUACAUAAUAUAAUCCUAAGCAAAAUAGAAUUAUAUGGAUCAAUGCCCUUUGCGUUCAUCAUUAAUUCCAAAUUGAUUAUUUCAUAUUCAUAAGUCAAAAUUUAAAUCUAGCCAUAUAUCAUGACUAUCCAAAUAUUAAAAAGAGUUAGAGUGGUUUGACUCAUCCCUUUAAUGCAUAAUCUUACCAUUUAAUUAAUAUCAUUUCGUCAUUCAAUAUCUUGACAAGUUAGAGCAUGGUAUAGUGUUUACUCUUUUUUGUCGUAUUAACACUUGAAGCAAGUAAUCAACUUAUUCUUAUGAGAAUCGAAAAAAUCUUUUGCCAAUUACUCAUCAUGCCUUGACUAAGGGUUUCCCUGAGCCAUUACAUGUCAAGAUACGAUAGGAUAUUCCCCUUAGUUUCACUUAAGGUGAUGAAUCUUGUAUUGUUCAUAGAUUUACCUUUAUAUGUUUCAUGCUUUUGGAAAAAGCCAUACAAACCAUUUACAUACACAACAAAAAAUUAAAAACUUUAUCCUUAAGCAAGAUCAUAUUUGAUUGUUUAAUGUAGAUUACCCUAAUCCCUUUGUGCAUUUGAUGUUGAAAUCAAGAGACCUUGAACUCCUAGGUAUCAAAUACCAUCUCAUCAAGCGUAGGUUGUCACAAACCUCAAGUUGUACAAGUGUCCAACCUCUAACGAUGAUCCACACUAAUUCCAAGCUUAAUAACAUCAAAUGUGUUGAGGUUUGCUUAUGCUAGUUAGCCUAAUGCCUGUAAGGUACAUAAGGUUUCCUCACUUCCCAAGUGAAUCCUGAAACAACCAACAAGGAAAAGAGGAAGAGAAGUUAACUUUAAGAAAGGCACAUAAAAAUCAAUUUCCAAGUAUAUGCAACUUGUUUGCUAAUAUGCAAGGAUUUAUAGGCUUGUGGACUUGCAAGAUUUGCUCUCUAAGGUUUUCAAUUCUUCUGAUAUUCUCUCAAGUCAUAAAUGUGAUUGUCCUGCCUAUCAAGUGUACAUAAAGUAGUAUUUAUAAGCAACUUAACCUAACAUAACAAUUAUAUUAAUUACAAAAUUCCCUAAAAUAAAUUGAACCCUUUAAAAGAAUCCUUUAAAGUUCAAUUUUUUUUUUUGGAAUUAAGUCCAACUUAAUUAGCCCAUUUUACAUGCAAUCUUGUCACCUUUUGUGUGUGUGACCCAUUAGAUUCUUAUAUGAAUAAAACUAUAAUCCAAAGCCAAUUAAGAUAAAAUGAAUCAAACAAUUUGCAUUCAUCAUUAAUUCCAACAUUGAUUAGCUUAUAUUUAUAUUUCAAGAUUGACAUAAAGCAAUGUGUCAUGACUACCUAAAUAUCAAGAAAAGUAAAAAAUGUUUUACUUAACUCUUCUUUGCCCAAUCUAUCAGUGAAUUCAAGUUUUCAUCAUCCAUAAUCCUAAUAAGACUCAGAGUAUAGUGUACUAUAUACCCUAUAUUUGUCUUUAUCAUUUUAGUUCUUGAAGUUUUUUUUAACUCCUUAAUGAAAUUAAAAAAAUACAUUUUCUGAAUCUUCAUUCUACCUUAGCCAUGGAUUUCCUUGAGUUAAGACAUGUCAAAAAACAAUAGAAAUCUUUCUUAGGAUCACUUAGGGUAAUGUAUCCAUUAUUGAUCAUUCAUUCAUCUUUAUGUCCUUCAUGCUAUACCCAAUGUAUAUCCCAUUAUACAUCUUUAGCUAGGACUACCUAAAGUAGUAUUGAUAACUCUAUGAUAUAGAGUUAUUUGGACUUAAUAUUGAUAAUAAUUUAGCUUAGUUCUUGUAGUAAUGCAUAAAAAUUAUUGAGUUUUAUUUAAUUAUUUUAAAUUAGUUAAUUAGGUGAGUCAAUCUAAUUUUAGUUAAAUUUAUGCUUAAAUUCGUGUCUAUGUGCCUAAGAUAUGUGAUUAUUGGUUAAUUUGCUGAUUUGUAAGUGUGCAAUUAAAAUGGUGAAAAGUUGUCAAGUUAGGUGUUCAUGAGAUGUACAUCUUCAUUGCACAUGUCUCGGUAUUUUAAUUAUAACUUUUUCUACAAAACUCUAAAUGAGAUGAUUCCUAGACCAUUGGAACGAUAAGAGAAAAAUAUACAACUUUCAUGUUUUUUACUUUUCCCAGUUAUGAUUGGAAGGUGGUUUAAAUCUUUGUCAAAGUUGAAAGAUUGUAUUAGGAGAGUGGAAGUCAAGAUAGAACAAUGAGAGCUGCGGCUCUGGAUGAUGAUGGCCACUAUGCUGAAAAGGACAAGGAAUGUGGAGACCAACAUAGAGAAGUGAGGGUCGCAGCUCUAGGGAAUAAGAGUUGCGGCGCUUGAAGAAAAUACUAUAAAAUCCUUUUUUGAUUAGACUUCUUUUUUUUACAUGAACUUAUACCCUAUUUAAGCAACCUUUUAGAAGACUUCCAAAGGAAUGAAACACCAGAUUUAAAGCUGAGAUUUAUCCACAAAAAAUCAUUGAAAAAAGUCUCAUUGGAGCUGAGAAGAAAUUAAAAGAUUCAAGAAGAUCGAGGAGAUAAAACCUUGCACUAUUGGAAUUUUUUAUCUUUUUGUUAUUCUUAUAUUUACUUAGUUUGGUUUUUGUAAAGCCUGACCUUAUAAAAUACUUGUCAUGACAUACAUGUGAUGGAUAGCAUGUUUGCAUACUAGAAAAGUCCUGAAGAAUUUACAAAAUGCGGUAUUAUACCUAGAGGUACAACAAAGUUAAUUUAAGCCUCGAACUAGAUCAAAUAGAGAUUUUAGAGUGAAAUCAAAAUUUUAAAGUCCCAAAAUGACUUAGAAUGGUGAUUCGGAGUUCGAGAACCAAUUUGGAGUCAAAUUGAAAAUUUCACUAUCUAGGGGUAAAAUGGUAAUUUUGCCACUCGAGGACAAAAUGGGAAUUUUUUUGAAAGAUUUUGAUCAUAUUUGACUUAUUGGAGUAUGAUUUGAGGUUGAGAAGUGAAAAAUUUGUAAUCUCGAUAUUUUUCAGAGCAUAGGGGUAAAAUGGUAAUUUUGUCACCCUAAGGGCAAAAUUGUAAUUUUACACACCCAACACUUGUCCAGCAUAUGGAAUGUACCUAAUUUUAUCAUGGAUAAUUGAGGAAAUUUAAGUGGUGAAGAGAGAAAGCUUAAUAGUUAAGAAUUAAAAAUGGACCAAUGAAAUGGUGACACAUGGCAUAUUUAUAACCAUUAAAUAUUUGGCUUAUAAAUUAACACAAAUCAGCCCAUUUUCUCUUCAUAUGGCCGGCCAAACCAAGAGCAAAGGAAAAACAAAGGGAGAAAAGAAAAACAAGAACCCUAGGUUGGAAAAUUCAAAGAAAAAUUGGUGGAUUUCAAGGAAUCAAGCAAUUAAAGGUAAAAUUUCUUGAUUUUGACUUGUGAUCUACCUUUUCCAUGCAUUUCUCCUUAUUUUUCAUGGUUAGAUUUCAUGUUUUCAUUAUGAAUUCAUGGCUGAUCAAAAUGGGUAUGGAGAGAGAAAAAUGUUGGAUUGAUUUGAUUUUAAGUUAUGUUAGUGUUUUUAGUUAGUUUAGCAUAUUUAGAAACAAAACAACAAGAAAAGAAUUCAUUUUCCCCCAUCACCAUCAUUGGCCGAAUUUUCUAAGGAGGAUAUUGUGGCUGAAAUUGAUGAUAUUUCAUGAUAUUUUGGUGAUAUUUGAUGUUUGGUGAGGCUAGAAAUUAAAUGAGAAAUUUUGGUGUGAAAAUCUGAAUAUUUACCUAAUGUAUAGACAUGAGUGAUUAUUGAUUCGGGACUAUAAAUUGAAUCUCAUUCACAGUCACUAAGGUAAUUUAGGUAUAAUUGGAGUGUAGAAAGUGAAAGAAAUUGAUUUGGAGUUAAAUUGGAGGUUUUAGCCAAUUACACCAAGAAUAGUGCGAAUUAGGUUGAAUACCGUAUUUAAACGGCUAUUCGAACAUUUUGCAUCACAUUUCGUGCAUUCAUAUAGAUUUAUAGAGCCUGAAAUAGUUUAUGAUAAAUUGAUACAAUUUAUUGAAAUUCGUGUCACGUAUGAUGUAUAGGUGGUGAGCCCUCUAACAAAGGUAAAGAGAUUGUGCCCGAAGAUCGAGAAUAGGAGUAUAUCGAACUCCUAGUACUGUGAGUAACCUUACCAUCAUUUUAAUUAUCUAAAGUAUGUUUUUAAUCGAUUUUGGUGAAAUUUUAUGAAAAUGAGUUUAAAUGGUAAAUCUUUGUGUUUUACAAACAAAAUGUAUUUACAUGAAAGGAUUUUAUAAAUUGUCUUGAAAUUGAAUAAUGAUUUUGAAAAAUAGAGUAAUUGGAGACCACUUGUUAUGUUGUAAAAUUUAUUAUUUGAAUUGAAUGGCUUAUGACAAUAUUUGCAUGAAUGGCUAAAUUGAUAUUUGUGUUGAAAUAUAUGAAAUGUGUAUUUAGCCUUGAAAGGUUGUGAAUUACAAUAAUUGUCAUAUCAUGUUAUUGAAUUUUAUUGAUUGGUGGGAUAAUUAUUAGCUUACUGCAGUAGACGGAUUUUCGUGGACUAGCCUAUUAGAGGGGUACGGUAAACCCUGUUAUAUUUUAUCUUGGUUUGAGAGGUGAGUCAAGUAACUCCCGAGGUAUAACUUUUAGAGUUCACUUCACGUCAAACCACCAUGUGAGGGAGAACUCGGCCAAUGCCAAGGAACGACUAUAUUUUUAAAAUAAAAACAUGUUAAUGCGUACGUAACUUUUUAAUAGCCUUGGCCAACUCAGUUUGGGAUAGCCCUCGGCCAAGGUAUCCCUGAUAACUGAGUAUGAGAAUAAUUUUGGUACGAGCCAUGCUUUUAAGAAAUUCAUAAGCCAUACUAAUUACUUGAUUUAAAUAAAUCGAUUUCAUUUGGUUGAAAUAAGUUGAAAGGUGAUAAAUUACAGUUUGAUGAAAUGUUUUAAUAGUCUCAUUUUACUCGACUUUAGAUAUUUUGAAUGAUGUUUGUUUACUCACUAGGAUUUCAUAAUCUCACCACCCUUAUUUCCACCCAGUUCAUGCUCAGAAUAGAUUGUAGAUAAUUGAUAUCGGUGAGGACUACAGUUGGACUUGCCACAUCCAAAAACUGCAGGUUCAUUUUUUUUAUACUUUUAAUCAUUCAUGGGCCCAUGUGUCACUGUAAAUUAAAUUUUAUACUUUGGUUAUCUAUAUUACAACAUGUAUGAAUUUAUUUUGCUUUUACGCUGUAAAAAUUAUUUACAGAGUAUUCUAAAAAUAUUGUUUUAUUAGAAAAUUGAAUAUUUUAUUCUAAUAGUCAUAAUUUCAUUUUAAAUGAAUGUUUUAGACAUCCAAAAUUAUUUUUGAUUAUGAAAUAUGUGUUUUCCACUUAUAUACUACAUUUUUAAAUGAUUUUGAGAUUUUUGGGAAAAAUGACCAAAAUACCUCUAUGAGACAAAAAUUAUUAUUUUAUUUGUUUUAAGUUGAAAACAGCUUAAAAUCUUUUAGAAAACGAUAUUUAGCAACGGUUACUCACAGGGGAAAUAAGAAGUUGAUAUUAAAGCCUUACGGGGUUACAGUUGACAUUCUGGGUAAUGAGUGUCGAUCGGGACGACGUGGCGGUUGUCACGGGCUCGAAGGGAGUACCGAGUCGUGAUAGUUUUAAUGUUUAAACUUUUUUUGAUGAUGAUUUGGGAUAUUAUGGAGAAGUAAUUUAGUUAUCUAAGAUUAUGAUUGAAAUCAAUACAUAGUCUGAAUUAUUUAUCUCUCUUUUACUUAUGUUUAAUGAUUUUAAGUUGUUUAUUCUAUCAUGUUCUUAAUCCUUCUAAUUGUUUGAUCAACAAUUAGAUUGAUCUGGAAACCUAAGUUAAGCCUUGACAAAAAAGAUUUAGGGUAGACCUUGAAUAGAAUAGCGUAUGAUCAAAUGCACUUAGUUGAUUAGGUGGUUUGAUUUGCAUAUAAGGUAGACAUAUAACUAUAACUCAUACGUAGCUAGGAUUAGAGCACGAACUUAAUGAAUCUUCUUCUAUUUAAUUUGCAUAUAUAUAUAAUAAGCUACUUGCAAGAGAUAUUUUUAUAAGAAACUCGACAGAGACUUGUAAAUAAUUUAAGACUCUAAGUUAGCAACUUAAUCCAUUAAACUAAGUUAAGAGAAAGAGAUAAUAAUCAGAUGAAGCAUUGAAAGAUAUCAUAAUCUUAGAUCUGGUAGUUAAUUGAAUUUUCUAAACAAAUUUGUUGAUUAAUUGUAAAUUAGUUUAGUUUUAAGUUUGUUAGAUUUAAUUUUGCUUUUUAAUAAUUUAAUUUGUAUUGUUUGGAUAAAAUUAGGUUGUGUUAAUUUUAGUAAUUAACAGUAAGAAUUAAUUCAAUUUUCUGUAGAAUCGACACUCUACUUAUUAUUAUAUUGUCUGUUUGAUAUGUAUACUUGCGUGGGUAGAAAAUUAAACAAGUUUUUAGCGUCGUUACUAGAAAAUUGAUUUUUAAUUCUUUCUUGUUAAUAUUAAUACCAAGCAUUCCUAAUCUUACUUCAAACUUUUUCUUUUAAUUUUCAGGUACUAUUGGUCAUUAUAUGUGAAGCACCAGAAAUUUGGAAAUUGUUCGUUUUGAUUCAAAAAUUGAAAAAACUUUUCAAAGACUUUAGAGGAAAAAGCAACAAGUUUCUACUCCAAGGAAAACAAUGGCUGAUUAACAAAGGGAAAAGACCAAGUCUUUGAGGGAAUAUGUUGUCCCACUGGUACAAGGUCUCCACUCUAGUAUCCAAAGACCUCCUAUUCAAGCCAACAACUUUGAAAUUAAACUAGCCAUUAUUCAGAUGAUUCAGACUUUUGUUUAUUUUAGGGGUUGGCCUAAUGAUGAUCUUAAUGCUCAUAUUGUGAAUUUCUUAAAAAUUUGCGACACAUUCAAGGCUAAUGGUGUUUCUAAUAAUGCCAUAAGAUUGAGGUUUUUCUUUUUCUUAAUGAGAGAAAUAGCAAAGAGCUGGUUAAAUUCGCUUCUUACUAGUUCCAUUAAUACUUGAGAUAAUUUGGCUUAGAAAUUCUUAGCAAAAUUCUUUCCACUUGCCAAGAUAGCAAAGAUGUGGAAUGAUAUCACCUCUUUUAUGCAGUUUGAUUCUGAAUCACUAUAUGAGUUUUGGGAGAGGUACAAGGAUUUGUUAAAAAGUUGUCCUUACCAUGGGUUACCUAAGUGGCUGUAAGUUUAGACUUUUUAUAAUGGGUUGUUAAGACCUAUUAGAACCACCAUUGAUGCUAUAGCUAGAGGUGCACCUAUGGGUAAGUCCAUUGAUGAGGCUUAUGACUUGCUUGAGAAAAUGACUUCUAAUAACUACUAGUGGCCAUCAGAAAGAUUAGGUGUAAGAAAAGUUGCUGGAGUUCAUGAGCUUGAAGCAAUUAAUGCUUUGACUUCAUAAUUGGCUUCUCUUAUAAAGAAAAUUGAUAAAUUGAGUUAAUGUUGUUCAGAGCCGCUUUGUGACUUGUGAACUUUGUGGAGAAGGUUAUUCCAAUGAUAAUUGCCUUACCUAUUCUAAAUUUUGUCAGUUUGUUGGAAAUAAGCAACAAAACAACAAUCCCUAUCCCAACACUUAUAAUCUCGGUUGGAAGAAUAAUCCUAACUUCUCAUAGAGCAACAACCAAUGAUCUUCAUUAACAUCUAAGCUAAACUUGCCACUUGGAUUUCCACCUAGAGCUCCUAUGCUAGAGAAAAAGCCUACAAUGAAGGAGAUGUUCAUGCAAUUCAUGGCAAAGACAGAUGCCUACAUGAUAAAGAAUAACGCCUUGAUGACAAAGACUGAUGCCUACAUGACAAAGAAUAAUGACAUCAUUUAAAGUCAACUAGCAUCAAUGAAAAAUUUUGAGAUACAAGGGGCCAACUUGCUAGUGCUAUCAAUAAUAAACCUCAAGGUACCUUACCAAGUGACACAAAGCCCAACUUAAGAAGAGAAGGUAAAAAACAUUGUCAAGUAAUUGCUCUCUAAAGUGGAAAAAAGAUAAAUAAAGAAGUAAGUGGUAAGGAUUUAAGUUCUGAAAUUUCAAUUCAAUUUGAUGAAAAAGAAAUUGAAAAAUAUGCUAAAAAAUAAAUUGUGGUUGAAAAAUCUAUUGAAAAGUCAAAAAAAGAAAAAUCACAAUUAAAAACUACUCCCACGCCUCCACCACAUUUUCCUUAAAAAUUUUAAAAAAAAAAACUUGAGAAACAAUUUUAGAGAUUUCUUAUUGUGUUUAAAAAGUUGCAUAUUAAUAUUCCUUUUGUCAAAGCUAUGGAGCAAAUGCCAAGAUAUGUUGAAUUCAUGAAAGAUAUCCUAUUUAUAAAGAAGAAAUUGGGUGAGUUCGAAAAUGUAGCACUUACUGAGGAGUGUAGUGCCAUUAUUCAGAAUAAACUUCCUUCAAAACUUAAAAAUUCAAGUAGUUUUACUAUUCCUCACACUAUUGGUACUCUUUGUUUUGCUAUAACUUUAUGUGAUUUGGGUGUAAGUAUAAAUUUGAUAUUACUGUCCAUUUAUAAAAAAUUGGGCUUGGAAGAGAUUAAGCCAACUUUUGUGACUUUACAGCUUGUUGAUCGAUCCCUCUCCUAUCCUUGUGGCAUUAUGGAAGAUGUUUUGGUGAAAAUUGGUAAGCUAGUUUUCCAGUAGAUUUUAUUAUACUUGACAUGGAAGAAGAUUAUGAAAUAUUGAUCAUCCUUGGGAGACCAUUCUUGAGAACUGUCAGAGCUUUAAUUGAUGUGGAAAAAUGUGAGCUUACCUUAAAGGUUGAAGAUCAAAAGGUAACAUUCAAUAUUUUAGAGCUUUAAAAUUUUUCAUUGAACAUGGUGAGUGUUUCUCAAUUAAUGUGGUAGAUAGCAUUACUAAUAAUGUGUUUAUUGAGAAUUAUUCUAAUGAUCCACUUGAAGCAUGUAAUAAAGAUUAUAUUAUCUUAAUUAAGUUUAUUGGUCAAAUUUUAAAAAUAUGGCCACCUAAUUAGAUUAGGCAAAUUUAAUUAAGGAAAGUUUUACUAAUUUGUUGGAGAUUCUAGUAAAAUUAGUAAUCUAAAAUUAGUAAGAAUAUAAACACAAAAUUAUAAAAUGGAUAAAACUAAUUCCUAAAAAUGUUUAGGACUCAUGAUCAAAUUUAGAAAGUUUCUUAAUUUGAUUAGGACCAAAUUUGGAAAGUUUCCUAAACUGUUAGGACAAAUUUGGUAAGUUUCUUAAAAUGUUUAAGGCGUAUAAAAUGAUCAUAAAUCCUUUUUAAAAUGUUUAGGAUGGAUUUCUAAAUUAGUGAAGUUUCCUAAAUCGUUUGAGAUUUUAAUUAAAAAAGUUGAAUUAAAAUGAACGUACUAUUCUAAAAUAAAUUCAAAUGAGAUUUGAAUUGGCUAAAGUUAUUAAUUAGAUUACUCUCUUUAGUGAGUGAUUUCAAAUAUGUGUUUUCCAAAUCAUCUUUUAUAUUAGAGGACAUCAAAUUGUUUAAACUUUUAUCUUCAAAUGUUGAAUGAUAAUUUUUGAAUGAAAUGCAAGAUCAUCAUCAUAAAGAACAUGUCUACUUUUACAUGUUCAUAAUUAGAUUACGGAUGUAUGAGGAUGGUUAUGGACUAUAGACCCAAUGUGAUUGUGGAUGUUUGGUUAAAUUGCUAUUUAUGGUUAAAUUGCUAUCUUUUAUUCUCUAGAUUUGUAAAAUUCUCUCAUCAUCUUACUCUCCUUGAAUAUAAAAUAAGGUUUCUAAAUUCUCUUAUAAUUUGAAAAUAGGAUUAGAUUAGGAAAAGAAUUUUGUAAUCCAAAGAUGGAGAUCUAAAGCACCAUGAAGAUUAAAGGAGGAUGCAAGCUAAGGCUUAUAAUGCAUAAUGUAUUUUAUCACUUUGGAUUUGACCAACAAGUUUCCUUUGGUGACUAAAGGAAACUAGAGUAGAAAAGUUCACAAUCAUCUUAGUAGAAUAGCAUAUGAUAGAUUUACUUUAUGCGAUAAAUUAAAUGCUAUACAUGUUAAAUAAAUGAAACCCGAAAAGAAAUAAUAAAAUCCCUCAUGAAAUAUUGAGUCACAUGCCACGUAUGAUCAAGAUGCUUUACACCUUCAUAGAAAAAAUUAGAGUUCUUCAUAUCAGAGACUUGUUGAGUAAACUCCAGGUCAAACAUUAUUAAGAAUAUGUUUAUACUAUGAAAGGUGGGUCUUACUUAACUAGUUUUAUAAAAUCUGAAUGCUUAGAAACUUGAUUAUUAUGAAACUAGAGGCAAUGACUAGGCGAAACAUUUACGAUAUGUUUUGGCAAAGAGUUGCCACCACCUAAUUGAAUCUAUGAGUCACAUAAGUGAUGUGAUCAAUAAGCUAAAUUAUCCACCUAACUAGGCUUAUCAUGGCUUGUUGGGCAAACUUAAGGUCAUGGUAAGUUGAACGGGGUUCUAGCCCAUUAGAAAGAUUCUAGUAAAGACUUUUUGAAAUGACUUUGAAGGUUAUCAUUUUAAAUAAAAUAGUGGGAGAGCUAUUUAAAAUAUUAAAACCUUAUUUUAAAUAGUCCAUGCAUAAUAUUUACAAAUCAUUUAUUUAUUAAGGCUUACUUAUAUACAUUGCUAUGGCUAAAAACCUAUCACUCCAGAGCAUCUUGGAUGCAAAGCAAACCCACUAGACCAAACCUAAUGGAAUGUUACUAAGAUUGAAGAAUUGCUCUCAAGAAAAAGGUUGUUUAUCUGUAGUAAGCUUUGCCAUAAACCCUUGUUGAGGUCAAUGGAAAUAAAGCAUGGAAUGCUCAUUAAACUCAUUAAGCCACAUAUAUGAUAUUGGCUACUAUGACUCCAAAGCUUCAAAAGCAACAUAAGAACAUGUAUGCUAAAUGUAUGACUUUGCAAGCAAAAAAAUUGUUUUAUAAAAAAGGUCAUUCCAAAUAAAAUCAUAUGAACUAUAUAGUAUGAGAUAAUAUCGAAAUUGUUUUUAUGUGGAAAAAAAAGAUAAUUUUGUUAGAACUAUGAUUUAAGGUUGCUAUGCUUUGCAGUGAAGUUAGAGUAACGAGAUUUUGUUAUGAGUAAUGAACUAAUUUUCGAUUUAGUUAUAUAGUCUCUACCAAAUCUAUUCAUAGUUAAAAAUGAAUUUCCAUUUGAUGGAACUUUCAUUACCUUAAUUAUUGAAUACGAAAGACAAUUACAAUAAGGACACAAGCUUGGGAAGUGUUCUCAAGUAUCUUUAUGGUAAAGAUGGACAAAUAAGGAACUAAAGUUGUUUCCUUGACAAAGUUAAACAAGAAAAAACUUAUAGAAAUUUUGCUUUGACCAAGUUCAUGAUUGAGCCAUGAGUUGCUAGUAUUGUACCAACAUCAUAAGUAUUUAAUAUUAGAUGUGGGUUACAUUUAAGUAAUGACUAAAGUGUUAAACAAUAGUAGUAAAUCACUGUUUAAUAUAAAUGUCAAGAAAAACUUAUAAUCUCAUAUGAUCUCGAUUAUAGCAUUGGAUUCUUAGUCAUUAAAGUAAGAAUUGAAGUAUGAAGAUAAUUAGAUCCUUUUGAUUUGGUAUCACUAGGAGGUAGUAAUUCUUAUCUACAUGACUAAAUCAUUUUUCAUGUAAAUUGAAUGACUUGGUAUGUUUUAAAGGUCUUAUACAUAUAGAUGUAUAUGAACCAUUAAACAUAAAAUGUUAUGGAAAUGUUCCUAUUUCAUUAAGUUUACACAAGACCAAAUUAAGAUUUUGUCCUGUAUACUUAUAGAAAUAUAAUUUGGAUUGUUUGAAAUGUUCAUAGAAUUAAAAGUACUCUUAUUAAGAUCUUAUAUUAAUAAGGACUACUCUUACUUGUAAUUAAUUGAUUGAUUAAGGAUGAAUGUAGAUUCAUAAUAAAUGGAAAAUUCUUAUGAAUAGAACAUAGAUAUGUUUAUUCAAAGAAAAAAAUGAAUUCAUAGAGUGAUAUAAUUCGGUCCAUACUUAUGUAAUACGUUAAGUCCGUUAUAACAUUCCAAACUAAUAAGAUUAUAAUACAUAUGUAGCUUCGUGGAAUAUUCAAGAGGGUUUGAAUAUUACUCUCACCAAGAAUCUUAGAUUUAGUGGGAGCAUGAUGAUACUUGGAAAGAAGUUUUUUAAGUAUCACUUAGUUAUAAAGGAAUCCAACAUUUACGAUUUUACAUAAAGAUGUAUAAUCUAUAUGUUUUCAAUGUAUAAUAACUCUAUGGAUUUAAUAAGAUACAUUGAAGAUGUAUUAUUUAUAUUAGAUGUAUCUACUAAAUAUGACUUUGUCAUUGAAGUUGUAUACUUCAUUUUGUCAAAAGUAAUCUAAAAGAGUUGGAUUUGAAAGAAUGUACGAAUGUAUUUGUCUCAUACACAUAAGGAGAUUAGUGGGAGUGAAUUUAAUUCUUUGGUAAUACAAUUACAUGGAAUGCAAUGUGUAUAUAAAGAAGCUGUCAAAAUCUAAAUGGAUUAAGUGGCACAAUGCAAAGUGACAUGUGCAUAUGAUGCACAUAACAUUGUCCAAUUGGAAUGGUUCCAAGGUUUAAAAGGGACUACUCAUGUAUAUAAUGACAUAUACAUCUUAUUACAAAAAGCUUUAAUAGAAGAAUAUUUAGAUCAUUAGUUCUUAGAACUAAUAAAGGGUUCAAAACAUCGUCAGUGUAACAAUAGAGCCAUAUCAAUAGAACACAAGUCUCAUGUUAGCUUUAAAAUUAUUAUAGUUUUGAUUAUGACAAAAUGAUCAAAUUUUGCUUGAACAUUAUUUGAGUAAUCCUUGGUAAUUUUUUGAAAUGAUUUAACUCCCAUACAUUUGUUCUUACAUAGACACAAACUUGACUCUUGAAGUUAUUGAACUAUAUCUAUGAGCUUGCAUGACUUAGGUGUAUGAGUGUUUAUGAUUCUCAUUCAUUAAAGUCUAAUUUAAAGAUUAAAGGAAAAUCUAGAUGCACUCAUUAAGGAGGAGUUUUGAAUAUCUUGUUCGAUGAUGAAAAAGGAGAGAAUAAAGACUAAAUGAAAUAGAGUUUAAUAGGUCUUCAUGUUUAAUUUAUGUGUGUGAUGCUCAGUUUUGGUUUUGUUGAAUAUUAUGUAAAGAAAACUAGAUGCGUUGAUUAAGGGGGAGCAACUCAUUACGCAUAAAGAUUUGAAGCAUUCAUAUUAAACAUAGACAUUGUACUCUUAAUCUAGGAGUGUUUUGUCAUCAUAAAAAUUAAGAGAUAGAGAAUGUUGACUCUAAAUGUUUUUUAUAAUAGCAAAAUAUUCCCAUUUAUUAGUGUCUAAUAUUAUUGUUUAAGUGUGCAAGAGAAAGCUAAAAUUCAUUAAUAUAUUUGGUAUUCGAAAGCAAGUCAAGGUGCUUGUUCAGUUGCAAGAUGGGUUAAUUGGUUAAACAAGCAAACAAGAAAAAGCUUUAAUGAAAGCAGAUUAGUCUUAACCGAUUAACACAAAUCCUUAAUUGAUUAAAGCAAUUCUGGGCACUGUACUAAGGACAGACAUAAAGGUCUUAAUUGAUUAACACAAGAUUUACUCAGUUAAGCGGGUGCCGGAUACAAAUAGAAGCCUCUUAGUCAGUUAACCAAGGAAGUUAGUUAACUAAAAUCCAAAAGUGAAGAUCCAAAAUGAAGGCAGUCAAAUUUGUAAAGAACAAUUCAAGAAGUCUUUGAUGACUAACAUAUCUCAUGGCUAUUUAAGGAAAAUGGAAGAUCAGCGUUACCAAGCUAAAAAAAGAAUUAAUCAAAUAAAGAAAAGUUGGUGAAGCUAGUUGCUCUAGAAAUAGUAAGCUCUUAAUCGAUUAAAGUCUUUCUUAAUCAAUUAACAGAGUAAAGCAAACUGCGAGACAAAGAAGACUUAAUUGACUAAGAAGUAAAGUUAACCAGCUAAAAGCUUACUGUUAGAAAAUUUGAAUUCAAGCAAAAAAGGAUAAAAUAACCGCAAAAAACAACUAGUUUUUGUCUCCAACGGCCAGAAGUGAAUUCACAAGGAUUUAAAGGCUCUUCAAUUGUCACGACUCGGAACUCCCCUCGAGCUCGUGACAAUUUUCGCGAUGCCCCGAUCGACACUCAUUACCCGAAAUAUCAACCGGAACCCCGCAAGGUUUUAAUAUCAGCUUCUCAUUUCCCCUGUGAGUAACCAUUGCCGAAUAUCGCGUUCAAAAAGAUUUUAAGCAAUUUACAACUUAAAACAAACAAAAUAAUAAUUUUCGUCUCACAGAGGUAUUUUAGUCAUUUUUUUCAAAAAUAUCAAAAUCAAUUAAAAAUGUAGUAUGCAAGUUAAAAACACAUAUUUCAUAAUCAGAAAUAAUUUUAGAUGUCUAAAACAUUCGUUUAAAAUGAAAUUAUGACUGUUAGUAUAAAAUAAAAAUAUUGAAUAAAAUAUUUAAUUUUCUCAUAAAAUAAUAUUUUAAGAACACUGCAUAAAUAAUUUUUUUUACAGCGUAAAAGUAAAAUAAAUUCAUAUAUAUUGUAAUACAGAUAAUCAAAGUAUAAAAUUAAAUUUACAGUGACACAUGGGCCCACGAACGACCAAAAGUAUCUAGAGAGAUAAACCUACAUAUUUUGAGGAUGCCAAUCCAAUUGUAAUCCUCGAAGAAAUAAGCUAUCUACUGACUAUCCUGAGCCUGAAAUAGGUGAAAAGGAGGGUGGUGAGAUUAUAUAAUCCCAGUGAGUAAACAAAUAUCAUUUAAAAUAUCUAAAGGCGAGUAAAAAGAGACUAUUAAAAUAUUUCAUUAAAUUGUAAUUUAUCAUCUUUCGACUUAUUUCAAUCCAAUGAAAUCAAUUUAUUUAAAUCAAGUAAUCAGUAUGGAUUAUGAACUUCUUAAAACUUUGGCUCGUGCCAAAAUCAUUAUCAUACUCACUUAUCAGGGAUACCUUGAUCGAGGGCUAUCCCAACUGAGUCCGCCAAGGCUGUUAAAAAGUUUUGAACACAUAAAUCAUGUUUUUAUUUUGAAAAUAUAGCCGUUCCUUGGCGUUAGCGGAGUUCAUCAUCACGAGGUGGUUCGGCGUGAAAUGAACUCUAAAACUGUUAGCCUCAGGAGUUAUCCACCAGCGUCUCUCAUACUGAGGUAAGAUAUAACGGGGUUUACCCUGCCCCUUUAAUAGGCUGGCCCAUGAAAACCCGCCUACUGUAGUGGCUAGUUAAAUAACCCACCAUACAAUAAAAUUCAUUCUAGCAUGACAUGGCAAUUAUUGUAAUUCAUAACCUUUCAAGGCUAAAUACACAUUUCAUAUAUUUCAACAUAAAUAUCAAUUCAGCCAUUCAUGCAAAUAUUAUCAUAAGCCAUUUAUUCAAAUCAUAAAUUUACAACAUACCAGUGGUCUCCAAUUACUCUAUUUUUCAAAAUCGUUAUUUCGUUUCAAGACAAUUUAUAAAAUCAUUUUAUUUAAACAUAUUUUAUUUGUAAAAUCAAAAAUUAACCAUUUAAACUCAUUUUCAUAAAAUUCCAUCAAAAUCGAUUAAAAUCAUACUUGAGAUAAGUAAAAUGAUGAUAAGGUUACUCACAGUAUCAAGAGUAGAAAUACUCAUAUUUUCAGUCCGCGGGUAUAGUCCUUUACCCGUAUCCAAUGGCUCACCACUUAGCCAUAAUCCAUGACACAUAUUCUAAUUAAAUUGUGUUUAACAGUCAUAAGCUAUUUUAGCCUCGAUGUAUAUGCAUGAUAUGAUAUGCAAAAAUGUCUAAAUUUUGCCUAAACGCGGUGUUAGCCUAUUUCGAUCUUUUAUCCGAUAAAUCGAUAUACGCGUCCGUUUAAACUCCAAAUUAAUUUUUUUCAGUUUCUAUACCUCAAUUGCACCCAAAUUGACUUAAUGUCCCCUAGUGUGGUUCAAAUUAUCAGUCUCGAUAGUAAAUUAUGAAAAUACCCCUAGUGGGUAAAAAUUCGUAUUUUUGCUCUGAAAAUUCCCAUUAUUUUUCUAGGCUCAUAAUUCAUCAUUAUUCAUCAUAAUUCCUCAAAUAAACAUCAAGAUCAGCAGCUAGGGUAGUAAAAAUGCAUGGGUAGUAAAAAUCACAAGGAAAAUCAAUGAAAUUUACCUUUUUAAUGCUUGAUUUCUUGAUUUCUCUUGAUUUUCCCCAAAUUUUUCAGCUAGGGUUCUUAUUUCUUUUCCCCCCUUUUCUCUCCUGGUUUGGACGGCUUGAAGAAGAUGAGAAUUCUUGAAAUUUUGACAUUUUUAAAGGCUAAAAUAAUAUAAUAUUAUUUUAUUUAUUUAUUUUUUGUUUUAUUAAUUCCUUAAAUUCUAGUCAUCCAUUUAUUUCCAAAUUUUCACCAUACACUUGUCCCACAUAUCCAUAGCUUAGAUAAAAUUCUCAGACUUAUCCAAAGUCUUGGUGGAGUAAUUUUUUCAAAAUUUACACUUUUAUCCCCGUAAAAGUCAAAAAUUACAUUUUUACCCCAAAAAUUGAAAAAUUGCCCAUAGAUAUAUUUUUCAUCCCUCAUACUCAUACCAUUCGCCAAUUUGUCAAAUUUUAUCUAAAUUCUCUCAAAAUCGCAAAUUUUGUCCGUGGGUGUCAAAAUUAUGAUUUUGCCCCUACACUUUAGAAAUCACUGAAAUUAAACUUUUUCACUGCCAAACCCUCAAAUUAUACUCCAAUAAGUCAAAUCGGGCCAAAAAAAAUCUUUUUUAAAAGUUCCCAUUGUGUUCUUAGGUGGCAAAUGACCAUUUUACCCCUAGAUAGUGAAAAUUCCGGUUUGACUUCAAAUUGAUCCACUAACUCCAAAUCACCAUAUUAAACCAUUCUAGGACUUUAAAAUUUUCAAUUUCACCCUAAAAUCUCUAUUUGAUCUAGUUCGAGGCUUAAAUCAACUUUAUUGUACCUUUAGGUGUAAUACCGAAUUUUGUAAAUUUUUCGGGACUCUCCUAGCAUGCAAACAUGCUAUCCAUCACAUGUAUGUCAUGAAAAAUAUUUUACAAAGUCAAACUUGACAUCUUCUCCCACAAUUGGAUCAACCAUGUGAUCUUUCUUCAUGACUGAUUUCGACAUCCGGCUAAAUAUUAAUAUUUUAAUAUUAUUUCAUUAAUAAAAUAUUAUUUUAUUCCAAAAAUUUUGUCUUGUCUCUUUGGUUCCUAAAGUUCCUUAUUAUGCCUCAAUUUGCAUCCGACCAACUUUAUUUAUCACCAUAUCAAAGUAUGGGGCAUUUCAAUCUCCCCCACUUAAAUAGAAUUCGUCCUCGAAUUCACGUCGAUGUUGCGUUAACAAUCUCCUUCUAUGAUCUUAUUCCUCUUUCCUUCUAUAAGGACAUUCAAUUUAUUUACCUCGUUCACCUUCAGUUCAAUUAAAUGUUGUAUUUAUGGCAAUUAUCAUCCUUUGAAGCCAGAUCAGUAGUACCUUUCACAAUCAUGAUUUCUUAUAUCGAGUCACUAAGCAUACCUUUAUCACUCUUAUUAAAUUUGAACCGUAACUUCAUCUCAAUUAUACCGAUUUCGAUCACAUAUCAUACUUACUUAUGUAUACCUAAUCAUCAUUUUAUUAAUUUGCUCCAUACCAAAUUUCUCAACCUUAAUUCAUUCAUCUUAUACUGGUCCAUACCCUUCCUUUAAUAGAGUUCCAUUAAGAACUUAAACAAUCCAAGGUUUACCUUCAAAGUCACUCAUAACUUUAAUCGUUCAUUGCAUGUCUGUUAACACUUUAGUUUGCUGACCUCUCUGGACACUAUUUCAAAAUCUCCCAAUUACUGAGAAUCAUUCUUCACUUUAGUUAGUAAAAUUAUCAAUUUCAUAUAUACAUAUGUACAUGCAUUUUCAAAUGUCGACAUCUCUCAUUAUGUAUAGAGAUCCAUGUGUUCACAUGCCUUGGACUACAUUCCCCUUUAUUCAUUAUCAAGCUUCAUUAUCCAAAUUAUCUUCAUUCAUCCUUUAUUCUGUUCUUCCAUACUAAUGUGAUAUCAUUCUCCCUAGACCAAUCUGUAGUUUGUACUUAAAACUGUAAACUUGAAAUAAGGUUCUUCUAAGUACUUUUCAAUGUCAAUACGAAUUUCACUUCCAACUUACAGCUUCUUUUUUACAGCCACAUAAUUUAGUGCUAGCUUCCACAAAAUCCGUAGCAAAACUCUUCUUGAGUAUUUCCUUGGAAAUAUCUACCUUAGACUUAUGUCUCACAGCAUAUGAUCACUUAACUUGUGACUUAGCCAUUUGGCUCCUUAGCAAAUUUCAAAAUCACACAUCUCAUACUAAUCUCGUAUAAUUUUAUAAUUCUUCCUGAAAGAUGUUUAAAUAUUCUUGAAACAUUUAAUCACUUAUUUACUCUUUCAUACUCCAAGUAUAUCAUUUCCAUAAAGGCAUGCCCAGCUACUCAUGCUUCAACUUAUCUCCAAGGGUUUUUAUCAUACCCCGUAAUUUACUUAUGUUGUCACUAAUCCUUUCCUUUCAACAAAGUCAAGACAAGAUUAGUACAUUCUCAUAACAAUAUUUCAUAUAAACUCAUUUGCUAUAUCAUUCUUGAAAUCUCCAUUCACACUCUCAUCACUUGGUAUUGACAUCUCUUAUCAACAUCUCAUAUAUUCAUCUAACCUUUCCCUCACUUCCUCUUUAACCUUUUACAAGAUUCAUGUUAUUCCUUAAGAUUUGACUUUAGUCAACAUAUUAUUUCUUUUUAACAUUCCACAUGUUAAUUUUUUUUUUGUAGCCAUCUCAAAAACUCUCUAACUUUUCUUUCUCUUACAUGCCCAAAUAUAAGGCAAUAAAGAAACUCUGUAAUUUCACUCAUCAUUUUUAUCUUAAUACCUCCCCAAUGCACUUAAGACUCCAACAACAAAGCUUAGCAUCAAAACCAACAACCAUAUUUCAACUCGUGAGUUUCAUCUUUAUGCCGCUCAUAAUUUAUUCUUGCUUUCUAGCCAUUAGGGGUUCUUAACGCGACAGCAUUUGAUAGUCAGUACUAUGGCAUUGCAACUAUUUGAAUUCACUUUAUUCUAGCAACUCUUUCACCUUUAAAACUACUACCUCAAUUAUUCAUACUCGUGUGGCUUCCCUCUGAGUCUAUACCACAAUUAGCAAGACUAGCUUUCUAUCACAAGUGGGCGAUCAGAACAUUGAUUUAACGUAUUUAUUUUGCAGCUACCAUUCAUAUAACUUUACCAUAUCAUUUAGUACGAAUUUGAUUAAGCAAAAAUCUCUAAAUUUAUUUAUCGCUACAUGUAUCUCAGAUUGCACAUCACUUAUCAUCAGUCAAUAAAUCUCACUUUAGAACACUCUUUCCAUAUUGUAUAGUAACUUCACCAUAUAGUAUCACGACACUAUUUUCCUCCAUUCUACUAUCAUGCAUACUCCAUAGAAUUUAAUUAAAAGAUUUAUGUACCUUAACUAAUGCCAAUUCCAUUUAAUCAUAUCUUAAAUACUCCAAACUUGUAAAUUACAACUCCAAGUGUAUGUCCAUAUAUUGAUAAUCUUUAUAUAUUUCAUGAUCAUGAAAACUAUAACUUACAAACUAGCUUUCAAUCAUAUGCACACUAUUAGAACAUUAAUUUCAACAUGUUUAAUUCUCCUUUGGUGAUAUGUUAAGAUCAUUCCUGGAUACAUUUCCAUAUUGACAUUGAUAUGCCUUUACCAUAGCAUUUAGUGCAAAUUUGAUGAAGGAAUUGUCUCCAAAUAACUCUUAAAUACAUAAUUAUCAAAUUGUACACCACUAAAUGUUAAGAUCUUGACUUUAUCCAUCAAUAACCAAUCACAUUUGUUAAGCGAAAAAUUUACUUAGUUAUUACAUCUUGCCUUUGCGAUCAUAAGAUCAAAGUUGUCUUAAACUUAGGAUGAAGAAGUUCUCUCUCGUAGAGUAUAUCCAAGCAUCAACAUUUUCUAAAUUCCUUACUCUGGGGAGAUCACCUUCAAGAUUGAUCAUUCGUAUCAUAGGCUACACUUUGAACCGAAUAAACUUUUAAAUUGAUCUUUCAAGUAAUUCGUAAUCAAUCUCAAUUAUAGAACUUCAUAUGGCACUUAGAAUAGAUUCGACAUUUCCAAGUCAUUUAACCUCAAGCUACCAAUUCCACAUUUAGUCCUUUAAUCCUUUGGCUCCCUAUUUUUCUAUGCAUAGCUAAGUUCAAGCCCAUCCUUAGAGUAGAUUUGUUUACUAACUUCUUACUUCAUGACCACACAUCAAUUAUAGUAAUCAUUGACACUCACUCUCGAGUUAAUUCACGUGCUUAUAUCCAUGAACUAUAAUAGGUCCAAUCAAUUCUUGAAAUCUCAUAGUCCCCAAAUCUUUUUCCAAUUGACAACCAUGAGUUCAAUUAUAACUCCACCAAAUGAAUAAAUUAUCACGGCCUAUUAGUCCAACUUCAAAUUUCUCCAUCCUUAAUCGGAGGGAUAUAUCAUUUCAUUAAUCUUUCAUUAAGAGCAUUCGUUUUAAGAUCUCUCUAACACUGGCUAGUGUCACGGGUAGCAUCUUAAACCCGGACGAUGACCCUACUUAUGACUUUUGCAUGACAUUAACAAAGAAGUGGAUUACUGGGAACAAGAGUUCAUAUAGCUCCCUGUUUAUGACUUAUGCUCCCAUAAGAUCUAUAAGAAGAAAUAGAACGAGUCUAAACAGCUCCAAAUUCUAUGUGCAGAUGCAUGUAUUCUAUUCUAUCUAGCCUAACUUAACUUAACUCGGGCCACACUGACACUGUAGUUUUUAAAUAACUUUAAAACCAAAAACAAUUACCUUUAAAACCAAAAGCUCUGAUAUCACCAAAAUUGUCACAACCCAGAACUCUCAUCGAGCUCGUGACAACAGCCGCGAUGCCCCGAUCGACACUCAUUACCCGAAAUGUCAACCGGAACCCCACAAGGCUUUAAUAUCAACUUCUCAUUUCCCUUGUGAGUAAUUAUUGCCGAAUAUCGCGUUCUAAAAGAUUUUAAGCAAUUUCCAACUUAAAACAAAUAAAUUAAUAAUUUUCGUCUCAUAGGUGUAUUUUGGUUAUUUUUUUUCAAAAAUCUCAAAAUCAAUUAAAAAUGUAGUAUGCAAGUGAAAAACACAUAUUUCGUAAUCAGAAAUAAUUUUGGAUGUCUAAAACAUUCGUUUAAAAUGAAAUUCUAACUGUUAGUAUAAAAUAAAAAUAUUGAAUAAAAUAUUCAAUUUUCUCAUAAAAUAAUAUUUUAAGAACACUACAUAAAUAAUUUUUUUACAGCGUAAAAGUAAAAUAAAUUCAUAUAUAUUGUAAUACAGAUAAUCAAAGUAUAAAAUUAAAUUUGCAGUGACACGUGGGCCCACGAACGACCAAAAGUAUCUAGAGAGAUAAAUCUACAUAUUUUGAGGAUGUCAGUCCAAUUGUAAUCCUCGAAGAAAUGAGCUAUCUACCGACUAUCCUGAGCCUGAAAUGGGUGGAAAUGAGGGUGGUGAGAUUAUAUAAUCCCAGUGAGUAAACAAAUAUCAUUUAAAAUAUCUAAAAGCGAGUAAAAUGAGACUAUUAAAACAUUUCAUUAAACUGUAAUUUAUCAUCUUUCGACUUAUUUCAAUCAAAUGAAAUCAAUUUAUUUAAAUCAAGUAAUUAGUAUGGCUUAUGAACUUCUUAAAACUUUGGCUCGUGCCAAAAUCAUUAUCAUACUCAGUUAUUAGGGAUACCUUGAUCGAGGGCUAUCCCAACUGAGUCCGCCAAGGCUGUUAAAAAGUUUUGAACACAUAAAUCAUGUUUUUAUUUUGAAAAUAUAGUCGUUCCUUGGCGUUAGCGGAGUUCAUAAUCACGAGGUGGUUCGGCGUGAAGUGAACUCUAAAAUUGUUAGCCUCAGGAGUUAUCCACCCGUGCCUCUCAUACUGAGGUAAGAUAUAACGGGGUUUACCGUGCCUCUCUAAUAGGCUGGCCCACGAAAACCCGCUUACUGCAGUGGCUAGUUAAAUAACCUACCAUACAAUAAAAUUCAUUCUAGCAUGACAUGACAAUUAUUGUAAUUCAUAACCUUUCAAGGCUAAAUACACAUUUCAUAUAUUUCAACAUAAAUAUCAAUUCAGCCAUUCAUGCAAAUAUUAUCAUAAGCCAUUUAUUCAAAUCAUAAAUUUACAACAUACCAGUGGUCUCCAAUUACUCUAUUUUUCAAAAUCGUUAUUUCGUUUCAAGACAAUUUAUAAAAUCAUUUUAUUUAAACGUGUUUUAUUUGUAAAACCAAAAAUUAACCAUUUAAACUCAUUUUCAUAAAAUUCCAUCAAAAUCGAUUAAAAUCAUACUUUAGAUAAGUAAAAUGAUGAUAAGGUUACUCACAGUAUCAGGAGUAGAAAUACUCAUAUUUUCAGUCCACGGGUACAAUCCUUUACCCGUAUCCAAUGGCUCACCACCUAGCCAUAAUCCAUAACAUAUAUUCCAAUUGAAUUGUGUCUAACAGUUAUAAGCUAUUUUAAGCUCGAUGUAUAUGCAUGAUAUGAUAUGCAAAAAUGUCUAAAUUUUGCCUAAACGAGGUGUUAGCCUAUUUCGAUCUUUUACCCGAUAAAUCGAUAUAUGCGUCCGUUUAAACUCCAAAUUAAUUUUUUUCAGUUUCUAUACCUCAAUUGCACCCAAAUUGACUUAAUGGCCCCUACUGUGGUGCAAAUUAUCAGUCUCGAUAAUAAAUUACGAAAAUACCCUUAGUGGGUAAAAAUUCGUAUUUUUACUCUGAAAAUUCCCAUUAUUUUUCUAGGCUCAUAAUUCAUCAUUAUUCAUCAUAAUUCCUCAAAUAAACAUCAAGAUCAGCAGCCAAUAUUCCGUUAGAAAAUUUGGCAUAAUGGGUUUCAAUGGGAGAAAAUUAUAUCUCUAGCUUAUUUUUGCUAUAUUUCAAUAUAACNNNNNNNNNNNNNNNNNNNNNNNNNNNNNNNNNNNNNNNNNNNNNNNNNNNNNNNNNNNNNNNNNNNNNNNNNNNNNNNNNNNNNNNNNNNNNNNNNNNNNNNNNNNNNNNNNNNNNNNNNNNNNNNNNNNNNNNNNNNNNNNNNNNNNNNNNNNNNNNNNNNNNNNNNNNNNNNNNNNNNNNNNNNNNNNNNNNNNNNNNNNNNNNNNNNNNNNNNNNNNNNNNNNNNNNNNNNNNNNNNNNNNNNNNNNNNNNNNNNNNNNNNNNNNNNNNNNNNNNNNNNNNNNNNNNNNNNNNNNNNNNNNNNNNCUUUUCUCUCCUGGUUUGGACGGCUUGAAGAAGAUGAGAAUUCUGGAAAUUUUGACAUUUUUAAAGGCUAAAAUAAUAUAAUAUUAUUUUAUUCAUUUUUUUUGUUUUAUUAAUUCCUUAAAUUCUAGCCAUCCAUUUAUUUCCAAAUUUUCACCAUACACUUGUCCCACAAAUCCAUAGCUUAGAUAAAAUUCUCAAACUUAUCCAAAGUCUUGGUGGAGUAAUUUUUUAAAAUUUACACUUUUGCCCCCGUAAAAGUCAAAAAUUACAUUUUUACCUCAAAAACUGAAAAAUUACCCAUAGACAUAUUUUUCAUCCCUUAUACUCAUACCAUUCUCCAAUUUGUCAAAUUUUAUCUAAAUUCUCUCAAAAUCUCAUAUUUUGUCCGUGGGUGUCAAAAUUACGAUUUUGCCCCUACACUCUAGAAAUCACCGAAAUUAAACUUUUUCACUGCUAAACCCUCAAAUUAUACUCCAAUAAGUCAAAUAGGGCCAAAAAAAUCUUUUCUAAAUAUUCUCAUUGUGUCCUUAGGUGGCAAAUGACCAUUUUCCCCCUGAACAAUGAAAAUUCCAGUUUGACUUCAAAUUGAUUCUUGAACUCCAAAUCACCAUAUUAAACCAUUCUAGGACUUUAAAAUUUUCAAUUUCACCCUAAAAUCUCUAUUUGAUCUAGUACGAGGCUUAAAUCAACUUUAUUGUACCUUUAGGUGUAAUACCGAAUUUUGUAAAUUUUUCGAGAUUCUCCUAGCAUGCAAACAUGCUAUCCAUCAUAUGUAUGUAAUGACAAAUAUUUUACAGAGUCAAGCUUAACAUCUUCUCCCCCACUUGGAUCAACCAUGUGAUCCUUCUUCAUGACUGAUUUCAACAUCCGGCUAAAUAUUAAUAUUUUAAUAUUAUUUCAUUAAUAAAAUAUUAUUUUAUUCUAAAAUUUUGUCUUGUCUCUUUGGUUCCUAAAGUUCCUUAUUAUGCCUCAAUUCACAUCCGACCAACUUUAUUUAUCACCAUAUCAAAGUAUAGGGCAUUUAACCAAUAGUCAAAAAUCAUAAAGAGAAGCCAUCCAAAGUGAUUUUGAACUUAGAAAACCAAAAACUUUCUCUUUACACUUGUAUUUCACUCUCAUCUUUUGAAAAAGUGUGUAAGCUUAACUUUGUACAUAUUAGAUCGACUAAGUGAUCAGUUGAACUUCAUUUUUUCUCUAUUUCUUAUUUACUUAGAGUGUGAGAAACACUCUAAGGGGUAGAUCAAGCUUGGAUUAGCUUGGUUGUUGUUAUAGGUUCUAACUUAGCCUUUGAAAAGUUAAUUUUGGGUUUUGGUUGAUCCCAUGAAAAAUCACUGUUAAAGGCUGUGGCUGAGCCUGUGAAAAGCCAUUGUAAAAUCUUAGUGGAAGCUUGGAAGUUCCACUGAUUUUAGUGAAUUGGUUUGAAAUCCCUUGAUUAGGAGAUCAAGGUAGUGGAUGUAGGUCAAGGGGACCAAACCACUAUAAAUCAUUGUGUUUUAUCUAUCUUUUUUUAUUUUCUUCUUACUCUUAGCACUUAAAUCAUUCAUUCAACAAGCUUUAAACUUCUAUUUUCAAAUUCCUUUAAUCAUCUCUUUACUUAGAAAAAUUUUUUGUGUCAUUCUAAAAGUGCUAUUCACCUCUCUUUAGCACGCUAUUUGAGACUAAUAAGGGGUAUCAAAGUCUAACGCUCAUUUUUAAAGCUUAACAUCUUUAGGAGAGAUCCAAAUGGCUCUAUAAAAAUCUUUUCUUGCCAAGGGUCAAUACACAAAUAGACCACCUUUAUUUGAUGGAUUAAACUAUCCUUAUUGAAGUACUAGAAUGUCCAUUUAUAAGGAUGUCAACGGGUAGGGUACCUGUUAAUUUUCAGAUACAUGAACCUUAAUCCUAUUAAAAAUCAAAUACCCUAACCCUAUUAACUACCCUAAUAAUUUUAAAAAUUACUAUCCUAACCCUAACCCUAAUAAAUUUCCACUACCCUAUAAUUACCCUAACUUGUUUAAAUACCCGAUUAGAUAAAAAAAUUAUUAAAAUUUUCUUCAUGAAUACCUAAUUAUCCAAUUAACUAUUCUAAUCUAAUCCAAUUAACAUAUGUUAUAAAUUAAUGUAAACAAUGGUAUAUAUAUUGUAAUUAAUAAUUUUAUAAAUUAUAAUUUUUGUAAUGUUAAUACAAAAUAGAAAGUAAAUAUGUUUAUAUUUAAAGUACAUAUAUAUACAUAUACACACACGCACACAAAUCAAAAAUAUUUUAAUAUAUAUAUUAGCAAUUAUAUUCUUUAUAAAUGAAUCUAAUAUAUAUAUAGAUAAAGUAUAUAUAUUAAAAGACAUUACAAGUUAAUUAAUAAUUAUAGUUUUAUGAAU